rnacentral:lncRNA from 1 species
AAACAUCUAAGUUUUGGUAGAUCUUGGAGUCUCAGAGUGGUGAGCUGUGGAAAGACAAAAUAAGGGAUCACUUGAUCUGCUCUGUUUUCAGAAAUGAUCUCCUGUAAAUCCUUACAGUCUCGUAUAUCUAGGUGUUGGAGCUGCUUGAGGCUUCCGAUCAUAGACGCUGAAAAUAUGUAUUUUAAUUUGUGACAACGCCACACAAUCAAUCUUGUUAAACUUUGAAAGUGAGGAAACACGGCCGCCGGAAUUUGAUUGUAGUGCCAAAUCUUGUCGACAUUAAUUUCAGAUAUCUCCAAAGCCUCCAAGUUAGGCAACGCAACCUAAAAAAAUAAGAAUUUCUCGUUAGAUCCAAUAUCUAUAGGGGAAGCACUUGUUGAAAUUUUCUUCUUUGAUUACAAAUUAAUCAAGUCUGAAUCAAUUUCCAACUGACAGCUGAGUAUGCAUUCUAAUUCAUACUACUUGUUAAGAGCUCAAUUAGUGAGCGCGUGAGAUUCUUUUUAUCCUUUUUCCAUUUUCUUUCAAUUCUUUAAAUGAUUUAAUUAUAUAUAUAUAAAGAAAAUGUUAGCCUACGCACCUUCUCGUUGAAAAGCAGAGUUGAAGUAUCCAAAGUGAUUUCGCUGGAGCAAUACGUAGUCGUCGAUUCCUCUUGCGACACUUGUCUGUUCGGUGAUGCUGAAGGAGUCUCCACCUCACGGCGGCAAAAACUUGUAACCUCUGGAAGAUUCCCCAGACUCAAAGAUCUUAAUUGAACAAACUCUAUCUUCUCAAUUGCAUUAUCAACUUCUUCCCCAAUUGCAAAAAUCUCUUUCAUCUUGCUGCAAUUAAUAACUGCAAUUCUCUCAAGUCUUGGAAGGCAUUUUGAAGUAGAGAGCCAAAAGAUAUUACUCAACUUAUCACAAUUAUAUACUUCUACAUUUUUGAGUUCGUUGAAAGACUCUACUUUGAGCCGAUCAACACAUAUCCUCUCCAUGUUGAUCAAAUUGUGAAGGGCAAGUGACUCCAAAAGAGGAAAGGCAUCACAAGCGACCAUCUCCCUUGAAUCGACGAUACAAAAGAAGUCAGGAUUAUUUUGGACGCAGAGGACCUUCAAUUGUGAAAAGCCCUCCGUGUCCAAAUUGAAAAGAACAUUCUCGAUGCCUUGCAGCUUGUCCAACCGUAAGUAUUCAACGUUAUUGAUGCCCUGCAAUUUCAUGGAGCAAAUGUCCAUAAAAUCAAGCUUGAGCUCCAAUUCUCUUGAAAUCUUGCGAUUACUGUCGAUCAAAAAGUGCAGCUGACUUUUAAACCAAUGUUGUCCAAAAAGCAUGGGAUGCAUGAAUAACCCAUUUCCAAUAGAUAUUUUGAACCUUUCGAGCUUUCUGGCCAAAAAGCCUGCUGGUAACAUACUCUCAUUUUUAACAUCAAUUUCUAGAGUGGUUAGCCAACGUAAAUGCAUCAAUUCGUCAAGGCUAGCAUUACUUCUUUUGCUGUUGGCUCUUUCAACCUCCCAUUCAAUGGAGCAAUUACACAUAUACAAUUCUUCUAAUCGGAUUAAGCUUGAUAUGACAUUUGGAGCAAUAACUUUUAGAUGGAAACAGUCUGUUAAAUCUAACAGCCUUAGCUUAGUCAGUUGACCUAGUGCUUUGGGCAAUUGCACCGUAUCAGACCGCACGAAGCUGAGGAUUUCUAGAUUUUCCAACUUUCCAAUAAUGGCUAUGUCGAUGUCUCUCAAAAUGCUUUCAUCAAGACAAAGUGUUUUAAGUUUUACUAAGAGAUCAAUUGAAGAAGGCAAUGAAAAUAACUGCAUUCCAGUAAAAUCUACAACUUUAAGCUUUCUCAUCCCUACAAAAAAAUUUUCAGGAAUACUCACUUCAAGAGAAGAAUCUUCGGGAGACAUGCACAAGAACUCAAGUUGUGGACAUUCCAAUGCAUUGGGAAGCUCAUGAAUGCAACAAUAUCUUAUAGAGAUUGCAUAGCAUUUUUUUAGUGAUUCCUUAUCUGGCAACUCCCACACAUCCUCGUUUUCCACCACAAAUACAUGUUGGUCUCGGCAUGCAAUUGAUCUGGCGACAUCGCGAACAACAUCAUGCAUUGAAAUUAGUUUAUUGCUAUCACCCUCAAGCAACAAACAAGAGUCUCUAAGUUCAUGUACCAACGCAUAUAACUUGUUUCGUGCAUCUUCCAUCUUAUUGACUCCUUGAAAUAUACCCAAACCUAUGGAGUAUUUAAGCAAUUUCAAAGUAGGGAUACUGUUACCCAUUAGACUGCAGAGCUGAAAAAGUUCCUUGAGUUGCCCACCUUUUAAAUACUUGAAACUCAGUUCAAUACUUGAAUAAGUCUCUGCAGACACUCCUUCGAAGUUUACCAUUGAAGGCGUUCGGAGUUCUCGCAAGGAAUUCUUCCAUUCAUGCAGACUCUUGCCUCUCAAUGCCUUUGCUACUGUAGUCAAGGCAAUGGGCAAACCUCCACAUGCCCUGGCGACGUCUAUUGCUGUAGAUUUCAACUCACGAUUUUCAACAUCAUCACCGGCCAUCAUCUUAAACAAUCUCCCGGCUUCUUCUUCAUUUAAAUUGUUUAUCAAAAAGUUGUCUUCAGAUCCCAUUUUCAAGAGGACACUACGAUCUCUUGUCGUCAGCAGUAGUUUGCAUCCUUUAUGAUCUUCUCCAAAAGGAAUUCCAACGGUCUCCAAAUCAAGGUGUUUCCAGAUGUUAUCCAGAAUCACAAGGAUCUUCUUCUCAUUUCUCAAUCGCUCACAUAGCCUACUAGCUCUUCUAGAUUCAACUUCCUCGUGCAACUCCAGGCCCAACUUCUCGGCAAUUUCCUGUUGAAUCUUUUUUAUGUCUGGAGUUUGCGAAACCUCUGAAAAGACCACCAUAUCAAAGAGCUUGUCUUCCAUAGCUUGCCUGGCGACCUUCUUCACCAGUGUCGUCUUUCCAACGCCGCCCAUGCCGUACACCCCAAUGAUGCUGACAUCAACAUCGAUCAAUGCAUUUUGUAUGGCCUUCAAAGUAGAAAGUCUUGAUUCGAAGGCCUCGUAGCCUUUGUGAGACUUGAGCCAUAUAUCCUCCGGAACGGUACGGUAGGAAAUUCUAUCAUCAAAUCUCCCAGCUUCUUCUCGGAGUUUAAAAAGGGCCUCCUUCUCUGUUUCUGCUUUCUUUCCAUGCUGAUAGCGAGUAAUCCAAUUUGGAAACAGCCCCAUGAGACAUCGUUCAUUUGCUUUCUCUUCGUCUUGAAUGAAUUUGGCUGCCUCCUCAAUGCUCUUGUUCGCAUUAACCAGCCAUUUCUCAACCUUCUCUUCAAUCUUUUCACCUUUUCUUUCAGCCUCAGAAACUCUGCGCUGAAUGCUUUCUCUUUCAUCCUUGAGCCUAUCGAGUUCUGCCUUGAGAUUCUCAAAGUUGGCAGCGGAGUUAUACCAAUAACUAAAUUCGCGUUGUGCGUGAGGAGACAAGCAGUUCACAACUCCUGGAACAAUGCUUUUCAAAAUGUCCAUUUUUUAUUUUUUGGGGAAGUGAACGAAAUAGAAAUAGAACAGGGUCAACGGCCGCGCAAUUGAUAAUCAAGCAGAAGCAAAACAAGGCAAAGUUGAAAAAAGAAAUGAUAUUUGUACAAAACAAGGGAAAAUCAGUGUAACAGAAGAGAAUCAAAGUGUUUUUGAGAUCAGACAAUUGAAUCAAGAAAAGGGUUGCUUGAUCCAAUGAAAAUGCGAAGAGCUGAUGGCAAAAGGGAACAAAGCUAAAUAAGAAAACGGCUAGCACGAGCAGCGACCACGAUGAACAGAAGCAAAGUGUGUAUGAGAUCAAAAGACGAAAAUCAGGAGAGGUUUUCUUGACUGAGAAUUGAAGGCAAAGAGUAGGAGCUGACGAUUACGGGGAUCAAGAGGGAAAAACUGCUUGCUUGUAAAACUACUUUCAAGCGAAUCUGAUAAAAUUAUUUCAGUACUAGUGGGCGACUCCAUUUUAAACUGCUGAAGGAAAAAAAAAAUUAUGAAUUUCAAUAUAUUAAUUUUUAUCCUAAUUUAUGUUGAGGCUCGUAAUCUCGUCUCAAUGAUUAAUUAGUAGAUAAUCUUUCUAACAAAUAUGUGUUGAAUAGAUAUAUUUCUUGACUAUUAGUAGGUUAGAUAUAUUUUAGCAUAGGAAUGAAAGUACAAGUUGUGUCGUAUCAGAAUAAAAAUUUGACCUAAAAAUAUUGUUUUAUGAGUCCAGCUAUCUUGCAACAGUUGUAAUGUGCCACUUAUUUUUGUUUUAUGUGACGUUACAUUUCAUUUAAUACCUUACUUUCUUUCUUAUUUACAUUUUAUUUAUAAGUUUAUAUGUUUUAGCUAGUGACAUUUUAAAAUGUAAUUUUAUUUUAUUUAAUAUUAUUUAUUUUUUUACAUUUAUUUAUAAUUUUGUAUGCUUUCGCUGGUAACUUUUAUAAAAUGUAAUUUUAUUUUAUUUAACAUUAUUUAUCUUUAUAAAAAAGAAUAAAUAUAAUAAUAAGCCUAUGACUAAAUAAUAUUAAAUAAAAUAAAUAAUAUUAAAAAAUUUAAAUUAAAUAAAUAAUAUUAAAAUUUUAACUUAAAUAAAAUAAAUAAUAUUAAAAUUUAACUUAAAUAAAAUAAAUAAUAUUAAAAAUGAUAUUAUUUUUAAGACACUAUUGAUUUUUUAAUAUUAUUCAGUUUUUAAAGAAUAAAUAUAAUUAUAAGCCUAUGACUAAGUAAAAAUAAUAUUAAUUUUAACAGUCAUUAUUGAUUAUUUUAUUUUACUUAAUAUUAUUUAUUUUUUAAAAUAAUAAAUAUAAUAAUAAGCCAAUGAUUAAAUAAAACAAAAAUAAAAAUAAUAUUUAUUUUUAAAGCGCCCUAAUGAUUAUUUUAUUUUAUUUAAUGUUAUUUAGUUUUUUGAAAGAAUAAAUAUAAUAAUAAGUAUAUGACUAAAUAAUAUUAAAUAAAAUGGAAUAAAUAAUAUUAAAUAAUAUUUAUUUAUUCUUUUAAAUAAAAUAUAUAAUAUUAAAAAUAAUAUUUAUUUUUUAAUACUCACUACUAAUUAAACAAUAUAAAUUGUAAACAAUCCGGACUUAUGUGUUAAAAUUUUAAACUCUUUAACUUGUUUGUGUCUUUAAUAAAUAUCAAGGAGUGUAAUGUUAAUAUUUAAAUGAACAAAUCUCUACCAUUGAAACCACCUUUUCAUUAAAUCUAAUGAUAAAAAACUGAAAUUAAGAAAAGUCAAAAUUUGGUGGUACCUUGCAACUGUUGUAAGGUAGCUGAGUCCUGUUCUAUAACCUUUUAAUUAUUUGUCAGCUAAUAAUUAAGUAAUAUAAAAAAAUUAAUAAUCGGAAUUACUCUUUUAAAUAUUAUAAAUAUUUAUUUAUUUUUUAAUUAUAAUAUCAUUAUUUAAAAAUAAUUGCUUGACUUACAUUAGUAACAUUACGAUUGUGGUAAAGCAUGUGAUUCUCAUCCAAUAUCCAUUAUUUGUGAUCCUUAAUCAAUAAAAUAUCUGACAAUAUCUUCGCCAAAAGUUUGAGACAUGUGAUCUUUAUUCCACUGCGUCAAUUACACUCCAGUCCCAUGCUGCCAUCAUUAUCGAACAGUCGAUAUCCAACACUUGCACGAAGAUUCCAAGAAGUUGCGUGGCUGCCGACAUUUAGAUGCUAAGCCUUGUUGUGUCGAAGAUACACAAAACAGAGCAGUCCGGGCAAUUGCCAAAACUUAGAACUAAACAGUAGCUUAGUCAAAAAAAUCAAAUGCCAGCACCGCUAAAAUGAUCGAUAAAAAUAUAAAGAAACCAAAGCUUUAAAAGAAAUCAGCCAAAUCAGGAAGAUUGAAAAGUAAAUCUAUGGCUUUAGAUUUUUAUUUUAUUUUUUUAGAUAAUAGAUAUUAUUUUGAUGAAUUUUUAAUAUUAGAAUAAUGCUAGGAAUUUCGAUAGUAGAAUUCUAAUUUGAGACCCAAUUGUUAUGUGUUAUUUUUUUUAUUAGAUAAUGAAUUUCAUAAUUAGUAAAAUUAAUAUCAAAGUCCAAAGUUAUUGGGAUGAUAACUUUUUUUUGAUAGACUGAUAUAUUACAAUGAGAGCUCUACUGAUAUUUACAAUAAAAAAUGAAACUCUCCUCAAUAAUUCUAUUACAGCACAGCCUGAAUAUUAAGCCUUACUUAAAGUUGGAGGGAGAUCCAUUUUAUCCCAAUACAAAAAGACAAAUAAACUCUUAUUGUACAGAAAAGUUGAAUCUCAGUGCUGUGACUCAGUAUGCAUGCGCCCAACAACCUUGUGAUGAUAACUUAUAAUCGUCAAACUAGCAUAAGGACCUUAUUUUUCAUUCACAAAUAAAUAAAUGAUGUGACUUAACGGUUGGCGGGGUCCCUUGUGCCAUUUGUGCAUUUCACUAAAGGUCCGCCUAAGUUAUACAUUUAACGUAACUUACCGUCAGCCUGUGAAAUUUUAUAUAACCCCCCAUAUUCUAUGUUAUUUAUAUUUUAUUCAUGAAUAUUAUAAACUUUUUGAAAUAUAAAAUUUCGUUUAACCCCUUAUACUCAAUUUUAUUUUAUUAAAACCCUAGAGUAUGAAUUUGCCCCUAUAAUUUUAAAUUUUCCAAAUAACCUCCAUUAUUUAAAAAAUAUAAUUAUUGUUAAAUGAAUUAUAAUUAUAAUUGUUAUUUUAUUAUAAUCAUAAAUAUUUUUUAAAUAGAUUAUUUUUAUUAUUAAUACAAGAAUAAAAAACAUUAUAAUUAAUUAAUCUAUUAACAAUAAUUAAUAAUAUUUUUAUUAAAUUGUUAAUAAUAAUAAUAAUUAAUGAUUAUCUAACUAUUUCACAGUCUGACCGUAAGUUACAAAAUCAUAAAAACUAAAAGUUUUUAAAUAUUUACUUAAGGUAAAAUAAUAAUAAUGACAAUAAUAUUACUUAAAACAAAAAAAUCUGUAAACUUUAAUAAUGUUGAUGAUGAUGAUGUUGACAACAUUAAUAAUAAUAUAAUAAUUAGAAUAAUAAAUUUUAAUAAUAUUACUAUUAAUAAAAUAAUAAUAAUAAUUAAAAUGAUAAAGUUAAUAUAUUUUAAUAAUAGUAAUAAAAUUAAUAAAUAAAAAUAACUUAAUUAAAGUAAUUGUAACAAUUAAAAUAAUAAAAUUAAUUAAUUUUAUAAUAAUAAUAAUAUUAAUUAAUGACAGCAAUAAUAAUGCAUAAUAAUUAAAAUAAUAAAUAAUAAAUUUUAAUGAUAAUAAUAAUAAUAAUAAUAAAGUUAAUAUAUUUUAAUAAUAGUAAUAAAAUUAAUAAAUAAUAAUAACUUAAUUAAAGUAAUUGUAACAAUUAAAAUAAUAAAAUUAAUUAAUUUUAUAAUAAUAAUAAUAUUAAUUAAUGACAGCAAUAAUAAUGCAUAAUAAUUAAAAUAAUAAAUAAUAAAUUUUAAUGAUAAUAAUAAUAAUAAUAAUAAUAAAGUUAAUAUAUUUUAAUAAUAGUAAUAAAAUUAAUAAAUAAUAAUAACUUAAUUAAAGUAAUUGUAACAAUUAAAAUAAUAAAAUUAAUUAAUUUCAUAAUAAUAAUAAUUAAUGACAGCAAUAAUAAUGCAUAAUAAUUAAAAUAAUAAAUAAUAAAUUUUAAUGAUAAUAAUAAUUAAUAAUGAGUAAAAUAAGUAAUUUCAUAAUAAUAUUAAUAAUGAUGACAUUUAUGGUAGUAAUAAUAAUACAUGACAAUAAUUAAAAUAUUAAAAUUAAAUAAUUUUAAUAAUAUUACUAUUAAUAAAAUAAUAAUAACAAUAAUUAAUAAUGAUUAAAAUAAUAAAGCCAAUAUAUUUUUAAUAAUAGUAAUAAAAUUAAUAAUUAAUAAUGACUUAAUUAAAGUAAUUGUAACAAUAAAAUAAUAAAAUUAAUUAAUUUCAUAAUAAUAAUAAUAAUUAAUGACAGUAAUAAUUAGGGGUGGGCAAAAAAACCGUGGUCUUAAAAACACCGAACCGAACCGGCGGUUUUUUCGAAUUUGGAUCGGUUUUUAUUUUAAAAAAAACCGAAAUAUAUCAUUUGUAAAAAAAAACCGAAAUGUCGGUUCGGUAUUCGGUUCACUCAGCUGAACCGAAAAACCGAAUUAAUUUUAUAUUUUAUUCAAAUCGACAUGUGUUAAAUUUUUUUUUAUAAAUCCAAAUAUUGAGUCGAAAAUGCCUAAAGUUGAUGUUGAUAUUCAUGAAGAUGGGAGAAUGUUGUUGGCAUUUGUUUGCAAUUUUUUUUUUUGGGUGAAGAUGGGAGAAUGUUGUUGGCGUUUGUUUCUAAAUUUUCUUUUUAUUUUGUGUUGUAAGUUGUAAUUGUUGUUAUUUUUAUUUGUCUUUACAACAUUAUGAUUAUGUUUAUGUAGAUGGAGUAUUGGAGUUUGGUUAUGUAUUUUGAAAUUUUAAUAUUUCAUAUUUUGUGAGUACCUUAUUAGUAGUUAAUAAGAUAUUAGUGAUAAAAUGUGUUUUGAAUACUUUGUAUUUAUUGUUAAUAUUUGUAAUGAAAUUAGGAUGAACUAAUUGUUGAAAACAAUUAUUACAUUUAUGAGGUCCAAUGGGCUAAAAAUUUGAAAUUUUAAAAUAGGCCCAAUAGACCUAGAACCAAAAAACCGAACCGAACCGAACCGAUCCGAAAAGAUCCGUUUGAGUUCGGUUCUUAUUCGGUUCUUUUUAUAAAAUAACCGAUUUAAAUCGGUUCUACUUAAUUUCGAUCCGAACCGAACCAAACCGAACCGAACCGUGCCCACCCCUAGUAAUAAUACAUAAUAAUUAAAAUAAUAAAAUAAUAAAUUUUAAUGAUAAUAAUAAUAUUAUUAUUAAUAUUAAUAAUGAUGACAUUUAUGGUAGUAAUAAUAAUACAUGACAAUAAUUAAAAUAUUAAAAUUAAUAAUUUUAAUAAUAUUACUAUUAAUAAAAUAAUAAUAACAAUAAUUAAUCAUGAUUAAAAUAAUAAAGUUAAUAUAUUUAAUAAUAGUAAUAAAAUUAAUAAAAUAAUAAUAAUGACUUAAUUAAAGUAAUUGUAACAAUAAAAUAAUAAAAUAAAUUAAUUUCAUAAUAAUAAUAACUAAUGACAGUAAUAAUAAUACAUAAUAAUUAAAAUAAUAAAAUAAUAAAUUUUAAUGAUAAUAAUAAUAUUAAUAAUGAUGACAUUUAUGGUAGUAAUAAUAAUACAUGACAAUAAUUAAAAUAAUAAAUUUUAAUAAUAAUAACAAUAAUAUUAAUAUAAUAAUAAUGAAAUUUAUAAAUAUUAAUAAUAGUAACAGUUAAAUUUUUUUAAAAUCCAUUUUUAUCCCAAAAGAGGACUCAUAUAUAAAAAAUUGUAACUUCUAGUGUCUAUUCAACUUUUUUAUAAAAUAUAGGUAUUGAGAUGUAAUUAAUUGAAAAAGACAAAAUUGAGUAGUACGGUGCAACCGUUGCACCAUAGUUUCAUCCAAUUUGAAAUCUUGGAAAACCCUUUAAUCAAUCUCUUAGUAGUAGGCUUUGGUAGCUUGGUUUGAUUAUGAUUUAUAAUCAUUUGAUAAUAAAGUCAGAGGAUGUAUUAAUAUAAAAUUUAUUUAUUGGUGUUGAAGAUAAUUAUCUCAUUAAUAAUAGUAUAAAAAGUUAAAUACUAAGAAACACAUAGCAGUAGUUAAUUGGUGUCAUAUGAUUGGGAUUCAGGGAUAUAAUUUUAUAUCAUAACUUUGUAAGUGUAUAAUUACUCAUUAAAUUAACAAAAUUAUUUAAAAAUAUUUAGUUAGAAAAAAUAAAUUAUAUUCUUUUUAUUUCAAAUAAUCUAUAAGUUAACUCAAAACAUAAUCAAGCUGAAAAUAAAAAUAAUGCUACUGUAUGACAUGAUUUUUAUUUUUUCUCGAAGUUUCACUAGGAAAUUAUUGAUAUACAGCUUUAUUCAAAUCAUCUCAGUUCAAACGACAAAUAAUUGAAAGACUAAGCUAAAUAGACCAGCCAACAACUUUGUACAGCAGAGUUCAAUAAUUAACGUCAUGGUAUUGAGGUGUUAUGUCUUGAAAAGUACAGCAUAGUAAUAAAAUAAAAGUUAUUAGUUUUUAGGAAAAUAUGACUUUUAAAUAAUAAUUUUCACAAAAAUAUAAAGAAUAUUUAUAAAGUACUUCUAUAGUGAGGAGACCCCACUUUGUUAAAGUGAAAAUAUUAAUAAUACAAAAUAUAUAGAUUUUAACAUAUUAAAAACUGUAUUUUUUUUAAUCUAUUGGUGUAUUGAAAUAUGCGUUUUUUAGUUAGAUAUAUCAUCACUUUGUUAAAAUGAGAAUGUUGUCACUAGACAAUAAUCAUAUAUACAUAUAUAUAUAAAGUGCUUCUCUCCAAGACCUAGACUUUAUUAAAAUUUAAGAAAGUAAAUAUAUUUUAUAUGGUAUAAUAGUGUAAUAACAUCACACUAUUAUAUCAUGUAGAGUAAUAGUUUUUCUAACUUUAAUAAAAUUCAAGAUUAUAGAAUGAAUGAUUUAUAUAUAUUAUAAAUUUUUUAUCAUAAAGUGGAGGACAAAAUUAACAUAUUUUUCAAAUUAUAAUAAAUAUUUAUCAAAUAAUUUAACUUCGUAAUUUCUCCUAACUAGUAUAGUAAAUACAACCUCGGAGGUACAUUCAAAGCAUUUCAUAAGUUUGUUGUUAACAAUAAAUGAUACAUGCAGCUCCAACCAUCAUUGUACGGUGAGUAAUUUCAAUAGAUUUUUUAUGGCUUAAUUUACUAGGAUCAUAAUGAACAUUGAAUGUCAAAAUAUUAAUGGCCAAACAGACCAGCUGCCAACGACUUAUUCCAAUGUGAAUAUUUCACAGUGGGUACUGCACAUGAUGCUUGUUUCUCCUUUUGCAUCUAUUUUUUUUUUAACACUAAUUUCAAUAGCAGCUCGUCAUGUAUGCAAUAUUUCAAAGUUAAUCAAAAAAAAAAAACAAAAAUUAGUUCAGCUGACUAAAUUAUUUUUUUUCUUUUCUGUGGUAGUAAGUCCGACUCCUUAGUGACAAUUUAAAUUGAAAAAAUAAAAUCAUAAAUAAGAAUUAUUUGAUAAUAAUUAAAAUAAUUGAUAAAAAUUUGAUUGGAGCAAUUUUGGAAGAUUCGAUUUCUAAUAGAAAGGGAAUUUGAAUUUUACAGCCUUCGGUGAGGAAUCCAAAAUGCACAAUUUGAUGAAAAUUAAAUUUCAAUAGAAAUUGAAUUCCCAUUUAUUAGUGAAAACCAAACAACAGGAAAGUGAAAGGAAUUUGAAUUCAUUUCCUUCCUCUCCUCCCUCCAACUAAACACCAUCGAAAUCCAAAGGUAUGGAUUGGGAUUCCAUAUUGAUCAGAAUGGGAUUUGUCCAUAUUAUUAGGACCAAUUUUAAAAGCAGUCCGAGUUUCAAAGUUUAAGAUUGAAAUUAAUCACAAUUGUUGAUUUGGGACUAGAUAAGAAUUUAUCUUGGAACUCCAAUUCUCCCAAUUAUUUUAGUUGACAAUAUGUUUAACAUUAUUUUUUUAAACAUUAUUAAUUGCAUAUUAUUUAAUUAUCAAUAUAUAAUAUUCUUUAAUUUUCUAAUUUUAUAGGAUUAGACACAAAAUUGAUUAUACCUUUUGAAAUUUAAGGGUUAUGUCAAUUGAAUAGAAAACUUGGAGUUAAACUUUUGGAUGUUUUUGUUGAUUAUCAAUUUAUGCAUGAAUUUUUGUACGUUUACUCUGGUUUAUUAUUAUUACUUUAAAACAUUUUUAUUGGUUUGAUUUAGGGUCAUUUUGGUAAUCUUGUAGCUUAAAAAUACUUUUAGUUAUAAAAACAGUCGUAUGUGUUUCGUAAAUCUUAUUGUUAAACUGGUGCAAUAAUAUAAAUGAUUGUGAGGGGUUUGAGAUUGGUCCUAAUUUUGAUCACAAAUAUAUAAACAGGACGAGUUUAUCCAUACUUACAUUCCAUUUGAUAAUUAAGAUGAGAGUAGAAUGGUCAAAUCCCAAAUCAUCUCGGACCAUUGCCACCAAAGGUACUCUCACUAAUAAUAUCUAAAGUAAAAUCUACACCUAUUUCAUACCUUUUUUUUUUAUUUAACGGAAGGAGCCCUCAUGGGGCUUGAAAUGGUAUCCUAAAUAAUAUUAAGAAUAUCAUGUCGUGGUUGGUUUCGUGACAAAUAAAUAUUACAUGGUUGGGAUGCAUAGUUACUAGUGUCCCAAUUUAUAGGGGUGGGCAAAUUACCCGAUCCGACUCGACCCGACCCGAAAAAUUUCAGGUUCGGAUCGGAUGGGGUUGUGCAGAAAACCCGAUCGGAUCAAAACAAUGAAACCCGAUCGGGUUAUGAUCGGAUUGGGUUCGAUCCGAUCCGAAACCCGAUCGGGUUGCUAUAAAAAAAAAAAACUAAACCUAAAGCAAACAGCCACACACACGCAGCACACACAAAUCACAAUUCCCAUUUUCACAACACACGGUUACUUACACAAACACUCACAACUCUCCUCAAUCCCCAAUCUCAUUACACAAUCCCCAAUCUCAAUACACAAAACACAUACACAGUCACCCCCAACGGCGUUGGGCCAACGCCAAGCCGCCAACGGAGGUCGCUGCACAAGUCACAGCCUCACCCGCAUCUCCAUGGCCGAUUUGCCGCGCGUCUCCAUGCCCGAUUUGCUGCAAGUGCCGCCAAUAUGCUACUACGCGUCCGUCGGUCUGCUGCUACAAGUGCCGCGGCCACCGAUCUACUGCAAGUGCCGCGAAUCUGCUGCAAGGUGCUUCUGCUGCUCCAAUCCUUCAACCCGAGCUUCUCACCUUUGACUUUGAAUCUUGAGUUUUCACGCUUUUUUUAAGCUUUUUUUUUUAAAGAUUUGAAUUGAUGGUGCAUAUGGUUAAAUUAAACAAUUAAUAUUUAGUAUUUAAUUGUUGUAAUUAUGUGUUUUUAAAUGGUAGUAACAAAAUCAAGGAAAUUGGUCAACCCGAUCCUACCCGAUUUCAACCUGAAUUCACAACCCGACCUGACCCAAUCCGAAUAUAAAUCGGAUCGGAUCGGGUCGGAUGGGAAGUUCGGGUUGUAUUCGGAUUAAUUUUUGUUAAACCCGAACAACCCGAAAUCUGAUCGGGUUGAUCCGAACCCGACCCGACCCGAACCCGGUUUUGCCCACUCCUACCAAUUUAUGUAGUAUUUAUCAUUUAGUGCACAUGCACAGUAUUAAUCAGCUUAACUAAUUUAUAAAAUUUAAAUCUAAUUAAUAAGUGACGCAUAAAUGCCAAGUGCAUUACAUGCAAAUCAUGUUUUUCGAUCACUACAAAACUGGCUCUUGAAAACAAGCAAGAAAGCUUAAUUAAGAACUUAAAACAAAAAGAAUUAGAUUGAGAACAAUCAAGCCUUAUUUUUUCAAGGAUGGAGCUUAUAAAUCUUCAAGUACCAACAUACGCUUGGCCCAAUUGUUGUUAUUAAAAUUUCAAUAUACAUAUAUAAGUAUGAUAUAGCAAAAAUUUGAUGGUACAUAUGUCGGAAUAUACUAGUUCAUGGGUGCAUUUGAUUAUUGUUUCCAUAAAUUUGAACCAGGAAGAAUGAAACGAUAAAAUUUGAUUUUAUGGUAUGGUUGAUUUCAUAUCUCAUGCACUCAUUUCUUAAGAUAAUCAAAUUUUCUCUGGCAUCUUUUGCAACUGUCGAAAUAACAAUUAUGAUCAAUCAAACGAUUUCAAAACCUUUCAACGAGACAUAUUUCUAAUACAAUAUUGUGAAAAUUACACUAAAAUUUUAAUUUAUUAUAUAUUAUUAUCCAACGAGCACACAAAAAUGAUUUCGUACAAAUCUAAAAUACUGAGCAAUUUUCAAAUAGAAUUUACCAUGUACUACAAGAAAAUAGGGUAUAUGUGACCCCUAAUGUGAAUGCAAAAGCAGCCAUUACGCAUAUCACUAACUUCUAACUCUGUAACCCCGAGUUGCUUUUGUUACCCUUUAUGUGACGGCCACACUGCUGUCACAUAUGUUACGAACUGCGUGACGGUGAAGAGCCGUUCGGUAUACUAAUAUUUUAGAAUUUUAAAUUUAUUUCCAGUUAGAAAAGUAUUCGCUGGAGUCCGUGUUACUGGCCACCAUCGUAAACAUAACUGGUUGCCAGCGAACGGCGUAAAACGCCGGGCAUCUUCUUCUUCAUCGUAUUCUCCCUUCAUCUUUUGAGGUAAGCUUGUGAUUAUGAGUUUCUUCUCUUACUUAACUUGUAAUUAUAGACUUUGAUUUUUUUUAAUUCGUAUUGUAGCCGUUAUUGUCAAUUUUUGUCCCGCCAGCAAUAUUUUUUUAUUCGUACAAGUUGAAGCCCCUGCGUUCUUGUUCCAUUGGUGAGUUUGCUCACUCAAAUUAAUUUUGUUCUGCGGAAUUUACAAAGUUCAAAUGGAUUCAUUUGAAUUACUAUUGAAUUUAGCUUUAAUUCCAACAUCCAUUCUAAUGUUUUGCUAUUAGAUUUAGUUUAAUUUUAUGUUUAAAGCAUCUACAAUGAAUAGCGGAGCUUGGGUUUUAGUUUCAUUUUCUAGAUAACUUGUUUUGGUUUAUCUUGUAUGCUCACCAAGUGCUUGUUAUAUUGUCUGAUAAGUUAUAUACAUUGCUGAUUCUAUAUUAAUAAUGUUAUGUUCUAUUUUCAGAAAUUAUAAUACAAAAGCUUUUACAAUGGCGUGCAUCUACAAACUGGAUUGACUCGUAGAAUAAGAGCUUGGAGUAGUGUUAUGUUCUUGAAUAAAUGAAAGUUCAUAUUGUGUAAAGCAUCAUUAUCAUUUCUACAAAGUGCUUUCAUUCUGUUCAGAUGCUCUUCUUGAACUUUGAAAGGUGCCUCGUUCAAGUCCUAGCUAUAACUACUAGCUUUGAUUAAUUAAGUUCCUAUACUAGCUGAAACAGAUUUAUUUAAUUAAUUAAUUGUGUAUGUACUAAUUAUAUUGAAAGUAUAUGAAUUUUUUUUUUUUUUAACAUGAAUGACUUCUAAAUGACUUAAAAUCCUAAAGGAUGUGUAAAAUAAUGCUCAUUUCACUUGAAUGAGCCUAUUAAUACUUUUAUGUCUAUGAUUGUCAAUAUUGGCUUAAGCAUUUCAGUUAAGUGGUUUACCUAACAGAGAAAAAAAUUUAAUAGAAAACUUCAGAGUUCUAACAGAAAUAUAGUUCACUAUGCAGAUAUAGUUAUUUUACGGUAUACAAAUCAAGUUGUCCUAAUCUCAAUGUCCUAUGACCGAUUUUAUUUUAUAUAGUCAUUAAUUUUUUCCUUGGUUUUUUGUGUUUAUGAGUAUGAAAUAGUGGGAUUUGGUGUACCUUAGCAUCUUUUGAAAAUUCUCUUUCAGUGUGGCCAACAGAAAUAUACAUAUAAUCAAGUUUCUUAAUCGUGUAUAUUAGUUUUGGGUAUGAAUGUUCCUAUUCUAGUUCUAGGCAAAGCUUCUUCGUUUUGGUCUUCGGAUUUCCAGUAGGUUAAGUUAAUCAACUAUCAUAACUGGCUAGCUAGUUAUUUUCUGCCUUGGCGCCAUUACCCAGGCCAUUAUAUUGCAUAGCAUAAAGAAUAGUGAUUAGGUGAUUAUUAGUGAUUUGUUGAGCUUAUUUUCGACCAAACAAACAUAUUCGCCUUUGCCCACAACUUAGUUUGAUUAGUUAUUAGACCAUAAAGAGCCUUGAUCUAUUCAUUGGCUUUAUUAUUUUUAUUUGGUUUUUCUUUCAACAAUAUUGUUGAUUUCUUAUAAAAAUAUUCAUUGGUUUUUAAACACCUAGUCAUUGGCUGUAUGAAGCAAAUUAAAACUGAGGCUUUGGAUCAAUUUCUUCUAACAAGAUACAAAUGAGCAUAACCUUUCUCCUCUAAGUAAUUUUUUUUAAUAUCCUUGAUUUGUAAGGAUCUGGAGGCCUGAAAUCCUCUAGAUUUUUUUUAACACUGUCAAUGUCCUUUUUAUUCUGAAAAGGAAAUAAAAGGUUUUAUCUUUCAUACCCUAAUAGUAAGCUGGCCUUGUCUUAACAUGGCUUCCCGAGGAUUUGCAAGAUUCAUAGCGCCCCCAACCCCCCCCCCCCCCCCCCCCCCCCCACAAAAAAAAGGAAGAUUUUGCAAGAUUCACCACCAGGUUAUUUAUUUAUUUAUUAAUUGUGUGUACGUACUAGUUAUAUGUUGAAAGAAUAGGAAGAAGUAUUUCAACAUGAAUGACUUAAAACUUAUUGCUCAGUAAACAUAAUCUGCAUCAGUACGAAAAUGUAUUUAUCAUUUGUAUUUUUUUAUGGUUUUGCUUAAGAAAUGAUAUGUGAAAUAAUGCUACAUGCCUACAUUGUAUCAGGAAUAACUUGAAAAGAUUUAUGAUAUUUAUGUGUUAUUCAAAUUUCAGAUUCAAUUUUAAACUUUUGAUACGUGCAUUAAAAGCUUAGACUUGUUUAAGAAAUUAUUAAUAGACACAUGUUUUAUUAGUGUCAUAUUUGGAUGAUAGUGAGGAUCAUAUGUCUAUUAAUAAUUCUUGAAUUGUCCGGGCUUGGACAGUUUGGGAAUGCAUACUUCUCUCUGGUAGCUAGUAGCUGAAGUUUCUUCCCACGUAAAAAUGGGUUUUUCAGUAGCUGCUCCUCGUGUUCUCUGGGAACGUACUAGGUGAAUGGGUGUUGUGUUGUUUUGGCAUAACGCAUAAACACUUAUAUAGCUAUGUCGCGUGCUUGGAGAAUUAUAGGGAGAUGGUGCUGAAAUUUUUAUAAAUGUAGAAUAAAACUUUAGGUACUUGAGAUUGAAAAAACUUACGCAUUCUUGAGUGGGAUAUGUAGGAUUACUUACGGUUGGUAAAUAUGAAGGGAAUGUUGGAUAUAUUGAGGGUAGUGUAGGAGCUGAGUUGGAUGAAUGUAAUUGGUGAUGAUUUUGCUGAGUUGACCUUGGUUUUGAGCUUGUAAUUUUGUUUGUAAAUGGAGUGCUAUCUCCAAUGUUGGUUUAUAAAAAUGUUUCAGGACUUGCUGACCUAAUUUUUUGUUUCUAGGUUACAGGCUUUAUAUAUCUGUAAUUGAUAGCCAAGUGAAGUUCUCAGCACUUGGCAAGGAUAUUUCUUUACAGAAGGUAUUGGAAACUGUUUUUUACAUUAAUUAUCGUUGAUUAUAUACUUUGAUUGUCACAUCUUUUUCUCUGAUUCUUGUGGCUUUGUUUGCUUUCAUAUAUGUAAAUUCUAAUGAAAUUAACCAUAAAAUUGUAAAAUGAUCUUUUUAUUAUAUUGCAAAACUGUGCACACACGAAAAUAUCUUGUUUAGUAGUAGAAAUGAAGAACUAAUUUUUUUAGCGCAUUAAAAGGAGAUAGUCAUGGACAAGUGUUGGGUUGGUUUGCCAAAUAGAUAUCCAAGUCAUAUACUGAUGGCGUUGAAAAAUUUAUAGAUUUUGUAUUUGAGAAUGUUGUUGGUGGUACAAGAAUUUAUUGUCCUUCUUGAUAAGUGUUGUAAUCUAUAUUUCGUUAUAAGGGAAGUGGCUGAUGAUGAUAUGGUUGGAAUGAUACAGUACAUCACGUAAUCAAAUGUUCAAGUUACACGCAGCAUUGUUAUGAACUAUCAGUGGCAACUUGUCUGGGUGGAGUAUUAAAGGUAAAUAAGCAUGUCUUGUUUGCCAACAAAGCACUGGAUCUAAUUGGUUGAUACAUAGUAGAAAAUUUUGUCACGUGGGUCACCGUCGAUUUUUCCCAACAAAUCAUAGGUUUCGAAAAUAUAGUGUCUUUGAAUAAAACUAGAGAGUAGGGACAAACACCUUCUCAGUUGUCUGGAACUGAAGUGAAAAAGCAGUUUAAUAUAUUUACUGAGUAUAAGAUUGAAGACUUGAAAAGAGAAGAACGAAUAAAAUGAGAGAAAUGAUAAGAUUACUUGGAAGAAGAACAGAAAUAUUUCUUAAGAUUACUUGGAAGAGAAAUGAUGUGGAAGAUGGCUAUAAAAGAUAAAAGGAAAGGCUUAAAAAGAAAAGCCAUGCCUGUCAAAAACAAAAAAACAAUGGCAGCGUCAAAUUUAUAACACAAAUCAAAACGGUGCGUUUGAGAGUGUAUAAAAUACAUUUAGAGUGGGAGUUGUGUUGUUGCUUGAAGGCAGAAUGUUUGUGAGAUAUUUGUCGGCGAAGCCGAAACCAAAGAUGAAGCCCAUCAAAAGCAUUUAUAGUGUAAAAAGUAUAUUGUGGAAAUGUCUGGUCGGUAAUACAACUAUUUCUUAUAGUGUAAAUGAUACACUAAUUUGAAUUUAUAUGCUUUUAUGAUUAUUUGAUUAUCAAGUGGUGAUCAUAUGUGAUGAUAAACUUAGGUAGUACCUUUAUAUUUAUUGCCUUAGUUUUCUAAGCGUUCACAUUUUGAUGAGUAAAUUAAGGAUUUCUAGAUGAAGUACAUAAUUAGAUUAAUGCUAAGGAACUGAAGUUUGAUCAACUGAAAACGAAAAUAAUAAUGAAGGUAAUUAAGAAAAUGAACAAUACAGAAGCGGUCCUUAUUAGGACUUCUAGAUUUUCUCUUGGGCUUCCUUAUUAUUGUUAAAAAAUGACACGAAGAAGAGUUUAAAAAUCUGGCCCUGAUGCCUGGUAGCCCUCCAACAUAUGAAGCACUAGAUGUUUUAAUGAGAAAAUGACAAGACCAUUUAUCAAAUUUCUUGUGGAUAUAAAUACAUACACAUAGACGAGACCAACCUCCUCAAAUGAGAAUCAGAGUGAUUACAAGACCUUGCAAUGGGACGAUAACACACCAUCAAAUCUCAAAAUACAAUAGAAAUUCAUGACACAUGUAUAAUAAAAGACCUCUCAUUGAGUUCUAUAUAUUGAGAAUAAAAAUGUUAUAAUACAUACAAAGAGCUUAGCUAGAAUAAAAUGUCUUUGAACUUGCGAUGAUCAAAUAAAGGAAACAGACAGGUUGUAACUCAUACUAUCACAAGAAGAUCACGAAGAUGGAAAUGGGAACCCCUCAGAAUGGAAAUUUUGAAUAGAGGAAAAAAGAAAAACGACCUUAUUCACAGAAGAAGAGUGACUUAAAUCUUCAUCAGUAUCCAGACAUUCUGCAAUCACAGAGUAGAGAAAUUUUAACCAGAACAGCAGAAAAAAUAUUAUGAAUAUGCUAUAGACCAAUAUACUUGUUCAUAGCUAACGUUUGAUGGUUUAAGGAUUUGUUCUGGGAAUAAUGGGCUGAUUACUUUUUUUUUUUAUUUUAAUUUUUUUGAAUCCAAUGAAUGAUAUUCAGCUGUGAAUUAUGUGUUCAUAGGGAAGAACAUUUUCUAAGUACUUUCCUUGCCUUCUAACUUUCCGAAAAGCAAACCCAAUAAACAAACAGAGCACAAACUAAAAUAAAAGAACAGCAAUGAUGACAAUAAAUAAUUGGCAAAGAAAAAAAGGAAAAAGUAUGCACGUUUUCAAUGAAUUAUAAAAUAUGAAGGCUUUUAAUGAAAUUUUAUCAUAAAAAGUAUGCAAGGAAUUAUAAAAUUUUAGAAAACAAGGGGAGCUCUAAAAAAAAAAUGAAAAACUCAAAUUAAAGUAGACUAAAAAGACAUUCAACUAUGCAAAAUCUGUCCAUAAAAGUCUGAAAGGAUCAUUAAAAUUGCAUUGCAAAUUUAACAGUAAACCGAGGGACCCAUUCUAAAUAAUUCAGAUGAAAUUGCGAAACAAGCCAUGGGAUUAAAUAAAUGAAAUAAAAAUUAAUUACCAGUUGAGACUUUCUUCUAAAAAUUUGCAACUCCAAGUCAUAAGAAGCCUAUGAAAUUAGUCGUACUGCGUAGAGUAUGACGACGACACCGCCAACAGCUGAAAGUAAAAUUCUUAUUCAUCAAAUAUCUUAUCUAUAUUGUAUUUAAGAAAGCAAAUUUUGUAAAAAAUUAUCAUGGGAGAUAGAGAGUAAUAUGUAUAUACGUACCUUCUCAGCAUGUAAUUGUUGUAUGGUUGUGUUUAGAUCAUUAUUAGCCCAACGCCGUUGAUUCGAUGUCUCUCCAUAGCAGACGUUUACUCUUAGAGGCGUGAUUGAUUCUCCUGUAGUGAAAGUCUUCAUCUUGGGACAACCAAUCACCCACAACUCUUGCAAAGAUGGGAAUUUGAAGGUGUAAUUGGCAGAGCAGAAACUUGUGAGGCUAUCUAAAUCAAACAGUUGCAACGUCUUCAAUUUGCAGAAAACAAUCUCUUCUUUUUCAACUCCAUCUUUGUCAUUUAUUACCACCUCUGUCAUUGCUCUGCAUCCAUAUACUUGCACUUUGACCAGUCGCACUAGAGUUUUUGCUGUGGAGGAUGUUACUAAGUGUAUCAAUUCCUUGCAACCGAAAGCUACAAGUUUUGCUAGGUUCCGAAAAGAUACCGAUGAUGAUGGCAAUAGAAUUAACAGACUUUGACUAUGAUAUACUCCUAGAAUUUCAAGAUACUGAAAAAUGGGGCCAAGUUUGGAAUCUUGUUUGCACAGCUGCUUCAGAUGAUAGGGCCGGUACAGCUUUAAUUCUUUUAUCAUUGCCAACUUCCCCAAAUGUUUCUCCAAGCAUCCUUCCUUCGAAAAUACCUCUUCGUCGAAUGAAAAAAAAGACAGUGUGAGUAUUUCGAGAUUGUGAAAUCUCUCCAGUACGUUCCAGAUUGGAAAACAAGCUGUGUCAUCUGCAGCAAUCUCUAGUUCUCUAAGACUGCCAAAAAGGUGUUGUGGGAAAUCGGCCUGCAAAAUCAUCUUCACAUCUUUUCCACUUAGUGAUAGUUCCUUCAAGUUGGGUACGAUCUGAUCAUCAUCAAUCAUAAUAACUAAUGAGGUCAAUUGAUGAUCUACGGUCACACGCAGUGACUUUAUAAUAUUUGUUUUAUAUUAUAUUUAAAAAAAAUUGAAUUAUUGAUAAAAUUUAUUUUAUAUGUUAAUUUUAGAGGUAAAAAAGAAAUUAGGGAAAAAGGUUGAUUUAUACUGGCUCGAAAUUAUUUUAUUGCACAAUAAUAAAUUACUAAUUUAUUUUGUAAGUUCUUCUAUAUGGAAAGACUAAGGAUUCUUUUAUAAAUGCUCUACCAAAAAAAGUUCAUAUAAUUAUUAAUCUACCACAUUGAUCUCUUAAUCUAGACUAACAAAGAUUAUUGUAUAAUAAAAGUUUUCAAUUUAUUGAGUAUUAAUUUAUCGAUGCUUUGCCAUAUUUUUCAAAGUUAAAAAUAAGCUGUAGACAAAAAAUCUAGAAAAUGGCUUCAUACCUUUUCCAACGGCAAUGGGGGCUGUUGUGCAGGAAUGCCAAGUUGAUCGUUCUCAUUAUUCUGCGAUAAAUCUUCAGUGAAUAUCUUUAAUUUGUCACAACGAUGCACUGAAAGAAUUUCUAGCGCGGGCCAUUCCGAAGUAUGCAUUCCAGGGUACAAACAUCUAAGUUUUGGUAGACCUUGGAGUCUCAAAGUGGUGAGCUGUGGAAAGACAAAAUAAGGGAUCACUUCAUCUGCUCUGUUCUCAGAAAUCCUCACAGAAGCGUACUUCUAGGUGUUGGAGCUGCUUGAGGUUUCCGAUCAUAGACGCUGAAAAUAUGUAUUUCAGUUUGUCACAGUACCACACAACUAAUCGUGUUAAACUUUGAAAGUGAGGAAACACGGCCGCCGGAAUUUGAUUGUAGUGCCAAAUCUUGUCGACAUUAAUUGCAGAUAUCUCCAAAGCCUCCAAGUUAGGCAACGCAACCUAAAAAAAUAAGAAUUUCUCGUUAGAUCCAUCCAUAUGGGAAGCACUUGUUGAAAUUUUCUUCUUUGAUUACAAAAUAAUGCAAGUCAGAAUCAAUUUCCAACUGACAGCUGAGAAUGCAUUCUAAUUCAUACUACUUGUUAAGAGCUUAAUUAGUGAGCGCGUGAGAUUCUUUUUAUCCUUUUUUUCCAUUUUCUUUCAAUUCUUUAAAUGAUGUAUUUAUUUUCCACGUAUGACAUCAAAAGAGAACGUAUGAUAGAAUAAAGUCUGUUAUAUAUAUAUAUAUAUAUAUAUAUAAAGAAAAUGUUAGCCUACGCACCUUCUCGUUGAAAAGCAGAGUUGAAAUAUCCAAAGUGAUUUCGCUGGAGCAAAACAUAGUCGUCGAUUCGUGUUGUGACACUUGUCUGUUCGGUGAUGCUGAAGGAGUCUCCACCUCACAGCAAAAACUUGUAACCUCUGGAAGAUUCCCCAGACUCAAAGAUCUUAAUUGAGCAAACUCUAUCUUCUCAAUUGCAUUAUCAACUUCUUCCCCAAUUGCAAAAAUCUCUUUCAUCUUGCUGCAAUUAAUAACUGCAAUUCUCUCAAGUCUUGGAAGGCAUUUUGUAGUACAGAGCCAAAAGAUAUUACUCAAUUUAUCACAAUUAUAUGCUUCUAUGUUUUUGAGUUUGUUGAAAGACUCUACUUUGAGCCGAUCAAUACAUAUCCUCUCCAUGUUGAUCAAAUUGUGAAUGGUAAGUGACUCCAAAAGAGGAAAGGCAUCACAAGCGACCAUCUCCCUUGAAUCGACGAUACAAAAGACGUCAGGAUUAUUUUGAACCCAGAGAAGCUUCAAUUGUGAAAAGCCCUCCGUGUCCAAAUUGAAAAGAACAUUCUCGAUGCCUUGCAGCUUGUCCAACCAUAAGUAUUCAACGUUAUUGAUGCCCUGCAAUUUCAUGGAGCAAAUGUCCAUAAAAUCAAGCUUGAGCUUCAAUGAUCUUAAACUCUUGCGAUCACUGUUGAUCGAAAAGCGCGGCCGACUUUUAAACCAAUGUUGUCCAACACUCAUGGGAUGCAUGAAUAACCCAUUUCCAAUAGAUAUUUUGAACCUUUCGAGCUUUCUGGCCAAAAAACCUUCUGGUAAAAUAUUGUCACUUUUAACGUCAAUUUCUAGAGUGGUUAGCCGAGGUAAAUGCAUCAAUUCGUCAAGGCUAGCAUUACUUCUUUUGCUGUUGGCUCUUUCAACCUCCCAUUCAAUGAAGCAAUUACCCAUAUACAGCUCUUCUAGUCGAGUUAAGCUUGAUAUGAGAUUGGGCGCAAUAACUUUCAGUUGGAAACAAUUUGUUAAAUCUAACAAUCUCAACUUAUUCAAUUGACCUAGUUCUUCGGGCAACUGCAUAAUAUCAGACUUCAAAAAGCUAAGGACUUCUAGAUUCUUCAACUUCCCAAUGAUUGCUAUGUCCCCCAACGCACUUUGAUCCAGACAUAGUGUGUGAAGAUUUGGUAGAAGAUCAAUUGAAGAUGGAAAAGAAGAAAACUGCAUUCGAGUAAAAUCUAGAACUCUAAGCUUUUUCAUCCCUACAAAAAAGUUCUCAGGAAUAUUGAUUUCAAGAGAAGAAUAUUUGAUAGAGAUAAAUAAAAAUUCAAGGUUUGGGCAUUCUAAUCCUUCAGGAAAUUCACGAUUACUAUUAUUUCUUAAAGAGAUCGCAUUGCAUUUUCGAAGUGCAUCCUCAUCUGGCCAGUCCCACACAUCCUUAUUUCUCACCAAAAACACAUGUUGGUGGCGGCAUGCAAUUGAUAUUGCGACAUCACGAACAACAUCAUGCAUUGAAAAUUCUUCAUUGCUCUCACCCUCAAGCAACAAACAAGAGUGUCUAAGUUCAUGGACCAAUGCAUAUAAUUUGUCUCGCGCAUCUUCCAUCUUAUUGACUCCUUUAAAUAUACCCAAACCCAUGGAGUACUUAAACAAGUCCGAAGUAAGAAUACGGUUAUCCAUUAGACUACAGAGCAGAAAAAUUUUCUUGAGUUGCUCACCUUUUAAAUGGUUGAAACUCAGCUCAAUACUUGAAUAAGUCUCUGCAGAUACUCCUUCGAAGUUUACCAUUGAAGGCGUUUGGAGUUCUCUCAAGGAAUUCUUCCAUUCAUGCAGACUCUUGCCUCUCAGUGCCUUUGCUACUGUAGUCAAGGCAAUGGGCAAACCUCCACAUGCCCUGGCGACGUCUAUUGCUGUAGAUUUCAACUCACGAUUUUCAACAUCAUCACCGGCCAUCAUCUUAAACAAUCUCCAGGUUCUUCUUCAUUUAAAUUGUUAAUCAAGAAGUUGUCUUUAGAUCCCAUUUUUAAGAGGACGCCACGAUCUCUUGCUGUCAGCAGUAGUUUGCAGCCUUUAUGAUCUUCUCCAAAAGGAAUUCCAACUGUCUCCAAGUCAAGGUGCUUCCAGAUGUUAUCUAAAACCACAAGGAUCUUCUUCUCAUUUCUCAAUCGCUCAAAUAGUCUACAUGCUCUUCUAGAUUCAACUUCCUCGUGCAACUCCAGGCCCAACUUCUCGGCAAUUUCCUGUUGAAUCCUUUUUAUGUCUGGAAUUUGGGAAACCUCUGAAAAGACCACCAUAUCAAAGAGCUCGUCUUCCAUAGCUUGCCUGGCGACCUUCUUCACCAGUGUCGUCUUUCCAGUGCCGCCCAUGCCGUACACCCCAAUGAUGCUGACACUAACAUCGAUCAAUGCUUUUUUUAUAGCCUCCAAAGUAGAACGUCUUGAUUCGAAGGCCUCGUAGCCUUUGUGAGACUUGAGCCAAAUCUCCUUCGGAAUGGUACGGUAGGAAAUUCUAUCAUCAAAUCUCCCAGCUUCUUCUCGGAGUUCGACAAGCGCCUUUACCUCUGCCUCUGCUUUCCUGCUAAGCUGAUAGCGGGUCUUCAGAUUAGGACACAGACCCUUGAGACAUCGCUUAUUUGUUGCCUCCUCGUCGUCAAUGAAUUUGUCUGCAUGGUCAAUGAUCUUGUUCGCAUUAACCAGCCAUUUCUCAACCUCCUCUUCAAUCUUUUCUCCUUUUCUUUCAGCCUCUGAAACUCUGCGCUGAAUGCUCCUACUUUUAUCCUUGAGAUUCUCGAUUUCAGCCUUGAGAUUCUCAAAGUUGGCAUUGGAGCUACGCAAAUAACGAAGUUGUUGUUGUGUUGGAGGAGCCAAGCAUUCUGCAACUUCUAAAACGACAGUAACAAUGCAUUCCAACACCUUCAAUCUUUUUUUUUUUUUGGGAGGGGGGGGUUGUGGGAGGAUGGAUUGAUCUGAAGUGAAAGAAACAGAAAAAGAACAGGGGAAACGACUGGACAAUUGUUAAUCAAUGAAGAAUAAACUUCAUAAUAAAGUAGCAUUAGAGUACUAGACAAGCUCACCACGUUUAAGCUAAGCGGAGAAUAGACUUCAUCAACAACGCUUUCGUGAAUAUGCGUUGCAUUACAACGCUCCAAUGUGAUCCUCAUCCAAUACCCAUUAUUUGUGAUCCUUAUUCCACUGCGUCAAUUACACUCCAGUCCAAUGCUACCAUCAUUAUCGAACAGUCGAUAUCCAACACUUGCACGAAGAUUCCAAGAAGUUGCGUGGCUGCUGACUUUUAAAUGCUAAGCCUUAUUGUGUCCAUGAUACACCAAAUAGAGCAGUCCCGGGUAAUUGCCAAAACUUAGAACUAAACAGUAGCUCAGGUCAGAAAAUCAAAUGGAGUGAUGAUAAGAAGCUGAGGCACACCAAUCGAUUGCCUAAGCCUAGCAGCAGAUUGGAGGAAUAUGCAUGGACACAUGCGGCUCGACGUCCACGCCAUGCAACACGUGCAUGAGUAGUGUAAGGCACGUGAGAAUUGAUUUGCUAUUAAUUGGGAGCUGGAUAAUUGAUGAUUUGGAGCUGACCUUUUCAAAAGUUGUUGCUGAUUUGGAAAGGAUCUCACGCAUGAGUUGUUCUUUUCUUUGAUUUGAUAUUUAUUCCAAAAUAAUAAAAACUUGUUUAAAUCAAUAUUAACAACUUGAUCUUGUAAGCUUUGAUUAAGCCUAACUACACGCUACAAAGCAUAAUAAUUAGUUUUGCAUUACAACUAUAAAUAAGCUCCAUCAGUGAAUAAAAUCAUCAUCAGACUUUUAUCCAAACACUACUAGCAAUUGUGGUAGUUCUCACUUUAAGAAGAACAAAUUAUUCACUUAUUAUUUCUACUAAUUCUGACUGGGACCUAUUAGGAUGAAACCAUAAAAUUUGAUUUUAUUGUAUGGUUGAUUUCAUAUCUCUUGCAGCCAUUUCUUAAGAUAAUCAAAUUUUCUCUGGCAUCUUUUGCAACUGUGGAAAUAUCAAUUAUGAUCAAUCAAAACGAUUUCAAAACUUUUCAAUGAGACAUAUUUAUAACACAAUAUUGUGAAAAUUACAACAAAAAUUUUAUUUAUUAUAUAUUAUUAUCCAACGAGUACACACAAAUGAAUUCGUACAAAUCUAAAAUACUUAGCAAUUUUCAAAUAGAAUUUACCAUGUACUACAAGAAAAUAUGGUAUAUGUGACCCCUAGAAGGCAAAAGCAGCCAUUACGUAUAUCACUAACUUUGUAACCCCGAUACCUUUUAUGUGACGGCCACACUGCGGUCACAUAUGUUACUAACCACGUGACGGUAAAGAGCCGUUCGGUAUGCUACUAUUCGCUGGACUCCGUGUUACUAGCCACCAUCGUAAACCUAACUGGUUGCCGGCGAACGGCGUAAAACACUGGCCAUCUUCUUCUUCAUCGUAUUCUCCCUUCAUCUUUUGAGUUAAGCUUGUGAUUAUAAGUUUCUUCUCUUACUUAGCUUGUAAUUAUAGAUUUUGAUUUUUUUUUUUAAUUCGUAUUGUAGCCGUUAUUGUCAAUUUUUGUCCCGCCAGCAAUAUUUUUUUAUUCCUACAAGUUGAAGCCCCUGUGUUCUUGUUCCAUUGGUGAGUUUGCUCACUCAAAUUAAUUUUGUUCUGCAGAAUUUACAAAGUUCAAAUGGAUUCAUUUGAAUUACUAUUGAAUUUAGAUUUAAUUCCAACAUCCAUUCUAAUGUUUUGCUAUUAUAUUUAGUUUAAUUUUAUGUUUAAAGCUUCUACAAUGAAUAGCGGAGCUUGGGUUUUAGUUUCAUUUUCUAGAUAACUUGUUUUAGUUUAUCUUGUAUGCUCACCAAGUGCUUGUUAUAUUGUCUGAUAAGUAAUAUACAUUGCUGAUUCUAUAUUAGUAAUGGUACGUUCUAUUUUCAGAAAUUAUAAUACAAAAGUUUUUAUAAUGGCGUAAAUGAAAGUUCAUAUUGUGUAAGAGCAUGUAGAUGUAAAGCAUCAUUACCAUUUCUACAAAGUGCUUUCAUUCUGUUCAGAUGCUCUUCUUGAACUUUGAAAGGUGCCUCGUUCAAGUCCUAGCUAUAACUACUAGCUUUGAUAAAUUAAGUUCCUAUAUUAGCUGAAACAGAUUUAUUUAAUUAAUUAAUUGUGCAUGUACUAAUUAUAUUGAAAGUAUAUGAAUUUUUUUUUUUUUAACAUGAAUGACUUCUAAAUGACUUAAAAACCUAAAGGAUGUGUGAAAUAAUGCUCAUUUCACUUGAAUGAGCCUAUUAAUACUUUUAUGUCUAUGAUUGUCAAUAUUGACUUAAGCAUUUCAGUUAAAGUGGUUUUCCUAGCAGAGGAAAAAAUUUUAAUAGAAAAACUUCAGAGUUCUAACAGAAAUAUAGUUCACUAUGCAGAUUUACGGUAUACAAAUCAAGUUGUCCUAAUCUCAAUGUCCUAUGACUGAUUUUAUUUGAUAUAGUCAUUAAUUUUUGCCAUGGUCUUUUGUGUUUAUGAGUAUGAAAUAGUGGGAUUUGGUGUACCUUAGCAUCUUUUGAAAAUUCUCUUUAAGUGUGGCCAACAGACAUAUCCGUAUAAUCAAGUUUCUUAAUCGUGUAUAUCAGUUUUGGGUAUGAAUGUUCCUAUUCUAGUUCUAGGCAAAGCUUAUUCGUUUUGGUCUUCAGAUUUCCAGUAGGUUAAGUUAAUCAACUAUCAUAACUGGCUAGCUAGUUAUUGUCUGCCUUGGCGCCAUUACCCAGGCCAUUAUAUUGCAUAGCAUAAGGAAUAGUGAUUAGGUGAUUAUUAGUGAUUUGUUGAGCUUAUUAAUGACCAAACAAACAUAUUCGCCUUUGUCCACCACUUAGUUUGAUUAGUUAUUAGACCAUAAAGAGCCUUGAGCUAUUCAUUGGCUUUAUUAUUUUUAUUUGGUUUUUCUUUCAGCAAUAUUGUUGAUUUCUUAUAAAAAUAUUCAUUGGUUUUUAAAAACCUAAUCAUUGGCUAUAUGAAGCUAAUUAAAACUGAGGCUUUGGAUCAAUUUCUUCUAACAAGAUACAAAUGAGCAUAACCUAUCUCCUCUAAGUAAAUUUUUUUAAUAUCCUUGAUUUGUAAGGAUCUGGAGGCCUGAAAUCCUCAAGAUUUUUUUUUUUAACACUGUUGAUGUUCUUUUUAUUCUGAAAAGGAAAUAAAAGGUUUUAUCUUUCAUACCCUAAUAGUAAGCUGGCCUUGUCUUAACAUGGCCUCCCGAGGAUUUGCAAGAUUCAUAGUGCCCCCCAACCCCCAAAAAAAAAAAAAAACACAAAUAGGAAGAUUUUGCAAGAUUCACCACCAGGUUUUUUUUAAUUUAUUAAUUGUGCGUACGUACUAGUUAUAUGUUGAAAAAAUAGGAAGAAGUAUUUCAACAUGAAUGACUUAAAACUUAUUGCUCAGUAAACAGAAUCUGCAUCAGUGCGAAAAUGUAUUUAUCGUUUGAUUUUUUAUGGUUUUGCUUAAGAAAUGAUAUGUGAAAUAAUGUUACAUUGUAUCAGGAAUAAAUUGAAGAGAUUUAUGAUAUUUAUGUGUUAUUCAAAUUUCAGAUUCAAUUUUAAACUUUUGAUACGUGCAUUGAAAGCUUAGACUUGUUUUAAGAAAUUAUUAAUAGACACAUGUUUUAUUAGUGUCAUCCUUGGAUGAUAGUGAGGAUCGUAUGUCUAUUAAUAAUUCUUGAAUUGUCCAGGCUUGGACAGUUUGGGAAUGCAUAGUUCUCUCUGGUAGCUAGUGGCUGAAGUUUUUUUCCCACGUAAAAAUGGGUUUUUCGGUAGCUGCUCCUCGUGUUCUCUGGGUACGUACUAGGUGGAUGGGUGUCAUGUGUUGUUUUGGCAAAACGCAUAAACACGUAUAUAGCUAUGUCUAGUGCUUGGAGAAUUAUUAGGGAGAUGGUGCCGAAAUUUUUAUAAACGUAGAAGAAAACUUUCGGUACUUGAGAUUGAAGAAACUUAUGUAUUCUUGAGUGGGAUAUGUAGGAUUACUUACCUUUUGUAAAUAUGAAGGGAAUGUUGGAUAUAUUGAGGAUAGUGUAGGAGCUGAGUUGGAUGAAUGUAAUUGGUGAUGAUUUUGCUGAGCUGACCUUGGUUUUGAGCUUGUAAAUGGAGUGCUAUCUCCAGUGUUGGUUUAUAAAUAUGUUUCAGGACUUGCUGACCUAAUUUUUUGUUUCUAGGUUACAGGCUUUAUAUAUCUGUAAUUGAUGGCCAAGUGAAGUUCUCAGCACUUGGCGAGGAUAUUUCUUUACAGAAGGUAUUGGAAACUGUUUUUCACAUUAAUUAUUGUUGUACUUGUAUAUAUACUUUGAUUUUCACAUUUGUUGUACUUGUAUAUAUACUUUGAUUUUCACAUCUUUUUCUCUGAUUCUUGUGGCUUUGCUUGCUUUCAUGUAUGUAAAUUCUAAUGAAAUUAACCAUAAAAUUGUAAAAUGAUCUUUUUAUUAUAUUGCAAGACUGUGCUCACACGAAAAUAUCUUGUUUAGUAGUAGAAAUUAGGGGUGGGUCAAAGCGGGUUCGGGUCGGGUUCAGGUCAACCCGAUCAAGUUUUUUGGGUCGGGUGAAAAUUAACCCGAAUUCAACCCGAAUUACUGACCCGACGGGAACCGACCCGAAUUAAUUCGGGUCGGGUCGGGUCAGUAAUUCGGGUUGAAUUCGGGUUAAAUUGGGUUCGGGUUUAAAUCGGGUCGGGUCAUUCGGGUCAUUUCGGGUUGGUUCGGGUCAAAUCCGGUUAAUGCACUUUUUAGCUCUUUUUUUUUCCUAUUUUUGUAGUUUUAGGGUGUUUUAAAACAUUUUCUUAAUUGUAAUCCUUUUUACUAAUUUUCAACCAAAAAAAGAAAAGAAAAUAUUAUGAAAUCAAAUGAAUAAAGUUAAAAUGCAAGAAUAUGAUUAUUUGCCUAUUGUCUUGGAAGGGAUUAGGAUUAUUAUUUGCUCAACCAACAAAGUCCAAACCUAAUAAAAGUUAAAAUUAAUAGUUUAAUACAAACUUACAAAAUCUAAAGUUAAUAGGCUAUUACAAACUUACAAAAUCUAAAGUUAAUAGGCUAUUAGUCUCCAUUCAAAGCACAAUUUCUAAAUACUAGUCUUUGAAAGUUUGAAAUAUAAAAUCAAAAAAUUUAAACAUAAUUAAAUUUUUCGGAAACAUAAUUAAAGUGUCCAAGCAUCUGAAUAUACAAAAUAAUAAUUAAUAAUCAUUAAUUCAAAAAUAAUCUAAUUGGUAAUUUCAAUUCAAAUUGUUCAUAUCCAUAAAUCAAAAGCAAGAAAUUCAUGAUUAAAUAAUUAAUUUAUAAUAUCCAAUUACCCAUUUCCCAUAAUAAUAUGAUAUUAUUUGUCUAUCUAUGUCCUAAUUCUUAUUAUAAACCCUUUAAUUUCAAGUCCAAAUUGAUUAACAUACAGUAAAAUAUUAAUUGAAUUAAUUAAUUUUUUAAGGUUGAAGGUUUAAAGCGAUUGCACAAGUGCACAUAAUCACAUAACACAAUAACACAUUAUAAUUAGAAAAUAUAUGUAACAUCAUAUUUAAUUUUAAUAUUUAAUCUAUCUACCUAAUCUCCUAAUUUAUUCAUUAAAAAAAAUUAUUAAUUGUUAUUAACAAUUAUUAACAAUUAUCAAUUAACAUUGAUAUAAAUCUUAAUAAUUAACAAAAUUUUUGUUAUUUAUUAACAAUUAAUAAAAAUUUAUUCAUAACAAAAUCAUAAAAACAUCAAUUUUUUUGAUUUUAUUACUAACAUUUAAAAAUACAUAAUUACAAAUUUACAACAAUUAAACAAUAAUCAAUUACAUAAUAAAUAACCAAUUAAGCAAUAACUAAGAAGCAUAUAUAACUAUAUAAUAUACCAUGAAAGAUUGAAAUUGAAACUUGAAAGUGAAACUUGAAAGUCAAAGCUUCAAAUCGGUUCGGGUGAGAGUGGGAGAAACUCGAGUCGGGUUGGUCCGGUUGGAACUUGGAAGCUUCGGCCUUGGGCUUGGAGGCUUGGAGCAGCAGAUCGGCCGACGGUGGAACACGGCAGGCGGCAGCAGAUCGAGGCAACAGAUCACGGCUGUAGGAAGUGGGCAGAUCGAGGCAGCAGAUCACUGCAGCAAGAAGUGGGCAGAUCGCAGCAGCAGGAUGUGGGCAGCAGAUCGCGGCAGUGGGCACUAGGCAGCAGAUCGCGACGUGGCUGAUUGGCUAUGGCCUGUGUGCGUGAGUGGCUGCUAUGUGUGCUCUAUGUUCCGUGGAGACUGGAGAGUGGAGUGGUUGUGGUGUGGCGGUUGGCCUGUGUGUGUGACUGUGUGUGAGGCCGUGAGUCCGUGACUUGUGAGUGUGUGAGUUGUGAAUCUUGUGACUUUGUGUGUGAGAGUUGAGACUUAGACUAUGAAUUCACAGUUGUGAUUCUGUGCGUGUGACUGUGAGUGAGUGGUUGUGGUGUGUGUAAUCUGUUUUUUUUUUUAGGUGACCCGAUUGGGUAUUCUGGUUCGGGUGACCCGAUCGGGUUAACUUUUUCACCCGAUCGGGUUUUAGUAACAACCCGAUCCGACCCGAACCUGAAAUUUUUCGGAUCGGGUCGGGUAAAAUGCCCACCCCUGGUAGAAAUCAAGAACUAAAAUGAUUUAUUUAACUAAUAUUUGUAGCGCAUUAAAAGGAGACAGUCAUGGACAAGUGUUGGGUUGGUUUGCCAAAUAGAAAUCCAAGUCAUAUACUGAUGGGUAGGGGUGGGCAUAAACCCACAACCCAUGGGUUUACCCAAACCCAAACCAAAUUAAAUGGUUUGGGUUGGGUAAAUUAUGAAAAUGGGUUAGAUGUGGGUUUUAUAUAGAAAACCAUUUCAUUAUGGGUUGGGUAUGGUUUACCCAUGUGUUAUGAAUAAAACCCCAACACUCAAAUUUUUCAAAUGAAAUAAAUGAAAACAAAAUAAAUGAACACAAAUAGGUAAAAUAUUUUAUUAUUUAUCUUAUAAUAAAUUUUUAUUUGUCAUUCAAGUUUUCUUAUAAUAAUUUUUUUAUCAUUUUACUAAUAUUUUUCUUAUAUAUUUAUUAUAAGAAAAUUUUCACAAAAUAAAUAAGUAUAAAAAAAAUUUAUUAUUAAUUUUUUUGUUCAUAUCAAAAUAUAUAUUUCUUAUUUUUAAUGCUUUAUUUUUUAUUUAGUUUCUAUUCAUGUGAUUAAGUAUAAAAAAAUUUUAUUAUUAAUUUUUUUGUUCAUAUCAAAACAUAUAUUUCUUAUUUUUAAUGCUUUAUUUUUUAUUUAGUUUCUAUUCAUGUGAUUUAUUUAAUUUAUAAUAAAUAUAAAUAAAAGAGUAGUUGAAAAUAAGGGUAAUAUUGUAAACUUAUGCUAUUAGAGGGGUUUUUGGCCAUUAUAAAAACAUAAGGGGGAAAAAUGAUAUAUCUCCCUAAAUUUAUGCAUAUAAGUAGACAACAUAACGCAAAACUACCAAAACGAUAAAUAAAAUCAAAUAUUGCAUAAUUAAAUAAAUAAUAAGUGGCAAAAUUUAUUAUUAGAUUGUUAAUGUCAUGUUUGUGAAAGUUUAUUAUUAAAGUGUAUGUUCUUAUUUAUUGAGAAAUAAUAAUUUUUGUGUGUUAAACUUUAUUUUAAUUUUCUAGUAUUCUUUAAUUUAAGGAUUAAGUUAUUGUAAAAUUUAUAAUUUUUAUCCACUAUAUUUUUUUAUAUUUUAAUAUCAAUUUAAUAAUUAAUAACAAUUAAUAAUUAUUAUAAUUUUGAUAUAAUUAAAUUUUAUUAAAAUAAAAAUUAUUUUGAUAAUAAAAUUCAAACCAAACCCAAACCAAACCCAAAUGAUUUGGUUUGGGUUGGUUUGGAUUGGAUCUUAAUUUUUAUGGUUUGGUUUGGGUUGACUUAAAAUCCAACCCAAACCAACCCAUGCCCACCCCUACUGAUGGGGUUGAAAAAUUUAUAGAUUUUACAUUUGAGAAUGUUGUUGGUGGCACAAGAAUUUAUUGUCCUUUUAAGAAGUGUUGUAAUCUAUAUUUCGUUAUAAGGGAAGUGGCUGAUGAUGAUAUGGUUGGAAUGAUACACUGCAUCACGUAAUCAAAUGUUCAAGUUACACGCAACAUUGUUAUGGACUAUCAGUCAACUUUCUAGCAUUGCCAACUUGUCUGGGUGGAGUAUUAAAGGUAAAUAAGCAAUUAAGCAUGUCUUGUUUGCCAGCAAAACACUAGAUCUAAUACAUAGUAGAAAAUUUUGUCACAUGGAUCACCGUCGAUUUUUACCAACAAAUCAUAGGUUUCGAAAAUAUAGUGUCUUUUGAUAAAACUAGAGAGUAGGGCAAAGCACCCUCUCGAUUGUCUGGAACUGAAGUGAAAAAGCAGUUUAAUAUACUUACUGAGUAUAAGAUUGAAGACUUCAAAAGAGGAAAACGAAUAAAAUGAGAGAAAUGAUAAGAUUACUUGGAAGAAGAACAACAUUUUUUAUGAACUACCGUAUUCACCAUGAUCUUGAUAUCAUGCACUGUUUUAAUUUUUGUUAUGAAUUCAGAUCAAAAGUUUAAUGUGAUCAAAAUUUCUUAAAAAAAGUGAAAACGACUCCUCCUAAUAAUAUGGAAGAUGGCUAUAAAAGAUAAAAGGAAAGGCUUAAAAGGAAAAGCCAUGCCCGUCAAAAAAAAAAAAUGGCAGCGUCAAAUUUAUAACAAAAAUAAAAACGGUGCGUUUGAGAGUGUAAAAAAUACAUUUAGUGGGAGUUGUGUUGUUGCUUGAAGGCAGAUUGUUUGUGAGAUUUUUGUCAACGAAGCCAAAACCAAAGAUGAAUUACGAGGGUUAUGUUUGCCAUAGUCAAGGAACACUGUCCUCUCACCGUUGCCGAAACUUGGGAACGCGUCAAGGCGUGUGUAUCUGUUAAAUUGAAUUUCAACCGUUUGAUCUGUAAUUAUAAUUAAUCCAAUCAAUCUGACAGUGAUCACUGAUCAUAAUUCUAGUAGUUGUUUUACAAAUUCAGCAAGCUGGAGCAAGCGGAUUGACGGGCAAAAGCUGUCAAAUAAGGUGUCCAUCUAGAUGGUAUAAAGCAGCCAUCUAGAUGGUCAGCACAAUUUUGUUCAAAGAAGACGAAGAAGAAUUUGGCAGCAGUAAAUUUGGAAUGAAGAAAAUGGAAAAAGAAGAAGUUUGAAGAAGAAAAAGGGGAACGAUUUUGACAAGAAAAAAAAUUAAUUAUUAUUUUAAUAGCCAAUUUUGGCUAUAUAAAGGGAGCUCUUCAUUUAGUUUUCAGCAUCUAAUUUUGUAGAGAGAGUUGAGAGUUGUGAGAAGUGAUUCUUGCAAGAGCAAAGAAUUUUGUGUACUUAGUGAUUUGAGAGUUUGGGUGUAUUGGGAUUUUGGGUAGUGAGCUAAAAUACUACAAUACUUGUAACUCCUUUUCACUAGUAAAAUAUUUCUUUUUGUUUUUGCCUAUGGACGUAGGCUAAAAGCUGAACCACGUAAUUUCUGGUGUCCUCUAUUGUGCUUGUUCUUUAUUUUCUUACAAUUUCAUUUUAGCUGCGAUCCUGCUUCACCCACCAAUUUCCUAACAGUGGUAUCAGAGCUAUUGGUUGUAUUUUUGGAGUCGGGUACUAUUCACGUAAGGGUACUAUUCACAUAUACGGUACUAUUCACGUGUACGAUGCUGUUCACGUAUACGGUACUAUUCACGUAUCCGGUACUAUUCAUGUAAAACGGUGGGAGCGAUCCAAGAAUUUUACGGUGUUAAGCAGGGAAUAGUGGUGUGAGUAAAACAACUGUGUGGUUUUGUACAUGUCUAGGAAAGUUCCGUCACAAAGGUGAUAACAGCUUAAGGAGUUUGGGUUUUAAGUGGGAUCUUUGUGACCCCUCCAGUUUUUCCUAGGAACUUUCUUAGUGUGCAUAUUCACACAUACUCACAACUAUUCAAGGUGAUACACUAGUUUGUGUACAAUAUUUAUCAACAAAAUGGCGACAAAGUAUGAAAUUGAGAAAUUUAACGGAAAUAACUUUUCGUUGUGGAAAAUUAAGAUGAAAGCUGUAUUGAGGAAAAAUAAUUGCUUGGCAGGAAUUGGAGAAAGGCCCAUGGAGAUAACUGAUGACAAGUGGAACGAGAUAGAUGGCACCGCCAUUUCAGAUCUACACUUGGCACUUGUAGAUGGAGUAUUAUCCAGUGUGGCAGAGAAAAAUACAGCGAAGGAAAUAUGGAAUACUCUUACAAAAUUGUACGAGGCCAAGUCACUACACAACAAAAUCUUCUUGAAGAGGAAACUCUAUACUCUUCGAAUGACGGAAUCUACAAUGGUAACCAACCACAUCAACACCUUGAAGACUCUAUUUUUACAACUCACAACGUUGGGUCAUAAUAUAGAGAAGAAUGAACGUGCAGAGCUUCUACUUCAAAGUCUACCAGAUUCGUAUGAUCAGCUCAUCAUCAACCUGACGAAGAACAAUCUAGUGGACAGUCUAGUUUUCGACGAUAUUGCAGCCUCCAUAUUAAAUGAGGAGAGCAGGCGAAAAAAUAAGGAAAACAGACAAGCAAGUUCGCAGCAAGCGGAGGCGCUAUCGGUGACGAGAAGGAGAUCAACGGAACGUGGCCCCAGUGGGAGUCAAAAUCAUGGUAGAUCAAAAUCCAUAAGUAAGAAGAAUGUUAAAUGCUACAACUGUGGUAAGAAAGGGUACGUCAAAAAGGAGUGUUGGAGUAACCAGAAGAGAAGAGAGGGUAAAGAACCUGAGUCAUCAAAUGCUCAGGGGUGUGUAGCAAGUACCUCAGAUGAUGUCGAAAUUCUCUACAGCGAAGCAACAACUGUUUCAGAAGGCAGAAAAUGACUUUCUGAUGUCUGGCUUAUAGACUCAGGAGCUACCUGGCACAUGACCUCUCGGAGAGAGUGGUUCCACACAUAUGAACCUAUCUCAGGAGGAUCUGUAUAUAUAGGUAAUGAUCAUGCCUUGGAGAUCGCUGGUAUUGGUACUAUCAAAAUAAAAAUGUUUGAUGGUACAAUUCGCACAAUUGGGGAGGUACGACAUGUCAACGGCCUGAAGAAAAAUCUUUUGUCUUUGGGACAAAUGGAUAGUCAUGGGUAUAAAACUCAUGUGGAGAAUGGAAUUAUGAAGAUCGUUAAAGGAGCGCUUGUAUUGAUGAAGGCAGAAAAGAUCGGUGCUAAUCUAUUCAUGUUUAAAGGAGAAACACUACAGGAGGCUGAUGCGUGUGUCGCAUCAAAUGGAGAAGAGUCAACGAUGAUGUGGCAUCUCAAACUUGGUCACGUGUCAGAAUAAGGCUUGAAGAUUCUCUCUGAGCGAAAAUUGCUUCCGGGGCUCAAAUCGGUAAGUUUACCAUUUUGCGAGCAUUAUGUUACAAGUAAGCAGCAUAGAUUAAAAUUCAGUAGAUCUAUUGCUAGAAGUAAAUGCAUUCUAGACUUGAUUCAUUCUAAUGUUUGGGAAUCACCGGAUAUAUCCAUGGGAGAUGCAAAGUACAUGGUGACUUUCAUUGAUGAUUAUUCCAGAAGAUGUUGGGUGUAUCCAAUUAAGAAAAAGUCAGAUGUAUUUCCAGUGUUUAAAGAAUACAAAGCGCGGGUGGAACUUGAAUUUGGUAAAAAAUCAAGUGCUUGAGGACGGAUAAUGGUGGAGAGUAUACAGACGGCGAGUUUCUUGCUUUCUGUAAGUAAGAAGGUAUCCAGAGGCAGUUCACGGUGGCAUACACUCCUCAACAAAAUGGAGUGGCAGAGCGGAUGAACAGAACUCUUACAGAAAGAAUAAGAGCUAUGUUGAGGAUUGCUGGUCUACCCAAUUCAUUCUGGGCAGAAGCAGCCAAAAUUGCUUGUUAUAUAGUAAAUCGAUCGCCAUCUACAGCUAUUGGGCUGAAGACAGUGAUGGAGAUGUGGACUGGAAAGCCAGCUGAUUAUUCCUACCUACAUGCAUUUGGAUGUCUUGUGUACGUAAUGUACAAUGUCCAAGAAAGAACAAAACUAGAUGCAAAAUCUAGAAGAUGUAUCUUCUUGGGAUAUGCUGAUGGAGUAAAGGGGUAUCGUUUGUGGGACCCCACUGCCCACAAAAUCGUCAUCAGCAGAGAUGUUAUUUUUGUAGAAGAUCAACUGCAAAUGAAAGAUGGAGGUGAUGGCACUGUAAAAGAAAAGUCAGAGACUGUGCCAGUAUAUGUGAAAAAUAAUCUAGAAGAUUCAGAUUCUUCUGAAGCAGCACCAGAGCACGAGGAAUAAGAACCAGUCGAGUCUGAGGCUCCAGAAGUUCGUCGGUCAACUCGUGAGAGACGACCACCAACGUGGCACUCGGAGUAUGUCACAGAGAUCAAUGUUGCAUACUAUGUCACAGAGAUCAACGUUGCAUACUGUCUUCUAACAGAGGAUGGAGAGCCUUCAACUUUCCAUGAAACUUUAAACAACUCAGAUGUUGCUUUGUGGAUGACGGCAAUGCAGGAAAAAAUUGAAGCUCUACACAAGAACAAGACAUGGAAACUUGUACCACUACCACGUGGAAGAAAAGCCGUUGGUAACAAAUGGGUCUACAAGAUCAAACGUGAUGGCAAUGACCAAGUGGAGCGGUAUCGUGCAAGAUUGGUGGUGAAAGGAUAUGCUCAGAAAGAAGGUAUUGACUUCAACGAGAUAUUUUCUCCGCUGGUUCGACUCACAACAGUCAGAGUAGUUUUGGCGAUGUGUGCUACAUUUGACUUACAUAUAGAGCAGUUAGAUGUGAAAACUGCAUUUCUUCAUGGAGAACUUAAAGAAAAAAUAUAUAUGCUCCAACCAGAAGGUUUUGCAGAAACAGGAAAGGAGAACUUGGUUUGCAGGUUGAACAAAUCUCUAUGCGGUCUCAAACAGGUGCCGAGGUGUUGGUAUAAGAGAUUUGAUUCCUUCAUCAUGAGCCUUGGAUACAACAGACUCAGUUUAGACCAUUGUGCAUAUUACAAGAGGUUUGAAGAUAAUGAUUUCAUUAUUUUGCUGUUGUAUGUGGAUGACAUGUUGGUAGCAGGUCCCAACAAAGAUCGAGUCCAAGAAUUAAAGGCACAGUUGGCUAGAGAGUUUGAAAUGAAGGACUUGGGACCAGCAAACAAGCUUCUAGGGAUGCAAAUUUACCGAGACAGAAAUAGCAGGAAGAUUUGGCUUUCGCAGAAGAAUUACUUGAAGAAAAUCUUGCGGCGCUUCAACAUGCAAGAUUAUAAGUCAAUUUCUACCUCACUUCCUGUUAAUUUCAAAUUAUCCUCAAGUAUGUGUCCUACCAAUGAAGCAGAGAGGAGGGAGAUGUCUCGAGUACCAUAUGCAUCAGCAGUGGGAAGUUUGAUGUUCGCUAUGAUAUGUACUAGACCGGACAUUGCACAAGCAGUGGGAGUAAUCAGUCGAUACAUGGCAAAUCCUGGUGGAGAGCAUUGGAUAGCUGUAAAGAGGAUUCUGAGAUACAUCAGAGGAACCUCAGAUGUUGUAUUAUGUUAUGGAGGAUCAGAGUUUACUGUCAGCAGCUAUGUGGAUUCAGAUUUUGCAGGAGACCUUGAUAAAAGAAAAUCUACUACUGGUUAUGUGUUUACACUUGCGGGAGCAGCUGUAAGCUGGGUUUCGAAACUGCAGACUGUUGUGGCUUUAUCUACAACAGAAGCAGAAUACAUGGCAGCUACACAAGCUUGCAAGGAAGCUAUUUGGAUACAAAGGUUAUUGAAGGAGCUCGGGCACAAACAACAGAAAAUUCCUGUGUUUUGUGACAGUCAGAGUGCCUUGCACAUUGCAAGGAAUCCAACCUUUCAUUCCAGGACAAAGCACAUAGGAGUUCAGUAUCACUUCGUUCGAGAAGUAGUGGAAGAUGGAAGUGUAGAUUUACAGAAAAUCCAUACGAAGGAGAACCUAGCAGAUAUUUUGACCAAGCCGAUAAAUACUGAUAAAUUUGUCUAGAGUAGAUCCUCUUGUGGCCUAGCAGAAACGUAGACAACAUGAUUAUGGCGAAGCAGAAAGGAUGGUGUGGAAAUUAAUUAAUUCUCAUUUAAAUCUCCAAGUGGGAGAAAUGUCAAAUAAGGUGGCCAUCUAGAUGGUAUAAAGCAGCCAUCUAGAUUGUCAGCACAAUUUUGUUCAAAGAAGAAGCAGAAGAAUUUGGCAGCAGUAAAUUUGGAAUGAAGAAAAUGGAAAAAGAAGAAGUUUGAAGAAGAAAAGGGGGAACGAUUUUGACAAGAAAAAAAAUUAAUUAUUAUUUUAAUAGCCAAUUUUGGCUAUAAAAAGAGAGCUCUUCAUUUGGUUUUUAGCAUCCAAUUUUGUAGAGAGAGUUGAGAGUUAUGAGAAAUGAUUCUUGCAAGAGCAAAGAAUUUCGUGUGCUUAGUGAUUUGAGAGUUUGGGUGUAUUGGGGUUUUGGGUAGUGAGGUAAAAUACUACAAUACUUGUAACUCCUUUUCACUAGUAAAAUAUUUCCUUCUGUUUUCGCCCGUGGACGUAGGCUAAAAGCUGAACCACGUAAUUUCUGAUAUCUCUAUUGUGCUUGUUCUUUAUUUUCUUACAAUUUCAUUUUAGCUGCGGUCCUACUUCACCCACUAAUUUCCUAACAAAAGCCACAUGAAGAUUGUGUGUGUUGAGAUGGAAGAGGGAGAGACAAAAGCUUAGGCUCGUCUGCAAUCACGUAGGCCCUCAUAAGUGAAUCCUGUACACAACUUGGUUCACCAAACCCAACAACUUGAAGCUGCCUUAACCUUGUAGUGAAACGGUGAUGAUGGAAGCCCCUCAGCAAGUCAGCAUGUAAACUUUUCAACAGCGACACAGCUCUUAUUCCAGAGGCCGCACAAAAGAGCGACCUGAAUCCUUUUCAAAACUUUCAAAUUUUUAUCAAGUAAAGCUUUCAAAAUUUCUCAACAAAUUGAUUAUUUGGUGUGGUUGCCACAUUUUGUGCAACUGCUAUUCGUUUUCGAGUACAAAUUCCUUGCCUUCUAAGUUAGGGAAGAUAGAUGUGAAGCAAACAGGGAAACAGAACAAACAGGGCAAAAAUUAAAAUAACAGAACAGCAAUGAUGGCAAUCAACAAACUAAUAGCAAUAUUGCAUUUGAUUCUUUAGACCAAUUGUUCAUUCUCUCAGCAUUCUUCAAUAGUUUUUGAAAAUUAGAUGUGAAGCAAACAAAAUAAAACAAAUUUAGACAACAGAAGCCCUGUAUUCAGCAUCAUAUAUAUACCUUGAAUACCUAAUAUAAUAAAUUUCACAUCUAAAAUACUAGAAAUUUCAAACAGUACCAGCAAUAGAAUAAUGACAACGACAACAAUAACAGAAAAUUAUAAGAUUGCUGAUAAAAUUUCAUUUGCAUGGAUGUCUGACAAAAUUUCUAUGAUUUAAUGUGCUUUCAUGCAUGCAAAUCCUAACGUUUCUGUGAUCACAAAAUGAAACUGAAGAUAAAUCAGAACAACUACCAAACCUUUGGCUGAAAAUUCAGAAGAAUUUAUAUUCAAAAUGUCAAAAUAAACUGGAAAUUUAUUUCACAUAUUACAAGAAGCAGUGCAGACCAAUGGUAAAUUGAUACAUCGUUUUUGAACUUAAUAGCGGCGGGUUAAUGUAACACUUUCAAAGCUGCAUGUAGUGAUACAGUAGAGUGAAUACCCUCAGAAUGUAAGCUUAACUUCAAAGGACGGAGCACGAGUUUCACAGAAAAGUAGCUCUUAUUUCUGAUGCUGCAAACACAGAGAAGUGACCUCAAUCUUCUUCAUAUUUAUUUUGAAAAAUUUUCAUAUAACCUGACUAACCGAGAUUAAUUUUGUGGUAAUGUAUUGGGUCAUUAUUUUUUAUGUUCUUACUGUGAUCACUUUAGGAAAAAACUAAUUUCUCAAUGUGAAAUGGCCCAUAAAAAUUAUUCUCAUUUAAAAACUAAAUUUGACAGACCCCUCGAUUAAAACAGGGGAAAAAAAAAAAAGAUCUGAAGGCUUUCCACAUGAAAAUGUUGUCACUUUGAAUGAUAUUUUCAAGGAGAAUAAAAUUCCUUUUCUAAAAAUAAAAUACCUUAUUCUUCAAAUUGACAGCUCGCCAAGUACUGAAGGCGUAUGAGAUCAGUACUGCGACGAGUAAGGAGACGAACCCUCCAACAGCUGAAAAUAAAAUUCGCAUUCAUGAAUUUAAAUUAAAAUUCAUAUUAUGAAAUUAAAACUAAUGAUUAAUGAAUUUUCGAGGAAUUUAAUAAGAUUCUCAUAUAUAAACGUGAUUAAAAAUUCACUCAUUAAUAACAAAUAUUCUAACAGUUACCCGUACCUUUUCUUGAUGUAAUUGUUGUAUGAUUGUGUUAAGGUCAUUAUUAGACCAACGCACUUUGUCCUCACUCCUUCCGUACCGGACGUUUACUCUCAGAGGCGUGGUUGAUUCUCCUUUGGUGAAAAUCUUCAUCUUGGGACAACCAAUCACCGACAAAUCUUGCAAACAUGGGAAUUUGAAGGUGUAAUUGGCAGAGGAGAAGCUUGUGAGACUAUCUAAAUCAAACAGGGACAAUGUAAUCAAUUUGCUGAAAACAAUCUCUUCUUUUAUAUUUGCUGUUUCAUCUUCGUCACAUACUACGACUUCUGUCAUUGCUGUGCAUCCAAAUACCUUCAAUGAUAAGAGUCGCUCCAGACUUUUUGCUGUGGAGCAUGUUCCUAAGUUCAUCAAUUUCUUGCAAGCAAAAGCUUGCAGAUGUGCGAGAUUCCGAAAAGAUACCGAUGAUGAUGGCAAUAGACUUAACAGAUUUUGACAGUGAUAUGCUCUUAGAAUUUCAAGAUGUUGAAAAAUGAAGUCCAGCUGUUUGGAGUCACGUUUCCACAGUUGCUGCAGACGAUUAAGUCUGGUCAGGUUUAACUUUUUUAUCAGUGCCAACUUCCUCCCAUGUUUCUCCAAAUAUCCUUCAUUUGAAAAUACCACUUCAUACGAACAAUCCGACAGGAAGAGAAGUUUCAGAUUGUUAAACCUCUCAAGUAAACCAAGUUGAAAGCAAGCUAAGUCAUCAUCCCCAACAUGUAGUAGUUUAAGACUGCCAAAGAGGUGUUGUGGGAAAUCGCCUUGCAAAAUCAUCGUGAUGUCUUUUCCACUUAAUGCCAGUUCCUCCAAGUUGGGUAAGAUCUGAUCAUCAUCGAGCUCAAAUUAUUAACUUAGCACAUUGAUCCAUAAUUCAAGACUGGCAAAAUUCAUUGUGUAAUCAAAGUUUUCAAUGAUCUAACUAAUAUAUAUAUAUAUAUAUAUAUAUUCCUUCUCUAAUGCGGACAUCCUCAUUUUUUUUUCUUGUGGACCAAUUUUUAGACCCCAUGGUUUAAAAAAGUUAAUUUUUAACUCUCUAAAACCGCAUGGCUUCAUAAUUCAUUAAAAAACUAACUCUCUUAAACCGUACGGUUUAAAAGCGUGUCCACAUUAAAAAAAAUACGAACCCCCCACACCUGAGAAUGAUUAUAUAUAUAUAUAUACACACGCUCUUAAACUGUGGGAUUUGAAAGCUUCUCCGCAUGAAAAAAGUAAAAAAUAAGGGCAUUCCCACUUGAAAAAAACUCCAUAUAGGUAUUUAUUAAACCUGUGAGUGAGGAACAACAAAGAUAAUUGAUAAAAAAAAUCUAAAAUUUGGUUUCAUACCUUCUUGAACGAGAGCAGGGGUUGUUGUGCCGGAAUACCAAAUUGAUCAUUCUCGUUAUUCUGGGACAACGUUAUUUUAUCACAAUUACAGGCCUCCAAAUGUUUUAGUGCUGGCCAUUCUGAAGUAUGCAUUCCAGGGUAUAAACAUCUGAGUUCUGGUAGACCUUCGAGAUUCAGAGUGGUCACUUGUGGAAAGACAAAAUAUGGGGUCACUUGAUCUGCUCUGUCUUUGGAGAUGAUCUCUUGUAAACCCAUACAUAUCCGUAUCUCCAGGUGUUGGAGGUGCUUAAGGCUUUGGAUCAUAGAAGCUGAAAAUAUGUAUUUUAAUUUGUCACAGCCCCACACUAUCAAUCGUGUCAAACUUUGAAAGUAAGUAAUCAUGGCCGCAAGUUGAUUGUCAUUCCAAAUCUCGUCGACAUUAAUAGCAUUCAGCUCCAAAGCCUCCAAAUUUGGCAACACUACCUAAAGAUAAUUUUCUCUUUAGAUCCAAUAUCCGUAUGGAAAGCACUUGUUUUGACACAAUAUCCAUAUAAGAAGCACCUAAUUAAGAGCUUAAUUAGCGAGUGUAUGAGACUUUUUUUUUUUUUUUCAAAUUAGAGUGCAUGAUAGAACUAAAGAAAAAAAAAGAAGCAUUAGCCUACGUACCUUCUCGUUGAAAAGCAGAGUUGACGUUUCCGAACUGAUCUCGUUGGAACUGGCUGUCAAUUCCUCUUGCGACUCUUGUCUGUUUGGUGAUGUGGAAGGAGUCUUCACUUCACCGCAAAACCUUGUAACCUUUGGAAGCUUUCCCAGACUCAAAGAUCUUAAUUGAACAAACUCUAUCUUCUCAUCAACAUCAACAUCAGCUUCUCCUCCAGUUGCAAAAAUCUCUUCCAUGCUGCUGCAAUUGAUAACUGCAAUCCUCUCCAGUCUUGGAAGGCAUUUUGUACUACUAGAGAGCCAGAAGAUAUUACUCAACUCAUCACAAUUUUCUACUUUUAUGGUUUUGAGUUCAUUGAAGGACUCUAUUUUGAGUCGAUCAAUACAUAUCCUCUCCGUAUUGAUCAAAUUGUGAAGAGUAAGGGACUCCAAAAGAGGAAAGGCGACACAUGGUUCUCUCUCCAUUGAAUCGACGAUACACAGGAAGUCUGGAUUAUUUUGAACAUGGAGAUGCUUCAAUUGUGAAAAGCCCUCAGUGUCCAAUUCUAAAACCACAUUCUUGAUUCCUUGCAACUUAUCCAAACAUAAGUAUUCAACGUUAUUGAUGAGCUGCAACUUCUCGGAGCAAAUGGCCAUAGAAUCAAGCUUGAGCUUCAAUGUUCUUAAACUCUCAUGAUUACUGAUCAUAAAGUGCUGCCGACUUUCAAACCAAUCAUUCUCAAUAACCAGGGUAGAGUCGAAUGAUGCAUCUCCUAUUGAUAUAUCAAACCUUUCCAGCUUUUUGGAAAAAAACCCAUCCGGUAAAAUGCUAUCAUUUUUAACAUCUAUUUCUAAAGUGGUCAAUCGCCUCAAAUGCAUCAAUUCGUCGAGGGUGGCAUUACUUCUUUCACUAUUGGCCUUUUCAACUUCCCAUUCAACAGGGGAAUUACCCAUAUACAGUUCUUCCAAUCGAGUGAAGCUUGAUAAGACGUUGGGCACAAUAAAUUUUAGUUGCAAACAAUCUGUUAAAUCUAACAGCCUUAACUUAGUCAGUUGACCUAGUUCGCCAGGCAACCGUACAAUAUCAGAAUUUAAAAAGCUAAGGAUUUCUAGAUUCUUCAACUUUCCAAUUAUGGCUAUGUCUCCCAACAUGCUUUGAUCUAGACAGAGUGUUUGAAGAUUUGCUAGAAGACCGAUUGAAGAUGGCAAUGAAAAUAAUCGCAUUCGUGUCAAAUCUAUAACUCGAAGCGUUUUCAUCCCUUUGAAAAUGUUGUCAGGAAUAUUGACCUCAACAAAAGUGUUUUGGGAAAUAUGUAAAAAUUCAAGUUGCAGACAUUCAAAUUCCUCAGAAACUUCAUGAAUGCUACUAUUUAAUAAAGAGAUUGCAGAGCAUUUUUUAAGUGCAUCCUCAUCAGGCCACUCCCACACAACCUCAUUUCUCACCAAGAAAACAUGUUGGUCUCGACAUGCAAUUGAUACGACAACAUCGUAGACAACAUCAUGCAUGGAAAAUUGUUCACUGCUAUCACCCUCAAGCAAUAAACAAGAGUCUCUAAGUUCAUGGACCAAUGCAUAUAAUUUGUUUCGUGCAUCUACCAUCCUGUUGACUCCUUGAAAUAUGCCCAAACCCAUGGAGUAUUUAAACAAGUCUGUAAACCAAAAACUGUUACCUAUUAGACUGCAGAGCAGAAAAAUUUUCUUGAGUUGCUCACCUUUUAAAUACUUGAAACUCAGUUCAAUACUUGAAUAAGUCUCUGCAGGCACACCUUCGAAGUUUACCACUGAAGGCGUUUGGAGUUCUCGCAAGGCAUUCUUCCACUCAUGCAGACUCUUGUUUCUCAGUGCCCUCGCUACUGUAGUCAAGGCAAUGGGCAAACCUCCACAUGCCUGGGCUACAUUAAUUGCUGUAGACUUGAACUUACAAUUUUCAAGAUCAUCACUAUUCAUUAUCUUAAACAAUCUCCAAGCUUCUUCUUCAUUUAGAUUGCCAAUCAAGAAGUUAUCUUUGGAGCCCAUACUUAAUAGCACAUUAUUGUCUCUUGCUGUCAGCAGUAGUCUACAUCCUUUAUGAUCAUUUCCAAAGGGAAUUCCAACCGUCUCCAAAUCAACAUGUUUCCAGAUAUUAUCUAGAAUCACAAGAAUCUUAUUCUCAUUCUUCAGUCGUUCAUACAGCCUGCUAGCUCUUCUAUAUUCAGCUUCAUCGGACAACUACAGACCUAACUUCUCUGCAAUUUCCCCUUGAAUCUUUUUUAUGUCUGGAGUUUGUGAAACCUCUGAAAAAACCACCCGAUCAAACAGCUUGUCUUCCCUGGCUUGCCUAGCAAACUCCUUCACCAGUGUCGUCUUUCCAAUGCCGCCCAUGCCGUACACCCCAAUAAUGCUGACAUUCACAUCAGUCAACGCAUUUUGUAUGGACUUCAAAGUAGAAACUCUUGAUUCGAAGGCCUCGUAACCUUUGUUCGACUUAAGCCAUAUCUCCUCCGGAGUGGUACGGUGGGAAACGAUAUCAAACUUCUUAACUUCUUCUCCAAGUUCAACAAGGGCCUUCACCUCUGUCUCUGCUUUCUUGCUAAGCUGAUAGCGGGUCUUCAAAUUAGGACACAAGCCCUUGAGACAGCGCUUAUUUGUUGACUCUUCAUCUUCAACGAAUUUGGUUGCCCGGUCAAUGAUGCCGUUAGCAUUAACCAGCCACUUCUCAACCUUCUCUUCAAUCUCUUCCCCUUUUUCUUUCGCCUCUGAAACUCUGCGCUGAAUGCUCGUACGUUCAACCUUCAACUUCUCCAUUUCCGCCUUGAGAUUCUCAAGGUUGGCAUUGUAGUUCCGCUUGCGCAAAUAAACAAGUUUGCGUUCUGUUGGAGGAGCCAAGCAUUUUACAAGUUCCAAAACGAGAGUAACAAUGAUUUCCAGCAUCUUGAAUCCUGACAACAAUGUAGAAAUGAAGAAGGCCAAAGGACAGUAAGAACAGAGAGACAACGAUACGACAAGCAGUUAUGGAGCUAAAAAUAACUAACAAACAAACAGAAGCAAAGUGUUUUUCGAAUGAGAAGAAGGAAGCAAGAAAAGGGUUUCUAUUUAGAUUAAGAAUGAAUGUAAAGAAGUGACAAAGAUGUCACAUAAUGUAAUUAAGUACAGAAUAAGAAAUGAUUAAGAGAGUGGGGGAGCUAAUAAGACUGUGGAGUGAGCAAACGUAAAUAAAUUUUUCUUAACCUAUUGUCACACGCGUAUGACAAAUAAUAUAAUUAAUUUUAUAUUUUUAUUCAAUAACUAUUAAUUAUAGUUUUUUAAAAUUAUUAAAAAAAUAAUUAGGUACUGAAUUUAAAUCCUAUCCUAAAUGGUUAGAUAAAAAUAAGGGAAUGAAAAGAGUAAUGGUAAAUUAAUAAGAAGGUGUGAUUGAUUAAUUUAUGAGGCCAAUUAACGAAACGACAGAUCUAGUUUCCAUGUUUGUAAUUUAAGUGUAUGAGUACGAGGUGAACCAACUCUUUGUCGAGUCAAGCAAAUAGAAAGAGAAAUUACUAAAAUAAGAACCAGCAACUUUCACUCACACAUGAGCUAAUAAUGUAUUGAGAUUGGGCAGAGUAAUAUAAAACCUUAAAACUAGUAUAAUAAAUUUGUCAUCAAGUUUUAGCCUUCUUCUUCAACCAAUUACAGCACUAUCUUGAGCUCUGAGUUUCUUUUUUUAAAUUAUUCAAAAGAUCUCUGUCAUUAGUUUUUCAAUGAUAAAAAUUAUAUUUUUAUGUCAUAAAAUAUAAAAUUUAAAAAAAAAUGAAACAUAUAUUAUAGGUCUGUUUGAGAUUAUUUUUAAAGGCUCAAAAGUCAUUUUUUAAAGUUAAAUGUUAAUUUUGGUAUUUGGUAAAAUUUUUAAAAAUCGCCUUUGGUAAAAUCACUUAUCCCACAACAAAUUUCGGAAAGUAAAAAAGGAAUAGUUUGUCAAAAUCUAAUUUUGAUAACCAGUUUUAUACUUAAUAUAAUUCUAUAUACAACCUUAUAUAUAUUAUAAAAAUAAAAAAUUAUCCUUAUUAUUUAGGAAAUAAAAUUAUUAAUUUUAAAGAUAUUUUAACAAUUACAUUGAGAUAACAAAAUAAAAAUAAAAUUAAUAAUAUAAAAUAUUUAUUUCUGUUAUCAAUUAUUAUAUGUACAAGAUAAAAUUUUUUUUAUAUACAUGUUUAUAAAUGUAUAAAUAAAUUUUGUUUAGCAUUAUGUUCAAUUCGGUCAUUUACAUUAAUAGCACUUUUAGAAGUAAAUUUUCCUAAAUGUUUAACUGAUUAUCUUUACAGUGAUUAUUUCCACAACAUAACUACCAGAAAUUAUUGUAAAAGAUACAACAUUACCAAAAAAAUAUUGAGGUACAUUUUAAUUAAGUAAUUGACUUAAUUAUGAAUCAAUUUAUUAUUUUCAUCUGUGUUAUCUAAACCAGUUCAUUAAUGAGAUCACUCUUUUCCUUAAAUAAAAAUAUUCCUGCCAAACAAUUGUUAACAAAAUUUCAAAUAUAAAUUACAAACAACAAAAUUUUCUAAAGUCAUAACAAUUAUUUAUGUUCUAAAUACAUGUAACUAAACCACAUUGAAAGUUGUCAAAACACGAGGACCUAUUGUUAGUAAAAUUAUUUCUCAAGCAAAUGCAGUGACGGAUUUGGUUUCAUGUUUCACCCUCAAUAACUUAAUUUUCAUAUCUAACAAAUCAUUCAUAUUAUUAACAAUAUCAUCACCAACCAUAAUCUACCUAAACAUACAUAUAACUAUAUACAUACCGAAUCAGGAAAACAAUGAAGGCUACACGUAUCCGGCUCUACAAUUCCUUGUUGGUACCCUUGUGCUUCUAAAAUAAUCGACCAAUUAUAAAAAUUAGCUUUGGCGCAACUUUACCCCUUUUUUUUGGAAAACUUAACUAUAAAUAAAGUAUACAAAUCUCUAAAUUAACUUCGUUCCCAUGAAAUUCAGCAUAAAUAGAAAUAGAAUUAUAGAAACCUUACUACCUUUUAUGAGAAAUCCAACUCAUAUAUUUGAGGCCUCUCUCUCUAAACACGCGCUUCCUCUCUCUGUAGACUUUCCACCUUUGAAUUUUCCUUCACUAAGUCUACCUAAAUGAAUUUAGCAUUCUCCCAGUUUCUUUAGCAUUUUUUCUCCGUGAAAAUAGGUGAAAAAGAGAAAGUGGUUUGAUUAUUUUAAUGUAUGACAGAUCUGGUUUCCAUCUCUGUAAUUUAAGUUUGUCAAAACGAGGUGAUCAACUCUUUGUCGAGUCAGUCAAAUAUAAAAGACAAAUUACUAAACCAAGCAGAGCCCAAAAAAAAAAAUAUUUCCAAUUAAAUAAUCAUCAAGUCUUUUUCAAUUAAAUUAGGGAGUGCAGAACAACUGUCGAGAGAUAAUCAUUGUUUAUGGAGCCAUAUUAUAUUUUCGAUUAAAAUAGGUGCGCGUGAACAAUUGGCAGAAUUCGUAUAAAUUGUUGUCAGGUCUAUUAUAAUUAACAAGCGGAAUGGCCAAUGGAUGAAGAACCACUGUAAUUUCGUUUAUGAAUUCAAAAUGCUAAAGAAACUGGACAUCAACGCUACACGUGAGUCUGCGGCCCUUGCCCCAGUGUCUUUCAGGCGUUACUCGGGGUAGUUGAUAUACUGACGGCCCCUUUAUCAAUUAAUAAUCGAAAUAGAUUAAAAUAUGAAUGGAUUGGAAUGGAAUGACUUGGAAUUAAAAUAUGGAAUGACGAUUAGAUUAAUUAAUUUAUUUAAAUUGAGAAAUUAGAAUCAUAAUAAAUUAUAUUGUUAUUGAUGUAUUUGUUUUAUCUUAAAAUUGCGAUGAGUUGUUACAAAUUACUAAUAUGCCUUUGAUUUUGUAUUAUGAUAAUUAUUAUUUAUUAUAACAUUUGUCAUAUAAUAAUAAUAAUAAUAACAACAACAACAAUUAAUAUUGAAAAAUUUUUAUUGUUAAUAAUAAAUAGGCAAUUAUCCACCGACCAUGUGAUCUUUUGGACGUUUUAAAAAAUAUACAAACACUUUUUUCUUUGCAGAAAUCCACCUGAAAUUUACAAAGUGUUUCAAUUGUUCACUGUCAUCUAAAUUUUGUUAGAAUUUUCUUGACGUUGUAAGGAUAAAAUUGUUAUUUUUACCUUGACUUCCAAAGAGGAUGUCUUUCAAACAUGAUGAAAAUAAAAAAAAAGGAUAAAAAAUUAUCUGUCAACUAUCUGAUCUUUUAGCCAUUAUACAAAAUAUUAAAAAAAUAUGCGAACAUUUUUUAUUUUUUUCAACAAUCCAUCUGAUAGUUAUGAAGUGCAUUAGUGCUCCACUACUAUCAUAACCCUUUAAAAAUAUCGCUUAAACACGAGAACCUAUUGCCUAAAAUUAUUUUUCAAGAAAAUGUAACUACAGAUUUGGUUUUGAUCUUCAUGACUUUUAAGUGUACAAGAACAAGAUGAACGAACCUUUGUCGAGUUGAUGAAUUAAGAUAAAUCAAUUACAAAUCGAGAACAAACUUACGGGUGACAUUUUAGUAUUAAGCAAACUAUAAUUGAUCAUUCAAUGAUAGGCUUAUUUUCAAUUAAAUUAGAGUAAAGAUAGACAUUCCAAAUUUUUUCUCUCAAAUUUAAUCCUAGAUAAUGUGUUAUUAAUUGAGUGCUUGGUAAUUCUUUCAAGAUCUAAGUGAAUUAAUUAUAUUAUCUCUCCAACCAAUUGAUGAAUAUUAUAUUAUUUGAGAUAAUUUUUUUUUAUCUCAAAUCCCAGCAAAGAAAACAGAACAAACGGAGCAAAAAUAUUUUUAGAAACCUAAAAUAACAAAAAAAAACUUUUUCUUGUUUUUCUUAUUUUCCACUGUUAAACUUCAAAAUGAACAACUUUAUUCUACCAUCUCUCAAAUAAUAAUAAUAACAACAAUGUCAUCAUCAUCAAUAAUAAUAAUAAUAUAUUAACUUUGUAGGAUGGAGCUCUCGCAAAUCUUCAAGACACAAAAUGUGCUUGACCCCAUUGUUGUUAUUAUAAUUUCAAAAUCAUCUGUAUUAUAUAAUAUUAGGGAAUAUGACAUAGCAAAAUUGAUGGUACAUAUGUUGCAAUAUACUUGUUCAUGUGGCGACACAUUGAAGUAAAGCACAAGCAAAACAACGAAAAAUGUAACGGGAGAGCUCUCAUUAUGUAGAUUUUCAAUAGAAGUAAUGCAAAUUUCACAAGGGCAAUGUCCUUAUUUCGAAUGCUGCACCUGAGGAAUGACUUGAAUCUUCUUUAGAACUCAAGCAUUCUGUAAUCAUAGAGUAUAACAUUUCAACAAAAAUAUUAUAUAGGUCGUUCCUUUAUAUAUUUUCUGGGUACACAUACAGAAAUAUUAUUUUAGGUACAUUUCUCACAAUAAAGCCUGCCCAAUCUAGCAUUUUCGUAAGUUGGGUUUCUUAUUUACAUGUUUUUUCCAUUGGUUAAUUAUCACAAACCUCCACUGAGAUUUAGCAUGUUUUUAGUUUGAUAGAUUGUAUUCGCGUAUUCUCAAAUACCUUUUAGUUUACCACUUCGUAUAAAUUAAGUUGGUGAGGAUAAAAUCAUAAAAGUACACAUUAAUGAUAAAAAAAUUCAAGUAAACUUGAAAUUUUCAAGGGGUAAUUUUUCGGGACCUCCCCUGAGAUUCGGUGUAUUAAAAAUCUCAUAGAAAGUAUUCAUGUAAUUAUAAGAACCUCCCCUGACGUUAGUACACAGUUAACUUGACUGUUAGUGGACUGAUAAAAAGUCAAAAAUGCCAUUGGCUACAAAAAUGAGUGCAACAAUUUGGAGUUAAAUAGUAAACACGGAGCACUAAAAAGUCUAUAAUAAUCAUGGAAAAAAAUCAUUGACAUUUACAUAAUAUAAAAAAAAAGUAAAAUAUAAAUUAAGAAAAUCAACAAAAUUGUCAACGUAUAGAAUAUUUACAGCAGCAGUGGCUAUAAAUACAACCGUCGUCAAAUUAAAAUAUCACCAUUAGUAAACUACUUCAAUAAGACAAUAAACCAUGAUUCACUCUUCAAAGCAUUCAAAAUACACAACCCGCACAAUAGAAUCACAUACGCACACCUGCUAAUGAAAUAUAAGAACAAACAGGAAAUUGAACUGACAUGGCUAAGAUACUCCUUCCCCAUAGCUAUUAGAAAGAUAAUGAGCGAUUUAUGAAUCAUGAUGCUUGCUUUACUUUCUGGCAGUGUUAGCUUCAAAUUCAAUGAUAGUAAAUGAACAAUGGUUCAUUCAUUAUGAAAGUAAGUGUAAAGCUAGGAAUUUAUAAUAUUCAGAUGUUGGAAUUGAAAAAAUAUUCCUUAAUCGUUUCAAUUGAAGCCAAGGAAGAAAAGAAAUGAGUCUUCUUUUUUCAGGAGACAAGCCAUAUGAAGAAGGCAGACCAGAGCAUAAGAACGAAUGCUACUGCCACAGUAAAAGCCUGGAUCAAUGGGUAAUGGUACCUGCCAUGUCAAUUUCAAGACAAACAAAAAUCAAUUAUCAUCCCCAGACCACAACACCACCAAACCAACCUUUUGAAUCUAAAAUAACAAGUUAAUAAAUCAAAGAUUUCAAUUCAUUUAAGUUUGAAAUCAACUAAAAUAGAAAAAAAAAACCCAAUUUCUUUUUUGUUCAAUAUAACUCAUUCAGCAUCUUCUUCAACACAUUUUUAUCAUUCUUCAUCAUCACAACAAUAAAAAGAAAAAAAAAACAUUGAGUCCAACAUGCAAGUUUUUUUUUGGGAAACUAACCGUUUUUAGGUUCCAAUUCUAGUAGUCUUAAACAGUAGCCGCCGACGAAAUUCGCUUGGCGACACCCUUUUGCCACCAUUGCAGCUUGUCAUGUUCAUACUCAGCUUAAAAUUACUUGAAGGCAGCAGGGAUUUUAUAGUUACAAAAGUUUCUUCAGAGCUUUUCAAGCUUGAAAAUGGCUGAGAGUUUCAUUUAAUGAGAGAGAAAAUGGAGUUUUCAUUCAUCUUAGAUAAAUUGAAGAUAAUUUGUAUUGUGGGUAAUAAAUUGAUUGUCAAUGCCUAAAUUUGGGUCAUCGACACAACUUUGGAAUUUUUUUUAUUUUUCUUUGAUUUUUAUUAUGAAACUACUAAUUUACCCUCAUAUACUAACAUAUAUGAAAUGGCAUACUAACGUCAGUUAUGUCAAGCAGCUCCCUGUAAUUACGUGAAUAUUUUCCAUGAGACUGUCAAUACACAAAAUUUCAGGGGAAAUCCCUAAACAUUACCUAAUUUUUAAGUUGUGUUCUGAAAUUGGUCUCAACUUUGUAAUGUGUAAUGCCCACAAAAAAAGAAAAGGAAAAAUGGUCAUCUCUUUCCUCCAUUCGAACUGAAGCCAUGAAACGCAAUAUCCCUUUCAUCUUCUCUCUAAUGCUUUGAUUAAAAAACUUGCUUACGAACGGGAGACCAUGACACUGAAUCCGAAGACAGAAAUACCUGAGAUGACUGAUUCACGCCGGCGAUGUGGAAGAAUACCGACCAGUGACUUUCGCCGUCGACCCACAAACAAUCCCAGUGUUUUCGAGCCGCCAAUGAGGUAUGAAUAAGAUUAUUUCCGUGCGUGUCAGUUUUGUAAGGAGAUUUGAUUAAAAAAAAGAAUAAUGGGUCUCGAAAUUUUUUUGAGUAUUUCUGUUGCUUAAAUUUUUUUCCAUCGAUUAAUGUUAGUUGUAGGUGAAUGAUUGUUGCAAACGCAUGUUCGCUUGUGAUUGAUUGAAAAUGACUUGUUAUUUGUUAUGCUGCCAUGUGACUCAUUGAAAAUGCCUCUGAAAUUUUUUUAUUUGUUUAAGGUACUGAUUCUGAUUAUUGAACAGGGAUUCAUGCUAGUUUUUAUUAAAUUAAAGAUGAGAUUAUUUUUUAAGAGAUCUACCAAACCUUCUCUACUAUAGAUUUGGCAUCUGACAUACCUGGUUCGCUGGAGAUAAUUGUUUAUAUAGUCAUUGCUGCUCGUAUUAAUCAGGAACAUUGAUUAGCAAUGUACUGGAAUAGAGAUUGGUAUAAUUUUGGAAAAUUAGUCGUAGAUGCAACCUGAUUAUGGUCUCAAAUAGUGUGAUCUGUCAAUUCCGUUUGCUCUAGCCUAACAACCUUGAAUCUGAGCUAUGCCACUAUACAAAGUCCUGACCUAAUCAAGCUUGUUAGCCAAUGUCCAAAAUUGCAGUGUCUUUAGAUAAGCCCUGUCUUACUUGUUUGAGUUAUAAAUGAAAAUUGAAGUGUCUUUGGAUAAUCACGCUGAAUGUUCAAGUUAUUGAAGAGAAGGGACCCCCAGAUUCAAGGCCGGAGCUCCCUGUUGAGAAGCUUUACAUAUAUGGGAUUGUCGCUGGGCGGAGGAUCGAUAUGCCCGGUUUUGUUUGGAAUAGGGAUGAAGAUUUUGCAUUGAGGCUUUCUUGAUAGAUCAUUCUGCAAAUCAAGCUCCAUGUACCUAUCUUCAGACUCUUGGAUAUGUAUAAAGCAGGUGCAUGCUCUAUAUGUUACUCAUUGUAUCACGAUUAUUUUUCUAUUGCUUAAAAUAAUUGCAGUCCUUGAUGUAGUUGGAGACAACUUAUGGAGGGUAUACAGAGGCUCGAGAGUUUGAUUGCCAUUCAUUUGACACUUGGCUGAGCUACAGCAUACCAACUAGUGAUUAAUAAAGAGAAGGUAUGAAGGUCCUGUUGCUGGUGGUAUUAUCAAUCAGAAUUGUUAUUUUACUUAGUCAUAGUUACCAUGUAUAAGAUUCGUAGACUUUUUGCAUGUUUAUGCAUUCGCAUCAUCUUUUUGUUAAGCUAGAGAUGGUUGAUUUGUGUACUCAUUUGUAUCACUUGUAGCCCUUGAGGAAUAAAAUUUAAAAUUUUGUUGCAUCUCCUGUACUAAAUACUAAUUUUGUUUGCUUUAUGUAUGGGAAAUGGUUCAUUAUCUUAUUUCUUUGAUGUGUAUAGUGUUACACUGUCUAAAGUUGAAAAGUAUUUCUAUCACUUGUGUAAAAAACAAACAAUUUUUUUUUCACUCUUCUUAUAUUGAAUAAAAGAGGGACACCAAGAUCUUCACCAAGAUUGAACGAAAUUUGAUGCAGAAAGCAUAGCAAUUAGGCCAGUGCAAAAUAGCUUCCUUCUGAUUCUCUGAUAUUUGACUUAAAUCUUUUGUUUGUUUCAUUCAUCAAAGUCAUUUUGGAAAGUAGCAGGCGUGAUUUGAUAUUUUCAUUGUAUUCACAUCCGUUGGCACCAAAACAAACAUGCUGGUACUAACCAACAAUUUUUUAUUUUUAGUGUACAAAUUAGUUUUUUUAAGACAAAUAAGCUGGUACUAACCAACAAUAUUUUAUUUUCAGUAUACAAAUUAUUAUUUUUUUUUCUAAAUUAGGGGUAUUAAGAAAAGGUAUGCAAGCACCAGGGGAGGUAUUUGAAAAUAUACAAAUACAAUCUAUCAAACUGAGAAUACACCAAACCGGCAGGUUUCUGAUAAAUCCUUUUUUUCUUUUUCCUCCAUUCACUAUAGGUUCAAUUUAGACGCUGUUGACCAAACAGAAGGUUUGGGUUGGUAAACGCACUGGUGUUAAUGCCAACAACCCAAGGCGCUUCAUGGUCCUCUGGGCCGAAAUAGCGUAAUUAUUAAUUCUCCUCCAGUGAAAAUCUUCAUCUUGGGACAAAUACUUACGAAUUGACAUUAUAGCUGUGGAAAUUUGGAGGUGUAAUAACCGGAAAAGUAAAAAUCUUAAGAGACUUUUUAAAUAAAAAAGAUACAACACCUUCAAUUUGCUAAAAGUAAUGGUAUCAUUUCUUGUACGGAUAAUGGAUGAUUAGAUUUUGUUUUUUGUUAUCCGACGAAGGAUAUUCAGUUGUUCUUUAUGUGUUCACAGGCAAGAGCAUGAGCAUAUUCAUGGUUUCAUAUAUGCUUCUUGCAUUUUCUAAUUAAGUACUCUCUUUCCUUGCCUUCUUAGUUUUGAAAGAAAGAUGUGAAGCAAAGCAAACCCAGUGAAAUAUACAGAGAAACAGAACCAUCAGAGGAAAAACUAAAUAACAGAACCACAAUUGAACCAAACAAAAUCAAAUAAACCGAGGCAACGGAUACCCUGAAUCAGGCAUCCCUUUUUCUCGAAAGAAAAUAUGUUUGCAUGGGUGGGAACCUAAUAAUUACUCAAGAGUUGGAGUUGGAAAGAUUUGGUAUUCAUAUCUUCACAAUUCAUAAGCUUUAAUGCAGAAUCGACAGCUUUAUAUUAAUUUAUUCAACCAAAAACGAUAAAGUAGGAAAACCACAAUAAUCCACCAACUUUUGCUACUUUUAGGAAUAAUUUUUGGUCAACUUUCAAAAAGUGAGAUGACGAUCUUUGAGUUGAUAAAUCUUGGCCUGCUGCUUAGUACCCUUCCAACAUAUAAAGUACUAGAUGUUUAGCUGAGAAAAUGACGAGAUCAUUUAUCAAAUUUCUUGCGCAUAUAUACAUAUAUAUACAAGAAAUAAGAAUCAGAGUGAUUAUAAGACCUUUGCAAUGAGGCAAUAAAUACAUCAUCAAAUCUAAAAAUACACAAGAAAUUCGUGACGUAUAUAUAACAAUAGACCUCUCAUUGAGUCAUAGAUAUUGAGAAUAAAAUGUCAAAAUGCAUACAAAGAGCUUAUACAGAAAAUGAAUUUACACACAUUUAGAAUAAACUGUCUUUGAACUUCCGAUGGUCAAACAAAGGAAACAGACAGGAAAUGACACACACUAUCAUAUAUGUAGGGACACGAUGAAGUAAAUCACAUGAAGAUGGAAACGGAACCCCUCACAACAUAAAAUUUGAAUAAAGGGGGAAAAAAAGGCUUCAUUUCAAAUGUUGCACAGAAGAAGAGUGACUUGAAUCUCCAUCAGUAUCCAGACAUUCUACAAACACAGUGCUGAGAAUUUUAACAAGAAUAACAGACAAAAUAUUGUGCUUCUAUAUUUUUCACAGAACUAGACCAAAUCAGUUCCCUUUUUGGUUUGUGAAAACUUGAUAUUUUUGAAAAUUCUAUCCAAUGCUUUCAAACAAUAUUUCCACAAUAUAGUUGUUCAUAGCUAACCUUUGAUGGUGUAAGGAUUUGUUGUAGGCAUAAUGGGCUAAUUAUAUAUAUAUAUAUAUAUUUUACCCGCUGAAUGAUAUUCAGCUUCCAAGUUUCCAAAGAACAAACAGAGCAGAAACAAAUAUAACGGAACAGCAAUGAUGACGAUAAAUGAUUGGCAAAGAAAGAAAGAAAAAAGUUCGCAUGAUUUCAAGGAAUUAUAAUAUCUGAAGACAUUCAACAUGCAAGUGUUGCCCCUUUUAAUGAAAUUUCAUCAUAAAAUGCUUGCAAGGAAUUAUAAAAUUUUAGAGAACAAGCGAAUUCUCAAACAAAAUACUCAAAUUAAAUUAAAUUAGACCAAAAGACAAUCAAUGACGCAAAAUCUGCCCAUAAAAGCCUGAACGAAUCAUGAAAAGUGCAUUCCAUAUUGACAGUAAACCAAGUGACCCAUUCUAAACAAUUGAGAUGAAAUUGUGAAACAACCCACGAGAUCAAAUAAAUAAAAUAAGAAUUAAUUACCAGCUGGGACUUUCUUCUUCAAAUUCGUAACUCCAAGUCAUAAGAAGGCUAUGAAAUUAGUCGUAAUCCACAGAGUAUGACGACGACCCCGCCAACAGCUGAAAAUAAAAUUCUUAUUCAUCAAUUUAAACUAACUUUAUAACAAAUAUCUUAUCGAUAUUUUAUUUAAAAAGAAAAAGCAAAUUUUGUAAAAUUUUUCUAUGGGAGAUAGAGAGUAACAUGUAUAUCCGUACCUUCUCAGCAUGUAAUUGUUGUAUGGUCGUGUUAAGAUCAUUAUUAGCCCAACGCCGUUGAUCCGCUGUCUCUCCAUAGCAGACGUUUACUCUUAGAGUCGUGAUUGAUUCUCCUGUAGUGAAAAUCUUCAUCUUGGGACAACCAAUCACCCACAAAUCUUGCAAAGAUGGGAAUUUGAAGGUGUAAUUGGCAGAGCAGAAACUUGUGAGGCUGUCUAAAUCACGCAGGUCCAACGCCUUCAAUUUGGGGAAAACAAUCUCUUCUUUUUCAACCCCGUCUUUGUCAUUUAUUACCACGUCUGACAUUGCUCUGCAUCCGUAUACACAAAGUGAUACGAGUCGCACUAGAGUUUUUGCUGUGGAGGAUGUUACUAAGUGUAUCAAUUUCUUGCAAUCGAAAGCUACAAGUUUUGUUAGGUUCCCAAAAGAUACCGACGAUGAUGGCAAUAGAAUUAACAGACUUUGACAAUGAUAUACUUUUAGAAUUUCAAGAUGCUGAAAAAUGGGGCCAAGUUUGGAAUCUUGUUUGCACAGCUGCUUCAGAUGAUAGUGCCGAUGCAGCUUUAAUUCUUUUAUCAUUGCCAACUUCCCCACAUGUUUCUCUAAGCUUCGAGAUUGUGAAAUCUCUCCAGUACGUUCCAGAUUGGAAAACCAGCUGAGUCAUCUGCAGCAAUCUCUAGUUCUCUAAGACUGCCAAAAAGGUGUUGUGGGAAAUCGGCCUGCAAAAUCAUCUUCACAUCUUUUCCACUUAGUGAUAGUUCCUUCAAGUUGGGUACGAUCUGAUCAUCAUCAAUCAUAAUAACUAAUGAGGUCAAUUGAUGAUCUACGGUCACACACAGUGACUUUAUAGUAUUUGUUUUAUAUUAUAUUUUUAAAAAAAUUGAAUUAUUGAUAAAAUUUAUUUUAUAUGUUAAUUUUAGAGGUAAAAAAGAAAUUAGAGAAAAAGGUUGAUUUAUACUGGCUCGAAAUUAUUUUAUUGCACAAUAAUAAAUUACUAAUUUAUUUUGUAAGUUCUUCUAUAUGGAAAGACUAAGGAUUUUUUUAUAAAUGCUAUACCAAAAAAAGUUCAUAUAAUUAUUAAUCUACCACAUUGAUCUCUUAAUCUAGACUAGCAAAGAUUAUUGUAUAAUAAAAGUUUUCAAUUUAUUGAGUAUUAAUUUAUCGAUGCUUUGUCAUAUUUUUCAAAGUUAAAAAUAAGCUAUAGACAAAAAAUCUAGAAAAUGGUUUCAUACCUUUUCCAACGGCAAUGGGGGCUGUUGUGCAGGAAUGCCAAGUUGAUCAUUCUGCGAUAAAUCUGCAGUGAAUAUCUUUAAUUUGUCACAAAAAUACACAAAAAGAAUUUCUAGCGCGGGCCAUUCCGAAGUAUGCAUUCCAGGGUACAAACAUCUAAGUUUUGGUAGACCUUCGAGUCUCAGAGUGGUGAGCUGUGGAAAGACAAAAUAAGGGAUAACUUCAUCUGCUCUGUUCUCAGAAAUGAUCUCCUGGAAAUCCUCACAGAAGCGUACUUCUAGGUGUUGGAGCUGCUUAAGGCUUCCGAUCAUAGACGCUGAAAAUAUGUAUUUUAAUUUGUUACAACGCCACACAAUCAAUCGUGUUAAAUUUUGAAAGCGAGGAAACAUGACCGGAAGAUGAUUGUAGUGCCAAAUCUUGUCGACAUUAAUUGCAGAUAUCUCCAAAGCCUCCAAGUUGGGCAACGCAACCUAAAAAAAUAAGAAUUUCUCGUUAGAUCCAAUAUCCAAAUGGGAAGCACUUGUUGAAAUUUUCUUCUUUGAUUACAAAUUAAUGCAAGUCUGAAUCAAUUUCCAACUGACAGCUGAGUAUGCAUUCUAAUUCAUACUACUUGUUAAGAGCUCAAUUAGUGAGCGCGUGAGAUUCUUUUUAUCCUUUUUUCCAUUUUCUUUCAAUUCUUUAAAUGAUUUAAUUAUUUCCACGUAUGACGUCAAAAGAGAACGUUAUAUAUGAAUAAAAUCUGUUAUAUAUGAAGAAAAUGUUAGCCUACGCACCUUCUCGUUGAAAAGCAGAGUUGAAGUAUCCAAAGUGAUUUCGCUGGAGCAAUACGUAGUCGUCGAUUCCUCUUGCGACGCUGGUCUGUUCGGUGAUGCUGAAGGAGUCUUUACUUCACGGCAGAAAUUUGUAACCUCUGGAAGAUUCCCCAGACUCAAAGAUCUUAAUUGAGCAAACUCUAUCUUCUCAAUUGCAUUAUCAACUUCAUCCCCAAUUGAAAAAAUUUCUUUCAUCUUGCUGCAAUUAAUAACUGCAAUUCUCUCAAGUCUUGGAAGGCAUUUUGUAGUGGAGAGCCAAAAGAUAUUGCUUAACUUAUCACAAUUAUAUGCUUCUACGGUUUUGAGUUUGUUGAAAGACUCUACUUUGAGCCGAUCAAUACAUAUCCUCUCCAUGUUGAUCAAAUUGUGAAGGAUAAGUGACUCCAAAAGAGGAAAGGCAUCACAAGCGACCAUCGCCCUUGAAUCGACGAUGCAAAAGAAGUCAGGAUUAUUUUGAACCCAGAGAAGCUUCAAUUGUGAAAAGCCCUCCGUGUCCAAAUUGAAAAGAACAUCCUCGAUGCCUUGCAGCUUGUCCAACCAUAAGUAUUCAACGUUAUUGAUGCCCUGCAAUUUCAUGGAGCAAAUGUUCAUAAAAUCAAGCUUGAGCUUCAAUGCUCUUAAUCUCUUCCGAUCACUGUUGAUCGAAAAGUGCAGCUGACUUUUGAACCAAUUUUGUCUAACACUCUUGGGAGGCAUGAACGACUCAUUUGCAAUAGAUAUUUUGAACCUUUCGAGCUUUCUGGCCAAAAAACCUUCUGGUAAAAUACUGUCAUUUUUAACGUCAAUUUCUAGAGUGGUUAGCCGAGGUAAAUGCAUCAAUUCGUCAAGGCUAGCAUUACUUCUUUUGCUGUUGGCUCUUUCAACCUCCCAUUCAAUGAAGCAAUUACCCAUAUACAGCUCUUCUAGUCGAGUUAAGCUUGCAUGAGAUUGGGCGCAAUAACUUUUAGAUGGAAACAAUUGGGUUAAAUCUAACAAUCUCAACUUAUUCAAUUGACCUAGUUCUUCUGGCAACUGCAUAAUAUCAGACAUCAAAAAGCUAAGGACUUCUAGAUUCUUCAACUUCCCAAUGAUUGCUAUGUCGCCCAACGCACUUUGAUCCAGACAUAGUGGUGUGGAAGAUUUACUAGAAGAUCAAUUGAAGGAUGGAAAAGAAGGACAAUAACCGCAUUCCAGUAAAANNNNNNNNNNNNNNNNNNNNNNNNNNNNNNNNNNNNNNNNNNNNNNNNNNNNNNNNNNNNNNNNNNNNNNNNNNNNNNNNNNNNNNNNNNNNNNNNNNNNNNNNNNNNNNNNNNNNNNNNNNNNNNNNNNNNNNNNNNNNNNNNNNNNNNNNNNNNNNNNNNNNNNNNNNNNNNNNNNNNNNNNNNNNNNNNNNNNNNNNNNNNNNNNNNNNNNNNNNNNNNNNNNNNNNNNNNNNNNNNNNNNNNNNNNNNNNNNNNNNNNNNNNNNNNNNNNNNNNNNNNNNNNNNNNNNNNNNNNNNNNNNNNNNNNNNNNNNNNNNNNNNNNNNNNNNNNNNNNNNNNNNNNNNNNNNNNNNNNNNNNNNNNNNNNNNNNNNNNNNNNNNNNNNNNNNNNNNNNNNNNNNNNNNNNNNNNNNNNNNNNNNNNNNNNNNNNNNNNNNNNNNNNNNNNNNNNNNNNNNNNNNNNNNNNNNNNNNNNNNNNNNNNNNNNNNNNNNNNNNNNNNNNNNNNNNNNNNNNNNNNNNNNNNNNNNNNNNNNNNNNNNNNNNNNNNNNNNNNNNNNNNNNNNNNNNNNNNNNNNNNNNNNNNNNNNNNNNNNNNNNNNNNNNNNNNNNNNNNNNNNNNNNNNNNNNNNNNNNNNNNNNNNNNNNNNNNNNNNNNNNNNNNNNNNNNNNNNNNNNNNNNNNNNNNNNNNNNNNNNNNNNNNNNNNNNNNNNNNNNNNNNNNNNNNNNNNNNNNNNNNNNNNNNNNNNNNNNNNNNNNNNNNNNNNNNNNNNNNNNNNNNNNNNNNNNNNNNNNNNNNNNNNNNNNNNNNNNNNNNNNNNNNNNNNNNNNNNNNNNNNNNNNNNNNNNNNNNNNNNNNNNNNNNNNNNNNNNNNNNNNNNNNNNNNNNNNNNNNNNNNNNNNNNNNNNNNNNNNNNNNNNNNNNNNNNNNNNNNNNNNNNNNNNNNNNNNNNNNNNNNNNNNNNNNNNNNNNNNNNNNNNNNNNNNNNNNNNNNNNNNNNNNNNNNNNNNNNNNNNNNNNNNNNNNNNNNNNNNNNNNNNNNNNNNNNNNNNNNNNNNNNNNNNNNNNNNNNNNNNNNNNNNNNNNNNNNNNNNNNNNNNNNNNNNNNNNNNNNNNNNNNNNNNNNNNNNNNNNNNNNNNNNNNNNNNNNNNNNNNNNNNNNNNNNNNNNNNNNNNNNNNNNNNNNNNNNNNNNNNNNNNNNNNNNNNNNNNNNNNNNNNNNNNNNNNNNNNNNNNNNNNNNNNNNNNNNNNNNNNNNNNNNNNNNNNNNNNNNNNNNNNNNNNNNNNNNNNNNNNNNNNNNNNNNNNNNNNNNNNNNNNNNNNNNNNNNNNNNNNNNNNNNNNNNNNNNNNNNNNNNNNNNNNNNNNNNNNNNNNNNNNNNNNNNNNNNNNNNNNNNNNNNNNNNNNNNNNNNNNNNNNNNNNNNNNNNNNNNNNNNNNNNNNNNNNNNNNNNNNNNNNNNNNNNNNNNNNNNNNNNNNNAUGCUUCUCCUUUCAUCCUUGAGCUUGUCUAUUUCUGCCUUGAGAUUCUCAACGUUGGCUUUAUAGUUACGCAAAUAACCAAAUCGGCGUUCUAUUGGAGGAGCCAAGCAUUUCAAAAAUUGUAAAACAACAGUAACAAUGCUUUCCACCAUCCUGGAUCCUUUUUUUUUUUUUUCAAAGUUCUGACAAGAAAAUAAACAAGGAGCGAAACACAGAGAGAGUGAAAAAAAAAAAAGCGAAACAACGAAGAUGGACAGUUUAUCCGGUUCUGGAAGCGGAGAAAUGAAAGAAAGAGUAAAAGCUGUUAUGGAUCUGGUGAGAAGAUGGAAACAAGGAAAAGGUUUCUAGUUCGAGAACUGAUUGAGUUAAUAUAAGGAAUGAUUUAGAUAAUAGAGGCAAAGGGAACCAAUCAAAAUAACUGAAGUAUUGUGCAGAAGAAAGACGGAAAAAAUAGACUGGUAAUAGAGAUGGAAAAAAUGAAGAUAUCUUGACACGGUAGAAGUACAAAGGGUAGAUAUGGAACCAAACAGAGACAACAGCAGGCCACAACAAGAUUGGGAAUGGAGAGAAACUAAUUAACGAAGACUGGAGAUUACAACAAAACAGAUGCCAAGAGAAAACUUGAUCCUGUGAAAUUCAAGUUAGCUGACGAAUACGGGGAUCAAGAGGGAAAAACUGCUUGCUCGUAAAACUACUUUCAAGCGAAUCUGAUAAAAUUAAUUUUUAAACUGCAGAACAGGUAGAAUAUCAGAUUGAUUAAUUUAAGAAACCCUUGCUUCAGUUUUAAGUAAGAUCUUUUUUUUUUUUUUUAUAAUUUCUCCGAAUGCUCUUUCAAUGGAAGGCAUAUGAUCAUUUUGUAUUCAGUAUACAAAGAUUAAAGAUGAUCCUUUUUCUAAUUUAUUAAUUAAAUAAGGUUCUCUGACAUCUUCUUGCAUGAGUUGUCCCCCUGGUUUGUUAUCAUCUUAUGAAAUUCUCGCAUGCCCGAUUUUCUUUUAUUAAAUUAUAUAUUAAAGUUUUCAAUGAUGAAAUUAAUCGUCAUCAUGUGCCGGCAUGCAUGUAUUGGUUGAUGUCACGUUUUGCAAGUAUGCUGGAUAAAAUUAAUUUUCAAAAUUAAUUAAUAAAAUGUAACGUAAGUUGUUGAAAGAAACUUCAUAUUUAUCCUGAAGCAUUCAACUCAGUUCUUUUACUCUAUGAUAAAUGUAUUUUAAAAAUUACCAAUAAUUGAGAAUAAAAUAAGGACAAAACAUUAAAAAUCGAACACAACUCAUGUUUUACUUGAGUUUUAUAUUUAUGCUGAUACAUACUUUGGACACAUUCUUUGGAAAAGACAUUGACAUUGGCGUGCAUCAUCAAAUUUGUUAGUGAAAAACCAUAAUUAUAUAUUACUACAUUUACAAAUUUUGUAUAAAAGGUUUUAAAGGUUUGCUACAUAGACCUCUAAAAAUUCCAGAAAUGAUUAUAUAUACCUUUUUACAAUUAUAUCAUUUGGUUAUAAUCAAAUUUUUUACAAUAAAUACAAAUAACAUAUUAAGAUAACUAUGAGUAGCAAAAUAGUAUUUCAAAUAUGAAAACAUAUUAAAUGCAUAUAAUUAAUAAAGUAAGAAAUAUAAAGAGUAAACUAUUAUCUAUAUGUCCAGCCAGAUUUAUUAAUACUAAUCCAUUAACCCAAAGAUUGACUUUAAAAUUCAUACUAUACAUAAUAUUCACAUAAUACAACAUAAUUUUUUUAAAUUAAUUAUUUUGAAUGUUAAAUAUAACUAUUUUUUUAAUUUAUCUUCUAUGAAUUCAAAUAUCCCCUUUAAACUGCAGAAGGAGAAAAAAGAAAUGUUCUGAAUUUCAAUGUAUUAAUUUUAACCUAAUUUAGUUGAGACUCGUAAUCUCGUCUCAAUGAUUAAUUAGUAGAUAAUCUUUCUAAUAAAUAUAUGUUGAAUAGAUAUAUUUCUUGACUAUUAAUAGGUUAGAUAUAUUUUAGCAUAGGAAUGAAAGUACAAGUUGUGUCAUAUUACCAGGAAAGUGUAUCAAUUUCUUGCAAUCGAAAGCUACAAGUUCUGUUAGGUUCCCAAAAGAUACCGAUGAUGAUGGCAAUAGAAUUAACAGACUUUGACAAUAAUAUACUCUUAGAAUUUCAAGAUACUGAAAAAUGGGGCCAAGUUUGGAGUCUUGUUUGCACGGCUGCUUCAGAUGAUAGUGCCGGUACAGCUUUAAUUCUUUCCCACAUGUUUCUCUAAGCAUCCUUCCUUCGAAAAUUCCUCUUCGUUGAAUGAAAAAUAAACCAGUGCGAGUAUUUCGAGAUUGUGAAAUCUCUCCAGUACGUUCCAGAUUGGAAAACAAGCUGAGUCAUCUCCAAAAAUCUCUAGUUGUUUAAGACUGCCAAAAACGUGUUGUGGGAAAUCGGCCUGCAAAAUCAUCUUCACAUCUUUUCCACUUAGUGAUAGUUCCUUCAAGUUGGGUACGAUCUGAUCAUCAUCAAUCAUAAUAACUAAUGAGGUCAAUUGAUGUUCUUUCAAAUGAUUUUGAGUAAUCCAAUCACAAGCAGUGACUUUAUAGUAUUUAUUUUAUAUUAAUUUUACCCCUAAAAAAAUUGAAUUAGUGAUAAAAUUCAUUAUAUGAUUUUUUUUAUAUGUUAGUUUUAGAGGUAAUAAAGAAAUUAGGGAAAAAAUGAAAUUAUUUAUGCAUGANNNNNNNNNNNNNNNNNNNNNNNNNNNNNNNNNNNNNNNNNNNNNNNNNNNNNNNNNNNNNNNNNNNNNNNNNNNNNNNNNNNNNNNNNNNNNNNNNNNNNNNNNNNNNNNNNNNNNNNNNNNNNNNNNNNNNNNNNNNNNNNNNNNNNNNNNNNNNNNNNNNNNNNNNNNNNNNNNNNAAGUAUUAAUUUAUCGAUGCUUUGUCAUAUUUUUCAAACUUAAAAGUAAGCUAUGAAAAAAAAAUCUAGAAAAUGGUUUCAUACCUUUAUAUAUAUAUAUAAAGAAAAUGUAAGCUUACGCACCUUCUCGUUGAAAAGCAGGGUUGAAGUAUCCAAAGUGAUUUCGCUGGAGCCAUACAUAGUCGUCGAUUCCUCUUGCGACACUGGUCUGUUUGGUGAUGCUGAAGGAGUCUUCACUUCACGGCAGAAACUUGUAACCUCUGGAAGAUUCCCCAGGCUCAAAGAUCUUAAUUGAGCAAACUCUAUCUUCUCAAUUGCAUUAUCAACUUCUUCCCCAAUUGCAAAAAUCUCUUUCAUCUUGCUGCAAUUAACAACUGCAAUUCUCUCAAGUCUUGGAAGGCAUUUUGUUGUAGAGAGCCAAAAGAUAUUGCUUAACUUAUCACAAUUAUAUGCUUCUACGGUUUUGAGUUUGUUGAAAGACUCUACUUUGAGCCGAUCAAUACAUAUCCUCUCCAUGUUGAUCAAAUUGUGAAGGAUAAGUGACUCCAAAAGAGGAAAGGCAUCACAAGCGACCAUCGCCCUUGAAUCGACGAUGCAAAAGAAGUCAGGAUUAUUUUGAACCCAGAGAAGCUUCAAUUGUGAAAAGCCCUCCGUGUCCAAAUUGAAAAGAACAUCCUCGAUGCCUUGCAGCUUGUCCAACCAUAAGUAUUCAACGUUAUUGAUGCCCUGCAAUUUCAUGGAGCAAAUGUUCAUAAAAUCAAGCUUGAGCUUCAAUGCUCUUAAUCUCUUCCGAUCACUGUUGAUCGAAAAGUGCAGCUGACUUUUGAACCAAUUUUGUCUAACACUCUUGGGAGGCAUGAACGACUCAUUUGCAAUAGAUAUUUUGAACCUUUCGAGCUUUCUGGCCAAAAAACCUUCUGGUAAAAUACUGUCAUUUUUAACGUCAAUUUCUAGAGUGGUUAGCCGAGGUAAAUGCAUCAAUUCGUCAAGGCUAGCAUUACUUCUUUUGCUGUUGGCUCUUUCAACCUCCCAUUCAAUGAAGCAAUUACCCAUAUACAGCUCUUCUAGUCGAGUUAAGCUUGAUAUGAGAUUGGGCGCAAUAACUUUUAGAUGGAAACAAUUGGUUAAAUCUAACAAUCUCAACUUAUUCAAUUGACCUAGUUCUUCUGGCAACUGCAUAAUAUCAGACAUCAAAAAGCUAAGGACUUCUAGAUUCUUCAACUUCCCAAUGAUUGCUAUGUCGCCCAACGCACUUUGAUCCAGACAUAGUGUGUGAAGAUUUACUAGAAGAUCAAUUGAAGAUGGAAAAGAAGAAACCUGCAUUCGGGUAAAAUCCAGAACUCUAAGCUUUUUCAUCCCUACAAAAAAGUUCUCAGGAAUAUUGAUUUCAAGAGAAGAAUCUUUGAGAGAGAUAAAUAAAAGUUCAAGGUUUGGGCAUUCUAAUCCUUCAGGAAAUUCACGAUUACUAUUAUUUAUUAAAGAGAUAGCAUUGCAUUUUCGUAGUGCAUCCUCAUCUGGCCAGUCCCACACAUCCUCAUCAUUUCUCACCGAAAACACGUGUUGGUGGCGGCAUGCAAUUGAUAUUGCGACAUCGCAAACAACAUCAUGCAUUGAAAAUCGUUCAUUGCUAUCACCCUCAAGCAACAAACAAGAGUCUCUAAGUUCAUGGACCAAUGCAUAUAAUUUGUCUCGUGCAUCUUCCAUCUUAUUGACUCCUUUAAAUAUACCCAAACCCAUGGAGUACUUGAACAAGUCCGAAGUAUUAUGGCUCUCCAUUAGACUACAGAGCAGAAAAAUUUUCUUGAGUUGCUCACCUUUUAAAUGGUUGAAACUGAGCUCAAUACUUGAAUAAGUCUCUGCAGAUACCCCUUCGAAGUUUACCAUUGAAGGCGUUUGGAGUUCUCGCAAGGAAUUCUUCCAUUCAUGCAGACUCUUGCCUCUCAGUGCCUUUGCUACUGUAGUCAAGGCAAUGGGCAAACCUCCACAUGCCCUGGCGACGUCUAUUGCUGUAGAUUUCAACUCACGAUUUUCAACAUCAUCACCGGCCAUCAUCUUAAACAAUCUCCAGGCUUCUUCUUCAUUUAAAUUGUUUAUCAAAAAGUUGUCUUUAGAACCCAUUUUUAAGAGGACACUACGAUCUCUUGCCGUUAGCAGUAGUUUGCAGCCUUUAUGAUCUUCUCCAAAAGGAAUUCCAACUGUCUCCAAAUCAAGGUGUUUCCAAAUGUUAUCUAAAACCACAAGGAUCUUCUUGUGAUUUCUCAAUCGCUCAAAUAGUCUACUUGCUCUUCUAGAUUCAACUUCCUCGUGCAGCUCCAGGCCCAACUUCUCGGCAAUUUCCUGUUGAAUCUUUUUUAUGUCUGGAGUUUGGGAAACCUCUGAAAAGACCACCAUAUCAAAGAGCUUGUCUUCCAUAGCUUGCCUGGCGACCUUCUUCACCAGUGUCGUCUUUCCAAUGCCGCCCAUGCCGUACACCCCAAUGAUGCUGACAUUAACAUCGAUCAAUGCUUUUUUUAUAGCCUCAAAAGUAGAACGUCUUGAUUCGAAGGCCUCGUAGCCUUUGUGAGACUUGAGCCAAAUCUCCUCCGGAAUGGUACGGUAGGAAAUUCUAUCAUCAAAUCUCCCAGCUUCUUCUCGGAGUUUAAAAAGGGCCUCCUUCUCUGUUUCUGCUUUCUUUCCAUGCUGAUAGCGAGUAAUCCAAUUAGGAAACAGCCCCAUGAGACAUCGUUCAUUUGCUUUCUCUUCGUCGAAAAUGAAUUUGGCUGCCUCCUUAAUGCUCUUGUUCGCAUUAACCAGCCAUUUCUCAACCUUCUCUUCAAUCUUUUCACUUUUUCUUUCAGCCUCAGAAACUCUGCGCUGAAUGCUUUCUCUUUCAUCCUUGAGCCUAUCGAGUUCUUCCUUGAGAUUCUCAAAGUUGGCAGCGGAGUUAUACCAAUAACUAAAUUCGCGUUGUGCGUGAGGAGACAAGCAGUUUACAACUCCUGGAACAAUGCUUUUCAAAAUGUCCAUUCUUUUUUUUUUUUUGGGGGAAGGGAACGAAAUAGAAAUAGAACAGGGUCAACGGCUGUGCAAUUGAUAAUCAAGUAGAAGCAAAACAAGGCAAAAUUGAAAAAAGAAAUUAUAUUUGUACAAAACAAGGAGAAAAUCAGUGUAACAGAUUGAGCGUGGGCGACUCCUUUUUAAACCGCAGAAGGAAAAAAAAAUUAUUCUGAAUUUCAAUAUAUUAAUUUUUAUGCUAAUUUAUGUUGAGAUUCGUAAUCUCGUCUCAAUGAUUAAUUAGUAGAUAAUCUUUCUAACAAAUAUGUGUUGAAUAGAUAUAUUUCUUGACUAUUAGAAGGUUAGAUAUAUUUUAGCAUAGGAAUGAAAGUACCAAGUUGUGUCAUAUUAGAAUAAAAAUUUGAGCUGAAAAUAUUGUUAUAUGACCUUUUAAUUAUUUGUCAGCAAAUAAUUAAUUCAUAUAAAAAAAUUAAUAAUCUGAAUUAGUCUUUAAGUAUUAUAAAUAUUUUUUUAUUUUUAAUUAUAAUAUCAUUAUUUAAAAAUAAUUGCUUGACUUAUAUUAGUAACAUUACGAUUGUCAUAAAACAUGUGAUCCUCAUCCAAUAUCCAUUAUUUGUGAUCCUUAAUCAAUAAAAUAUCUAACACUCCAGUCCAAUGCUGCCGUCAUUAUCGAACGGUCGAUAUCCAACACUCGCACGAAGAUUCCAAGAAGUUGCGUGGCUGCCGACUUUUAGAUGCAAAGCCUCAUUGUGUCGAUGUUACACAAAAGAGAGCAGUCCGGGUAAUUGCCAAAACUUAGAACUAAACAGUAGCUUAGUCAGAAAAUCAAAUGCCAGUACCGUUAAAAUGACCGAUAAAAAUAUAAAGAAACCAAAGCUUUAAAAGAAAUCAGCCAAAUCACGAAGAUUGAAGAGUAAAUCUAUGGUUUUAGAUUUUUAUUUUAUUUUUUUAGAUAAUAGAUAUUAUUUUGAUGAAUUUUUAAUAUUAGAAUAAUGUUAGGAAUUUCGAUAGUAGAAUUCUAACUUGAGAUCCAAUUGUUAUGUAUCAUUUUUUUAUUGGAUAAUGAAUUUCAUAACUAGUAAAAUUAAUAUUUUGAUCAUCUAAUAAAGGACUAUCAUAUCAGUUGAGACUCAAUUAUUGGGAUCCUUAACAUUGCUCUUAGUAUUAAAUUGGACAUCUUAGCUAAAUCAAAUUAAAAAUCAAAUUAGAUUUUAGGCUUUUAUCCAACAUCUCUUUUUUUUUUUUUUGGGUCUAUUUGAAGUGAACGAAAUAAAAAUACAACAGGUUCAACAACUGGGCAAUUGAUGGUCAAGUAGAAGCAAAUCAAGGCUAAAUGGGAAAGAGAAAUGAUAUUUGUGCAAAACAAGGAGAAAAUCAGUGUAACUGAAGAGAAUCAAAGUGCUUUUGAGAUCAAAAAUUGAGGCAAGNNNNNNNNNNNNNNNNNNNNNNNNNNNNNNNNNNNNNNNNNNNNNNNNNNNNNNNNNNNNNNNNNNNNNNNNNNNNNNNNNNNNNNNNNNNNNNNNNNNNAGAAGCUUAAUUAAGAACUUAAAACAAAAGAAUUAGAUUGAGAACAGUCAAGCCUUAUUUUUUCAAGGAUGGAGCUUAUAAAUCUUCAAGUACCAACAUACGCUUGGCCCAAUUGUUGUUAUUAAAAUUUCAAUAUACAUAUAUAAGUAUGAUAUAGGAAAAAUUUGAUGGUACAUAUGUCGGAAUAUACUAGUUCAUGGGUGCAUUUGAUUAUUGUUUCCAUAAAUUUGAACCAGGAAGGACGACACGAUAAAAUUUGAUUUUAUGGUAUGGUUGAUUUCAUAGCUCAUGCACUCAUUUCUUAAGAUAAUCAAAUUUUCUCUGGCAUCUUUUUCAACUGUCGAAAUAUCAAUUAUGAUCAAUCAAAACGAUUUCAAAACCUUUCAUCGAGACAUAUUUUUAAUACAAUAUUGUGAAAAUUACACUAAAAAUUUAAUUUAUUAUAUAUUAUUAUCCAACGAGCACACAAAAAUGAUUUCGUACAAAUCUAAAAUACUAAGCAAUUUUCAAAUAGAAUUUACCAUGUACUAAUAGAAUUUACCAUGUACUACAAGAAAAUAGGGUAUAUGUGACCCCUACUGUGAAUGCAAAAGCAGCCAUUACGCAUAACCCCGAGUUGCUUUUGUUACCCUUUAUGUGACGGCCACACUGCUGUCACAUAUGUUACGAACCGCGUGACGGUGAAGAGCCGUUCGGUAUACUAAUAUUUUAGAAUUUUAAAUUUAUUUCCAGUUAGAAAACUAUUCGCUGGACUCCGUGUUGCUGGCCACCAUCGUAAACAUAACUGGUUGCCAGCGAACGGCGUAAAACGCCGGCCAUCUUCUUCUUCAUUGUAUUCUCCCUUCAUCUUUUUAGGUAAGCUUGUGAUUAUGAGUUUCUUCUCUUACUUAGCUUGUAAUUAUAGAUUUUGAUUUUUUUUAAUUCGUAUUGUAGCCGUUAUUGUCAAUUUUUGUCCCGCCAGCAAUAUUUUUUUAUUCCUACAAGUUGAAGCCCCUGUGUUCUUGUUCCAUUGGUGAGUUUGCUCACUCAAAUUAAUUUUGUUCUGCGGAAUUUACAAAGUUCAAAUGGAUUCAUUUGAAUUACUAUUGAAUUUAGCUUUAAUUUCAACAUCCAUUCUAAUGUUUUGCAAUUAGAUUUAAUUUAAUUUUAUGUUUAAAGCUUCUACAAUGAAUAGCGGAGCUUGGGUUUUAGUUUCAUUUUCUGGAUAACUUGUUUUAGUUUAUCUUGUAUGCUCACCAAAUGCUUGUUAUAUUGUCUGAUAAGUUAUAUACAUUGCUGAUUCUACAUUAAUAAUGUUACGUUGUAUUUUCAGAAAUUAUAAUACAAAAGUUUUUGCAAUGGCGUGCAUCUACAAACUGAAUUGACUUGUAGAAUAAGAGCUCGGAGUAGUGUUAUGUUCUUGAAUAAUUGAAAGUUCAUAUUGUGUAAGAGCAUGCAGAUGUAAAGCAUCAUUACCAUUUCUACAAAGUGCUUUCAUUCUGUUCAUAUGCUCUUCUUGAACUUUGAAAGGUGCCUCGUUCAAGUCCUAGCUAUAACUACUAGCUUUGAUUAAUUAAGUUCCUAUACUAGCUGAAACAGAUUUAUUUAAUUAAUUAAUUGUGUAUGUACUAAUUAUAUUGAAAGUAUAUGAAUUUUUUUUUUAACAUGAAUGACUUCUAAAUGACUUAAAAACCUAAAGGAUGUGUGAAACAAUGCUCAUUUCAUUUGAAUGAGCCCAUUAAUACUUUUAUGUCUAUGAUUUUCAAUAUUGGCUAAAGCAUUUCAGUUAAGUGGUUUACCUAACAGAGAAAAAAAUUUAAUAGAAAACUUCAGAGUUCUAACAGAAAUAUAGUUCACUAUGCAGAUAUAGUUAUUUUACGGUAUACAAAUCAAGUUGUCCUAAUCUCAAUGUCCUAUGACCGAUUUUAUUUUAUAUAGUCAUUAAUUUUUUCCUUGGUUUUUUGUGUUUAUGAGUAUGAAAUAGUGGGAUUUGGUGUACCUUAGCAUCUUUUGAAAAUUCUCUUUCAGUGUGGCCAACAGAAAUAUACAUAUAAUCAAGUUUCUUAAUCGUGUAUAUUAGUUUUGGGUAUGAAUGUUCCUAUUCUAGUUCUAGGCAAAGCUUCUUCGUUUUGGUCUUCAGAUUUCCAGUAGGUUAAGUUAAUCAACUAUCAUAACUGGCUAGCUAGUUAUUGUCUGCCUUGGCGCCAUUACCCAGGCCAUUAUAUUGCAUAGCAUAAGGAAUAGUGAUUAGGUGAUUAUUAGUGAUUUGUUGAGCUUAUUAUCGACCAAACAAACAUAUUCGCCUUUGCCCACAACUUAGUUUGAUUAGUUAUUAGACCAUAAAGAGCCUUGAUCUAUUCAUUGGCUUUAUUAUUUUUAUUUGGUUUUUCUUUCAACAAUAUUGUUGAUUUCUUAUAAAAAUAUUCAUUGGUUUUUAAACACCUAAUCAUUGGCUAUAUGAAGCUAAUUAAAACUGAGGCUUUGGAUCAAUUUCUUCUAACAAGAUACAAAUGAGCAUUAACCUAUCUCCUAUGAGUAAAUUUUUUUAAUAUCCUUGAUUUGUAAGGAUCUGGAGGCCUGAAAUCCUCUAGAUUUUUUUUAACACUGUCAAUGUUCUUUUUAUUCUGAGAAGGAAAUAAAAGGUUUUAUCUUUCAUACCCAAAUAGUAAGCUGGCCUUGUCUUAACAUGGCCUCCCGAGGACUUGCAAGAUUCAUAGUGCCCCCCACCCCAAAAAAUAAAAAUAAAAAACACAAAUAGGAAGAUUUUGCAAGAUUCACCACCAGGUUUUUUUUAAUUUGUUAAUUGUGUGUACGUGCUAGUUAUAUGUUGAAAGAAUAGGAAGAAGUAUUUCAACAUGAAUGACUUAAAACUUAUUGCUCAGUAAACAUAAUCUGCAUGUAUUUAUCGUUUGUAUUUUUUAUGGUUUUGCUAAAGAAAUGAUAUGUGAAAUAAUGCUACAUUGCAUCAGGAAUAAAUUGAAGAGAUUUAUGAUAUUUAUGUGUUAUUCAAAUUUCAGAUUCAAUUUUAAACUUUUGAUACGUGCAUUGAAAGCUUAGACUUGUUUAAGAAAUUAUUAAUAGACACAUGUUUUUAUUAGUGUCAUCUUUGGAUGAUAGUGAGGAUCAUAUGUCUAUUAAUAAUUCUUGAAUUGUCCAGGCUUGGACAGUUUGGGAAUGCAUAGUUCACUCUGGUAGCUAGUAGCUGAAGUUUUUUCCCACGUAAAAAUGGGUUUUUCAGUAGCUGCUCCUCGUGUUCUCUGGGUACGUACUAGGUGAAUGGGUGUCAUGUGUUGUUUUGGCAUAACGCAUAAACACUUAUAUAGCUAUGUCGUGUGCUUGGAGAAUUAUAGGGAGAUGGUGCCGAAAUUUUUAUAAACGUGGAAGAAAACUUUAGGUACUUGAGAUUGAAGAAACUUAUGCAUUCUUGAGUGGGAUAUGUAGGAUUACUUACCUUUUGUAAAUAUGAAGGGAAUGUUGGAUAUAUUGGGGAUAGUGUAGGAGCUGAGUUGGAUGAAUGUAAUUGGUGAUGAUUUUGCUGAGCUGACCUUGGUUUUGAGCUUGUAAUUUUGUUUGUAAAUGGAGUGCUAUCUCCAAUGUUGGUUUAUAAAUAUGUUUCAGGACUUGCUGACCUAAUUUUUUGUUUCUAGGUUACAGGCUUUAUAUAUCUGUAAUUGAUGGCGAAGUGAAGUUCCCAGCACUUGGCGAGGAUGUUUCUUUACAGAAGGUAUUGGAAACUGUUUUUUACAUUAAUUAUUGUUGUAUAUAUACUUUGAUUUUCACAUCUUUUUCUCUGAUUCUUGUGGCUUUGCUUGCUUUCAUAUAUGUAAAUUCUAAUGAAAUUAACCAUAAAAUUGUAAAAUGAUCUUUUUAUUAUAUUGCAAAACUGUGCACACACGAAAAUAUAUUGUUUAGUAGUAGAAAUGAAGAACUAAAAUGAUUUACUUAACUAAUUUUUGUAGCGCAUUAAAAGGAGAUAGUCAUGGACAAGUGUUGGGUUGGUUUGCCAAAUAGAUAUCCAAGUCAUAUACUGAUGGGGAUGAAAAAUUUAUAGAUUUUGCAUUUGAGAAUGUUGUUGGUGGUACAAGAAUUUAAUAUCCUUUUAAGAAGUGUUGUAAUCUAUAUUUCGUUAUAAGGAAAGUGGCUGAUGAUGAUAUGGUUGGAAUGAUACAAUGCAUCACGUAAUCAAAUGUUCAAGUUACACGCAGCAUUGUUAUGGACUAUCAGUGACUUUCUAGCAUUGCCAACUUGUCUGGGUGGAGUAUUAAAGGUAAAUAAGCAUGUCUUGUUUGCCAACAAAACACUAGAUCUAAUUGGUUGAUACAUAGUAGAAAAUUUUGUCACGUGGGUCACCGUCGAUUUUUACCAACAAAUCAUAGGUUUCCAAAAUAUAGUGUCUUUUGAUAAAACUAGAGAGUAGGGACCAGCACAUUCUCGGUUGUCUGGAUCUGAAGUGAAAAAGCAGUUUAAUAUACUUACUGAGUAUAAGAUUGAAGACUUGAAAAGAGGAGAAUGAAUAAAAUGAGAGAAAUGAUAAGAUUACUUGGAAGAAGAAAAGCAUAUUUUAUGAACUACCGUGUUGGGAGUUCAAUUUGAUUCAUCAUAAUCUUGAUCUCAUGGGCUGUUUUGAUUUUUGUUAUGAACUCAGAUCAAAAGUUUAAUGUGAUCAAAAUUUCUUAAAAAUAGUGAAAACGACUCCUCCUAAUAAUAUGGAAGAUGGCUAUAAAAGAUAAAAGGAAAGGCUUAAAAAGAAAAGCCAUGCCUGUCAAAAAAAAAAAAAAUCAACAAAAAUCAAAACGGUGCGUUUGAGAGUGUAUAAAAUACAUUUAGAGUGGGAGUUGUGUUGUUGCUUGAAGGCAGAAAGAUAUUUGUCGACGAAGCCAAAACCAAAGAUGAAGCCCAUAAAGCUCAAAACUCCACCGGAGCAAAUUCAGACAAUUACGAGGGUUAUGUUUGACAUAGUCAAGGAAGACGGUCCUCUCACCGUUGCAGAAACUUGGGAACGCGUCAAGGUGUGUGUAUCUGUUAAAUUGAAUUUCAACCGUUUGAUCUGUAAUUAUAAUUAAUCCAAUCGAUCUGACCGCGAUCACUGACCAUAAUACUAGUAGUUGUUUUACAUUUUCAGCAGGCUAGAGCGGGUGGAUUGACGGGCAAAAGCUCAGGCUCGUCUGCAAUCACAUGGGCCCUCAUAAGCAAAUCCUGUACACAACUUGGUUCACUAAACCCAACAACUUGAAGCAGCCAAAAUCAGGGAAUGAUCCUUCUCCGUCACAACCCUAGCUGCCUUAACCUUGUAGUGACACGGUGAAGAUGGAAGCCCCUCAGCAUGUAAACUUUUCAACAGCGACAGAGCUCUUAUUCCAGAGGCUGCACAGAAGAGCGACCUGAAUCCUCUUCAAAAUGUUUGUGAGAUAUUUGUCGACGAAGCCGAAACCAAAGAUGAAACCCAUAGAUCUCAAAAACUCCACCGGAGCAAACUCAGAGUUACGAGGGUUAUGUUAAAUUGAUUAUUAAUAUAAUAAAAAUAACAAUUCUCCAUAUGUUAUUUCUUAUUAAUUCUUAUAUAUAAAUUAAAUUGAUAAUUUCUUAAAAAUAACAAUUCUCCAUAUAUAAAUUAAAUUUAUUUUAAUUUAAUAUAUGUUAUUUUUAUAUUAAAUAUAUGUUAUUUUUAUUAUAUUAGUAAUCAAUUUAAUUUAUUUUUAUUCUUGAGUAAUGGAUUAAAUUUAUUUAGUUUGAAGAGAAAAUUUGACAAAAAUUAAAUGGAAAAAUUGGAUAAUGAAGUUAUAUUCAUAAUUUUAUUAAUAAUAUAGGAAUAAAUUGAACAAUGAACAAUUAUUUUUUAAUAUGCUAUAAGGGUAUAAUGGUAAAAUUAUAAUUUACUGUUAACAAAUGGGGGUCUCAGUGUCUUUUUUGAAACAUUAGGGGGUUUUGUGUCCCUUAUUCAAACGUUGGGGGUCUCUAUGUCCUUUUCCCAAAAAUUUAUAAACUGGAAAUUUAUAAUAAUCUAACUUAUUCUCGUUACUAUUAAAAAAUAAGUAAACAUAUCAAUAACAAUAUAGUUUAUUAUGAUUAUAAUUCAUUCAAUUAAAAUAAAUAAUUUAUUCUUAUUUCUAUUCUCUAUUCUAAUUUCAGUAAAUUUUGAUUUUAGUUUAUUUUAAUUAUUGAUUAGUUGUAAACUUAACUGGAAAUUUAUUGCAUAUAUUACGAGAAGCAGUACACACCAAUGGUAAAUUGAUACAUCGUUUUUGAGCUUAAGAUAGUCAAAUGAAAGAAACACAACGUAGGGUUCAUGAAACACUUUCAAAGCUGCUGAUGACUUAAAGUGAAUAACCUCAGCAUGUAAACUUAACUUCAAAGGACGGAGCACAAGUUUCACAGAAAAACAGCUCUUAUUUCUGAUGCUGCGAACACAGAGGAGUGACCUCAAUCUUCUUCAUCACUUGGGAAUUCUGCAAUUAUAGAGCACGACAUUGAGCAUGAACUAGAAAAAAUAUUUAUUUUCUACAAUUUUCAUAUAAUAAUUCAUAUGUUUUUACUGUCAUCACUUUAGAAAAAACUAAUUUCUCAAUGUGAAAUGGCCCAUAAAAAGUAUUCUCAUUUAAAAACUAAAUUUGACAAACCCCUCGAUUAAAGCAGGGGAGAGAAAAAAAAAAAAAAAGAUCUGAAGGCUUUCCAUGAAAAUGUUGUCACUUUGGAUGAUAUUUUCAAGGGAUUUCAUUCUAAAAAUAAAAUACCUGGGACCUUAUUCUUCAAAUUGACAGCUCGCCCAGUACUAAACGCGUAUGAGAUCAGUACUGGGACAAGUAACGAGACGACCCCUCCAACAGCUGAAAAUAAAAUUCGCAUUCAUCAAUUUAAAUUGAAAUUCAUAUUAUGAAAUUAAAACUAAUGAUUAAUGAAUUUUCAAGGAAUUUAAUAAGAUUCUCAUAUAUAAACGUGAUAAAAAAUUCACUCAUCAAUAACAAAUAUUCUAACAUUUUGUUGAUGUAAUUGUUGUAUGGUUGUGUUAAGGUCAUUAUUAGACCAACGCAGUUUGUCAUCACUCAUUCCGUACCAGACGUUUACUCUCGGAGGCGUGAUUGAUUCUCCUUUGGUGAAAAUCUUCAUCUUCGGACAACCAAUCACAGUAAGAUAUUCCAAAGAUGGGAAUUUGAAGGCGUAAUUGCCAGAGGAGAAGCUUGUGAGACUAUCUAAAUCAAACAGGGACAACGUAGUCAGUUUGCUGAAAACAAUCUCUUCUUUUAAAUAUGCUGUUUCAUUUCAAGACUGGCAAAAUUCAUUGUGUAAUCAAAGUUUUCAAUGAUCCAACUAAUAUAUAUAUAUAUAUGUAUGUAUAUUCCUUCUCUAGUGCAGACAUUCUCAUUUUUUUUUUUCAUGUGGACCAGUUUUUAGAUCCCCUGGUUUAAAAGAGUUAGUUUUUAACUCUUUAAAACCGCAUGGCUUCAUAAUUUAUUUAAAAACUAACUCUCUUAAACCGCACGGUUUAAAAGCGUGUCCACAUUAAAAAAAAAUACGGACCCCCACACCUGAGAAUGAUUAUAUAUAUAUAUAUAUAUAUAUAUAUACACACACGCUCUUAAACCGUGGGAUUUGAAAGCUUCUCCGCAUGAAGAAAGUAAAAAAUAAGGGCAUUCCCACUAGAAACAAACUCCAUAUAGGUAUUUAUUAAACCUCCUGAUCUGUGAGUGAGGAACAACAAAUAUAAUUGAUAAAAAAAAUCUAAAAUUUGGUUUCAUACCUUCUUGAACGAGAACAGGGGUUGUUGUGCCGGAAUACCAAAUUGAUCAUUCUCGUUAUUCUGGGACAACGUUAUUUUAUCACAAUUACAGGCCUCCAAUGUUUUUUAGUGCUGGCCAUUCUGAAGUAUGCAUUCCAGGGUAUAAACAUCUGAGUUCUGGUAGACCUUCGAGAUUCAGAGUGGUCACUUGUGGAAAGACAAAAUAUGGGGUCACUUGAUCUGCUCUGUCUUUGGAGAUGAUCUCUUGUAAACCCAUACAUAUCCGUAUCUCCAGGUGUUGGAGGUGCUCAAGGCUUUGGAUCAUAGAAGCUGAAAAUAUGUAUUUUAAUUUGUCACAGCCCCACACUAUCAAUCGUGUCAAACUUUGAAAGCCGCAAGUUGAUUGUCAUGCAAAAUCUCGUCGACAUUAAUAGCAUUCAGCUCCAAAGCCUCCAAAUUUGGCAACACUACCUGAAGAUAAUUUUCUCUUUAGAUCCAAUAUCCGUAUGGAAAGCACUUGUUUUGACACAAUAUCCAUAUAAGAAGCACUUAAUUAAGAGCUUAAUUAGCGAGUGUAUGAGACUUUUUUUUUUCAAAUGCCAGUGCAUGAUAGAACUAAAAAAAAAAAAGAAGCAUUAGCCUACGUACCUUCUCGUUGAAAAGCAGAGUUGACGUUUCCGAACUGAUCUCGUUGGAACUGGCUGUCAAUUCCUCUUGCGACUCUUGUCUGUUUGGUGAUGUGGAAGAAGUCUUCACUUCACCGCAAAACCUUGUAACCUUUGGAAGCUUUCCCAGACUCAAAGAUCUUAAUUGACCAAACUCUAUCUUCCCAUCAACAUCAACAUCAGCUUCUCCUCCAGUUGCAAAAAUCUCUUCCAUGCUGCUGCAAUUGAUAACUGCAAUCCUCUCCAGUCUUGGAAGGCAUUUUGUACUACUAGAGAGCCAGAAGAUAUUACUCAACUCAUCACAAUUUUCUACUUUUAUGGUUUUGAGUUCAUUGAAGGACUCUAUUUUGAGUCGAUCAAUACAUAUCCUCUCCAUAUUGAUCAAAUUUUGAAGAGUAUGGGACUCCAAAAGAGGAAAGGCGACACAUGGUUCUCUCUCCAUUGAAUCGACGAUACACAGGAAGUCUGGAUUAUUUUGAACAUGGAGAUGCUUCAAUUGUGAAAAGCCCUCAGUGUCCAAUUCUAAAACAACAUUCUUGAUUCCUUGCAACUUAUCCAAACAUAAGUAUUCAACGUUAUUGAUGCGCUGCAACUUCUCGGAGCAAAUGGCCAUAGAAUCAAGCUUGAGCUUCAAUGUUCUUAAACUCUCAUGAUUACUGAUCAUAAAGUGCUGCCGACUUUCAAACCAAUCAUUAUGCUGAAAUCUGCUCGCCCUUGGACCGACCAGAUUCUGUCACCAACGUUUGUGUUAUCAACUGUCACUCGAACCACUGGGGUUGGAAUCGCCCUUCCCUCUCUCACUAGACCUGCGUUCAGCAAAAACGGAUCAGAGACGCCGGUGGUUUUGCCGGCGUAAACCCUCCGAUGCCUAAGUUAGCACAAGGUGUUUACGGGAAAACAGUGUAAUAUGGAUUUAAGAAAUUUGUAAGGAAAUGGCCUGGUUGCAAUUUGGCAGCGUUUCCCCUCUCUCAGUUUUUCUGUCCUGUCUUCUUCGAUGUCUUUCUCUUUUAUAGCCGCCCUUUGUCCCACGUUUUUCGUUUGCCCCUUAUCCCUCCUUUUUCGGGUGGUGGUAGCCCCUCAUGGGACUCUAACUGCCAGAUUGUGGGCAAACGUGGAUCUCGCGUGUCCUUCAACCGCUCUGGGAGAAGCGCAACUACCGCGAUUUUGUGAGAUCGUGUUCCCGCUUUCCUGGGGAUGAGUAUCGGCUCGGCGUAUAUUUAUGGUCGGUAUGUUUUCCUGGUCGCAUUCAUCUCGGGUCGGCUCUUGUUUAACCCCGUGUUCUGCUCGUACCAUAUAGCUGGAACGAUCCGUGCCGGGGUGGAACCAGUAACAUGGCCGACCUGGUGCCUUUAUGUACUCAACACCAGUCCCCCAGUUUCUGGUCUGGCGAGUGAAAUGAGUUAAGAGUAGAAACUGAUGGUCAAAUCUCACCAGCCCGGGGAGCUUCUCGUCUGAUCCUCUUUUUAUUGAGACGGGCCUGACCUGAUGUACCAUUUCUCUACUGAGGAGACUCCGACCUGAGCGUGGGCCUAAGUGAACCUGCCCAUAGCAUAUCUGGGCUUACUUCUAACCUGGCCUCUUGUAACGGUUGGUGAUGUGGCAUCUCCAGACUCUUCGUAUUUGAAAUUUGAAACGACGGGCUAUCCGUCCUCGAUAUAUGGGGGGUGAGCUGGCAUAUCCCAUCACUGAAAUGCUUCCAUUUCCCCCUUUUCGUUUCAAAUCCCUAGACUGGAGUCAUCAUUAUCUUGCUAUUCGUUUCUCCGUCGUCAACCAAAUUUUCUCUGAACUUUGCUCACACUUCCAGCGUCCGGAGUAUCCAUUCGCCGGGUGUUUUCUCUGUCACGGCGGCGCUAUCAGUGUCAGUCUAUUCCAGGUAUAGUCUUUAACCUUUUCCUCUGGUUGUUGUUGAUUGGGUUCUGUGUUGCCUUCUUUGUGUCCAUAUACUCGAGUUUUCUCUGUUUUCUUUUGGGGAUUUCGGUAUGUCGAAUCGGAAGAGGAAGUUAAUUGUUGAUGAGGGUGAUGAAGAGUCAGGGGACUCAGGCCUCAAUGUGCCAAUACCCACUGAUUACUUGGGCCCCUCCAGUAGUGUAGGUCCUUCCCAUGGCAGGGAUACCCUUGAAUACCCACGCCCUUUGGUUAUCUCUCCUUCCCCCGAACUAGAGCUUGUAGGGAAUAGAGGUGGACCUGCGUCGGGCUCUGGUGAGAAUCACAGUUCUGGUGGGGUUGGGGUCCCUGAAGGAGUUAGUGAUGGUGAGGGAAGCGGUUCCGGACCAAGCAGACCUGCUCAGAAAAGGAAACUAGGCCAUAGGGUGGAGGCUGAUUCCUACCCUAUUGAUUUCAUGGCUUGUGCCACCACCCCCACCGAUCUAUUUAAACUUAGGAAUCUCUACAACAUCCCCAACGAUGUUCUUCUUGUAGUCCCUGGGAAGGGUGACGUUCCUAGUCGGCCUCCGCAGGGGUAUGUGACGAUGCACCUAGAGAGUUUUAAACUAGGAGCUCGGCUGCCCCUUCAGCGUUAUUUUGCCAAGAUAUUGGGAGGUAUGCACCUGGCCCCAGGUCAGCUACACCCGAACGGGUGGAGGGUUCUAUCGGCUAUGUUUGUGUUGUGGGAGAGGUGCGGGUUGGAGGAGCCUUCCCUUGUUGAAGUGAAGCAUUUGUAUCAGCUGCGGAGCAGCCCAAGGGAGGCGGGCUGGUACUACUUCAUGUCCAGUUCUGCAAAGAGAAAGCCAAUCACCGGUUUCCCCUCCUCGUGCAAGAAUUGGAAGAACAAAUUCUUCUUUGCUGGGGGAAAAUGGUGUUCAGCACUUCGUUCGUUGGGUGGUGAUCUUUACCUACCAACGCAGUUUGUCACCCCAGGUCGUUCAUUUUUUGCCUGUAUUCUUUUUCGAACUGCCACUUAUUGGGUUCUUUAACCUUGUUUGUUAUUUCAGAGUCAUGGGGUUUGAUCGGGGGGCUUGAAGAUCGACCCUUGCUUCAGGUGGAAACUGCUCUGGUGAACGCUUCUACUUGCCAAGACCUCCUGUCUCCAACAAACUUGGUCGGUUCGGGCCUAGUGGAUAUAGCCGCUGGAAUGGAUAACAAGAUCCUCAGCGCGAUGAGCAGGAAGCGUGGUCGGGCCCCGAGCAGCUCCAGCAACCCUCCUCCUCCUCCGAAGAAACCUACCGUCGGUCCUUCCAAGGCGCCUGUUCCUGCUCUGCCUCCUCCUCCACCUCGUAAGAGUGGUGGGGAGAAAACCUCGGACAAGAGUCCUGAGGUCAGCUUGCAAUCUGGGGACCGAUCUUCUCCUCUCCCAUCUCGGGAUCAAGGUGAUUACCUGAGUCCAUAUCAGAAGGAUUAUAAAAAAUCGGUUGGGCCUAAGAUGGUGAAGGACAUCGAGAGCAUGAGCCUCUCCGAGUUGGCUGCUUCUGUUCAGAGAGUCUCCUUUAGGCUGGCCACAAUGGUCUCGUGCUACAAGACCGGGUCCGCGCGUCAUGAGAAGAAGCUUCAAGCUAACAAUCAGGAGUUGAAAAGGAAAGCUGAAUCUGCUGACCGCUCCAGGGAGAAACUAGCCGAGCUGAACAAGCAUAUUAUGGAGCUGGAGGAGAAAGUUGCGGUUGCUGAGUCCACUUCCUACAAGCUUGAGGGCGAGUUGAAUGAUCUGAAGUCCGAUCUUCAGGCUACUCAAAGUGAGAGAGAUACUCUGAGGACCGCCCUUGAGGGAGAGAUCAAAUCCCUGAGUGACCAGCUGGCUGAAGAGAAAGGCAAAUCUGCUGAUGUAGAUGAUCGGCUGGAUGCUGAGUAUGACUCCGGGGUUGCUUUCAGCUAUAAGUGCAUCAUGUCUGUGCUCACGGAAGAAUACCCCGAGCUCGAUAUGAGCAAGCUGGAGACUGGGGUGGAGAGAUAUAUGGCUGGGGCCGGCCAGGGAGAUAAGGAGCAGGGUGAGCAGGAUCGGGUGGAGGUUCCUUCGGGUGGGGUGGAAGAGGGGGAUGCUGGGGGACGCACUUUCGAAAUGGGUCAAGGGUCCAUGCCUCCUCCUCCCGGUAUUGCUGAUCUCCCACCUCCUGAUGUUGCUGAUCCCUCACUUCCCGGGCUCGCUGAUCCUUCAGCCGCUGGAGCCGUUGACUCUGCUAAGCUUUGAGCCUAUUUUUGUAUAGACUCUAGAUUUGCAUUUGUUUUGUAAACAAUUGAACAUUUAUAAAAAGAUUUUUAAAUGCUCUUUAUUUGCUUUCUUGUCCGGUUUUUGCUCAUAGAUUGUAUCUUAGUUUUGCCUUUCGUAGGAUUAACUGCUGGUCCUUCGUUGACCGAGCCGAAGUAGGCAUUUGCUUUAGUAGAUUUCUUGUAGAGUUAGCUGCUGGUCUUGCGUUGACCGAGCAGAAGUAGGCACUUACUUGCCUUGGUAGAAUCUUCGUAACUUUAGCUGCUGGUCAUUCGUUGACCGAGCCGAAGUAGGCACUUGCCUUAGUAGAGUUUUCGUAGCUUUAGCUGCUGGUCUUUCGUUGACCGAGCAGAAGUAGGCACUUGCCUUAGUAGAGUUUUCGUAGCUUUAGCUGCUGGUCUUUUGUUGACCGAGCAGAAGCAGGCACUUUGUUGCCUUAGUAGAUAUUUUGAAGCUUUAGCUGCUGGUCUUCGUUGACCGAGCAGAAGUAGGCACUUGCCCUAGGAGAGUGUUCGUAGCUUUAGCUGCUGGUCAUUCGUUGACCGAGCAGAAACAGGCACUUUGUUGCCUUAGUAGAAAUUUUGAAGCUUUAGCUGCUGGUCUUCGUUGACCGAGCAGAAGUAGCACUUGUCUUAGUGAAAUUUUUAUUGAUCUUGCUAGCAGGGGGAUUUCAUGCUGAAUUCAUCUUUAUUGAAAUUUGAAUGUAUUACAAAAACAUAGAAUAUAUGCAUGUGCGACAGGCCAUCAGGCAUUGUAACAGAAAUAACUUGCCAGAGUGAGGAUUUAAUAGAGCAUUUUGCUUACUGGAAGUACUUCUUCAGGUGUUCGGCGUUCCAUGAUCUCUUCACGUCUCGUCCGUCUUGGCACGCUAAUUUAUAUGCUCCUGGUCCAGUGGCUCGUAUCACUCGGUAUGGGCCUUCCCACUUUGGGCCAAGAGCGCCAUGGUUAGGAUUCCUGGUGUUCUGGUUCACCUUCCUAAGUACCCAAUCUCCUGCUCGGAACUGCCUCACGCGUACAUUCUUGUUGUAAUAACGCAUGACCCUUUGCUGACAUUGGGCCACUUUCUGCGAGGCCCCUUCCCUUUUCUCCUCCAGCAGGUCUAGGCUUAAGCAGAUCUGCUCGUCAUUUUGCUCCUCAACGAAAUGUUCCGUUCUAUGUGUCCCCACUCCAAUCUCUGUUGGGAUUACCGCCUCAUGACCAAAAGCUAAAGCGAACGGUGUUUCUCCUGUGGCGGUUUUGUGAGUUGUCCUGUAGGCCCACAGUACCCCUGGUAGCUCGUCAACCCAAGCUCCCUUCUUCUCCCCCAAUCUAGUCUUUAGGAGCUUCUUUAUCACCUUGUUGGCUACUUCCACUUGCCCAUUUGCCUGGGGGUGUGCGGGGGUGCAGAACUUCAGGUCCACCCCCAGGUUUUGGCAAAAUUCCCUGAAGUUGCCGUUGUCAAAUUGCCUCCCAUUGUCUGUGAUGAUGGCGUAGGGGAUCCCAUAUCUGCAGAUGAUGUUUUUCCAAAUAAAAUCUGUUGUCUUCCUCUCUGUGAUCUGGCUGAGGACUCCUACUUCCACCCACUUGGUGAAGUAGUCUAUUGCCACGAUUGCAUGUGUCGCCGCUCCUCGUCCCUUUGGUAAUGGACCAAUCAAGUCGAUUCCCCAUUGAGCGAAAGGCCAUGGGGAUGUCAUAGCCGUCAGUUUCUCCGGUGGUUGUGCAGGAACCUCGGAGAAGCUUUGGCAUGUUUUACAAUUCUUGGCCAUUCUUUUGGCAUCCUGGUGCAUGGUUGGCCAGAAGUAUCCUUGCCGAAGUGCCUUGAAAGCUAAAGUUCUUGCUCCCGAGUGAUUGCCGCAUAUUCCCUCAUGAAUCUCUCUCAGCACAUAAUCCGCCUCCUCAUCAUCCAAACAUCUCAAAAGGGGUAAGGUGAACCCUCGGCGGUAUUGCACUCCAUCUAGUAGCGUGUACCUCGCUGCUCGGCAUUUUAACUUUCUUGCUUGCCUUUUGUCUUCCGGUAAAACUCCAUCGCGGACAUAUGCGCGAAUCGGGUCCAUCCAGGAUUCUCCAAUAUUUACACUCAUCACCUCUGCUUCUUCCUCAAUACUUGGUGAGGUCCUUACCUCUAGUGGAACUGACUUCGGUAAUUUUGGAUCUGCGAUGGCUGCCAUCCUAGCCAGCAUAUCGGCUCGGAAAUUCUCAUUCCGGGAUAUCUGCUUUACCUCCACUACUUGGAAAAGCCCAACCAUCUGCUUCGCCUUCUUCAAAUAAAGACCCAUCUUCUCUCCCCUCGCUUGAAACUGACCAUUGAGCUGAUUACACACCAAUUGGGAAUCUGCUCGAAUUUCUACUCUCUCUGCUCUGAGAGCGUGUGCAAGUCCGAGCCCGGUGAUAAAGGCUUCGUACUCAGCUUGGUUGUUUGUGAGCUGAAAUUCGAACUUCACCGCGUAUGUUACCUCAGUUCCCUCUGGGCUCCUUAUUACAACUCCUGCUCCGGAUCCUUGCUCACUACAUGAUCCGUCAACCAUUACCAGCCAUAUCUCCUUUGAAUCCUCGUGCUCUACCGGUUGUUCCUCUUGGACCUCUUCCCCCGGUUCAACACGGUCCACCAUAAAAUCUACCAGGGCUUGGGCCUUGAUUGCUCCUCGGGGCCUGUAGGAUAGGUCAAAUUCGCUCAGCUCCACGGACCAUUUUACUAACCGACCAGACGCAUCUGGUUUUUGAAGUACUUGCCGAAGUGGCUGGUCAGUCAUCACAAUGAUCUGGUGGGCUUGGAAGUAUGGUCGGAGUUUGCGUGCUGCCAUUAUCAAAGCCAGCGCCCACUUCUCCAUUAGUGGAUAUCUGGUUUCUGCGUCCACCAGGGCCUUGCUUGUGUAGUAUACCGGGUGUUGCUUCCCUUCUACUUCCCUGACUAAGACCGAGCUGGUAGCCUGCUUAGAGAUUGCCAAGUAUAAGAGCAGCUGGUCACCCUCUCUCGGAGUUGAUAGUAACGGGGCGUGGGCUAGAUAUUCCUUCAGCUGUCCAAAUGCCUCCUCGCAUUCCGGUGUCCAUUCCAUCUUCUUCCCUUUCUUUAUGACUUGGAAGAAAGGGUGACAUUUAUCAGUGGCUCGCGAAAUGAAUCGGUUCAAUGCUGCCAACUUCCCCGUAAGGCUCUGCACCUCCUUAGCUGUUCGUGGGGACUUCAUUUCUAUCACCGCCCGUAUAUUUUCUGGGUUGGCUUCAAUACCUCGAUGGCUCACCAGGUAUCCCAAAAAUUUGCCCGAGCUGACCCCAAAUGCACAUUUCUCCGGGUUCAGCUUCAUUUUGUACCUCCUCAGCAAUUCGAAAGUCUCUUUUAAGUGCUUCACAUGGUCUUUCGGUUCUCUUGACUUGGUGAUCAUAUCGUCCACAUAUACUUCCAUAGUGCGACCGAUCAAUGGUUUGAAGACCUUGUUCACUAACCUUUGAUAGGUAGCUCCUACAUUUUUCAGGCCAAAGGGCAUCACCCUGUAACAAAACAAACCCAUGUUAGUUAUAAAUGUGGUGCUCUCCUCAUCCUGCUCGUUCAUGGGUAUCUGGUUGUAUCCGGAGAAGGCAUCCAUGAAACUGAGUAGACUAUGACCCGCGGUUGAGUCCACCAGCUGAUCUAUUUUUGGUAGGGGAAAGCUGUCCUUCGGGCAUGCCUUAUUGAGGUCCGUGAAGUCUACACACAUUCUCCACUUCCCAUUGGCCUUCUUUACCAAUACCACAUUGGAAAUCCACUCCGGGUACUUAGCUUCCCUUAUAAAUCCUGCUUUCAGCAGCUUUUCCACCUCGGCAUUUAUGGCUUCGUACCUUUCAUGGUUGAAGCACCUCAUUUUCUGCCUCACCGGCUUUGCCCCUCUCUUGACCGCCAGCUUGUGACAAGCUAUCCCGCGGUCAAUACCUGGCAUAUCCUCAUGAGACCAAGCAAAUAUGUCUGCAUGGGACUGUAGACACUUCACCAGCUCUGUCUUUAUUUCUCUACCCAAUUCUGAUCCGACCUUUACAACUCUGCUAGGGUCGCUCCUGCUUACAACAACUUCCUCCAGCUUCUCAACCAGUUCCUGACUACCAUUUUUUGAAUCCCUUCGGUUAUCUAGCGAGGUAACUUGCAGCGUUUCCUUGGCCGCUGUAGCAUAGCAGCUCCUGGCCAUUCUCUGGUCGCCCUUUACUACACCCACAACUCCAUUUAUUCUGUACUUCAGCGCCAGAUAAUGCGUUGACAUUACACAUUGGCUUAUCCUCAUGAACGGUCUCCCCAAUAUCAUCUGGUAAGGACUUCUUUCCUCUACCACUACAAAGUCCAGCAUCAUCGUUCUUUCAAGUGGCUUUGUCCCUACAGUAAUCGGGAGUUCAAUGACCCCCAUGGGAGUUAACCGUCCCCCUCCAAAUCCCUUCAAGGAUGUAUUCGUUCGCUCCAGCUUUAAAUCUAAAAUCCCCAUAUCAUCUAAGGCCGACUUAAACAGAAUGUCUACUGAGCUGCCCGUAUCUACCAGUAUUCACCGUAAUUCUGUACUGGCCACAAAUGCUUUAAUCACCAGCGCAUCCUCGUGAGGGUAUAAAAUGCCUUCUUCGUCGUCCUCUGUCCACAUAAUAGGAACUUGCCGCACUUUUUCCCUCUUGGCUGCUGGCAAAUUGAAAAGCACUUCUUUGCUAGUCAGGGCGUAUCUCCCAUAGUUCUUCCGUGCCCUGUUUGAAUCCCCGGCCAAUGUUGGCCCUCCUGCUAUAACUUGGAUAGUCGGCUGUUCUUGUUCCAAACCCCUUUCAACUCCUUCAUCCUGUGCAUAUUGCGACUCACUGACGGGGAACACUCCAUCUACGUACUCAUCCAAGUAUUGGUUCCUCACCAAAUCCUCCACCUGAAUCCUUAGGUCACGGCAUUGGCUGAUAGUAUGACCGUGAGUGUUGUGGAAUUUGCAGAACCUGCUCUUAUCACGCCGGUGAGCGGGUUUCGUUAUAGGGGUCGGAGUAUACAGCAGUCCUCGUCCCUCGAUCCUUUCGUAUAGUUCCUCCAUGGAGAUUUUUAAAGGAGUAUAUCGUCGAUAUGCCGCGCUCUGGUCAACCAACUGAACUGCUCGGCUAUCAUGGACAUCACUUCGGGCUGGUAUAGCCGGUAACUGCUCUGGUCGGCCAGACCUGUGAUUGGUCGCGUUUACCUCUCUGGGAGUGCGGUGGUAAGGGUGGGCAGUCACCUGCCUGAAUUCUCGCUGCCGCUCUGGGAUCGGGGGGCGCAGAGGUUGAGCCCGGCUGUGUUGGAACUGUUGUGCUCUCUGAGCUAUGGGGUAAGGGCGAGACCGAGCUGAUAUUCCGCCCAUCCCCGAAGAUUCUCCAGUUCGCUUUCCCGACCCGCUCCCUUUCGGGGCUCUCCGUUCUCUUCGCCUCAGCUCUUCCAGCUGUUCACUUUUAAUUCUUGCUGAUUUUUCCUCUUCGAUUUCUAUGUCUCGUUUCGCUUGCUCAUACCCCGACGAGUAAUUCUGUACGAGGGGGCUUCUUAAGUUAUACCACAAUCGGCCGAUUCUUACACCUUCUUUUAAUCCCCUCAACGCCUGCGGGUGAUUAAAAGCUCCCAAAUCCAGCACGGCUCGGUGAUAUCGUUUUACGAAAUCGUGAAGGGAUUCAUGCUCCUCCUGCUUCAUCCCCAUCAGCUCCAUCAUGUCAUCCUCUGGGGCCACCGCCCCUCGGAACUGCUCGGCCAACUCCUGGCACAUCUGCUCAUACCCCUUUAUUCCUCCUCGGGGCAGCUUGCGGUACCAUUCUCGGGCUCGUCCCUCUAGUGUCAACGGGAACACCCUGCAUCUCUGAGCUGGUGUCAGCCCCUGCACACCCGUCAUGUCGUUGAAACGCUCAAUGUGCACCAACGGGUCACUUCGCCCGGAGUAUUUAAGGUCAGGGAAGCGGAAAUCUCUUGGGAUUAUGGUGCUCAUGAUCUCAAUUGAUAACGGAGAUUCUUCAUCUAGCAUUAUCCUCCAGCUCGGGGGCUUUCUCUUGCCCUGCAUCUCCUCUAUCACCUGCGCCAAUCUGCGCACCUCCCCCUCCAAUUCUAUAGCGCGAUCAGGGUCACGUGCAGCUAUCUGGUCUCUCUCCUGCUCGACGUUCUGCAACCGUUGUCUGAGCUCUCCUUCAUCAACACUGGCCCCUCGGCCAUUUAUUUCCAGUACCCGUCCGGGGCGAGGUUCGUCUCUCCCUUCAUCCACGUGUUCCCCUGGGACCCGGCCAGUACUUCGGUGGGGAUGCACUCCAUUAGGUUGGUCUGCGGGUGGAGGGAUUUCCCCGACCCUACGCCCCCGGAGACUGGGUUCUGCUCCAACUCCAUCUCUUCCCACGGGGGUUUCAUAAUCCCUUCUCCGCUCGUCCCUCAGCUCAAACAAUACGGCCGCGAGAGUCUCCAUUUGUUUCUCCAUCCGCUCCAGUCUAUCUUGCAUCAUCCUCUCUCGGGCUUCAUUUGCUAUCUCCCGUAGAGUGAUUGUCUCCACCGUUUCAUUAUCCUCCCUUACAGUAUCCUUUCUUGACGCAUCCAUAUCUAAUCGUUCGCUACUUCUCAGGUAAUUACUAACUUGGUGGUAGCUUUUUAUUCAGCUCCCCACAGACGGCGCCAAAAUGUUGAUGCUGAAAUCUGCUCGCCCUUGGACCGACCAGAUUCUGUCACCAACGUUUGUGUUAUCAACUGUCACUCGAACCACUGGGGUUGGAAUCGCCCUUCCCUCUCUCACUAGACCUGCGUUCAGCAAAAACGGAUCAGAGACGCCGGUGGUUUUGCCGGCGUAAACCCUCCGAUGCCUAAGUUAGCACAAGGUGUUUACGGGAAAACAGUGUAAUAUGGAUUUAAGAAAUUUGUAAGGAAAUGGCCUGGUUGCAAUUUGGCAGCGUUUCCCCUCUCUCAGUUUUUCUGUCCUGUCUUCUUCGAUGUCUUUCUCUUUUAUAGCCGCCCUUUGUCCCACGUUUUUCGUUUGCCCCUUAUCCCUCCUUUUUCGGGUGGUGGUAGCCCCUCAUGGGACUCUAACUGCCAGAUUGUGGGCAAACGUGGAUCUCGCGUGUCCUUCAACCGCUCUGGGAGAAGCGCAACUACCGCGAUUUUGUGAGAUCGUGUUCCUGCUUUCCUGGGGAUGAGUAACAUUCUUGAUUCCUUGCAACUUAUCCAAACAUAAGUAUUCAACGUUAUUGAUGCGCUGCAACUUCUCGGAGCAAAUGGCCAUAGAAUCAAGCUUGAGCUUCAAUGUUCUUAAACUCUCAUGAUUACUGAUCAUAAAGUGCUGCCGACUUUCAAACCAAUCAUUCUCAAUAACCAGGGUAGAGUCGAAUGAUGCAUCUCCUAUUGAUAUAUCAAACCUUUCCAGCUUUUUGGAAAAAAAGCCAUCCGGUAAAAUGCUAUCAUUUUUAACAUCUAUCUAAGGUGGUCAAUCGCCUCAUAUGCAUCAAUUCGUCGAGGGUGGCAUUACUUCUUUCACUAUUGGCCUUUUCAACUUCCCAUUCAAUAGGGGAAUUACCCAUAUACAGUUCUUCCAAUCGAGUGAAGCUUGAUAAGACGUUGGGCACAAUAAAUUUUAGUUGCAAACAAUCUGUUAAAUCUAACAGCCUUAACUUAGUCAGUUGACCUAGUUCGCCAGGCAACCGUACAAUAUCAGAAUUUAAAAAGCUAAGGAUUUCUAGAUUCUUCAACUUUCCAAUUAUGGCUAUGUCUCCCAACAUGCUUUGAUCUAGACAGAGUGUUUGAAGAUUUGCUAGAAGACCGAUUGAAGAUGGCAAUGAAAAUAAUCGCAUUCGUGUCAAAUCUACAACUCGAAGCUUUUUCAGCCCUUUGAAAAUGUUGUCAGGAAUAUUGACCUCAACAAAAGUGUUUUGGGAAAUAUGUAAAAAUUCAAGUUGCAGACAUUCAAAUUCCUCAGAAACUUCAUGAAUGCUACUAUUUAGUAAAGAGAUUGCAUAGCAUUUUUUAAGUGCAUCCUCAUCUGGCCACUCCCACACAGCCUCAUUUCUCACCAAUAAAGCAUGUUGGUCUCGAUUUAAACUUUAACUCAAUUUGAAAAACUGAGCAAGUAUGCGUUACAGGAAAUCAAAAAAGCUCCACAUACCCAGAUCAUGAUCUCACGUUGAAUCCAGGUGGGAGAUAUAUUUAUGAUCAAGCCCAACAUCGAAGGGGGCAAAAAAAAAAAAAAAAAAAUCUACCAGACAUAUGAUCAUAUUGACCACGAGCUUCAUACGCCGUGGAUUUAUUAACAAAAGUGGGAAUUAAUUAAUCAUGAGCAUGUGUUCUAGUUAAGUCAAAAGAGAGACUUAAUUAAGAACGCAUAUAUAAUUCAUAAUCAGCACAUAAAAAGAUCACUAGUGCUUGCCCCUCCUGCCCUUGCCGUGCUUGCCGUGCUUGCCCCUGCCCUUGCCCUUUCCAUGCUGGUAGUAGCCGCCGUGCUUGCCGUGUGUGUAUGCACCGUGAGCUCCAGGAUAUGCGUUAUUAUCUGCAACAAAAUAAGAAAUUAAAUCAUAAGCUUAUAAUUAGCUCGCUCGCUAAGAGUGAUUAAAAUAAUACCGUGCGGAACGGAUGGGCCAGGAUAUCCCGUUGGUGUGUAACCACUGGCGAGUGCUGCUCCUGUAGGCGGGUAGCCGGCACCGGCUGGGGCAGCAUGAUCAGCACCUUCCAUGAUUUUGAUGAUCACCUAAUAAAUAAUAACUUGGUCCAAAAUAAACAACAAUAAAUAAUUGUGAUUAAUAAAAAGUAAUAUAUUCUCUAAUUAAAACAUUAAUGAUCAUUGGAGAGCAAGCGAGAAAUACUUACUGAAUGCGAUGGGACAGACAACAUCAUGCAUAGAGAAUUGUUCAUCUUCAACGAAUUUGGCUGCCCGGUCAAUGAUGCCGUUAGCACUAACCAGCCACUUCUCAACCUUCUCUUCAAUCUCUUCCCCUUUUUCUUUUGCCUCUGAAACUCUGCGCCGAAUGCUCGUACGUUCAACCUUCAACUUCUCCAUUUCCGUCUUGAGAUUCUCAAGGUUGGCAUUGUAGUUCCGCUUGCGCAAAUAAACAAGUUGGCGUUCUGUUGGAGGAGCCAAGCAUUUUACAAGUUCCAAAACGAGAGUAACAAUGAUUUCCAGCAUCUUGAAUCCUGACAACAAUGUAGAAGUGAAGAAGGCCAAAGGACAGUCAAAACAGAGAGACAGCGUUACGACAAGCAGUUAUGGAGCUAAAAAUAAAUAACAAACAAACAGAAGCAAAGUGUUUUUCGAAUGAGAAGAAGGAAGCAAGAAAAACUUAAAACUAGUAUAAUAAAUUUAUACUAAAACUAGUAUAGUAAAACAAGAAGUCAAGAACCAGCAACUUUUACACACAAAAUAAAACCUUAAAACUAGUAUAAUAAAUUUAUCAUCAAGUUGCAGCCUUCUUAUUCAACAAUUACAGCAUUAUCUUGAGCUCUGUGUUUCUUUUUUUAAAAUUAUUCAAAAAAAUCUGCAUUUGUUUUUCAAGGAUAAAAAUUAUAUUUUUGUCUCAUAUAAUAUAAAAUUAAAAAAAAACAAACAUAUAUUAAAGGUCUGUUUGGGAUUAUUUUUAGAGGCUCAAAAGUAAUUUUAAAAAGUUAAAUGCUAAUUUUGGUAUUUAAUAAAAUUUUUAGAAGUCACCUUUGGUAAAAUCAUCAAUCCUACAACAAAUUUUGAAAGCAAAUAGUUUUUCAAAUUUUUAUUUUGAUAAUUAAUUUUAUACUUAAUAUAAUUCCAUAUACAUCCCUACAUAUAUUAAUUAUCCUUAUUAAUUAGAAAAUAAAAUUAUUAACUUUAAAGAUAUUAUCAACAAUUACAUUGAGAUAACAAACUAAAAAUAAAAUUAAUAAUAUAAAAUAUUUAUUUUAGUAAUCAAUUAUUAUACUUACAAGAUAAAAAAUAUUUUAUUUAAAUGUUUAUAAAUGUACAAAUAAAUUUUAUUUAAUAUUAUAUUCAAUUUAGUCAUUUACAUUGUCAAUAGGACUUCUAAAAAUAAAUUUUCCUAAAUGUUUAACUAAUUCUCUUCAUAGUGAUUAUUUCCAAACAUAACUACCAAAAAUUACUAUAAUAGAUACAACAUUACCAAAAAAAUAUUGAGAUAGAUUUUAAUUAGGUAAUUGACUUAAUUAUGAAUCAAUUUAUUAUUUCCAUAUGUGUUAUCCAUAUGUGUUAUCAAAACCAGCUCAAUAAUGAGAUCACUCUUUUUCUUAAAUAAAAAUAUUUGUGCCAAACAAUUGUUGCAAAAUUUCAAAUAUAAAUUACAAACAACAAAAUUUUCUAAAAUCAUAACAAUAAUUUAUGUUGUGAAUACAUGUAACGAAACCACAUUGAAAUUUUAUUGUUAGUAAAAUUGUUUUUCACGCAAAUGCAGUGACGGAUUCGGUUUCAUGUCUCACCCUCAAUAACUUAAUUUUCAUAUCUAACAAAUCAUCCAUAUUAUUAACAAUAUCAUCACCAACCAUAAUCUACCUAAACAUAAACUAAACAUAACACAUACAUAUAACUAUAUACAUACCGAAUCAGGAAAACAAUGAAAGCUACACGUAUCCGGCUCUACAAUUCCUUCUUGAUACCCUUGUGCUUCUAAAAUAAUCAACCAAUUAUAAAAAUUAGCUUAGGUGCAACUUUACCCCUUUUUUUGGGAAACUUAACUAUAAAUAAAGUAUACAAAUCUCUAAAUUAACUUCGUCCCCAUGAAAUUCGGCAUAAAUAGAAAUAGAAUUAUAGAAACCUUACUACCUUUUAUGAGAAAUCCAACUUAUAUAUUUGAGACCUCUCUCUCUAAGCACGCGCUUCCUCUCUCUGCACACUUUCCACCUUUAAAUUCUCCUUCACUAAGUUUACCUAAAAGAAUUUAGCGUUCUCCCAGUUUCUUUCGCAUUUUUCUCCGUGAAAAUUGGUGAAAAAGAGAAAGUGAUUUGAUUAUUUUAAUGUGCGACAGAUCUGGUUUCCAUCUCUGUAAUAUAAGUGUAUCAAAACGAGGUGAACAACUCUUUGUCGAGUCAGUCAAAUAUAAAAGACAAAUUACGAAACCAAGCAGAGCCAAAAAAAAAAAAAAAAUUUCCAAUUAAAUAAUCAUCAAGUCUUUUUCAAUUAAAAUCGGAGGUGCAGAACAACUGUCAGGAGAUAAUCAUUGUUUAUGGAGCCAUAUUAUAUUUUCGAUUAAAAUAGUUGCGCGUGAACAAUUGGCAGAAUUCGUAUAAAUUGUUUUAAGGUCUAUUAUAAUUAACAUUUAACAAGUGGAAUGGCCAAUGGAUGAAGAACCACUAUAAUUAGGGGGGUUUUGUGUCCCUUAUUCAAACGUUGGGGGUCUCUGUGUCUUUUUCCCAUGAAUUUAAAAUGCUAAAGAAACUGGGAAAAUUUACAAAAAUAACCAUAAAAUUUUUGUUAUUUUUACAAUUAACCCUCUCAACUUUUUUCUAUCAACAUUAGCCAAACACGUGCUUUUCUCCCCAAAUUACCCUUCUUUACAAACCAAAAGCAACAUUCUUUCUCCCCUUUCGUCAAACAAAGGCAGCUUCCACUCUUGAAUCAUCAACCAACGACAACGGCAAAAGGCAACGAUAAAAAGUGAAAUCCGAUCAUAAUUUAUUCGGAUCCAACACUAAUCGGCAUCACAUAGUGGUAUGAGUUAUUUUCUUGCUCGUGAGUUUGCCUGUCGCACCAAAAGCCAGAUUCAUUAUAAUUAACUAUUAAUUUGAUAGGGCUGAAAUAAUUUAUUUUUUUAUAAUUUCAGGCUUAAUGGAUUCAGUUGUACUUGAAUUGUGUUACGAUGGUUGUUGGGAGACAUUAGAGGAUGGGCGUAUGGAGUAUGUCAAUGGUAAAAAUAGAGCUUUUUUGGUUGGAAAAAAUUGUCUUUUUGAUCAGUUAUUGGCAAGAGUAUACGAUGUGUUACAAAUUAAUCCUAAUGAAUAUAGUAUCACAAUGAAGACAACUUUGAGGUCUAGUAACACAUUAUAUCAUGUAUGUGCACUGCCCAUGGAUAUAUUUGAUGAUGAAAUGGUGAGGGUUGUGUUACAUAUGGCAUCCGACGUAGCUAAUUUUGGAUGCAUUCCUAUAUUUGUUACCACAUCACCUCGAGUUCCGAGUGGAGGUAUUGAGCCACAUGUCGAUACAGAAACUUCGUUUAGAGCAAAUAUGUCUAGCCUCGAUAAUGAAGAAGAGGUGUUGCCAAGGACAAUAUCACUGCAUCAAUAUUACUCUCCAAUCCACGACAAUUAUGACAACAUUGAUGAUGACGGCGUUACGUUACAGGAUGUUAGAGCAACGGUAUUUCCAAUAACGACGUCGUUGGAGCAACGGUAUUCUCCGUAUCACAAUAAUGAUUUUCGGGACAAUGAUGAUUUUCAUGAUGAGACAGAGGGGGAUAAUGUUUGUGCAGAACCUUCUAAUAAUAUGAGGGGCACUCAUUUCAAUAAUGAUGGUGAUGAUGGAGGAGCCGGUCCUUCGAAUGUUCCGUCGUUUCAGCAUGAGGAUGAGUGUGAAGACAAUACUCCUGCGAAUAAUAGAGGCAAUAGACCUAUUCUAGCAAUGGUUCGAUCGAGAAGGAGAAUUGACCCUCUCACAAGUCUUGCUCCAACUUUGCCUUCGAACAUGGUUGCUCCAAGUUUUGUUAGCAGUUGUGACUCAGAUGAUAUCAGUGUCGGUAAGCUAUUUGCUGAGAAGAAUGAGUUUAUAUUACAACUACGCAAGGUUGCCUUUCAGGAUAAGUUUGAUUUCAAGAUUGCACGGUCUACUACGACACGUUUCGAGGCUCACUGUAGUUCAGAAUCAUGUAAAUGGCGUAUUCGAGCAACUAGAUGUUCGAACGAGGAAAAUGUUCCUUGGGUGGUGCGGAGAAUUGAUAAUGUACACACUUGUCAUAAUGAGGUGUUGGUUGCUGGAUGUCAUCAAGUCAGGAGCCGGGUUGUCGGUCAUAUUAUCGCAGAUAAAUAUAUUCAAGUCAAGAGAAUUUAUACUCCGAAUGACAUAAGAGCAUAUAUGCAACAAGAAUACGGUGUUCAGUUAACAUACCAGCAGGCAUAUCGGGCGAGAGAAGUUGGUCUUGAAAUAGUUCGAGGCAACCCUGCAGAGUCAUACAACUUGCUCCUUAAAUAUUCUCGCGUACUAACUGCAGCGAAUGAGGGUACAGUCACUCACAUCGAGCUGGUGCGACAGCCACGCCUGUCGCACCAAAAAAUUGGUGCGACAGGCGCGCGCUGUCGCACUUGAUCUGGUGCGACAGCGCCUCUCGCACCAGAUUUGGUGCGAGAGGCUUGCUGUCGCACCAGAUUUGGUGCGACAGUGGGGCACGCAUGGGCGCGCGCGCGCGCCCUGCCCCCCUCCCUCUCCACCCCCAAAAUUAAGCCACAACACUUUAAAAUCGAAAAACAAUACUCCCAAACACCACCACUACCACCAUUAUUCUCAAGCUAUAAUUAUUAUUAUUCUAAAAUCUCAUUUUAAAUUAAUGAAAAUAAGAAAAAUGACUAACCUAGGUUUUGUUGAAGGUUGUAGAUCGUAGAUCGGAUGCCGGUGAGAGAUGGAGCCACCGCCGACGAGGGUUGAUGUUGCCGCCGAUGAUGGGAGUUGGAUCGGUUUGGGAGAGAUGAGUGAAAGGGAGUGUUGGGGAAGAGAUGAGGGAGGGGUAUUUUGGUCUCAAAAGUUGUUUAAUGGCUAAUGUUGAUAGAAAUAUUUUUGGGGGGUUAAGAUGAAAAAAAUCAAAACUUUUAUGGUUAUAUUUGUAAAUUUCCCAAGAAACUGACAUCAACGCUAAACGUGAAUCUGCAGCCCUUGCCUCAGUGUCUUUCAGGCGUUACUCGGGGUAGUUGAUAUACUGACGACCCCUUUAUCAAUUAAUAAUCGAAAUAGAUUAAAAUAUGAAUGGAUUAGAAUAGAAUGAGUUGGAAUUAAAAUACGAAAUGACAAUCAGAUUAAUUUAUUUUUUUUAAUUGAGGAAUUAGAAUUGGAAUAAAUUAUAUAGUUAUUGAUGUGUUUAUUUUAUUUUAAAAUUACAAGAGUUGUUGUAAAUUACUAAUAUGCCCUUAAUUUUUUAUUAUAAUUAUAAUUAUUUAUUACUACAUUUGUCAUAUUAUUAAUAUUAUAAUAAUAAUGAUUGUAACAAUUAAUAUUGAAAAAAAUUUAUUGUUAAUAAUAGUAAAUAAAAUAAGAAUAAAUAGGCAAUUAUUCACUGACCACGUGAUCUUUCGGACUCUUUCAAAAAUACACAAAUACUUUUUUCUUUGCAGAAAUCCUCUUGAAGUUUACAAAGUGUUUCAAUUGUUCACUGUCAUCUUAACUCUAUUAGAAUCUUGUUGAUGUCGUCAGGAUAAAAUUGUCAUUUUACCUAAACAUCCAAAAGGAAGUAUAAGAUGAAGCUCAACUUGGAGAAGUGUGCUUUCGGGGUUGGAUUCGGCAAAUUCCUUGGGUUCAUGGUGAGUGAUAACUCUAUGAAAUGAGAGUUAUCAUGAAAUUUUUAAGUUUAAAUCAAGACUACUCAGAGAGUAAUUGAUAUGUUUUAGUGCACUUUAAUGAUAGUUUGCAUUACAUUCAUUUUAAUUUAAGUUUAAUAAAGUUUAUGUGAUUUCUGAAUAAUUGUAUGCUUAGAACAUAUGUUUAAUUGUAGGUCAAUGGAAACUUGAAUUUCAUGGAAAAGAUGCUUUUGCAAUGGACUUAUAAAGAGGACAAACGAGCAUGGCUAUAGUAGAAUUGGAGCAAGUUUGGAACAGUGGAGUUGCUGUAGCCAUUACUGUAGCAACCAUUGAUGUAGCAAUCCUCGAGCAUUGCGAUCUGCAGUUUCCUAAUCUGAAGAAAAAGUGGCAUAAGAGAGAGAGCCAUCAAUUAAGAUCAAAAACAGAAAAGAACCAAGGAAGUAACAGAAUUCCUGAGCAGAAUUCAAGGCUGAGCCAGUUGAAGAAAUUUGCAGAGUCAAUUGGAAUUCACUCUUUCUCAUUCUUUUCUUAUUUACUUGUUAUUUAUUGAUUAUGAAGAUGUACUCGAUGGCUAGAAUUUGGUUGUUUAAUCUCCUUUCACAAAUUAUGAACUAAAUUCAUUUGUGGUUGAGUAUUAAACUAUCUUGAUGGUUAAUUGACUAAAUAUAGGUGUUGCUAUAUGUUUGCUACAACAUUUUGCUUUAAUAACAUUUAUUUACAUUCAUUAUUUCGGUUGACCACCCAUUUAAUGAUACAAGUUAAGAAAGAGCUAUAAAAGGGUCUAUCUUAUUGAAACAUAUUAGAGUAAUACUUGGUCUUAAAUUGGGUUUCCUAGAUUGAGUUUAACUUGAGACCAAAAAGGAUUGUACUUAAUUUAAGAUUAGUAAUGAACUAGAUAUAGGGAUUUGCCUUGUAGGGUAAAAAGAACAUAAAUGUGUAAUACUAUAUCUUACGUUGACAUAGUAACUGGUCACUGUUAGGUUGUAUAAAGAUAUAAAACAUUCGAACAUGCUACCGUUGAGGAUAAAGAUGGUUUCUGCCCAGUGCUGUAGCAGAUGCUGCAGCAACUGAGCUUGACAUGAAUAACACAGUCAACACCAUCAAGAGAGUUUAAUCACUCAACUACUCUAUUCUAAUUAAAUUUAAUUUCAUGUUUAAUGUACAAAUUUUAUUUAUUACAUUUUUAAUUAUUGUGAUUUUAUUUUACCUAGUCAUUUAGUUGUAUUAGUUGCAUUGAUUUAAUUGAUAACAUAGGUUGCUCUGUGAAAUUACUGUAGCAAGUCUAAUAGCAUCAAUCCCUAUGGAGACGAUCUUGGAUACUUAUCCUUAUAUUACUUAUUGUGUACACUUGUGCAUUGACACUAAUAGCAAUGGAGUUAAAAUUAGCAACAAAUUUUUUGUGCUAUUGCUGGGGAUUGAUUGUUUACUUUUCAGUUGUGAAAUCAAUUUUGACGGUGCUAAUCUUUGAUUUUAUUUUGAAUUGUUUACUUUGUUAACAGAUCACUCUUGCAUGUGAAAAUACAAACUUGUUGAAUUUCAAUUUGAUCCAGAGAUUGAAAGAACUACAAGGAGAUUGAGAAGAGAGCAAAGAAAUUCAAAAGCUGCUGUAGCAAUAGAUGACUUGCAAAACUUAGGAAACUUAGACCCUCACGGACCAAUAUAACCUGUUAAUGCUCAAGAAAGUCAGAAUGGGAAAAUUAAUCAGAGACCAUCAGGGAAUAACAAUAUUAGCUACAUGGAAAAUGAUAGAGACAGGGCCAUUAGAGAUUAUGCUUUGUUAGCCCCUUAAGUUAUACAUCCUGACAUUGUCAGACCUGAGGUAAAAGGUGCCAAUUUUGAACUCAAACCAGUGAUAUUUCAAUUAUUACAAACAGUGAGGUAAUUUAAUGGAUUACCAUCAAGAGGUGAGUGAUGCUUUUAAAAUUAUUGGAGCAUCACAAGAUGCAUUGAGACUCAGAUUCUUUCCUUACUCCCUAAGAGACCGAGCAAGAGUAUGGUUGAACUCUUUACCACCAGACUCAUUACAACAUGGAAUGACUUAGCUGAUAAGUUUAUGAUGAAGUACUUCACACCAACCAAAAAUACAAAAUUAUGGAAUGAGAUUACUUCUUUUCGUCAACUAGAAGAUGAAAACUUAUAUGAGGCUUGGGAAAGAUUCAAUGAGUUAUUCAGGAGAUGUCUUCAUCAUGGCAUUCCUUACUGCAUACAAUUUGAAACCUUCUAUAAUGGGUUGAACCCAAGCACUAGAUUGAUGGUCGAUACUUCAACAAAUGGGGCUUUGUUAUCUAAAUCUUACAAUGAAGCCUAUGAAAUUUUAGAGAGAAUUGCUAAUAACAAUUAUCAGUGGCCAUCACCUAGACAAAUUGUAUCAAGAGGAGCAGCAGGUAUACAUAAUGUGGAUGCAUUUACAGUAUUAUCAGCCCAAGUAACAUCAUUGACCAAUAUGGUGAAAGCUAUGACUACUGCUCUAUCGAAUGACAAUCAAGUUGCCGAUGUUUCUUGUCUGUAUUGUAGAGAGGGGCAUUUAUUUGAUAAUUGCCUAAGGAAGUCAACGUCAGUCAAUUAUGUGGGCAACUCCAAUAGAUAGAACCAGAACAAUCCAUAUUCCAGUACCUACAAUCCUAGAUAGAGGCAGCACCCAGUGGACAGAACAGACCUACUCAGCCAGUUGAUUUUCAUCAGCAAAAUCAAGGGUAAAAAAACACCAGCAAUGAUCAAUUCAGUUCUUUGGAGACCCUAAUUAAGGAGUACAUUGUGAAUAAUGAAGUAAUUGUCCAAAGUCAAGCUGUACCAUUGAGAAAUUUAGAAAAUUAAAUUGGACAGCUUGCCACAUUAUUAAGUAACAGACCUUAGGGGAGUUUACCCAGCAACACAGAAGAUCCAAGGAGAGAAGGUAAGGAAUAUUGCAAGGUGAUCAAAUAUUGCACAAACUAGAAGCCUCAGGUCGGCUGGUGAAAUGGGCAAUAGAGUUGAGUAAAUUCUAUAUAAGCUACAAACCCCGAGCAACAAUCAAAGCCCAUGCAAUGGUGAACUUCGUGGAAGAAUUUACAGAAUCACAUGUGGAACCUAGCCACAUUCAUAUUGCUAUAGGCAACAACAAAGGUCAAAUCUGGCAGAUGAUAGUGGAUGGAUCUUCAGGUGAGCAAAGUACUAGAGCGGGGUGGUCCUGGAGAGUCCAGAUGGAGAGGAAAUCUCCUACGCUGUUAGACUGGAGUUCAAGGCCACAAACAAUCAGGCUGAAUAUGAGGCUCUAAUUGCAGGGCUAGAGUUAGCUAAGGCGGUGCAGGCAAAUAAGGUGAAAAUUCGGACAGAUUCACAGCUAGUCGCCAACCAUAUUAGUGAAAUGUUCUAACCUAAAGACGAAAAGAUGGGGCAAUACCUGAGGAGGGUCAGACAAAUGAUCAAAAAGUUCGAGUCGAUGGAUAUUGUGCAAAUUCCAAGGAGUGAAAACUAUCGAGCUAAUAUCCUAGUUGGAAUGGCUGCUACAGCGGACUAAAAAAUGCCAAAAUCAGUCCCUAUGGAAGUCAAGUCCUCCCCCCAGCAUUGUGUAAAGUCUGGAGAUGAUGCAGAUAGAGCAAAAAGGCUCAUGGAUAGACCCAAUAAUCUCAUAUAUACUGGAUAGAGUGUUACCAGCAGAUAAAACGCAAGCAUGAAAAAUCAAGGGCCAGCGUCUAGGUGUACACUAAUUGAUGGGGUGUUAUACCGACGAGGGUACACCUUGUCGCUCUGCGAUGUCUGGACAAAGACGACGCGAACUACGUUCUAAUGGAAGUACAUGAAGGGGUUUGUGAAAAUAAAUCUAGAGUUAGAUCUCUUGCCUACAAAGCCUUAAGACAAGGUACUUAUGGCCGACGAUGUACUAAGAUGCUCAAGAGAAAACCAGGAGUUACAGAAGUUGCCAGAACUUUGCUAGUUUCCCUACACAGCAAUAAAAAAUACUUACUACUAUGACUUCACCAUGGUCGUUUACUCAAUAGGGAAUCAACCUAAUCGAGUCUUUGCCAAAAUGAUGAAGAGCAGUUACACAUGCUGUCGUGGCAAUAGAUUAUUUCACAAAAUAGGUCAAGGUAAAAGCACUCAGAAGAAUCACAGAGAAUGAUAUAACUGAUUUCAUGUGGAGAAACCUUGUCAGCCGGUAUGGAAUCCCAUACGCCUUGAUAGCGGACAACAACUAACAAUUUGACAAUCACAACUUUAGGGAGUUUUGUCAGAACUUUGACAUAGAGCUAAGUUCUGCUCCCCUGCCCACCCUUAGUCCAAUGGGCAGGUGAAAGUGGCCAACAAGGUUAACAAAAAAACUCCUGAAGACCAAACUAUGAGAGAAGAAGUGUGCAUGGGUUGAUGAGCUUCUAGGAGUGUUGUAGGUAUAUAGGACUUCUCAUAAAACCGCCACCGAUGAGACACCCUUUGCUGUAGCCUUUGGGCAUAAAGCAGUCUUGCAUGCAGAGAUAGGGGUAACCACGCACCAAACUGAGCACUUUGAUGAGAGUGAGAAAGGUGAAUCAGAGUACCAAAGAUUCGACCCAUGGUGUGUAUCCGGAUCAGGAGCCUACAAGCUUGCUCUCGCGAAUGGACAUGAGCUGAAACAACCAUGGAACGUAACACAUCUAAAAAAAUACUUCCAAUAAGGCCCAUUGGUAGCGAGUUAGAGUUAUUUCUGUUCAUUUCUGUUGUUGUUUAAACUUUAUGAUCAGUCAAUUUCAUGUAUGUCGUAUGCCAUGAUUAAUAAAGUUUGGAGGAAGUUCAUUCAAUUAAUUUAAAGAAAAAAAAGUUCGUAAGGUAAAUAAAUGCCUCAAAGUCUCAAAGCCUGCUCGAUGGUGAGACCAGAAGCCAGAUUUUCCAGACUCUGCUCUACCAAACGAUGACGAGCAGACAAUCAAAUAUUUCAAAAAGUUUCUAAGGCAGACAAAAGCUUCAAAGUCUCAAAUUCUACUCGAUGGCGAGACUAGAGGCCAAGUUUGCCAAACUCUGCUCGACCGAAUGAUGGCGAGCAGACGAUCAAAUAUUCCAAAAAAUUUCCUAAGGGAAAUAAAGGCUUCAAAGUCUCAAAUCCUGCUCGAUAGCAAGAUUAGAAACCAAGUCUGCGAGACUUUGCUCGAGCAGGCUACAAGAAAAACCAAGUUAUUCGUUAAUAAUCUAGUGACAAUGGCAACUAGCCUCAAAACUUGGCAUACAACGUUUACAAAAGAAAAUUAUGGUACAUUCACGAGGAUGAAGGAUCUAUAAGUAGAGCAGCUUUUGUUGGAUUUUCAAGCAGUAGAGAAUGAGGGGUCUGGCCAAUUCUGCCCGAGGGAGUGCUUGCUUCGAUCGGGGUUUUGCCUUUCAAGACCGGCCAUGAUGCAUCGACAGAAGUGCCUGAGCCCUUCGUUAAAUUGUCAUCAACUUCCUUUUCCAAGUUCUCAAUCUGAGUCUGGUGUGAAGCACAAAGUGAUUCCAAUUAAGACUCGUAGGAAGCUUUUUAUGUCUCCAAAUUCUUAUUGACCUUGCUCAGCUACUCCUCAAGGGUGAUCACAUUGGCCUGUGCAAGAGAUGUCUGCUCCACUAAUUUCAAGUUCUCGAGGGUGAGGUCUCUUGCUUUCUUCUCAAUAGCAUCAGCUUCGUUUUUAGUUGAUUGAAUAUUAUACUUCAUCUUGUGGUCAUAACGGCCAACUUUCACCUUGUAGUAGGUAGUCAUGCAACAUAGGUGGAAAACACUGAAUUGCAUAGCCCUAACUAGCUCACGAGGGUAAUGCCGUCAAAGUCCUCUAAAUCGUUUUUGUUCACGAGCUUAGAAAACUCACUUAUGUAAGGGCCAUAUGCUCUGGUCGAUCCUCAGGCAAUUGCGGUUCGGAUCUUGCUGGAGGAGGAGUGGUAACAAGACCAGUGCCGCUCGCAGCUCCACCAACUUCACCUGCCUUAGGACGGGGAGGAGGAUGUGGCAGCAUCUUCAGAGGGGAAGCUUUCCCUACAGUAUUGACCCACUUCUCAAGGGAGCAUAGUUGCUGCAACCCCCCUUUACACCACGAAAGCGAGGGCGUUUUCUGUUCAAAGCCCUAAUCACAGCAUCCUCUAUAGCAAUUCACCUUCGAUGCGGUAUUAGACACUCCAGGAACUUGCAACAUAGGCAGAGACUCUGUUAGAAAUUACUCAAUCACUUGAUCAGCUGGUGGUGUAAAACAACUUAAAUAAGCAGGCAACCUGGAACUAAGAAACGGAUGGGGACAUGGACAUUCUCAUCAUCAGUCGGCCACUUGACCCUAAGGACCCCCAGCAAAAAAGAAACUGCUUUUCUAAUUCUCACCACCUGUUAGGAGGCCAGUUAUAGGUUUCCUAGUCUUGGUACUUGACAUAAAAUAGUACCAACUAGCAUCUUUAAGGCUACUCUUUAAUUGGUAUAAGUGUUUAACCUCAUCAAUUAUAGGCUCACUCUGACCACAUCUGUCCCAAAGUACGAGUACACCAGAAAGUACCCUCUAUCCAUUAGGGUUAAGCUGACCAUGAGCUAAGUGUAAUCUACCAAGCAUCUGGACGAAGUAAAGCAGCAAAGGAAGCCUCAUCCCUUGUUUAAAACUCUCUAAAAAUAUAGCAACAUACCCCCUGGAAGGUCGAUUAGGGGUAUCCUUUUUCUUAAAAACCCUAAGGUUUAUGUCAUCAGAAAUCUUGUAAGUAUUUUGGAGGGGUUUAAAGUCAUCUACUGUGGUCGUACAAGUCAUGAGGUCAAUAGGGUAGUUUUCAGCCGGAGUCCUACCACCUAAUUUCCUCCUCUUUGUUGGUCUUACUACCUUUAGUGAGGAUGCUUUACCAAACUCUUCAUCUGGGUACCCGCUUAAGGUCUCCUCUGAGCUAGAAGAUUCGUCAUUGUUACUUUUGCUAGAUGAGGUAGAAACCUCAGGAGACAUCCUCCUAGCACUACUUCUAACACUAGAAUGGCCUACAAGCUCUAAGGGGAUCCUAGGGUCGAAAAUGGGCUCUGUGAGCAAACCAGGUAGGAAAUCCAGUUCGUCAUCAUCAAUCUUAAUUUCUUUUUCCUUGCCUUUUGACAUUUUCUAAGCGAUAUCCAAGAAGAUACAACUAAAUCCCUCUUAACCCUAGAAAAAAAUGAAAAAUAUCUAAGACAAGAGAGAAGAAGACCGUACCUAAAGCAGCGGCACCUCAAAAUCAAAAUGGAGGAAGUGACUUGAUAUUCGAUGGAGGAAAUAGUUGAGUCACCAAAGGGCGAAAGAAAAGCCGGAAAAAAACUUUCUUGUGAAGAUUAGGGUUCCCCAAGAGACACGGAGACCCCUAAUUUAUUACCAUUUAACGACACGCACUGCGAGGGUUCUUAACAGGCAGUUAAAAAUUUAAAUGAACGAGUGGAUUCCUGCCACAUCACCUGCUUUUAAUUAUGACGUGACUCUUUGGAUAAACAGCUAAUAGUAGCUUAAAGGAUCAAGUGGAUAAGGUGACCAGUCCUCAUUUCAAUGCCAAGAAGCCAAAGUGUGUUUUGAGCAAGAUAAGACUACCAAGUUUCUAGUGUUGAUCCAUUGCAUUAUCAGCACCAGAAACUGAGGGACUAGUAUUUGAGGCGUAUAACGACGCGACCAGCUACACUCGAGCGAGGAUUUCCUUUUUGUGGGCGAUGGGCUAUAUAGUGUCCGUGAGCAGAAGUGCUCUAUUCGACACCGAGGAGUUUUCUGCUAAACACCGAGGAUAUCUCCUGAUGGGGCCAAGGUCGGAAGACCCAGUCUAUGGCAGUUGUUAGAACAUGUGUCGCUCUCCGAGAAUCCAGGCACGAGGCCUAUUCAGCCACGAUCACAACGCCCGAGCAUCCAUGACCGGGAACUAAGGUAGAGUGGCAAACGUGGGUCAUGGUGACUAAAUUCUCAGGAGGGCUAUAAAAGGGGCUUGCAAAGAAGGUAAAGGGUUUAGACAUUUUUAAACUAAAAAUUAACCUAAGAGAAUUGGGGGGUGCAUCUUUAUUGGCGAGAAUUGGGAAAAUUUUUGAGAUUUUUCCAGUGUUUGAGAAAUUAUUACAGAGCCACGAGAUUGGUGGCAGGGUUUUUUCACAAUAAGCCCAGAUUGCUGACUUGAACGUCGGAGGGUUUACGUCGGGAAAACCCUCAGCGUUCUUUGACCAAUUUCUGUGUGUACAGGAAUUCACAGAGGAGGAACAGUGAGCCUCAUAGUUCUGCUUAUCAAACAGGAGCAGAGUAAAGUUAUCCCCUACCACUACAAAUUUAAGUGUUGAAGAGAGAUCUUGGUCUCGAACGAGCAGAUGCAAAAUCCCGUAUCAAUAAUAACAACAACAACAACAACAACAUCAUCAAUAAUAAUAAUAAUAAUAAUAAUAAUAAUAAUAAUAUAUUAACUUUGUAGGAUGGAGCUCUCGCAAAUCUUCAAGACACAAAAUGUGUUUGACCCCAUUGUUGUUAUUAUAAUUUCAAAAUCAUUUGUAUAUAUAAUAUUAGGGAAUAUGACAUAGAAAAAUUGAUGGUACAUAUGUUGCAAUAUUCUUGUUCAUGUGGCGGCACACUGAAGUAAAGCAUAAGCAGAGCAACAACAAAUGUAAUGAGAGAGCUCUCAUUAUGUAGAUUUUCAAUAGAAGUAAUGCAUAUUUCACAAAGGCAAUGGCCUUAUUUUGAAUGCUGCACCUGAGGGUUGACUUGAAUCUUCUAUAGAACUCAGGCAUUCUGUAAUCAUAGAGUAUAGCAUUUCAACAAAAAUAUUAUACAGGUCGUUCCUUUAUAUAUUUUCUGGGUACACAUACAGAAAUAUUAUUUUGGGUACAUUUCUUGCAGUAAAACCUGCCCAGUCUAGCGUUCUCGUAAGUUGGGUUUCUCAUUUGCAUGUUUUUUUCCAUUGGUUAAUUAUCACAAACCUCCACUAACAUUUAGCAUAUUCUUAGUUUAAUAGAUUAUAUUGGCGUAUUCUCAAAUAUAAAUUAAGCUGGUGAGGAUAAAAUCGUAAAAGCACCAUUAAUGAUAAAAAGAAACCAAGUAAACUUGAAAUUUUCAAGUUGUGUUUUGAAAUUGGUCUCGACUUUGUAAAUGUCCAUUGGGUAAAGAAGCAAAGAACAGAAGCAAGCUGUUCCCAGCACACAUAAGCAAGCUUUACGCAGCACAAAUUAACACCCACAAAAAAUGAAAAGAAAAAAUGGUCAUCUCUUUCCUCCAUUCGAAUUGAAGCCAUGAAACACAACAUCCCUUUCAUCUUCUCUCUAAUGCUUUGAUUAGAAAACUUGCUUACAAACGGGAGACCAUGACACUGAAUCCUGAGACGGCAAUACCAGAGACGACUGAUUUACGCCAACGGCGUGGAAGAAUACCAACCAGUGACUUUCGCUGUCGACCCACAAACAAUCCCAGUGUUUUCUAGCUGCGAAUGAGGUAUGAAUCAGAUUAUUUCCGUGCAUUUCAAUUUUGUCAGCUGACAUUAGGAGAUUUGGUUAAAAAAAAAAGAAUAAUGGGUCUCGAAAAUUUUUUGAGAGUGUUUUUGUUGCUUACAUUAUUUUCCAUCGAUUAAUGUUAGUUGUAGGUGAAUGAUUGUUGCAAAUGCAUGUUCGCUUGUGAUUGAUUGAAAAUGGCUUGUGAUUUGUUAUGCUGCCGUGUGACUGAUUAAAAAUGGCUCUGAAAAUUUUUCAUUUGUUUAAGGUACUGCUGUUGAUUAUUGAACCAGGAUUCAUGCUAGUUUUUGUUAAAUUGAAGAUGAGAUUACUUUUUAAGAGAUCUGCAAAACCUUCUCUACUAUAGAUUUGGCUUCUGGCAUACCUGGUUGGCUGGAGAUAAUUGUUUAUAUAGUCAUUGCUGCCCAUAUUAAUCAGGAAUAUUGAUUAGCAAUGUACUGGAUUAGUGAUUGGUAUAAUUUUGAAAAAUCAGUCGUAGAUGCAACCUGGUUAUGGUCUCAAAUAGUGUGAUCUGUCAAUUCCGUUUGCUCUGGCCUAACAACCUUGAAUCUGAGCUAUGCCACUAUACAAUGUCCUGACCCAAUCAAGCUUGUUAGCCAACAUCCAAAAUUGCAAUGUCUUUAGAUAAGUCCCGUCUUAUUUGUUUGAGUUAUAAUGAAAAUUGCAGUGUCUUUGGAUAAUCACGCUGAUGUUCACGUUAUUGACGAGAGGAACCUCCAGAUUCAAGGCCGGAGCUCCUUGUUGAGAAACUUUGCAUAUAUAGGAUUGUUGCCGAGUGGAGGAUCGAUAUGACUGGUCUUGUUUAGAAUAGGGAUGGAGAUUUUGCAUUAAGGCUUUCUUAACAGAUCAUUCUGCAAAUCAAGGUCCAUGUACAUCUCUUUAAACUCUUUGAUAUGUAUAAAGCAGGUGCAUGCUCUAUAUGUUACUUAUUGUAUCACAAUUAUUUUUCUAUUGCUUAAUAUAAUUGCAGUCCUUGAUGAAGUUGAAGACAACUUAUGGAGGGUAUACAAAGGCUCAAGAGCUUGAUCGCCAUUCAUUUUACACUUGGCUGAGCUACAGCAUACCAACUAGUGAUUAAUAAAGAGAAGGUAUGAAGGUCCUGUUGCUGGUGGUAUUAUCAAUCAGAAUUGUUAUUUUACUUAGUCAUAGUUACCAUGUAUAAGAUUCGUAGACUUUUUGCAUGUUUAUGCAUUCGCAUCAUCUUUUUGUUAAGCUAGAAAUGGUUGAUUUGUGUACUCAUUUGUAUCACUUGUAGCCCUUCAGGAAUAAAAUUUAAAAUUCUGUUGCAUCUCAUGUACUAAAUACUAAUUUUGUUGGCUUUAUGUAUGGGAAAUGGUUCAUUAUCUUAUUUCUUUGAUGCGUAUAGUGUGACAAUGUCUAAAGGUGAAAAGUAUUUAUAUCACUUGUGUAACACUGUCUAAAGUCAAAAAGUGUUUCUAUCACUUGUGUGAAAAACAACCUACUUUUUUUUCACUCUUCUUAUAUUGAAUAAAAGACAGACGCCAAGAUUGAACGAAAUUUGAUGCAGAAAGCAUAGCAAUUAGGCCAGUGCAAAACAACUUCCUUCUGAUUCUCUGAUAUUUGACUUAAAUCUUUUGUCUGUUUCAUUCAUCAAAGUCAUUUUGGAAAGUAGCAGGGGUGAUGUGAUAUUUUCAUUGUAUUCACAUCCCUUGGCACCAAAAACAAACAUGCUGGUACUAACCAACAAUUUUUUAUUUUCAGUAUACAAAUUUUUUUUUUCUAAAUUAGGGGUAUUAAGAAAAGGUAUACUAGCACCAGAGGAGGUAUUUGAGAAUACACAAAUACAAUCUAUCAAAUUGAGAAUACGCCAAAUCUCAGGAGUGGUUUUUGAUAAAUCCUUUUUUUCUUUUUCCUCCAUUCACUAUAGGUUCAAUUUAGGGUGGUUGUUAAGUUAUAUCAUUGUGUAAUAUAGAUCAAUUCAACAGUUGUUAUCAGUAACACAAAAGUAUAACGAACAAAAACUAAUUGUGUGUUACUGAUAGUAACUAUUAAAUUGAUGUAUGUUACAUAAUUAUGUAACUUAACAAGUUCUUCAAUUUAGACACGGUUGACCAAACUGAAGGUUUAGGUUGGUAAACGCACUAGUUUUAAUGUCAACAACCCAAGGGGCUUCAUGGUCCUCUGGGUCGAAAUCGCGUAAUUAUUAAUUCUCCUCCACUGAAAGUCUUUAUCAUCUUGGGACAAAUAAUUACAAAUUGACAUUAUAGCCGUGGAAAUUUGGAGGUGUAAUAACCGGAAAAAUAAAAAUCUCAAGAGACUUUUUAAAUAAAAAAGAUAACACCUUCAAUUUGCUAAAAGUAAUGGUAUCAUUUCUUGUAUGGAUAAUGGAUGAUUAGAUUUUGUUUUUGGUUAUCUGACGAAGGAUAUUCAGUUGUUCUUUAUGUGUUCAUAGGCAAGAGCAUGAGCAUAUGCAUGAUUUGAUAUAUGGUUCUUGCAUUUUCUAAUUAAGUGCUCUUUUUCCUUGCCUUCUUAGUUUUGAAAGAAAGAUGUGAAGCAAAGCAAACCCAGUGAAAUGUACAGAGAAACAGAACCAUCAGAGGAAAAACUAAAUAACAGAACUACAAUUGAACCAAACAAAAUCAAAUAAACGGACGCAACAGAUGCCCUGAACCUAGUAAUUACUCAAGAGUUGAGGAGUUGGAAUGAUUUGGUAUUCAUAUCUUCACAAAUCAUAUGCUUUAAUGCAGAAUCGACAGCUUUAUAUUAUUUUAUUCAAAAAACGAUAAAGCAGGAAAACCACAAUAAUCCACCAACUUUUGAUACUUGUAGGAAUUUUUUUUAGUCAAAUUAAGUUUCAUGAUGAAACAAGUGGCUCGUCCACACACUUGCACUUGCUUGAAUAUUUGUGCCGACAUUUUCAUAUGUGAUGGUACUUCUUAGCCAGUAGAUAUGUUGAAGUACUACAAAACAGAGUAUUUGAUGAAGUUUUGCUACAUUCGUAUCCCCUUUUUUUGUUGCAUAACUAAAUUCUUUAUAAACACAAAUUAGAAAGAUACAAAUAAUACAGUAGCUUGAAUUUAUAUGCUUUUAUGGUUAUUUGAUAAUCUAGUGCUGAUCAUAUGUGAUGAUAAACUUAGCUAGUAGUUUUAUAUUUGUUUUCGCAGUUUCCUUAGCGUUCACAUUUUGAUGAGUAAAUUAAGGAUUUCCAGAUGAAGUACAUAAUUAGAUGAAUGCUAAGGAACUGAAGUUUGAUUAAUUGAAAACAAAAAUAAUAAUGAACGUAAUUACGAAAAUGAACAAUGCAGAAGUAGUCCCUAUAGUAUUUCUAAAUUUUCUCUUGGGAUUUCUUAGUAUUCCUCAAUAUUUUAAAAAAAUGACAUGACGAUCUUUGAGUUGACAAAUCUUGGCCUGCUGCUUAGUACCCUUCCAACAUAUAAAGUACUAGAUGUUUUACUGAGAAAAUGACAAGAUCAUUUAUCAAAUUUCUUGCGCAUAUAUACGUAUGUAUAAGAGAAAUGAGAAUCAGUGAUUAUAAGACCUUGCAAUGAGACAAUAAUACAUCAUCAAAUCUAAAAAUACACAAGAAAUUCGGGACAUAUAUAUAACAAAAGACCUCUCAUUGAGUCAUACAUAUUGAGAAUGAAAUGUCAAAAUGCAGACAAAGAGCUUAUACAGAAAAUGAAUAAACUGUCUUUGAACUUCUGAUGGUCAAACAAAGGAAACAGGCAGGAUAUAACACACACUAUCAUAGAUGUAGCGACACGAUGAAGUAAAUCACAUGAAGAUGGAAAGGGGAACCCCUCACAGCAUAAAAUUUGAAUAGAGAGGGGAAAAAGGCUUCAUUUCAAAUGUUGCACAGAAGCAGAGUGACUUGAAUCUCCAUCAGUAUCCAGACAUUCUGCAAACACAGUGCUGAGAAUUUUAACAAGAAUAACAGACAAAAUAUUGUGCUUCUAUACUUGUCACAAAACUAGACCAAAUUAGUCCCCUUUUUGGUUUGUGAAAACUUGAUAUUUUUGAAAAUUCUAUCCAAUGCUUUCAAACAAUAUUUCCAUAAUAUAGUUGUUCAUAGCUAACCUUUGAUGGUGUAAGGAUUUGUUGUAGGCAUAAUGGGCUAAUUAUAUAUAUAUAUAUAUAUUUUACCCCCUGAAUGAUAUUCAGCUUCUUAAUUAUGUGUUCAUAGGCAAGAGCAUUUUCUUAAGUACUUUCGUUGCCUUCCAAGUUUCCAAUGAACAAACAGAGCACAAACAAAUUUAACGGAACAGUAACGAUGACAAUAAAUAAUUGGCAAGGAAAGAAAGAAAAAAGUUUGCAUGAUUUCAAGGAAUUAUAAAAUCUGAACUCUUUCAACAUGCAAGUGUUGCCCCUUUUGAUGAAAUUUCAUCAUAAAAUGCUUGCAAAGAAUUAUAAAAUUUUAGAGAACAAGCGAACUCUCAAACAAAAUACUCAAAUUAAAUUAAAUUAGACCAAAAGACACUCAAUGACGCAAAAUCUGCCAUUCUAAAUAAUUGAGAUGAAAUUGUGAAACAACCCACGAGAUCAAAUAAAUAAAAUAAGAAUUAAUUACCAGCUUUGACUUUCUUCUCCAAAUUCGCAACUCGAAGACAUAAGAAGCCAAUGAAAUUAGUCGUAACCCAUAAAGUACGACGACGACCCCGCCAAUAGCUGAAAAUAAAAUACUUAUUCAUCAAUUUAAACUAACUUUAUAACAAAUAUCUUAUCGAUAUUUUAUUUAAAAAAAGCAAAUUUGUAGAAUUUUUCCAUGGGAGAUAGAGAGUAAUAUGUAUAUCCGGACCUUUUUAGUAUGUAAUUGUUGUAUGGUUGUGUUAAGAUCAUUAUUUGCCCAACGCCGUUGAUCCUCUGACUCUCCAUACGAGACGUUUACUCUCGGAGGCGUGUUUGAUUCUCCUGAAGUGAAAGUCUUCAUCUUGGGACAACCAAUCACUUCCAGAUAUUCCAGAGAUGGGAAUUUGAAGGUGUAAUUGGCAGAGCAGAAACUUGUGAGACUGUCUAAAUCACACAGAAUCAACGCCUUCAAUUUGCUGAAAACAAUCUCUUCUAUGUCAACUCCUUCUUUGUCAUUUAUUACCACCUCUGUCAUUGCUCUGCAUCCAUAUACUUGCACUGUUACGAGUCGCACCAGAGUUUUUGCUGUGGAGGAUGUUACUAAGUGUAUCAAUUCCUUGCAACCGACAGCUACCAGUUUUGCUAGGUUCCGAAAAGAUACCGAUGAUGAUGGCAAUAGACUUAACAGAUUUUGACAAUGAUAUACUUUUAGAAUUUCAAGAUAUUGAAAAAUGGAGUCAAGUUUGGAGUCUUGUUUACAUAGCUGCUUCAGAUGAUUAAGGUGGCCCAGCUCUAUACAUUUUAUCAUUGCCAACUUCCUCAAACGGUUCUCUAAGCAUCCUUCCGUUGAAAAUACCUCUUCGUAUGAACAAUGAUACAGUAAGAGUAAUUCGAGAUUGUGAAAUCUCUCAAGUACAUUCCUGAUUGGAAAACAAGCCGAGUCAUCAUAAGUUAUGUCUAGUUUUUUAAGACUGCCAAAAAGGUGUUGUGGGAAAUCGGCGUCCAAAAUCAUCUUCACAUCUUUUCCGCUUAACGCCAGUGACUCCAAGUUGGGUAAGAUCUGAUCAUCGUCAAUCACGUAGUAACUAAUCAGGUCAGUUGAUGUUCUCUCCAAUAAUUUUACCUUAGAGUACUUGUUGUAGAUUAUAUAUAUUUUACCAAAAAAAAAAAAGAAAAGAAAGGAAAAAUUGAAUUAGUGAUAAAAUUCAUUCUAGGAUUUUUGUAUGUUAAUUUGAGAGAUAAGAGAGAAAUUAGAAAAAAAAAGGAUGAUUUAUACUGGCAUAAAAAUAUUUUAUUGCACAAUAAUAAAUUAUUAAUUUAUAUUGUAAGUGAUUAUAUAUGAGAAAACUGAGGAUUCUUUUUUAAUGCUAUACCUAAAAUAAUUCAUCUAACUAUUAAUUUAGUACAUUGAUCCCUUAGGCCAGACUAGCAAAAAUAUUAAUUUUGUAAUAAAAGUUUUCAAUUUAUUGAGUAUUAAUUUAUUGAUGUUUAGUUAUAUUUUACAAAGUCAAAAGUCGCUAAUGAUCUAAUUGAUAAGAAAUCUAGAAAGCGGCUUCAUACCUUUUUGAACAAGAAUAGGGGCCGUUGUGCAGGAAUACCAAGUUGAUCAUCCUCAUUAUUUUGUGAUGAAUCUGCAGCGAAUGUCUUCAAUUUGUCACAACCAGACACCACUAAAAUUUUUAGUGCAGGCCAUUCCGAAGUAUGCAUUCCAUGGUAUAAACAUUUAAGUUCCGGUAGCUCUUGGAGUAUAAGAGUGGUCACCCGUUGAAAGACAAAAUGAGGGGUCACAUGAUCUACUCUGUCUUCCGAAAUGAUCUCUUGCAAACCCCUACAAUUCACUAUCUCUACUUGUUGGAGAUGCUCAAAGCUUUGAAUCAUAGAAACUAAAAAUAUGUAUUUUAAUUUGUUACAGUGGCACACAAUCAAUCGUGUUAAACUUUGAAAGCGAGGAAGCAUGACCGGACGAUGAUUGUAAUGCCAAAUCUUGUCGACAUUAAUUUCAGAUAUCUCCAAAGCCUCCAAAUUAGGCAACCCUACCUAAAAAAAUAUUAAUUUCUUGUUAGAUCCAACACCCAUAUGAGAAGGACUUAUUGAAAUUUUCUUCUUUGAUUACAGAUUAAUAAUUCAAGUCAAAAUCAAUUUCCAACUGACAGCUGAGUAUGCAUUCUAAUUCGUAUUACUUGUUAAGAGCUCAAUUAGUGAGUGCGUGAGAUUCUUUUUAUCCUUUUUUUUUCACUUUCUUUCAAUUCUUUAAAUGAUUUAAUUAUUUUCCACGUAUGACAUCAAAAGAGAAUGCACAAUAGCAUAAAGAAAGUGUUAGCCUACGCACCUUGCCGUUGAAAAGCAGUGUUUCCAAAUUGAUUUCGUUGGAGCAAGAACUUGUCAAUUCCUCUUGCAGCCCUUGUCUGUUUGGUGAUGCUGAAGGAGUCUUCAAAUUACGGAAAAAAGUUGUAACCUCUGGAAGAUUUCCCAAACUCAAAGAUCUUAAUUGAGCCAACUCUAUCUUCUCAGCAGCAUUAUUGUUGUCAACAUCAGCAUCUCCCCCAGUAGCAAAAAUCUCUUUCAUCUUGCUGCAAUUAAUAACUGCAAUUCUCUCAAGUCUUGGAAGGCAUUUUGCAGUGGAGAGCCAGAAGAUAUUACUCAACUCAUUACAAUUUUCUACUUUUAUUGUUUUGAGUUUAUUGAAAGACUCUACUUUGAGUCGAUCAAUGCAUAUCCUCUCCAUGUUGAUCAAAUUGUGAAGAGUCAGUGACUCCAAAAGAGGAAAGGCAUCACAAGCUACCAUCUCCAUUGAGUCGACAAUACAAAAGAAGUCAGGAUUAUUUUGAACCCAGAGAAGCUUCAAUUGUGGAAAGCCCUUUGUGUCCAAAUCGAAAAGAACAUUUUUGACACCUUGUAGCUUGUCCAACCAUACGUAUUCAACGUUAUUGAUGGCCUGCAAUUUCAUGGAGCAAAUGUCCGUAAAAUCAGGCUUGAGCUUCAAUUCUCUUAAACGCUCAUGAUUAUGGUUGAUCAAAAAGUGCGACCGACUGCGAAACCAAUCUUUUGUAACAGGCAAGGAAGCCAUGAAUGACUCAUUUCCAAUAGAUAUUUUGAACCUUUCGAGCUUUCUGGCCAAAAAGCCUUCCUGUAAAAUACUGUCAUUUUUAACAUCAAUUUCUAGAGUGGUUAGCCAAGGUAAAAGCAUCAAUUCAUCAAGGCUUGCAUUACUUCUUUCAGUGUUGGCUCUUUCAACCUCCCAUUCAACGGAGCAAUUACCCAUACACAAUUCUUCUAAUCGGAUUAAGCUCGAUAUGACAUUUGGGGCAAUAACUUUUAGAUGGAAACAGUCUCUUAAAUCUAACAGCCUUAGCUUAGUCACUUGCCCUAGUGCUUUUGGUAACUCUACAAUAUCAGACCACACAAAGCUAAGGAUUUCUAGAUUUUCCAACUUUCCAAUAAUGGCUAUGUCCAUGUCUCCCAAAAUGCUUUGAUCAAGACAAAGCGUCGGAAGAUUUACUAGAAGAUCAAUUGAAGAUGGCAAUGACAAUAACCGCAUUCUAGUCAAAUCCAAAACCCGAAGCUUUUUUGUCCUUUCGAAGAAGUUCUCAGGAACAUUAGGCGCAACAAAAGAGUUCUUGGGAGACAUGAAUAAAAAUUCCAAGUUGUGGAGAUUCCAACACUUCGGGAAUGUCAUUAAUAAUACUAUCUUUAAAAAAAUUGCAGGAUAUUUUUUUAAUGCAUCUGCAUCUGGCCAUUUCCACACAUCCUCAUUUCUCACCGCAAAUGCAAUUUUGUCACGACGUGCAAUUGAAAUGGCAACAUCGCGAACAACAUCAUGCAUGGAAAAGAAUUUACUGCCACCAUCCUCAAGCAACAAACAAGAGUCUCUUAGUUGAUGGACCCAUGCAUGUAAUUUGUUAUGUGCAUCUUCUAGCUUAUAGACACUUUCAAAUGCACCCAAGCCCACGCUAUAUUUGAACAAGUCCAUAAUUGAAGUUGGUGUAAUUAGACUACACAGUAAAAAAGUUUUCUUGAGUUGCUCACCUCUUAAAUACUUGUAACUUAGCUCAAUUGUUGAGUAUGCCUCUACUGGUACUCCUUCAUCGAAGCUUGCCUCUGAAGGCGUUUGGAGUUCUUGUAAGACGUUCUUCCACACAGGCAGCUCUUUGUUUCUCAGUGCCUUUGCUACUGUGGUUAGGGCAAUAGGCAAACCUCCACAUGCCUUGGCUACAUUUGUUGCUGUAGAUUUUAACUCACGAUUUUCAACAUAAUUACCAGCCAUUAUCUUGAACAACCUCCAAGCUUCUUGCUCAUUUAGAAUGCCAAUCAAGAAGUUUUUUUCAGAUCCCAUACUUAACAAAACAUUACGAUCCCUUGAUGUUAAUAAUAACUUGCAUCCUCUAUGAUCAACGCCAAAAGGAAUUCCGACAGUCUCUAAAUCAAGAUAUUUCCAGAUGUUAUCCAGAAUCACAAGGAUCAUCUUCUCUUUCUUCAAUCGUUCAUAAAGUCUACUAGCUCUUCUAGAUUCAGCCUCCUCGGACAACUCCAGACCUAGUUUCUCUGCAAUUUCCCCUUGAAUCUUUUUUAUGUCUGGAGUUUGGGAAACCUCUGAAAAAACCACCUGAUCAAAGAGUUUCUCUUCACUGGCUUGCCUUGCAAACUCCUUCACCAGUGUUGUCUUUCCAAUGCCGCCCUUUCCGUAUACCCCAACGAUGCUGACAUUGACAUCAGUCAAUGCAUCUUGUAUAGACUUCAGAGUAGAAAGUCUUAAUUUAAAGGCCUCGUAACCUUUGUUAGACUUUAGCCAUACCUCCUCCGCAAUGGUACGGUAGAAAAUUCUAUCAUCAAAUCUCCUAGCUUCUUCUUUGAGUUCAACAAGGGCCUUCACCUCUGUUUCUGCUUUCUUGCUAAGCUGAUAGCGGGUCUUCAAAUUAGGACACAAGCCCUUGAAACAUCGCUUACUUGUUGUCUCCCCAUCUUCAAUGAAUUUGGCUGCCUGCUCAAUGGUGUUGUUCGCACUAACCAGCCAGUUCUCAACCUUCUCUUCAAUCUUUUCUCCUUUUCUUUCAGCCUCAGAAACUCUGUGCUGAAUGCUCUUACUUUCAUCCUUGAGCUUGUCUAUUUCUGCCUUGAGAUUCUCAAAGUUGGCUUUAUAGUUUCGCAAAUAACCAAGUUGGCGUUCUGUUGGAGGAGCGAAGCAUUUCACAACUUCUAACAGAACAGUAACAAUGCUUUCCACCAUCUUCGAUCCUCUUUUUUUCAAAGUUCCGAAAUGAAAAUAAACGACGAGCGAAAAACAGAGAGAAAGAGGGGCAAAAAAAAAAAAAAAAAAAAAAAAAAAAAAAAAGAAAAUGAAACAACAAAGAUGACAAGUGUAUCUGUUUGUGGAAGCGGAGAAAUCAAAGAAAGCUUAAAAACUGUUGUGAAUCUGGUGAGAAGAUGGAAACAAGGAAAAGGUUUCUAGUUCAAAACUGAUUGAAUUGAUAUAAGGAAUGAUUUAGAUAAUAGAGGAAAAUUGAAUCAGUCAAAAUAACUUAAGUAUUGACCAGAAGAAAGAUGCAAACAAUAUUAGAGACAACAACCGCGCUAUUGACUGGUAAUAGAGAUGGAGAAAAAGAAAAUAUCUUCACACGGUGGAAGUACAAAGGGUAGAUAUGGAACCAAACAGAGACAACAACAGGCCACAACUAGAUUGGGAAUGGAGAGAAACAAAUUAACAAAGACUGGAGAUUACAACAGAACAGAUGCCAAGAGAAAAGGGUUUCUUCAUCCAGUGAAAUUCAAGAGAGUUGACAGCAAAAGGGAGCACAUGUGUUUCUUGAUUGAGAACGAGUGCAAAGGAUGACUUUUUAAUGAGGUUCUGAAGCUGACGAAUAACGAUUUGCUAAAAUUUUGAGAAAGUUAUAUAUUCCGUAACUUCAACAAGUGAAGAAUAAAAGAAUAAUAGUUCGUCAUCUUCACAAUGAAGAUCAUGGACGAGAUUAAAAGCUAAAACUAGUCCAUUUGAAAAGCCAAAGUUCAAGUUCCUUGGCUAAGUUCAGAAGUGAAGCAAAGAAUAAAUAAAUAAAGAUCAAGGGAUGGGAAUAAAGUCACCCCCAGACAGUUGCAGAAAGAUUAUUAUUUGGUAAGCGUAGUUGAUUAUUAGUACAAAACAGAGUAGGUGAAACACAUCCUUUCUAUUUAGACUGAUCAGCAUCUAAAAUUUUAUGAAUUAUGAGUUGCAUUUUAUUUUGUACAUUCUGUUAACACAUUUUAAUUUAGCCAAUUUUGCAAUAAAUGUUAUUGAUGUAUUAAAUUGCAACAACAAAACACAAUUAUUGGUUUUAAAGAAUGAAAAAAAAAAUACAAAAAUAGAAAAUGAAUUGAAUUCCACUCAUCGUCAUCUUGGCAAAUCAAGUCAAAAAAUAAAAAUCCAUAUGCUUUUGUUAAAGUUAAAAGCUACAUAAAUAAUAUCACAGAAGCUUCUGCUAAGGUUCAUGUGAAGUCACAGCUUUGAUACUUGUAAUACAAGGAGCACGGAGAAACCAUAAACUUCAGUUUAGGUAUAUACAUUGCUUGUCUUUCAAACUUGAAUUGAUAAGGGGGAAAAAAAUAAUACUAAAGCAAACAGAAGGAUCAUUUAGUUGACAAAAUUAUUAUUAUUUUGAAAUUCGGGUCAUUCAGUUACUUUCAUUUCAGUUUCACUUCUGAUUCAAUUUAACCAGUUAACGUUGACAAAAAUAAAAUGCAAAUAUAAGGCUAAGGCUGCUAAUUUGAUGAACUAAUUGUCUCAGGAACCAAAGCAUCUAUAAGCAUGCAUGGGUGGCAACACCAUAAUUACUCAAGACUGGAGGAGUAAAAAGAUUGGUGAUGAUAAACAUUAAAUUUUAGGAAAAUCAUUCACAAAUAUGCUUUUAUAAAAGUUUUGUUGGUAAAGUUCGAGAAAUGCAUACAUGUCAAAUUUCCAUUUCUUGUGAGCAUUUCACCAAAUAGCUGAUAUGCAUUAAUAACUCCUAUCCUAUACUAUUGGCCAGUAGGUUGUUGCUGCUUCCCCAUUUUUAAUGAUGCGAACGUCUCAUACUUAGAAAUAAGGGCGGAGCCUGGAGAUUGAUUUAUAAGAUAAUCUUUUGAAUAAAAAUAAAAACAAUUACAGAUUUCAAAUGUGAGAAAAAUAAAAUUGCGUUAUAAAAUUAAUCCCACUAAGAAAGUCGUCUACGAAAUUGCCACAUUAAAAGAAAAUUUUUCCAUAAAUUAAAAUAAAAUUAAAUGAAAACUAUUUUUCAGUAAAGUCAAUUGCCCACGCUAGGCUAAGGCGUUUGUUUAUUUGUUUGUUUGUUUUUAUAAUCUGAAUAGGUAUAAAUUUUUUGUAAGCAUGAAUGAGCUGAGUACAAAUAUAUGAAUGAUAUAUUUAUUUUUCUUUUUCUUAAUACCCAAAUAUAAGUGACAUCUUAUUUAUCUUAAAUAUGGUUAUUUGAUAUUUAUAUUUUUACAAAUAAAAACAAAAAAAAGUAGUUAGAUUUUAUAGUUUAAGAAAUAAAUAUAUUUUAUAAAAAUAUUUUUAGAAUAUAUAUUUAAUUCUUAUUUAGACUUUUUCCUAUUCAAUAAAAGUCACAAAAGUUACUUUUUCUAUUCAAAUGUAAAUGCUUAAAAAUCAGAUAUAAGUCACAAAAAAAAUAAAUUUUAGAAAAAGUCAUAAAUUAAUAAAAUUUCAUAUAUUUAACUCCCAAUGCAGAUCCGCCCCUAUCAGUGUUAGGAAAUUGACUGGUGAAGUAGGUUCACAGCUAAAAUGAAAUUGGAAGAAAAUGAAGAACAAGCACAUAGAGGACACCAAAAAUUACAUGGUUCGACUUUUAGCCUACGUCUACGGGUAAAGACAAAAGGAUGAAACUUUACUGGUGAAAUGAGGAUUACUAGUAUUAUAAUAUUUUGUUUCACUUCCCAGAACCCCAAUCCACUCAAUCUCUUAAAACACUAAUCACUCAAGAGCAUUAAAACUCUUAGUCUCUCACUCUAGAAUUGAAGAAGAAAAGAAUGAAAUGCAGGGGUGAACCCCUCAUUUAUAGUUAAAAAUUUGGGCACUAUUUAUAUUUUUAUACAUUUUUUUUAAAUUAAAAGUUUGAACUUGACAUUCAAACUUUGAAUAUCAAAAGGUAUUGGUCACUCUUCUAGAAAAGUGACAUUGACUUUGACAUUCUCCCACUUAGAAAUUUGAUUGAGAAUCAAUCAAUCUCCACACCAUCCUUUCUGCUUCGUCGCUAUCAUGUUGCUUAUGUCUCUACUAGGCCAUAAAAUGAUAUACUCCAAACAAAUUUAUCAGCAUUGAUAGGCUUGGGCAAAACAUUUGUUAAGUUCUCCUUGGUAUCCACUCUUGUAUCUUUCACUACUUCACGAAGAAGUGAUAUUGUACUCCUAUAUUCUUUGUCCUGAAAUAAAAGGUUGGAUUCCUUGCAUUCUAACUAUCACAAACCAUAAAAAAAUUUAUGCCCAAGCUCCUUCAGUAACCUUUGUAUCCAAAUAGCCCUUCCAAGCUUGUGUAGCUGCUAUGUAAUCUGCUUCUGUUGUUGAUAAAGCCACAAUGGUUUGCAAUUUUGAAAUCCAACUAACAAUUUCGCCUUCUGGUGUAAAUACUUAGCCAGUAGUGGGUUUCCUUUUAUUAAGAUUUUCUGCAAAAUCUGAAUGCACAAAGCCCUUGACAGUAAAUUCUAAUCCUUCGCAGCAUAAUGCAACAUCUGAUGUUCCUCUGAUAUUUCUCAGAAUCCUCUUAAUAGUCUUCCAAUGUUCUUUGCAAGGAUUCGCUAUGUAUCGACUAACUGCUCCCACUACUUGUACAAAUCAUAGCAAACCUUAAAUUUUCCACUGCUGAUGCAUACAGUACUCAAGACAUCUCUUCUUCUCUACUUCAUUACUAGAUGAAUACUUAAGAAUAACUUGAAAUUAAUAGGAAGCGGGGUAGAAAGCCAAAUCUUCUUGCUAUUACUAUCUCGGUGAAUUUGCAUCCCUAAAAUCUUGUUUGCUGGUUCUAAGUCUUUUAUUUCAAACUCCCUAGUUAACUGUGCCUUCAGUUCUUGGACUCGAUCUUUGUUGGGGCUUGCUACCAAUAUGUCAUCCACAUACCACAGUAGAAUGAUGAAAUCAUUAUUAUCAAACUUGUUGUAAUAUGUACAACAGUAUGAAAUGAUUCUAUUGUAUCCAAGGUUUAUGAUGAAAGGAUCAAUUCUUUUAUAUCAACAUCUCGGUGCAUGUUUGAGAUCGUAUAGAGAUUUGUUCAACUUGCAAACCAAGUGUCCCUUUUUAGUAAAACCUUCUAGUUAGAGCAUAUAAAUCUUUCCUUCAAGUUCUCCAUGAAGAAAUGAAAAUUUCACAUCUAACUGCUCCAAAUAUAGGUCAAAUGUAGCACACAUCGACAAGACCACUCUGACUGUCCUGGGUCAAAUCAUUGGAGAAAAUAUCUCAUUGACGUUAAUACAUUCUUUCACCACCAAUCUUUCACGAUAUCGCUCCACUAGGUUAUUACCAUCACGUUUGAUCUUGUGAACCCAUUUGCAACCAAUGGUUUUUUUUUAUAUGGUAGUAGUACGAGUUCCUAUGUCAUAAUCUUGUGUAGAGCCUUAAUUUCUUCCUGCAUUGCUAUCAUUCACAAAGUAACAUCUGAGCUGUUUAAAAUUUCAUAGAAAGUUGAUGGCUUUCCAUUCUCUAUUAAAAGACAGUAUGCAAAAUUGAUAUAUGUGACAUAAUCCAAAUGCCACACAUACAUUUAUCUAUCACGAGUUGACCAACAAACUUUUGGGGCCUCAGACUUGAUUGGUUCUUGUUCUCAUACUUUGGAUGAUGCUUCAAAAAAAUCUGAAUCUUCAUUUUCCAGAUUAUUUUCAACAUAUAUUAGCACAAUCUCUAAAUUUUAAUAGUGCUAUCAUCCAUAUCUCUCUUUUGCAUUUGAUCUUCUACAAAGACAAUAUCUCUGCUAAUAACGAUCUUGUGGGCAUUGAGGUCCCACAGAUAAUACCCUUUCACUCCAUCAAUAGAUUCUAAGAAGAUACAUCUCUUGGAUUUUGGAUCCAUCUUUAAUCUCACUUGGGUAUCGUAUAUCACGUAAAAGGACAUCAAAAUGCCUGAGAUGAGAGUAAUCAGUUGGCUUUCCUGUCCAUUUUUCCAUUGGAAUCUUCAACCCGAUUGCCUUGAAUGAUGACCCACUUACCACAUAAUAAGUAGUUUUUGCUACUUCCGCCUAGAAUGAGUUGGUAGACCAGCAGUUCUCAACAUAACUCUUAUUUUUUCUAUAAGAGUCAUGUUCUUUCACUCUACUACUCUAUUUUAUUGAGGAGUGUAUGCCACUGUGAACUAUCUCUAGAUACUUUCUUACUUACAUAUGCAAGAAACAUGCUAUAUGUAUACUCUCCACCAUUGUCUGUCCUCAGGCACUUGAUCCCUUGCCCUGAUUUAAGUUCAAUCUAUUCUUUGAAUUCUUUGAACAAUGGAAAUACAUUUGACCUUUUCUUGAUUGGAUACACUAAAUAUCUCCUAGAAUAAUCAUCAAUAAAAGUCACCAAAUACUUUGCACCUCCCAUAGAUAUAUCAAUUGAUUCCCAAACAUUAGAAUGAAUCAAGUCUAAAAUACAUUUACUUUUGAAAGUGGAUUUGCUAAACUUUCAUCUAUGUUGCUUCCUUGUUUCGACAUGUGGCCAAGUUUAAGAUGCCACAUCAUCGCUGAAUUUUCUCUAUUUGAUGUGACACACACAAAAGCUUUCUGUAGUGUUUCCAUUUAAGCAUGAAUAGAUUAGCACCGAUCUUUUCCACCUUCAUUAAUGCAAGUGUGCCUUUGACUAUCUUUAUGAUCCCAUUUUCUACAUGAGUUUUGUGCACAAGGCUAUCUAUUUGUCCUAAAGACAAGAGAUAUUUUUCAAGUCUUUGACAUGUCUUACCUUCUCAAUUGUGCGAACCAUACCAUUAAACAUAUUUAUUUUGACAGUACCAAUAUCAAUGAUCUCAAAGGCAUGAUUAUCACCUAUGUAUACAGAUUCUCUUGAAAUAGGUUCAUAUUUGUGAAAUCAUUCUCUUGGAGAGAUCAUGUGCCAAACAACUAUUAAGUCUAUAAGCCAGACGUCGUAUAGUGGUUUUCUGCCUUCUGAAGCAGUUGUUGCCUUACUGUAGAGAAUUUUGCUAUCAUACGAGGUACUUACUACAUACCCUUGAGCAUUUGAUGACUCGGGAUCUUUACCCUCUCUUCUCUUCUAGUUGUUCCAAUACUCUUCCUUGACAUGCUCUUUCUUGCCACAGUUGUUGCAUUUAACAUUCUUCUUACUUCUUGAUUUCGAUCUACUGUGAUUGUGGCUCUCACUAGGGCCACGUUCCAUGGAUCUUCCUUUCAUCAUCAAUAGCGCUUCUACUUGCUGCGAACUUGUCUGUCUAUCUUUUUUAUUUUUUGCUACUCUCCUCAUUUAAUACGGAGGCUGCCAUAUUGUCAAAGACUAACUUGUUUGCUCGAUUGUUAUUAGUUAGAUUAAUGACGAAUUAAUCAUACGAAUCUGGUAAACCUUGAAGUAAAAGCUCUACAUGAUCAUUUUCCUCUAUUUUAUGACCCAACGUUGUAAGUUAUGAAAAUAAAGUCUUUAAAGUGUUGAUAUGGUCGAUCACUGAUGUAGAUUCCGUCAUUCGAAGAGUAUAAAGCCUCCUCUUUAAAAAGAUUUUAUUUUGUAGUGAUUUGACCUCGUAUAGUCUUGUGAGAGUAAACCAUAUUUCCUUUGCUCUCUUUUACUCUACCACAUUGAAUAAUACCUUAUUUGAAAGUGGUAUGUGUAGAUUUGCAAUGGCAUUAUUGUCUAUCUCAUUCCACUUGUCAUCAUCAGUUAUCUUUGUGAGCCUCUCUUCAAUUGUUGCCAAGCAAUUACUCUUCCUCAAUACAACCUUCAUCUUCAUUUUUCAUGACGAAAAAUUAUUUUUGUUGAACUUCUCAAUUUUGUAUUUUUCCGCCAUCACUGUUCACCACGAGCUACCUUUGCUAAGAUCGAUUCCUACCAUUUCACAUGAGCAGUAACUGUAUAUAUGAAUAAAGUGUUGUAUACAGAAACAAUAUCAUAUACAUGAACAGUACAAUAUAUGUAAACAGUAUCUUGACCCCAAAAAAUACAACCCGAAAAUUAAUUUGUGAAGUAGGGCCGCGACUAAAAUGAAAUUGGAAGAAAAUGAAGAGCAAGCACACUGAGGACACCAGCAAGCACACUGAGGACACCAUAAAUUAUUUGGUUCGACUUUUAACUUAUGCCCAUAGGUAAGGACAAAAGGAUAAAACUUUACUAGUGAAAUGAGGAUUAUAAGUAUUUUAGUAUUUUGUUUCACUUCUCAAAACCUUAAUACACCCAAUCUCUCCAAACACUAGUCACUCAAGAGUAUAAAACUCUUACUCUCUCAUUAUAGAACUAAAGAAGAAAAGAAUGGAAUGAGUGAAAUGAGGGGGUGAACCCCUCUAUUUAUAGCUAAAAAUUUGGGCACUUUUUAUAUUUAUUAUUAUUAUUAUUUCAAAAUUUAAAGUUUGAACUUGAUAUUCAAACUUUGAAUAUCAAAAGAUACGAGUUGUUCUUCUAGAAGAACGGCACCAACCUUGACUCUUAGGCAGACCUUUAGAGCUUUAAAUAAAGAAAAAGCUUUUAAAAAUGCCAUGUGUACUUGAUUAUACAAUAAUCUCCACCACAUAGAAUGAUUUGAUAAAAGAAAUUUUUUAUUUUUAAUUUUACUUUUAUCAGGCACGGUGCAUUUCCCCUUGGGCUCAUAUGUAAGGAUGUCAAUAAGAUGGGAAGGAGAGAGGAUUGAUUUCCCCAUACUCAUCUUUAAUACUCUGUCUAUCUCUUUGUACUCUAGACAUUUCCUUCAAAAUUACUUGAAACGAGGGGAUGGAUGUUUCUAAAUAAUACAAAGGGAUCUCUUAUGGCAUCCGAUCUCUGAUUAUUUAAUUUCUUUUUUUUCUUAAUUUAAUCAUCUUAAAGUAAAAAUAUAAAAUCAUAUUAACACAAAAAAUAUCAAAUUAACUAAAGUGAUUAAAAUCAUUUCCAUCAAAUUAAGUCAAUGCCAUCAAAUUAGAAGAUAAUCUUUGAACUAAUUAAGCAAAAGUAAAUCUUCAAAGUUAAACUCAUCCAUAAAUGUCAUAUAGUAUAAACCAUCAAUUAAAUUAUCUUUGUCAAUUUUAAAGUGUUUAUAUUUACUUUAUAUUGGCUGUUAUUUAUAUUAUUUUUAUAAAUGUAUUAUGAUAUUUUUUAUUUACAUCACACUAUUGCAAUUGAAAUUUUAAAUGUAUUUACUAUAAAUUUGAAAAAAAAAUGAAUUAAAAAUAAAAACUAAAGAUAAAAAUAGAAAAAUGUGGAGCCAAAUAAAAUAUUAGGGCAAACACUAAGUUAUAUUUCAUGUAACUUACACCCACACAUAUUAAUUUAUCACAGUCUUGUCUCCACAUAGAAAAAUUAGAUCUAAGAUUAUCAAACUCCCGAAUGAGGAAGAUCCCUCGGGGCCAUCGUCCCUGUGGAAAUUUCUGCAUCCCUGCAGUCUACAACGCCUAAUAAUGAAUUGAACGGUUGAAAUCCCUCUAAAUUUUUGAUAAUUUCUAAUCGCCCCUCCAUAUUUGAUUGAACAUCAAAACUAUUGAGUCCAAAUUUAUAACUUUGAUUUAUCUUCCAUUCCAUAGUUUUCAAGUUCUCUCUCUCUCUCUCUUUUAAUCCUUUUUACUGCAACCACCAUCAAAGCCUAGUAGUUAAUAUGUAUGCUGCUUUGCUUUCAAAAUCGGACACUACUGGUAUUUAUGGUUUUUAUUCUUUAUUUGACACAAAAUUUGGCGAUAUCUCCGCGGAAAAACACUACUGGUGUAUUCAAUUUUAUCCGGUAAUGAUUAAAUUGAUUAUUACAUGAACCGUAACUUCGCCAAGCCCAAAAUACAUAUUAAGUUAUAAAGCGUGGCACUCAUUAUUUUUCGCAAAAAGUUUCGCCCAAAAUACAUAUAUUUUUUUAAUUUUUUCUGUGAAAAAAACUACUGUUAUAUUCAAUUUUAUCAUUAAAGUUGUUAGUUACAUGAACCUUAAAUUAACACAAACCGUAACUUAGCCAAGCCCAUAAUACAUAUUUCAUAUUUGUAUGAAAUUUAAAGUUUUUCCACUUAUUAUUUUUCGCUAAAAGUUUCUAAAUUGUAUUGUAGUUUGAACUUGCCCAUCAUUCAAUUUUUUAACUCCACAAUUAUUUGACCUUACCAAGCUUGAAAAUAUCCUUCCAUACAUUUUUAAUUUUCUCCAAGUAUGAUGAAGAUUUAAUCAAGAGCCUCCGGGAUCUUAAAGUGCAAGAAAGGUCCGGAAAAUUUUUAAAACCCCACUGUUUAAAGUUUUUUUGGACUUUCUUGCACUUUAAAAUCUUGAAUUGAUAUAUAUAUAUAUAAUCAUUAUUAGGUGCUAGUGUUCUCUUUUUUUUUUUAAUGCAAACACCCUUUUAAGCCGUAGGGUUUAAUAACAUUAAAAACUAACUUUCAACUAGCUCUCUUAAAUUGUACGGCUUAAAAGCAUGUUAGUAUGAAAAAAUGAACACGUCUGUACCAAAAAAGGACUAUAUAUACUAUUUAUUUUAUAUAUACAUACGUGCGCGCGCUCGCAUAUAUAUAUAUAUAUAUAUAUCAUUUUAAUAUAUUCCAUUACUUUAAUAAUCAAUUUAAAAUAGUUUGUGAUAUUUUCAGCUAUUUAUUUAUCUACUUUUAGUUAGUUAUUUACACCGAAUGAAGUGAUAGGGUCCAAAUUUUAGUAUCCUUCUCAAUUGUUUGGGGUUAGUAAAUACUAAUUAGCUUAUUCGUCCCGCACAGCCGCGUAAAUGCUGUUAGAUUUCGGAGAGAUGCUGAGGAUGGUACAAGAUUUAUCAAAUUGUGGCGACAUUUUUAUACCUUUAGAAUUUCAAGAUUUUGAAGAAAUAAAUGGAAUCUGUUUUCCAUAAGUGCUCCACUAUCCACCAGGAGGAAUUCUAAAAUACAUUACAGAUUAGUAAUUUUUCAGAAUAAAUAAACACAUGUUAUAACAUUAUCUACUUAUCGUAUGAUUGAUAUGAUACUUCUGAUAUAUUUUAAAAUUUUUAAUGCACCAAAGUUCAUUUUUAGCUUUUAAGGUUUUUAUGUGUGAGCCUCUCAGCACGUUACCCAACCUCCGCACGUGAAAAUAUUUCUAUGUACGGUUACAAGCUUUUCCAGAUUGUGAGUAUUCCGAAGCAAUCCAACUUGAAAAACAGCUGGUUCGUAGAAAAUGACAGUUUACGAAGCUGGCCCUGCUGCCAUACAUAUGAUGAAGAAGACCAUUUUGCUUUAUGUCAAUUCCUCCAAGUUGAAAUCUUUCUCGGUCUGGGACACUUCCAACACAUAAAGUACUACUAGGCUAGAUGAUUUUAAAAAAUGUCAAGGUCCUUUAUCAAAUUUCAUUUGCAUUCAAGACCAAUCCCCUUUGAUGAAAAUCAAUAAUUAAAGGCUUUCCAAUGAGAAAUUAUUACGUCUUCAAAUCUCAAAAAACGCCAGAAUAUUAAUUCGCUACAUAUAAUCAAGAUAUCUCAUUGAGACGCAUUAAUAAAAAAUGUCAAAAUGCAUAGAAAGAGCAGACACACGGAUGAUGAAUUUACUCAUCUUUAGUAGUAUUUGAACUUGAGAGACAGAAUGAAGUACAUGUCAAGAAUAUCAUAAAGAUGGAAACCGGAAGUCCUCCGCACAUAAACUUUGAAGAAACUGGAAAACGACUUUAUUCCAGAUAAUGCACACCAGAGUGACCAAAAUUCUCUUCAGUAACUAUAGAGAAAAUAUUAUUUUGCAUGCAUUUCACGUAACUGGAUCAAACUACUCCCCUGUUGGUUUAUCAGACCACAUUUUUAUGGUGCAAUAUAAACCAUCUUUUCAAAACACUUCUACAAUGUGAGAAACAAAUGAUUUUUAUAUAGUUGUUCAUAGCUAACUUUUGAUGGUUUAAUGAUCUGUAGAUUUUGUUUUAUGUUAUUCAAGGAAAGAUAUUGGAUUGUUCCUAAGAGUUCAUAGGCAGGGGCAUAUAUGCAUGAUUUGAUAUAAUUCUUGCAAUUUCUAAGUACUUGCUCUUUCCAUCCCUUCUAAGUUUUGAAAGAAAGGUCGAAAUAAACAGAGAAACAGGACAAACAGAAGAAGACUGAAUUAACAGAUUAGCAAAGAUGGCAACUAACAAAUGGAAAAGUUCUCUUGUCAUCAAACUAUAGCAAACAGAUGACACCAUUACCAUAUAUCUUAAUGAGUAGAUUGAUUCUAAACAUAAAUGUUAGGAUACAUUUGGUUGUUUAAUAGUUUGAAAUAAGGAGGAUGAGAUGGUUUCCACAUAAAAGUGCUGGCCCUUUCAAUGACAUUUUCAAGGAAUUAUAAAAUUCAAAAUUAAAAAAAAAAUAGCACAUUAUAAAGCCACACCGUCAAAAAAAUAAAUAAAUAAAUAAGUGAAGAUCAAACUAAGUCACUAAGACCUUUAAUGAUAUAAAAUAAGCAUAUAAAUCUCAGAACAAAACAUUAAAACUCAUUCUAAAAGUAAAAAUAAACUAGUGGUGUAUUCCAAACAAUUUAGAUGAAGCGAUAAAACAAGCCAAGAAAUCAAAUAAAAUGAAAUGAAAUUGAAUUACCUGGGACUUUGUUUUUCAAAUUCACAACUCGCUUGUAAUUAAAGUAAAAUGCCAAUGCCAUUAGGACAUAUACAUCAUUGAAUAAGAUGAGGACCCCUCCAACAGCUGAAAGUAAAAUUUUCAUUCAUUAGUUUCAAUUAAAAGUAAAGCACACAGAUUUGCAGGGAAGCAAGAGAUUUAAUAAAUUUAACACCAGCAAUUUAAUUUGACAGGACUUCCAUACAGUAAUGAAGUCAAAAACUAAUGAUUAAUGAAUUUUUGUAAUUGAAUGAAUAAGAUUCUCUGAUUUUGGAUAAUUGAAUGAAUAGGAUUCUCUAACUCUUGUGAAAAUAUCAAUUUUAAAUAGGGUAGAGUUUCAAGAAUUAAGCACAUAUGUAUCCCAAGGCUGUUGAUCAUCUCUCUCUCCAUAGUAGAAGUUUACUCUCAGAGGCGCGUUUAAUUCUCCUUUAGUGAAAAUCUUCGUCUUGGGACAACCAAUUAUAGAUAAAUCUUCCAAAGAUGGGAAUUUGAAGGUGUAAUUGGCAGAGCAGAAACUUCUGAGACUAUCAGCAGAAACUUGUGAGACUAUCCAAAUCAUACAGAUACAAAAUCUUCAAUUUGGUGAAAGCAAUCUCUUCUUCAAAAUUUUCUGCUCCAUCUUCGUCAUUUAUCACCACCUCUCUCAUUGCUCUACAUCCAUAUACCAACAUUGAUAAGAGUCUCUGUAGAGUUUGGAGUGACAGAUUCGAUAAUGAUCAACUCCAAAUACUCGCCAAGAUCGCAAAUCAAACAACCAAGAUGCAAAAAGAAUCAAUCCAGAAAAAAUCACAGAGAAACUUAAGAACCUAAAAGAAUUAAAGAAUUAGCGGCAAAGACAAAAGAAUUAACGUGGUUCAGCUAGCUUUCACUAGCUUACAUCCACAGGAAAAACCCGGAUCAAGUUUAUUGAUUUUCAGAAGAUGAUUACAGAGAGUUUUAAGAGCUAAUAACAGAGUAUUUCUUGAAGCCUUCUCACGAAUCUUCUAAUCACUCAAUAGCUCUCACGCACACGCCUCCUGUUGCACCAGAAUCAGCUGUUUAUAACAGCUUCUUCAACAAACCAAAAUGAACCCAGAAACUCACGUGAUUGGCAUGCGUUAUAACAGAUUCAUAACGACCCUGAGCGGCUUCUUCGAGCACGUGUUUCUCUCGUGCUUUACUUAAACACAAAACGACGCUCAACUAAGUCGUUCCAGAGACAAAACAAAUUGCUCUUCAAAACGCAAUCAGCAAUUGUCGUAUUGUAGUUUACUUAAGCUGCAAAACGCAAGUCCAACUUGUCGUUUCAAAUAUCUUGAUUUGCUUCACAACACAACAGUCGCUCUAGACUUUUUGCUGUGGAGGAGGUUGCUAAGUUCCUUGCAACGAAGAACUAGAAGUUCUUUUAGGUUCCCAAAAGAUACCGAUUGAACAAAGGACUCCAAUUUGGAGUCUUGUUUCCACAAUUGCUUCAGACGAUUAAGUUUGUGCAGAUCUAAAUGUUUUAUCAUUGUAAACUUCCUCACAUGUUUCUUCAAGUAUCCUCCAUUCGAAAAUACCUCUUCGCAUGAACAACGACGCCGUAUGAGAGUUUCCAGAUUAUGAAAUCUCUCAAGUAAAUCAAGUGGAAAACAAGUUGAGUCAUCAUCCACUGUUUGUAGUAGUUUAAGACUGCCAAAAAGGUGUUGUGGGAAAUCGCUCUGCAAAGUCAUCCUCGAGUCUUUUCCACUUAAUGCCCGUUCCUCCUAAGUUGGGUAAGCUCUGAUCAUCAUCAAUCACGUAAUAACUUAUUAAGUCAAUUCAUAUUCUCUCAAAUAACUUUUAAUAAUCCAAUCAUACACAGUGACUUUAAUAUAAAUGCAUAAUAUUUUACAAAAAAGAAGAAAAAAUCGAAUUAGAGGUAAAAGUUAUUCUACGAUUUUAUUUUUUAUAUAUAUCUUGCAUGCUAUUCCCAAGAGCAAUCCCAAACGGCCCUUAAAGCAAUUUUACAAAAGCGGCCGUUACAUAUAUUGCCAACUUUGUUGGGAAUGGCAAUGGGGAGAGGAGGGGAAGAGACCGAACUCCCCGUACCCAUUCAUGAUAUUCUGCAUAUAUCCUCGUCCUCUCCUCAUUUCUCACAAAAUUGCUUUAGGAAAUCCCCCUCCCCUCCCCAAAUAAUAAUAGGGGAUCCUUGAAGGCCCUCGAUCCUCGAAUAACUGAUACGUUUUUUGUUUUAAAUUUUAAUUUAAUCAUAUUAAAAUAAAAAAUAAAAAUAAAAAUAAAGUUUGACGAUAUAUCUUAUAUUAACAUUAAUCUAUUACAAAAGUCACAUUACAAAGUAUAAAUCACCAUAAUAAUUAUCUUCGGCAAUCUUCAAAAUCAUAUAAUAAAAAAAAGAAAUUACUUUUAUAUCAACAAUGAGAUAAAUGAAAUGAAUAUAGAUACUUAAUCAAUAUUUCUAAUAAAAGUAUUUACCUCUGCGUCUCCUACUCUUCUUGUUCUUCCUCGAGGAAUGUGACAAAUUGAGAGAUAGCCUCAGAUUUCAAAUUUAAAACAAUAAAAAUGAUAUAAGUAAUGUAAAUUCUAAUUAAAAUAAACUCAUACUGCCAUUGUAAGCUUGUGGUCAACUUUGACAACAUAUUAAAGCCUCCAAUGUGCUUGAAUAAAGCGUGUUACGGUACUCUACCACUGGUGCUAAAAGCUAAUUCAGAAGCAACAUUUGUAAUUAGAAUUGCCAAAAUAUCUCUAGGUGCCAAUAUAGGAUAUCUAUAGACAUUUAUUUUACACCAACUCAAAUUAUUAAAAUCUUUCAUCCGUGGCAUAACUUUCUCAUCCAAAUAUUAAUGUAGUCAAUUAAGCCUAAAGUUUAAUAAUAUAAUUAUUUUAAUUUUAAUUUAUUUAUUUAUUUAUUUAUAUUAAUAUUUUAUUAUUUAUUUACAAAUAAUUUUAAAAAAAUUAAAAUUAAAUUAAAAAAUUAGAAGAGAAUAGGGAUUCCGCCGUAUCCCCGUCCUUUCUCUUAAUAAGAAAUUGGGUAAAAAAAACUAUUUCCGUCCCUUUUUCAAAUAAAAAAUUAAGUAAAAAAUUAUGUACCCUCCUGAAUUGGGAAAAUCUCGAGGGUCAUGUCCCCGCGGGAAUAUCUGCCAUUCCUAAACUUUGUAACAGCCAGUUGCUUUUGUGACCGUUUAUGUGACGGCUAGACUGCUCUCACUUAUGUUACUAACCACGUGACGGUAGAGAGCCAAUUGGCAUUCCAUUAUUUUGAUUGUAGAGUUAUAAAUUUGUUUCUAAAUAGAAAACUAUUUGCUGAAGUCAAUAUAUUGAAAACCAAAGUCCCAAAUUCUCUCUCGUGCGUACCUGGCCAUCCUAAACCUUACUGGUAGCCGGAGAAUGGCGUAAAACGGCAGCGAUCUUCUUCUUCAUCUUAUUCUCUCUCUCAUCGUUUCAGGUAAGCUUGUGAUUAUGAGUUUCUUCUCUUUCUUAGCUUGUAAUUAUAGGUUUUGAUUUCUUUACUUCGUAUUGUAACCAUUAAUGUCAAUUUUUGUCCCGCCGGCAAUAUUUCUUGUUCCUAGAAGUUGAAGCCCUUCUGUUCUUGUUCCAUUGGUGACUUUGCUCACUCAAAUUAAUUUUGUUCUGCGGAAUUUACAAAGUUCAAAUGGAUUCAUUUGAAUUACUAUUGAAUUUAGCUUUAAUUUCAACAUCCAUUCUAAUGUUUUACAAUCAUGUAUUUAGAUUUACUUUAAUUUUAUGUUUAAAGCUUCUACAAUGAAUAGCGUAGCUUGGGCUUUAGUUUCAUUUUCUAAUUAACUUGUUUUAGUUUAUCUUAUAUGCUCGCCAAGUGCUUGUUAUAUUGUCUGAUAAGUUAUAUAACAUUGCUGAUUCUAUAUUAGUAAUGUCAUGUUCCAUUUUCGGAAAUUAUAACACAAAAGUUUUUACAAUGGCUUGCAUCUACAAACUGAAUUGACUUGUAGAGUAAGAGCUUGGAUUAGUGUUAUGUUCUUGAAUAAAUGAAAGUUCAUAUUGUGUAAGAGCAUGUAGAUAUAAAGCAUCACUACCAUUUCUACAAACUGCUUUCAUUCUGUUCAGAUGCUCCUCUUGAACUUUGAAAGGUGCCUCAUUCAAGUCCUAGCUAUAACUACUAGCUCUGAUUGCUUAAGUUCCUGUGCUAGCUGAAACAGAUUUAUUUAAUUAAUUAAUUGUGUAUGUACUAAUUAUAUUGAAAGUAUAUGAAGAAAUUGUUUAACAUGAAUGACUUCUAAAUGACUUAAAAGCCUAAAGGAUAUGUCAAAUAAUGCUCAUUUCACUUGAACGAGCCUAAUACUUUUAUGUCUAUGAUUGUCAAUCUUGCUUAAGUGUUUCAGUUAAGUGGUUUACCUAACAGGGGAAAAAAUUUAAUGGAAAACUUUAGAGUUCGAACAGAAAUAUAGUUGACUGCAGAUAUAGUUAUUUUACGGUACAUAAAUCAUAUUGUCCUAUACUCAAUGUCCUACGACCUAUUUUAUUUUAUAUGGUCAUUCAUUUUUGCGAUGGUUUUUUGUGCUUAUGAGUAUGGAAAUAGUGGGAUUUGGUGUGGCAAACAAAAAUAUACAUAUAAUCAAGUUUCUUAAUCAUGUAUAUUGGUUUUGGGUAUGAAUGUUUUCCUAUUCUAGUUCUAGGCAAAGUUUCUUCAUUUUGGUCUUCAGAUUUCUAGUAGGUUAAGUUAAGCAACUAUCAUAACUAGCUAGCUAGUUAUUGCCUGCCUUGUCGCCAUUACCGACGCCAUUACAUUGCAUGGCAUAAGGAAUAGUAACUAGGUGAUUAUUGGUGAUUCGUUGAGUUUAUUAUUGGCCAAACAAACAUAUUGGCCUUUACCCACAACUUAGUUUGAUUAGUUAUUAGAUAAUAAAGAGCCUUAAUCUAUGCAUUGCUUUAUUAUUUUUAUUUGGUUUUUCUUUCAACAAUAUUGUUGAUUUCUUAUAAAAAAUAUUCAUUGGUUUUUAAACACCUAAUCAUUGGCUACGAUGAAGCUAAUUAAAACUAAGGCUUUGGAUCAAUUUCUGUUAACAACAUACAAAUGUACUUACUGAGUAUAAGAUUGAAGACUUGAAAAGAGGAGAAAAGAGGAGAAUGAAUAAAAUGAAAGAAAUGAUAAGAUUACUUGGAAGAAGAAAAGCAUUUUUAAUGAACUAACGUAUUGGGAGUUCAAUUUGAUUCAUCAUAAUCUCGAUGUCAUGCACCGUUUUGAUUUUUGUUAUGAACUCAGAUCAAAAGUUUAAUGUGAUCAAAAUUUCUUAAAAAUAGUGAAAACGACUCCUCCUAAUAAUAUGGAAGAUGGCUAUAAAAGAUAAUUUCUUAAAAGUUUAAUGUGAUCAAAUUUGCUUGUGAACGCAAGGGUUUUAGUUACACUGUCAACGCUGUCAAUGUAGUGAUACAAUGAAGAUGAAGUAAAGCAUUAGUAGAAUAAUGAAGUUGACCAGUAACACAGUAAAGCAAAUUUUAUUCCAGAGCAUGAAAACUUUUAAACAGUAACACAGCUCUUAUUCCAGAGGCUGCACACGAGUGACCUCAAUCUUCUUCAGAACUUUCAAAUUUUAUCAAGCAAAGCUUUCAAAAUCCUUGCCUUCCUAAGUUAGGAAAGAUAGAUGUGGAGCAAACUAUUUUUUAUAGAUAUUUUCACUUUGGGCUGUCAGCCCGAGGAAGUACGGGGUUCUGAGUUAUUCAACUGAAAAUGUCGGCCAAGUUCUUGUGUUAGUUUUAGUAUAUUGUGUAAAAAUGAUACACUAACUUGAAUUUAUAUGCUUUUAUGACUAUUUGAUAAUCAAAUGGGUACAUGACACGAAGAACUUUGAGUUUAAAAAUCUGGCCCUGAUGCCUGGUAGCCCUCCAACCUAUGAAGCACUAGACGUUUUAAUGAGAAAACGACAAGACCAUUUAUCAAAUUUCUUGUGGAUAUAAAUACAUACACAUAGACGAGACCAACCUCCUCAAAGGAGAAUCAGAGUGAUUACAAGACCUUGUGAUGGUUGUCGAAACCAGUAAAAAUAAAUAUCUACUCUAAAUAAAUUGUGUAUAGUGAUUGAGCAGGAUCGUGUCCAUAAAGAUCGGUAAUUAUUUAAAUCCUUUUUAAAAUGUAAAUUGCAAAAUGGGGAGAUUGUUGACAAUAAAAAAAAAUCAAAUUAAAAUAACAAGAAUGCAAAUUAAAAUUGUAAUUCAAAUUGGAAAAAGUUCUGGUUGAAGGAAUUAACUCAGCUUGAUUCGACUACUGAUCAUUGAUUCAAAUAUAAAUUAUUACUACUUAUGAAUAAAUCGGUUAUAGCUACUGAGACCCUCUAAUAGCCAAUCUCUCUUUAACUAAUCGAUAACCAAGGUACGACCGUUGGUUAUUUCCCUAAUCAAUAGACAACCCUAGAUACGAUCAAAGGAUUUAAUCAAUUGACAGCCUAAAAAACCAGAGAGACCCAAAUCCUAAUCAACAAACGCAUACGAUGGUUCAUUUAAAUUAGAUUGUUUAUUCUCAUAACACAACUCACUGCUAUGUUAUUUGUCACAAAUAUUAAAAUCUUCAUACGAUGAAUCCUUUAAUUGACAAUAGAUUAAGUUGAUAAUUAAAUAGUGGCCAAUUAUCUAAUUAACAAACAUAAUCAUGACAAUAAUUCAGAGAAUAAACAAAUACCCAAAAAGUAAUAAAAUAAUUAAAGCAUAAGAAAGAUCUCACAGUAGUUAUGAAUCAAAGCUUCAUUAACUUUCAACCAGAAUAAUAGGUUUAGUUCUUCAUAGAGAGAAGAGAAAAGUUUAGAUCUAGGGUUUCUUUCUUUUAAAAAAUCUCCUUUUUUCACAAUAGAUUCCUCCCUUAAAUACUCUCUCUCUUCUCCUUUAGAGUUCUAUUUAAAAUAAAAUACUAAUAUAUGAAAUAUUAAAUUUGUAAUUACAAAAAUAAACAAAAAUACAAAACACGUUAAACUAAAAACUGUAGGUCCGUAGUUGACAGCACGCACCCACGCCUUAUCAACAAAGUUCUUCUGACACUCAUAAUUUCUCUAAGAGAACAAUCAUCCUUAAACAUCAUAUUGUAGCUCAAUUUUAUCACCAAUCAAUAGAAUUGCACCUACAAAAGUAAAACACAAGUAAAUCACUAUUAUUAAGUGCAAAACAUCGAUAUUAAGGGAAGUAAACAAUGCAAAACUAGUGCAUAAAUUGCACUCUAACAUAUACUCACUGUGACGAGUUGCACCAGAGUUUUUGCUGUGGAGGAUGUUACCAUGUGUAACAAUUUCUUGCAACCGAAAGCUACAAGUUUUGUUAGGUUCCGAAAAGAUACCGAUGAUGAUGGCAAUAGAAUUAACAGACUUUGACAAUGAUAUACUUUUAGAAUUUCAAGAUACUGAAAAAUGGGGCCAAGUUUGGAGUCUUGUUUGCACAGCUGCUUCAGAUGAUAGUGCCGGUUCAGCUCUAAUGUUUUUAUCAUUGCCAACUUCCCCACAUGUUUCUCUAAGCAUCCUUCCUCCGAAAAUACCUCUUCGUUGAAUGAAAAACAAACCAGUAAGAGUUUUUCAAGAUUGUGAAAUCUCUCCAGUACGUUCCAGAUUGGAAAACAAGCUGAGUCAUCUGCAGCAAUCUCUAGUUCUCUAAGACUGCCAAAAAGGUGUUGUGGGAAAUCGGCCUGCAAAAUCAUCUUCACAUCUUUUCCACUUAGUGCUAGUUCCUUCAAGUUGGGUACGAUCUGAUCAUCAUUAAUCAUAAUAACUAAUGAGGUCAAUUGAUGAUCUACGGUCACACGCAGUAACUUUAUAGUAUUUAUUUUAUAUUAUAUUUUAAAAAAAAAUGAAUUAUUGAUAAAAUUUAUUUUGUAUGUUAAUUUUACAGGUAAAAAAAGAAAUUAGGGAAAAAUAGUUGAUUUAUAUUGGCUCAAAAUUAUUUUAUUGCACAAUAAUAAAUUACUAAUUUAUUUUGCAAGUUCUUCUAUAUGGAAAGACUGAGGAUUCUUUUAUAAAUGCUAUACCUAAAAAAGUUCAUAUAAUUAUGAAUCUACCAUAUUGAUCCCUUAGUCUAGACUAGCAAAGAUUAUUGUAUAAUAAAAGUUUUUAAUUUAUUGAGUAUUAAAUGAUUUUUUAUAUGUUAAUUUUAGAGGUAAAAAAGAAAUUAGGGAAAAAAGGUUGAUUUCUACUGACUCGAAAUUAUUUUAUUGCACAAUAAUAAAUUACUAAUUUAUUUUGUAAAUUCUUCUAUAUGGAAAGGCUCAAGAUUCUUUUACAAAUGCUAUACCUAAAAAAGUUUAUAUAAUUAUUAAUCUACCACAUUGAUCCCUUAGUCUAGACUAGCAAAGAUUAUUGUCUAAUAAAAGUUUUCAAUUUAUUGAGCAUUAAUUUAUCGAUACUUUGUCAUAUUUUUCAAAGUUAAAAAUAAGCUAUAGAUAAAAAAUCUAGAAAAUGGCUUCAUACCUUUUCCAAUGGCAAUAGGGGCUGUUGUGCAGGAAUACCAAGUUGAUCAUUCCCAUUAUUCUGCGAUAAAUCUGCAGCGAAUAUCUUUAAUUUGUCACAACCAUGCACUAAAAGAAUUUCUAGUGCGGGCCAUUCCGAAGUAUGCAUUCCAGGGUACAAACAUCUAAGUUUUGGUAGAUCUUGGAGCUUCAGAGUGGUGAGCUGUGGAAAGACAAAAUAAGGGAUCAUUUGAUCUGCUCUGUUUUCAGAAAUGAUCUCCUGUAAAUUCUCACAGAAGUAUAUAUCCAGGUGUUGGAGCUGCUUAAGGCUUUCGAUCAUAGACGCUGAAAAUAUGUAUUUUAAUUUAUGACAACGCUGCACAAUCAAUCGUGUUAAAUUUUGAAAGCGAGGAAACAUGACCGGAAGAUGAUUGUAGUGCCAAAUCUUGUCGACAUUAAUUUCAGAUAUCUCCAAAGCCUCCAAGUUAGGCAACGCAACCUAAAAAAAGAAGAAUUUCUCGUUAGAUCCAAUAUCCAUAUGGGAAGUACUUGUUGAAAUUUUCUUCUUUGAUUACAAAUUAAUGCAAGUCAGAAUCAAUUUCAUACUACUUGUUAAGAGCUCAAUUAGUGAGCGCGUGAGAUUCUUUUUAUCCUUUUUUCCAUUUUCUUUCAAUUCUUUAAAUGAUUUAAUUAUUUUCCACGUAUAACAUCAAAACAGAACGCAUGAUAGAAUAAAAUGUGUUAUACAUUAAAGAAAAUGUUAGCCUACGCACCUUCUCGUUGAAAAGCAGAGUUGAAAUAUCCAAAGUGAUUUCGCUGGAGCUAUACAUAGUCGUCGAUUCCUCUUGCGACACUUGUCUGUUCGGUGAUGCUGAAGGAGUCUUCACCUCAUUGCGGCAAAAACUUGUAACCUCUGGAAGAUUCCCCAGACUCAAAGAUCUUAAUUGAGCAAACUCUAUCUUCUCAAUUGCAUUAUCAACUUCUUCCCCAAUUGCAAAAAUCUCUUUCAUCUUGCUGCAAUUAAUAACUGCAAUUCUCUCAAGUCUUGGAAGGCAUUUUGUAGUGGAGAGCCAAAAGAUAUUGCUCAACUUAUUACAACUAUAAGCUUCUAUGGUUUUGAGUUUGUUGAAAGACUCUACUUUGAGCCGAUCAAUACAUAUCCUCUCCAUGUUGAUCAAAUUGCGAAUGGUAAGUGACUCCAAAAGAGGAAAGGCAUCACAAGCGACCAUCUCCCUUGAAUCGACGAUACAAAAGAUGUCAGGAUUAUUUUGAACCAAGAGAAGCUUCAAUUGUGAAAAGCCAUCCGUGUCCAAAUUGAAAAGAACAUUCUCGAUGCCUUGCAGCUUGUCCAACCAUAAGUAUUCAACGUUAUUGAUGCCCUGCAAUUUCAUGGAGAAAAUGUCCAUAAAAUCAAGCUUGAGCUUCAAUGCUCUUAAACUCUUGCGAUCACGGUUGAUUGAAAAGUGCGGCCGACUUUGGAACCAUUUAUGUCUAGCAUACUUGUUGGGAGGCAUGAAUGACCCAUUUCCAAUAGAUAUUUUGAACCUUUCGAGCUUUCUGGCCAAAAAGCGUUCUGGUAAAAUACUAUCAUUUUUAACGUCAAUUUCUAGAGUGGUUAGCCUAGGUAAAUGCAUCAAUUCGUCGAGGCUAGCAUUACUUCUUUUGCUGUUGGCUCUUUCAACCUCCCAUUCAAUGAAGCAAUUACCCAUAUACAGCUCUUCUAAUCGACUUAAGCUUGAUAUGAGAUUGGGCGCAAUAACUUUUAGAUCGAAACAAUUGGUUAAAUCUAACAAUCUCAACUUAUUCAAUUGACCUAGUUCUUCUGGCAACUUCAUAAUAUCAGACAUCAAAAAGCUAAGGACUUCUAGAUUCUUCAACUUCCCAAUGAUUGCUAUGUCGCCCAACGCACUUUGAUCCAGACAUAGUGUGUGAAGAUAUGCUAGAAGAUCAAUUGAAGAUGGAAAAGAAGAAAACUGCAUUCGAGUAAAAUCUAGAACUCUAAGCUUUUUCAUCCCUACCAAAAAGUUCUCAGGAAUAUUGAUUUCAAGAGAAAAAUCUUUGAGAGAGAUAUAUAAAAAUUCAAGGUUUGGGCAUUCUAAUCGUCAGGAAAUCACGAUUACUAUUAUUUAUAAAGAAGAUAGCAUGCAGUUUCGAAGUGGCAUCUCAUCUGGCCAGUCCCACACAUCUCAUUUCUCACCGAAAACACAUGUUGGUGGCGGCAUGCAAUUGAUAUUGCGACAUCGCGAACAACAUCAUGCAUUGAAAAUUCUUCAUUGCUGUCACCCUCAAGCAACAAACAAGAGUCUCUAAGUUCAUGGACCGAUGCAUAUAAUUUGUCUCGUGCAUCUUCCAUCUUAUUGACUCCUUGAAAUAUACCCAAACCCAUGGAGUACUUAAACAAGUCCAAAGUAAGGAUACUGUUACCCAUUAGACUGCAGAGCUGAAAAAUGUUCUUGAGUUGCUCACCUUUUAAAUGGUUGAAACUCAGCUCAAUACUUGAAUAAGUCUCUGCAGACACUCCUUCGAAGUUUACCAUUGAAGGCGUUAGGAGUUCUCGCAAGGAAUUCUUCCAUUCAUGCAGACUCUUGCUUCUCAGUGCCUUUGCCACUGUAAUCAAGGCAAUGGGCAAACCUCCACAUGCCCUGGCGACGUCUAUUGCUGUAGAUUUCAACUCACGAUUUUCAACAUCAUCACCGGCCAUCAUCUUAAACAAUCUCCAGGCUUCUUCUUCAUUUAAAUUGUUAAUCAAGAAGUUGUCUUUAGAUCCCAUUUUUAAGAGGACACUACGAUCUCUUGCUGUCAGCAGUAGUUUGCAUCCUUUAUGAUCUUCUCCAAAAGGAAUUCCCACUGUCUCCAAAUCAAGGUGUUUCCAGAUGUUAUCUAAAACCACAAGGAUCUUCUUCUGAUUUCUCAAUCGCUCAAAUAGUCUACUUGCUCUUCUAGAUUCAACUUCCUCGUGCAACUCCAGGCCCAACUUCUCGGCAAUUUCCUGUUGAAUCUUUUUUAUGUCUGGAGUUUGCGAAACCUCUGAAAAGACCACCAUAUCAAAGAGCUUGUCUUCCAUAGCUUGCCUGGCGACCUUCUUCACCAGUGUCGUCUUUCCAAUGCCGCCCAUGCCGUACACCCCAACGACACUAACAUUAACAUCGAUCAAUGCUUUUUUUAUAGCCUCCAAAGAAGAAAGUCUUGACUCGAAGGCCUCGUAGCCUUUGUGAGACUUGAGCCAUAUCUCCUCCGGAAUGGUACGGUAGGAAAUUCUAUCAUCAAAUCUUGCAGCUUCUUCUCGGAUUUUGACGAGUGCCUUCACCUCUGCCUCUGCUUUCUUGCUAAGCUGAUAGCGAGUAAUCCAAUUAGGAAACAGCCCCAUGAGACAUCGUUCAUUUGCUUUCUCUUCGUCUUGAAUGAAUUUGGCUGCCUGCUCAAUGCUCUUGUUCGCAUUAACCAGCCAUUUCUCAACCUUCUCUUCAAUCUUUUCACUUUUUCUUUCAGCCUCAGAAACUCUGCGCUGAAUGCUUUCUCUUUCAUCCUUGAGCCUAUCGAGUUCUGCCUUGAGAUUCUCAAAGUUGGCAUCGGAGUUAUACCAGUAACUAAAUUCGCGUUGUGCGUGAGGAGACAAGCAGUUUACAACUGGAACAAUGCUUUUCAAAAUGUCCAUUUGUUUUUUUUUUUUGGGGGGGUGGGGGGUGAGUGAACGAAAUAGAAAUAGAACAGGGUCAACGACCGCGCAAUUAAUAAUCAAGUAGAAGCAAAACAAGGCAAAAUGGAGAAAAGAAAUUAUAUUUGUACAAAACAAGGGGAAAAUCAGUGUAACAGAAGAGAAUCAAAGUGUUUUUGAGAUCAGAAAAUUGAAUCAAGAAAAGGGUUGCUUGAUCCAAUGAAAAUGCAAAGAGGGAACAAACAUAAAUAAGAAAACGGCUAGCAGGAGCAGUGACCACGAUAAACAGAAGCAAAGUGUGUAUGAGAUCAAAAGAAGAAAAUCAGGAGAGGUUUUCUUGACUGAGAAUUGAAGGCAAAGAGUAGGAGCUGACGAAUACGGGGAUCAAGAGGGAAAAACUGCUUAAUAACAUUACGAUUGUCAUAAAACAUGUGAUCCUCAUCCAAUAUCCAUUAUUUGUGAUCCUUAAUCAAUAAAAUAUCUAACAAUAUCGAACAGUCGAUAUCCAACACAUGCACGAAGAUUCCAAGAAGUUGCGUGGCUGCCGACUUUUAAAUGCUAAGCCUGAUUGUGUCGAUGAUACACAAAAGAGAGCAGUCGGGGUAAUUGCCAAAACUUAGAACUAAACAGUAGCUUAGUCAGAAAAUCAAACGCCAGUACCGGUAAAAUGACCGAUAAAAAUAUAAAGAAAUAAAACUUUUAAAGUUUUACUUCAUUGCUUUUUUAAUGUUAUUACUAUUUCUCCUAGCACUUCUAAAGAAACCAAAGCUUUAAAAGAAAUCGGCCAAAGAAAUAAAGUUUUACUUCAUUGCAUUUUUAAUCUUAUUACUAUUUCUCCUUGCUCUUCUAAAGAAACCAAAGCUUUAAAAGAAUCAGCCAAAUCACCAAGAUUGAAGAGUAAAUCUAUUGUUUUAGAUUUUUAUUUUUAUUUUUUUAGAUAAUAGAUAUUAUUUUGAUGAAUUUUUUAAUAUUGGAAUAAUGUUAGGAAUUCCAAUAGAUGAAUUCUAACUUGACACCCAAUUGUUAUGUGUCAUUUUUUUAUUGGAUAAUGAAUUUCAUAACUAGUAAAAUUAAUAUUUUGAUCAUCUAAUAAAUAACUACUAUAUCAGUUGGGACUCAAUCAUUGGGAUGCUUAACAUUGCUCUUAGUAUUGUAUUGGACAUCUUAGUUAAAUCAGAUUAAAAAUCAAAUUAGAUUUUAGGCUUUAUUCAACAUCUCCUUUUCUUUAUUUUUUUUUCUUUUUUAGGUCUAUUUGAAGUGAACGAAUUAAAAAUACGACAAGGUCAACGAUUGGGCAAUUGAUAGUCAAGUAGAAGCAAAUGAAGGCUAAAUGGGAAAGAGAAAUUAUAUUUGUACAAAACACGGAGAAAAUCAGUGUAACAGAAGAGAAUCAAAGUGCUUUUGAGAUCAGAAAUUGAAACAAGAAAAGGGUCGCUUGAUCCAAUGAAAAUGCAAAGAGCUGAUGGCAAAAGGGAACAAAGUUAAAUAAGAAAACAGCUACCACUAGCAGCGACCACAAUAAACGAGAAAUUGGAGAUGGAUCUACAAUAUUUCUGCCUUUCUUUAUGCUUUAACAAAUAUUGCUCUAUCGAAAAAAAUAUUGUGGGUUUUUAUUAUUGGAGUCACAAAAGACCAACACAAUAUAGCAAGUGACUAGGAAUAAGAAUAUAUAACUCUCUCUCUAUUUCUCACUCUAGCUUUUAAUUGUCACUCAAAACCCAGACAGCGUAAGGAAAUAAGAGAUGACAGCGUCUGGUUGUCAUACGUGCCUUUUGGUUUCUGGAUGACAUGGCGUACACUUCUUUUGCAAACCAACACGACAUGUCGUACUCUUUGUUUUGAGAUCAUAUUUCAAACUCUUGAUGUUACGAAUGAAAGAUAAACUACAAUCAUCAAAAUAUUUAGUGUUUGUUUGGUAAUGUAAAGUCAUAGUUGUUGUGAAUUGAAAUUAUUUCUGUAAAAUAAAAGGAUUUGGGUCAUUGUUCGUUAUUUUUUGGCAAUAUUGCCUGGCUGUGACUAUUUAUUAAAUAUUAAAAAAAUAAAUUUAUAUUUAUUAAGUAUCAAAAAUAAAUAAACAACAAAAAUAAACGGAAAAAUUAUACAUUACGUAAAAUAAUAAGGACAAUAUCAAUAUUUCACACUCUAUAAUUGAGUGAUGUGUUAUCCAAUUGCAACACAUUUGUCCCAAACGGAGUCUUAAAUAUCAAAGUUAUUGCGAUGAUGACUUAUAAUCACCAAACUUGACAUACGGGUAAUCAUGCAUUAUAAGGUGUUGAUUUCUUACUAUCGGAACCUUAUAUUUCAUUUACAAAUAAAUAAAUGAUGUGACUUAACUGGUGGCGGGUCCUUUGUGCCAUUUGCGCAUUCCACUGAAUAGUUGAUUGUAGCAGAAACAUUCCUGGAGUUGCCAUUUGCCAAUGCUACUGACAUUUUCAAACUCGGAAAACCCUCCAAUCAAUCUUUUAGUGGUAGGCUUGGUAGCUUGGCUUGAUUAUGACAUAUGAUUAUUUGAUAAUAAAGUUAGAGGAUGUAUUAAUAUAAAAAUUAUUUAUCGGUGUUGAAAUUAUCUCAUUAAUAAUAGUAUGAAAAGUUAAUUCUUAAGAAAUACAUAAUAGUAGUUAAUUGGUGUAAUAUUAUUGAGAUUCUGGAAAUAAUUUUAUAUCAUAACUUUGUAGGUGUAUAAAUAUUACUCAUUAAAUUAAUAUAAUUAUUUUAAAAAAAUCAGUUGGAAAAAAUAAAUUAUAUUAUUUUUACUUCAAAUAAUCUUUAAAUUAACUCAAAAUAUAAUCAAGCUCAGAAUUAAAAAUUUAAACUAAUGCUACUAUAUCAGAGGAUUUUCUUUUUUUCUCCACUGAAUAGUUGAUUGUCGCAGAAACAUUCCUGGAGUUGCCAUUUGCCAAUGCUACUGACAUUUUCAAACUCGGAAAACCCACCCUCCAAUCAAUCUUUUAGUGGUAGGCUUGGUAGCUUGGCUUGAUUAUGACAUAUGAUUAUUUGAUAAUAAAGUUAGAGGAUGUAUUAAUAUAAAAAUUAUUUAUCGGUGUUGAAAUUAUCUCAUUAAUAAUAGUAUGAAAAGUUAAUUAUUAAGAAAUACAUAAUAGUAGUUAAUUGGUGUAAUAUUAUUGAGAUUCUGGAAAUAAUUUUAUAUCAUAACUUUGUAGGUGUAUAAUUACUCAUUAAAUUAAUAUAAUUAUUUAAAAAAAUUCAGUUGGAAAAAAUAAAUUAUAUUAUUUUUACUUCAAAUAAUCUUUAAAUUAACUCAAAAUAUAAUCAAGCUCAGAAUUAAAAAUUUAAACUAAUGCUACUAUAUCAGAGGAUUUUCUUUUUUUCUCCGAAGUUUCACUAGGAAAUUAUUGAUGUAUAGCUUUGUUGAGAAUUGAGAUCAUUUCAGUUCAGAAGACAAAUAAUUGAAAGACUAAACUAAAUAGACCGGCGAACAAAUUUGUACAUGAAAGUUAAAAAAUUAAGGUCAUGAGUUGGUAUUGCGGUUCUGUCUUGAGCAACUUUGCUGUCAUUGUUUAUUAUUUUUUGGUAAUAUUGCCUGGCGGUGACUGUUUAGUAAAUAUUAAGAAAUAAAUUUAUAUUUAUUAAGUAUAAAAAAUAAAUAAACAAACAAAAACACAAGGAAAAAUUUAUACUUUACGUAAAAUAAUAAGGACAAUAUCAAUACUUCACACUAUAAUUGAGUGAUGUGUGGCAUCUUAAUUGCCCAACUGCCACACAUUGGUUCCAAACGGAGACUUAAAUAUCAGAAAAAUUCCAAGUUAUUGCGAUGAUGACUUACAAUUGCCAAACUUGACAUAUGGGUAAUCAUGCAUUUCUUAUGAUCAUAACCUUAUUUUUCAUUCACAAAUAAAUAAAUGAUGUGACUUAACGGUUGACGGGGUCCUUUGUGCCAUUUUGGCAUUUCACUGAAUGGUUGAUUGUCGCAGGAAGAUUCCUGAAAGUUGCCAUUUUCCAAUGCUACUAACAUUUUCAAACUUGGAAAACCCUUUAAUCAAUCUCUUAGUAGUAGGCUGUGGUAGCUUGGUUUGAUUAUGAUUUAUAAUCAUUUGAUAAUAAAGCUAGAGGAUGUAUUAAGAUAAAAUUUAUUUAUUGGUGUUGAAGUUAAUUAUCUCAUUAAUAAUAGUAUAAAAGGUUAAUUAUUAAGAAACACAUAGCUGUAGUUAAUUGGUGUCAUAUUAUUGGAAUUCUGGGAUAUAAUUUUAUAUAAUAACUUUGUGAGUAUAUAAUUACUCAUUAAAUUAACAAACUUAUUUUAAAAUAUUUAGUUGGAAAAAAUAAAUUACAUUCUUUUUAUUUCAAAUAAUCUAUAAAUUAACUCAAAACAUAAUCAAGUUGAGAAUUAAAAUAAUGCUACUGUAUGAGAGGAUUUUUAUUUUUUCCCGAAGUUUCACUCGGAAAUUAUUGUUAUAUAGCUUUAUAUGCGAUCAUCCUCAGUUCAAACGACAAAUAAAUGAAAGACUAAGCUAAAUAGACCAGCCAACAACUUUGUAAAAUAGAGUUCGAAAAUUAAAUUAAGGUCAUGGUAGUGUUAUGUCUUGAAAAGUACAACGUAGUACUAAAAUAAAAACUAUUAGUCUUUGGUAAGAUAAUGACAUUUAAAUAAUAAUUUUCACAAAAAUACAAAGAAUAUUUAUAAAGUACUUCUAUAGUGAGGAGGCCCUCACUUUGUGAAAGUGAAAAUGUCGAUAAUAUACAAAAGCCAUAUAUUUUAACACAUUAAAAAUUGUAUUUUUUAUCUAUUGGUGUAUUAAAAUAUGUGUUACUUAGUUUGUUAGUGAUAUCAUCACUUUGUUAAAAUGAGGAUAUCGUCGCUAGAGAAUCAUUAUAUAUACAUAUCUAUAAAGUGCUUCUCUCCAAGACCUAGACUUUAUUAGAAUUUAAGAAAGCAAAUAUAUUUUAAAUGGUAUAAUAGUGUAAUAACAUCACACUAUUAUAUCAUAUAGAGUAAAAGUUUUUCGAACUUUAAUAAAGUUCAAGAUUAUAGAAUGAAUGAUUUAUAUAUAUAUAUUAUACAUUUUUUAUCAUAAAGUGGAGGACAAAAUUAACAUAUUUUUCAAAUUAUAAUAAGUAUUUAUCAAUAAUUUAACAUCAUAAUUUCUCCUAACUAGUAUAGUAAAUACAACCUAGGAGGUACAUUCAAAGCAUUUCAUAGGUUAGUUGUUCGCUCCAAAUUCAAUCACAGACAAGGAGCCUUUUUUGAGAAUAUUAAGCAUCAUCUUCAAAUGAAUUUUCAUGGCAAAGGUUUCAGGUCCAAAUUGUUGUUCCAGAUUAGUCCAAAGCUCAUGUGAGGUUUGAGAGUUUACCACAAGACUAAGGAUCUCGAUACUGAUGGAUGACAUUAACCAGCUCAACAACAAUUGAUCCUUUCUCUUCCAUGAAGUGAAUGCUAGAUUGAUCUGUGCUUUAGCUGUUGAAUCUUCAAUUUCAGUAAAAAGAAACUGAUUAGGACAUAGUUUUGAUCCAUCAAGUAGAUCUUCUAGUCCAUUGGCACGGACUUAAGACAAGAUUUGUAAUUUUCAGAUCAUUUAAUUCGACCGAUCCAGUUUGAUUGGUGAAGUGAAAGUAAACGAGGAAACAAAGAAGUUUGUAUUCUGAUUUGAGCUUGACGAAGCCAUUAGAAUUGAUAACUCAGGCUCUGAUACCAAGUUAAAGAUUCUAAUAUGUUUGGUAAGUAAGAAAAUGAGAGAAAAUGAAAGAAAGAACAGAGAUCAUCUAAGAGCUGGAUUUGAUGAAUAAACUUGAAUCAUACAUUCUUUAGCUGAUUACAAAUGUAUUUAUGCAAAAUUCCUGAACAUUUCAGAUUGUAUAUGCUUGACCUAAGCACCUGAGAGUUGAGCAGUGUGGACUGACAAACUGAUCACAAAAUAAGUAACUUAUGCCAGCUCAGCUAACACGUCAGUAACUCUAACUAUCUUGCUUAACAAACUGAAACAAUAACUAACCAUUUUAACUAUCUUAACAAUGCCAAUAAUUUCUUCAUUUGCGUAUUUCUUGAAUCAUAAUCAAAUGGGUAAAUUUUUCAACUAUUCUUUUAGAUAUUUUCACUUUGGGCUAUAAGGCCGGGGAAGUACGGGGGUCUGAGUUACUCAACUGAAAAUGUCGGCCAAGUUCUUGCCAUCUCAGGUGCAAAACUGAUACUUGUGUUCCCCAUUUAUACUUAUUACGAAACUGAUACUCGUUCCUCUUAACUUGUUUUCUCAUGCAUCAACUGUUGAGAAAAUGUGCUCUUUAAAAGCAUAUGUGUUUAUUUAAUUGUAAUGAAAAAAUGUGCUCUUUAAAACCAUAUGUGUUUAUUUAAUUGUAAUAAAUAUUUUUUCUGAUUAAUAAAAUAUAUGAGGUAUUUUAUUCAAGUAUAUUAAUUGCAUUGAUAUUUUGAGUAAAGUCCAUUUAAUCAUAUUAUAUGUAUUUAUGUGAUCACUAUGUGGAUUCACAAAAGACAUAAAUACAAGUUAUCUUAUGAUUAAAUAAAUUAUGUUCGCAGUUGAUAAAUAAAGUUGGACACUUUAUUUAGGUAUAGACUGUAAUAAAUUCAUUGAAUGAUUUGUCUUAAUCAUGUAUGAAUUUAUUGAUGUAGUGCGAUUACAUUGAAUAGGAUCACAUAUGAGAUUUAAUUAACUUUGUAAUAACUGUCAGACUUAUUAAAUCUCAUAGGCAUUGAUUUUACUGUAAUCUUAAUCUUGAGUUAGUUAUGAUUCCAUUAUUGUAAUUGUUAUUUCAUUUGAGUUACCAAUGGGCAUGACACAUACUUGUAUUCAAGAUUACCAGGUAUCUUGGUGAGAGCAAUUAUGAGUAUUGGAGUUAUAGAUUAACAAUAUAGAAUUUGUACAAUACAUCUCUUGAUGGGUUUUCGGUACUUGAUCAUAGAAUUCUCUGGCCAGAUUGUGUCGACAUAUUUAAUAUGUUGAAAAUGAUCAUUAGAGAAAAACCAGUAAGUAUCAAGGAACAAGAUGUAAUUAAAUUGAUUGGACAGUUGAGAUAUCGAUUUAAUUAAUGAUGUGGUACAAAUGAUUGAGCAGUCAAGAAAUCAUUGUGGUUUGGGACGAAUUAUUAUUCGAACAUACAAUUAGUGUGCGACCAGCAUUGGCCAGCGACAUGCGCUGCAUGCGCAGCGAGCUGCGCAGUCGAGUUUGGUUUGCUUUCGGUGAGGCGGCAGUGGUUAGCUCGGCAUCGGAGAUUGGUGGCAACUUUGAACAGCGGUUGAAGUUUGCGUUGAUGGCGGCUGGAGAAGAAGGGGAGAGAAAUAUAUGGAUUUAAGGCUUUAAUGGUUUUUAUCGUUGAGGUCUCUACGGUUUUACAAUUUUUCUUUCGGUCAGAUAAGGUUUAAUUUUUGCAUUUAAGUCCAACAACAGUUUUGGGCUUAAUGAAUCAUAAUUUUAGGCCCAAUUGAAAUUGGGUUUAAUGGAUUAAAAUGCAUAGAUAAAAUUGAAUAAAUUAAAUUUAUUUUUGGUCCAAACGUUUUAUUUAAAAAAGUUUAUUUAUUUAUUUAUUUCCUUUCAAAAUUAAAAUUGGACCAAUAAUAAAUUUAAAAGCCCAACUUCCUCUAGUCCAUUAACAAAGACAAGCCUAUGGAAGAUGGACAUUGACAAGAAGCCCAAUGAAGAUUAGGCUUAGGGUUAAUGUAUUUUUUUUAAUUUUAGGAAAGCCAUGAAUUCAGAUUAUUUAAUUAUUUUUCUAUAUGUUAUAUUUUGGAUGAUAACAUGCCAUGAUAACACGUCAUAUAGAAUAGGUAGUGCCACUCUAUGCAUAAUGAUACAUGAUGUUCAUUAAUUAUGAAUCUCAUUAUAUUGUUUGAAAAUUGAAUAUGCUUAAUAAUAUUGAAUAUCAUCUAGAUAAUAUUAUAGGAAGCAUGCAAUUAAAAAUAUUAUUUAUGUAUGUUUUAAAAAAAAACCAAUUUUUAAAUAUUGAGUGGGAGAGGGAAAAUUCAAGAUAAUUUUUCCCACGGGCUCCAUUGUUAGUUCAAUAAUAAAAUUAUAUAUAUACCUCGACUUCAUGAUACGGUGAUGCUCCCUUCGAAGGGUAUAUAUAUUAGAUAUUUUAUUUGAUGAACUUCUUCAAAGAUAAAAUUGAAAUAUUUUUCAAUCGAUUGUUCACCCCAACAGUGACUAUUGAUAUGAAAAAUACUUAGAUUGAAACAAUGGUUAUACACUCAACUAAAAUUUGUUAUUAACCUUCCCAACGAAGCUCUGUUAACAAAUUUAGGCCCAAAAGGAUAACAAUAAUUAUUUAUCAUGUCUCUACAUGAAAGUAAAUAAUCCAAUGGAUAAUUGGGUCUAGUAAGUGUAGACAUGACUUCCCCAACGGAUAGCUUGUCAAAGCGGUCCUAGAUUAUCGUUACAAUAAAUAAAAAUGCAGUUAUGGUUUUUUGCAUUUUUGUUAUUUAUUGUGAAUAUUAUAUCAAAUUAUUUAUGCAUGGAUGUUUUAUUUUUCAAAAAAAUGUCUUCCCUGAGCUCACUUACUAUUAUUCUGAGUCAAAACAAACUCACUGGAGAGAACUAUAUAGAUUGGAAAAAAAAAUAUAUUCAUUGUCCUGACUGCUGAAAAUUAUAAAUAUGUCUUAACCCAGCCAUGCCCUCUAGUUCCAGUGGAUGAUGCUCAUAGAAAUUAGAGGAGGCUUUAUGAGAAAUGGCAAAAGGCCAAUGAAAUGGCAAAAUGCUACAUUUUAGCCUCGAUUUCUAAUAUUUUGCAGACCAAACAUCAGAACUUGGAGACUUCCACUGAAAUAAUGGAUAGUCUCCAAGAGAUGUUCGGGCGGAAUACUCGCUCCGCGAGACAAGCAGCGCUGAAAGGCAUUAUGAACUGCAAAAUGGGGAAGGGCACAAGAGUUCGUGAUCAUGUCCUCAAAAUAAUGGACUAUUUGAAUGAGGCUGAGAUUCAGGGAGCACAAAUCGAUGAUAACUCAAAGAUUGACAUGGUGCUAGAAUCUCUGCCAAAAAAAUUUAAGGAGUUUAAGGUUAAUUAUAACAUGAACAAAAGAAACAUGACCUUAACUGAAUUGAUGAACGAACUCCAUUCUGCUGAAGAGAUCUAUUGCACUGAGAAAUCUCUAGGAAGCAUAAAGAUUGCUAACAAGGUUCUUCUUCUAGGCCCAAGCCGAAAGGCAAGGGUAAGAAGAAAGCUGGGAAAAAGAAACCGUCUACCAAGCAAGAUGGCAAGCCGAAAGGCAAAUGCUUCAAGUGUGGACAGAAAGGUCACUGGAACAAGGAUUGCCCUAAGAUUGUGAAAUCAGGAAUGAGAAAUCUUUUUGUAAUUGAGGUCUGUUUAGUUCAGAAUCCUAUUGACACUUGGGUGUUGGAUUCAUGAGCAACUAAUCAUAUUUUUAAUUCACUUUAUUGGUUUUAGGAAACUAGGAAAAUAAGUGAAGGAAGCGUCAAGCUGCAGUUAGGGACAAGACAGUUCGUGACAGUAGUGAAGACUGUAUCUAUUUUAUUAUCUUUUAAUAAUGAGAAUUUAGUUUUGAAUAUUUGUCUUUAUGUUCCAGACAUUAAGUGGAAUUUAAUUUCAAUAGCUUGUUUGUCAAAACAAGGGUACACUGUAAAUUUUGGAUCCUUUGUUUUUAUUUUUUAUAAUAAGAGACUUAUUUGUUCUGGAACAUGGGAAGAUAAUUUAUAUCAUUUAAGUCCUAUGAUCCAUUCUAUGCAUGACACAGUGAUCAAUAAUGAUGAGCAUACACAUUUAUCUAAGAAAAGAAAUAUUUCUUCCAACUAAUGUUACCUCUGGCAUUUGCGCUUGGGUCAUAUAAAGCAAAAUAGGAUACAGAGAAUGAUCAAAGAUGGGCUCUUGGGUCUAUUGGAAAAUGAAUCAUUGCCACUUUGUGAAUCCUGUUUAGAAGGGAAAAUGACCAAAAGACCGUUCUCGGCCAAAGGAGUGCAUGCAAUAGUACCACUUGAAUUGGUACAUACAGAUGUAUGUGGACUAAUCAAUAUACAAGCUUGAGGAGGUUAUGAGUAUUUCAUCACUUUCAUUGAUGAUUACUCAAGAUACGGUUAUGUUUAUCUGAUGCGUCACAAGUCUAAAACUCUUGAGAAAUUCAAAGAGUAUAGGGCUGAGACAGAAAAGCAAUUAGGUAAGAACAUAAAGCAACUUCGAUCUGAUCGAGGUGGUGAAUUUCUUUCUGGAGAUUUCAAAGAGUAUCUGGUAAAAAAUGGGAUUAUAUCUUAGUUAACUGCCCCAAGAACACCACAACAAAAUGGGGUAGCAGAAAAGAGAAAUAAAACUCUUUUAGAUAUGGUGAGAUCUUUACUUAGUUAUUUGUCAUUACCAAUCUCUUUUUGGGGACUAGCACUGGAAACUGCAGUUUACCUCUUGAACUUAGUUCCAUCUAAGUCAGUGCCUAAAACUGCAAUAGAAUUAUGGUAAGGUCACAAACCAAGUUUACGACAUGUCCAUAUUUGGGGAUCACCAACACAUGUGCUGAAACCAAAAGCAGAAAAAAUGGAUUCACGUUUUGAGGUUUGUAUGUUUGUGGGGUAUCUCAAAGGAACAAUAAGAGGUUUAUUUUAUAGUCCUUAAUAUAGAAAAGUGAUUGUGAGCACACAUUUCACUUCCCUCGAGGAAGACUAUAUGAAUAACUUCAAACCUAAGAGUAAGGUAAUACUUGAAGUACUGUCAGGUGAUCAGGUCUUUCAACACCUGUUAUAGAACAAGAAGAAGAACAACAACUAGCUGAUCAACACAGGAUUAUCCCUAAACAACCAUCACUUUUAGAACCUCGUCGUAGUGGGAGGGUAAGUAGGUUACCUGCGAGAUACAUGUUAUUGGGAGAAACUUAUACGACUAUCUCAGAUGAACAUGUACAAGAUCCCACUGGCUACAACGAAGCUCUAAUAAACAGAGAUGUUGAAUUCUGGAAAAAGGCCAUAAAUCAAGAAAUGGAAUCUAUGUAUUCCAAUAAAGUCUGGGAACUUGUAGAGGCACCAAAUGAGGUAAAACCUAUAGGGUGCAAGUGGAUCUAUAAGAGAAAAAGGGGAGUAGACGGAAGGGUGGAAACAUUCAAAGUAAGAUUAGUAGCCAAAGGUUUUACUCAGAAAGAGGGAAUCGAUUAUGAGGAAACAUUUUCUCCGAUUGCUAUGCUUAAAUCCAUUAGGAUUCUACUCCCUAUUGCUGCAGUACUAGAUUAUGAAAUUUGGCAAAUGGAUGUUAAGAUUGCCUUUCUUAACGGGCAUCUUGAAGAAGACAUCUACAUGCAGCAACUAGAUGGAUUCAUACAAAAAGGCCAAGAACACAUGGUAUACAAGUUGCAGAGAUCUAUUUAUGGAUUGAAGCAAGCAUCCCGGUCAUGGAACGCCAGAUUUGAUCAAGCGAUUAAAUCGUUUGGAUUCAUUCAGAACAUUGAUGAACCAUGUGUGUACAAGAAAAUUCAGGAAAAAUCUGUAGCCUUCCUAAUUCUUUAUGUAGAGGAUAUUCUCCUAAUUGGAAACGAUAUAGGAGUAUUGACUACAAUAAAAAGUUGGUUAGCAAAAUAAUUUGAUAUGAAAGACCUGGUAGAGGCAAGUUAUAUUCUUGGUAUCAAGUUACUAUGAGACAGGAAGAUUAAAACUUUAGCCUUGUCUCAAGCGGUCUUUAUCGAUAAAAUAUUGGCUAGAUUUAGCAUGGAAAAUUCCAAGACUGGUUUAUUACCAUUCAGACAUGAAAUUACAUUCUCUAAGGAUCAAUCAGCUAAAACAUAUGAAGAGAUAGAGAAAAUGAGACGAGUUCCGUGUGCAGAAGUUGUGGGAAGUCUCAUGUAUGCCGUGCUUUGCACUAGACCAGACAUCUGUUUUGCGGUAGGGAUGGUUAGCAAAUAUCAAUGUAAUCCUAGACCUGAACACUUGACUGCGGUCAAGCAUAUAAUAAAGUAUCUGAAAAGAACUAAAAAUUAUAUGCUUGUGUAUUCUGGUGAUGAACUCAUUCCAGUGAGUUAUACAGAUUCUGACUUUCUGUUAGAUAAGGAUUUCAGAAAAUCAACUUCUGGCUAUGUGUUUACAUUAGGAAGUGGAGCUAUUAGUUGGAGGAGUGUGAAACAAUCUUGUAUCGCAGACUCCACAACUGAAGCUGAAUAUGUGGCUGCAUCUGAAGCUGUAUGGCUCCACAAGUUCCUAUAAGAUCUUGAGGUGGUACCUGCUGUAACUGCACCCCUUAAACUAUUUUAUGAUAAUAGUGGUGUGGUAGCUCAAUCUAAGGAACCACAAGAAACAAAAACAUAUUGAGAGGAAGUAUCAUCUCAUAAGGGAUAUAGUGCAGAGAGGUGAUGUGGAGGUUACUCAGAUUGCGUCACAGCAAAACUUGGCAGAUCCUUUUACUAAGGCCAUACCUGGGAAACCUUUUAACUUGCACUUAGAAUCCAUGAGCAUGCGUGAGAUGCCAAAUAUGCUUUGAGAGUUAGUGGGAGAUUGUUGGGAAAAUGUGCUCUUUAAAAGCAUAUGUGUUAAUUUAAUUGUAAUAAAUAAUUUUUCUAAUUAAUAAAAUAUAUGAGGUAUUUUAUUCAAGUAUUUUAAUUGCAUUGAUAUUUUGAGUAAAGUCCAUUCAAUCCUAUUAUAUGUAUUUAUGUGAUCACUAUGUGGAUUCACAAAAGACAUAAAUACAAGUUAUCUUAUGAUUAAAUAAAUUAUGUUCGCAGUUGAUAAAUAAAGUUGGGCACUUUAUUUAGGUAUAGACUGUAAUAAAUUCAUUGAAUGAUUUGUCUUAAUCAUGUAUGAAUUUAUUGAUGUAGUGCGACUACAUUGAAUAGGUUUGGGACUACAUUGAUGUAGUCAAGAUUACCAGGUAUCUUGGUGAGAGCAAUUAUGAGUAUUGGAGUUAUAGAUUAACAAUAUAGAAUUUGUACAACACAUCUCUUGAUGGGUUUUCGGUACUUGAUCAUAGAAUUCUCUGGCCAGAUUAUGUCGACAUAUUUAAUAUGUUGAAAAUGAUCAUUAGAGAAAACCAGUAAGUAUCAAGGAAUAAGAUGUAAUUAAAUUGAUUGGACAGUUGAGAUAUCGAUUUAAUUAAUGAUGUGGUACAAAUGAUUGAGCAGUCAAGAAAUCAUUGUGGUUUGGGACGAAUUAUUAUUCGAACAUACAAUUAUGGAGGUUAGUUCCAAUCUUAUAGUGGGGUAGAGUUGGAAUUAAAUGAUUAGGCUUAUUUAACUACAAGCUUAAUUGUUGUAGCCACUAUUGUAUGUUCCAAAAUGAUCCCCGGGUUAGCUCAUUUAAUUGACUGCACCACUACUGGAUUAAUAAGCAAGAUAACUAGCUAUUUGGGUCAAAAGGCUAAAUAUAUCAUUUAGUGGGAGGCUCCAUUUAAUAUGCUUGUGUGUAAGGGACCUUAUGUUAUUUUACAAGGUGGACCCCCUAUAGAAAAAGCAAGUACCGUGGCUUUUGGUUUUUAUUAUUUGGAGCUAAGGAUUUUCACUAAAUGGAAAUAUAAAAAGGCUUAUUUUCUCUAAAGAAAAGAGAUAGAGCCACAUUAUACAGACCAAGAGAAAAAUAAUUUCUCUCUAAUUUUGAGAAAAAAUUUCUCCUGCUAGUUGCUUUUAGUGGUGAUAAAGGUGCCCACACGUUAAGUGCAGAUCAAACUUGAGUUAUAGCCUGGAAGGUUAUUUGAUGGCGGAUCGUGAUCUAAAAGGAGUGGUGGUGACGGAUCGUGAUCUGGGAGCCUAAAUCACUUCAGCGGAAAAAGCAAAAAUUGUUCAUCUUCUCGGAUUGUCAAGGUAUGAUUUUCUAGAUUAUGAAUUCCUAUAUAUUUUAUGAGAUUGGUCCUAAAAGUUUUUUAAAAAAAAUUUAAAAAACUGAUUUUUCCCCAACAUCAACCCCACAAAACUGCUUAUUGAUUGUCCUCAUUUUGAACUUACUAUAGGAUUCACCCUCCUUGUUUUACAACUUACUUUAUACCCUUACGUUGAGAGGAAGAUCAGGCCAAUAAUCAUAACACGCAUUGCAGGGGUAAAAUUUCGAACACACCAUGUGGCAUUUAGACCAUUUGAUAGUUUGUUUCAUACAUAUUUGUUUAUAAAAUACUUUUCUUCAUGGAUUUGGUGACGUAAUUUUCUAUGUAUGUACAGGUUUUAUCGAUACGUCUUUUGACAAGUUACACUUACAUAGCAAUGUUAUCUGUGUUCAGCCUUGCCUUAUUGAUACCUUAUUGAUAAACUGUGCUUCUGUGAUGAAGAAUGUUUUCUCUGUCAGUGGAUAUCCUAAUCAUUGAUCCAUAUACUUAGGUUAUAUUACCCAUUAGGAAGUAUGUAUAAAAAUUAUUUUAUAUCUUCUUUAUUAGAAAUGUUGUAAUUCUUUAUUACUUUUCCUGAAUUAUAACAUCAGAUGUCUAUAAUAACUGGAUUAUUCCUUCUGCAAAACAGAGCAGUGGUAAAUAUUUUUUUUCUUUUGUUUGUUUAGCACAUUUCCAUGAUUUCAGCUUUUUCAAAUUUUGUAUGUGUCAAAGUUUAAAUUUAAUUUGUUGGUUUAUCGUACAAUAACAGGAACAGCAUCAAAGAGGAGCUGCCAAUGGACUUGCUAUGACUGUAGUGUCGCUUACCAAAACUGCCGGUCCAGCUGUAGGAGGUGCUCUGUGAGUGUCCUAUUGAUUUUGUAAAAUUAUAUGUAAAUAAUGUUAUAAUUGUUUUUUCAUUAAUUGGGGUUCUGGCAGAUUUUCUUGGUCACAAAAGCGUCAAGAUGCUGGUUUCCUCCCAGGUAUGAUGAUUUACUGAUGAAAUUUCUGACGAGUUUGUGAAUUACUUUGUCCUAAUUAGCUUAGUUAGCUGCUUAAACUAAAGUGCAGGUAACCAGAUGAUUUUUUUCAUUCUGAAUUUGGUCGAGGCACUAGGAGUAAUAUUGACAUUCAAACCAUUUCUAACUCAACGUGUCCCGUGAGUAGAGAAAAGAUGCAUCUGUUGAAAUAUUCAAAUAUAUGUCAAGCAAAUUAAAGCUUUCAAAAUCUAUCAACAAUUUGAUUAUUUGAUGUGGUUUUCCACUUGCCGUAUUUUGUUUUGCUGUUCUAAAGGCUUAAAUAUGAAAAUGGUGGUUGGCGCUCACACCAAUCGAUUGCUGUUAACAUUGUUCAGUACUUUUCUCUGUCGACAUUUAUACUUGUUCAUUGUCAGAACUACGACAAUUUAUCUUUACAAUGAUGCAAGCUAGAAAGAAUUUUUCAUGUUAAGUAAAAUAUUGAAGCCACAAAGAGUCUGAAUUAAGUACUAAGUUUUCUGCCAUGCUUUCAACGGCAGCACAUUUGUAGCUCUUAUUCCAGGGGCUCCACAGUAGAGAGACCUGAUUUCGACCUUCUUCAGAACUUGGGGAUUCCGUAAUAACAGAGGACAACAGUUAUAUAAGAAUAUUAUUUUGUACAAUUUUCGUAUAACCUGACCAAUGCAAGUAUAAUUUUAUGAUCUUAACUCAUAUCAAAAGACCUUCAAUGAUGUAAAAUUUGCACAUAAAGAUGAGAACCAAACAUUAGAACUUAUGAUGAAACGGAAACAAAAACAUUGAGAUUGAAAAGAUAGAGAAACACAAGCUUUUUAAAAGGAAUAAAUGUUCAUUUAGUCUCUAUAUUUUGACUUAAGAGCGCAUUUAGUUCUUAUAUUUUAAAAAGUGCCUCAACCUCGAGUAGGGCUGGCAAAAAUCCCCACGGCGACGGGUACCCUUGGGGAUUUUCCCUAUUCGGGGAGGGUAUGGGGAUAAUUUCAUACCCAAUUUCUUAUUCAGGGAAGGAACGGGGAAAUUUUUUUACCCAAUUUCUUAUUUGGGGAGGGGACGGGGAUGAGGUGGAAUCCCCAUCCCCUACCCAUUUCCCCAUUUUAAUUUUUUAUUUUAUUUUUAUUUUUUAAAAUUACUAGUAAAUAAAUUAUAAAAUUUGAAUUAUAAAAUUAUAAAUAUUGGUAAAAAUAACAAAUAUCAAAAUAUUUAUAUUAUUAAACUUUUAGGCCUAAUUAACAAAUUAAAGUCCUAAAUUUUUAUUUAGGACAUUAAAAAGACCGGAUAUAUUCUAUUAGCCCAAAAAUUUUGUUUUAAUUUUAAUAUUCAUUAAAUAUUUUAAACUUAAAUCUAUUUAUUUAUUUAUUUUUAGAUGUUAUAAUUGCCCACAGCAAAUCACAAUUUUAAUAUCUAAUCUAAUCUAAUAUUUGCUCUUGAUUUGCUCGGACUUAACUAUUGUGCUGUAAAGGGAAUAGUCCACAUUUAUAAAGUGCCCACGCCACCAUUGAAAAAGUUAAUUUUGAAUCUAAAUUCGAUUUUAUCUGUAACAAUUUUGUAUUAGACUAUUAAUUUAUUCAUGAUAGUUUGUAUCCCUUGCAUGCUGCGUUACUUACUAAUUUAAUGUAUGUGACUUUUGUAAUAGAUAUUAAUGUAAGAUAUAUUUCGAACUUUACUUUUAUUUGAAUUUUUUUUAUUUUAAUAUGAUUAACUCAAAAUCGAAAAUAAAAAAAUGUAUUAGUUAUUCGGGGAUCGGGGAUCCUCUGUUAUUAUUCGGGGAGGGGAUGAGGAUUCUCUCAAGUAAUUCUGACGGGGACGGAGAGGGGAUGAGGACAUACGCAAAAUAUCGGGGAUGGGUACGGGGAGAUUGGUCCCCUCCCCUCCCCUCCCCUCCCCAUUGCCAUCCCUAACCUCAAGACACCCCUACUGUGUUGGAAUAAUAUUUUUGGGAAUAUCAAUGAAAAGAAAAAAAUGGUAAUUCAUCUAGCCAGCCUUAAACAAAAUAAAUAUUAAUAAAAACUUUUAUGUUAUUAUUUUAGUUUUAGGACUAAUUUCGUAAAUUAAAUUUUUUAUGCAUUUAUUAGUAAGAUUGCUUUAAGAAUAUUAAACAUUACUUUAAGAUGGCUGUUAUUAAUUUAUUUAUAAAGAAUUAUUAGCAAGAUUGUUGUAAAAGUACAAAAAAUACUGGUUAUUUCAUAUUGAUAUUUAUUGAUUAAUUUUCCAAUUAACUUUUUUAUAAAUAAAUAAAUUAAUUUAAGAAUAUUAUUGCCAAGAUAUUAUUGUAAAAGUAAAUAAAAUUUAAGGAAAAAUGUAACGUAUUUAAUAUCAAGGUAUAUUGAGGUAUUUUUUAAAAUAUAAAAACUAAACGAGCAUUGAAGUUAAAAUAUAGGUACCAGACGAGCAUUUUCUCUUUUAGAAAGUUUUAUAUUUUAUUAAUGAAAGUCUGAAUAACAAAAUUAAGGUUUUGGACUUCUUUUAAACUAAACUUAAAUAUCACAAAUUUACCAAAAUAAGUAAACCUAACAUAUUACUACAUAAUAACAUUCUCCUAACUGAAAUAAGAUAAAUGUUACUCAAAUUCUAUAUCUAGAAAAAAAAAGAUAAAAAUCCUGAAAACAAUAGGAAAAUAGAUCUUAAACUUGUAAAAUAAUAUGAAAUAAAUAUAAUUUUCAAUCGAACCACGAGACUAAUGCGGUGCUACAGUAUUAGAUUAGAUUCCCCUCGUCGCGAACUUCGAAAUGUAUAUUAUACACCCUAAAUAGAUACUUAUAGCUCAAGUUGUUACCCUAGAGAGAUACUCCACUCAUCCUACGCAACCAUCCGCUGCAUCAAAUUCGUUCCAAAAUUAAGAAUAAACCAGCUGAUGCAUUCCAAAUAAUUUAGAUGAAACGAUAAAAUAAACCUAGAGAUCAAAUAACAUGAAAUGAAAAAGAUAAUUACCUUGGACUGAAGCUCAUACAAAUUCAUUAUUUGACACCUGCAGCAAUUGUUGAAAUAAUAGUUAAUGAAAUAUAAAAUAAGACAAGUACAUAUUAAUGAAACACCACUGUGAAUCGAUAGCUAAGGACGGAGUAAAAUUUAAUUGUAAAUUAGGACAGUAGAGCAAGCAUCCAUAAACAUAACAUGAACGUAAUACAUCAAUUGAAAUAUCAUAGGAUAAAUUAGGACGUCAGAGAAAGAAAUAAGUAAAUAAAUCAGCAAAGGAAACAUGCAUAAACAAAUAAAAAAACAAAGACAAAAUAAGGAAGAGUUUGUGAUAAUUUUCUUCUAUGGUCAUUGAAGUCCAAAAACUAAUAAGGAUCGAGCAAUUGAACGGUUGCAAACUCAAUGGAACCUUAAAAAUGAACAGUGAAGGAAAAUGAAGAAAUCUGCAGGAAAUAAGGCGAUUGAGAGUGAAGAAUUAAUUACCACUGAGUAAAUGCGAAUGAAGAAUGGAGACAGAUCCUUCUUCGCCCCAUUGAAAAGUGAGAUUCAUAGAUUGUAUUGAAAUUGAGAGUUGAGAUCAAGAAGCGAUUCUUCUUCUCCGUAAUUUCCUUUUUCUUUUAAUGUUGUUAUUAUUAUUAUAUCUUUUUUGAUAUCUUUUUUGUUUUAAACGGUAUUGGCAUAUUCUAUUUAUUUAUGUUAAUUUUACAAUACCUCCCUUCAGAUUGCACAAAUUACAUAAAAAAAAAAAAAAGUGCUUUAUGUAUAAAACUUUCAAACAAAUUGGGCCAAAAUCUAACUUUACCAAGUUUAGAGUAAUUUUGGGCUCGACAUUCCAUUUCCGACAAACGAAUUUUCUUUAUCACCAAGGUAUGAUACUUUUCAUAUUUAUCCAACGGCUCGUCAAUGACAAUACCUUUGUAAAAAGUACUUAUUUUGAAUAGUAUAUUGUGGAAAUGUCUGGUCGGUAAUACAACUAUUUCUUAUAGUGUAAAAAUGAUACACUAAGCGUUCACAUUUUGAUGAGUAAAUUAAGGAUUUCAAGAUGAAGUACAUAAUUAGAUUAAUGCUAAGAAACUGAAGUUUGAUCGAUUGAAAAUGAAAAUAAUAAUGAAGGUAAUUAAGAAAAUGAACAAUAUAUGCAGAAGCGGUCCUUAUUAGGACUUCUAGAUUUUCUCUUGGGCUUUCCUUAUUAUUGUUAAAAAAUGAAACGAAGAACUUUGAGUUUAAAAAUCUGGCCCUGAUGCCUGGUAGCCCUCCAACAUAUGAAGCACCAGAUGUUUUGAUGAGAAAAUGACAAGACCAUUUAUCAAAUUUCUUGUGGAUAUAAAUACAUACACAUAGACGAGACCAACCUCCUCAAAUGAGAAUCAGAGUGAUUAAAAGACCUUGCAAUGAGACAAUGAUACACCAUCAAAUGUCAAAAUACAAUAGAAAUUCACGACAUAUAUAUAAUAAAAGACCUCUCAUUGAGUCAUAUAUAUUGAGAAAAAAAAAUGUUAUAAUACAUACACAGAGCUUAGUUAGAAUAAAAUGUCUUUGAACUUGCGAUGAUCAAACAAAGGAAACAGACAGGUUGUAACUCACACUAUCACAAGAAGAUCACGAAGAUGGAAAUGGGAACCCAUCAGAAUGGAAACUUUGAAUAGAGGAAAAAAGAAAAACGACCUUAUUCACAGAAGAAGAGUGACUUAAAUCUUCAUCAGUAUCCAGACAUUUUGCAAUCAUAGAGUAGAGAAAUUUUAACAGGAACAGCAGAGAAAAUAUUAUGAAUAUGCUAUAGACCAAUAUACUUGUUCAUAGCUGACGUUUGAUGGUUUAAGGAUUUGUUCUAGGAAUAAUGGGCUGAUUACUUUCUUUUUAUUUUUUUAUUUUUUAAUCCAAUGAAUGAUAUUCAGCUGUUAAUUAUGUGUUCAUAGGGAAGAACAUUUUCUAAGUACUUUCCUUGCCUUCUAACUUUCCGAAAAGCAAACCCAAUGAACAAACAGAGGACAAACUAAAAUAAAAGAACAGCAAUGAUGACAAUAAAUAAUUGGCAAAGAAAAAAAAGGAAAAAGUAUGCACGUUUUCAAGGAAUUAUAAAAUAUGAAGGCUUUUAAUGAAACUUAAUCAUAAAAAGUAUGCAAGGAAUUAUAAAAUUUUAGAAAACAAGGGGAGCUCUCAAAAAAAAAUGAAAAACUCAAAUUAAACUAGACUAAAAGACAUUCAAUUUUGCAAAAUCUGUCCAUAAAAGUCUGAAAGGAUCAUUAAAAUUGCAUUGCAAAUUUAACAGUAAACCGAGGGACCCAUUCUAAAUAAUUCAGAUGAAAUUGCGAAACAAGACAUGGGAUUAAAUAAAUGAAAUAAAAAUUAAUUACCAGUUGAGACUUUCUUCUAAAAAUUCGCAACUCCAAGUCAUAAGAAGCCUAUGAAAUUAGUCGUACUGCGUAGAGUAUGACGAUGACACCGCCAACAGUUGAAAGUAAAAUUCUUAUUCAUCAAUUUAAACUUACUUUAUAACAAAUAUCUUAUCUAUAUUGUAUUUAAGAAAUCAAAUUUUGUAAAAAUUUAUCAUGGGAGAUAGAGAGUAAUAUGUAUAUACGUACCUUCUCAGCAUGUAAUUGUUGUAUGGUUGUGUUUAGAUCAUUAUUAGCCCAGCGCCGUUGAUCCGCUGUCUCUCCAUAGCAGACGUUUACUCUUAGAGGCGUGAUUGAUUCUCCUGUAGUGAAAAUCUUCAUCUUGGGACAACCAAUCACCCACAAAUUUUGCAAAGAUGGCAAUUUGACGGUGUAAUUGGCAGAGCAGAAACAAUCUCUUCUUUUUCAACUCCAUCUUUGUCAUUUAUUACCACCUCUGUCAUUGCUCUGCAUCCAUAUAUUUCUAUUGCUACGAGUCGCACCAGAGUUUUUGCUGUGGAGGAUGUUACCAUGUGUAACAAUUUCUUGCAACCGAAAGCCACCACAGCUGUUAGGUUCUGAAAAGAUACCGAUGAUGAUGGCAAUAGAAUUAACAGACUUUGACAAUGAUAUGCUUUUAGAAUUUCAAGAUACUGAAAAAUGGGGCCAAGUUUGGAGUCUUGUUUGCACAGCUGCUUCAGAUGAUAGUGCCAGCGCAGCUCUAAUGUUUUUAUCAUUGCCAACUUUCCCGCAUGUUUCUCUAAGCUUCCUUCCUCCGAAAAUACCUCUUCGUGGAAUGAAAAUUGAAACAGUGAGAGCAUUUCAAGAUUGUGAAAUCUCUCAAGUACAUUCCAGAUUGGAAAACAAGCUGAGUUAUCUUCGGCAAUCUCUAGUUGUUUAAGACUGCCAAAAAGGUGUUGUGGGAAAUCGGCCUGCAAAAUCAUCUUCACGUCUUUUCCAUUCAAUGAUAGGUCCUUCAAGUUGGGUAAGAUCUGAUCAUCAUAAAUCAUAAUAACUAAUGAGGUCAAUUGAUGUUCUCUCAAAUGAUUUUGAGUAAUCCAAUCACAAGCAGUGACUUUAUAGUAUCUGUUUUAUAUUAAUUUUACCCCCCAAAAAAAAUUGAAUUAGUGAUAAAAUUCAUUAUAUGAUUUUUUUAUAUGUUAAUUUUAGAGGUAAAAAAGAAAUUAGGGAAAAAGAGUUGAUUUAUAUUUGCAUGAAAAUAUUUUAUUUCACAACAAUAAAUUAUUAAUUUAUUUUGUAAGUCGUUGUAUAAAGAAAAACUAAGGAUUCUUUACCUAAAAAAGUCCAUAUAAUUAUUAAUCUCCCACAUUGAUCCCUUAGUCAUGACUAGCAAAGAUUUUUAUGUAAUAAAAAUUUUCAAUUUAUUAAGUAUCAAUUUAUAAAUGUUUUGUUACAUUUUUCAAAGUCAAAAAUCGUCAAUGAGCUAUUGAAAAAAAUAUCUAGAAUAUGACUUCAUACCUUUUCCAACGGCAAUAAGGGCUGUUGUGCAGGAAUAUCAAGUUGAUUAUUCUCUUUAUUCUGCGAUAAAUCUGCAGCGAAUAUCUUUAAUUUGUCACAACGACACACUGCAAAAUUUUCUAGUGCUGGCCAUUCCGAAGUAUGCAUUCCUGGGUAUAAACAUCUAAGUUUUGGUAGACCUUGGAGAAUCAGAACGGUGAGCUGUGGAAAGACAAAAUAAGGGAUCACUUCAUCUGCUCUGUUUUCAGAAACGAUCUCCUGUAAAUCCUCACAGAAGCGUAUAUCUAAGUGCUGGAGCUGCUUGAGGUUUCCGAUCAUAGACGCUGAAAAUAUGAUUUAAUUAUUUUCCACGUAUGACAUCAAAAGAGAACGCAUGAUAGAAUAAAAUCUGUUAUAUAUAUAUAUAUAUAUAUGAAGAAAAUGUUAGCCUACUGUUGCGGACAGCCCAAUUCGCUAGCCCAAUUGCCCACAAUUUCGGGCUAGAGAGCCAACACAAGGCCAAGAGUGCUAGCUUGGCCCAAUUCCGGAAGGUUCUAGGCAACUCUAGCACAUGUGAACAUGUAAAUAUUCUAGAAUACUUUAUACAAUUCCAGCACAUGUAGAAUUCUCCAUAGAAUUCCAGCACAUGUAAAUAGCUAGGAAAUGGUAGAAUUCUCUAGAAUCUCUAGAGCUUGGCAAGCCUCCCCUAUAAAUAUGGGAUGACAUUAGGCAUUUGUAUCCAACAAGCAUUGUAAGCAACUCAAGCAUUGUAUUAUCUCUUUGUGCAAUACAAGUUUUCUUCUAUUGGCUCAAUUGCUCUCUCUCUCUUCUCUAGUUCGAGAAGCUCUAGGCUUACUUAGCAACAUUCGGCAAAGUUGUCUAAGUGCCGCACGGGUUAGCUGCGCAAAACACUCAUCCCGUGACAAGUGGUAUCAGAGUUAAGGUUUGCACGCACGCAAAUUAGCUCACGAGCAAUGGCCAACCCUUCGAAUCCAGCACAAGAGGGUGUUGUUGGUGUGGAUGUUCCACCGGAACCAAGCCGCGGCCGAGAGGGAGAACGCGCCCAAGGCAAGACUCGCGGCAAGUCCAAGGUCCCAUCCGUGGAUGCGUUGGAGCCUUGUGUGACUACUCUCGAAAUCGCAUUGUCCGCCGCUCAAGAUAGCCUCGAAGGAUUGGAGGAAAGAGUGGAUGGUCUCGAGGGGGAAUACGUCGAGUUCACGGUGGCCACAAAAGCUCUCAUCCAAGAGCAAGCGAACACUCUCAGAGGUGAGUUUCGUUCUUUCCAUGAUGAGUUGCUAAAACUUCGUAGUUUUGUUCAGGACGAACUACGCAAUGUCCGUGCGGAAGUGGAUGAAGUCCGCUCGGAUUGGGCAUGGCACAAGCGCACACUCUCCUCAAGUCCAGCUUCCGCAAACUCGAGUGAUGCGCGCUGCAUUGACGUGCCAAAGCCCGACACUUACGAUGGCACACGCAACGCCACAAUCGUGGACAAUUUUCUCUUUGGGCUUGAUCAAUACUUCGAUGCCAUGGGUGUCCGAGACGAGGCAUCGAAAGUGGGCACUGCACCCACCUAUCUUAGAGGCACUGCACAACUAUGGUGGCGUCACAAGCAUGGCGAGAUGGGCAAGGGCAUUUGCACCAUCGACACUUGGGCCGACUUCAAGCAAGAACUCCGAAAGCAGUUCGCCCCAAGCAAUGCGGAGAAGGAAGCGCGAGCGCGCUUACGUCGCCUCAAGCAAUCGAGUAGCAUUCAGGACUACAUCAACGAGUUCACUACCCUUAUGUUGGAGAUAAGCGACAUGUCCGACAAGGAUUCACUCUUCUACUUCCAAGAUGGCCUCAAGGAUUGGGCCAAGACCGAGCUUGAUAGGCGUGGUGUUCAAACACUUGACGACGCCAUUGCCGUUGCGGAGUCACUCACCGAGUACUCUACCCAAUCCAAGGACAAAAAGGCCAACCAAGGCAAAGGUGGGGGAGAGAGUCGCAAGGACAAGGGCAACAACCGCAAAGAUUGGGGGCAGAAAAAGCCGCCUAGCAACAAGAGCGGGCAAGGAAAAUCGGAGGGCAAGAAGGAAGUGCCAAAGCCGCGAAGCCCAUGCUUCAUAUGCAAUGGUCCUCAUUGGGUACGCGACUGUCCGGAGAAAAGGUCACUCAACGCUCUUGCUGCCCAACUCAAGAGCAACCCCACAAUGUCCGCGGAGGAACCCCAACUCAGCAUGGGUUCUCUCCAACGCCUCGGCGCACUCAAUCGCCAACAGCCCGCACUCGUCAAGAAAGGGCUCAUGUAUGUAAGCGCAAAGGUAAACGGUCAAUCCGUUCACGCGCUGCUAGACACGGGAGCGACGCACAACUUCGUGUCCAUAGACGAGGCCAAGCGCUUAGGCCUCAAGGCCACCAAGGAAGGAGGCACAAUGAAAGCGGUAAACUCACCCGCCAAGCCAAUUGCGGGGAUCGCACAAGGCGUGCACAUCACACUCGGUACGUGGAGCGGAAAGCUUGACUUCUCUAUUGUGCCCAUGGAGACUUCAAGAUGGUCCUCGGCAUGGAAUUCUUCGACCAAGUCCAUGCCUUCCCGCUGCCCGCUACAAACUCCCUAAGUAUCCUCGAUGGGAGCAAAGCAUGCAUGGUACCCACAGAGCGAGGCAAGUCCGAGGAGAAGACACUCUCCGCCAUGCAAUUCAAAAGGGCUUUCAAGAAGGACCCAAGCUUCUUGGUCUCCAUUCGGGAACUAAACGAGGAAGGAAAUAGCGGAACUUCGCCAAGCCAAGUCCCUCCGCGAGUUCAAGCCGUCCUCAAUGAGUACAAGGAUGUGAUGCCUCCAGAACUUCCGAAGAAGCUCCCACCUUGACGAGAGGUAGACCAUGCGAUCGAGCUGGAAUAAGGCGCGAAGCCACCAGCCUUGGAGCCCUAUCGCAUGGCGACCCCCGAAUUAGAGGAGUUGCGGAGACAACUCAAAGACUUGCUGGACGCAGGCUACAUUCGCCCCUCAAAGGCCCCAUUCGGUGCACCGGUCCUCUUCCAAAAGAAAAAGGAUGGAUCGCUACGGAUGUGCAUCGACUAUAGAGCACUCAACAAGAUCACCAUCAAGAACAAGUAUCUGAUUCCCUUGAUCGCGGACUUGUUCGACCAGCUUGGCAAAGCACGGUACUUCACCAAACUUGACUUGCGCUCCGGGUACUACCAAGUGCGCAUUGCCAAGGGAGACGAACCGAAGACAACAUGCACAACAAGGUAUGGGUCUUUCGAAUUCCUUGUAAUGCCUUUUGGCCUUACUAAUGCACCCACCACAUUUUGCACGCUCAUGAACAAGGUACUCCAACCAUUCCUCGAGCGCUUCGUGGUCGUGUACUUGGAUGACAUAGUGGUGUAUAGCACCACGCUCGAGGAUCAUGCCCAACACUUGCGACAAGUCCUCCAAGUACUUCGAGACAAUGAGCUCUUCCUCAAACUAGAGAAGUGCUCGUUUGCCCAACAAGAGGUGGAGUUCCUUGGCCACAAGAUUGCGGGCGGGAAGAUCAUGAUGGAGAAUGCUAAAGUAAAGGCCAUCCUCGAUUGGGAGCCUCCCUCGAAAGUGCCCGAGCUUCGCUCAUUCCUUGGGCUGGUGAACUACUACCGCCGCUUCAUUAAGGGCUAUUAAGCUAAGGCGGCACCCUUGACGGAUAUGCUCAAGAAAAACAGAACGUGGCAUUGGUCCGAAGAGUGCCAACGCGCAUUCGAGGAGUUGAAAAAGGCAAUUUCGGAGGAACCAGUCCUCGCCCUUCCGGACCACACAAAGCCCUUCGAAGUGCAAACGGAUGCCUCGGAUUUCACCAUAGGAGGAGUCCUCAUGCAAGAAGGCCACCCUAUAGCGUUCGAGAGUCGAAACCUAAAUGAUACCGAACGCCGUUACACGAUGCAAGAAAAGGAGAUGACCGCAAUCAUACAUUGCUUACGGGUGUGGCGACAUUACUUGCUUGGCUCGCACUUCACAAUCAUGACGGACAACGUGGCGACAAGCUACUUUCAAACUCAGAAGAAGUUGAGUCCGAAGCAAGCGCGGUGGCAAGAUUUCCUUGCGAAAUUUGAUUAUCGGCUCGAGUACAAACCGGGUAAAGCCAAUGUCGUUGCGGACGCUCUAAGCCGCAAGGCAGAAUUAGCAACACUUAGCAUGAGCCAACUGAAGUCCGACCUUGUCUCACGCAUCAAGGAAGGCCUCCAACAAGAUCAGCUAGCAAAGGAUUUGCUGGAGAAGGUGCUCGAGGGAAAGACAAGGCGAUUUUGGCAAGAAGAAGGCAUCCUCCUCACCAAGGGAGAUCGGCUGUUCGUGCCAAGGUGGGGAAACUUGCGGAAGGAAGUAAUCAAGGAAUGCCACGACUCCAAGUGGGCUGGUCACCCAGGAAUCGAGCGCACCAUCGCACUAGUCCAAGCCUCGUAUUUUUGGCCGCACAUGAGGGACGACAUCGAGGCAUAUGGAUCAUCAACUUCCAGCGGGAUUAUUGGAGCCGCUACCACUAGCAACAAGGCCAUGGGAAAGUGUCUCCAUGGACUUCAUCACAUCGCUGCCUAAGUCCAAAGGUUGCGGAAGCAUCAUGGUCGUUGUCGACCGAUACAGCAAGUACGCCACAUUCAUUGCCGCACCAGUUGAUUGCAAAGCGGACGAGACAACCCGCUUAUUUGUCAAGCACAUUAUGAAGCUUUGGGGAGUUCCGAAGAGCAUUGUGACUGACCGAGACCCUCGGUUCACUGGACGCUUUUGGACGAAGCUCUUCAAGAUGUUGGGGACCGAUCUUAAGUUCUCAAUAAGCUUCCACCCACAAACGGAUGGGCAGACCGAGCGCAUUAAUGGCCUCCUCGAGAUGUACUUGAGGCAUUAUGUGAGCGCUCACCAGCGGGAUUGGGCGAAGCUACUCGACGUCGCCCAAUUUUCUUAUAACUUGCAGCGAAGUGAGGCUACAGGCAAGAGUCCAUUCGAGAUCAUCAUGGGAUUCCAGCCCAUGACCCCCAAUGCCAUAGCCUCGACUUACGGAGGGAAAAGCCCUGCGGCACACAAGCUCGCCCGCGAAUGGCAUGAGGAAGCGGACAUCACGCGAGCCUAUCUCGACAAAGCCGCGAGGAAAAUGAAGAAAUGGGUGGAUACAAGGAGACGGCAUGUUGAGUACAAGGAAGGUGAUCAAGUCAUGAUUAAGCUCCUACCCCAACAAUUCAAGACUUUGCGGAAAGUUCACAAGGGGUUAGUGAGGUGCUACGAGGGACCCUUCCGAGUUGUUCGACGUGUGGGAAACGUCUCGUAUCAACUCCAACUUCCGCCAAGACUCAAGAUCCAUCCGGUCUUCCAUGUGAGCCUUCUCAAGCCAUAUCACGAAGACAUGGGAGAACCAAGUAGCGGAGAAUCGAGGCGCGUGCCAACUGCCGUUGUCACUGCGUUCGACAAAGAUGUGGACUACAUCAUUGCGGACCGCACGGUUUCGAGGAGGGGCGUGCCAGCACAUAGCGAGUACUUGGUGAAGUGGAAAAACCUCCCCGAGAGCGAAGCCACUUGGGAACGUGAAGAUGAUUUGUGGCAAUUCGCUGAGCACAUCCAGAAUUUCAAGCACGAGAGCGCGACGAGGACGCCGCGAGCUUAGGUGGGGGAGGAUGUUGCGGACAGCCCAAUUCGCUAGCCCAAUUGCCCACAAUUUCGGGCUAGAGAGCCAACACAAGGCCAAGAGUGCUAGCUUGGCCCAAUUCCGGAAGGUUCUAGGCAACUCUAGCACAUGUGAACAUGUAAAUAUUCUAGAAUACUUUAUACAAUUCCAGCACAUGUAGAAUUCUCCAUAGAAUUCCAACACAUGUAAAUAGCUAGGAAAUGGUAGAAUUCUCUAGAAUCUCUAGAGCUUGGCAAGCCUCCCCUAUAAAUAUGGGAUGGCAUUAGGCAUUUGUAUCCAACAAGUAUUGUAAGCAACUCAAGCAUUGUAUUCUCUCUUUGUGCAAUACAAGUUUUCUUCUAUUGGCUCAAUUGCUCUCUCUCUCUUCUCUAGUUCGAGAAGCUCUAGGCUUACUUAGCAACAUUCGGCAAAGUUGUCUAAGUGCCGCACGGGUUAGCUGCGCAAAACACUUAUCCCGUGACACUACACACCUUCUCGUUGAAAAGCAGAGUUGAAGUAUCCUCUUGCGAUGAUGGUCUGUUUGGUGAUGCUAAAGGAGUCUUUACUUCACGGCAGAGAUUUAUGAUAUUUUACAAUCAUGUAUUUAGAUUUACUUUAAUUUUAUGUUUAAAGCUUCUACAAUGAAUAGCGUAGCUUGGGCUUUAGUUUCAUUUUCUAAUUAACUUGUUUUAGUUUAUCUUAUAUGCUCGCCAAGUGCUUGUUAUAUUGUCUGAUAAGUUAUAUAACAUUGCUGAUUCUAUAUUAGUAAUGUCAUGUUCCAUUUUCGGAAAUUAUAACACAAAAGUUUUUACAAUGGCUUGCAUCUACAAACUGAAUUGACUUGUAGAGUAAGAGCUUGGAUUAGUGUUAUGUUCUUGAAUAAAUGAAAGUUCAUAUUGUGUAAGAGCAUGUAGAUAUAAAGCAUCACUACCAUUUCUACAAACUGCUUUCAUUCUGUUCAGAUGCUCCUCUUGAACUUUGAAAGGUGCCUCAUUCAAGUCCUAGCUAUAACUACUAGCUCUGAUUGCUUAAGUUCCUGUGCUAGCUGAAACAGAUUUAUUUAAUUAAUUAAUUGUGUAUGUACUAAUUAUAUUGAAAGUAUAUGAAGAAAUUGUUUAACAUGAAUGACUUCUAAAUGACUUAAAAGCCUAAAGGAUAUGUGAAAUAAUGCUCAUUUCACUUGAACGAGCCUAUUAAUACUUGUAUGUCUAUGAUUGUCAAUCUUGCUUAAGUGUUUCAGUUAAGUGGUUUACCUAACAGGGAAAAAAAUUUAAUGGAAAACUUUAGAGUUCUAACAGAAAUAUAGUUGACUGCAGAUAUAGUUAUUUUACGGUACAUAAAUCAUGUUGUCCUAUUCUCAAUGUCCUACGACCUAUUUUAUUUUAUAUGGUCAUUCAUUUUUGCGAUGGUUUUUUGUGCUUAUGAGUAUGGAAAUAGUGGGAUUUAGAGUGGCAAACAAAAAUAUACAUAUAAUCAAGUUUCUUAAUCAUAUAUAUUGGUUUUGGGUAUGAAUGUUUUCCUAUUCUAGUUCUAAGCAAAGUUUCUUCAUUUUGGUCUUCAGAUUUCCAGUAGGUUAAGUUAAGCAACUAUCAUAACUAGCUAGCUAGUUAUUGCCUGCCUUGUCGCCAUUACCGACGCCAUUACAUUGCAUGGCAUAAGGAAUAGUAACUAGGUGAUUAUUGGUGAUUCGUUGAGUUUAUUAUUGGCCAAACAAACAUAUUGGCCUUUACCCACAACUUAGUUUGAUUAGUUAUUAGAUAAUAAAGAGCCUUAAUCUAUGCAUUGCUUUAUUAUUUUUAUUUGGUUUUUCUUUCAACAAUAUUGUUGAUUUCUUAUAAACAGUACUAGUAGUGAAAAAAUGAUGACAACAACAAAAAUAGAAAAUUACAAGACUGCUGAUAAAAUUUCAUUUGCAUGCAUGUCUGACAAAAUUUCCGUGAUUUAAUGUGCUUUCAUGAACGCAAGUCCUAACGUUUCUGUGAUCACAAAAUGAAACUGAAGAUAAAACAGAACAACUACCAAACCUUUCAAGCUUGACGAAGCCAUGAGAAUUGAUAGCUCAGGCUCUGAUACCAAGUAAAAGUUUCUAAUCUGUUUGGUAAGUAAGAAAAUGAGAGAAAAUGAAAGAAAGAACAUAGAUCAUCUAAGAGCUGGAUUUGAUAAGUAAAUAUGAAUCAUCCAUUCAUUAGCUGAUUGCAAAUGUAUUUAUACAAGUGAUGGUUGUCGAAGCCAACAAAAAUAAAUUCCUACUAUAAAUAAAUUGUGUAUAGUGAUUGAGCAGGGUCGUGUCCACAGAGAUCGGUAAUUAUUUAAAUCCUUUUGAAACGUAAAACGUAAAAUGGGGGAAUUGUUGACAAUAAUAAAAAUCAAAUUAAAAUAACAAGAAUACAAAUUAAAGUUGUAAUUCAAAUUGGAGAAAGCUCUGGUUGAAGGAAUUAACUCAGCUUGAUUCGACUACUGAUCAUUGAUUCAAAUAUAGAUUAUUAUUACUUAUGAAUAGACCGGUUAUAGCUACUGAGACCCUCUAAUAGCCAAUCUCUCCUUAACUAGUCGAUAACCAAGGUAUGACCGUUGGUUAUUUCCCUAAUCAAUAGACAACCCUAGAUACGAUCAUAGGAUUUAAUCAAUUGACAACCUGAAAGACCAGAGAGACCCAAAUCCUAAUCAACACAUACGAUGAUUCAUUUAAAUUAGAUUGUUUAUUCUCAUAACACAACUCACUGCUAUGUUAUUCGUCACAAACAUUAAAAGCUUCAUACGAUGAAUCCUUUAAUUAACAAUAGAUUAAGUUGAUAAUUAAAUAGUGGCCAAUUACCUAAUUAACAAACAUAAUCAUGAAAAUAAUUCAGAGAAUAAACAAAUACCCAAAAAGUAAUAAAACAAUUAAAGUAUAAAAUAGAUCUCACAGUAGUGAUGAAUCAAAACUUCAUUAUCCUUCAACCAGAAAAAUAAGUUUAGUUCUUCAUAGAGAGAAGAGAAAAGUUUAGAUCUAGGGUUUCUCUCUUUUUCUCCAAUCCCCAUUUUUCACAAUAGAUUCCUCCCUUAAAUACUCUCUCUCUCUUCUCUUUUAGAAUUCUAUUUAAAAUAAAAUACUAAUAUCUGAAAUAUUAAAUUCGUAAUUACAAAAAUAACCAAAAAUACAAAACACGUUAAACUAAAAACUGCAGGUCCGCAGUUGACAGCACGUGCCCACGCCUUAUCAACAAAGUUCUUCUGACGCUCAUAAUUUCUCCAAGAGAACAAUCAUCCUUAAACAUCAUCUUGUAACUCAAUUUUAUCACCAAUCAAUAGAAUUGCACCUACAAAAGUAAAACACAAGUAAAUCACUAUUAUUAAGUGCAAAACAUCGAUAUUAAGGGAAGUAAACAAUGCAAAACUAGUGCAUAAAUUGCACUCUAACAACAAGGUUCCUGAACAUUUCAGAUUCUAUAUGCUCGAGCUAAGCACCUGAGAGUUGAGCAGUGUGCACUAACAAACUGCUAACAAAAUAACUAACUCAUGCCAGCUCAGCUAACACGUCAGUAACUCUAACUAUCUUGCUUAACAAACUGAAACAAUAACUAACCAUUUUAACUAUCUUAACAAUCCCAAUAAUUUCUCCAUUUGUGUACUUUUUUGAAUCAUAAUCAAAUGGAUAAAUGUUGCAACUAUUUUUUUAGAUAUUUUCACUUUAGGAUGUCAGCCCGAGGAAGUACGGGGGUCUGAGUUAUUCAACUGAAAAUGUCGGCCAAGUUCUUGCCAUCUCAAGUGCAAAACUGAAAAUGUUACUCGUUCUUCUUAACUUGUUUUCUCAUGCAUCAACCCCACAAAACUGCUCAUUGAAGGGGUAAAAUUUUGAACACACCAUGUGGCAUUUAGACCAUUUGAUAGUUUGUUUCAAACAUAUUUGUUUAUAAAAUACUUUUCUUCAUGGAUUUGGUUACGUAAUUGUCUAUGUAUGUACAGGUUUUAUCGAUACCUCUUUUGACAAGUUACAUAGCAAUGUUAUCUGGGUUCAGCCGUGCCUUAUUGAUAAACUGUGCUUCUGUAAUGAAGAAUGUUUUAUCUGUAAGUGGAUAUCCUAAUCGUUGAUCCAUAUCCAUAAGCAAGUAUGUAUAAAAUUAUUUUAUGUCUUUUUUAUUAGAAAUGUUGUAAUUCUUUUUUACUCUUCCUGAAUUAUAACAGCAGGUGUCUAUAAUAACUGGAUUGUUCCUUCUGCAAAACAGAGCAGUGGUAAAUAUUUUUUUCUUUUGUUUGUCUAGUACAUUUCCAUGAUUUCAGCUUUUUCAAAUUUUGUAUGUGUCAAAGUUUAAAUUUAAUUUGUUGGUUUAUGGCAACAACAGGAACAGAAUCAAAGAGGAGCUGCCAAUGGACUGCUAUGACUGUAGAGUCGCUUACCAAAACUGCUGGUUCAGCUGUAGGAGGUGCUAUGUAGGCGUCCUAUUGAUUUUGUAAAAUUAUAUGUAAAUGAUGUCAUAAUUUUUAUUGUCUCCCCCACCCCCUCUCCCCAAAAAAAAAAAUAUUAAAAAAUUAAAAAAUUAAAAACUAAGGCGUGAUUAAAUUGAUCAUUUGUUUGGUAACAACUUGAUUAAUCGGGUUCUGGCAGAUUUUCUUGGUCACAAAAAGCGUCAAGAUGCUGGUUUCCUCCCAGGUAUGAUGAUUUACUAAUGAAAUUUAUCACUAGUAUGUGAAUUACUUGGUGCUAAUUAACUUAAUCAGCUGCUUAAAUUAAAGUGCAGGUAACCUUAUUUUUUUUUCUUUUUACAAUAAUACUCUUGGAAUAAUAUUUCUGGGAAUAUUAAUGAAAAAAUGGUAAUUCAUCCAGCCAGCCUUAAACAAAAUAAAUAUUAAUAAAAACUUUUAUGUUAUUAUUUUAGUUUUAGGACUAAUUUCGUAAAUUAAAUUUUUUUAUGCAUUUAUUAGUAAGAUUGCUUUAAGAAUAUUAAACAUUACUUUAAGUUGGCUGAUAUUAAUUUAUUUAUAAAUAAUAUUAGCAAGAUUGUUGUAAAAGUACAAAAAAUACUAGUUAUUUCAUAUUGAUAUUUAUUGAUUAAUUUGGCAAUUAACUUUUUUAUAAAUAAAUUAAUUAAUUUAAGAAUAUUAUUGCCAAGAAAUUAUUGUAAAAGUAAAUAAAAUUUAAGGAAAAAAUGCAACGUAUUUAAUAUCAAGGUAUAUUGAGGUAUUUUUCAAAAUAUAAAGACUAAACAAGCACUGAAGUUAAAAUACAGAUACCAAAUGAGCAUUUUCUCUCUUAGAAAAUUUUAUAUUUUAUUAAUGAAAGUCUGAAUAACAAAAUUAGGGUUUUGGACUCCUUUUAAACUAAGCCUAAAUAUCACGAAUUUACCAAUAUAGUAAACCUAAAAUAUUACUGCAUAAUAACAUUCUCCUAACUGAAAUAAGAUAAAUGCUACUUAAAUUCUAUAUCUAAAUGAAAAAAAGAUAAAAAUCUUGAAAACAAUAGGAAAAUAGAACUUAAACUUGUAAACUAAUAUGAAAUAAAUAGAAUUCUCAAUCGAACCACGAGGCUACUGUGGUGCUACAGUAUUAGAUUAGAUUUCCCUCAUUGCUAACUUCAAACUGGUAUAUUAUACACCCUAUAUAGGUACUUAUAGCUCAAGUUAUUACCUUAGAGAGAUACCCUACGCAUCCUACACAACCAUCCACUGCAUCAAAGUCGUUCCAAAACAGUAGUUCACAGUUGGUACUGCACAUGAUGCUUGUUUCUCCUUUUGCAUCAACUUUUGUUGUUAACAUUAAUUUCAAUAGCAGCUCGUUAUGUAUGCAACAUUUCAAAAUUAAUCCAAAAAAACAAAAAUUAGUUCAGCUGACUAAAUUUGAAAGCAUGGAUUUGCUGUCGAUUAAAAAUCGUUUUCUAGGGAAAAUUUUUGGAUUGCAAUUCUCAUACAAUACAUAGAAUUAUCAUAAUCUAUAAAUUGUAUUUUUUCUUUUCUACGGUAGUAAGUCAAGAAUCCUUAGUGACAAUUUAAAUUGAAAAAAUAAAAUCAUAAAUAAGAAUUAUUUGAUAAGAAUUAAAAUAAUUGAUAAAUAUUUGAGAGGAACAAUUUUGGAAGACUCGAUCUAAUAGGAGGAGAAUUUGAAUUUUACAACCUUCCGUGAGGAAUCCAAAAUGCACAAUUUGAUGAAAAUUAAAUUUCAAUAGAAAUUGAAUUCCCAUAUAUUAGUGAAAACCAAACAACAGAAAAGUGAAAGGAAUUUGAAUUCAUUUCCUUCCUGUCUCAUCCCUCCAACUAAACACCAUCGAUACCCAAAGGUAUGGGAUUGGGAUUCCAUACUGAUCAGAAUGGGAUUUGUCCAUAUUAUUAGGACCAAUUUUAAAAGCAGUCGGAGUUUAAAAUUGAAAUUAAUCCCAAUUUUUUAUCAAUUUAUGCAUGAAUUUUUGUACGUUUACUUUGGUUUAUUAUUGUUACUUUUAGACAUUUUUAUUGGUUUGAUUUAGGGUCAUUUUGGUAAUCUUGUAAUUUUUAAAAUAGUUACAGUUAGUUAUGCUGUAGAAAUUGAUCAAUCAUGAAGAGAAUCAGCUGAACAUUUAGUAAAAUUUAUUUUUAAAAGUACUUUGUUUUAAAAGCAGUUGUAUGUGUUUCGUAAAUCUUAUUUUUAAACAGGUGCAAGAAUAUAAAUAACUAAAUUGGACAUAAUACUAAAUAAAAUUUAUUUACACAUUUACAAACAUGUAUAUAAAAUAUUUUUAUUAUGUACAUAUAAUUAUUGAUAACUAAAAUAAAUAUUUUAUAUUAUUAAAUUUUAUUCUUUAUUUUGUUAUCUCAAUAUAAUUGGUAAUAAUAAUAAUCUUUUAAAGUUAAUGAUUUUAUUUCUUAAUUAAUAAAGAUAAUUCUGGAUUUUUAUUAUAUAAUGAGGAUAUAUAUAUAUAUAUAUAGAAUUGGAUUAAGUAUAAAAGUGAUUUUCAAAAUCAAAUUUUGAAAAACUAUUCCUUCCAUACUUUUCAAAAUCCACUGUAUGAUGAGAUGAUUUUUCCAAAAAUAAUUACUAAAAAAUUAUAAAACACUAAAAAUUAGGUUUUAGUUUUUAAAAUCACUUUUGAGCUUCCCAAAAACAAUCCUAACGGGCCUUUAUUUGGGUGGUGUUGGAACUUGUAACUUUUGGAUCUUUUAGUUUUUAUUGGUUUGAUACAAGUGUUACACUAAAAAUUGAAUGCAUCUUAAACCCCAAACUUCUUCUUCUUCUUUUUUGAUUGCACAAAAUUAAAAACAAUAGUGAACGCAUUCUUUAAUAAACAAUAAGUAAUUACUAAAAUUGUGUUAAAGAAUUUAGUUGAAACAUAAAUUGAUUUCAAUGUUGUAUAUGCUAAAUUUCUUAAAAAUUUUCUUUCACAGUCUGCGGAAUAGUUUUAUUAGUAUUUUGAAUAAAUAAAAAUAAUUGAUUUAAUUUUUUAAAGAAAUUUAUUAGGUUCAUGUAAAUACGUUUUUGUUAUUUAAAAAGUGUACAAAGUAAAACUUAAUUUUUUAAAUUUAUUAGAUGAAUGGAUAAAAUAAUUGAGUGUUCAUAGUAAAUUUUAAAGUAUAGAUAGUCAGACCCUAAUAUUUUUAAUAAAUGGAAAUUUUUAAAAUAUGUUAAUGAGAAUUAAAAUGAUAAUUAAGGGAGGCAUUCGAGACAUUCAAGAUUGUUAGGAUAGGACAUGAUUGUGAGCGGUUUGAGAUUGGCCCUAAUUUUGAUCACAAAUAUAUAAGCAGGAUGAGUUUAUCCAUACUUACAUUCCAUUUGAUAAUUAAGAUGAGAGUGGAAUUGUCAAAUCCCAAAUUAUCCCGGACCAUUGCCACCAAAGGUACUCUCACUAAUAAUAUCUAAAGAAAAAUCUACAUCUAUUUCAUACUUUUUUUUUUAAACGGAAAGAGCCCUUAUGGGGCUUGAAAUGGUAUCCUAAAUAAUAUUCAGAAUAUCAGGCCAUGACUGGGUUUGUAACAAACAAAUAUUACAUAGUUGGGAUACGUAGUUGCUAGUGUCCCAAUUUAUGUAGUAUCUAUCAUUUAGUGCACAUAUAAAGUGUUUGGGAAAUGAAAUAGGGUGACCAAGAUAAGGUGUUUGCUCAUAUAUUAUCGUGCUCUCCUCAAAGUAAAAAGUGAAAAAAUAGUUGAUAGACUACUAGGAGUUUAUUUGGUCACCUCGACCAGGAUAUUAUUUGAUGAUCUCGAGCACAUCAUCUUGACUAAGAGAUUAUUUGGUCGCCUUGAGUAUAUCACCUCGACCAGGAGAUUAUUUGGUGACCUCGAGUAGAUCAUCUUGACCAGGAGGUUACUAGGAAGCACGACUCAGUCAAAACAAAUCUCACUUAUUUUCUUCGAAAUAUUGGGGACCAUAUUCUUAGUGGGCUGAAAAUUAGUGGUUUUCUUGAGAGUUUAGGUGAGAGGAUAAAAACCGCUAUAAUUUGCUCUAAAAAUCCUGGGAAAGGGGGGGAAAUAGGGAGAUUCUUUUUAUCUCUCUCUCUUUGGGUGACUGAACCCAUGGGAUCUUUUUCUCUCUACCACUGGGAAACUUCUCUUUCUCUCAUGAUUUAUUUUUCUUUAAGAUUGGUUAUUUUUUAUUCUUUUCCCAUAAAUUUACUUAAAAGCUUUUUGUUUAAAGUAUUCAUAAUUAAGCCGCGUGAAUUGUGGUACGGAUUUUUCCAAGUAGACCCAAAUCGCUGACUUGAGCAUCAGAGAAUUUUCUUUAAGAUUGAUUAUUGUUUCCAUAAAUUUGAACCAAGAAGGAUGACGCGAUAAAAUUUGUUUUUAUUGUAUGGUUGAUUUCAUAUCUCAUGCACUCAUUUCUUAAGAUAAUUAGAUUUCAUCUUUUGCAAAUGUGGAAAUAUCAAUUAUGAUCGAUCAAAACAAUCUCAAAACCUUUCAAUGAGACAUAUUUAUAAUACAAUAUUGUGAAAAUUACACCAAAAAUUUAAUUUAUGAUAUAUUAUUGUCCCACCAGCACACAAAAAUGAAUUCGUACAAAUCUAAAAUACUUAGCAAUUUUCAAAUAGAAUUUUAAAUUUAUUUCCAGUUAGAAAACUAUUCGCUGGACUCCGUAUUACUAGCCACCAUGGUAAGCCUAACCGGUUGCCGGCGAAUGGCGUAAAACACCAGCCAUCUUCUUCUUCAUCAUAUUCACCUUUCAUCUUUUGAGUUAAGCCUGUGAUUAUGAGUUUCUUCUCUUACUUAGCUUGUAAUUAUAGAUUUUGAUUCUUUUUAAUUCAUAUUGUAGCCGUUAUUGUCAAUUUUUGUCCCGCCAGCAAUAUUUUUUUAUUCCUACAAGUUGAAAAUGGAUUCAUUUGAAUUACUAUUGAAUUUAGCUUUAAUUUCAAUAUCCAUUCUAAUGUUUUGCUAUUAGAUUUACUUUAAUUUUAUGUUUAAAGCUUCUACAAUGAAUAGCGGAGCUUGGGUUUUAGUGUCAUUUUCUGUAACUUGUUUUAGUUUAUCUUGUACGCUCACCAAGUGCUUGUUAUAUUGUCUGAUAAGUUAUAUACAUUGCUGAUUCUAUAUUAAUAAUGUUAUGUUCUAUUUUCAGAAAUUAUAAUACAAAGUUUUUACAAUGGCGUGCAUCUACAAACUGAAUUGACUUGUAGAAUAAGAGCUUGGAGUAAAUGAAAGUUCAUAUUGUGUAAGAGCAUGUAGAUGUAAAGCGUCAUUACCAUUUCUAUAAAGGACUUUCAUUCUGUUCAGAUGCUCUUCUUGAACAUUGAAAGGUGCCUCGUUCAAGUCCUAGCUAUAACUACUAGCUUUGAUUAAUUAAGUUCCUAUACUAGCUGAAACAGAUUUAUUUAAUUAAUUAAUUGUGUAUGUACUGAUUAUAUUGAAAGUAUAUGAAUUUUUUUUUUUUUUAACAUGAAUGACUUAAAAACCUAAAGAAUAUGUGAAAUAAUGCUCAUUUCACCUGAAUGAGCCUAUUAAUACUUUUAUGUCUAUGAUUGUCAAUAUUGGCUUAAGCAUUUCAGUUAAGUGGUUUACCUAAUAGAGAAAAAAAUUUAAUAGAAAACUUCAGAGUUCUAACAGAAAUAUAGUUCACUAUGCAGAUAUAGUUAUUUUACGGUAUACAAAUCAAGUUGUCCUAAUCUCAAUGUCCUAUGACCGAUUUUAUUUUAUAUAGUCAUUAAUUUUUGCCAUGGUUUUUUGUGUUUAUGAGUUUGAAAUAGUGGGAUUUGGUGUACCUUAUCAUCUUUUGAAAAUUCUCUUUAAGUGUGGCCAACAGAAAUAUACAUAUAAUCAAGUUUCUUAAUCCUGUAUAUUAGUUUUGGGUAUGAAUGUUCCUAUUCUAGUUCUAGGCAAAGCUUCUUUGUUUUGGUCUUCAGAUUUCCAGUAGGUUAAGUUAAUCAACUAUCAUAACUGGCUAGCUAGUUAUUGUCUGCCUUGGCGCCAUUACCCAGGCCAUUAUAUUGCAUAGCAUAAGGAAUAGUGAUUAGGUGAUUAUUAGUGAUUUGUUGAGCUUAUUAUUGACCAAACAAAUGUAUUUGCCUUUGCCCACAACUUAGUUUGAUUAGUUAUUAGACCAUAAAGAGCCUUGAUCUAUUCAUUGGCUUUAUUAUUUUUAUUUGGUUUUUCUUUCAACAAUAUUGUUGAUUUCUUAUAAAAAUAUUCAUUGGUUUUUAAACACCUAAUCAUUGGCUAUAUGAAGCUAAUUAAAACUGAGGCUUUGGAUCAAUUUCUUCUAACAAGAUACAAAUGAGCAAAACCUUUCUCCUCUAAGUAAAUUUUUUUAAUAUCCCUUGAUUUGUAAGGAUCUGGAGGCCUGAAUCCUCUUGAUUUUUUUUAACACUGUCAUUGUUCUUUUUAUUCUGAGAAGGAAAUAAAAGGUUUUAUCUUUCAUACCCGAAUAGUAAGCUGGCCUUGUCUUAACAUGGCCUCCCGAGGACUUGCAAGAUUCAUAGUGCCCCCCACCCCAAAAAAAAAAUCAAAAACACAAAUAGGAAGAUUUUGCAAGAUUCACCACCAGGUUUUUUUUUAAUUUAUUAAUUGUGUGUACGUGCUAGUUAUAUGUUGAAAGAAUAGGAAGAAGUAUUUCAACAUGAAUGACUUAAAACUUAUUGCUCAGUAAAUAUAAUCUGCAUCAGUGCGAAAAUGUAUUUAUCGUUUGUAUUUUUUAUGGUUUUGCUAAAGAAAUGAUAUGUGAAAUAAUGCUACAUUGCAUCAGGAAUAAAUUGAAGAGAUUUAUGAUAUUUAUGUGUUAUUCAAAUUUCAGAUUCAAUUUUAAACUUUUGAUACAUGCAUUGAAAGCUUAGACUUGUUUAAGAAAUUAUUAAUAGACACAUGUUUUAUUAGUUUCAUCUUUGGAUGAUAGUGAGGAUCAUAUGUCUAUUAAUAAUUCUUGAAUUGUCCAGGCUUGGACAGUUUGGGAAUGCAUAGUUCACUCUGGUAGCUAGUAGCUGAAGUUUUUUCCCACGUAAAAAUGGGUUUUUCGGUAGCUGCUCCUCGUGUUCUCUGGGUACGUACUAGGUGAAUGGGUGUCAUGUGUUGUUUUGGCAUAACGCAUAAACACUUAUAUAGCUAUGUCGUGUGCUUGGAGAAUUAUAGGGAGAUGGUGCCGAAAUUUUUAUAAACGUGGAAGAAAACUUUAGGUACUUGAGAUUGAAGAAACUUAUGCAUUCUUGAGUGGGAUAUGUAGGAUUACUUACCUUCUGUAAAUAUGAAGGGAAUGUUGGAUAUAUUGGGGAUAGUGUAGGAGCUGAGUUGGAUGAAUGUAAUUGGUGAUGAUUUUGCUGAGCUGACCUUGGUUUUGAGCUUGUAAUUUUGUUUGUAAAUGGAGUGCUAUCACCAAUGUUGGUUUAUAAAAAUGUUUCAGGACUUGCUGACCUAAUUUUUUGUUUCUAGGUUACAGGCUUUAUAUAUCUGUAAUUGAUAGCCAAGUGAAGUUCUCAGCGCUUGGCGAGGAUAUUUCUUUACAGAAGGUAUUGGAAACUGUUUUUUACAUUAAUUAUCGUUGUUUAUAUACUUUGAUUGUCACAUCUUUUUCUCUGAUUCUUGUGGCUUUGCUUGCUUUCAUAUAUGUAAAUUCUAAUGAAAUUAACCAUAAAAUUGUAAAAUGAUCUUUUUAUUAUAUUGCAAAACUGUGCACACACGAAAAUAUGUUGUUUAGUAGUAGAAAUGAAGAACUAAUUUUUGUAGCGCAUUAAAAGGAGAUAGUCAUGGACAAGUGUUGGGUUGGUUUGCCAAAUAGAUAUCCAAGUCAUAUACUGAUGGCGUUGAAAAAUUUAUAGAUUUUGUAUUUGAGAAUGUUGUUGGUGGUACAAGAAUUUAUUGUCCUUCUUGAUAAGUGUUGUAAUCUAUAUUUCGUUAUAAGGGAAGUGGCUGAUGAUGAUAUGGUUGGAAUGAUACACUGCAUCACGUAAUCAAAUGUUCAAGUUACACGCAGCAUUGUUAUGAACUAUCAGUGGCAACUUGUCUGGGUGGAGUAUUAAAGGUAAAUGAGCAUGUCUUAUUUGCCAACAAAGCACUAGAUCUAAUUGGUUGAUACAGAAUUACAUAGUAGAAAAUUUUGUCACGUGGGUCACCGUCGAUUUUGCCCAACAAAUCAUAGGUUUCGAAAAUAUAGUGUCUUUUGAUAAAACUAGAGAGUAGGGACCAGCACCUUCUCGGUUGUCUGGAACUGAAGUGAAAAAGCAGUUUAAUAUAGUUACUGAGUAUAAGAUUGAAGACUUGAAAAGAGGAGAACGAAUAAAAUGAGAGAAAUGAUAAAAUUACUUGGAAGAAGAACAGCAUUUCUUAAGAUUACUUGGAAGAGAAAUGAUGUGGAAGAUGGCUAUAAAAUAUAAAAGGAAAGGCUUAAAAAGAAAAGCCAUGCCUGUCAAAAACAAAAAACAAUGGCAGCGUCAAAUUUAUAACAAAAAUCAAAACGGUGCGUUUGAGAGUGUAUAAAAUACAUUUAGAGUGGGAGUUGUGUUGUUGCUUGAAGGCAGAAUGUUUGUGAGAUAUUUGUCGACGAAGCCGAAACCAAAGAUGAAGCCCAUCAAAAGUAUUUAUAGUGUAAAAAGUAUAUUGUGGAAAUGUCUGGUCGGUAAUACAACUAUUUCUUAUAGUGUAAAUGAUACACUAAUUUGAAUUUAUAUGCUUUUAUGAUUAUUUUAUUAUCAAGUGGUGAUCAUAUGUGAUGAUAAACUUAGGUAGUACCUUUAUAUUUAUUGCCUUAGUUUUCUAAGCGUUCACAUUUUGAUGAGUAAAUUAAGGAUUUCUAGAUGAAGUACAUAAUUAGAUUAAUGCUAAGGAACUGAAGUUUGAUCAACUGAAAACGAAAAUCAUAAUGAAGGUAAUUAAGAAAAUGAACAAUGCAGAAGCGGUCCUUAUUAGGACUUCUAGAUUUUCUCUUGGGCUUCCUUAUUAUUGUUAAAAAAUGACACGAAUAACUGAGUUUAAAAAUCUGGCCCUGAUGCCUGGUAGCCCUCCAACAUAUGAAGCACUAGAUGUUUUAAUGAGAAAAUGACAAGACCAUUUAUCAAAUUUCUUGUGGAUAUAAAUACAUACACAUAGACGAGACCAACCUCCUCAACUGAGAAUCAGAGUGAUUACAAGACCUUGCAAUGGGACGAUAACACACCAUCAAAUCUCAAAAUACAAUAGAAAUUCAUGACAUAUGUAUAAUAAAAGACCUCUCAUUGAGUCAUAUAUAUUGAGAAUAAAAAUGUUAUAAUACAUACAAAGAGCUUAGCUAGAAUAAAAUGUCUUGGAACUUGCGAUGAUCAAACAAGGGAAACAGACAGGUUGUAACUCACACUAUCACAGAUGUAGCGACACGAUGCAGUGAAUCACAAGAAGAUCACGAAGAUGGAAACGGGAACCCCUCAGAAUGUAAACUUUGAAUAGAGAAAAAAAGAAAAACGACCUUAUUUCAAAUUGUGCACAGAAGAAGAGUGACUUAAAUCUUCAUCAGUAUCCAGGCAUUCUGCAAUCAUAAAGUAGAGAAAUUUUAACAGGAACAACAGAGAAAAUAUUAUGAAUAUGCUAUAGACCAAUAUACUUGUUCAUAUCUAACGUUUGAUGGUCUAAGGAUUUGUUCUAGGAAUAAUGGGAUGAUUACUUUUUUUUUUUUUUUAAUUUUUGUUAAUCCAAUGAAUGAUAUUCAGCUGUUAAUUAUGUGUUCAUAGGGAAGAACAUUUUCUAAGUACUUUCCUUGCCUUCUAACUUUCCGAAAAGCAAACCCAAUGAACAAACAGAGCACAAACUAAAAUAAAAGAACAGCAAUGAUGAGAAUAAAUAACUGGCAAAGAAAUAAUGGAAAAAGUAUGCACGUUUUCAAGGAAUUAUAAAAUACGAAGGCUUUUAAUGAAAUUUUAUCAUAAAAAGUAUGCAAGGAGUUAUAAAAUUUUAGAAGACGAGGGGAGCUCGCAAAAAAAAAAGAAGAAAAAGACUCAAAUUAAACUAGACUAAAAAGACAUUCAAUUAUGCAAAAUCUGUCCAUAAAAGUCUGAAAGGAUCAUUAAAAUUGCAUUGCAAAUUUAACAGUAAACCGAGGGACCCAUUCUAAAUAAUUCAGAUGAAAUUGCGAAACAAGCCAUGGGAUUAAAUAAAUGAAAUAAAAAUUAAUUACCAGUUGAGACUUUCUUCUAAAAAUUCGCAACUCCAAGUCAUAAGAAGACUAUGAAAUUAGUCGUACUGCGUAGAGUAUGACGACGACACCGCCAACAGCUGAAAAUAACAUUCUUAUUCAUCAAUUUAAACUUUUACUUUAUAACAAAUAUCUUAUCGAUAUUUUAUUUAAAAAAAGCAAAUUUUGUAAAAUUUUUCCAUGGGAGAUAGAGAGUAACAUGUAUAUCCGUACCUUCUCAGCAUGUAAUUGUUGUAUGGUCCUGUUAAGAUCAUUAUUAGCCCAACGCCGUUGAUUCGAUGUCGCUCCACACCAGACAUUUACUCUUGGAGGCGUGCUUGAAUCUCCUGUAGUGAAAGUCUUCAUCUUGGGACAACCAAUCACUUCCAGAUAUUCCAAAGAUGGGAAUUCAAAGGUGUAGUUGGCAGAGCAGAAACUUGUGAGACUUUCUAAAUCACGCAGGCCCAACGCCUUCAAUUUGCGGAAAACAAUCUCUUCUUUUUCAACUCCAUCUUUGUCAUUUAUUACCACCUCUGUCAUUGCUCUGCAUCUACAUAUUUCUAUUGCUACGAGUUGCACUAGAGUUUUUGCUGUGGAGGAUGUUACCAAGUGCAUCAAUCCCUUGCAACCGAAAGCUAAAAGUUUUGUUAGGUUCCGAAAAGAUACCGAUGAUGAUGGCAACAGAAUUAACAGACUUUGACAAUUAUAUACUCUUAGAAUUUCAAGAUACUGAAAAAUGGGGCCAUGUUUGGAAUCUUGUUUGCACAGCUGCUUCAGAUGAUAGGGCCGGUACAGCUUUAAUUCUUUUAUCAUUGCCAACUUCCCCACAUGUUUCUCUAAGCAUCCUUCCAUCGAAAAUACGUCUUCGUCGAAUGAAAAAAAAGACAGUGUGAGUAUUUCGAGAUUGUGAAAUCUCUCCAGUACGUUCCAGAUUGGAAAACAAGCUGAGUCAUCUGCAGCAAUAUCUAGUUUUCUAAGACUGCCAAAAAGGUGUUGUGGGAAAUCGGCCUGCAAAAUUAUCUUCAUGUCUUUUCCGCUUAGUGAUAGUUCCGUCAAGUUGGGUAAGAUCUGAUCAUCAUCAAUCAUAAUAACUAAUGAGGUCAAUUGAUGUUCUCUCAAAUGAUUUUGAGUAAUCCAAUCACAUGCAGUGACUUUAUAGUAUUUGUUUUAUAUUAUACUUUACCCAAAAAAAAAUUGAAUUAUUGAUAAAAUUUAUUAAAUGAUUUUUUAUAUGUUAAUUUUAGAGGUAAAAAAGAAAUUAGAGAAAAAAACGAAAUUAUAUUGCACGAUAAUAAAUUACUAAUUUAUUUUGUAAGUUCUUCUAUAGGAAAGACUAAGGAUUCUUUUACAAAUGUUAUACCUAAAAAAGUUCAUAUAAUUAUUAAUCUAUCACAUUAAUCCCUUAGUCUAGACUAGCAAAGAUUAUUGUAUAAUAAAAGUUUUUAAUUUAUUGAGUAUUAAUUUAUCAAUGCUUUGUUAUAUUUUUCAAAGUUAAAAAAAAAAAUGCUAUUGAUAAAAAAUCUAGAAAAUGGCUUCAUACCUUUUCCAACGGCAAUAGGGGCUGUUGUGCAGGAAUACCAAGUUGAUCAUUCUCAUUAUUCGGCGAUAAAUCUGCAGCGAAUAUCUUUAAUUUGUCACAACGAUACACUAAAAGAAUUUCUAGUGCGGGCCAUUCCGAAGUAUGCAUUCCAGGGUACAAACAUCUAAGUUUUGGUAGACGUUGGAGUCUCAGAGUGGUGAGCUGUGGAAAGACAAAAUAGGGGAUCACUUGAUCUGCUCUGUUUUCAGAAAUGAUCUCCCGUAAAUCCUCACAGUGGCGUAUAUCCAGGUGUUGGAGCUGCUUAAGGCUUCCGAUCAUAGACGCUGAAAAUAUGUAUUUUAAUUUGUGACAACGCCACACAAUCAAUCGUGUUAAACUCUGAAAGCGAGGAAACAUGACCGGAAGAUGAUUGUAGUGCCAAAUCUUGUCGACAUUAAUAUCAGUUAUCUCCAAAGCCUCCAAGUUAGGCAACGCAACCUAAAAAAAUAAGAAUUUCUCAUUAGAUCCAAUAUCCAUAUGGGAAGCACUUGUUGAAAUUUUCUUCUUUGAUUACAAAUUAAUGCAAGUCAGAAUCAAUUUCCAACUGACUGCUGAGUUUGAUGCAUUCUAAUUCAUACAACUUUUUAAGAGCUCAAUUAGUGAGCGUGUGAGAUUCUUUUUAUCCUUUUUUCCAUUUUCCUUCAAUUCUUUAAAUGAUUUAAUUAUUUUCCACGUACGACAUCAAAAGAGAACGUUAUAUAUGAAUAAAAUCUGUUAUAUAUGAAGAAAAUGUUAGCCUACGCACCUUCUCGUUGAAAAGCAGAGUUGAAGUAUCCAAAGUGAUUUCGCUGGAGCAAUACGUAGUCGUCGAUUCCUCUUGCGACGCUGGUCUGUUCGGUGAUGCUGAAGGAGUCUUUACUUCACGGCAGAAAUUUGUAACCUCUGGAAGAUUCCCCAGACUCAAAGAUCUUAAUUGAGCAAACUCUAUCUUCUCAAUUGCAUUAUGAUCAACUUCUUCCCCAAUUGAAAAAAUUUCUUUCAUCUUGCUGCAAUUAAUAACUGCAAUUCUCUCAAGUCUUGGAAGGCAUUUUGUAGUGGAGAGCCAAAAGAUAUUGCUUAACUUAUCACAAUUAUAUGCUUCUACGGUUUUGAGUUUGUUGAAAGACUCUACUUUGAGCCGAUCAAUACAUAUCCUCUCCAUGUUGAUCAAAUUGUGAAGGAUAAGUGACUCCAAAAGAGGAAAGGCACCACAAGCGACCAUCGCCCUUGAAUCGACGAUACAAAAGAAGUCAGGAUUAUUUUGAACGCAGAGGACCUUCAAUUGUGAAAAGCCCUCCGUGUCCAAAUUGAAAAGAACAUUCUCGAUGCCUUGCAGCUUGUCCAACCAUAAGCAUUCAACGUUAUUGAUGCCCUGCAAUUUCAAGGAGCAAAUGUCCAUAAAAUCAAGCUUGAGCUUCAAUGCUCUGGAAAUCUUACGAUCUCUGUCGAUCAAAAAGUGCUGCCGACUUUUAAACCAAUUUUGUCCAGCAAUCAUGGGAUGCAUGAAUGACCCAUUUCCAAUAGAUAUUUUGAACCUUUCGAGCUCUCUGGCCAAAAAGCUUUUUGGUAACAUACUCUCAUUUUUAACAUCAAUUUCUAGAGUGGUUAGCCGACGUAAAUGCAUCAAUUCGUCAAGGCUAGCAUUACUUCUUUUGCUGUUGGCUAUUUCAACCUCCCAUUCAAUGGAGCAAUUAUACAUAUACAAUUCUUCUAAUCGGAUUAAGCUUGAUAUGACAUUUGGAGCAAUAACUUUUAGAUGGAAACAGUCUGUUAAAUCUAACAGCCUUAGCUUAGUCAGUUGACCCAGUGCUUUAGGCAUAUCAGAUUGCAAAAAGCUGAGGAUUUCUAGAUUUUCCAACUUUCCAAUAAUAGCUAUGUCUAUGCCUCCCAAAAUGCUUUGAUUAAGACAGAGUGUCUGAAGAUUUACUAGAAGACCAAUUGAAGAUGGCAAUGACAAUAACCGCAUUCUAGUCAAAUCCAAAACCCGAAGCUUUUUCGUCCUUUUGAAGAAGUUCUCAGGAAUAUUAGGCACAGCAAAAGAGUUCUUGGGAGACAUGACUAGAAGUUCAAGUUGUAGAGAUUCGGACCCUUCAGGAAUGUCAUUAAUAGUACUAUCUUUUAAAGAAAUUGCAAGAUAUUUUUUUAAUUCAUCUGCAUUUGGCCAUUUCCAAUCAUCCUCAUUUCUCACCACAAAUCCAAUUUUGUCACGACAUGCAAUUGAAAUGGCAACAUCGCGAACAACGUCGUGCAUUGAAAAGUAUUUACUGCCACCAUCCUCAAGCAACAAACAAGAGUCUCUUAGUUGAUGGACCCAUGCAUGUAAUUUGUUAUGUGCAUCUUCUAGCUUAUGGACACUUUUAAAUGCACCCAAGCCCAUGCUAUAUUUGAACAAGUCCAUAAUAUAAGUUGGUGUAAUUAGACUACACAGUAAAAAAGUUUUCUUGAGUUGCUCACCUCUUAAGUACUUGUAACUCAGCUCAAUUGUUGAGUAUGCCUCUGCUGGUACUCCUUCGUCGAAGCUCGCCUCUGAAGGCGUUCGGAGUUCUUGCAAGGCAUUCUUCCACACAGGCAGCUCUUUUUUUCUCAGUGCCUUUGCUACUGUGGUUAGGGCAAUAGGCAAACCUCCGCAUGCCUUGGCUACACUUGUUGCUGUAGAUUCUAACUCACGAUUUUCAACAUAAUCACCAGCCAUUAUCUUGAACAAUCUCCACGCUUCUUAUUCAUUUAAAAUGCCAAUCGAGAAGUUUUUUUCAGAUUCCAUCCUUAACAGCACAUCAAGAUCUCUUGUUGUGAAUAAUAAUUUGCAUCCUCUGUGCUCAACUCCAAAAGGAAUUCCAAUAGUCCCCAAAUCAAGAGGUUUCCAGAUGUUAUCCAGAAUCACAAGGAUCUUCUUCUCAUUCUUCACUCUUUCAUAUAGUCUACUAGCUCUUCUAGACUCAGGUUCCUCGGACAACUGUAGGCCUAACGUUUCCGCAAUUUCCUCUUGGAUCUUUUUUAUGUCUGGACUUUGGGUAACCUCCGAAAAAGCCACCAUAUCGUAAAGCUUGUCUUCAAUGGCUCGCCUUGCAAACUCCUUCACCAGUGUCGUCUUUCCAAUGCCGGCCAUGCCGUAGACCCAAAUGAUGCUGACAUCAACAUCGAUCAAUGCAUUUUGUAUGGCCUUCAAAGCAGAAAGUCUUGAUUCGAAGGCCUCGUAGCCUUUGUGAGACUUGAGCCAUAUAUCCUCCGGAACGGUACGGUAGGAAAUUCUAUCAUCAAAUCUCCCAGCUUCUUCUCGGAGUUUAAAAAGGGCCUCCUUCUCUGUUUCUGCUUUCUUUCCAUGCUGAUAGCGAGUAAUCCAAUUAGGAAACAGCCCCAUGAGACAUCGUUCAUUUGCUUUCUCUUCGUCUAGAAUGAAUUUGGCUGCCUGCUCAAUGCUCUUGUUCGCAUUAACCAGCCAUUUCUCAACCUUCUCUUCAAUCUUUUCACUUUUUCUUUCAGCCUCAGAAACUCUGCGCUGAAUGCUUUCUCUUUCAUCCUUGAGCCCAUCGAGUUCUGCCUUGAGAUUCUCAAAGUUGGCAGCGGAGUUAUACCAAUAACUAAAUUCGCGUUGUGCGUGAGGAGACAAGCAGUUUACAACUCCUGGAACAAUGCUUUUCAAAAUGUCCAUUUUUUUUUUGGGUUGGGGGGGGGGGGGGGAGGGAACGAAAUAGAAAUAGAACAGAGUCAACGGCCGCGCAAUUGAUAAUCAAGUAGAAGCAAAACAAGGCAAAAUUGAAAAAAGGGAAAAUCAGUGUAACAGAAGAGAAUCAAAGUGUUUUUGAGAUCAGAAAAUUGAAUCAAGAAAAGGGUUGCUUGAUCCAAUGAAAAUGCAAAGAGCUGAUGGAAAAAGGGAACAAAGAUAAAUAAGAAAACGGCUAGCACGAGCAGUGACCACGAUAAACAGAAGCAAAGUGUGUAUGAGAUCAAAAGACGAAAAUCAGGAGAGGUUUUCUUGAUUGAGAAUUGAAGGCAAAGAGUAGGAGCUGACGAAUACGGGGAUCAAGAGGGAAAAACUGCUUGCUCAUAAAACUACUUUCAAGCGAAUCUGAUAAAAUUAUUUCAAUACUCGUGGGCGACUCCCUUUUAAACCGCAGAAGGAAAAAAAAAAAAAAAAGUUCUGAUUUUCAAUAUAUUAAUUUUUAUCCUAAUUUAUGUUGAGACUCGUAAUCUCGUCUCAAUGAUUAAUUAGUAGAUAAUCUUUCUAACAAAUAUGUGUUGAAUAGAUAUAUUUCUUGACUAUUAGUAGGUUAAAUAUAUUUUAGCAUAGGAAUGAAAGUACAAGUUGUGUCAUAUUAGAAUAAAAAUUUGACCUAAAAAUAUUGUUCUACGACCUUUUAAUUAUUUGUCAGCAAAUAAUUAAGUCAUAUAAAAAAAUUAAUAAUCUGAAUUAGUCUUUAAGUAUUAUAAAUAUUUUUAGAUUUUAAUUAUAAUAUCAUUAUUUAAAAAUAAUUGCUUGACUUACAUUAGUAACAUUACGAUUGUCAUAAAACAUGUGAUCCUCAUCCAAUAUCCAUUAUUUGUGAUCCUUAAUCAAUAAAAUAUCUAACAAUAUCUUCACCUAAAGUUUGAGACAUGUGAUCCUUAUUCCACUGCGUCAAAACAAGGAGAAAAUCAGUGUAACUGAAGAGAAUCAAAGUGCUUUUGAGAUCAGAAAUUGAAGCAAGAAAAGGGUCGCUUGAUCCAAUGAAAAUGCUAAGAGCUGAUGGCAAAAGGGAACAAAGUUAAAUAAGAAAACAGCUAGUGCUAGCAGCGACCACAAUACACAGAAAAUUUGAGAUGGAUUUACAAUAUUUCUGCCUUUCUUUAUGCUUUAACAAAUAUUGCUCUAUCAAAAAAAAUAUUUAGAAUUUUAUUAUUGGAGUCACAAAAGACCUACACAAUAUAGCAAGUGACUAGGAAUAAAUAAGAAUAUAUAACUCUCUCUCUAAUUCUCACUCUAGCUUUUAAUUGUCACUCAAAACCCAGAAUUCAUCCUUAAAGUGUAAGCAAAUCAGAGAUGACAGCGUCUGGUUGUCAUACGUGCCUUUUAGUUUUCGGAUGACAUGGCGUACACUUCUUCUGUAAACCGAACAUGACAUGUCGUACUCUUUGUUUUGAGAUCAUAUUUCAAACUCUUCAUGCUAUGAAUGAAAGAUAAACUACAAUCAUCAAAAUAUUUAGUGUUUAUUUUGUAAUGUAACGUCAUAGUUGUUGUGAAUUGAAAUUAUUUCUGUAAAAUAAAAGGAUUUGGGUCAUCGUUCGUUAUUUUCUAGCAAUAUUGUCUGGUCGUGACUAUUUGUUAAAUAUUAAAAAAAUAAAUUUAUAUUUAUUAAGUAUAAAAAAUAAAUAAACAAACAAAAAUAAAAGGAAAAGUUUAUACAUUACAUAAAAUAAUAAGAACAAUAUCAAUAUUUCACACUCUAUAAUUGAGUGAUGUGUUGUCCAACUGCCACACAUUGGUCCCAAACGGAGACUUAAAUAUUAAAGUCCAAAGUUAUUGUGAUGAUGACUUAUAAUCGCCAAACUUGACAUACGGGUAAUCAUGCAUUAUAAGGUGCUGAUUUCUUCCAAUCGAAACCUUAUUUUUCAUUUACAAAUAAAUAAAUGACGUGACUUAACGAGUGGUGGGGUCCUUUGUGCCAUUUGUGUAUUUCACUGAAUAGUUGAUUCAACUAUUCUGAUCGGAAGAUUCUUGGAAGUUGCCAUUUGCCAAUGCUACUAACAUUUUCAAACUUGGAAAACCCUUCAGUCAAUCUUUUAGUGGUAGGCUCUGGUAGCUUGGUUUGAUUAUGACAUAUGAUUAUUUGAUAAUAAAGUUAGAGGAUGUAUUAAUAUAAAAUUUGUUUAUUGGUGUUGAAGUUAAUUAUCUCAUUAAUAAUAGUAUAAAAUGUUAAUUACUAAGAAACACAUAGCAGUAUUCUGGGAUAUAAUUUUAUAUCAUAACUUUGUAAGUGUAUAAUUACUCAUUAAAUUAACAAAAUUAUUUUAAAAUAUUUAGUUAGAAAAAAUAUAUUAUAUUCUUUUUAUUUCAAAUAAUCUAUAAGUUAACUCAAAACAUAAUCAAGCUGAGAAUUAAAAUAAUGCUACUGUAUGAGAGGAUUUUUAUUUUUUCCCGAAGUUUCACAAGGAAAUUAUUGAUAGAUAGCUUUAUUCGGAUCAUCUCAGUUCAAACGACAAAUAAUUGAAAGACUAAGCUAAAUAGACCAGCCAACAACUUUGUACAAGAGAGUUCAAAAAUUAAAGUCAUGGUAUUAAAGUGUUCUAUCUUGAAAAGUACAGCGUAGUAAUAAAAUAAAAACUAAUAGUCUUUGGUAAGAUAUGACAUUUAAAUAAUAAUUUUCACAAAAAUACAAAGAAUAUUUAUAAAGUACUUCUAUAAUGAGGAGACCCUCACUUUGUUAAAGUGAAAAUAUCAAUAAUAUACAAAAGACAUAUAUUUUAACACAUUAAAAAUUGUAUUUUUUUUUAUCUAUUGGUGUAUUGAAAUGUGUGUUAUUUAGUUUGUUAAUAAUAUCAUCACUUUGUUAAAAUAAUGAUAUCAGAACCAUUAUAUAUACAUAUAUAUAAAGUGCUUCUCUCCAAAAUCUAGACUUUAUUAAAAUUUAAGAAAGCAAAUAUAUUUUGUAUGGUAUAAUAGUGUAAUAACAUCACCCGAGUAUAUCAUAUAGAGUAAUAGUUUUUGGACUUUAAUAAAGGUCAAGAUUAUAGAAUGAAUGAUUUAUAUAUAUUUUAAAUUUUUUAUCAUAAAGUGGAGGACAAAGUAACAUAUUUUUCAAAUUAUAAUAAUUAUUUAUCAAAUAAUUUAACAUCGUAAUUUCUCCUAACUAGUAUAGUAAAUACGACCUAGGAGGUACAUUCAAAGCAUUUCAUAAGUUAAUUGUUAAUAAUAAAUGAUACAUGCAGCUCCAACUAUUAUUGUACGGUGAGUAAUUUCAAUAGAUUUUUUAUGGCUUAAUAAUAAUGAACAUUGAAUGUCAAAAUAUUAAUGGCCAAACAGACCAGCUGCCAACGACUUAUUCCAAUGUGAAUAGUUCACAGUGGGUACUGCACAUGAUACUUGUUUCUCCUUUUGCAUCUACUUUUGUUGUUAACAUUAAUUUCAAUAGCAGCUCGUUAUGUACGCAACAUUUCAAAGUUAAUCCAAAAAAAAAAAAACAAAAAUUAGUUCAGCUGACUAAAUUUGAAAGCAUGGAUUUGCCGUCGAUUAAAAAUCGUUUUGUAGGGAAAAGUUUUGGAUUGCAAUUUUCAUACAAUACAUAGAAUUAUCAUAAUCUAUAAAUUAUUUUUUUGCUUUUCUGUGGUAGUAAGUCCGACUCCUUAGUGACAAUUUAAAUUGAAAAAAUAAAAUCAUAAAUUAGAAUUAUUUGAUAAGAAUUAAAAUAAUUGAUAAAAAUUUGAGAGGAACAAUUUUGGAAGAUUCGAUUUCUAAUAGAAAGGGUGAAUUUUACAGCCUUUGGUGAGGACUCCAAAAUGCACAAUUUGAUGAAAAUUAAAUUUCAAUAGAAAUUGAAUUCCCAUUUAUUAGUGAAAACCAAACAACAGAAAAGUGAAAGGAAUUUGAAUUCAUUUCCUUCCUCUCCUCCCUCCAACUAAACACCAUCGAAAUCCAAAGGUAUGGAUUGGGAUUCCAUAUUGAUUAGAAUGGGAUUUGUCCAUAUUAUUAGGACCAAUUUUAAAAGCAGUCGGAGUUUCGAAGUUUAAGAUUGAAAUUAAUCACAAUUGUUGAUUUGGGACUAGAUAAGAAUUUAUCUUAGAACUCCAAUUCUCCAAAAAAAGUACGCUAGCUUCGCCACUGCACUAGGGACAUAUUAAUCAGGUGGCUUAUAUUACAACCAGAGGAUUUAAAUUUGAUUUAAGAUAUGUGGGGUCUGCUUUUGGAUUUAGAAAAUUUGCUCAUUAAGAGUUGAACCCAAGUGACCUACCGUUAGAUUAGAUUAAUAGUGAUUUCUUGUAGUAAAUAUUUGUGAAUUUGAAAUAUGUGAAUUCUAUCCUGGUGAUACAAAACAAGCUUCUUGUACACGAGAACUAUUUAUUUUUAUGAUUUGGAAACCAAUCUAUAAAGAUGAAUUAAGUUGGCAUAAUGGUACAAAGCAACUUUAAUUUUUCAAUAAAUUCAAAAGUUGGCAAGUUGGUUAUGAUUAUUAUCUUUUCUUUUUUACUAUUUAAACUACAAUUAAUUGAAUCCAAAGACUAAAGGGUUGGAUCGAGAAGAAACUAAUUUUAAGUAGACAUUCCGGCGAAAAUCACUCCCAUGAUCGAGACACUCAUGCAAUCAAUGCAAAAAUGGACACAAAAAUUGUCUACUUAAGUUUGGUGGAAUGAUUUUAAAAAUAGUUUUAUUUGUUUCACACUCGAAUUUGUAUUUUGAAAAAGAGUGGGAGUUAAAAAUUGAUUUACACUUUAUCAAUUACUCUAUUUUAAAAAGAAAUAAAUAUUAAAAAAAUAAAAACAUUAAUUUCUUGUUUGUUUGUACUUACCAUUGUAGGAUAAAUAAAGUGGUUGACAAAAAUUAUAUAUCUUAAAAAUAAAUUCUAGAUUUAUAACUAAUGUAUAAUGAUUUCAAUUCACAUGUUUCAAUCCCAAAUAAAUUCUCCUUUGGUUAUUUGAAUCUUAGCGCGGUAAGAUUUCAUUCUCUUAUAUGCAUUUGUGUAAACUUCUCCCUUUACCUUUAUCAUUUUAUCAACUUUAUUGAUUGCCAAUCAACUUUAGGGUUUAGGCAUGAAUCACACAAGGGAAUGAUAUUGUGGCAAUUUUUUCCCCCUUCUUUUUUCUUUUUGAAAAAAAAAAUUAUUUAUAGCUUUGCUUUGAUGGUAGAAGACUAGAAGACCAAUUAAUUUCUUUUUGUUGCGUGGUGAUAAUAAUGAUGGAAAUUGCUAUGUGCGCGUUGGUGAUUGCAUUGCUAGUCACAUAUUGCUUCCCAUCAUGGAGACAAAGGGGACCCCUCUAUCAAAGCUAGCUGUUGAAAUAUCAUACCCAAAAUCACAUGAAUUCAAAGGUUGAAUGGGAAAACGAUCUUGCUUCUUUGUAUGUUUUAUUUUAUUUAAAGACUUAUUGUUUCCCAUAAGAGAUAAGCUUGGAUCUAUCUUUCCUUUUAAUCAUUUUAGCCUCCAACUCCCAUCUUUUUCAAAAGUUUCGUUUAGCCCAUUUUGAAUGGCAAGGUAAGCUUCAAUUAACGCAACAAGUUCCAGUGAUUCCCGUCAAUAUUCGAUUGCAUGUAUGUAGCUUUGAGUGCUCAAAUUUAUUUUAUUUAUUAGUUGUUAUCACUUAUCAUUUUCUUUUUAAUAAUGAGAUUUGGGCAUUUUCUUUUUAAUAAUGAGAUUCGGGUCCCUGGAUGGUGAUUAGCCAACAGUCUAGUUAUGAGAAAUUAAUGUCUUAAUUACAAUGACAAAAAAGGCAAGUGGGGAUCUCAUUUGCCAUUAGGUAACACAACAUCUUCAGCAUUGGAGCUUUUCUUCCUUUCUCUCCUUCUUUCUUUCUUUCUCAAAAUAAUUGAAAAUCUAAUGCAAUACAAUUAAAUUGAUCAACGAUCUAAUUUAAUCAAUACAUUAUAUUAAGAUAUUUAAAAUAAAAUCGGUUCAAAUGGAAUGAGAAGUUCUACUAAAAAAAUAACAACAUUUAUUCCUUAUUAUUAUUAUUCGAAUUCAAAUAACCUUGGAUUCCAAACGCAUUCAAGACUAGCCAGGCUGCAUAUCCAAGAAGAAAACAAAAUCAAAACUUUAGCCACAAACAUAUACGUGUGUGUGUAUGUGUGUGUGUGUAUAUGUGUGUGUGUGUGUGUGUCUGUGUAUAUAUAGAGAGAGAGAGAGAGUUCUUUCACUAGGUUCAUUUGCGUGAAACUUUUUGAUCAUUUAGGUUUAAGACUAUAUCAUAUAUCCUAUUGCACGAACAUUGAUUAAGAUGAAUGAGUCAAACCCACUAAGCUUGCAACAAAAUCUUUUCAUAGUUACUAGAGAAUAUUUAUAUUUUUUUCAAAUAUUAAUAAAAUUAUUGAAUUGCUUUAUUUAUAGUACGUAUACAAUUAAUAGUGUAUGGAUUUUUUUUUAUCUAUUGGUGUAUUGAAAUAUGUGUUAUUUAGUUUGUUAGUGAUAUAAUCACUUUGUUAAAAUGAGAAUGUCGUUACUAGAGAAUCAUUAUAUAUACAGGGUCCAGCUACAAUACCCAUGGGGUUUGGUACCCCAUUUUUUGUCUUUUUCAAAUCUACCGUUGGAUUUAACGUAAGAAUUGCAGAAUGGCUGAGAUGUAAUUUUUGGGUUAUUAACAACAAAGACCCUUAUUGUUCAUGGAAAAUAAAAAAAAUCAAAAGUUUUGAAAUUAUGACGUAUAAGUCCAUAAUAUUCUCUUUUUUUCUUUUUAACUAUUGAACUCGGUUUCUAAUUAAAUGAAUUUUUCUUACAUUUAUUAAUAUCUAUUUAAAUUAAUAUAUUUUUAAUUAAUAAAUUAACUACUUUAUUAUAUAGUUAAACUAUGUAUAUUAUUUACUAACCAUAAUUAACGAUAAGUAUAAAUAUGAUCUUUUUUUUUUUUUAACAUAAUGGCAACCAAUUUCCUCUCACCUAUGUGAACAAGGUUCAAAACCCAUAAUUUUUUUUUUAACACAAGAGAUUUUAUUAUCUCAAGUAGAUGAAAUAUACAAAAUACAAAAAUAAAUUUAAUUUCAUAUUCUAUAUAGUUAAUUUUUUUUGUAACAUAAUAUUUAUUAAACAUACUAUCAAUUAUUUAAUUAACUAGCAAAAAUAUGUUAAUUUACUAAUAAUAAUCAAAUGUUAGUUUAUGAACUUGUAAAAUCUUUUUUUUUAACAAUGAGUUUUUGUCCUUAAAAUAAAAAAUAACAAUUUAAUUGCACACUUAAAUAAAUUAGUAUUUGUUAAAAAUAGUAAUUUAAUUGCACACUUAAAUAAAUUGGUAUUUGUUACUCCACCCCAAUUAUUUAAAUAGUCAUUAACUUAUCUGAGAGAAGGGUAAAAAAAUUCUAAACAAUUACUCUAUUUGAAAAUAAUUUAAAUAUUUCUUUAGAAAAAUAAACUAAAAAUAAGUAUUUUCUAUUCUUUCUUCUUUCUUGCUAACAUCAAUCAUGGAUAACAAUAGAGAUGGCAAUUCAACACAUAUCUAUCAAUUAAAAUAGAAGUCAAUUAAUAUAAUUAAUUGAAUAAUUAAUUUGUGUCAUGAAUGAGUUAUCGUAUUAGGAGUUAUAAAACCAAACCCAAUAGAAUUAUUAAUCGAGUUAACAGCUAGAAAGAGCAAACAAAUCCAUUCAAGUUGGAUGUCUAAGUAUUUGAACCAAAUAGAUUAGAUAAUAUCCAUCUAAAAUACUCCAAAUUUGAUUUAUUCAAUAUCCAUCUAUGAACUUGAAUAUUAGUGAUAUUUAAGUGUAUGUGACUGAAAUUGAGUAUUAUAUUUAAUAUUUAAGUUUUGUAAGUCAAAUGAAAAAUCAAAAUAAUAUUGCUAAAAAUUAUUGCACCAUCAAUGACAACAAUGACGAUAUCAUCACUAAGAAAUAGAAAUGAGUGAACAGAGAAACAAAAACUAUCAACGUAAUCAAAACUCUCUGAUCAAUGUAAUGGUGGCAAUGUUGCCAGAUAAAUAGAUAUGCCGGCAAUAGAUGAGCAUUCCAAUGCAAACAACUAGAACAAGACCCUAUGAUUAGAUGACGUUUUAACGUAGAGUGGAAGCGAUACUAAAUUUCGUUCUAGUAUACGUCUUGAAAACUCAAGAAAGAGACUCUCACCAAAGAGAAGAUAUUUCAAUUGAGAAAAAACUAAAUAUUAUUAAUGAGAAGCUUGUGUCUGUUAUCAUAAAUUAAGAAUAACAAGCCUAUAUAUAUAAUAGUAGCUAACUUAAUCCUUAUCUUUCUCAAAUAAGAGAAAUAAUCUAAAAUCCUAAUUAAAUUAUAAUUACAAAUAUGACUCAAGUAAGCUUAAUAAAAUAAGAUAAAUCCUAAUAAAAUAUUAAAUUCUAAAUUGACCCAAAUAUUAUAAUUCCUAGUAAAUUCUAAUUUAUUUAUUUAUUUAUUUAUUUAUAAGUUUGUUUGGUUUUUGGGUUUUUUUUUUAAAGAACAGAAAAUUAUAGGUAAUAGUGUAAGUAUAGAAAAGUAAAGAGGCAAAAUUAAAAAUAGGCAAAAGUUGGUGUUGCCGUCGACGGUGGUCGAAAAAUUGGCCUAGGAUAGGUGGAUUUGGAAGAUUUGAUGGUGCUGAGUGUGAUGUUGGUGGUGGUUUGUCUCAAAUAGUUGUGAGUUGACCGAAAAGUUGAGCUAAAGUAGUGGGUGGAGGUUGGUUUCGGUUUCCGGCGAUCCGGCCGGGGGUUGGCAGCGUGAGUGGGUUGAAAAGAAAGAGCUAAUGAUGGUGGACGAAUGAGUGGUGGUGGAGGCUGUGAAUCGCGGCUGAUUGUAGCGAAUGGAGAGGCGGAUUUUCGUGGUGGUUCAGCGGCUGUUUUGGCUAGUUUCCCGUGGCUACGGUGACGAGAUGGUGGUGUUAUGGGUUGGGUUAUGAUUGGCGGCGUGUAGGCUUUCGGAUGGGAGAGAGGAUCGACCGAAAAGAAGAGAAACUGGUGGCGGCAGUAGCCGUGUGUGGCAGAUGUAAUGGCGGCUUCGGGUUUUGCUAGUUUUUUUUUUAACUUGAUGGAACUAAUGUACGGAGUUGGUGGUCAGGAAUGCUCUGCCUGCUACCAAAAAAAGCUCUAAUAUCAUUUGUCUUGAAAAUUAAAAAAAAAAUCCCACUAAGGAUUAAUAUCUUAAUUGUGAAAAUAUUGAAUAUUAUUAAUGAGAAGCUUGUGUCUGUUAUCAUAAAUUAAAAAUAACAAACUUACAUAUAUAAUAGUAGCUAAUUUAAUCUUAAUCUUUCUCAAAUAAGAGAAAUAAUUUAAAAUCCUAAUUAGAUUAGAAUUACAAAUAUAACUCAAGUAAGCUUAAUAAAAUAAGAUAAAUCUUAAUAAAAUAUUAAAUUUUAAAUUGACCCAAAUAUUAUAAUUUCUAGUAAAUUUUAAUUUAUUUUAUUUAAUAUGCUUCCUACAUCACGUUUUAAGGUUCAUUGCCUUUAACAACCAAUUUGAGGGUCUCUAAACUAAAAAAAAAAAAAAAAAAGGUGGUAGUAUAAUGUAACUCCUUGUGUUUUGAUGGUAUAGUUAUUGUUGCACCUAUUUUAGAAGGAGCAUGUAACUUUACAUAUCACCAUUUGCUAGCAUUGAGACUAUCUUUAUGUAAAUCAUUCAAUUUCAAGUCUAAUGGAAUCCUUCAUGUUCCAUUUCGGUUAAUAAUGUCAUUGCACAUGAAGAAACAAUAGUCACUAGUGAUUGUCUAUAUUUUUUAAUGCAAAAUAUCUUUUUGUAAUUAAUUAAAAAAUAAGAAUAAUUUUUUAUUAUUAUUAUGUUUCUAUAUGGAAAAUAAUUUUAAUUACCUUUUAAUUAAAAUGGGUGAGAAAAAUGAUGUCAUUGAUGGUGCAAAAUGGAUGAGAAAAAUGAUGUUAUGUAGGUGUAGGACUAAUGCGUAAAACUUUAAAAUUUUUUAACAUUUUUAUUUUUACAACAAAUAGCAGGACACUAUUAUAAUUAACCUUAAUAAAGACAAAAGAGAGGGGUACCAAACGUAUGUUGCAACAUAGCUUUGCCCAUAUAUACAUAUAUAAAGUGCUUCUAUCCAAGACCUAGACUUUAUUAAAAUUUAAGAAAGCAAAUAUAUUUUAUAUGGUAUAAUAGUGUAAUAACAUCACACUAUUAUAUCAUAUAGACUAAUAGUUUUUUGAACUUUAAUAAAGUUCAAGAUUAUAGAAUGAAUGAUUUAUAUAAAUUAUAAUUUUUUAUCAUAAAUGGAGGAGAAAAUUAACAUAUUUUCAAAUUAUAAUAAAUAUUUAUCAAAUAAUUUAACAUUGCAAUUUCUCCUAACUAGUAUAGUAAAUAAUACGACCUAGGAGGUACAUUCAAAGAUUUUCAUAAGUUAGUUGUUAAUAAUAAAUGAUAUAUGCAGCUCCAAUUAAUCAUCAUUGUACGGUGAGUAAUUUCCAGUUAUAAAUAGAUAUUACUCCCUUCCCAGCAAUUUUUGAUGGCUUAAUUUUGUGGGAUCAAAAUCAACAUUGAAUGUCAAAAUGUUAAUGGCCAAACAGACCAGCUGCCAACAACUUAUUCCAAUGUGAGUAGUUCACAGUGGGUACUGCACAUGAUGCUUGUUUCUCCUUUUGCAUCUAUUUUUGUUGUUAACAUUAAUUUCAAUAGCAGCUCGUUAAUGCCAAUUGUUGAUUUGGGACUAGAUAAGAAUUUAUCUUGGAACUCCAAUUCUCUGAAUUAUUUUAGUUGACAAUAUGUUUAACAUUAUUUUUUUUAACAUUAUUAAUUGCAUAUUAUUUAAUUAUCAAUAUAUAAUAUUCUUUAAUUUUUUAAUUUUAUAGGAUUAGACACAAAAUUGAUUAUACCUUUUGAAAUUUAAGGGUUAUGUCAAUUGAAUAGAAAACUUGGAGUUAAACUUUUGGAUGUUUUUGUUGAUUAUCAAUUUAUGCAUGAAUUUUUGUACGUUUACUUUGGUUUAUUAUUAUUACUUUUAAAUAUUUUUAUUGGUUUGAUUUAGGGUCAGUUUAAUAAUCCUGUAGCUUUUAAAAUAAUUAGAGUUAGCUAUGCUGUAGAAAUUGAUCAAUCGUUAAGAGAAUCAGCUGAACAUUUAGUAAAAUUUAUUUUUAAAAGUACUUUUAGUUUUAAAAGCGUCGUAUGUGUUUCGUAAAUCUUAUUGUUAAACUAGUGCAAAAAUGUAAAUGACUAAAUUGGACAUAAUGCUAAAUAAAAUUUAUUUACACAUUUAUAAACACGUAUAUAAAAUAUUUUUAUUACGUACAUAUAAUUAUUGAUAACUAAAAUAAAUAUUUUAUAUUAUUAAAUUUUAUUCUUUAAUUUGUUAUCUCAAUAUAAUUGGUAAUAGUAAUAACCUCUUUAAAGUUAAUCAUUUUAUUUCUUAAUUAAUAAAGAUAAUUUUGAAUUUUGAUUAUAUAAUGAGGAUAUGUAUAUAAAUAUAUAGAAUUUGAUUAAAUAUAAAAGUGAUUCUCAAAAUCAGAUUUUGAAAAAUUAUUCAUUCCAUACUUUUUCAAAAUCUACUAUACAAUGAGAUGAUUUUGCCAAAAGUAAUUACUAAAAAAAUUUAUAAAACACUAAAAAUUAAUUUUUAAUUUUUAAAAUCACUUUUGAACUUCCCAAAAAUAAUCCUAACGGACCNNNNNNNNNNNNNNNNNNNNNNNNNNNNNNNNNNNNNNNNNNNNNNNNNNNNNNNNNNNNNNNNNNNNNNNNNNNNNNNNNNNNNNNNNNNNNNNNNNNNGUGGUGUUAGAACUUGUGACUUUUGGAUCUUUUAGUUUUUAUUGGUUGAUACAAUUGUUACCUAAAAAUUAAAUGUAUCUUAAACCCAAACUUCUUCUUCUUUUUUUUGACUAACAAAAUUAAAAAACAAUAGUGAACACAUUCUUUAAUAAACAAUAAGUAAUAACUAAAAUCGUGUUAAAUUUCUUAAAAAUUUUCUUUCACGGUCUGCUAAAUAUUUUUAUUAGUAUUUUGAAUAAAUAAAAAUAAUUGAUUUAAUUUUUUUAAAGAAACUUAUUAGGUUCAUGUAAAGAUGUUUUUGUUAUUUUAAAAAGUGUAGAAAGUACUCCUAAAAAAAAAGUGUAGAAAGUAAAACUUAAUUUUUUAAAUUUAUUAGCUUACUGCAUAAAUAAUUGAGUGUUCAUAAUGAUUUUUAAAGUAUAGAUAGUCGGACCCUAAUAUUUUUAAUAUGGAAAUUUUGCUAAUAUGUUAAUGAGAAUUAAAAAGAUAAUUAAGGGAGGCAAUUGAGACAUUCAGGAUAGUUAGGAUGGGACAUGAUUGUGAGUGGUUUGAUAUUAGUCCUAAUUUUGAUCACAAAUAUAUAAACAUGACGAGUUUAUCUCUACUUACAUUCCAUUUGAUAAUUAAGAUGAGAGUGGAAUCGUCAAAUCCCAAAUCAUCCCGGACCAUUGCCAUCAAAGGUACUCUCACUAAUAAUAUCUAAAGAAAAAUGUACAUGUAUUUCAUUUUUUUUUUAAACGGAAAGAGCCCUCAUGGGGCUUGAAAUGUUAUCCUAAAUAGUAUUCAAAAUAUCAAGCCAUGAUUGGGUUUGUGACAAACAAAUAUUACAUAGUUAGGAUACGUAGUUACUAGUGUCCCCAUUUAUGUAGUAUCUAUCAUUUAAUGCACAUAUAAAGUAUUAAUCAGCUUAAUUAAUUUAUAAAAUCUAAAUCUAAUUAAUAAGUGACACAUAAAAGCCAAGUGCAAUAUAUGCAAGUCAUGUUUGUCGAUCAUUACAAAACUAGCUCUUGAAAACAAGCAAGAAAGCUUAAUUAAGAACUUAAAACAAAAAGAAAUUUAGAUUGAGAACAGUCAAGCCUUAUUUUUUUCAAGGAUGGAGCUUAUAAAUCUUCAAGUACCAACAUAUGCUUGGCCCAAUUGUUGUUAUUAAAAAUUCAAUAUAUAUAUAUAUAAGUAUGACAUAGCAAAAAUUUGAUGGUACAUAUGUCGGAAUAUACUAGUUCAUGGAUGCAUUUGAUUAUUGUUUCCAUAAAUUUGAACCAGGAAGGAUAACACGAUAAAAUUUGAUUUUAUGGUAUGGUUGAUUUCAUAUCUCAUGCACUCAUUUCUUAAGAUAAUCAAAUUUUCUCUGGCAUCUUUUGCAACUGUGGAAAUAUCAAUUAUGAUCAAUCAAAACGAUUUCAAAACCUCUCAACGAGACAUAUUUAUAAUACAAUGUUGUGAAAAUUACACCAAAUUUUAAUUUAUUAUAUAUUAUUAUCCAACGAGCACACAAAAAUGAAUUCGUACAAAUAGAGUUUACCAUGUACUACAAGAAACUAGGGUAUAAGUGACCCCUAAUGUGAAUGCAAAAGAAGCCAUUAUGUAUAUCACUAACUUCUAGGCUCUAGCUUUGUACCCCGACUUGCUUUUGUUACCCUUUAUGUGACGGCCACACCGCUAUCACAUAUGUUAGUUACUACCCGCGUGACGGUAAAGAGCCGUUCGGUAUAUUACUAUUUUAUAAUUUUAAAUUUAAAACUAUUUGCUGGACUCCGUGUUACUAGCCACCAUCGUAAGCCUAACUGGUUGCCGGCGAACUGCGUAAAACACUGGCCAUCUUCUUCUUCAUCGUCUUCUCCCUUCAUCUUUUGAGGUAAGCUUGUGAUUAUGAGUUUCUUCUCUUACUUAGCUUGUAAUUAUAGACUUUGAUUUUUUUUUUAAUUCGCAUUGUAGCCAUUAUUGUCAAUUUUUGUCCCGCGAGCAAUAUAUUUUUAUUGCUUCAAGUUGAAGCCCCUGUUUUCUUGUUCCAUUGGUGAGUUUGCUCACUCAAAUUAAUUUUGUUCUGCGGAAUUUGCAACGUUCAAAUGGAUUCGUUUGAAUUACUAUUGAAUUUAGCUUUAAUUUCAACAUCCAUUCUAAUGUUUUGCUAUUAGAUUUACUUUAAUUUUAUGUUUAAAGCUUCUACAGUGAAUAGCGGAGCUUGGGUUUUAGUUUCAUUUUCUAGAUAACUUGUUUUAGUUUAUCUUGUAUACUCACCAAGUGCUUGUUAUAUUGUCUGAUAAGUUAUAUACAUUGCUGAUUCUAUAUUAAUAAUGUUAUGUUCUAUUUUCAGAAAUUAUAAUACAAAAGCUUUUACAAUGGCGUGCAUCUACAAACUGGAUUGACUCGUAGAAUAAGAGCUUGGAGUAGUGUUAUGUUCUUGAAUAAAUGAAAGUUCAUAUUGUGUAAGAGCAUGUAGAUGUAAAGCAUCAUUAUCAUUUCUACAAAGUGCUUUCAUUCUCUUCAGAUGCUCUUCUUGAACUUUGAAAGGUGCCUCGUUCAAGUCCUAGCUAUAACUGCUAGCUUUGAUUAAUUAAGUUCCUAUACUAGCUGAAACAGAUUUAUUUAAUUAAUUAAUUGUGUAUAUACUAAUUAUAUUGAAAGUAUAUGAAACUUUUUUUUUUUCACAUGAAUGACUUCUAAAUGACUUAAAAACCUAAAGGAUGUGUGAAAUAAUGCUCAUUUCACUUGAAUGAGCCUAUUAAUACUUUUAUGUCUAUGAUGUCAAAAUUGGCUUAAGCAUUUCAGUUAAGUGGUUUACCUAGCAGAGAAAAAAAUUUUAAUAGAGAAACUUCAGAGUUCUAACAGAAAUAUAGUUCGCUAUGCAGAUAUAGUUAUNNNNNNNNNNNNNNNNNNNNNNNNNNNNNNNNNNNNNNNNNNNNNNNNNNNNNNNNNNNNNNNNNNNNNNNNNNNNNNNNNNNNNNNNNNNNNNNNNNNNNNNNNNNNNNNNNNNNNNNNNNNNNNNNNNNNNNNNNNNNNNNNNNNNNNNNNNNNNNNNNNNNNNNNNNNNNNNNNNNNNNNNNNNNNNNNNNNNNNNNNNNNNNNNNNNNNNNNNNNNNNNNNNNNNNNNNNNNNNNNNNNNNNNNNNNNNNNNNNNNNNNNNNNNNNNNNNNNNNNNNNNNNNNNNNNNNNNNNNNNNNNNNNNNNNNNNNNNNNNNNNNNNNNNNNNNNNNNNNNNNNNNNNNNNNNNNNNNNNNNNNNNNNNNNNNNNNNNNNNNNNNNNNNNNNNNNNNNNNNNNNNNNNNNNNNNNNNNNNNNNNNNNNNNNNNNNNNNNNNNNNNNNNNNNNNNNNNNNNNNNNNNNNNNNNNNNNNNNNNNNNNNNNNNNNNNNNNNNNNNNNNNNNNNNNNNNNNNNNNNNNNNNNNNNNNNNNNNNNNNNNNNNNNNNNNNNNNNNNNNNNNNNNNNNNNNNNNNNNNNNNNNNNNNNNNNNNNNNNNNNNNNNNNNNNNNNNNNNNNNNNNNNNNNNNNNNNNNNNNNNNNNNNNNNNNNNNNNNNNNNNNNNNNNNNNNNNNNNNNNNNNNNNNNNNNNNNNNNNNNNNNNNNNNNNNNNNNNNNNNNNNNNNNNNNNNNNNNNNNNNNNNNNNNNNNNNNNNNNNNNNNNNNNNNNNNNNNNNNNNNNNNNNNNNNNNNNNNNNNNNNNNNNNNNNNNNNNNNNNNNNNNNNNNNNNNNNNNNNNNNNNNNNNNNNNNNNNNNNNNNNNNNNNNNNNNNNNNNNNNNNNNNNNNNNNNNNNNNNNNNNNNNNNNNNNNNNNNNNNNNNNNNNNNNNNNNNNNNNNNNNNNNNNNNNNNNNNNNNNNNNNNNNNNNNNNNNNNNNNNNNNNNNNNNNNNNNNNNNNNNNNNNNNNNNNNNNNNNNNNNNNNNNNNNNNNNNNNNNNNNNNNNNNNNNNNNNNNNNNNNNNNNNNNNNNNNNNNNNNNNNNNNNNNNNNNNNNNNNNNNNNNNNNNNNNNNNNNNNNNNNNNNNNNNNNNNNNNNNNNNNNNNNNNNNGUUAUUCAAAUUUCAGAUUCAAUUUUAAACUUUUGAUAUGUGCAUUGAAAGCUUAGACUUGUUUAAGAAAUUAUUAAUAGACACAUGUUUUAUUAGUGUCAUCUUUGGAUGAUAGUGAGGAUCAUGUGUCUAUUAAUAAUUCUUGAAUUGUCCAGGCUUGGACAGUUUUGGAAUGCAUAGUUCUCUCUGGUAGCUAGUGGCUGAAGUUUUUGUCCCACGUAAAAAUGGGUUUUUCGGUAGCUGCUCCUCGUGUUCUCUGAGUACGUACUAGGUGAAUGGGUGUCAUGUGUUUGUUUUGGCAAAACACAUAAACACUUAUAUAGGUAUGUCUAGUGCUUGGAGAGCUAUCAUUUCAUAAGAGAGUGUAUUGCAAGAAAAGAAGUGCAAAUCAAGUAUGUAAAAUCACAAGAUCAAGCAGCUGAUAGCUUCACUAAGCCACUCAAGCAAGAAGACUUUGUAAGAUUCAGAAGUUUGCUUGGUGUCACAGGAUCAAGUUUAAGGGGAGAUGUUGGAUCAUAAACUUGAUCCAAGAUGAAUAAAUCAAGCCCAACUCAUGGAAGGUUCCAUGAGUAUGUAUGGUUGGUGAGGUUUGAAUUAUUUGUGUUAGGUGUGUUAGGUGUGGUUGGUGAAGUAGGUGAGUGGUAGGUUUUAAUGGAUGGUGAGAAUUUGUUUAUUAGUUGAAUAAAUGAAUGGUUGUGAUUAGUUUUUUUCAUGUAUAAAUACCCCCUCUCCCCUUUGGUUUAAACAUCAAGUGAAGUAGCAAAAUCUCUAAGGUGUAGAGAGUGAAAAAUAAGAGUUGUAAUUGGUGAGGAGUGUUGUUGAAGAAAUAAAAUAGUGUGUUUUAUGUGAGUUUUAUUUAUUAAUUCUCCAACAUGUAAUUGGUGAUGAUUUUGCUGAGCUGACCUUGGUUUUGAGCUUGUAAUUUUGUUUGUAAAUGGAGUGCUUUCUCCAAUGUUGGUUUAUAAAAAUGUUUCAGGACUUGCCGACCUAAUUUUUGUUUCUGCUAGGUUACAGGCUUUAUAUAGCUGUAAUUGAUAGCCAAGUGAAGUUCUCAGCACUUGGCGAGGAUAUUUCUUUACAGAAGUAUUGGAAACUAUUUUUUACAUUAAUUAUUGUUGUCUAUAUACUUUGAUUUUCACAUCUUUUUCUCUGAUUCUUGUGGCUUUGCUUGCUUUCAUAUAUGUAAAUUCUAAUGAAAUUAACCAUAAAAUUGUAAAAUGAUCUUUUUAUCAUAUUGCAAAACUGUGCACACACGAAAAUAUUCUUGUUUAGUAGUACAAAUGAAAAACUAAAAUGAUUUAUUUAACUAAUAUUUGAGCGCAUUAAAAGGAGAUAGUCAUGGACAAGUGUUGGGUUGGUUUGCCAAAUAGAUAUCCAAGUCAUAUACUGAUGGGGUUGAAAAAUUUAUAAAUUUUGCAUUUUAGAAUGUUGUUGCUGGUACAAGAAUUUAUUGUCCUUUUAAGAAGUGUUAUAAUCUAUAUUUCGUUAUGAGGGAAGUGGCUGAUGAUGAUAUGGUUGGAAUGAUACACUGCAUCACAUAAUCAAAUGUUCAAGUUACACUCAACAUUGUUAUGGACUAUCAGUGACAUGAGUGAACUAGACUGAGAAUACCUUCAGUUAUUGAGCUAAGAAGCCAGCUGAGUAAUGUUUGAUCUUGAGAUCUCCAAAUUGUGUAUUCAGGAUUCUCGAUCUGUUGAGAAGAUCCAGCAGCUCCAGCAGUUGUUGCAGCAAAGCUUGAUGAUGCUAUAAAUCGAUUUGGUGCAAUCUUUUCUCCAUUAAUGUAUCCUUCAAGUCGAUUUCCUCUAAUGGAGGCCAGGACUUGAUUUUUCCAAAGCAUGUAGUUAGAUCUAUCUAAUUUGAUUGGUGUGAUGAAAGAAAAAGUUGUUUGAUUUGCAGCUACUGUAUUUUGAUUGUUUGUGAUUGCCAUGAUUGGCUCUGAUACCAUGAAGAAAUUGUAAAAAUGAAUAAAUGCUGUUGUUUGGCAGCUGAGAAAAUACAGAGGAAAAUUUUAUUUCAUUAAUGAAACUGAUAUUUUGUACAUAACAACAAUCACGAACAUGUAGCUAUUUAUACAUGCUUAUGUUCACUAACUAGUUGCUCACUAACUAAUUAUUAAUCACAAGCUCACUCAGCUAAUUAAUAACCAAACACAGAGUGUGCAUUGUGAAGUUAGUUAGGCUGGUAACUGCUGCUGACGUGGAUCUUCUGACGUGGCACUAAUGACAGCUGGUAACUUGACAUGCUGAUUCUUCUUCUUCACUUCUGCAUAAUGACAUAUCUUCACACCAGUCAAGAAGUUAUUUUCAGAUCCCAUACUUAACAAGACAUUACAAUCCCUUGCUGUUAAUAAUAAUUUGCAUCCUCUAUGAUCAUCGCCAAAAGGAAUUCCAACAGUCUCUAAAUCAAGAUAUUUCCAGAUGUUAUCCAGAAUCACAAGGAUCAUCUUCUCUUUCUUCAAUCGUUCAUAAAGUCUACUAGCUCUUCUAGAUUCAGCCUCCUCGGAAAACUCCAGACCUAGUUUCUCUGCAAUUUCCCCAUGAAUCUUUUUUAUGUCUGGAGUUUGGGAUACCUCUGAAAAAACCACCUGAUCAAAGAGUUUCUCUUCACUGGCUUGCCUUGCAAACUCCUUCACCAGUGUUGUCUUUCCAAUGCCGCCCAUGCCGUAUACCCCAACGAUGUUGACAUUGACAUCAGUCAAUGCAUCUUGUAUAGACUUCAGAGUAGAAAGUCUUGAUUUAAAGGCCUCGUAACCUUUGUUAGACUUUAGCCAUACCUCCUCCGCAAUGGUACGGUAGAAAAUUCUAUCAUCAAAUCUCCUAGCUUCUGAUGAGAUAUAAUUAGUAAUCUAGUAAAUUGAGCAAGAAGUUUGAAGGGUUAUUUGGUUUGUUUUUCAACGUGAAGUAAAGGGUAAAAUUGAUGUUUGCAAUGUGGCUUUGGAAAUGUAAAGCAUGAUUAAUGUAAUCUCCAGAGUUGUCUAUAAUGCAUAUAAAUAUAGAACUCUGGUUGUAUGAAAAGGAAGAGAGAAACGAAAAAAUGAAUUAAGCAAUAAAGUUUCAGAAAUUUCCAGCAAAAUACUCUGUUCUUAAAUAAAAAAAUUUCUGCACUUCCGCUUGCACCCAACAAAUUUGGUAUCAGAGCUUUUCAAAACACCCUCAAAAUGACAUCAAAUACCCUACCCACAUUAUUUUCAUAUGCUCCCAGUCAAGUUCCAAUAUUUGAAGGGGUACAUUAUGAAUAUUGGAGUAAUCAAAUAGAAACCUUUUUCCUCUCUCAAAAUUUAUGGGAUGUUGUUGAAGAUGGAUAUGCUGAACCACCAGAAUUUGCAAGUUCUUCAGAUUGGACUCCAGCACAUCAACAGCAGUACAAAGAAAACAUACAGAGAAAUGCCACGACACUUCGAUAUAUCUAGUAAGGUGUUAGUAAGUCAAUUUUCCCAGAAUAUUUGGUGUCAAAAAGGCCAAAAAUGCUUGGGAAAUCCUAAAACAAGAAUUUCAAGGUUCCGAAAAGGCAGUCACCAUCAAGUUACAAACUUUGUGGAAAGAGUUCAAUAAUUUAUCAAUGAAAGACAGUGAAGGAGUUCAAGAUUUUUGCAGUAGAGUUACUGAGAUUGUGAACCAGAUUAAAGGUUGCGGGGACUCCAUUGAAGACAAGAAGGUGAAUGAAAAGGUGCUGAGAUGUCUUCCUCCAAAUUUUGAUCAUGUAGCAGCAGCCAUUAAAGAAUCAAGGGAUUUGUCCAGGAUGACUUUUUCAGAUUUGUCAGGAUCAUUACGGUCUCAUGAGCAAAGAAUCAAUCGACCUUCAAGUCAGCCUACAGAGCAAGCUUUUCAGUCAAAGAUUAAUAAUUUAGAUCAGAAUAAAAGCAGCAAGAAAGACCAGAAGAACGGAGGCUCGUCUCAAAGAAACGGACAGCGUGGCAAAGGGAAAAGAGAAUAGAACGACAACCGCAACAAGUGGAAAAAUGACAGAGGGAAUUCACAGCAAAAUUCAGAUUCUCGGUGCAUCAUUUGUAAUUGGUCUAAUCAUGAAUUAAAAGAUUGUCGUUAUAAAUGCACAAGGUGUCGCAUUCCUAACCAUUCUCAAAGGGAUUGUUGGUAUCAAAAUAAAAAAGGCAAAAAUGAGGCAAAUUUUACAAAAGAAGGUGAUGGAGAUUACUUGUUUUAUUCAAGUAAAGGUACUGAACGUGAAUCAUAUAAUUUUUGGUACUUGGAUAGCGGCUGCAGCAACCACAUGACUAGAGAACGUGACAUUUUCAUCAGCCUUGACUAAAGUUUUAAUUCGCAAGUGAAGCUUGGAGAUGGAAAGAUGCAGAAAGCUGUGGGAAAAGGCACUAUUGCUGUCCAUACAAAGGGAGGUAACAAAAAGCUCAUUUCUGACGUUCUUUAUGUUCCAAAUUUAACUCAAAACCUCUUGAGUGUGGGACAGCUAAUUCAAAAGGGUUUUUCAAUUUAUUUUGAUGAUGAAAAAUGCAAAAUUAUUGAUAAAACUAAUAAUCACACAGUGGCCGUUGUUGAAAUGUCAAAGAACAAAGUUUUUCCUCUUGUUAUGCCACUUGAUGAGAAUGUUGCUCUCAAAACUGAAAAUUCAGAUUUGUCAACUUUAUGGCAUCUCAGAUAUGGCCAUUUAAACUAUAAAGGGCUGAAUUUGCUCAAGCAAAAGAACAUGGUGAUUGGCCUACCUGAUGUUGGAAGAUAUGAAAAAGUUUGCGAGGGCUGUAUUUAUGGAAAAAUGCAUAGACUUCCAUUUCCUAAAAAUUCAUGGAGAGCCAAAGCUCCGUUGGAGUUGGUGCAUGCUGAUAUUUGUGGUCCUACAAGGACUUUCUCUCUCAAUAACAGGAGAUAUUUCAUUCUUUUUGUUGUUGACUAUACAAGGAUGAUGUGGAUUUAUUUUUUGAAUGAAAAAUCAGAAGCUUUCUCAACUUUUCUUCAGUUUAAAGCUCUUGCAGAAAGGCAAAGUGGAUGCAAAAUGAAGACCUUGAGAACUGAUCGUGGUGGUAAAUUUAUCUACACUCCAUUCAUGAAUUAUUGCGGGGAUAAUGGAAUUCAAAGACAACUUACUGUCAGCCGAAGUCCACAACAAAACGGAGUCGCAGAACGGAAGAACCGUACCAUUGUAGAGAUGGCAAGAAGCAUGUUAAAAGGCAAAGGCAUUCCUAACAACUUAUGGGCAGAAGCAUGUCAUACAGCUGUGUACAUCCUCAACAGGUCUNNNNNNNNNNNNNNNNNNNNNNNNNNNNNNNNNNNNNNNNNNNNNNNNNNNNNNNNNNNNNNNNNNNNNNNNNNNNNNNNNNNNNNNNNNNNNNNNNNNNNNNNNNNNNNNNNNNNNNNNNNNNNNNNNNNNNNNNNNNNNNNNNNNNNNNNNNNNNNNNNNNAUAGUGAUGAGUCUAAAGGGUAUCGGUUGUUGAAUCCUACAACAAAUAAGCUUGUUAUCUCAAGAGAUGUUGUAUUUGAUGAGGCAUCAGCUUGGCAGUGGGAAAACGAUCAAUCUCAAGCAUCUAGCUUUUUUGAAGCUCCUGUAUCUCCACCAAAUUCUUCACAGCAAAAUAAUUUGGAACCAAAUUCUCCAAAUUCAGCAGCAGAAAGUUCUUCGGAUGAUGAAAGCCCUCCAAGGAAGAUAAAGUCAAUGAGAGAAAUUUAUGAGUCAUGUGAACUUGCUUUAUUUUCUUGUGAGCCUCAAGACUUUGAGGAGGCCUCAAGAAAUGAAGAUUGGAUCAAAGCAAUGAACGAGGAAAUGGCCACCAUUGUGAAAAAUAAAACUUGGGAGAUGGUUAAUUUGCCAAAUGGAAAAGAAACAAUUGGGCUGAAAUGGAUCUUCAAAAUCAAGUACAAUGAAGAUGGUUCAGUUCAAAAAUAUAAGGCGCGGCUCGUUGCCAAAGGAUACUCUCAGCUGCCUGGAGUUGAUUUUACAGAAACAUUUGCUCCCGUAGCUCGAAUGGAGACUAUUCGAACUGUUCUUGCCUUGGCAGCCCAAAUGGAAUUAAAUGUGUUUCAGCUAGAUGUAAAAUCGGCAUUUCUAAAUGGUGAAAUUGAAGACGAGGUUUAUGUUGAGCAGCCUAAAGGAGACUAAACGCAACNNNNNNNNNNNNNNNNNNNNNNNNNNNNNNNNNNNNNNNNNNNNNNNNNNNNNNNNNNNNNNNNNNNNNNNNNNNNNNNNNNNNNNNNNNNNNNNNNNNNNNNNNNNNNNNNNNNNNNNNNNNNNNNNNNNNNNNNNNNNNNNNNNNNNNNNNNNNNNNNNNNNNNNNNNNNNNNNNNNNNNNNNNNNNNNNNNNNNNNNNNNNNNNNNNNNNNNNNNNNNNNNNNNNNNNNNNNNNNNNNNNNNNNNNNNNNNNNNNNNNNNNNNNNNNNNNNNNNNNNNNNNNNNNNNNNNNNNNNNNNNNNNNNNNNNNNNNNNNNNNNNNNNNNNNNNNNNNNNNNNNNNNNNNNNNNNNNNNNNNNNNNNNNNNNNNNNNNNNNNNNNNNNNNNNNNNNNNNNNNNNNNNNNNNNNNNNNNNNNNNNNNNNNNNNNNNNNNNNNNNNNNNNNNNNNNNNNNNNNNNNNNNNNNNNNNNNNNNNNNNNNNNNNNNNNNNNNNNNNNNNNNNNNNNNNNNNNNNNNNNNNNNNNNNNNNNNNNNNNNNNNNNNNNNNNNNNNNNNNNNNNNNNNNNNNNNNNNNNNNNNNNNNNNNNNNNNNNNNNNNNNNNNNNNNNNNNNNNNNNNNNNNNNNNNNNNNNNNNNNNNNNNNNNNNNNNNNNNNNNNNNNNNNNNNNNNNNNNNNNNNNNNNNNNNNNNNNNNNNNNNNNNNNNNNNNNNNNNNNNNNNNNNNNNNNNNNNNNNNNNNNNNNNNNNNNNNNNNNNNNNNNNNNNNNNNNNNNNNNNNNNNNNNNNNNNNNNNNNNNNNNNNNNNNNNNNNNNNNNNNNNNNNNNNNNNNNNNNNNNNNNNNNNNNNNNNNNNNNNNNNNNNNNNNNNNNNNNNNNNNNNNNNNNNNNNNNNNNNNNNNNNNNNNNNNNNNNNNNNNNNNNNNNNNNNNNNNNNNNNNNNNNNNNNNNNNNNNNNNNNNNNNNNNNNNNNNNNNNNNNNNNNNNNNNNNNNNNNNNNNNNNNNNNNNNNNNNNNNNNNNNNNNNNNNNNNNNNNNNNNNNNNNNNNNNNNNNNNNNNNNNNNNNNNNNNNNNNNNNNNNNNNNNNNNNNNNNNNNNNNNNNNNNNNNNNNNNNNNNNNNNNNNNNNNNNNNNNNNNNNNNNNNNNNNNNNNNNNNNNNNNNNNNNNNNNNNNNNNNNNNNNNNNNNNNNNNNNNNNNNNNNNNNNNNNNNNNNNNNNNNNNNNNNNNNNNNNNNNNNNNNNNNNNNNNNNNNNNNNNNNNNNNNNNNNNNNNNNNNNNNNNNNNNNNNNNNNNNNNNNNNNNNNNNNNNNNNNNNNNNNNNNNNNNNNNNNNNNNNNNNNNNNNNNNNNNNNNNNNNNNNNNNNNNNNNNNNNNNNNNNNNNNNNNNNNNNNNNNNNNNNNNNNNNNNNNNNNNNNNNNNNNNNNNNNNNNNNNNNNNNNNNNNNNNNNNNNNNNNNNNNNNNNNNNNNNNNNNNNNNNNNNNNNNNNNNNNNNNNNNNNNNNNNNNNNNNNNNNNNNNNNNNNNNNNNNNNNNNNNNNNNNNNNNNNNNNNNNNNNNNNNNNNNNNNNNNNNNNNNNNNNNNNNNNNNNNNNNNNNNNNNNNNNNNNNNNNNNNNNNNNNNNNNNNNNNNNNNNNNNNNNNNNNNNNNNNNNNNNNNNNNNNNNNNNNNNNNNNNNNNNNNNNNNNNNNNNNNNNNNNNNNNNNNNNNNNNNNNNNNNNNNNNNNNNNNNNNNNNNNNNNNNNNNNNNNNNNNNNNNNNNNNNNNNNNNNNNNNNNNNNNNNNNNNNNNNNNNNNNNNNNNNNNNNNNNNNNNNNNNNNNNNNNNNNNNNNNNNNNNNNNNNNNNNNNNNNNNNNNNNNNNNNNNNNNNNNNNNNNNNNNNNNNNNNNNNNNNNNNNNNNNNNNNNNNNNNNNNNNNNNNNNNNNNNNNNNNNNNNNNNNNNNNNNNNNNNNNNNNNNNNNNNNNNNNNNNNNNNNNNNNNNNNNNNNNNNNNNNNNNNNNNNNNNNNNNNNNNNNNNNNNNNNNNNNNNNNNNNNNNNNNNNNNNNNNNNNNNNNNNNNNNNNNNNNNNNNNNNNNNNNNNNNNNNNNNNNNNNNNNNNNNNNNNNNNNNNNNNNNNNNNNNNNNNNNNNNNNNNNNNNNNNNNNNNNNNNNNNNNNNNNNNNNNNNNNNNNNNNNNNNNNNNNNNNNNNNNNNNNNNNNNNNNNNNNNNNNNNNNNNNNNNNNNNNNNNNNNNNNNNNNNNNNNNNNNNNNNNNNNNNNNNNNNNNNNNNNNNNNNNNNNNNNNNNNNNNNNNNNNNNNNNNNNNNNNNNNNNNNNNNNNNNNNNNNNNNNNNNNNNNNNNNNNNNNNNNNNNNNNNNNNNNNNNNNNNNNNNNNNNNNNNNNNNNNNNNNNNNNNNNNNNNNNNNNNNNNNNNNNNNNNNNNNNNNNNNNNNNNNNNNNNNNNNNNNNNNNNNNNNNNNNNNNNNNNNNNNNNNNNNNNNNNNNNNNNNNNNNNNNNNNNNNNNNNNNNNNNNNNNNNNNNNNNNNNNNNNNNNNNNNNNNNNNNNNNNNNNNNNNNNNNNNNNNNNNNNNNNNNNNNNNNNNNNNNNNNNNNNNNNNNNNNNNNNNNNNNNNNNNNNNNNNNNNNNNNNNNNNNNNNNNNNNNNNNNNNNNNNNNNNNNNNNNNNNNNNNNNNNNNNNNNNNNNNNNNNNNNNNNNNNNNNNNNNNNNNNNNNNNNNNNNNNNNNNNNNNNNNNNNNNNNNNNNNNNNNNNNNNNNNNNNNNNNNNNNNNNNNNNNNNNNNNNNNNNNNNNNNNNNNNNNNNNNNNNNNNNNNNNNNNNNNNNNNNNNNNNNNNNNNNNNNNNNNNNNNNNNNNNNNNNNNNNNNNNNNNNNNNNNNNNNNNNNNNNNNNNNNNNNNNNNNNNNNNNNNNNNNNNNNNNNNNNNNNNNNNNNNNNNNNNNNNNNNNNNNNNNNNNNNNNNNNNNNNNNNNNNNNNNNNNNNNNNNNNNNNNNNNNNNNNNNNNNNNNNNNNNNNNNNNNNNNNNNNNNNNNNNNNNNNNNNNNNNNNNNNNNNNNNNNNNNNNNNNNNNNNNNNNNNNNNNNNNNNNNNNNNNNNNNNNNNNNNNNNNNNNNNNNNNNNNNNNNNNNNNNNNNNNNNNNNNNNNNNNNNNNNNNNNNNNNNNNNNNNNNNNNNNNNNNNNNNNNNNNNNNNNNNNNNNNNNNNNNNNNNNNNNNNNNNNNNNNNNNNNNNNNNNNNNNNNNNNNNNNNNNNNNNNNNNNNNNNNNNNNNNNNNNNNNNNNNNNNNNNNNNNNNNNNNNNNNNNNNNNNNNNNNNNNNNNNNNNNNNNNNNNNNNNNNNNNNNNNNNNNNNNNNNNNNNNNNNNNNNNNNNNNNNNNNNNNNNNNNNNNNNNNNNNNNNNNNNNNNNNNNNNNNNNNNNNNNNNNNNNNNNNNNNNNNNNNNNNNNNNNNNNNNNNNNNNNNNNNNNNNNNNNNNNNNNNNNNNNNNNNNNNNNNNNNNNNNNNNNNNNNNNNNNNNNNNNNNNNNNNNNNNNNNNNNNNNNNNNNNNNNNNNNNNNNNNNNNNNNNNNNNNNNNNNNNNNNNNNNNNNNNNNNNNNNNNNNNNNNNNNNNNNNNNNNNNNNNNNNNNNNNNNNNNNNNNNNNNNNNNNNNNNNNNNNNNNNNNNNNNNNNNNNNNNNNNNNNNNNNNNNNNNNNNNNNNNNNNNNNNNNNNNNNNNNNNNNNNNNNNNNNNNNNNNNNNNNNNNNNNNNNNNNNNNNNNNNNNNNNNNNNNNNNNNNNNNNNNNNNNNNNNNNNNNNNNNNNNNNNNNNNNNNNNNNNNNNNNNNNNNNNNNNNNNNNNNNNNNNNNNNNNNNNNNNNNNNNNNNNNNNNNNNNNNNNNNNNNNNNNNNNNNNNNNNNNNNNNNNNNNNNNNNNNNNNNNNNNNNNNNNNNNNNNNNNNNNNNNNNNNNNNNNNNNNNNNNNNNNNNNNNNNNNNNNNNNNNNNNNNNNNNNNNNNNNNNNNNNNNNNNNNNNNNNNNNNNNNNNNNNNNNNNNNNNNNNNNNNNNNNNNNNNNNNNNNNNNNNNNNNNNNNNNNNNNNNNNNNNNNNNNNNNNNNNNNNNNNNNNCUCAAGGAUUUGCAGUUCAAUCAAGAUGCUGCAACAACAAUUUAUUGUGACAACAUGUCAGCCAUUGCUCUAACAAAGAACCCCGUAUUUCAUGCUAAAUCUAAGCACAUUGAGCUGCGUUAUCACUACAUCCGUGACUUAGUAAGCAAAGGAGAAGUUAAUAUGGAGUUUAUCAACACUAAUGAGCAGCCAGCAGAUUUUGUCACGUGGGUCACCGUCGAUUUUUACCAACAAAUCAUAGGUUUCGAAAAUAUAGUGUCUUUUGAUAAAACUAGAGAGUAGGGACAAGCACCUUCUCGGUUGUCUGGAACUGAAGUGAAAAAGCAGUUUAAUAUAGUUACUGAGUAUAAGAUUGAAGACUUGAAAAGAGGAGAACGAAUAAAAUGAGAGAAAUGAUAAGAUUACCUGGAAGAAGAACAGCAUUUUUUAUGAACUAACGUAUUGGUUUUUGAUAUCAUGAUCUUGAUAUCAUGCACUGUUUUGAUUUUUGUUAUGAACUCAGAUCAAAAGUUUAAUGUGAUCAAAAUUUCUUAAAAAUAGUGACAACGACUCCUCCUAAUAACAUUGAAGAUGGCUAUAAAAGAUAAAAGGAAAGGAUUAAAAAGAAAAGCUACGCCUGUUUCAAAAAAAAAAAUGGCGGCAUCAAGUUUAUAACAAAAAUCAAAACGGUGCGUUUGAAAGUGUAUAAAAUACAUUUAGAGCGGGAGUUGCGUUGUUUCUUGAAGGCAGAAUGUUUGUGAGAUUUUUGUCGACGAAGCCAAAACCAAAGAUGAAGCCCAUAGAGCUCAAAACUCCACCGGAGCAAAUUCAGACAAUUACGAGGGUUAUAUUUGACAUGGUCAAGGAAGACGGUCCUCUCACCGUCGCCGAUUCUUGGGAACGCGUCAAGGUGUGUGUAUCUGUUAAAUUGAAUUUCAACCGUUUGGUCUGUAAUUAUAAUUAAUCCUAUCGAUCUGACAGUGAUGAUUGAUCAUAAUACUAGUAGUUGUUUUACAUUUUCUACAAGCUGGAGUGAGUGGAUUGACGGGCAAAAGCCACNNNNNNNNNNNNNNNNNNNNNNNNNNNNNNNNNNNNNNNNNNNNNNNNNNNNNNNNNNNNNNNNNNNNNNNNNNNNNNNNNNNNNNNNNNNNNNNNNNNNNNNNNNNNNNNNNNNNNNNNNNNNNNNNNNNNNNNNNNNNNNNNNNNNNNNNNNNNNNNNNNNNNNNNNNNNNNNNNNNNNNNNNNNNNNNNNNNNNNNNNNNNNNNNNNNNNNNNNNNNNNNNNNNNNNNNNNNNNNNNNNNNNNNNNNNNNNNNNNNNNNNNNNNNNNNNNNNNNNNNNNNNNNNNNNNNNNNNNNNNNNNNNNNNNNNNNNNNNNNNNNNNNNNNNNNNNNNNNNNNNNNNNNNNNNNNNNNNNNNNNNNNNNNNNNNNNNNNNNNNNNNNNNNNNNNNNNNNNNNNNNNNNNNNNNNNNNNNNNNNNNNNNNNNNNNNNNNNNNNNNNNNNNNNNNNNNNNNNNNNNNNNNNNNNNNNNNNNNNNNNNNNNNNNNNNNNNNNNNNNNNNNNNNNNNNNNNNNNNNNNNNNNNNNNNNNNNNNNNNNNNNNNNNNNNNNNNNNNNNNNNNNNNNNNNNNNNNNNNNNNNNNNNNNNNNNNNNNNNNNNNNNNNNNNNNNNNNNNNNNNNNNNNNNNNNNNNNNNNNNNNNNNNNNNNNNNNNNNNNNNNNNNNNNNNNNNNNNNNNNNNNNNNNNNNNNNNNNNNNNNNNNNNNNNNNNNNNNNNNNNNNNNNNNNNNNNNNNNNNNNNNNNNNNNNNNNNNNNNNNNNNNNNNNNNNNNNNNNNNNNNNNNNNNNNNNNNNNNNNNNNNNNNNNNNNNNNNNNNNNNNNNNNNNNNNNNNNNNNNNNNNNNNNNNNNNCAAGCCACAUGAAGAUUGUGUAGAGAUGGAUGAGGGAGAGACAAAAGCUCAGGCUCGUCUGCAACCAUGUGGGCCCUCAUUAGCAACUCCUGUACACAGCUUGGCUUACCAAGCCCAACAACUUGAAGCAGGCAAAGUCAGGGAAUGACCAUUCCCCUUCACAACCCUAGCUGCCUUAACCUUGUAUCUCUGAUAUUUAGUUAAAGAGUAAGAAGAUUGCUCCUCUGUCAAUUACCUUUAAGAGAGACUUUCUUUCUCAUUCAUUGAUGCUUGCUUGUGAACGCAAGGGUUUUAGUUACACUUUCAACGCUGUCAAUGUAGUGACACGAUGAAGAUGAAGUAAAGCAGUAGUAGAAUAAUGAAGUUGGAAGCCCCACAGCAUGAAAACUUUUAAACAGUAACACAUCUUUUAUUCCAGAGGCUGCACACGAGUGACCUGAAUCUUCUUCAGAACUUUCAAAUUUUAUUAAGCAAAGCUUUCAAAAUUUCUCAACAAAAUGAUUAUUUGGUGUGGUUGCGGCAUUUUGAGUAACUGCGAUUUGUUCUCAAGUACAAAAUCCUUGCCUUCCUAAGUUAGAAAAGAUAGAUGUGAAGCAAACCAAAUGAAAUAAAUGGGUAAACAGAACAAACAGGGCGAAAAUUAAAAAUGAUGGCAAUUAACAAAUUAAUAGCAACGUUACAUUUGACUCUUUAGCCCUUUGUUCCUUCUCUUAGCAUUCUUCAAAGUUUUUGAAAAUUGGAAGUGAAGCAAACAAAAUAAAAUAAAUUUAGACAACACAUGCCCUGUAUUCAGCAUCAUAUAUAUCUCGAAGACUAGAAUUUCAAACAGUACUAGUAGUAAAAAAAUGACGACAACAACAAAAAUAGAAAAUUACAAGACUGCUGAUAAAAUUUCAUUUGCAUGCAUGUCUGACAAAAUUUCCGUGAUUUAAUGUGCCUUCAUGCACGCAAAUCCUAACGUUUCUGUGAUCACAAAAUGAAACUGGAGAUAAAUCAGAACACCUACCAAACCUUUGGCUGAAAAUUCAGAAGAAUUUAUAUUCAAGAUGUCAAAGUAAACUGGAAAUUUAUGGCACAUAUUACAAGAAGCAGUACACACCAAUGGUAAAUUGAUUCAUCGUCUUUGAACUUAAGAUAGUCAAAUGAAAGAAACACAACGGAGGGUUAAUGCAAUACAGUAAAGUGAAAACCCUCAGCAUGUAAACUUAACUUCAAAGAACGGAGCACAAGUUUCACAGAAAAGUAGCUCUUAUUCCUGAUGCUGCAAACACAGAGGAGUGUUCUCAAUCUUCUUCAUAACUUGGGAAUUCUGCAAUUAUAGAGCACGACAUUGAGCACGAACUAAAAAAAAAAAUUAUUUUCUACAAUUUUCAUAUAACCUGACUAACCAAUAUUAAUUUUGUGGUAAUGUAUUGGGUCAUUAAUUCAUAUGUUUUUACAAUCAUCACUUUAGAAAAAAACUAAUUUCUCAAUGUGAAAUGGCCCAUUGAAAGUAUUCUCAUUUAAAAACUAAAUUUGACGGACCCCUCGAUUAAAGCAGGGAAAAAAAAAAAAGAGAUCUGAGGCUUUCCACAUGAAAAUGUUGUUUGUCACUUUGAAUGAUAUUUUGAAGGGAUUUCAUUCUAAAAAUAAAAUACCUGGGACCUCAUUCUUCAAAAUUGACAACUCGCCAGGUAUUAAAAGCGUAUGAGAUCAGUACUGCGACGAGUAAGAAGACGACCCCUCUAACAGCUGAAAACAAAAUUCGCAUUCAUCAAUUUAAAUUAAAAUUCAUAUUAUGAAACUAAAACUAAUGAUUAAUGAAUUUUCGAGGAAUUUAAUAAGAUUCUCAGAUAUAAACGUGAUAACAAAUUCACUCAUCAAUAACAAAUAUUCUAACAGUUGUCCGUACCUUUUCUUGAUGUAAUUGUUGUAUGAUUGCGUUAAGGUCAUUAUUAGACCAACGCAGGUUGUCCUCUCUCUGUCCGUACCGGAAGUUUACUCUGACAGGCGUGCUUAAUUCUCUUUUGGUGAAAAUCUUCAUCUUGGGACAACCAAUCACAGCAAGAUCUUCCAAAGAUGGGAAUUUGAAGGUGUAAUUGACAGAGGAGAAGCUUGUGAGACUAUCUAAAUCAAAGAGGGACAACGUAGUCAGUUUGCUGAAAACAAUCUCUUCUUUUAAAUUUGCUGUUUCAUCUUCGUCACUUAUUACGACUUCUGUGAUUGCUCUGCAUCCAAAUACACCCAAUGAUACGAGUCGGUCUAGACUUUUUGCUGUGGAGGAUGUUAGUAAGUUCAUCAAUUUCUUGCAAGCAAAAGCUUGCAGGCGUGUGAGAUUCCGAAAAGAUACCGAUGAUGAUGGCAAUGUUGGAACAUUUUCAAAAUAAAUGUGUCUUAUGGUAAAGACAUGUCCUAUUAAUUGUGCCUUAUAGAAAAUGUACCUUUCACUAAAGACAUGUCUAAUUAAAUGAUGUCUUGUUGUAAGGACAUGUCCAUUUAAUUGUGUCUUGUAGAAAAUGUAUCUUUUUACUAAAUGAUGUAACUUUUCAUGACAACAUUUCACUUAGAGAUGCAUCAUUUCAUGGUGACAUUUCAUUUGAAAUUGUGAUGAUUCAAUUUGGACCAUUGAUUAAAAUCAAAUCUAGAUCCAAUGGCCAUGAAUGAAGGGGUAUCAUGAAAGAUGACAACCCAAAUGAGGGGGCACAAGUAUAUCUAUAAAUAGGGAUCAUGUUUAAGCCAUUUAGACAUGAAAUAAAUGAUCCUACACCACUCUUUUCUUAGCAUUCUUUUCUAGUACGAAUUUCAACACAAAACACCCAUUUCUUUUGUGCAUUCACAUUCCAAUAUAUUGUUUUCUGCAGGAACAAUAUAUUGUUUCUUGGCAGGCUUGCAACAUUCAAGAGUAUUCUGGUUUGCUUUCGUCGAUGCACAGCGCAAGCAAACAAACAAGUGCUUCAUUGUAUCCUGGAGGCGUAUUUGCUUAACCUAUGUGCAUCACUCAAUUGGUGGGGGCAAAUAACGUCUUAAGGAAAGCGACAUUUGUAACGUGCCUUGAAGCACACAAAAUUUCUGCAGUUUCUUCCUAUAUACAGAGUUAGUUGUAAACACAUUACUUUACAUAAUAAAGUUCCACCAUUAUUGUUGUAUUUUUCUACAUUUGCCAUUCCCCAAAAAUUUUACCACCAACAAUCUUAAGACGUUAUUUCUACAACAAUGGCACCAAGUUCAUCUCUUCGACAAUUCACAGUAGAUUUUGUCAAAUUGGAGCGGUUCGAUGGUGGCAACUUUAUUCGUUGGCAGAAAAAGUUGCAUUUCUUGUUGACAAGCAUCAAUGUGGUCUAUGUUCUCACAACACCAAAGCCUCAAGAACGUGAGAAUGAGACAUUAGCGGAAACCAGAGUGCAACAUAAGUGGGAGCAAGAUGACUACGUGUGUAAGGGACACAUUUGCAAUGCCAUGUCUGAUACUUUGUUUGAUCAAUAUCACAACAAACCUACAGCAAAAGAGAUAUGGGACUCAUUAGAGGCUAAGUACAUGAUGGAAGAUGCCACAAGUAAGAAAUUAUUGGCUUCUAAAUUUUUUAAUUAUAGAAUGGUUGAUAAUAGAAUUGUGGUUGAACAACAUAAUGAGAUUUUGCAUAUUCUUGAUCAAUUCAACCAACAUAACAUGAAAAUGGAUGAGUCUAUUAUUGUCUCUUCAAUUAUUGAUAAACUUCCUCCCUCUUGGAAAGACUAUAAGAAAAGUCUUAAACAUAACAAAGAGGAAAUUAGUCUGGAUGGCUUAGGCCAAAGUCUUCGCAUUGAAGAGGAACUCAAGCUUAAUAGUUUUGAGGAUCAGACUACUACGUCCUCUAAAAUUAAUGUCGUAGAGGAAGGGAAGGAGUUUAAACAUUCUAAUCACCCUAAGAAUAAUCAAAAGAGAAAGUUUGAUUCCAAAGAGAAUCAAAACAAUAAGAAGAAAAAGAAGGGUACAUGCCACCACUGCGGAAAACCUGGCCACUUCAAAAGAGAUUGUCGACUUCUGAAGAAACAAAAGAAAGUUUCGAACACAAAUUUUGUGGCCAUGAUAUCUGAGAUUAAUGUUCUUGAAGAUGAUAAUGCAUGGUGGAUAGAUUCAGGUGCAACCAAGCAUGUAUGCAAGGAUCGUAGCCUUUUCAAAUCUUAUAAAGCAAUGGAUGAUGGAAGUGUUCUUUACAUGGGAAAUUCCUCCACUGCAAUAGUUAAAGGAAAAGGCAAUGUGCAACUAGAGUUUACUUCUGGAAAAACUUUAACUCUUAUUGAUGUUUAUCAUGUUCCUGAAGUUAGGAAAAACCUUGUAUCUGGUAGCCUUCUUAAUAAGUUUGGCUUCAAACUUGUUUUUGAGUCAAACCAAUUUAUAUUAUCUAAGGGUGGUACCUUUGUUGGGAAAGGAUACAUGUAUGAAGGAAUGUUUAAACUCAAUAUCAAUAAUAUGAAUGUUUCUUCUGCUUAUAUGGUUGAUUCAUUAUCUUUGUGGCAUAAUCGUUUAGGACAUGUGAAUAUUAGAAGAUUGCAUGAUAUGGCUAAUUUAGAGUUAAUUCCUAAGCAUGAAAAUGAUAUGCAUGAAAAAUGUAAAGUAUGUGCACAGACUAAAAUCACAAGAUCUCCUUUUCCAAAAAUUGAAAAAACAUCUUCUUUAUUGCAUUUAAUUCAUAGCGAUGUGUGUGAUAUGCAUAGUAAUCCUUCUAAAUGUGGUAAAAAAUAUUUUGUAACAUUUAUUGAUGAUUUUUCAAAAUAUUGCUAUGUGUAUUUAUUACAUUCUAAAGAUCAAGUGUUAGAAAAAUUUAAAACUUAUAAAAAUGAAGUUGAGAAUUUUUGUGACACUAAAAUUAAAUGCCUUAGAAGUGAUAAAGGAGGUGAAUAUGCUUUUUCUGAAUUUUGUGAAUCUGUUGGCAUUGUACAUGAAACUAGCACUGCAUGUACUCCACAACAAAAUGGCGUAGCUGAAAGGAAAAAUAGGACAUUAAUAGAAAUGGUUAAUGCUAUGCUUUUUAAUGCUGGGCUUGGUAAAGGUUUUUGGGGUGAAGCUAUUUUAACUGCAUGUCAUAUCUUAAAUAGAGUGCCUAAUAAGAAAACAAAGGUGACCCCAUAUGAAUUAUGGAAAAAGAGAAAGCCUAAUCUUUCUUAUCUAAGAGUUUGGGGUUGUCGAGCCAUUGUAAGACUACCAAAACCUAAGAUAAAGAAAUUAGGAGAAAGGGGCAUUGAAUGCAUAUUCUUGGGAUAUGCUGAGCAUAGUAAAGCUUAUAGGUUUCUUGUAACAGAACCUAAUAGCUUUGUUGAGAUCAAUACUAUAGUGGAAUCUAGAGAUGCAAUAUUAUAUGAAAAUAGAUUUUCCACUAUACCAAAAAGUAUUGAUUCUCAAGAGAAUGAUAAACAAAUAGAAAUUGGUCAAAAGCGUGAUGCUAAUAAUGAGCAAAAUCAUUUGAGAAGAAGUAAAAGAAUAAGGACUAUAAAAUCUUUUCCAGAUUUUAUAGUCUAUUUAGUUGAAGGGACAAGAGACUCACAAUCAAAACAGACCAUGAUCGUAUCUACUAUAGAGUCUGAUCCCCUCACCUAUGAAGAUGCAAUGAAGUCUCAAGAUGCUGCUUUUUGGAAAGAGGCCAUUAAUGAUGAAAUGGACUCUAUUGUGGGUAAUAAGACUUGGAAAUUAGUUGAUUUACCACCUGGCUCUAAUCCUAUAGGUUGUAAAUGGAUUUUCAAAAAGAAGAAGAAAGUUGAUGGAACAAUUGAAAGAUUUAAAGCAAGACUAGUAGCAAAAGGCUUUACACAAAAAGAAGGCCUUGAUUAUUUUGAUACUUAUGCACCUGUUGCAAGAAUUGCUACUAUUAGAGUCUUGAUUGCUUUGGCUUCAAUUUAUCAAUUUGAAAUCCAUCAAAUGGAUGUAAAAACAGCUUUCUUAAAUGGAGAAUUAGAUGAGGAAAUUUACAUGAAACAACCAGAAGGGUUUGUUAUGCCAGGACAAGAACAUAAAGUUUGUAAACUAGUCAAGUCUUUAUAUGGUCUUAAACAAGCUCCAAAGCAGUGGCACGAAAAGUUUGACAAAGUGAUUGUCUCAAAUGGAUUUAAUAUUCAUGAAUCUGAUAAAUGUGUCUAUAGCAGAUUCAAUGGAAAUAAAGGUGUGAUUAUUUGUUUAUAUGUAGAUGACAUGUUAAUUUUUGGUAUUGAUAGUGAGAGCAUUGAACUCACUAAAUUAUUAUUGUCAUCUAAUUUUGAUAUGAAAGACAUGAGACUUGCUGAUGUGAUUUUGGGGAUUAAAAUUAUAAAAAAUGAGAAUGGCCUAGUAUUGACCCAAUCACAUUAUAUUGAGAAAAUUUUAAAGAAAUUUAAUUAUUAUGAUUGUAAGUCUGUGUCAACACCUUUUGAUUCAAACAUAAGACUGUAUCCUAACACUGGCAUAUCAGUAUCUCAAUUAGAAUAUGCACGUAUUAUUGGGUGUUUUAUGUAUGCGAUGACUUGUACUAGGCCUGAUAUUGCUUUCGCUAUUGGAAAGCUCAGUAGAUAUACUAGUAAUCCAAGCCAAGCACACUGGCAAGCAGUGUACAAAAUUCUAAAAUAUUUAAAACAUACAAUGGAUUAUGGUAUAUACUACACUGGAUAUCCUUCAGUUUUGGAAGGAUUUUCAGAUGCUAGUUGGAUUACUGAUCGAGAUGAUCAUACAUCCACAAGUGGUUGGAUUUUUAAUCUUGGUGGAGGAGCUAUUUCAUGGGGUUCAAAGAAGUAAACUUGUAUAGCAGACUCCACCAUGGCUGCAGAAUUUGUAGCGUUGGCUUCAUGUUGCAAGGAAGCUGAAUGGUUAAGGAAUUUGCUUAUAGAAAUUCCUAUUUGGCCUAAACCAAUGCCUCCUGUAUCUAUUCACUGUGAUAGUGAGGCAACUUUAUCAAGAGCAUAUAGUCAAAUCUAUAAUGGAAAGUCUAGGCACAUUGGUCUGAGACAUAGUUAUGUAAGACAAUUACUUACAGAUGGAGUAAUCACAAUUGACUUUGUGAAAUCAUGCCAAAAUUUGGCAGACCCCUUAACUAAAGGUCUUGCAAGGGAUAUUGUAUUUAAAACUUCUAAGGGGAUGGGACUGAAGCCAACAUCAUCUUAUCACCAAUGAUGGAAACUCAACCCAACACUUGAAAUAUCAAGAUCUUGGGUUCAAUGAGCAAAAGUACAUCAUAUGUUGUGAUAGGAAGCACUAUAAUAUUUUUAGAUGCGUCCCAAAGGUUAGUGCUUGAUACUUGUAACAUAUGGGAAAGGUUAAGCUACUUAGCUUUUAAUGGACUUAUAAAUGUUUUAGUUACAGGGACAUUCUAGAUAAGUCUACCUAUGUGAGUGUAUGAGGUGGUGCCGCUUCCUAUGUAACUUGGCUGGUUACUAAAGCGCUAAUGAAAACAGGAUAUAGACACAGGGCCAAUCCACGUGUCGGCUAAGGAAUACUUGAGAAUUUGAAAACUUAUGUGUGAGGUAUAUCCGGUUAGUCGAUUAAGGUCGCUGGUUCAAAGCUUGCCUACCAUGCCACCUUGAUUAACUUUGAUGUAUUGUCACUAAGUGAAGGUUCAAGUCCACAAGACACCUUCAUCUAUGCAUAAGUUUUCCAAGCCUGUGUAAGAUAAUUUUUCAAAAUUCAUUUAUUUUGAAAAUGGUGGGGGAUUGUUGGAACAUUUUCAAAAUAAAUGUGUCUUAUGGUAAAGACAUGUCCUAUUAAUUGUGCCUUAUAGAAAAUGUACCUUUCACUAAAGACAUGUCUAAUUAAAUGAUGUUUUGUUGUAAGGACAUGUCCAUUUAAUUGUGUCUUGUAGAAAAGGUAUCUUUUUACUAAAUGAUGUAACUUUUCAUGACAACAUUUCACUUAGAGAUGCAUCAUUUCAUGGUGACAUUUCAUUUGAAAUGGUGAUGAUUCAAUUUGGACCAUUGAUUAAAAUCAAAUCUAGAUCCAAUGGCCAUGAAUGAAGGGGUAUCAUGAAAGAUGACAACCCAAAUGAGGGGGCACAAAUAUAUCUAUAAAUAGGGAUCAUGUUUAAGCCAUUUAGACAUGAAAUAAAUGAUCCUACACCACUCUUUUCUUAGCAUUCUUUUCUAGUACGAAUUUCAACACAAAACACCCAUUUCUUUUGUGCAUUCACAUUCCAAUAUAUUGUUUUCUGCAGGAACAAUAUAUUGUUUCUUGGCAGGCUUGCAACAUUCAAGAGUAUUCUGGUUUGCUUUCGUCGAUGCACAACGCAAGCAAACAAACAAGUGUUUCAUUGUAUCCUGGAGGCGUAUUUGCUUAACCUAUGUGCAUCACUCAAUUAGUGGGGGCAAAUAACGUCUUAAGGAAAUCGACAUUUGUAACGUGCCUUGAAGCACACAAAAUUUCUGCAGUUUCUUCCUAUAUACAGAGUUAGUUGUAAACACAUUACUUUACAUAAUAAAGUUCCACCAUUAUUGUUGUAUUUUUCUACAUUUGCCAUUCCCCACAAAUUUUACCACCAACAGGCAAUAGACUUAACAGAUUUUGACAGUGAUAUGCUCUUAGAAUUUCAAGAUGUUGAAAAAUGAAGUCCGGCUGUUUGGAAUCGUGUUUCCACAGUUGCUGUAGAUGAUUAAGUCUUGUCAGGUGUAACUCUUUUAUCAGUGCUAGCUUCCUCGCAUGUGUCUCCAAAUACCACUUCGUACGAACAAUCCGACAGGUGGAGAAAUUCCAGAUUGUGAAACCUCUCAAGUAAACCAAGUGGAAAGAAAGCUAAGUCAUCAUCCUCAACCUGUAGUCGUUUGAGACUGCCAAAGAUGUGUUGGGGGAAAUGGCCUUGCAAAAUCAUCGUGAUAUCUUUUCCACUUAAUGCCAGUUCCUCCAAGUUGGGUAAGAUCUGAUCAUCAUCGAGCUCAAAUUAUUAACUCAGCACAUUGAUCCAUAAUUCAAGACUGGCAAAAUUCAUUAUGUAAUCAAAGUUUUCAAUGAUUAUAUAUAUAUAUAUAUAGUGCUUUCGUUGGAAUUAAUUAUUAAAAGCUUUAAUCAAACAAUGUUUGGAUUGGGUCGGCCUAUCCAACUUUUAAAUAAGAUUACCAACUUUAAAUUAAAAUUGCUUUAGAUCGCGGUUGGUCAGGUUUUAGUGGAGGUACGUGGCGUUGUAUCUAGAUCGAUGCAGAGCCAAGUCUGUCCUUUGGAACCAGAUCUGACUUAGGACAGAUCAAUAUUCCGCACGCUCUAGUUUCCAGCCGAUAUACCAAUAUUAUUUACCAAAUAUUUAUUAAGUUCUUUAGUCAAGCCUAGCAACAACAUUCAUCUAAAGGCUUGGGUGCAUACACAGUACUAUUUCCUUCUGGUAUCAGAGCCAAGGGGAGGAUAGUGUAAUACAGUUUAGAGUUUUGUGUUUAAAGACUUGUGUUUUAUUUUGAAGUUUUGUUGUGUGGUGAAUUUUUACUGGUAGUAAGUCCCGUCCAAGGAUAAGUUUUUCGUUUAGGGCUGUAAAACCAUACCUGUAGCCAUUCUGACCAAACCAUAAAUAGACCAUAGGUUUGUAACCAUGGAUCCUCUACUCUGUAGAACAUCGUCCUUUUCUAGCUCUUCUUCCGGGAAGACUAGUGAUUCAAAGCAUGUUGUGAGUUCAGAAGAAUUCGUUAUUGAGAACUUUGAUAAAGCAAUUGAUUGUUGGGAACUUCCAAAAGUUUCUAAAGAAAAGAUUUACAAAACAAAAAAGCUUGAUUUUCUAAAAAAUGAUUAUGUAAUAAAGACUGAAGAAAGAGACAUAACUCUCUCAGAACCUUUUGAAACAAUUCAUUUGUUUUCAGAAAAAUCUUUAAAGAAAUUAAGAGAAAAGAAUUAUAAUUAUAUUCACAUUGGUUUAAUCCAAGUUGGAAUAAAACCUUUGACCAAAGAAGGCUUGGAUACUUCUAUCCUUACUGUCCUUAGAGAUGGGCGAUUCAUCUCUUUUGAUGAUUCUUUGCUAAGUAGCAUCGAAUCCAGUCUUUGUAAAUGUCCGAUCUCUUUUGAUUGUUAUCCAAACAUAACAAUUUCUCUUAAAGAUAAAAACAUUUUGAAAAACAUGAUCUUACAAAUCAAAACGCAUAAUUAUAAUAUGAUUAAGGGAUCUGUCCCAGUUGCCUUAAUUUUCAAAAUUUCUUAUAAAGCCAUGAUCUUUGCGUUCAGUACGCAACACAAAUUCCAGUCAGAAAGAGAUGAAACUCUUCUCUUGCAGACUGAUAUGUCUAAAGCCAAUACUGUCAUUCCAAAACCAAUCUAGUGGAAAGAUGUCAAUCUUCCAGAAGAAUGGAUUCUUGAAGGAGCUGCUCCACCAGCAAUUCCAAAACAACUUGAACCUAAUACGGAGUUGCAAAAAGUGACUCAGUAUUCUGAUGGUAGAGUUAAACUGUCUUUCAGGAGAUCUAACUCAACCAGAUUUUCUGAUAAAGAGUCGUGUUCAAGUAUUCCUUCAUUAGAAAGGAAAUUCACAAAAAUCCCUUCUGUCAUAAAUCUUCAUUUUCAAAGUCAACCUAGGUUUUCCACUUCGGCUAUACCUAGUUCUUCCAUUUGUUCUGUUGACUAUACUACAAACAUUCCUCAUCCUAUUUAUACUAGCAGUCAACAUGAACAAAGAUAGGAAGAGAAGUAACCUUCUCCUCCAACUUCCCCUACAUUCUCUGUUGUCACAGAAAAUGUAAUUAAUGUUAUUGAAAAAGAAUUUGAACUGGAUAAAACUCUCCUUCAUAAUGAUUUUUAUUCAGAUAAUAAUAAAGAAAAGAGACUUUGGUUUUUUAAACAUUUUUUAAAUCAAAGAAAAGAAAUCCAACAAUUUUAUUAUGAAUUUGUGAACCUUCACCAAGUUCAUAUAUUAUUUUUUGAUUGGUUCGAAAUACAUUCUUCUGAUAAUAACAUUUCUUACCCCUUCAAAGAGUCAAACCCUAUUACUAUUAGGAAGAAAACCACUGAAUGGAAACUUUCUGAUAGUGAUAAAACCAUAGAAUCUGAGCAUCCACCUCUUCGGAGCAUAACCGUUGAUCACGGCGAACCUCCUAUUCAAAUUAGAGCUUCACCUUAUAAAAUCCCUAAACCAAAUGAUUCUGAUGCAAAUUUAAGUAGUAUUAUUCAACAGAAUAAUUUCUGUAAUACUAACUUAAAUACAAUAGGAAAACAGUUGACUAGAAUAGAAAACCAAUUCCAACAGUCAACCAUAGCUAUUUCUCCUGUAGCAAAGCCAAUUCCUUCAAAAUCGGAUUCUGAUAAAAAGCUUAAGGAACCUAUUUUCAAACCUUUUCAGGUUUCGAAAACUAGCCAAAAGCUUGUCCAAGAAUCAAAAUCAGAUUUUGCUAAAGCCAUUAGGGAACAACUAGAUAGGAUAGAAGCUGUUUCUUCCUCAUCUAACAGAGUCCAAAUAGCCCCUGAUACUCCCUAAUCUAGCAAGAUUGGAGUAUUAGAACAAGACCAGGUUUUUAUUGCCUCUUCCAAUCUAGAAGCCUUUACAGAAGAACCUAUUCCUAAAGCCAAUAAAAUCCAUUGGGAUUUAGCUCUCCCAACUGUCAAGUCUCCACCUGAUUUGGCCAUAGACAAUAGGCCUAGUGCAUUAAACCAAUCACGUUUUAAUGCAUCCUCUGUCUAUGAGUGGAACAUUGAUGGUAUGUCAGAAUAUAACAUCUUAGGAUUGUUGCAACAGAUGACCAUGGCAGCCAAUGCCUAUAAAACCCAAUCGGGAACUUCUGACAAGGCCAUUGCAGAAAUUCUUAUUGCGGGUUUUACUGGUCAACUUAAAGGAUGGUGGGAUCAUCUUCUUACCAAACCGCAACAAUUAGAUAUCCUAAACUCCAUACAAAUAGAUGAGAAUGGUGCCCCCAUUCUUGAUGAGUUCAAUAGUCCUAUUCAGGAUGCUGUUGCUACCCUGAUUUUGACUAUAUCCCUCCAUUUCAUAGGUGACCCUGCUCACCUUAGAGACAAAAACGCCGAGUUACUAUACAAUUUGAGGUGUAGAAAACUUAGUGAAUUCCAAAGCUAUAAAACCUCUUUCUUCACUAGACUUUUCCUUAAGGAUGAUGCUAAUCAUACAACUUGGAAGGAGAAAUUCCUUGCAGGUUUACCAACCUUACUAGGAGAAAAGGUUAGAAAUUCCAUUAAAGCCCUUUAUGACAACCGUAUUCCUUAUGAUGAGCUCACCUAUGGUGAACUUGUCAGUUUCGUCAAUAAGGAAGGCUUAAAGAUCUGUCAAGAUUUGAAAUUACAGAAACGACUUAAAUGGGAGCUUAAAAAGUCUAAGCAAGAAUUGGGCAGUUUCUGUAAACAAUUCAAUUACGACCCCUUUAAGACUUCUACCUCCAAAGAUUGUAAUGGUAAGUGUUCUACAAAACCUUACAAGAAACAUUACAAGUCUAGAUUCCGUAAAAAACCCUUUCAAGACUUUAGAGAACUUCAUUAUAAGAAACCUUCGAGGCCUUAAAAGAAACCGAGUUCUUCUAAAAAGAAAGAGUUUAAAGCCAAACCAAAAACUCCGUACAAAACCCUAUUCAAUUACAGAGAAGCCAUAUGUCACAAAUGUGGUAUGAAAGGUCAUACUGCAAAAUAUUGCAGAAUGAGCAGAAAGCUCCAUGAGCUAGACCUAGAUGAGGAAACCCUCUCCAAAAUUACCUCUCUGCUCAUAGAGUCUUCUGACUCUGAGUCUUCCAUGUCGGGAGAUAGUGACCCUCUUCAAGUUGAUGAGAUAAUUGACUCAGAUGAUUCUGCAUCUAGCAGUAUUGAUUCUGAAUCAGAUCCUUAUUUAAAGAAAAUCAAUGUUUUAACUAAAGACCAAGAAAUUUUUCUUGAACUUGUAAAACAUAUUUCCGAUCCGAAUCUUCAAAAGGAAUACCUAGACAAACUUUUGAAAACUCUGGAUUCUAACAAAGCAGAAACUUCUAAAGUUCCAAUUGUUAAAAAGAAUUCUUACGAUCUCACUGAAAUUUUGGAUAAAAAGAAAACAAAAAAGUUAAUUCCUAAUAUCCAAGAUCUUCAUAAAGAAAUCAAAGAUAUCAAAAUUGAGAUUAAAGAAUUAAAAGAAAAACAAAAGAAAGAUUCUGAAACCAUCCAACUUCUUAUACAAAAACAAUUAGAAGAAAACUCAGAAAAAGAAGUUGAAUCUGAAAGCGAUAACAAUCAAAAUGUUGACAACAUUGAAUCUGUACCUAAUGAUUUUCUGUUUGUCCUAAAACAAAUCACCACUAGAAAAUACUUAAUUAAAAUAACUUUGAUUUUUUCCAAAGACUUUGCUAUUGACGCCAUUGCCCUUUUCGAUACUGGUGCCGAUUUAAAUUGUAUAAGAGAAGACAUUGUCCCCAAAAGAUUUCAUGAAAAAACAAGGGAAAGGCUUUCCACCGCCAACAAUUCAAAACUUAAAGUCAAUUCUAAAGUGGAAGCCUCAAUACAUAACAAUGGAUUCGAAUUUAAAACUUCAUUUCUUCUUACAAAUGACAUUCACCAUACUGUCAUUUUAGGAACCCCGUUCAUAAAUUUAAUUACCCCAUAUACUGUCAAUUAUGAUAGUAUAUCUUUCAAAGCAAAAUCUAAAAAACUUGUUUUCCCUUUUAUUGAGAAACCAAAAACAAGAAAUCUAAAUAUUGUUAAAGCCUGUUCUGUUUACCAAAAUCAAAUCAACGCCAUACUUAAAUCCAAACAAAAUGACUUGUUUUGUUUAAAAAAGAAUUUAAGUCUACAACGAAUUGAAAACCAAUUACAAAAUGAUUUUAUCCAAAGAAAAAUCAAUGAUUUUAGAGACCUCAUUGAAAAAGAAAUAUGUGCUGAUUUACCAUCUGCUUUUUGGAACAGAAAACAACAUUUGGUAGAUUUGCCCUAUGAAAAUUCUUUCGAUGAAAAAAAAAUACCCACUAAAGCCCGUCCAAUCCAAAUGAACAUGGAAUUGGAAAAACAUUGUAAAGAUGAGAUACAAGAUUUAGAAUCUAAAGGAUUAAUUACAAAAUCUAGAUCUCCAUGGUCUUGUGCCGCUUUUUAUGUAAACAAAAAUUCUGAGAUUGAAAGAGGAACACCGAGACUUGUAAUAAUUUACAAACCCUUAAAUAAAGCAUUAAAGUGGAUUAGGUAUCUCAUACCUAACAAAAAAGAUUUACUCCAAAAAUUGUGUUCCGCCUUUAUUUUUUCAAAAUUUGAUAUGAAAUCUGAAUUUUGGCAAAUUCAAAUCCAUCCUAAAGACCGUUACAAAACUGCUUUUACUGUUCCAUUCGGACAGUAUGAAUGGACUGUUAUGCCAUUCGGUUUGAAAAAUGCACCCUCAGAAUUUCAAAGAAUUAUGAAUGAUAUUUAUAAUCCUUAUUCUGAUUUUUGCAUUGUCUAUAUAGAUGAUGUUUUGAUUUUUUCUCAAACCAUCGACCAGCAUUUCAAACAUUUAAAGACUCUCUAUUUUGCCACUAGGAAGGCUGGCUUAGCCAUUUCUAGUUCAAAAAUUUCUCUAUUUCAAACUAAAGUCUGGUUCCUUGGUCAUUAUAUUUCUAGAGGAACUAUUACCCCAAUUGAAAGAUCUCUUGCAUUUGCUGAUAAAUUUCCUGAUAAAAUUCUUGAUAAAACUCAAUUGCAGAGAUUUCUUGGUAGUUUAAAUUAUGUUCUUGACUUCUGCCCUAAUAUCAAUAGGAUGUCUAAACCUCUGCAUGAUCGGUUAAAAAAGAAACCUGUUGCAUGGACAGAUGAACACACUAAAGCUAUUCGAUUAAUAAAAAAUUCUGUAAAGAAUAUUCCUUGUUUAUUUUUAGCCAAUCCUGCAUUACCUAAAAUAGUUGAAACUGAUGCAUCUGAUUUAGGUUUUGGAGGUAUUUUGAAACAAAAGGAAAAUGAUAAAGAACAGAUAGUACAAUAUGUUUCUGCACAUUAGAAUGAUUGCCAGAAAAACUAUUCUACUAUCAAAAAAGAAAUUCUUUCUAUUGUCUUAUGCAUAUCUAAAUUCCAAAGUGAUUUAUUAAAUCAAAAAUUUUUGCUUAGAAUUGAUUGCAAAGCUGCAAAACAUGUUUUAGAAAAAGAUGUUCAAAACAUUGCAUCAAAACAAAUUUUUGCACGAUGGCAAGCCAUUUUAAGUGUUUUUGAUUUCGAUAUUGAAUUUAUUAAAGGUGACACAAAUUCUGUUCCUGAUUUUCUAACCAGAGAAUUUUUACAAAACAGAUAAUGCCGCCAAGAAAGAAUAACAAAGGUAAAGUUGUUCUUAAAGAUACUGAGUCCCAAGCCACCUCUAAAGAACCUCAACCAACUCCCUCUAAAGAAAAACUACUUUCUUCUGCCAUGCCCAUCAAGUCCUGGAUUGAAAUGGUUGAAGAACAUGAAGCCCAAUACAAAACUAUUUCUUCUGAUGACCAAGUAAAGGAAUGGAUGAGUUCCAUUACAAAAUCGCCUGAGCUUAUGCUCGCCCUCCAAAGCUUUUCUCAAAGUCAAAUUUCUCCUAAAGAAGAAAUUGAAAAAGAAAAACCUAAGUCCAAAGAAAUGACAAAACCUUCUUCUCAAAACGUUGUUGUCUCCGGUGAAAGCUCAUCUUCUCAAAUUGUGCUUUCCCAACCAACACUUUCAAAGAAAUCAUCCGAUUGGUUUGAUAAAACCCAUUUUCAAAACAUUUUAUCUAUAGAAGAUGGAUUUUACCAUACUGAUCCUUUUCAAGCAAUUUCAAAGUUUUUCCCCAAAUGCUGGUUUUUUAAACCAUGUUAUUUAACAAAACCCCAGUCUUACUAUCAAAGCAUUUUAGAAAUUACUGAGUCAGUUAAAUUCAAACAUUUCUUUCUCAGUGAUACCCAUUCAGAGCCAGCCUAUUCCACGGCUACUAUUUUAAAAGUCCUGAGCCCAAACCAGUGGGGGGAUCUGCUCCACAAUUUUAAAACCUUCCCUUUAAACUUUCAAACACGUUUACCACAUUGUCGGACUUAUUCCUACUGGGAUUACCAAUAAGCCUGGUAUAACACAUUUUUUAUCCAAAACCCCAAAAAAUCCCACUCUUGGUUAUUUUUCUUCAAUUAAAAAAUAACCGUCCAAAGCCUCCCAAACUGGUUUCAUCAUUGGUGGAAUUCUUUUGGCCCAAUACCUCAAAUCCUAACUCCAAAUGCUACCCAAUGUUUAAACUUCUUUAAAGCCCACUACAUUCCUUCUGAAUCUGAGAAAAGGUUUCCACCCUUUCUCUGUUUCUGUACAAAUUUCUUCCUUCCAUGGGUAUGGAUGUGGAACCUCAGACUUCAUACCCAAGAUGCCCAGCUUAUCUUACAAAGAACAUUCAAAGUAAAAUGGUGGUCAAAAUUUGACGAACAAACCAAACUUACUGAUACCCUCAUCAGAAAUUGGCUUUGUUCCAAAGGCUUCCUCCAACCAACCAUUAAGGGAUCCAAAGCCCAACAAACCUUCCUUACUCAAAAGUCCAAAGCCCAAUCUCUUCUGGCAAGUGCCAAAACCGAAAAAGAAUACUUCAAAGCUAUGGAACAACUCCUCGCCUCCAGGUCAAAGUCAUCAGUGGCAGAUUCCUCUGAAGAUGAAGACAAUGAAGAAGAGGAAGAGCCGUUUAUCUCUCUUGGAGAUGAAAAUGAAGACGACUAUUUCAGAAUUUUCUCUCCUGUAAAGCAUUGUAAAUAAUUAUUGUUUAAUUAAUGUAAAAAAAAAGUAAAUACUCAUUUUUUUUAUUUAUAUCAUUCGGGUGGUCCCUUGGACACAAGUGAGAGCGCACAUGUCUCUUCACCCGUAUUGUAUGUCUACAAAGUCACUAUUUCAACAUACGCUCCAAAAGCUUAUUGUUACAUACGAUCCAAAGCUUACUGUUUGCUUCAACCCCGUUACAGUGAACAGUGCAGAGUUCCAAAGAUUACUGUAUGCUACAGCUCCGCUACAGUCUACAGUUUAAAAUUUCAUUUUGUAUAUAAUCUGAAGGAAGACUCAGACUCCUCAGAUUUUUUGAAUCUCCUCUCUCUCUAAUUUUCAUUUUCUCUCUCUCCUCCCUGGGAAUCAGGAAUCCGAAGGCACUAAGGAAAUUUUUCUGUUUACAGAAUAGUUCCUUACCUUCAGGAUUAAUUUCCCUUUUCUUUUCUACAAAGAAAAAGCAAUUGAUGUAAGCAUUUUAAUUUUCAGUAUUAUUUCAAAGCAUUUGUAAAUUUUAUUUAAGGCUUUCCAUGUAUGUUUAAAUUUCUGUACUUUAAUUUUCGCAAUUUACUUUAAAGCAUUUUUAAAUUUUUAUGCAGACUGAUCUCUAUCAGAUCUGCCAUAAAACUGCUACGUUCCUCUGAGGCAACGAGACCAGAUCUCAAUCCUCAGUUGUAUUCUUUCUCUUCUCCCUCCAUUCCUUUAGAGCACUAUUUCCGGGAACCGGAUCUAGUACUGUGUAUGCACCCAAGCCUUUAGACGAAUGUUGUUGCUAGGCUUGACAAAAGAACUUAAUAAAUAUUUGGUAAAUAAUAUUGGUAUAUCGGCUGGAAACUAGAGCGUGCAGAAUAUUGAUCUGUCCUAAGUCAGAUCUGGUUCCAAAGGCAGACUUGGCUCUGCAUCGAUCUAGAUACAACGCCACGUACCUCCACUAAAACCUGACCAACCGUGAUCUAAAGCAAUUUUAAUUUAAAGUUGGUAAUCUUAUUUAAAAGUUGGAUAGGCCGACCCAAUCCAAACAUUGUUUGAUUAAAGCUUUUAAUAAUUAAUUCCAACGAAAGCACAUCCAUCCUUCGAUCCUAUUUCCUUCUGGUAUCAGAGCCCAAUAAUUAAUUCCUUCAGAUUAAAUCAGAUGCAUCAGUUUCAACUAUUUUAGGUAAUGCGGGAUUGGCUAAAAUAAACAAGGAAUAUUCUUUACAGAAUUUUUUAUUAAUCGAAUAGCUUUAGUGUGUUCAUCUGUCCAUGCAACAGGUUUCUUUUUUAACCGAUCAUGCAGAGGUUUAGACAUCCUAUUGAUAUUAGGGCAGAAGUCAAGAACAUAAUUUAAACUACCAAGAAAUCUCUGCAAUUGAGUUUUAUCAAGAAUUUUAUCAGGAAAUUUAUCAGCAAAUGCAAGAGAUCUUUCAAUUGGGGUAAUAGUUCCUCUAGAAAUAUAAUGACCAAGGAACCGGACUUUAGUUUGAAAUAGAGAAAUUUUUGAACUAGAAAUGGCUAAGCCAGCCUUCCUAGUGGCAAAAUAGAAAGUCUUUAAAUGUUUGAAAUGCUGGUCGAUGGUUUGAGAAAAAAUCAAAACAUCAUCUAUAUAGACAAUGCAAAAAUCAGAAUAAGGAUUAUAAAUAUCAUUCAUAAUUCUUUGAAAUUCUGAGGGUGCAUUUUUCAAACCGAAUGGCAUAACAGUCCAUUCAUACUGUCCGAAUGGAACAGUAAAAGCAGUUUUGUAACGGUCUUUAUGAUGGAUUUGAAUUUGCCAAAAUCCAGAUUUCAUAUCAAAUUUUGAAAAAAUAAAGGCGGAACACAAUUUUUGGAGUAAAUCUUUUUUGUUAGGUAUGAGAUACCUAAUCCACUUUAAUGCUUUAUUUAAGGGUUUGUAAAUUAUUACAAGUCUCGGUGUUCCUCUUUCAAUCUCAGAAUUUUUGUUUACAUAAAAAGCGGCACAAGACUAUGGAGAUCUAGAUUUUGUAAUUAAUCCUUUAGAUUCCAAAUCUUGUAUCUCAUCUUUACAAUGUUUUUCCAAUUCCAUGUUCAUNNNNNNNNNNNNNNNNNNNNNNNNNNNNNNNNNNNNNNNNNNNNNNNNNNNNNNNNNNNNNNNNNNNNNNNNNNNNNNNNNNNNNNNNNNNNNNNNNNNNCGUUGGUCUCUAAUAGGAUGAGGAAUGUUUGUAGUAUAGUCAACAGAAUGAAUGGAAGAACUAGGUAGAGCCGAAGUGGAAAACCUAGGUUGACUUUGAAAAGAAAGAUUUAUGACAGAAGGGAUUUUUGUGAAUUUCCUUUCUAAUGAAGGAAUACUUGAACACGACUCUUUAUCAGAAAAUCUGGUUAAGUUAGAUCUCCUGAAAGACAGUUUAACUCUACCAUCAGAAUACUGAGUCACAUUUUGCAACUCCGUAUUAGGUUCAAGUUGUUUUGGAAUUGCUGGUGGAGCAGCUCCUUCAAGAAUCCAUUCUUCUGGAAGAUUGACAUCUUUCCACUGGAUUGGUUUUGGAAUGAAAGUAUUGGCUUUAGACAUAUCAGUCUGUAAGAGAAGAGUUUCAUCUCUUUUUGACUGGAAUUUGUGUUGCGUACUGAACGCAGAGAUCAUGGUUUUAUAAGAAAUUUUGAAAAUUAAGGCAACUGGGACAGAUCCCUUAAUCAUAUUAUAAUUAUGCGUUUUGAUUUGUAAGAUCAUGCUUUUCAAAAUGUUUUUAUCUUUAAGAGAAAUUGUUAUGUUUGAAUAACAAUCAAAAGAGAUCGGACCUUUACAAAGACUGGAUUCGAUGCUACUUAGCAAAGAAUCAUCAAAAGAGAUGAAUCGCCCAUCUCUAAGGACAGCAAGGAUAGAAGUAUCCAAGCCUUCUUUGGUCAAAGGUUUUAUUCCAACUUGGAUUAAACCAAUGUGAAUAUAAUUAUAAUUCUUUUCUCUUAAUUUCUUUAAAGAUUUUUCUGAAAACAAAUGAAUUGUUUCAAAAGGUUCUGAGAGAGUUAUGUCUCUUUCUUCAGUCUUUAUUACAUAAUCAUUUUUUAGAAAAUCAAGCUUUUUUGUUUUGUAAAUCUUUUCUUUAGAAACUUUUGGAAGUUCCCAACAAUCAAUUGCUUUAUCAAAGUUCUCAAUACCGAAUUCUUCUGAACUCACAACAUGUUUUGAAUCACUAGUCUUCCCGGAAGAAGAGCUAGAAAAGGACGAUGUUCUACAGAGUAGAGGAUCCAUGGUUAAAAACCUAUGGUCUAUUUAUGGUUUGGUCAGAAUGGCUACAGGUAUGGUUUUACAGCCCUAAACGGAAAACUUAUCCUUGGACGGGACUUACUACCAGUAAAAAUUCACCACACAACAAAACUUCAAAAUAAAACACAAGUCUUUAAACACAAAACUCUAAACUGUAUUACAGUAGUUUUCUGGUCAGGGAAUUUAAAGUGCGGGAAAGUCCGGGAAAGCUUUAAAACCACACGGCUUUAAAGGCUUACAAUUUUAAGCCUUUAAAACCAUGCGGUUUUAAAGGUUUCCCGUACUUUCCUGCACUUUAAAAUUCCUGACUGGAACAUUUCUAUAUAUAUAUAUAUAUAUAUAUAUAUAUAUAUAUAUAUAUAUAUGUAUGUAUAUUUCUUCUCUAGUGCGGACGCCCUCAUUUUCUUUUUCAUGCGGACCAGUUUUUAGACCCCAUGGUUUAAAAGACUUAGUUUUUAACUCUCUAAAACCGCAUGACUUUAUAAUUCAUUUAAAAACUAACUAUCUUAAACCGCACGGUUUAAAAGUGUGUCCCCAUUAAAAAAAAUGCGGACCCCCACACCUAAGAAUGAUUAUAUAUACAUACACGCUCUUAAACCGUGGGACUUGAAAGCUUCUCCGCAUGAAAAAAGUAAAAAAUGAGAGCAUUCCCACUAGAAAAAAACUCCAUAUAGGUAUUUAUUAAACCUCCUAAUCUGUGAGUGAGGAACAACAAAGAUAAUUGAUAAAAAAAAUCUAAAAUUUGGUUUCAUACCUUCUUGAACGAGAGCAGGGGCUGUUGUACCGGAAUACCAAAUUGAUCAUUCUCGUUAUUCUGGGACAACGUUAUUUUAUCACAAUUACAGGCUUCCAAUUUUUUUAGUGCUGGCCAUUCUGAAGUAUGCAUUCCAGGGUAUAAACAUCUGAGUUCUGGCUUUUGGAAAGACAAAAUAUGGGGUCACUUGAUCUGCUGUGUCUUUGGAGAUGAUCUCUUGUAAACCCAUACAUAUCCGUAUCUCCAGGUGUUGGAGGUGCUUAAGGCUUUGGAUCAUAGAAGCUGAAAAUAUGUAUUUUAAUUUGUCACAGCCCCACACUAUCAAUCUUGUCAAGCUUUGAAAGCAAGUAAUCAUGGCCGUAAGUUGAUUGUCAUGCCAAAUCUCGUCGACAUUAAUAGCAUUCAGCUCCAAAGCCUCCAAAUUUGGCAACACUACCUAAAGAUAAUUUUCUCUUUAGAUCCAAUAUCAGUAUGAAAAGCACUUGUUUUGACACAAUAUCCAUAUGAGAAGCACUUAAUUAAGAGCUUAAUUAGCGAGUGUAUCAGACUUUUUUUUUUCAAAUGCGAGUGCAUGAUAGAACUAAAAAAAAAAGAAGAAGCAUUGGCCUACGUACCUUCUUGUUGAAAAGCAGAGUUGACGUUUCGGAACUGAUCUCGUUGGAACUGGCUGUCAAUUCCUCUUGCGACUCUUGUCUGUUUGGUGAUGUGGAAGGAGUCUUCACUUCACCGCAAAACCUUGUAACCUUUGGAAGCUUUCCCAGACUCAAAGAUCUUAAUUGACCAAACUCUAUCUUCUCAUCAACAUCAACAUCAGCUUCUCCUCCAGUUGCAAAAAUCUCUUCCAUGCUGCUGCAAUUGAUAACUGCAAUCCUCUCCAGUCUUGGAAGGCAUUUUGUACUACUAGAGAGCCAGAAGAUAUUACUCAACUCAUCACAAUUUUCUACUUUUAUGGUUUUGAGUUCAUUGAAGGACUCUAUUUUGAGUCGAUCAAUACAUAUCCUCUCCGUAUUGAUCAAAUUGUGAAGAGUAAGGGACUCCAAAAGAGGAAAGGCGACACAAGGUUCUCUCUUCAUUGAAUCGACGAUACACAGGAUGUCUGGAUUAUUUUGAACAUGGAGAUGCUUCAAUUGUGAAAAUCCCUCGGUGUCCAAUUCUAAAACAACAUUCUUGAUUCCUUGCAACUUAUCCAAACAUAAGUAUUCAACGUUAUUGAUGCCCUGCAACUUCUUGGAGGAAAUGGCCAUAGAAUCAAGCUUGAGCUUCAAUGUUCUUAAACUCUCAAGAUUACUGAUCAUAAAGUGCGGCCGACUUUGAAACCAGUCUUUUCCAAAUAACCAUGGUAGAGUCGAAAGAUCCAUCUCCUAUUGAUAUAUCAAACCUUUCCAGCUUUUUGGUAAAAAAGCCAUCUGGUAAAAUGCUAUCAUCUUUAACAUCUAUUUUUAAGGCGGUCAGUCGCUGCAAAUGCAUCAAUUCAUCGAGGCUGGCAUUACUUCUUUCACUAUUGGCUUUUCUCACUUCCCAUUCAAUAGAGCAGUUACUCAUAUACAGUUCUUCCAAUCGAGUGAAGCUUGAUAAGAUAUUGGGCACAAUAAAUUUUAGUUGCAAGCAAUCUGUUAAAUCUAGCAUCCUUAACUUAGUCAGUUGACCUAGUUCGUCAGGCAACCGUACAAUAUCAGACUUUAAAAAGCUAAGGAUUUCUAGAUUCUUCAACUUUCCAACUAUGGCUAUGUCUCCCAACAUGCUUUGAUCAAGACACAGUGUUUGAAGAUUUGCUAGAAGACCGAUUGAAGAUGGCAAUGAAAAUAAUCGUACCCUUGUCAAAUCUACGACUCGAAGCUUUUUCAUCCCUUUGAAAAAGUUGUUAGGAAUAUUGACCUCGACAAAAGAGUCUUCGGGAUCAAUAUGUAAAAAUUCAAGUUGCGGACAUUCGAAUUCCUCGGAAACUUCAUGAAUGCUACUAUUUAGUAAAGGGAUUGCAUAGCAUUUUUUAAGUGCAUCCUCAUCUGGCCACUCCCACACAGCGUCAUUUCUCACCAAUGAAGCAUGUUGGUCUCGACAUGCAAUUGAUAUGGCAACAUCGCAGACAACAUCAUGCAUAGAGAAUUGUUCAGUACUAUCACCCUCAAGCAACAAACAACAGUCUCUAAGUUCAUGGACCAGUGCAUAUAAUUUGUUUCGUGCAUCUUCCAUCUUAUUGACUCCAUGAAAUAUUCCUAAACCCAUAGAGUAUUUAAGCAAGUCUAAAAGACAAAAACUGUUGCCUAUUAGACUGCAGAGCAGAAAAAUUUUCUUGAGUUGCUCACCUUUUAAAUACUUGAAACUCAGUUCAAUACUUGAAUAAGUCUCUGCAGGCACACCUUCGAAGUUUACCACUGAAGGCGUUUGGAGUUCUCGCAAGGCAUUCUUCCACUCAUGCAGACUCUUGUUUCUCAGUGCCCUCGCUACUGUAGUCAGGGCAAUGGGCAAACCUCCACAUGCCUGGGCUACAUUAAUUGCUGUAGACUUGAACUUACAAUUUUCAACAUCAUCACCAUUCAUUAUCUUAAACAAUCUCCAAGCUUCUUCUUCAUUUAGAUUGCCAAUCAAGAAGUUAUCUUUGGAGCCCAUACUUAAUAGCACAUUAUUGUCUCUUGCUGUCAGCAGUAGUCUACAUCCUUUAUGAUCAUUUCCGAUGGGAAUUCCAACCGUCUCCAAAUCAACAUGUUUCCAGAUAUUAUCUAGAAUCACAAGAAUCUUAUUCUCAUUCUUCAGUCGUUCAUACAGCCUGCUAGCUCUUCUAUAUUCAGCUUCAUCGGACAACUCCAGACCUAACUUCUCUGCAAUUUCCCCUUGAAUCUUUUUUAUGUCUGGAGUUUGUGAAACCUCUGAAAAAACCACCCGAUCAAACAACUUGUCUUCCCUGGCUUGCGUAGCAAACUCCUUCACCAGUGUCGUCUUUCCAAUGCCGCCCAUGCCGUACACCCCAAUAAUGCUGACAUUCACAUCAGUCAACGCAUUUUGUAUAGACUUCAAAGUAGAAACUCUUGAUUCGAAGGCCUUGUAACCUUUGUUAGACUUAAGCCAUAUCUCCUCCGGAAUGGUACGAUGGGAAACGAUAUCAAACUUCUUAACUCCUUCUCCAAGUUCAACAAGGGCCUUCACCUCUGUCUCUGCUUUCUUGCUAAGCUGAUAGCGGGUCUUCAAAUUAGGACACAAGCCCUUGAGACAGCGCUUGUUUGUUGACUCCUCAUCUUCAAUGAAUUUGGCUGCCUGGUCAAUGAUGCCGUUUGCACUGACCAGCCACUUCUCAACCUUCUCUUCAAUCUCUUCCCCUUUUUCUUUCGCCUUUGAAACUCUGCGCUGAAUGCUCGUACGUUCAACCUCAACUUCUCCAUUUCCGCCUUGAGAUUCUCAAGGUUGGCAUUGUAGUUCCGCUUGCGCAAAUAAACAAGUUGGCGUUCUGUCGGAGGAGCCAGGCAUUUUACAAGUUCCAAAACGAGAGUAACAAUGAUUUCCAGCAUCUUGAAUCCUGACAGCAAUGUAGAAGUGAAGAAGGCCAAAGGACAGUAAAAACAGAGAGACAACGAUACGACAAGCAGUUAUAGAGCUACAAAUAAAUAACAAACAAACAGAAGCAAAGUGUUCUUCGAAUGAGAAGAAGGAAGCAAGAAAAGGGUUUCUAUUUAGAUUAAGAAUAAAUGUAAAGAGCUAAAAAAGCUGAUGGGUACAGAAUAAGAAAUGAUUAAGAGAAUGGGGGAGCUAACAAGACUGUGGAGUGAGCAGGCGUAAAUAAACUUUUCUUAACCUUUUGUCAUACGUGUAUAUAAAAUAAUAUAAUUAAUUUUAUAUUUUUAUUCAAUAACUAUUAAUUAUAUUUUUUUCAAAAUUAAUAAAAAGAAUAAUUAAGUACUGAAUCCAAAUCCUAUCCUAAAUGGUUAGAUAAAAAUAAGGGAAUGAAAAGAGUAAUGGUAGAUUAAUGAGAAGGUGAUUGAUUAAUUUAUGAGGCCAAUUAACGAAACGACAGAUCUGGUUUCCAUGUUUGUAGUUUAAGUGUAUGAGUACGAGGUGAACCGAAGCUUUGUCGAGUCAGGCAAAUAGAAAGAGAAAUUACUAAAACAAGAACCAGCAACUUUUACUCACACAUGAGCUAAUAAUGUAUUGAGAUUGUGCAGAGUAAUAUAAAAGAUUAAAACUAGUAUAAUCAAUUUGUCAUCAAGUUUUAGCCUUCUUCUUCAACCAAUUACAGCACGAUCUUGAGCUCUGUGUUUCUUUUUUUAAAUCAUUCAAAAGAUCUCUGUCAUUAAUUUUUCAAUGAUAAAAAUUAUAUUUUUGUCUCAUAAAAUAUAAAAUAUAAAAAAAUCAAACAUAUAUUAUAAGUCCGUUUGAGAUUAUUUUUAAAUAAAGUAUACAAAUCUCUAAAUUAACUUCGUCCCCUUGAAAUUCAGCAUAAAUAUAAAUAGAAUUAUAGAAAUCUUACUACCUUUUAUGAGAAAUCCAACUUAUAUAUUUGAGACUUCUCUCUCUAAACACACGCUUCCUCUCUCUGUACACUUUCCACCUUUAAAUUCUCCUUCAUUAAGUCUACCUAAAUGAAUUUAGCAUUCUCUCAGUUUCUUCAGCAUUUUUCUCCGUGAAAAUAGGUGAAAAAGAGAAAGUGAUUUGAUUAUUUUAAUGUACGACAGAUCUGAUUUCCAUCUCUGUAAUUUAAGUGUAUCAAAACGAGGUCAACAACUCUUGGUCGAGUCAGUCAAAUAUAAAAGACAAAUUACUAAACCAAGCAGAGCCACAAAAAAAAAAAAAAAUCCAAUUAAAUAAUCAUCAAGUCUUUUUCAAUUAAAAUAGGGGGUGCAGAACAACUGUCAAGAGAUAAUCAUUGUUUAUUAUAUUUUCGAUUAAAAUAGUUGCGCGUGAACGAUUGUCCGAAUUCGUAUAAAUUGUUGUAAGGUCUAUUAUAAUUAACAAGUGGAAUGGCCAAUGGAUGAAGAACCACUGUAAUUUCGUUUAUGAAUUUAAAAUGCUAAAGAAACUGGACACCAACGCUAAACGUGAGUCUGCCCAAUCUAGAUAAAUAGGAUAAAAAAUUAUCCGUCGGCUAUCUGAUCUUUUAGCCAUUAUAAAAAAUAUUAAAAAAAUAUACAAACAAUUUUUUUUUUUUUUCAACAAUCCAUCUGAUAUUUAUGAAGUGCAUUAGUGCUCCACUACUAUCAUAACCCUUUAAAAAUAUCGCUUAAACACAAGAACGUAUUGCCUAAAAUUAUUUUUCAAGCAAAUGUAACGACAUAUUUGGUUUUGAUCUUCGUGACUUUUUAAGUGUACAAGAACAAGAUGUAUGACCCUUUGUCGAGUUGAAGAAUUAAAAUAAAUCAGUUACAAAUCCAGAACAAACUUACGGGUGACAUUUUAGUAUUAAGCAAACUAUAAUUGAUCAUCCAAUGAUAGGCUUAUUUUCAAUUAAAUUAGAGUAAAUAUAGACAUUCCAAAUUUUUUCUCUCAAAUUUAAUCCUAGAUAAUGUGUUAUUAAUUGAGUGCUUGGUAAUUCUUUCAAGAUCUAAGUGAAUUAAUUAUAUUAUCUCUCCAACCAAUUGAUGAAUAUUAUAUUAUUAAAUAAUCAUCAAGUAAUACGACACUUCUCAUGUUCCGUUAACAUUUCAGUUAUAUUAUUAAUUAUCAUUUUAAUUUGGAUAGUAUUUUUGUUUAGGAGAAUAUAUCAAUUAUGAAAUUUUUAAUUUUGAAAAUUAAAGAAAUAAUUGAACUGAUUUUUUCUUAUUAAUUGAUAGCUUAGAUGCAUUUUGUUACAUGUUAAAAAAUUAUGAAUACAUAUCCUUUUUGGUAAUUUAAUUACACAAAAGCACUUUUAGUUUUGCACAACCAAACCGUUUAAUGGUUCAAAAGUACUUUUUUAAUUGACAACCAAACACCCAAUGACUUUUUUGUCCAAAAACUCUAUUGGUAUAAGCUCUACUUCUAUAAGCUCUACUGCUAUAAGCUCUAUUUAAUAAGUUGUACCAAACGGAGCCUUAAAAUCUAAGUGAAUUAAUUAUAUUAUCUCUCCAACCAAUUGAUGAAUAUUAUAUUAUUUGAGUUUUUUUUUUGUCUCAAAUCCCAGCAAAGAAAACAGAACAAACGGAGCAAAAAUAUUUUUACAAACCUAAAAUAACAAAAAAAGAACUUUUUCUUGUUUUUCUUAUUUUCCACUGUUAAACUUCAAAAUGAACAACUUUAUUCUACCAUCUCUCAAAUAAUAAUAAUAAUAACAACAAUGUCAUCAUCAUCAAUAAUAAUAAUAAUAAUAUAUUAACUUUGUAGGAUGGAGCUCUCGCAAAUCUUCAAGACACAAAAUGUGCUUGACCCCAUUGUUGUUAAUAUAAUUUCAAAAUCAUAUGUAUUAUAUAAUAUUAGAGAAUAUGACAUAGCAAAAUUGAUGGUACAUAUGCUGCAAUAUACUUGUUCAUGUGGCGACACAUUGAAGUAAAGCACAAGCAGAACAACGAAAAAUGUAACGGGAGAGCUCUCAUUAUGUAGAUUUUCAAUAGAAGUAAUGCAAAUUUCACAAGGGCAAUGGCCUUAUUUCGAAUGCUGCACCUGAGGAAUGACUUGAAUCUUCUUUAGAACUCAGGCAUUCUAUAAUCAUAGAGUAUAGCAUUUCAACAAAAAUAUUAUAUAAACAAAAAUAUUAUAUAGGUGGUUCCUUUAUAUAUUUUCUGGGUACACCUACAAAAAUAUUAUUUUAGGUACAUUUCUUGCAAUAAAACCUGCCCAAUCUAGCGUUUUCGUAAGUUGGGUUUCUCAUUUACAUUUUUUUCCAUUGGUUAAUUAUCACAAACCUCCACUGAGAUUUAGCAUGUUUUUAGUUUGAUAGAUUGUAUUCGCAUAUUCUCAAAUACCUUUUAGUUUACCACUUCGUAUAAAUUAAGUUGGUGAGGAUAAAAUCGUAAAAGUACACAUUAAUGAUAAAAAAAUUCAAGUAAACUUGAAAUUUUCAAGGAUUAAUUUUUCGGGACCUCCCUUGAGGUUCGGUGUAUUAAAAGUCUCAUAGAAUGUAUUCAUGUAAUUAUAAGAACCUCCCCUGGCGUUAGUACACAGUUAACUUGACUGUUAGUGGACUGAUAAAAAGUCAAAAAUGCCCUUGGCUACAAAAAUGAGUGCAACAAUUUGGAGCUAAAUAGUAAACACCACACUGGAGCACUAAAAAGUCUACAAUAAUCAUGGAAAACAAAUCAUUGACAUUUACAUAAUAUAAAAAAAAAAAGUAAAAUAUAAAUUAAGAAAAUCAACAAAAUUGUCAACGUAUUGAAUAUUUACAGCAGCAGUGGCUAUAAAUACAACCAUCGUCAAAUUAAAAUAUCACCAUUAGUAAACUACUUCAAUAAGACAAUAAACCAUGAUUCAAUCUUCAAUGCAUUCAAAAUACACAACCCGCACAAUAGAAUCACAUACGCACACCUGCUAAUGAAAUAUAAGAACAAACGGGAAAUUGAACUGACAUGGCUAAGAUACUCCUUCCCGAUAUCUAUUAGAAAGAUAAUGAGCGAUUUAUGAAUCAUGAUGCUUGCUUUACUUUCUGGCAGUGUUAACUUCAAAUUCAAUGAUAGUAAAUGAACAAUGGUUCAUUCAUUAUGAAAGUAAUUGUAAAGCUAGGAAUUUAUAAUAUUCAGAUGUUGGAAUUAGAAAAAUAUUUCUUAAUCGUUUCAAUUGAAGCCAAGGAAGAAAAAGAAAUGAGUCUUCUUUUUUCAGGCCACAAGCCAUAUGAAGAAGGCAGACCAGAGCAUAAGAACGAAUGCUAUUGCCACAGUAAAAGCCUGGAUCAAUGGGUAAUGGCACCUGCCAUGUCAAUUUCAUGACAAACAAAAAUCAAUUAUCAUCCCCAGACCACAACACCACCAAACCAACCUUUUGCAUCUAAAAUAACAAGUUAAUAAAUCAAAGAUUUCAAUUCAUUUAAGUUUGAAAUCAACUAAAAUAGAAAAAAAAAAACCCAAUUUCUUUUUUGUUCAAUAUAACUCAUUCAGCAUCUUCUUCAACACAUUUUUAUCAUUCUUCAUCAUCACAACAAUAAAAAGAACAAAAAACUUUGAGUUCAACAUGCAAUUCUUUUUUUUUGGGAAACUAACCUUUUUUAGGUUCCAAUUCUAGUAGUCUUAAACAGUAGCCGCCGAUGAAAUUCGCUUGGCAACACCCUUUUGCCACCAUUGCAGCUUGUCAUGUUCAUACUCAACUUAAAAUUACUUGAAGGCAGCAGGGAUUUUAUAGUUACAAAAGUUUCUUCAGAGCUUUUCAAGCUUGAAAAUGGAGUUUUCAUUCAUCUUAGAUAAAUUGAAGAUAAUUUGCAUUGUGGGUAAUAAAUUGAUUAUCAGUGUCUAAAUCUGGGUCAUCGACGCAACAUUGGAUUUUGUUUUGAUUUUCUUUGAUUUUUUUUAUGAAACCACUAAUUUACCCUCAUAUACUAACAAUAUACGAAAUGGUAUACUAACGUCAGUUACGUCAGGGAGCUCCCUAUAAUUACAUGAAUACUUUUCAUGAGACUGUCAAUACACAAAACCUCAGGGGAGGUACCUAAACAUUACCCAAUGGUAUCAUUUCUUGUAUGGAUAAUGGAUGAUUAGAUUUUGUUUUUUUGUUAUCCGACGAAGGAUAUUCAGUUGUUCUUUAUGUGUUCAUAGGCAAGAGCAUGAGCAUAUGCAUGAUUUGAUAUAUGCUUCUUGCAUUUUCUAAUUAAGUGUUCUCUUUCCUUGCCUUCUUAGUUUUGAAAGAAAGAUGUGAAGCAAGACAAACCCAGUGAAAUACACAGAGCAACAGAACCAUCAGAGGAAAAACUAAAUAACAGAACUACAAUUAAACCAAACAAAAUCAAAUAAACCGACGCAACAGAUGCCCUGAAUCAGGCAUUCCUUUUUCUCGAAAGAAAAUAUGUUUGCAUGGGUGGGAACCCAGUAUUUACUCAAGAGUUGAGGAGUUGGAAAGAUUUGGUAUUCAUAUCUUCUCAAUUCAUAUGCUUUAAUGCAGAAUCGACAGCUUUAUAUUAUUUUAUACACUUGCACUUGCUUGAGUAUUUGUGCCGACAUUUUCAUAUGUGAUGCUACUUCUUAGCCAGUAGAUAUGUUGAAGUACUACAAAACAGAGUAUUUGAUGAAGUUUUGCUACUUUCGUAUCCCCUUUUUUGUUGAAUUCUUUAUAAACAAAAAUUAGAAAGCUACAAAUAAUACAGUAGCUUGAAUUUAUAUGCUUUUAUGAUUAUUUGAUAGUUUAGUGCUGAUCAUAUGUGAUGAUAAACUUAGCUAGUAGUUUUAUAUUUAUUUUCAUAGUUUCCUUAGCGUUCACAUUUUGAUGAGUAAAUUAAGGAUUUCCAGAUGAAGUACAUAAUUAGAUGAAUGCUAAGGAACUGAAGUUUGAUUAAUUGAAAACAAAAAUAAUAAUGAACGUAAUUACGAAAAUGAACAAUGCAGAAGUAGUCCCUAUAGUAUUUCUAUAUUUUCUCUUGGUGUUUCUUAGUAUUCCUCAAUAUUUUUAAAAAAUGACAUGACGAUCUUUGAGUUGACAAAUCUUGGCCUGCUGCUUAGUACCCUUCCAACAUAUAAAGUACUAGAUGUUUUACUGAGAAAAUGACAAGAUCAUUUUUCAAAUUUCUUGCGCAUAUAUACGUAUGUACACGAGAAAUGAGAAUCAGUGAUUAUAAGACCUUGCAAUGAGACAAUAAUACAUCAUCAAAUCUAAAAAUACACAAGAAAUUCGGGACAUAUAAAUAACAAAAGACCUCUCAUUGAGUCAUCCAUAUUGAGAAUAAAAUGUCAAAAUGCAUACAAAGAGCUUAUACAGAAAAUGAAUGUACACAUAUUUAGAAUAAACUGUCUUUGAACUUUCGAUGGUCAAACAAAAGAAACAGACAGGAUAUAACACACACUAUCAUAGAUGUAGCGACACGGUGAAGUAAAUCACAUGAAGAUGGAAACGGAAACCCUUCACAACAUAAAAUUUGAAUAGAGGGGGAAAAAAAGGCUUCAUUUCGAAUGUUGCACGAAAGAAGAGUGACUUGAAUCUCCAUCAGUAUCCAAACAUUCUGCAAACAUAGUGCUGAGAAUUUUAACAAGAAUAACAGACAAAAUAUUGUGCUUCUAUACUUGUCAAAAAACUAGACAAAAAUAGUUCCCUUUUUGGUUUGUGAAAACUUGAUAUUUUUGAAAAUUCUAUCCAAUGCUUUCAAACAAUAUUUCCAUAAUAUAGUUGUUCAUAGCUAACCUUUGAUGGUGUAAGGAUUUGUUGUAGGCAUAAUGGGCUAAUUAUAUAUAUAUAUAUAUAUUUUUUUUUUUUUUUUUUUUACCCGCUGAAUGAUAUUCAGCUUCUUAAUUAUGUGUUCAUAGGCAGGAGCAUUUUCUUAAGUACUUUCGUUGCCUUCCAAGUUUCCAAUGAACAAACAGAGCACAAACAAAUUUAACGGAACAGUAACGAUGACAAUAAAUAAUUGGCAAGGAAAGAAAGAAAAAAGUUUGCAUGAUUUCAGGGAAUUAUAAAAUCUGAACACUUUCAACAUGCAAGUGUUGCCCCUCUUAAUGAAAUUUCAUCAUAAAAUGCUUGCAAGGAAUUAUAAAAUUUUAGAGAACAAGGGAACUCUCAAAACAAAAUACUCAAAUUAAAUUACAAUAGGCCAAAAGACGCUCAAUGACGCAAAUCUGCCCAUAAAAGCUUGAACGAAUCAUGAAAAGUGCAUUCCAUAUUGAUAGUAAACCAAGUGACCCAUUCUAAACAAUUGAGAUGAAAUUGUGAAACAACCCACGAGAUCAAAUAAAUAAAAUAAGAAUUAAUUACCAGCUGGGACUUUCUUCUUCAAAUUCGUAACUCCAAGUCAUAAGAAGCCUAUGAAAUUAGUCGUAAUCCACAGAGUAUGACGACGACCCCGCCAACAGCUGAAAAUAAAAUUCUUAUUCAUCAAUUUAAACUAACUUUAUAACAAAUAUCUUAUCGAUAUUUUAUUUAAAAAGAAAAAGCAAAUUUUGUAAAAUUUUUCCAUGGGAGAUAGAGAAUAACAUGUAUAUCCGUACCUUCUCAGCAUGUAAUUGUUGUAUGGUCGUCUUAAGAUCAUUACUAGCCCAACGCCGUUGAUUCGAUGUCUCUCCAUACCAAACGUUUACUCUUGGAGGCGUGCUUGAUUCUCCUGUAGUGAAAAUCUUCAAUUUGGGACAACCAAUCACAGAUAGAUCUUGCAAAGAUGGGAAUUUGAAGGUGUAAUUGGCAGAGCAAAAACUUGUGAGGCUAUCUAAAUCAAACAGUUCCAACCUCUUCAAUUUGCGGAAAACAAUCUCUUCUUUUUCAACCCCGUCUUUGUCAUUUAUUACCACCUCUGUCAUUGCUCUGCAUCCGUAUACACAAAGUGAUACGAGUUGCACUAGAGUUUUUGCUGUGGAGGAUGUUACCAAGUGUAUCAAUUCCUUGCAACCGAUAGCUACAAGUUUUGUUAGGUUCCGAAAAGAUACCGAUGAUGAUGGCAAUAGAAUUAACAGACUUUGACAAUGAUGUACUUUUAGAAUUUCAAGAUACUGAAAAAUGGGGCCAAGUUUGGAAUCUUGUUUGCACACCUGCUUCAGAUGAUAGUGCCGGUACAGCUUUAAUUCUUUUAUCAUUGCCAACUUCCCCACAUGUUUCUCUAAGCAUCCUUCCUUCGAAAAUACCUCUUCGUCGAAUGAAAAAAAAAACAGUGAGAGUAUUUCGAGAUUGUGAAAUCUCUCAAGUACGUUCCAGAUUGGAAAACCAGCUGAGUCAUCUUCAGCAAUCACUAGUCGUUUAAGACUGCCAAAAACGUGUUGUGGGAAAUCGGCCUGCAAAAUCAUCUUCGCGUCUUUUCCGCUUAGUGAUAGUUCCGUCAAGUUGGGUAGGAUCUGAUCAUCAUCAAUCAUAAUAACUGAUAAGGUCAAUUGGUGUUUUCUCAAAUGAUUUUAAGUAAUCCAAUCACAUGCAGUGACUUUAUAGUAUUUGUUUUAUAUUAUAUUUUACAAAAAAAAAAUUGAAUUAUUGAUAAAAUUUAUUAAAUGAUUUUUUAUAUAUUAAUUUUAGAGGUAAAAAAGAAAUUAGGGAAAAAAAGAAAUUAUUUUAUUGGUAAUUAAGUGUUUGGUAAAUUUUGUUUCAAGAAGUACUGUAAAUUUUGAAAACAAUUAUGGUCGUUUGGUAAAUUUUACUGUUAAACUGCUGAGAGAAAAUAAAUGACUAAAAUAUCCAUAAUAUAAGAUAAAAUUUACUUAUAUAUCUCCUAAAAGCAAUCCCAAACGGGCCCUAAGGAUUCUUUUAUAAAUGUUAUACCUAAAAAAGUUCAUAUAAUUAUUAAUCUACCACAUUGAUCCCUUAGUCUAGACUAGCAAAGAUUAUUGUAUAAUAAAAGUUUUCAAUUUAUUGAGUAUUAAUUUAUCAUUGCUUUGUCAUAUUUUUCAAAGUUAAAAAUAUGCUAUUGAUAAAAAAAUCUAGAAAAUGGCUUCAUACCUUUUCCAACGGCAAUGGGGGCUGUUGUGCAGGAAUACCAAGUUGAUCAUUCUCAUUAUUCUGCGAUAAAUCUGCAGCGAAUAUCUUUAAUUUGUCACAACGAUACACUAAAAGCAUUUCUAGCGCGAGCCAUUCCAAAGUAUGCAUUCCAGGGCACAAACAUCUAAGUUUUGGUAGAUCUUGGAGUCUCAGAGUGGUGAGCUGUGGAAAGACAGAAUAAGAAUUUGUCACUUGAUCUGCUCUGUUUUCAGAAAUAAUCUCCUGUAAAUCCUCACAGUCUCGUAUAUCUAGGUGUUGGAGCUGCUUGAGGCUUCCGAUCAUAGACGCUGCAAAUAUGUAUUUUAAUUUGUGACAACGCCACACAAUCAAUCGUGUUAAACUUUGAAAGUGAGGAAACACGGCCACCAGAAUUUGAUUGUAGUGCCAAAUCUUGUCGACAUUAAUUUCAGAUAUCUCCAAAGCCUCCAAGUUAGGCAACGCAACCUAAAAAAAUAAGAAUUUCUCGUUAGAUCCAAUAUCCAUAUGGGAAGCACUUGUUGAAAUUUUCUUCUUUGAUUACAAAUUAAUGCAAGUCUGAAUCAAUUUCCAACUGACAGCUGAGUAUGCAUUCUAAUUCAUACUACUUGUUAAGAGCUCAAUUAGUGAGUGCGUGAGAUUCUUUUUAUCCUUUUUUUCCAUUUUCUUUCACUUCUUUAAAUGAUUUAAUUAUUUUCCACGUAUGACAUCAAAAGAGAACGCAUGAUAGAAUAAAAUGUGUUAUACAUUAAAGAAAAUGUUAGCCUACGCACCUUCUCGUUGAAAAGCAGAGUUGAAAUACCCAAAGUGAUUUCGCUGGAGCAAUACAUAGUCGUCGAUUCCUCUUGCGACGCUCGUCUGUUCGGUGAUGCUGAAGGAGUCUCCACCUCACAGCAAAAACUUGUAACCUCUGGAAGAUUCCCCAGACUCAAAGAUCUUAAUUGAGCAAACUCUAUCUUCUCAAUUGCAUUAUCAACUUCUUCCCCAAUUGCAAAAAUCUCUUUCAUCUUGCUGCAAUUAAUAACAGCAAUUCUCUCAAGUCUUGGAAGGCAUUUUGUAGUAGAGAGCCAAAAGAUAUUACUCAACGUAUCACAACUAUAUGCUUCUAUGGUUUUGAGUUUGUUGAAAGACUCUACUUUGAGCCGAUCAACACAUAUCCUCUCCAUGUUGAUCAAAUUGUGAAGGAUAAGUGACUCCAAAAGAGGAAAGGCAUCACAAGCGACCAUCUCCCUUGAAUCGACGAUACAAAAGAUGUCAGGAUUAUUUUGAACCCAGAGAAGCUUCAAUUGUGAAAAGCCCUCCGUGUCCAAAUUGAAAAGAACAUUCUCGAUGCCUUGCAGCUUGUCCAACCAUAAGCAUUCAACGUUGGUGAUGCCCUGCAAUUUCAUGGAGCAAAUGUCCAUAAAAUCAAGCUUGAGCUUCAAUGUUCUUAAACUCUUGCGUUUACUGUUGAUCCAAAAGUGCGGCUGACUUUGGAACCAAUGUUGUCUAACACACUUGGGAGGCGUGAAUGACUCAUUUCCAAUAGAUAUUUUGAACCUUUCGAGCUUUCUGGCCAAAAAACCUUCUGGUAAAAUACUGUCAUUUUUAACGUCAAUUUCUAGAGUGGUUAGCCGAGGUAAAUGCAUCAAUUCGUCAAGGCUAGCAUUACUUCUUUUGCUGCUGGCUCUUUCAACCUCCCAUUCAAUGAAGCAAUUACCCAUAUACAGCUCUUCUAAUCGAGUUAAGCUUGAUAUGAGAUUGGGCGCAAUAACUUUCAGAUGGAAACAAUUGGUUAAAUCUAACAAUCUCAACUUAUUCAAUUGACCUAGUUCUUCUGGCAACUGCAUAAUAUCAGACAUCAGAAAGCUUAGGACUUCUAGAUUCUUCAACUUCCCAAUGAUUGCUAUGUCCCCCAACGCACUUUGAUCCAGACAUAGUGUGUGAAGAUUUACUAGAAGAUCAAUUGAAGAUGGAAAUGAAGAAAACUGCAUUCGAGUAAAAUCUAGAACUCUAAGCUUUUUCAUCCCUACAAAAAAGUUCUCAGGAAUAUUGAUUUCAAGAGAAGAAUCUUUGGGAGAGAUAAAUAAAAAUUCAAGGUUUGGGCAUUCUAAUCCUUCAGGAAAUUCACGAUUACUAUAAUUUCUUAAAGAGAUAGCAUUGCAUUUUCGAAGUGCAUCCUCUUCUGGCCAGUCCCACACAUCCUCAUUCCUCACCGAAAACACAUGUUGGUGGCGGCAUGCAAUCGAUAUUGCGACAUCGCGAACAACAUCAUGCAUUGAAAAUUCUUCAUUGCUAUCAUCCUCAAGCAACAAACAAGAGUCUCUAAGUUCAUGGACCAAUGCAUAUAAUUUGUCUCGUGCAUCUUCCAUCUUAUUGACUCCUUUAAAUAUACCCAAACCCAUGGAGUACUUAAACAAGUCCAAAGUAACAAUACGGUUAUUCAUUAGACUACAGAGCAGAAAAAUUUUCUUGAGUUGCUCACCUCUUAAAUGGUUGAAACUCAGCUCAAUACAUGAAUAAGUCUCUGCAGACACUCCUUCGAAGUUUACCAUUGAAGGCGUUCGGAGUUCUCGCAAGGAAUUCUUCCAUUCAUGCAGACUCUUGCUUCUCAGUGCCAUUGCCACUGUAGUCAAGGCAAUGGGCAAACCUCCACAUGCCCUGGCGACGUCUAUUGCUGUAGAUUUCAACUCACGAUUUUCAACAUCAUCACCGGCCAUCAUCUUAAACAAUCUCCAGGCUUCUUCUUCAUUUAAGUUGUUUAUCAAAAAGUUGUCUUUAGAUCCCAUUUUUAAGAGGACACUACGAUCUCUUGCUGUCAGCAGUAGUUUGCAUCCUUUAUGAUCUUCUCCAAAAGGAAUUNNNNNNNNNNNNNNNNNNNNNNNNNNNNNNNNNNNNNNNNNNNNNNNNNNNNNNNNNNNNNNNNNNNNNNNNNNNNNNNNNNNNNNNNNNNNNNNNNNNNNNNNNNNNNNNNNNNNNNNNNNNNNNNNNNNNNNNNNNNNNNNNNNNNNNNNNNNNNNNNNNNNNNNNNNNNNNNNNNNNNNNNNNNNNNNNNNNNNNNNNNNNNNNNNNNNGGCUUCCAUAGCUUGCCUGGCGACCUCCUUCAUCAAUGUCGUCUUUCCAAUGCCGCCAUGCCGUACACCCCAAUGAUGCUGACAUUAGCAUCGAUCAAUGCGUUUUUUAUGGCCUCCAAAGUAGAACGUCUUGAUUCGAAGGCCUCGCAGUCUUUGUUAGACUUGAGCCAUAUAUCCUCCGGAAUGGUAGGGUCGGAAAUUCUAUCAUCAAAUCUCCCAGCUUCUUCUCGGAGUUUAAAAAGGGCCUCCUUCUCUGUUUCUGCUUUCUUUCCACGCCGAUAGCGAGCAAACCAAUCAGGAAACAGCCCCAUGAGACAUCGACCGUCAUUUGCUGUCUCUUCGUCUUGAAUGAAUUUGGCUGCCUGCUCAAUGCUCUUGUUCGCAUUAACCAGCCAUUUCUCAACCUUCUCUACAAUCUUUUCACUUUUUCUUUCAGCCUCAGAAACUCUGCGCUGAAUCCUUUCUCUUUCAACCCUCAGCCUAUCGAGUUCUGCCUUGAGAUUCUCAAAGUUGGCAGCGGAGUUAUACCAAUAACUAAAUUCGCGUUGUGCGUGGGGAGACAAGCAGUUUACAACUCCUGGAGCAAUGCUUUUCAAAAUGUCCAUUUUUUUUUUUUUAUGGGGAAGUGAACGAAAUGGAAAUAGAACAGGGUCAACGACCGCGCAAUUGAUAAUCAAGUAGAAGCAAAACAAGCCAAAAUGGAAAAAGAAAUGAUAUUUGUACAAAACAAGGGGAAAAUCAGUGUAACAGAAGAGAAUCAAAGUGUUUUUGAGAUCAGAAAAUUGAACCAAGAAAAGGGUUGCUUGAUCCAAUGAAAAUGCAAAAAGCUGAUGGCAAAAGGGAACAAAGCUAAAUAAGAAAACGGCUAGCACGAGCAGUGACCACGAUCAACAGAAGCAAAGUGUGUAUGAGAUCAAAAGACGAAAAUGAGGAGAGGUUUUCUUGAUUGAGAAUUGAAGGCAAAGAGUAGGAGCUGACGAAUACGGGGAUCAAGAGGGAAAAACUGCUUGCUUGUAAAACUACUUUCAAGCGAAUCUGAUAAAAUUAUUUCAGUACUAGUGGGCGACUCCUUUUUAAACUGCAGAAGGGAAAAAAAAAAGUUCUGAAUUUCAAUAUAUUAAUCUCGUAAUCAAUGAUUAAUUAGUAGAUAAUCUUUCUAACAAAUAUGUGUUGAAUAGAUAUAUUUCUUGAUUAUUAGUAGGUUCGAUAUACUUUAGUAUAGGAAUGAAAGUACAAGUUGUGUCGUAUUAGAAUAAAAAUUGGACCUAAAAAUAUUGUUCUAUGGCCUUUUAAUUAUUUGUCAGCUAAUAAUGAAGUCAUAUAAAAAAAUUAAUAAUCUGAAUUAGUCUUUAGUAUUAUAAAUGUUUUUAGAUUUUUAAUUAUAAUAUCAUUAUUUAAAAAUAAUUGCUUGACUUACAUUCGUAACAUUACGAUUGUCAUAAAACAUGUGAUCCUCAUCCAAAGGCCAGGUGAACAACUCUUUGUCAAGUCAGUCAAAUAUAAACGACAAAUUCUUUUCAAUUAAAUAAUCAUCAAGAAAUAAUCUUCUAUUUCAGUACAAAUGGCGAGUGCAGAACAGCUGUCAAGAGAUAAUCAUUGUUUACGGAGCCAUAUAUAUUUUCUAUUAAAAUAGUUGCGUCACUUGCGUGAACAAUUGCCAGAAUCCGUAAAAAUUGUUGAAAGGUCUAUUAGUUUCGAGUAGAAUAUUUUCGAUUAAAAUAGUUGCGUGAACAAUUAUCAUAGAUAGUGUUUAUAUUUUGGAUUGAAGUGAGAAUUUUGAGAAAUAAAAAUCUAAGAUUGAGAGUGUAGAGUGGAAGUGAGUGUAAGUUAUUUACUUACACUGAAAAAUAAGCAUGGAAUGGAGAUCAUAAUCCAAUUUAUGUGUUUAUUUUAUCUUCAAUUGAGAAUAAAUAGUUUCAAAUUACAAUUUUACCUUUAUUUAAAGAAUUAUAUAUAUUUAAUGAAUAAACAUUUAUUUUAUUAUAUUUGUAAAUUUAUAAUAAUUGUUAAUAUUCUUAAUUAUGUACAUCAUAAUUUUUUAUUAAUUUUAAUUUUAAUUAUAUAAAUUAAAAAUUAUUGAUAAGAGCAAUAUAAAUGAAACAUUUUUACUAUUAACAUAGUACAAAAUUAAUAUUUUCUUAUAAUUAACUAUUUAUUAUUACUAAUUAUUGAUAUUAAAUAAAUAUAAUACUAUUAUUUUUAAAUAAAUAUAAUAAUAUUAUAUUUUCAAAUAAAGAUAGUAUAUAGUAAUAUUAUUAAUUCUCUAUUAAUAUAAUAAUAAUAUUUAAAUAAAUAAAAUAUUUUUUAUUUUAUUUUAUUAAUAUAUAAUUAUAGUAAAUUUAAUAAAAGGGGGUUAAAAAAGGAAGGUAAAUAUAAAAUGAAAUAUUAUUUUAUUUAAUUAUAUUAAAUUUAUUAUUAUAUAAAUAAUAAUAUAAUAUUAUUUAGUAUAAAAUUAAUAUUUUCUUAGAAUAAACUAUUUAUUAUUAUUAAUUAUUAAUAUUAAAUAAAUAUAAUACUAUAUAUUUAAAUAAAUAUAAUAAUAUUAUAUCUUCAAAUAAAGAUAACAUAUAGUAAUAUUAUUAAUUCUCUAUUAAUAUAAUAAUAUUAUUUAUUUUAUUUUAUUAAAUAUUAAAUAUUAAAUUUAAUUAAAUAAGGUAGAAAAUGGAGAGGUGGGAAUGGGUUUCCCAUGGGAGUCCCACUCCCACUCCCACUCCCCACUCCAAAAAUGGGUGGAGUUUAUGGAGUGAGAUUCCCAAUUCCUCCUUAAAAUGGUAAAGUAAAUAUUGAAGUGGGAGGAAUUCACACUGCUCACACCCACUCUAGAAAAUAAACACCGAAAAGGCCAAAGGAUGAAGAACCACUAUAAGUUCUUUUAUGAAUUUAAAAUGCUAAAGAAACUUGAUUUUGAUGAUAACAAACUACAUAGGGUACAAUGGUAAAUUUAUUUCUCACAAUCUCACAAGUUUUUGAAGGGCAAAAAUCAUUCAAGUGAGAUCAAGAUCAAGAUACUCAAUGGACAAUGACAAUCAAGGACGAAUACUAAGGGUACUAGUUUAAGCAAUCUUUAUUGUUAAAUUUAUUGUAAAGCCAGUAUAAUUUAAUGUGUGCAUGAUUUAACAUUUAAAAGCUCAAGAUAUUUUUCAUGACAUUUUCAAAUUAAAUCAUCAUUUUCUAUAAUAUAAAAGUUUUAACGAUUUUAUAAAAUUAGUUGCUUUUUCCAAAUUUAUGGACUAACUUGAAAAGUUUUGAGAACUUGGAAAUCAACCAAUAAUGUUUUAAAUCCUAGAAAUUGACAUAUUUGUAAAUAUUUCAAACAUUUUGGGUUGUAAUAUAAUUUCAAAAAAAUUAGGUCUAAUCUAUAAAUCCUGGAACAAUAGUGGCUAAUCGCUUAACCAAUAGCGGCUAACUACUUCAAGUCCAAAAACAUAGCAGCUAACCGCUUAAAUCAAGUGGAAUCCGCUUGAACCAAAGUUUUCAAAUUUGAUUUGCAACUGUAACUUACCAUAUCAACAUAGUGGCUAACCGCCUCAUUUUAACGGCGAUCCAGCAAGUCCCUAGAAAAGCCAAUAAUUGCUAGUUUGAUUGUUUAAACUAUAAAAUUCAAAUUAAACUCAAAUCUAACAAUUUUUUUCAAUCUCAAUUAAGCUAAAACUUAUUCAUAUAUCUUGAGGUUUCAUUUUGCUUAUCUACAUACAUUAAUCAUUAUAGGGCUAUCAUUUGCUUAUACACUCUUAUAGAGUGUAAUCUUUGUAAUCUUCAAUUAAAUAUCAAAAUUGAGUGAGUAUAAGUGUGGGAAACACUUGGGAAAAGAGGCGUGUGUAUACAUAACUACUUGUAAAGGUUUAUUGACACCUUAGAAGUCAAUUGUAAAAUCUUGGAGUCUUGGAAGGUUUAGAUAGUAGAAUUCUCAAGUUUGGAUUGCUUGGAGGCGUAGUCAUAGGCGGGUUUGCCGAACCACAUAAAAAUUCAUGUGUUUGUUAUCUUCUCCCUUAUCUUUUUAAUUUCACGCAUUGUUAAAUUUACCAUUAUUAAAUUUCUUGAAGCAUUUGUUUAAUUUGUAUUGUGUUUUUGUUAGUAUAAUUUUUAAUACCUAAUUCACCCUCUCUUGGGUUGCUUAGCUAGAAUUUUAUUUGGUAUCAGAGGAAGUUCUCUUAUUAUAACUUAACCAUCUAGAGUAAAAGAUCUAUAGUAAUCCAAAAUGAUCCCAGAUUUGGGAAAGGUUAAUCCCUUACUAGAUCACCAUUCUUUGAUGGGAAUGAUUAUCCAUGUUGGAAAAUUAUGAUAAGAAUUUAUUUGCAAGCAUUAUAUUAUGAAAUAUAGGAAGUUGAUUGUGAUGGUCCAUUCAUGCCUACUACUAAAAAUGAAGAAGGGAAAGAAAUUCUAAAACUUUCACAAGAAUGGAAUGUGUCAGAAAAGAGAAAAAAUUCUCUUAAUUUCAAAGUCAUGAAUGCUUUGUUUUGUGCCUUAAGGUUGUUCCAAUGCUUAUGAAAUUUGGAAAAAAACAUAAACUCGUUUAUAAAGCUACAAAUCAAGUUAAAUAGUCUAAAAUUAGUAGAUAUACUAGGCAAUACGAAUUGCUAUAAAUGGAACAAAAUGAGAGUGUUAAUUCCAUAUACACUAGAUUUACAAACAUUAUAAACACUUUAGAAGCUCUUAGAAAGGCCUUUUCAAAUAGCGAGAAGGUAAAAAAAAUCAGUAGGUCUUUACCAAAAGAAUAGAGACCUAAGAAAAUUGCCAUUGAGGAAGACAAUGAUACUUUAUCUAUUGAUGAUUUAAUUAGUUCAUUUAUUUCUUAUGAAAAGGAUUUGACAACUUGAAAAGGCAAUGAAGACGAGAAGAAGAAGAGUAUUUCCUUAAAAGCAUCAAGAUCUAAAAGUGACAACGAAAGUGAGAUCGAAAAUGAAGACAUGGCUAUGAUAGCUGGAAAAUUCAAAAAAAAUUUCAAGAAAUCCAUCGAGCGAAGGAAUUCAAAAAUCAGAAAGAAAAGGAGGCAAUUAUUUGCUUUAAAUGCAGGAAGCCUAGACACAUAACACUAGCAUGUCCUUUUCUCAAUAAAGUAAAGAAGAAAGCUAUGGUAGCAACACGGGAUGAUAGUGAUAAGGAGACUAUAGAUGAAGAGUAGUCUCAUGAAGUGUCAAAUUUGGCACUUAUAGUUAUAGGAGAUGAUUAUAGGAGAUGAACUUGAUGAGGUAAACCUCUUAGGAUGAGUUGUUUGAAGUAUUCUCUAAAUUGCAUAAAGAUUUAAAGAAGAUUGGAAUGUAAAAUGUUUCUCUUGGAAAGAAAAAAGUAGAACUUUUAUAUGAGAAUGACACUUUGAAUAAAAAGAUUAAGUGCCUAGAAUUAUUUGUGAAGAAAUUGCAUCUUUUAAAGAAAAAACAAAGUGUUUCAUCUAAGAAUAAAGGUUUACCUGUAAAUGAUUUGAAAAAGAAAAAUAAAAGAUAUUGCUUUAGAAUUUGCUUAGUAUUAGUCAAUUGUGUGAUAAAGGUUACAAAGUUAUUUUUAUGUGAUAAAGGCUAUAGAGUUAUUUUUUUAUAAAACAAAAUGUGUUAUUAAAAAUGCACGUGAUGGCAAAGUUUUAUUUGUUAGAUAAAGAUAUGUUAAUGUAUACACCAUUGAUAUAGAUUGUGUAUCAACUCAUAAUAAAUGUUUUUUUCACAUUACAUGAUGAUAGUUGAUAUGGCAUGGAAGACUAGGUCAUGCGAGCAUGGAUUUUAUUUCAAAAUUUUUUUAAAAUGAUUUGGUUAUAGGUCUUCCAAAAAUUGGUUCUAAAAUAGAUAGAAUUUGUGAAGUUUGCCAAUUUAGAAAACAAAUAAAAUGUCCUUUAAAAAUAAAAUUCAUAUUUCUACUUCAAAACCACUUUAACUUUUUCACAUGGAUUUGUUUGAAUUUUCUAAAUAUGCUAGUCUAAGUGGUAAAUAUUAUGCAUUUAUAAUUAUAGAUGAUUAUUCUAUAUACACAUGGUAUUACUCUUAACUAAUAAAGAUGACACCUUUAAUGCUUUCAAAAUUUCUAUAAAAAGGUUCAAAAUGAAAAAUGAUAUGUUAUUUCUUGCAUUAGAAGUGAUCAUGGUGGAGAAUUUAAAAAUUGUAAUUUUGAAAAUUUUUACAAUAACUUUGGCAUUGAGCAUCAAUUCUUGUCACCAAGAACUCCACAAUAAAAUGGAGUAGUUGAGAGAAAGAAUUAGUCUAUCCAAGAAAUGACUAGGACCAUGUUAAAUAAAAAUGCUUUACUAGAAUAUUUUUAGGUUGGAGCCGUCAAUAUUGUUUGUUAUGUUUUAAAUCGUGCAUUGAUUAGACCUUACUUCAAUAAAACUCCUUAUGAGCUUUGGAAAAAUAGAAAAACAUUGACUAUUUCAAAGUUUUUGGUUGCAAAUGUUUUCUAUUGAAUACAAAAGAUAAUCUUGGUAAAUUUGAUCUAAAAUCUGAUGUUGAUAUUUUUUCUUGGGUAUUCAAAUACAAGCAGAACUUAUAGAGUGUAUAAUAAAAGAACCUUGGUCGCUAAAGAAUCUAUACAUGUUGUGUUUGAUUAAAUCUAACUUUUCUUCUACGAAGAAAGUUGUUGUUGAUAAUGAUGCAUAUGAAGAGUUACAAAAAAAAAAGUCUUUAAAAGACAAACAAGAUGAUUUACUAGGAAAAAAUCAAGAUGAGCAACAAGAAGAACCAGUUAAAUAUAUUCAAAAUGAAGGUAAUUCACAAACACUCUCUAAGGAGCUAAGGUAUGUCUCUUCAGACCCUAAAGACUUAAUCUUAGGAGAUCCUUCAUGAGGUGUAACUACUAGAUAAUCACUUAGAAAUACAUGUGAACAUACUGUAUUCGUAUCUCAAGUUGAACCAAAAUCCUUUUCAGAUGUGGAAAAUUAUGAAUCUUGGAUCAUAGCAAUACAAGAAGAGUUAAAUCAAUUUGAAUGAAACAAUGUAUGGAAACUUGUUCAUAAACCAGAACAUCAAUCUGUAAUAGGCAGUAAAUGGGUGUUUAGGAAUAAAAUUGAUGAAUCUGGUGUGGUUGUAAGGAAUAAAGCUAGAUUAGUAGCUCAAUGAUGCAACCAAGAAAAAGAAAUUGAUUUUGAUGAAACCUUUGCACAUGUAGCUAGAUUAGAAUCCAUUACAUGCUUUUAUCAUUUGCAUAUCAUAAUGAUUUUAUUUUAUAUUAAAUGGAUGCUAAAAGUGCCUUUCUAAAUAGUUGUAUUAUAAAGGAAGCUUAAGUGAAACAAUCCCCUCGUUUUAAAAACGAAAAAUAUUUUUGGAUCAUGUUUACAAGUUGUCCAAAGUUUUAUAUAGUUUAAAGUAAGCAUCUAGAGCAUGACAUGGUAUACUUAGUAAAUUUCUUGUAGAAAAUAGUUUUUCAAUGGGUAAAGCGAAUACUACUCUAUUUGUUAAAUACAAGGAUCAAGGUAUACUUGUUCAAAUUUAUAUUGAUGAUAUUAUCUUUAGUUCUACUAAUGAGUUUCUGUGUAAGGAAUUUUCAUCUUGUAUGAGUAGAGAAUUUGAGAUGAGCAUGAUGAGAGAAUUGAAGUACUUUCUUGGACUUAAAAUUUAAAAAAAAAAUCAUUAAUCAAGCCAAGUAUUUUAGAGAUCUACUCAAAAGAUUUUGCAUUCAGGACUAAAGACACUCCAAUGAGUACUACAAUCAAGAUCGAUAAGGAUAAAAAAAGUAAAGAUGUUGUAUCAAAAGAUAUCGAGGUAUGAUCAUAUCUUUACUUUACUUUACUGCUAGUAGACAUUACUUUAGUGUAUGUUUGUGUGCAUGAUUUCAACCAUAUCUCAAAGAAUCUCAUUUGCUUGCGGUUAAAAGAAUUUUUCAUUAUUUAUGAGGAACAAUUGAUCUUGGUCUAAGGGAACUCAUAUAGAUUAGUAGCUCAAUAAAUUUGUCAAAGAAUCCCAUUCAACAUUUUAGGACCAAACAUAUUGAAAUUAGGCAUUAUUUCUCACGUGAUCAUGUUUAAAUGAGAGAUAUUGCUUUAGAAUUUGUUUCUAUGGAAAAAUAACUUGCUCAUAUUUUUACAAAGCCUUUUUGUGAAGAAUAGUUUUCAAAGAUUUGGCUUGAGUUUGGAAUGAUGACAUUUUCACAUCAAUAUUUCAUUACAUGAUAUUGAGACUACAAAUUUGCUUGAUUUUCUAUCUUGAUUGAUUGUAUGAUAAAAACUUGAUUUUAAUGUGUUAUAUGCUUGAAUUUACUUCUUUGAAUGUUUAUCAUCAUAUCUUAUGCAUUAAAAAUGGCUUUUGAAAUACUUCGGGAUCACAAAAUGGUCUCAAAAUUAAUUAAAUUUUGGCCAAAAAGCAAAAUCGUGCAAAAUUCAGGGGAACUAGCUAACCGUUAACCACAAGCGACUAGCCAAUUGUGAGGCAGAAACUAGCUGGCCAGCCGGCUUAAAGCAAACGGUUAAUUGCUUGGUUUCUAAAAAUGAAACGGUUAACCGCUUUCUUCAAGUGGCUAGCUGGCUUCACGUUUUCAAAUGUUGUUCAUCUUCUUUUUCCCACUUUCAGUUGUUACCCUCUCUCUAUCACUGUCAUCUCUCAUUUCUUUUACUCUCUCUCUAAAAUCUUCCAUUUUUACAUCACUUUUGUGUCAAAUUAAACUUUCCAAAUCAUUUCCCAUCAAUUAAUCUUCACUCAUUCGCUUUUAAAACACAAUCUAAUCACUCUUUUCUCAAAAUCUUAAAGCCUAAGUCACCAGUUUCAACAUUCUCAAAUUUGAACCAUUAUUUGACCAUUUUCGACCAAAAUAAACCCAUACAUUCCUUAGAUAUUCUCAAAGAAUAUUUUAACAUUUUAAUCGGUUCAAAAUCAUCUAUUUCUUUAAAAACUUACUAAACUCAAAUUUGUGCAAUUUUGGACACAUUUUGAUAAUUUCUUAAUGGCUAGUGGUGAGAAGUCCAAGGGUUAGCAUAUGCCUAAAAUGUAAAAAAAAGAUUCAUAAAGACAUUAUGAAAUUUAUUUCCACCCACUUUCCAAAUCCACCUCAAUAGAAUGAUUCUAUGAUCGAUUUAUGACAAGGUCAGUCCUCCCAUCCUAUAUAUGUUAAUCUUGAUUAAUUAGAAAAUUUGUCAAGUUGUAGCAAAACUUUUAGAACUUUACUUGCUGAAUUGGGUUGGACAAAUGUCUUAGUUCUUAAGGAACAUAUUUGUCCUAAUUUGGUACGAUUAUUUUAUUCGAACAUGCUUAUUUAUACAAUUACUGCCAAUAUGAUUAUUACUAAUGUUGCUGGGAUUCCUAUUAAGUUUACAGUAGAAGAUUUAAACAUGAAUCUCAGGACUAGGAAUGAUAGGUUGCAUUUGUAUACAUCUAGGACUAAAAUUGAUUAUCCCUGGUAUUCAGGACUAGGAAUGAUAGGUUGCAUUUGUAUACAUCUAGGACUAAAAUUGAUUAUCCCUGGUAUUUAGUUGUAGAUGAUGUUUGAAACAUAGAUGUUCGAAAAAUAUGUAGGUGAUCUGAUCUAUCCAUGGAGCUUUUUAAUUCCUCUCUUAGAUCACAAAUGUUGCCUCUUCAAGUUCGGAUCCUACAUAGUGUUCUUCAGCUUGCGAUCAGUCCUCGCAAGGGACAUGGUGCUAAGGUUACACGCUUAGAUGUUACUUUAUUAGAUAGCAUCCUUGAGGGUAAAAGCUAAAUGUGCGAAUAUUAUCAUUCAGCACAUGCUUAAUACACUGAGUAUAGGAAACCGAUCCUUUUCAGUUGAUAGUGUCAUUACCCAUAUCCUUCAAUAUUUUUGGGUCCCUAUAGCUGAACCAUCUCAUGAUGAACCCAAGGAGUUAGGGGAUGAGGUCAUUGCUAGCUUAGGAUUUGGGUGGGUAGAUGACCAAUAGGUUAAGAAUCAGAACUUGUUGAGCAAACCCACAAAGCUGGCUCUUUUUUAUCAUUGCAUCUUUAACGAUGUGCUUCCCAUUACUGGGUUCUUGAUCUUAGCUCUUCCCUGAGGUCACAAGCUCUACAUUGGCCUUCUGAUGCUCCACCACCAUCAUCUUCAGCCAUUCCCAAUAACCCAAUCCAGCAGUUGUUGAAUAAAGUGUGUUCCAUAUCCGAGUAGUAGAGCAAACUUAAGAUACCGUUCGCAGCAUUCCAGGAUCAUUUUCUUUCUGAGCAGCAGCGUCUCUUUCUUCAACAAUAACAAAUUCUAGACCAUCAGCAGCUUAUUUUCAUUGCUCUCAAAUUUUUGCCACCAUCCUUGUUAUCAUGUUUGCCGCCUCAUCAGUGAUUUUCUUUUAUCUCUUUUGCUUCCUUGUUUUAUGCACCGACAUUAUUUAUCAUAUGCAUUUUCGUUUUUAGCAUUAUGGAUACUUGAUGGAUGUUAUUUUACUUAUGCAUUAUAGAUACUUGAGUUAAUAUGGAUUAUCUUUAUGCAUUCUAGUUAUUGAUCGUGGUAUCUUUAUUAGUUAUCUUUAUGGAUUAUCUUUAUUGAUUAUGGAUUAUGUAUAUGGAUACUUGAUUAAUGGUCAUGUGUGGAUUCUUGAUUGAUGAUCUUUGUGGGGGAUAAUUAUUGAUAAUAUUUGUAUAAUAGAGGAGUGAUUUUUCAUGAUGAAGGGAGAGAAGAUAUUGACAUGUAUUUUGAAGUGUUUUGACAUGUUUUUGGCUCAUGGGGGUUGAUUGAGUGUUUGUAGUAUUUUAGUUACUUUAUGAGUCACUCAAGGAGAGUUUACAAAUGUUGUACAAUUAUAUGGAUCAUGUACUUAGAGGGAGUGAGUUUAUAUAUUUGGUUAUAUUUUUUGAAUUAUGUCAUAUAUUCAGGGGCAAUAGAAAUGUCAAAAUACAUAGAGUGUUUGUCAUCAUAAAAAAAGUAGAGAUUGUUGGGGUAAACGACUAUAUGAUCCUUAAUUUUGAUGAUAACAAACCACAUAAGGUAAAAUGGUAAAUUUAUUUCUCACAAUCUGACAAGUUCUUAAAGGACAAAAAUCACUCAAGUGAGAUCAAGUUCAAGUCACUCAAUGGACAACAACAAUCAAUGAUGAAUGCUAAAGGUACUAGCUUAAGCAAUCUUCAUAGUUAUAUUUCUUGUAAAGCUAAUAUGAUUUAAUGUAUGCAUGAUUUAGUAUUUAAGAGUUCAAGAUAUUUUUCAUACAAUUUUCAAAUUAAAUCAUCAUUUUCUAUAAUAUAAAAGUUUUAAACGUAAAUAAAAAUGAUUUUAUAAAAUUAGUUGUUUUCAAAUUUAUGGACUAAAUUGAAAAGUUUUGAGAACUUUGAAAUCAACUAGUAAUGUAUUAAAUUCUUGAAGUGGACCUAUUUAUAAAUAUUUCAAAAUUUUUAGGCCAUAGUAUAAUUUUAGGAACUUUUAGUUUAAAUCUAUAAAUUUUGAAACAGUAGCGACUAACUGCUUAACGAAUAGUGGCUAACUGCUUCAGGUCCAAAAACAUAGCUGCUAACCAUUUAAAUCAGGCGACAAUUCGCUUAGGCAAAAAAGUUUUUAAAUUUUAUUUGUAACGGUAACUUACCACAUCAAUAUAGCGACUAACUUCUUUAUUUUAACAGCAAUCCGGUAGGUCCUCAGAAAGUCAAUUACGACUAGUUUGAUUGUUUAAACUAGAAGAACCCAAAUCAAACUCAAAUCUAACAACUUUUUCAAUCUCAAUUAAGUUAAACUUGUUCAUACAACUAAUCCUGAGCUUUCAUUUUACUUAUCUACAUGCAUUAAAUCAUUAUUGAGUUAUCAUUUGCUUAUACACUCUUAUAGAGAUUAAUCUUUGUAAUCUUCAAUUAAAUAUCAAAAUUUUGUGAGUAUAAGUGUGGGAAACACUUGGGGAAAGAGGUAUGUGUAAACAUCACUACUUAUAAAGGUUUAUUGACACAUUACAAGUCAAUUGUAAAAUCUUAGAGCCUGAGAAGGCUUGGAUAGUGGAAUCCUCAAACUUAGUUUGCUCGGCAGCAUAAACAUAGGCGGGUUUUGCCGAAACAUGUAAAAAUUCGUUUGUCUGUUAUCUUUUCCUUUAUUUUUUUAAUUGCAUUCAUUGUUAAAUUUACUGUUAUAAAUUUCUUAAAGCAUUUGUUCAAUUUGUUUUGUAUUUUUGUAAGUAUAAUUUUAAUACCCAAUUCACCACCCUCUUAGGUUGUGUAGAUAGAAUUUCACAUUUGUUGUACAACAACAACAACAGCAAUAACAAUAAUAAUUGUUAUAAUGGUUGUAACAAUUACUAUUGAAAAAAAUUUAUUGUUAAUAAUAGUAGAAAAUAAGAAAAAAAAAGGAAAUUAUCCACUAACCAUGUAGUCUUUGGGACUUUUUCAAAAAUACACAAAAAAAAACUUUCUUUGUAGAAAUCCACCUAGAGUUUAUUAAUUAUUCAUUGUCAUCUUAGCUCAUUAGAUUCUUGUUGAUGUCAUAAGAUUAAAAUUAUCAUUUUACUUGAACACCUAAGAUUAAAAUUAUCCUUUAGAGUUUCUUUCGCUGGGGCUGGUGACCUUAGUGGUUAGAUUUGCUAGAUAUGGUCGUGAGAAACUCGACAAUGACCGAGGAUUGGCUGGAUUCACGGUGGUUUGGUCAAAAAUCUGACUUGAAUUGGCAUUUGUGGUGCUUCAUUCAUGUUGGAGAUUUUGAUUGCGAUUUGGAUAUCGACAAUGAGAAAGUGGCAUUUGCGGUGGCGCUAGGUGAAGCCCGGGUUUUGGGUUAGCGUUGUGGCGAUUUAUGGCGGUGAUCAUUGUUGGGUUUUGUCAAGUUAUGACCAGUGGAAUGUAGCAAGUUUAGUGGUGGUGUUGGUUGACAGUGAAGAUGGUUGGUUUCACGGUGGCAGCUGGUGGAUGCUCCCAGUUUUAGGUCUAGAUGAUUUAUAGUAGGUACAAGCGGCGAUUGAUGGCAGGAGUGGCUAAGGCUUGGUCAGUAGUGGCUAAUGAGUUUGGUAGAGGGAUUAGCCAAUGGUGAACUAUUAGUGAAGAGUGGCAGUGGCGGUGGGCGGCUGCUAAGGUUUUGUAAUUUUGUAAUAUUUUUUUGUUGGAUAAACAGUUAUGAAUUUGGUGGGGAUGGAUAUGGGUAGCCAGGAAAACUGUGCAAUUGGCAUUGAACCACUCUAAUACAAACUAACAAAUUGGAAUAGCGGAAGUGGAAUUGAUAGAGUAGGAAAUAUUAGCUAUCAUUCUAAUACUGGCUAAGGUAAUGUGGAUAGUUUACGUCCUAAUCGAAACGUGAGUAGAUCUCAUUCUAACAAUGGCUCAAUGAGAUUUUAAUAACGCAUAAAGCAAGAUUAGACGACGUUCUAAUCCAAAUAACUUUGUAAGAGAGAUUUUGAUAAAUAAUUUUAGAGAGAAUUAUUAAAAAGGGCUUUAUUAGUUGAUCAAUAGUUGAAGUUACAAUAAUAAGAUUUUGAUUUAUAAUAUAAUAAACCUACUUCACUAAGUUAACUUAAAAAGAAAAACUAAAUCACAAUUUUAAUAGAAAUAAAAAACUAAGACAUAUACCAUAGUUGACUAUAAUUAAAAUAGAAAACAAUAAAAUAAUAAAAAUUAUAGAAUCCUAAAAUAAUGUCUACAUCGUAUCCUCACUAAAAUAAAAAUAUAAAAGUAAAGCAAAUUGUGGUAUAACAGACUUUAAUUCUAUCACUCUUCAAUUUUUUUGUUUAUUAAUUAAUAUUGGUGUCUAUGGUUAAAUUUGUUAUUUUUUAUAACAAUUUUAUUUGUUAAUUGAAAUAUUUAGUCUAUGUAAACAAAAAAAAAAUGGUUGGAAAGAAUGAGAGACGAAGGGGGAGAGAGAGAGAGAGAACAAAGUCAAACAAAUAAUUUAUUGAAUUAUAUUUUAAAAUUAAAUUUUAAUUUGAUUAAAUAAAUGAUGUAGUGAGAAAAUGAGUAGGUUCAAAUAGCUUUACUUAUAUUUAUUUCAUUAAUGGCUCAAAAUUUAAUGAAAAUAAAUGGUUUUAAAAAAAUUGCAUUUAAGUUGCAUAAUUCAAUGAGUAGUGCCACACAUCCUAAAUCUUUUAUCUUAAAAAAUUAUCUCAAAUGAUAUGGUAUUCAUCAAUAGAUUGAAGAGAUAAUACAAUUAAUUCACUCAAAUCUUGAAAGAAUUACCUACUAUUCAAGUAAUGACACACCAUUUGGGAUAAAAAAAAUUUGGAAUAUCUAUCAUUACUCUAAUUAAAAAUAAACCUAUCACUGGAUGAUUAAUUAUAGUAGGUUGCUUAAUACUAAAAUGUCACUCAUAAAUUUUGUUUUGGAUUUGUAAUUGAUUUAUCUUAAUUCUUCAACUUGACAUAAGGUCGUUCUCCUCGUUUCUGUACACUUAAAAGUCACCAAGAUCAAAACUAGAUCUGUCGUUGCAUUUGCUUGAAAAAUAAUUUACAAGCACUAGGUUCUCCUGAUUAAGCAACAUUUUUAAAGGGUUAUGAUAGUAGUGGAGCACUUUGUAAAUAUUAGAUGGAUUGUUGAAAACAAUAAAAAAUGUUUGUGUGUUUUUUAUAAAGGCUAAAAGAUGAAGUGGUCUAUGGAUAAUUACUUAUUUUUUCCCUUUUUAUCUUAAUCAUAUUUGAACGACAUCCUUUUAUAGUUCCCAGGCAUUCUGCAACUAUAAUAGACAAUUUUAAUAGGAACUACAGAGAAAAUAUUAAUAUUUUUAUACUUAUUUACUUACCUGAUGGAUAGCUAGAUAAGUGUUACUUUUCACACAACUAGACCAAAUUAGUACCCUUUUUGGUUGGUGAAAACGUGAUUUUUAUGAAUAUGCUAUAGAUGCUUUCAAACGUUUCCACAGUUUACGAAUUUACGCAUUAAACGAAAACCUCCAACUAUCAAACAAAAAGGUGAAAAUUCAAUAGAAUCGACAACUUCUCAGACUCACGUAGGUGGUGGUUCAAGUUUCUAAACUACUAUUAUUAUUAACAGUUUUGAAAAGCAAAUAGUAACUUCAUUUCACAGCAUCUGCUUUUGAGAAAGCUCAGAUGUAAUCAAAAUUCCAAAACCACUCUAAAUAUGUUAGGGAUAUGACCAUAAAUAGAAGUUAAAUAUGAUAGGAUAUAUAGUUGUUCAUAGCUAACAUUUGAUGGUUUAAUUAUUUGUUCUAGGGAUUAUGCGCUGAUUAGUGUUUUUUGUUAUCCACUGAAUGAUAUUCAGUUUUUCUUACAUGUUCAUAGGCAAGAGCAUUUUCUAAGUACUUUCCUUCCCUUAAAAUUUUGAAAGAAAGAUAGAUAUGAUAUGUGAAGCAAGCCCAAUGAAAUAAGCAAAUAAAAUAGAAUAAACGAAGCAAAAAUAUUUCUAGAAACAAGAAAUGACAAAGGAAACACGAAUACAACUUUUUUCUUGUUUUCCUUAUUUUCCACUGUUAAGCUCCAAAAUGAAUAACUUUAUUCUACCAUCUCUCAAAUAAUAAAAACAUCAACAGCACAUCAUCGUCAUCAAUAAUAAUAAUAAUAAUAAUAAUAAUAAUAAUAAUAAUAAUAAUAAUAACAACAAUAAUAAUUUAACUUUGUAGUAUGGAGCUCUCGCAAAUCUUCAAGACACAAAAUGUGCCUGACCCCGUUGUUGUUAUUAUAAUUUCAAAAUGAUUUGUAUUAUAUAAAAUUAGGGAAUAAGACAUAGCAAAAUUGAUGGUACAUAUGUUGCAAUAUACUUGUUCAUGUAGCGACACAUUAAAGUAAAGCAAAAGCGAAACAACGAAAAAUGUAACGGGAGAGCUCUUAUUAUGUAGAUUUUCAAUAGAAGUAAUGCAAAUUUCACAAGGGCAAUGGCCUUAUUUCGAAUGUUGCACCGGAGGAAUGACAUGAACCUUCGAUACGUCACAAAUGUAUCAUGAAAGUGUGAUAGAUUUGUGACAUAUAUUUAUUUAUUUAUUUAUUUUUUGGUCUUAACCACGAGGUAUUCUGGGGAGGGCUCCAACUGUGGAAAACAUCUUUAAGCCCGUACCACAACUCAGACUACAAGUUUCCGCUCGAACCGGGAGGCAUAAGUUCUCCCAACAAAAGCGACUUUCCUACAACUCGAACUAGGGAGCAAACCCAGUCAAGCCACUUAAGGGGACUCCAUUGCCAGUGGAGCCAACACUUUGUUGGUGUGGCAUAUAUUUAUAUGUUCAGAGUUUAUGACAUAUUCAUGACUUAUAACUUAACUAACAUAAAUAAAUGAUAGAUAUAAGUGAUGCUCAAGUUUUGUGGAUUUAUAAUAUCAUAAAAUGAUGACUAUUUAAACGACGUCGUUUUUAUGAAACUUAAAACAUACCAACACUUCAGCCAAAUAUCGACAAGUGUUGAAUAAACCCCUCUCUCGCUGCAACCUAAAAUCAAUGAACUUUGAGCCAUUCUCAACAACAUUGUGUAGAACCCUAGCCCUAACCCUCACUUCCACCACCGAUAAAGCUAAGAAAGUUUUCCGUAUAUCAGAACCAUGGCGAAUUGCCUUCAGCUCUUAGGACCCAUAAUAAAUCUUGUAUUCCCUCGCUUUCACUUUGCUAAUUUUUUGUAUUAUUCCAUCUCUUUCACUUUAAUAACCCAAAAUCUUUCUCUGUUUCAAUCGAAAGAAGACCCUAGCUUAAAUUAAGCUGAAAUUUACAUAUCAAAGCUCUCGCUCAGCUUCCCUCCUUCAAUUGAAACAAAACGAAGCCAUAAGACCCCAAUAUGCCACGCCCUUUUGUCUCAGGCCAACAUUCAUUUAAACCCUACCUUUCGGUUCAAUGCCAUUUAAUGCGAUUGCAGAUGCCGUUUCAACUCAUUAUUUAGUUAACGCCAUUCAGUUCUUUGCGGUAAGCCUUAACCCUAAUAACUAAUCAACUGUGGUAGCACGUUGCUGACUGGGGUGGGAAUACAUUAAUUGAAUAUAUGAAUUGGGUGAUGUCAGUGAUUCAUCCCCCUAUUUGCCGUUAAUGGAGAUUUGUGUAUAAUGUUUGUAAGAUUGUUAAAAAUUUCAUGUUCCAGUCGAAUUUCUUGCUUGUGGAAGAUAAAACAAAAGUUUAAUCUAUAUAUAUAUAUAUAUAUAUAUUAGCUUCUUUAUAGUCAGGCUCUGGCUUUGCUGCUAUGCUUAGUGCAGUUUAUGGUUUCAAGAUUAAAUUAGGUUUAUUUGACGACAUUGAUAUCUUAUCUAGCUCCGCUUGAAAAUGAAAAUGUUGUACUAGUAAUCAUAGACUUUGUUUAUUCAGUUGAUAUUUUAAUUAUACAUAUAAGAAUGAAGGUUUAUUUGGGAAAAAAAGAAAUAAAGAAAUAGGCUCUGUUGAAGCUAAUUAAUACUUCAUUCUUUCUAUACGUGCGACCUGUGGUGGAAACAUGAUAUGAAAAUGUGUUACUGGUGAGGUUGCUGCUUGAGAUGAGAAUGAUGAGAAUGCCUUCUAUUCGGAAAUCCUUGGUAGGUAUUAUAUAAUUAUAUUUGAUGGAAUAUUAAAUAGCUAAAGAAUCUGUGAUAUUGUCUUUGUUCAAUUGUUACUGUAGUAGUGUUUGUUGGUCUUUUUCUGGUUGGCGUUUGGAUGUUAAUGUCAUCAUCAGUUGUACUGGUGUGGGAUCCAGGAUGUUGUCCUCUUAAGAGCCUAUAAGCAAAGUGAAACAGAGAGUAUCUGAGAUUUUUCUGGGCCUUUCGUAGAAAAUCAAGGUGAUGAAUGACAGGAUUCAACAAAUGGGGAUGGGGAUGAUGUUCCUGUUGAAAAGUUAGAGAAUAGAGUGGAAGAUAAUCACGAAGAGAUGAAUAUGUAUGAGGGUGAUGGUGAGACGAGUGAAUCUAAGAAUAUGGUUAAUCAAAACCAGGAAGAGAAUUUAGUGAAGGAGAGUUUUGAUGAGAAUACUGAGUCUGAAGAGGAAUCUAGGGCGGUGUCUAAAAAUUAUGAUGUUAGAAAAAAGGAAGAUAAGGAAUCUAAAAGUGAAGGUGGAGAUUUGAAUUAAGAAGCUGGAGAAACAGAAGGCGGCGAAUUGAAUAAAAUUGAGCAAAUUGAAUCAGAGAAGAGCUUGGAUGAAAAUAAAUGGAUCAGGCUAGUCAGAUUGAAAAGGAGAAGGAUUCUCAAGAUCAAGAUAAUGACACUGAGAGUCGUUGAAAGGAUCAGGCUUCAACUGAGAUUUUUCCUUUUGGUGACUAGUCAGAAAUUCUGAAGGAAACUAAUGCUCAGAAUGGGGCUUGCUCAACUCAACCUAUUGAGUCAUAGAAUCAGAAAAUAUCACAACAAUCUUCUAUAUCUAAGGACCAGUAUGGUCGUCGCUGGAAAGUGUGUAAUGCCACUGCUAGGCCAGAUUGCAUCCCUUGCCUGGAUAAUUUGCAAGCAAUUAGAAUGCUUUCCAGCACAAAAGCAUUAUGAACAUCGAGAGAGGUAUUGCCCUGAAGAAGCUUGUACCUGUAUUGCUCCUUUACCGGAAGGAUACAAACACUCAAUUAAGUGGCCCCAAAGCAGGGAUAGGGUAUGAUCUUAUAUUAUGCAUUAUAAAAUAUAUACUUGACUACUUUUAAUUCACUUGGGCUAAGAUUUGUUCUCAUGCUGUGUGGGAUAGAUUUGGUAUUAUAAUUUUCCCCACACAAAGCUUGCAGAAGUUAAGGGUUAGCAAAAUGGGGUUAAAGUUACUGGUGAAUACCACAUUUUUCCAGGUGGCAGAACUGAAUUUGAGAAUGGUGCUCUUCAUUACAUUGACUUCAUUCUGAAGGUGAGCAUUUUUCAUUUAUCAUUUUAUGUCUGUUGUUAGCUUCAAUUAAUAGGUGGCUUAUUCUUUUCUUUGUAUGAACCAUGGGCGGUCCAUUUCAUCUUAUAAGCUAUUUCUUGGGUUUUAGCAAGACAACUUAUGGAGGGUAUACAGAGGCUCAAGAGCUCGAUUGCCAUUCAUUUUACACUUGGCUGGGCUAUAGUAUACCAACUAGUGAUUAAUAAAGAGAAGGUAUGAAGGUCCUGUUGCUGGUGGUAUUAUCAAUCAGAAUUGUUAUUUUACUUAGUCAUACUUACCAUGUAUACUAUUCGUAGGCUUUUUCAUUUUCAUGCAUUCGCAUCAUCUUCUGGUUAAGCUACAGAUGGUUGAUUUGUGUACUCAUUUGUAUCACUUGUAGCUCUUGAGGAAUAAAAUUUAAAAUUAUGUUGCAUCCCUUGUACUAAAUAGUAAUUUUGUUGGCUUUAUGCAUGGGAAAUGGUUUGUUGUCUUAUUUCUUUGAUGUGUAUGGUGUUACACUGUCUAAAGUUAAGAAGUAUUUCUAUCACUUGUGUAAAAAACAACCUACUUUUUUCAUUCUUCUUAUAUUGAAUAAAAGAGGGACACCAAGAUUGAACGAAAUUUGAUUCAGAAAGCAUAGCAAUUAGGCCAGUUCAAAACAGCUUCCUUCUGAUUCUUUGAUAUUUGACUUAAAUCUUUUGUUUGUUUCAUUUAUCAAAGUCAUUUUGGAAAGUAACGGGGGUGAUUUGAUAUUUUCAUUGCAUUCACAUCCCUUAGGCACCAAAACAAGCAUGCUGGUACUAACCAACAAUUUUUUAUUUUCAGUAUACAAAUUAUUUUUUUCUAAAUUAGGGGUAUUAAGAAAAGGUAUACUAGCACCAGGGGAGGUAUUUGAGAAUACACAAAUACAAUCUAUUAAACUAAGAAUAUGUCAAACUUCAGGGGAGGUUUCUGAUAAAUCUCUUUUACUUUUUCCUCCAUUCACCAUAGGUUCAAUUUAGAACAGUUGACCAAACCGAAGGUUUAGGUUGGUAAACGCACUAGUGUUAAUGUCAACAACCCAAGGGGCUUCAUGGUCCUCUGGGCUGAAAUAGCGUAAUUAUUAAUUCUCCUCCAGUGAAAAUCUUCAUCUUGGGACAAAUAAUUACAAAUUGACAUUAUGGCUAUGCAAAUUUUGAGGUGUAAUAACCGGAAAAAUAAAAAUCUUAAGAGACUUUUUAAAUAAAAAAGAUACAACACCUUUAAUUUGCUAAAAGUAAUGAUAUCAUUACUUGUAUGGAAAAUGGAUGAUUAGAUUUUCUUUUUUGUUAUCCGACGAAGGAUAUUCAGUUGUUCUUUAUUUGUUCAUAGGCAAGAGCAUGAGCAUAUGCAUGAUUUGAUAUAUGCUUCUUGCAUUUUCUAAUUAAGUGCUCUCUUUCCUUGCCUUCUUAGUUUUGAAAGAAAGAUGUGAAGCAAAGCAAACCCAGUGAAAUACACAGAGCAACAGAACCAUCAGAGGAAAAACUAAAUAACAGAACUACAAUUGAACCAAACAAAAUCAAAUAAACGGACGCAACAGAUGCCCUGAACCUAGUAAUUACUCAAGAGUUGAGGAGUUGGAAUGAUUUGGUAUUCAUAUCUUCACAAAUCAUAUGCUUUAAUGCAGAAUCGACAGCUUUAUAUUAUUUUAUUCAAAAAACGAUAAAGCAGGAAAACCACAAUAAUCCACCAACUUUUGAUACUUGUAGGAAUUUUUUUUAGUCAAAUUAAGUUUCAUGAUAACACAAGUGGCUCGUCCACACACUUGCACUUGCUUGAAUAUUUGUGCCGACAUUUUCAUAUGUGAUGGUACUUCUUAGCCAGUAGAUAUGUUGAAGUACUACAAAACAGAGUAUUUGAUGAAGUUUUGCUACUUUCGUAUCCCAUUUUGUUGCAUAACUAAAUUCUUUAUAAACACAAAUUAGAAAGCUACAAAUAAUACAGUAGCUUGAAUUUAUAUGCUUUUAUGAUUAUUUGAUAAUCUAGUGCUGACAAUAUGUGAUGAUAAACUUAGCUAGUAGUUUUAUAUUUAUUUUCGUAGUUUCUUUAGCAUUCACAUUUUGAUGAGUAAAUUAAGGAUUUCCAGAUGAAGUACAUAAUCAGAUUAAUGCUAAGGAACUGAAGUUUGAUUAAUUGAAAACAAAAAUAAUAAUGAAGGUAAUUACGAAAAUGAACAAUGCAGAAGUAGUCCCUAUAGUAUUUCUAAAUUUUCUCUUGGGGUUCCUUAGUAUUCCUUAAUAUUUUUAAAAGAUGACAUGACGAUCUUUGAGUUGACAAAUCUAGGCCUGCUGCUUAGUACCCUUCCAACAUUUCAAGUACUAGAUGUUUUACUGAGAAAAUGACAAGAUCAUUUAUCAAAUUUCUUGCGCAUAUAUACAUAUGCAUACAAGAAAUGGGAAUCAGAGUGAUUAUAAGACCUUGCAAUGAGACAAUAAUACAUCAUCAAAUUUAAAAAUACACAAGAAAUUUGUGACGUAUAUAUAACAAAAGACCUCUCAUUGAGUUAUACAUAUUGAGAAUAAAAUGUCAAAAUGCAGACAAAGAGCUUAUACAGAAAAUGAAUAAACCGUCUUUGAACUUCCGAUGGUCAAACAAAGGAAACAGGCAGGAUAUAACACACACUAUCAUAGAUGUAGCGACACGAUGAAGUAAAUCACAUGAAGAUGGAAAGGGGAACCCCUCACAGCAUAAAAUUUGAAUAGAAGGGGGAAAAAGGCUUCAUUUCAAAUGUUGCACAGAAGAAGAGUGACUUGAAUCUCCAUCAGUAUCCAGACAUUCUGCAAACACAGUGCUGAGAAUUUUAACAAGAAUAACAGACAAAAUAUUGUGCUCUCUAUACUUUCACAAAACUAGACCAAAUUAGUUCCCUUUUUGGUUUGUGAAAACUUGAUAUUUUUUAAAAUUCUAUCCAAUGCUUUCAAACAAUAUUUCCACAAUAUAGUUGUUCAUAGCUAACCUUUGAUGGUUUAAGGAUUUGUUGUAGGCAUAAUGGGCUAAUUAGAUUUUUUUUUUUAUCCGAUGAAUGCUAUUCAGCUGUUCUUAAUUAUGUGUUCAUAGGCAAGACCAUUUUCUUAAGUACUUUCGUUGCCUUCCAAGUUUCCAAAGAACAAACAGAGCACAAACAAAUAUAACGGAACAGCAAUGAUGGCAAUAAAUAAUUGGCAAAGAAAGAAAGAAAAAAGUUUGCAUGAUUUCAAGGAAUUGUAAAAUCUGAAGACUUUCAACAGGAAUUAUAAAAUCUGAAGACUUUCAACAUGCAAGUGUUGCCCCUUUUGAUGAAAUUUCAUCAUAAAAUGCUUGCAAAGAAUUAUAAAAUUUUAGAGAACAAGCGAACUCUCAAACAAAAUACUCAAAUUAAAUUAAAUUAGACCAAAAGACACUCAAUGACGCAAAAUCUGCCCAUAAAAGCCUGAACAAAUCAUGAAAAGUGCAUUCCAUAUUGACAGUAAACCAAGUGACCGAUUCUAAAUAAUUGAGAUGAAAUUGUGAAACAACCCACGAGAUCAAAUAAAUAAAAUAAGAAUUAAUUACCAGCUUUGACUUUCUUCUCCAAAUUCGCAACUCCAAGACAUAAGAAGCCAAUGAAAUUAGUCGUAACCCAUAAAGUACGACGACGACCCCGCCAAUAGCUGAAAAUAAAAUACUUAUUCAUCAAUUUAAACUAACUUUAUAACAAAUAUCUUAUCGAUAUUUUAUUUAAAAAAAGCAAAUUUGUAAAAUUUUUCCAUGGGAGAUAGAGAGUAAUAUGUAUAUCCGUACCUUUUCAGCAUGUAAUUGUUGUAUGGUUGUGUUAAGAUCAUUAUUUGCCCAACGGCGUUGAUCCUCUUACUCUCCAUACGAGACGUUUACUCUCGGAGGCGUGUUUGAUUCUCCUGAAGUGAAAGUCUUCAUCUUGGGACAACCAAUCACUUCUAGAUAUUCCAGAGAUGGGAAUUUGAAGGUGUAAUUGGCAGAGCAGAAACUUGUGAGACUGUCUAAAUCGCACAGAAUCAACGCCUUCAAUUUGCUGAAAACAAUCUCUUCUAUGUCAACUCCUUCUUUGUCAUUUAUUACCACCUCUGUCAUUGCUCUGCAUCCAUAUACUUGCACUGAUACGAGUCGCACCAGAGUUUUUGCUGUGGAGGAUGUUACGAAGUGUAUCAAUUCCUUGCAACCGACAGCUACCAGUUUUGUUAGGUUCCGAAAAGAUACCGAUGAUGAUGGCAAUAGACUUAACAGAUUUUGACAAUGAUAUACUUUUAGAAUUUCAAGAUAUUGAAAAAUGGAGUCAAGUUUGGAGUCUUGUUUACAUAGCUGCUUCAGAUGAUUAAGGUGGCCCAGCUCUAUACAUUUUAUCAUUGCCAACUUCCUCAAACGUUUCUCUAAGCAUCCUUCCGUUGAAAAUAGCUCUUCGUAUGAACAAUGAUACAGUAAGAGUAAUUCGAGAUUGUGAAAUCUCUCAAGUACAUUCCUGAUUGGAAAACAAGCCGAGUCAUCAUAAGUUAUGUCUAGUUUUUUAAGACUGCCAAAAAGGUGUUGAGGGAAAUCGGCGUCCAAAAUCAUCUUCACAUCUUUUCCGCUUAACGCCAGUGACUCCAAGUUGGGUAAGAUCUGAUCAUUAUCAAUCACGUAGUAACUAAUCAGUCAGUUGAUGUUCUCUCCAAUAAUUUUGAGUAAUCCAAUCAUAUGCAGCGACCUUAUAGUACUUGUUGUAGAUUAUAUAUAUUUUACCAAAAAAAAAAAAAAAAGAAAGGAAAAAUUGAAUUAGUGAUAAAAUUCAUUCUAGGGGCCGUUGAAUUAGUGAUAAAAUUGAAUUAGUGAUAAAAUUCGGUUAUAUUUUUCAAAGUCAAAAGUCGCUAAUGAUCUAAUUGAUAAGAAAUCUAGAAAGCGGCUUCAUACCUUUUUGAACAAGAAUAGGGGCCGUUGUGCAGGAAUACCAAGUUGAUCAUCCUCAUUAUUUUGUGAUGAAUCUGCAGCGAAUGUCUUCAAUUUGUCACAACCAGACACCACUAAAAUUUUUAGUGCAGGCCAUUCCGAAGUAAGCAUUCCAUGGUAUAAACAUUUAAGUUCUGGUAGCUCUUGGAGUAUAAGAGUGGUCACCCGUUGAAAGACAAAACGAGGGGUCACAUGAUCUACUCUGUCUUCCGAAAUGAUCUCUUGCAAACCCCUACAAUUCACUAUCUCUACUUGUUGGAGAUGCUCAAAGCUUUGAAUCAUAGAAACUAAAAAUAUGUAUUUCAAUUUGUUACAGUGGCACACAAUCAAUCGUGUUAAACUUUGAAAGCGAGGAAGCAUGACCGGACGAUGAUUGUAAUGCCAAAUCUUGUCGACAUUAAUUUCAGAUAUCUCCAAAGCCUCCAAGUUAGGCAAGCCUACCUAAAAAAAUAUUAAUUUCUUGUUAGAUCCAACAUCCAUAUGAGAAGGACUUAUUGAAAUUUUCUUCUUUGAUUGCAGAUUAAUAAUUCAAGUCAAAAUCAAUUUCCAACUGACAGCUGAGUAUGCAUUCUAAUUCAUAUUACUUGUUAAGAGCUCAAUUAGUGAGUGCGUGAGAUUCUUUUUAUCUUUUUUUUUUCACUUUCUUUCAAUUCUUUAAAUGAUUUAAUUAUUUUCCACGUAUGACAUCAAAAGAGAAUGCACAAUAGCAUAAAGAAAGUGUUAGCCUACGCACCUUGCCGUUGAAAAGCAGGGUUUCCAAAUUGAUUUCGUUGGAGCAAGAACUUGUCAAUUCCUCUUGCAGCCCUUGUCUGUUUAGUGAUGCUGAAGGAGUCUUCAAUUUACGGAAAAAAGUUGUAACCUCUGGAAGAUUUCCUAAACUCAAAGAUCUUAAUUGAGCCAACUCUAUCUUCUCAGUAGCAUUAUUGUUGUCAACAUCAGCUUCUCCCCCAGUUGCAAAAAUCUCUUUCAUCUUGCUGCAAUUAAUAACUGCAAUUCUCUCAAGUCUUGGAAGGCAUUUUGCAGUGGAGAGCCAGAAGAUAUUACUCAACUCAUUACAAUUUUCUACUUUUAUUGUUUUGAGUUUAUUGAAAGACUCUACUUUGAGUCGAUCAAUGCAUAUCCUCUCCAUGUUGAUCAAAUUGUGAAGAGUCAGCGACUCCAAAAGAGGAAAGGCAUCACAAGCGACCAUCUCCAUUGAGUCGACAAUACAAAAGAAGUCAGGAUUAUUUUGAACCCAGAGAAGCUUCAAUUGUGGUACGCCCUUUGUGUCCAAAUCGAAAAGAACAUUUUUGACACCUUGUAGCUUGUCCAACAAUAAGUAUUCAACGUUAUUGAUGGCCUGCAAUUUCAUGGAGCAAAUGUCCAUAAAAUCAAGCUUGAGCUUCAACUCUCUUAAACGCUCAUGAUUAUUGUUGAUCAAAAAGUGCGACCGACUGCGAAACCAAUCUUUUGUAACAGGCAAGGAAGCCAUGAAUGACUUAUUUCCAAUAGAUAUUUUGAACCUUUUGAGCUUUCUGGCCAAAAAGCCUUCCGGUAAAAUACUGUCAUUUUUAACAUCAACACUUCGGGAAUGUCAUUAAUAAUACUAUCUUUUAAAAAAAUUGCAGGAUAUUUUUUUAAUGCAUCUGCAUCUGGCCAUUUCCACAAAUGCAAUUUUGUCACGACAUGCAAUUGAAAUGGCAACAUCGCGAACAACAUCAUGCAUGGAAAAUAAUUUACUGCUACCAUCCUUAAGCAACAAACAAGAGUCUCUUAGUUGAUUGACCCAUGCAUCUAAUUUGUUAUGUGCAUCUUCUAGUUUAUGGACACUUUCAAAUGCACCCAAGCCCACGCUAUAUUUGAACAAGUCCAUAAUUGAAGUUGGUGUAAUUAGACUACACAGUAAAAAAGUUUUCUUGAGUUGCUCACCUCUUAAGUACUUGUAACUCAGCUCAAUUGUUGAGUAUGCCUCUACUGGUACUCCUCCGUCGAAGCUUGCCUCUGAAGGCGUUUGGAGUUCUUGCAAGGCGUUUUUCCACACAGGCAGCUCUUUGUUUCUCAGUGCCUUUGCUACUGUGGUUAGGGCAAUAGGCAAACCUCCACAUGCCUUGGCUACACUUGUUGCUGUAGAUUUUAACUCACGAUUUUCAACAUAAUUACCAGCCAUUAUCUUGAACAAUCUCCAAGCUUCUUGCUCAUUUAGAAUGCAAAUCAAGAAGUUAUUUUCAUAUCCCAUACUUAACGAGACAUUACGAUCCUUUGCUGUUAAUAAUAAUUUGCAUCCUCUAUGAUCAUCGCCAAAAGGAAUUCCAACAGUCUCUAAAUCAAGAUAUUUCCAGAUUUUGUCCAGAAUCACAAGGAUCUUCUUAUGAUUCUUCAAUCGUUCAUAAAGUUUACUAGCUCUUCUAGAUUCAGCCUCCUCGGACAACUCCAGACCUAGUUUCUCUGCAAUUUCCCCUUGAAUCUUUUUUAUGUCUGGAGUUUGGGAAACCUCUGAAAAAACCACCUGAUCAAAGAGUUUCUCUUCACUGGCUUGCCUUGCAAACUCCUUCACCAGUGUUGUCUUUCCAAUGCCGCCCAUGCCGUAUACCCCAACGAUGCUGACAUUGACAUCAGUCAAUGCAUCUUGUAUAGACUUCAGAGUAGAAAGUCUUGAUUUAAAGGCCUCAUAACCUUUGUUAGACUUUAGCCAUACCUCCUCCACAAUGGUACGGUAGAAAAUUUGAUCAUCAAAUCUCCUAGCUUCUUCUUUGAGUUCAACAAGGGCCUUCACCUCUGUUUCUGCUUUCUUGCUAAGCUGAUAGCGGGUCUUCAAAUUAGGACACAAGCCCUUGAAACAUCGCUUACUUGUUGUCUCCCCAUCUUCAAUGAAUUUGGAUGCCUGCUCAAUGGUGUUGUUCGCACUAACCAGCUAGUUCUCAACCUUCUCUUCAAUCUUUUCUCCUUUUCUUUCAGCCUUAGAAACUCUGUGCUGAAUGCUCUUACUUUCAUCCUUGAGCUUGUCUAUUUCUGCCUUGAGAUUCUCAAAGUUGGCUUUAUAGUUACGCAAAUAACCAAGUUGGUGUUCUGUUGGAGGAGCGAAGCAUUUCACAACUUCUAACAGAACAGUAACAAUGCUUUCCACCAUCUUCGAUCCUCUUUUUUUCAAAGUUCCGAAAUGAAAAUAAACGACGAGCGAAACACAGAGAGAAAGAGAGGCAAAAAAAAAAAAAAAAAAAAAAAGAAAAUGAAACAACAAAGAUGACAAGUGUAUCUGUUUGUGGAAGCGGAGAAAUCAAAGAAAGCUUAAAAACUGUUGUGAAUCUGGUGAGAAGAUGGAAACAAGGAAAAGGUUUCUAGUUCAAAAGUGAUUGAAUUGAUAUAAGGAAUGAUUUAGAUAAUAGAGGAAAAGUGAAUCAGUCAAAAUAACUUAUGUAUUGACCAGAAGAAAGAUGCAAACAAUAUUGGAGACAACAACAACGCUAUGUGUUGUGCGCAGAAUGCGGAAACAAGUGCACUGAAUAAUCACAGAAAAAUAAAGGACACAAGAAUUACAUGGUUCGGCAAUAUGCCUACGUCCAUGGGAACAAGAGAAAAAUAAUUGUAUUAUUAACAAUUAUAGUACAAAUUUGAGUAAAGAAAUCUCACUUUCCCAUAACCCAAAUACACCAGUACUCUCACACACACUCUCCAAUUGCUCACACUCUCACAACUCUCAAAACCUUAGAAACUUAUACGCUUAACAAUUUAGGGAUGAUUUACAAAUGAAGAAUGCAUCUAUAUUUAUAGCAAAAAACGUUGCACUAUUGCACCAUCCGCUUUGCAAUUUGUCAAUUCUCCUAUCUGUCAAUUUGACAAAUUUUACUAACCUUUUUCAUUUUUCUUCAUUUGGUGCAGGAUUGUCAAAAGUCAUAUAUUCUACAGCUUGCAAUUUUGGUGCCGACUUUGAAAAACAAAAGCAAUGCAUGUGGCUCACUUUUAUUUUUCAACCAAUUUGAAAAAAACUCUUUGACUUUUCAACAAUUCUCCACCUCGGCGAAGAUUUGUUCAAAUCUGAGCCGACUACCAACCAAUCAUCAUCCCCAAAGUGGCUGCAUCUCUGUGACUGCCUACGUACCCAAAAUUUGGGAUCAAGCCAACCGUAGUUUAAAAUUUCCGAAGGACAUAUCUUAACACAAUCGAAGGAUUUGAAUUAGUUUCAAGCAAUGUUGAAACUUAACUCCAGAAACUACCUUCGUCAACAUAUCUGAUGGAUUAUCUUUGGUAUCGAUCUUUCUCAACAACACAACACCGCUCUCGAUAAUCUCUCUCACAUAAUGAUAUUUCACAUCUAUGUGUUUCGUCCGAGCGUGAUAUGUUUGAUUCUUCGCAAGGAAUAUCGCACUUUGAUUAUCACAGAAGACCGCAAUGUUCUCUUGGAUUACUCCUAAAUCACCUAACAAGCCUUUCAACCAGAGAGCUUCUUUUACAGCUUCAGUUACUGCCAUAUACUCUGCUUCCAUAGUGGACAAAGCAAUUAUCGAUUGUAGAAUCGACCUCCAGCUAACCGGACCUCCACCCAAUGUGAAUACGUAGCCCGUUGUUGAUCUUCGCUUGUCAAGGUCUCCAGCGAAAUCAGAAUCACAAUACCCAACACAUUGUUGACCACAAUCAUUCUUGAACAAUAACCCAACAUCAACUGUCCCAUACAGAUAUCGGAGAAUCCACUUUACUGCAAGCCAUUGAUUUAUACCCGGAUUGUGCAUGUAUCUACUAACCAUGCUCACUGCUUGAGAUAUAUCAGGCCUUGUACAUACCAUAGCAUAUAUAAGACUACCCACAGCACUAGCAUAUGGAACACGAGCCAUAUAAUCGCGCUCCUCUUGAGAUCUAGGACAUAAAGAAGAGCUUAAUUUGAAAUGAGGAGCUAAAGAUGUACAUACUGGUUUAGUUUUGUCAUCCAUGCCUAAUCUUUUUAGCACUUUCUUCAAAUAAGACUUUUGAGUCAACCAUACGCUCCCAUUCUUCUUGUCUCUACGAAUCUCCAUCCCAAGUAUUCUCUGUGCAUCACCCAAGUCUUUCAUCUUGAACUCAGAAGCUAGCUGCUUCUUUAAUCUUUCGAUCUCAUCUCUAUUCUUCGAAGAUAUAAGCAUAUCGUUGACAUAGAGUAACAAAUAGAUAAAAGCUUUAUCUAGUAGUCUUCUAAAGUAAACACAAUGAUCGUGUUCGCUUCUAGUGAAUUUCUGCCCUUGUAUAAAUUGAUCAAAUCUUUUGUACCACUGCCUUGGCGAUUGCUUCAGUCCGUACAAAGAUUUAAUCAACCUACACACAUGAUUCUCCUUUCCAGCAACUUUGAAACCACAAGGCUGAAUCAUAUAGAUUUCCUCCACUAAAUCUCCAUGUAAGAACGUCGUCUUAACAUCCAAUUGAGCCAACUCUAACUCAUAUUCUGCAAGUAAGGUAAGUAGGAUACGAAUGGAAGUAUAUUUUACAACUGGAGAGAAAACUUCAUUAUAUUCAAUACCUUCCUUUUGAGCAAAACCUUUCGCCACGAGCCUUGCCUUGUAUCGAGGAAUUGAUUGCUUCAGAGAUCCUUUCUUCUUGGUGUAGACCCAUUUAUUCCCAAUAGCCUUUUUUCCUUUUGGUAACUUUACAAGUUCCUAUGUCUGGUAACUUUACAAGUUCCCAUGUCUGGUUUUGAUGGAGAGAUUUCAUCUCUUUUUCCAUGGCUAACUUCCAUUGAUCACUUUCACUGCCGCGUAAUGCUUCACUGAAAGUGUUGGGGAUGUCAUCAUCAAUAACUAGAAGUGCAUAGGCUACCACCAUGUAUUUAGUAAGCCAUCCGGGUUUCUUUAUCUCCCUUCUUGGCCUCCUUAUUGCUAUAAAAUCAUCAUUAUCUACAUCAUAAAUUGUUUCUUCAUUUUGUGGGACAUCAGAAGAAACAACCUCUUCUUCAACUGUAGGUGUCACCUCCAUAGUUGAACCCUUCUUUGAUGUAGAAUUAACUGGUACAUAUGAAGUUGCAUCAAACUUCACCCGCUGCAAUACCUCUUUGGUCUUGUUCUCCACCUACUGAGAACUUGAAGCUUUCAUCAUUAAAGCUUCAUCAAAUGUGACAUCUCUGCUACACACAAACUUUUUGUCUUCGAGAUUCCAAAGCUUGAAGCCCUUUACUCCAUCUUUGAAUCCCACAAAGAUAGCUUUUCUAGCACGAGGAUCCAGUUUACCAUCUUUGACAUGAUAAUAAGCUGGACACCUGAAUAUACGAAGGAAAUCAUAGUCUUGUGCAUGCUUUCCAGACCACAUUUCCAUAGGAGUUUUACCUCUAAUUACAGUAGAAGGAACUCGGUUUAUCAAGUGACUUGCAUAGCUCACAGCUUCAGCCCAAAACUUUUUAUCUAAACCAGCAUUAGAUAAUAUACACCGUACUUUCUCCAGUAAAGUACGAUUCAUGCGCUCAGCCACACCGUUCUGUUGCGGAGUAUGUCUCACCAUGAAAUAUCUUUUAAUACCCUCGUUCUGGCAUACUUGCAAGAAUGGAUCAGAAGUAUAUUCACCCCCAUUAUCAUAUCGUAAUACUUUGAUCUUUCUGCCAGUUUAAGUCUCUACCAAUUUCUUCCAUUUCACGAAAAUCUCUAGAACAUCAUCCUUUGCUCGCAUGGUGUACACCCACACACGUCUAGAGAAAUCAUCAACAAAUGUAACAAAAUAAUGGCUUCCACCAAUUGAUGCAGUCUUGGUUGGUCCCCAUACAUCACUAUGAACAUAUGCAAGGAUCUCACGAGUAUCGUGAUUAGCCGUACCAAACUUGACCCUUGUUUUCUUGCCUACUACACAAUGCUCACAGAAAUUUAAUUUACAGGUUUUGGGACCUUUUAAGAGUCCGUGCCUCAUCAGAGUUUGCAAGGACUUCUCUCCAGCAGUCACAGUCGUACAUGCCAUAGCUUGGUGGUGUCACUGUGCGCCUCAACAACAUUUGCUUCAUCAAUUGUACCUCCCUUCAAAUAGUACAGAUUAUGACGCCGAACCCCUUGUAGAAUCACCAUAGCCCCAUGUGUAAACUUCAUUAUACCAUCUUUAAUGGUAACCUUGUAGCCUUUACCUUCCAAAGUACCCACAGAAAUUAGAUUUUUCUUGAAAACUGGAAUAAAUCUAACCUUUUUGAGUUCUCUGACCGUUCCAUCAAACAUUUUGAGCUGAAUUAUUCCUAUCCCCAUUGUGCGACAAGGUUGAUCAUUCCCCAUCACAACUGCACCAGAUUCCAGAUUACGAAAACCCGUAAAUCAUUCCUUAAUAAGACACAAAUGAUAGGUUGCUCCAGUAUCAAGUAUCCACUCGCUCGAAUUAGCUACAUAUACUACAGGAGUAAUACUUAGUGAAUAAUCAGAGUCUUCAUCUUUCCAUGCCAUGUUUGCUGGUGCUGGUUUCUUCCCAUCUCUCUUUUGAACCUUUGGCCAAUCUUUCCUCCAAUGGCCAUUUUCAUGACAAAAUGCACACUCAUCUCGAGCUAUAUUUCUGCUUCUCAAUUUGGAUCGAGAAUUUUUUCCACCAAGCUUUUUCUUUUUCUCCAUCACCCAAUCUUUACUCACCAAAGCUUCAAACGAUACUCGUUCAGAAUUUUUAUCAUUAUUCUGCAUCUCCAAGUUAGUCAAUGUUGUGCAAACAUCUUUGAAGACGAUCACACUCUUCCCGUAUAUCAAGGUAGUCACAAAAUGACUAUAUUCCUCUGGUAGUGAGUGUAACAAAAUUAUAGCUUUGACUUCAUCCUUAAUAUCUUCAUCGAGAUUCUUCAAAUCAGCAGGUAACUUUUCAAAUCUUGAGAUAUGAUCGUGCAUUGACACCCCAUGCUUCAUUCGAAAGCCAUAUACUUGGCUCAUUGUAUAAAGACGAUUUUCAGGACUUUUCAGCAGGUACUUCUCCUCCAAUGUACGCCACAAAGUCACCGCACACUCCUCAUCUUUCACCAAGUAUUUCACCUCCUUGGUCAAACAAGAUCUGAUCUGACCACAAGCUUUCUCGUUCAUACGAUCCCAAAUUUCUUCAUCAUACAAGUGUCUUUUAUUUUUCAGAACAACAUCGAGAUCGAUUUGAAUAAGGACAUCCAUAACUUCGCGCCUCCACAUGCCGAAGUUGAUUUUCCCAUCAAAUUUUUCAACAUCGAUCUUCUGGCCUCCUAUAACAGGUGCUGAGUAGGGAUUUGACAAAUCUCGCCUCCCACUUGAACUGUCUCCUGAAAUAGUCUCGGUAGAUCUCUCCUUACUUCUGGAAGUUUCACCUUCUACCAUUUUCUCAACGAACUAUUUCCACUUGAAAAACAGCCUCUGUGAUGUUAAUUUCGCAUGAAUAAAUGCACCAGGAAAGUUCCCAGGAAACUGGAUGGGAACUCGGUCCCAAUUAAAAACCAAAAUCCUUAGACGCUUAUUGCCUUGUUGACAGAACUUUCCUAGACAUGCAAAAAGACACACUACUUACAAUAGACUGUCUCCUAAAUACAAAUGGCCGUCUCAACCGUAUUCGUGAACAGUACCGUAUGUGAACAAUACCGUAUACAAGAAUAGUACCAUAUGUGUGAAUAGUAUUGUAUAUGUGAACACUUCCGUAUAUUAGAAUAGUAUCGUUUACGUGAACAGUACCGUAUCCCCCCAAGUACGAACCUUCGGCUCUGAUACAACUUGUUGUGCGCGGAAUGCGGAAACAAGCGCACCAAAUAAUCACAAAAAAAUAAAGGACACAAGAAUUACGUAGUUCGGCAAUAUGCCUACGUCCACGGGAGCAAGAGAAAAAUAAUUGUAUUAUUAAUAAUUAUUUAAGUACAAAUUUGAGUAAAGAAAUCUCAUUUUCCCAGAACCCAAAUACACCCAGUACUCUCACACACACUCUCCAAUUACCCACACUCUCAUAACUCUCAAAAGUUUAGAACUUAUAAGCUUAACAAUUUAGGGAUGAUUUACAAAUGAAGAAUGCAUAUCUAUUUAUAGCAAAAAACAUUGCACUAUUGCACCAUCCGCUUUGCAAUUUGUCCAUUCUCCUAUCUAUCAAUUUGACAAAUUUUGCUAACUUUUUUCAUUUUUCUUCAUUUGGUGCAGGAUUGUCAAAAGUCAUAUAUUCUACAGCUUGUAAUUUUGGUGCCGACUUUGAAAAACAAAAGCAAUGCAUGUGGCUCACUUUUCUUUUUCAACCAAUUUGAAAAAACUCUUUGACUUUAAUUUCAACAAAUAGAGAUGGAGAAAAAGAAAUAUCUUCACACGGUGGAAGUACAAAGGGUAGAUAUGGAACCAAACAGAGACAACAACAGGCCACAACUAGAUUGGGAAUGGAGAGAAACAAAUUAACAAAGACUGGAGAUUACAACAGAACAGAUGCCAAGAGAAAAGGGUUUCUUCAUCCAGUGAAAUUCAAGUGAGUUGACAGCAAAAGGGAGCAUAUGUGUUUCUUGAUUGAGAACGAGUGCAAAGGAUGACUUUUUAAUGAGGUUCUGAAGCUGACGGAUAACGAUUUGCUAAAAUUUUGAGAAAGUUAUAUAUUUCGUAACUUCAACAAGUGAAGAAUAAAAGAAUAAUAGUUCGUCAUCUUCACAAUGAAGAUCAUGGCCGAGAUUAAAAGCUAAAACUAGUCCAUUUGAAAAGCCAAAGUUCAAGUUCCUUGGCUAAGUUCAGAAGUGAAGCAAAGAAUAAAUAAAUAAAGAUCAAGGGAUGGGAAUAAAGUCACCCCCAGACAGUUGCAGAAAGAUUAUUAUUUGGUAAGUGUAGUUGAUUAUUAGUACAAAACAGAGUAGGUGAAACACAUCCUUUCUAUUUAGACUGAUCAGCAUCUAAAAUUUUAUGAAUUAUGAGUUGCAUUUUACUUUGUACAUUAUGUUAACACAUUUUAAUUUAGCCAAUUUUGCAAUAAAUGUUAUUGAUGUAUUAAAUAGAAAAUGAAUUGAAUUCCACUCAUCGUCAUCUUGGCAAAUCAAGUCAAAAAAUAAAAAUCCAUAUGCUUUUGUUAAAGUUAAAAGCUACAUAAAUAAUAUCACAGAAGCUUCUGCUAAGGUUCAUGUGAAGUCACAGCUUUGAUACUUGUAAUACAAGGAGCACGGAGAAACCAUAAACUUCAGUUUAGGUAUAUACAUUGCUUGUCUUUCAAACUUGAAUUGAUAAGGGGGAAAAAAUAAUACUAAAGCAAACAGAAGGAUCAUUUAGUUGACAAAAUUAUUAGCUGAUAUGCAUUAACAACUCCUAUCCUAUACUAUCAGCCAGUAGGUUGUUGCUGCUUCCCGAUUUUUAAUGAUGCGAACAUCUCAUACUUAGAAAUAAGGGCGGAGCCUGGAGAUUGAUUUAUAAGAUAAGAAGCAACAUUGUGUACAAUAUCAGAUUUCCAAUGUGAGAAAAAUAAAAUUGCGUUAUAAAAUUAAUCCCACUAAGAAAGUGGUCUACGAAAUUGCCACAUUAAAAGAAAUUUUUUCCAUAAAUUAAAAUAAAAUUAAAUGAAAACUAUUUUUCAGUAAAGUCAAUUGCCCACGCUAGGCUAAGGCGUUUGUUUUUUUGUUUUUUUUUUUUUAAAUCUGAAUAGGUAUAAAUUUUUCGUAAGCAUGAAUGGGCUGAGUACAAAUAUAUGAAUGACAUAUUUAUUUUUAUUUUUCUUAAUACCCGAAUAUAAGUGACAUCUUAUUUAUCUUAAAUAUGGUUAUUUGAUAUUUAUAUUUUUACAAAUCAAAAUAAAAAAAAAAAAGUAGUUAGAUUUUAUAGUUUAAGAAAUAAAUAUAUUUUAUAAAAAAAAAUUUAGAAUAUAUAUUUACUUCUUAUUCAGACUUUUUUCUAUUCAAUAAAAUUCACAAAAGUUACUUUUUCUAUUCAAAUGUAAAUGCUUAAAAAUCAUAUAUAAGUUACAAAAAAAAAUUUGGAAAAAGUCAUAAAUUAAUAAAAUUUCAGAUUUUAUAUAUUUAACUCCCAAUGCAGAUCCGUCCCUAUUAGUGUUAGGAAAUUGACUGGUGAAUGUUGAGUGUUAGAAAAUAGGAGAAAAUCGUCAUUUUACACUUCAAGUUUUACUAACAUCCUUACUUUUACGUAUUUAACCUUCUUGUGAUUUAAUUACGUGUUUUUUUAUUUUAAUUAAGUAUUUUAUGUAUUUUAGUGGCAUUAUAGUCAUUUCACAAUGAACGAGAGAUCAGACGGCAAAACGGACAUCACUUUUGAACUCAGGACGGUCGAAAACCUUAGGAGGAGCAUAAAAGGAAAAAUGACACUGUUCAUAUGUACGGUACUAUUUACAUGUACAGUACUGUCUACGUUACUGUUCACGACACUGUUCACAUAGACGGAUCGAUGAUGUGGCAUUGACCGAUGAUAUGGCAUUGACUGAUGAGGUGUCACGAUCUUGUUGGACUAAAAUUCUUAUGCACUGUUGAUUGGUGACGUGGCAGCAUGUUAGUGGACCAAAAAUUGCGCGUACGGUACAUGCAUAUACACAGGAUUAUUUUCAACCAAACCGCGUUACUGUUCAAGCCGGGUCAAACCGUGUUACUGUUCAAACCGCGUGGUCAAACCGCGUACUGUUGACUGAUGACGUGGCGCAAUCCUAAACGUCCAAACUGUUUUUAAUCCGAUGGCCAUGAUUUACUCAAUGUAUCUAUAAACAAGAUCCUUGUUUAUGGCUCUGAUACCAUAAAUCUUGUUGGUACGUGGCGUUGUUUUACCAUAAACAAGGAUCUUGUUGGUACGUGGCGUUGUUUUACCAGAUCAAUGCAAAAGUUAAUCUGCCUUAGGGACCAGAUCUGACUUAGAACAGAUCAAUAUCCCGCAUGUUCGGGUUUUCAGCCGAUAUACCACAAAGGCUCAACGAUAGUACUAGAUCUGGAUCCCAGAAAUAGUACUCUGAUUGAAUGGAGGGAGAAGAGAAAUACAACUAAGGUCAGAGAUCCGGUCUCUAUGCCUUAGAGGAUAUGUAACAGUUUAUAAAGAAAUUUAAAUAGACGUAAAAUAAAUUACAAAAUUUAAAACAUACAUGCUUUAUAAAAUUAAAAUAUUAAACUUACAUAUUAUUCUUGCUUGAAUCCAAGAAACCUUUACGUUACAAUAUAGUUUUACAGAAUAGGAAAGAUGAGAAAGUUCGGAGACAGGAAAAUUUCCUCCAAGUCUCUGAUUUCUUUCCAGAGGAGAAUACAAGAAGAAGUAAAAAAGAGAAGUGUCCUCCCCUUCUGCUCGAGGCCUCGAUUUAUAGAAUCAGAAGUGCCUUGGUAGCUGCAUCAGACCACUACUUGGAGAAACGUGCUUGUGGAGACAGCAUCGUCUGCUUUAUCACGUGGAGACAGCAUCUUCUGCUUUAUCACGCGGAGACAACAUCUUUUGCUUUAUCACGUGGAGACAGACAUCUUUUGCUUUAUCACGUGGAGACAGCAUCUUCUGCUUUUUGAAAAGCGUUGACGUGGACCAAAAAGUGAAAAUGAAAAUACAAGGAAAAAUACAUAAAUACAAAUUAUUUACAUAAUACUAAAUGAACAAUACAUAUGAUAAUUACUUUUUUUUUUAAAUGGUAACUUUAAAAGUGCUUUAUGGGAGAAAGAAUCCCGAAACAAUCAUCUUUAUUGUCGUCUCCCAGGGAAAUGAAUGGUUCAGCUUCUUCAUCGGUAGAACCUGCUGCAGAUGGUUCAGAUCUUGAGGCAAGGAGGUGUUCUAUAACUUGAAAAUAUUCGUUUUCAGUCUUUGCACUGGCCAAAAGAGAUUGGGCUUUUGACCGUUGGGCUAAGAAAGUACUCUGGGUUUUAACAUCUUGAAUGCUUGGCGCGAGAAGGCCUUUUGAGGAGAGCCAUUUCUGAACUGUGGCUACAGACAGCUUUGACUGUUCAUCAAACUUUGACCACCAUUUGACUUUAAAGGUUCUUUGUAGAAUGAAUUGGGCUUCCUGUUUGUGGUAUUGGAAAUUCCACAUCCAGACCCAAGGAAGGAAAAAGUUUGUACAGAAACAAAGAAAAGGAGGAAACCUUUUCUCGGACUCUGAAGGAACAUAAUGGGCUUUAAAAAUGUUUAAACAGUGAAUGGCAUUUGGAGUUAAAAUAUCGGGGCAUGGCCCAAAAUAAUUCCACCACUGUUGGAACCAGUUUGGAAGACUCUGAACGGUUAUUUUUGAAUUAAAGAAAAAUAACCAAGAAUGGGUCUUUUUUGGGUUUUGAAUAAAGAAUGUGUUAAAUCAGGCCUGUUGAUAGUCCCAGUAAGAGAAAAAUAAACAGUGGUUUAAACUCCGUUGGAAAUUGGCAGGAAAGGUUUUUAGUUUGUGAAGUUCAUCACCCCACUGUUUUGGACUCAAGACUUGUAAUAUGGUGGCUGUGGAAUAGGCGGGUCUUUAUGGGAUUCACUGAGGAAGAAAUGUUUGAAUUUUACAGACUCAGUGUAUUCCAGAAUGCUUUGGUAGAAAGACUGGGGUUUUGUCAAAUCCCAAGGUUUGAAAAACCAGCCUUUCGGAAAAAUCUUUGAAAUGGCUUGAAAUGGAUCAGAGUGAUAAAAUCCAUCUUCUAUAGAUAAAACAUUUUGAUGAUGGGUUUUAUUAAACCAAUCCGAAGAUUUUUUAGGAAGAUUUUGUUGUGAAACAAUAAUUUGAGAACUGGAACUUUCUCCAGAAAGAACUAUAUUUGAAGAGGAUUUUGAAAUAUCUUUAGAAAUAGUCUUUGAAACAGUUUUUUCUUCUUCAGGAUUUUUAGAAAAAGCUUUAUUUUGAGAAAUGCUUUGAAGAGCUAAUAAGAGUUCAGGAGAAUUGGAAAUGGAGUUCAUCCAUUCUUUUACCUGUACUUCCGAGGCGAUAGCUUUAGAAUGAGCUUCAUGCUCCUCAACCAUAUCAAUCCAAGAUUUAAUAGGCAUGGCUGAGGAUAAAAUUUUGUCUUUAGGAGGAGUUGAUAAAGAUUCUUUAGAAGCGGGUUGAGGUGGAGGGUCUUUGAGGACACCUUUUCCUUUGUCUUUUUUGGGCGGCAUUAUCUGUUUUGAAGAAAUUCCCUAGUUAGAAAGUCAGGGAUAGAAUUUGUAUCUCCUUUAAUAAAGUCAAUAUCAAAGUCAAAAACACUUAAAAUAGUUUGCCAUCGUGCAAAAAUUUGUUUUGAUGCAAUGUUUUGAACACCUUUUUCUAAAACAUGUUUUGCAGCUUUGCAAUCUAUCCUAAGUAAAAAAUUUUGAUUUAAUAAAUCACUUUGAAAUUUGGAUAUGCAUAAAACAAUGGAUAAAAUUUCUUUUUUAAUAGUAGAAUAAUUUUUCUGACAUUCAUUCCAAUGAGCAGAAACAUAUUGAACUAUUUGUUCUUUAGUACCAUUCUUUUGUUUUAAUAUUCCUCCAUAACCUAAAUCUGAAGCAUUGGUUUCAACAAUUUUAGGUAAUACAGGAUUUGCAAGAAACAAACAAGGGAUUUCUUUGACUGUAAGUUUUAUUAAUUUAACAACUUUAGUGUGUUCAUCAGUCCAAACAACAGGGUGUUUCUUUAAUCUAUCAUGCAACGGUUUUGAAAUCCUAUUAAUGUUAGGACAGAAAUCAAGAACAUAAUUCAAACUACCUAAAAAUCUAUGUAGUUGAGUUUUAUCAAGAAUUUUAUCAGGGAAUUUGUCGGCAAAUGCAAGAGAUCUUUCUAUAGGUGUUAUAGUACCUUUAGAAAUAUAAUGACCAAGAAAUCUAAUUUUGGUCUGAAAUAAAGAAACUUUAGAAUUAGAAAUAGCUAAGCCAGCUUUUCUAGUCGCAAACUAGAAAGUCUUUAAAUGUUUGAAAUGUUGAUCAAUAGACUGAGAAAAGAUUAAUACAUCAUCAAUAUAAACAAUGCAAAAUUCUGAAAAAGGAUUAUAAAUAUCAUUCAUUAUCCUUUGAAAUUCGGAAGGUGCAUUUUUUAAUCCGAAUGGCAUUACUGUCCAUUCAUACUGUCCAAAAGGAACAGUAAAAGCAGUUUUGUAUCUAUCUUUAGGAUGGAUUUGAAUUUGCCAAAAUCCUGAUUUCAUAUCAAAUUUUGAGAAAAUGAAAGCAGAGUGCAGUUUUUGGAGUAAAUCUUUUUUAUUAGGUAUGGGAUCCCUAAUCCAUUUUAAUGCUUUAUUAAGAGGUUUGUAAUUAAUAACUAAUCUAGGUGUUCCUCUUUCUAUUUCAGAAUUCUUAUUGACAUAGAAAGCGGCACAAGACCAAGGAGACCUAGAUUUGACAAUGAGUCCUUUAGACUCUAAAUCUUUGAUUUCGUUUUUACAGUGUUGUUCUAAGUCCAUGUUCAUUUGGAUUGGACGAGCUUUAGUGGGAAUUUGUCUUUCAUCAAAGGAAUUUUCAUAAGGCAAAUCAACCAAAUGUUGUUUUCUAUUCCAAAAGGCAGAAGGCAAAUCAGCACAUAUUUCUUUUUCAACUAGGGUUUUAUAUUCAGAAAUUUUUCUCUUUGAAAAAUCAUUUUGCAAUUGGCUUUCAAUUUUUUGUAAAUUCAAGUCUUUUGUAAACAAACCAAGUCAUUUUGUCUAGACUUGAGUAAAAUAUUGAUUUGGUUCUGAUAAACAGAACAUGCUUUUACAAUAUUCAAAUUUCUUGUUUUAGGUUUUUCAAUAAAAGGAAAAAAUAAUUUUUUGUUUUUUGCGUUAAAAGAUAUACUAUCAUAAUUGACAGUAUAAGGAGUAAUAAGGUUAAUGAAAGGAGUUCCUAAAAUAACAGUGUGAUGUAUGUCAUUUGUUAGGACGAAGGAAGUCCUAAAUUCAAAACCAUUAUUAUAAAUUGAGGCAUCAACUUUAGAUUUGACUUUUAACUUCGAGUUAUUGGCGACAGAAAGUCUUUCAUUGGUUUUCUCAUGAAAUCCUUUAGGGACAAUAUCUUCUCUAAUGCAAUUUAAAUCGGCACCUGUAUCAAAAAGGGCAAUUGUGUCAAUCUCAAAAUCUUUAGAAAGAAUUAAGGUGAUUUUAAUCAAAUAUUUUCUAGUGGUGAUCUGUUUUAAAACAAAAAGGAAAUCCUUGGGUAAAGAUUCAAUGUUUUCAAGGUUUUGUCCUUCAUUAUCACCAUCGGAUUCUGAUUCUUUAUUAUAAUUAUCUUGUAAUUGUUUUUGUAACAGAAGUUGGAUGGUUUCAGAAUCACUUUUCUGUUUUUCUUUCAAGUUUUUUAUCUCAAGUUUGAUUUCUUUUAUCUCUUUUUGGAGAUCUUGGAUAUUUGGUAUUGUUUUCUUUAUUUUCUUAUUGUCAAGGAUUUUUGUAAGAUCAUAAGUAUUCUUUUUAAUAGUAGGGGCUUUAGAGGUUUCUGCUUUAUCUCCUAAAUCUAAAGUUUUUAGGAGUUUAUCAAGGUACUCUUUUUGAAGAGUAUGGUCAGAAAUGUGUUUAACUAACUCAAGAAAAGUUUCUUGAUCUUUAGUUAACACAUUAACUUUCUUAAAAUAGGAAUCUGUUUCAGCAUCACUAUUACUAGUUACAGAUGUAUCUGAGUCAAGUAAUUCAUCAAUCUAUAAGGGCUCACUAUCUCCCGUCAUGGAAGAUUUAGAAUCAGAAGAUUCUACAAGUAAAGGGGCAACUUUAGAAAGUGUCUCUUCAUCAAGACCAAGUUCGUGAAGUUUUGUAUUUACUCUACAAAAUUUCUUGGUGUGGCAUUUUCUUCCACAUUUAAAACAUGUGGCUUCUUUGUAAUUGAAAGGAGGUUUUGUUGUGGCCUUAGGAUCCUUUCGUUUAGAGAAGCGAGGCUUCCUAUAAAAUUUCGAAGGUUUUUUAUAGGAAGAUUCCCUAAAAUCCGGAAAAGCUUUUUUACGAUUCUUAGAAUUGUAAUGUUUUUUGUAAGGUUUUGUAGAACAUUUACCAUUACAAUCCCUGGAAGUAGAGGCUUUAAAAGGAUCAUAGUUAAACUGUUUACAGAAACUGCCUAAUUCUUGCUUAGAUUGUCUAAGCUCCCAUUUUAGACGCUUCUGUAAUUUCAUAUCUUGGCAAAUCUUUAAUCCUUCUUUAUUGACAAAACUGACCAAUUCACCAUAGGUGAGUUCAUCAUAUGGAAUACGGUUGUCAUAAAGAGCUUUAAUGGAAUUCCUAACUUUUUCUCCUAAGAGAGUGGGUAAACCAGCAAGGAAUUUUUCUUUCCAAGUAACAUGGUUUGCAUCAUCUCGGAGAAAAAGUCUAGUGAAGAAAGUGGUUUUAUAACUUUGGAAUUCACUAAGUUUCCUACAUCUUAAGUUGUGUAGUAACUCAGCAUUUUUAUCUCUAAGGUGUGAAGGAUCACCUAUGAAGUGUAGAGAAAUAGUAAGGAUCAGGGUAGCUACAGCAUCUUGAAUAGGGCUAUUGAAUUCAUCACAGAUAGGUGCUCCAUUUUCAUCUGUUUAAAUAGCAUUAAGAAUAUCUAAUUGUUGUUGUUUGGUGAGAAGAUGAUCCCACCAGCCUUUAAGUUGACCAGUAAAACCAGCAAUGAGGAUCUCUGCAAUAGCUUUGUCAGAGGUUCCUGACUGGGUUUUAUAAGCAUUAGCUGCCAUGGUCAUCUGUUGCAACAAUCCUAAAAUAUUAUAUUCGGACAUACUAUCAAUGUUCCACUCAUAGACAGAGGAGGCAUUAAAUCGUGAUUGGUUUAAUGCGCUUGGUCUGUUGUCUAUGGCUAAGUCAGGAGGAGAAUUGAUAGUAGGAAGGGCUAAUUCCCAAUGAAUUUUAUUGGCGUUAUGAAUAGGUUCAUUUGUAAAGGCUUCUAUAUCUAAAGAGGCUAUAGACACUUGGUCUUGUUCAAGUACACCAAUUUUGCUAGAUUGGGCACUAUCAGGAGCUAUUUGUAUCUUACUAGAUGCAGAAGAAGAAGCUUCGAUCCUAUCUAGUUGUUCUCUAAUGGCUUUAGCAAAAUCUGAUUUUGACUCAUGGGCAAGCUUUUGACUAGUUUUCGAAACUUGGAAGGGUUUGAAAAUAGGCUCUUUAAGCCUUUUGUCAAUAUCCGAUUUUGAUGAACUAAUAGGGGAAACAACUAUUGUUGACUUUUGGAAUUGGUUUUCUAUUCUAGUCAACUGCUUUCCUAUUGUAUUUAGGUUAGUAUUACAGAAAUUAUUCUGUUGGAUAAUGUUACCUAAAUUAGUCUCUGGAUCAUUAGUUUUAUGGAUUUUAUAAGGUGAGGCUUUAAUUUGGACAGGAGGUUCACCAUGGUCAAUGGUCAGACUCCUAAGAGGUGGAUGCUCAGAUUCUAUAGUUCUGUCACUGUCAGAAAGAUUCCACUCAGUGAUCUUUUUUCUAACUGUGAUCGGGUUAGAUUCUUUAAAAGGAUAUGUAAUGUUAUUAUCAGAAGCAUACAUAGUCAACAGAAUGUAUAGAAGAGCUAGGUAUAUCCGAUGUGGAAAACCUAGGUUGACUUUUUACAGGUUGGAAAGGAAGAUUUAUAACAGAGGGAAGUUUUGAGAAUUUUCUCUCUAAAGAGGCGAUACUAGAACUUGAAUCUUUAUCAGAAAACCUAGAUGAUGUGGACCUUCUAAAAUAUAGUUUGACUUUACCAUCAGAAUAUUGAGUCACAUUUUGUAACACUGUAUUUGGUUCAAGUUGUUUUGGAAUCACUGGUUCAGUGGCUCCUUCAAGAAUCCAUUCUUCUGGAAGAUUGACAUCUUUCCAUUGGAUUGGUUUGGGAACAACAGUGUUGGCUUUAGACAGGUCAGUCUGCAAGAGAAGAGUCUCAUCUCUUUUUGACUGAAAUUUAUGUUGUGUAUUAAACGCAGAAUUCAUGGCUUUGUAUGAAAUUUUGAUAAUUAAGGCAACUGGGACAGAUCCCUCAAUCAUGUGAUAAUUAUGGGUUUUGAUUUGUAAAAUCAUGCUUUUCAAAAUGUUUUUGUCUUUUAAAGAAAUUGUUAUGUUCGGGUAACAGCUAAAUGAGAUGGGACCUUUACAAAGACUUGAUUCUAUACUACUUAAUAAAGAAUCAUCAAAAGAGAUGAAUCGCCCAUCUCUUAGGAUAGCAAGAAUAGAGGUAUUAAGACCUUCUUUAGUUAAGGGUUUUAUGCCAACUUGUAUUAAGCCGAUGUGAACAUAAUUAAAGUUCUUUUCUUUUAGUUUCUUUAAAGAGUGUUAUGAAAACAGGUGAAUUGUUUCAAAUGGCUUUGAAAGGGUUAUGUCACGUUCUUCAGUUUUUAUAACAAAAUCAGUCUUUAAAAAAUCAAGCUUUUUUAUUUUGUAAAUCAUGUCUUUAGAAAUCUUUGGUAAUUCCCAAUUAUCAAUUGCUUUAUUAAAGUCUUCAAUAAAAAAUUCUUCUGAAUUUACAACAUUCUUAGAAUCACUAGUCCUUCCAGAAGAAGAGCUAGAGAAAGAUGAUGCUCUACAGAGUAGAGAAUCCAUAUAAGCUGGAACCUAUAAAUGAUCUAGUUUUACAGGAAUGGAAAAUCAAUCCUAGGCUAAGAGUUGGUUUUACUGCCCUUCAACCAAAUCGGGACUUACGACCAAAUACUACCAAGGCACCCAAAGGUAACACCCUUUACCACUCAAGCAAAAGUUUAAUCACAUACAACUUCAGCCUACACAAAAACUCUAAACGAUAAAACACGACCCCCCUGGCUCUGAUACCAUAAAUCUUGUUUAUGGUAUAUAUAUAUAUAUAUAUAUAUAUAUCUUUUUAAUAUAUUCCAUUACUUUAAUAAUCAAUUUAAAAUAGUUUGUGAUAUUUUCAGCUAUUUACUUAUCUACUUUUAGCUAGUUAUUUACACCGAAUGAAGUGCUAGGGUCCAAAUUUUAGUAUCCUUCUCAGCUGUUUGGGGUUAGUAAAUACUAAUUAGCAUAUUCGUCCCGAACAGCUGUGUAAAUGCUGUUAGAUUUCGGAGAGAUGCUGAGGAUGGUACAAGAUUUAUCAAAUUGUGGCGACAUUUUUAUACCUUUAGAAUUUCAAGAUUUUGAAGAAAUAAAUGGGAUCUGUUUUCCAUAAGUGCUCCACUAUCCACCAGGAGGAAUUCUAAAAUACAUUACAGAUUAGUGAUUUCUCAGAAUAAAUAAACACAUAUUAUAACAUUAUUUACUUAUUGUAUGACUGAUAUGAUAUUUCUGAGAUAUUUUAGAAUUUUUAACGCACCAAAGUUCAUUUUUAGCUUUAAAGGUUUUUAUGUGUGAGCCUCUCAGCAUGUUCCCCAACCUCCUCACGUGAAAAUAUUUCUAUGUACGGUUACAAGCUUUUCCAGAUUGUGAGUAUUCCGAAGCAAUCCAACUUGAAAAACAGCUGGUUCGUAGAAAAUGACAGUUUACGAAGCUGGCCCUGCUGCCAUACAUAUGAUGAUGAAGACCAUUUGGCUUUAUGUCAAUUCCUCCAAGUUGAAAUCUUUCUCGGUCUGGGACACUUCCAACACAUAAAGUACUACUAGGCUAGAUGAUUUUAAAAAAUGUCCAGGUCCUUUAUCAAAUUUCAUUUGCAUUCAAGACCAAUCCCCUUUGAUGAAAAUCAAUAAUUAAAGGCUUUCCAAUGAGAAAUUAUUACGUCUUCAAAUCUCAAAAAACGCCAGAAUAUUAAUUCGCUACAUAUAAUCAAGAUAUCUCAUUGAGACGCAUUAAUAAAAAAUGUCAAAAUGCAUAGAAAGAGCAGACACACGGAUGAUGAAUUUACUCAUCUUUAGUAGUAUUUGAACUUGAGAGACAGAAUGAAGUACAUGUCAAGAAUAUCAUAAAGAUGGAAACCGGAAGUCCUCCGCACAUAAACUUUGAAGAAACUGGAAAACGACUUUANNNNNNNNNNNNNNNNNNNNNNNNNNNNNNNNNNNNNNNNNNNNNNNNNNNNNNNNNNNNNNNNNNNNNNNNNNNNNNNNNNNNNNNNNNNNNNNNNNNNNNNNNNNNNNNNNNNNNNNNNNNNNNNNNNNNNNNNNNNNNNNNNNNNNNNNNNNNNNNNNNNNNNNNNNNNNNNCCAUUUGGAGUCUUGUUUCCACAAUUGCUUCAGAUGAUUAAAUUUGUGCAGAUCUAAAUGUUUUAUCAUUGUAAACUUCCUCACUUGUUUCUUCAAGUAUCCUCCAUUCGAAAAUACCUCUUCGCAUGAACAACGACGCCGUAUGAGAGUUUCCAGAUUAUGAAAUCUCUCAAGUAAAUCAAGUGGAAAACAAGUUGAUUCAUCAUCCACUGUUUGUAGUAGUUUAAGACUGCCAAAGUCAUCCUCGAGUAUUUUCCACUUAAUGCCAGUUCCUUCUAAGUUGGGUAAGCUCUGAUCAUCAUCAAUCACGUAAUAACUUAUUAAGUCAAUUCAUAUUCUCUCAAAUAACUUUUAAUAAUCCAAUCAUACACAGUGACUUUAAUAUAAAUGCAUAAUAUUUUACAAACAAGAAGAAAAAAUCGAAUUAGAGGUAAAAGUUAUUCUACGAUUUUAUUUUUUAUAUAUAUCUUGCAUGCUAUUCCCAAAAGCAAUCCCAAACGGCCUUUAAAGCAAUUUUACAAAAGCGGCCUGCACAUAUAUUGCCAACUUUGUUGGGAAUGGCAAUGGGGAGAGGAGGGGAAGAGACCGAACUCCCCGUACCCAUUCAUGAUAUUCUGCAUAUAUCCUCGUCCUCUCCUCAUUUCUCACAAAAUUGCUUUAGGAAAUCCCCCUCCCCUCCCCAAAUAAUAAUAGGGGAUCCUUGAAGGCCCUCGAUCCUCGAAUAACUGAUACGUUUUUUGUUUUAAAUUUUAAUUUAAUCAUAUUAAAAUAAAAAAUAAAAAUAAAAAUAAAGUUUGACGAUAUAUCUUAUAUUAACAUUAAUCUAUUACAAAAGUCACAUUACAAAGUAUAAAUCACCAUAAUAAUUAUCUUCGGCAAUCUUCAAAAUCAUAUAAUAAAAAAAAGAAAUUACUUUUAUAUCAACAAUGAGAUAAAUGAAAUGAAUAUAGAUACUUAAUCAAUAUUUCUAAUAAAAGUAUUUACCUCUGCGUCUCCUACUCUUCUUGUUCUUCCUCGAGGAAUGUGACAAAUUGAGAGAUAGCCUCAGAUUUCAAAUUUAAAACAAUAAAAAUGAUAUAAGUAAUGUAAAUUCUAAUUAAAAUAAACUCAUACUGCCAUUGUAAGCUUGUGGUCAACUUUGACAACAUAUUAAAGCCUCCAAUGUGCUUGAAUAAAGCGUGUUACGGUACUCUACCACUGGUGCUAAAAGCUAAUUCAGAAGCAACAUUUGUAAUUAGAAUUGCCAAAAUAUCUCUAGGUGCCAAUAUAGGAUAUCUAUAGACAUUUAUUUUACAAAAACUCAAAAUAUUAAAAUCUUUCAUCCUAAGCAUAACUUUCUCAUCCAAAUAUUAAUGUAGUCAAUUAGGCCUAAAUUUUAAUAAUAUAAUUUUUUUAAUUUUUUUAUUUAUACUAAUAUUUAAUAUUUUAUUAUUUAUUUACAAAUAAUUUUAAAAAAAUUAAAAUUAAAUCAAAAAAUUAGAAGGGGAUAGGGAUUCCGCCGCAUCCCCGUUCUUUCUCUGAAUAAGAAAUUGAGUAAAAAAACUAUCUCCGUCCACUUUCCAAAUAAAAAAUUAAGUAAAAAAUUAUGUACCCUCCUGAAUUGGGAAAAUCUCGAGGGUCAUGUCCCCGCGGCAAUAUCUGCCAUUCCUAAACUUGUAACAGCCAGUUGCUUUUGUGACUGUUUAUGUGACGGCUAGACUGCUCUCACUUAUGUUACUAACCACGUGACGGUAGAGAGCCAAUUGGCAUACUAUUUUGACGGUAGAGUUAUAAAUUUGUUUCUAAAUAGAAAACUAUUUGCUGAAGUCAAUAUUUUGAAAACCAAAGUCCCAAAUUCUCUCUCGUGCGUGCCUGGUCAUCCUAAACCUUACUGGUAGCCGGAGAAUGGCGUAAAACGGCAGCGAUCUUCUUCUUCAUCUUAUUCUCUCUCUCAUCGUUUCAGGUAAGCUUGUGAUUAUGAGUUUCUUCUCUUUCUUAGCUUGUAAUUAUAGGUUUUGAUUUCUUUAAUUCGUAUUGUAGCCAUUAAUGUCAAUUUUUGUCCCACCGGCAAUUUUUUUUUGUUCCUAGAAGUUGAAGCCCUUCUGUUCUUGUGCCAUUGGUGAGUUUGCUCACUCAAAUUAAUUUUGUUCUGCGGAGUUUACAAAGUUCAAAUGGAUUCAUUUGGAUUACUAUUGAAUUUAGCUUUAAUUCCAACAUCCAUUCUAAUGUUUUGCUAUUAGAUUUACUUUAAUUUUAUGUUUAAAGCUUCUACAAUGAAUAGCGGAGCUUGGGUUUUAGUUUCAUUUUCUCAUUAACUUCUUUUAGUUUAUCUUAUAUGCUCGCCAAGUGCUUGUUAUAUUGUCUGAUAAGUUAUAUAACAUUGCUGAUUCUAUAUUAGUAAUGUCAUGUUCCAUUUUCGGAAAUUAUAACACAAAAGUUUUUACAAUGGCUUGCAUCUGCAAACUGAAUUGACUUGUAGAGUAAGAGCUUGGAUUAGUGUUAUGUUCUUGAAUAAAUGAAAGUUCAUAUUGUGUAAGAGCAUGUAGAUGUAAAGCAUCACUACCAUUUCUACAAACUGCUUUCAUUUUGUUCAGAUGCUCCUCUUGAACUUUGAAAGGUGCCUCAUUCAAGUCCUAGCUAUAACUACUAGCUCUGAUUGCUUAAGUUCCUGUGCUAGCUGAAACAGAUUUAUUUAAUUAAUUUAUUGUGUAUGUACUAAUUAUAUUGAAAGUAUAUGAAGAAAUUGUUUAACAUGAAUGACUUCUAAAUGACUUAAAAGCCUAAAGGAUAUGUGAAAUAAUGCUCAUUUCACUUGAACGAGCCUAUUAAUACUUGUAUGUCUAUGAUUGUCAAUCUUGCUUAAGUGUUUCAGUUAAGUGGUUUACCAAACAGGGAAAAAAAUUUAAUGGAAAACUUUAGAGUUCUAACAGAAAUAUAGUUGACUGCAGAUAUAGUUAUUUUAUGGUACAUAAAUCAUAUUGUCCUAUUCUCAAUGUCCUACGACCUAUUUUAUUUUAUAUGGUCAUUCAUUUUUGCGAUGGUUUUUUGUGCUUAUGAGUAUGGAAAUAGUGGGAUUUGGUGUGGCAAACAAAAAUAUACAUAUAAUCAAGUUUCUUAAUCAUUGUGCUUAUGAGUAUGGAAAUAGUGGGAUUUGGUGUGGCAAACAAAAAUAUACAUAUAAUCAAGUUUCUUAAUCAUGUAUAUUGGUUUUGGGUAUGAAUGUUUUCCUAUUCUAGUUCUAGGCAAAGUUUCUUCAUUUUGGUCUUCAGAUUUCCAGUAGGUUAAAGUUAAGCAACUAUCAUAACUAGCUAGCUAGUUAUUUGCCUUGCCUUUGUCGCCAUUACUGACGCCAUUUACAUUGCAUGGCAUAAGGAAUAGUAACUAGGUGAUUAUUGGUGAUUCCUUGAGUUUAUUAUUGGCCAAACAAACAUAUUNNNNNNNNNNNNNNNNNNNNNNNNNNNNNNNNNNNNNNNNNNNNNNNNNNNNNNNNNNNNNNNNNNNNNNNNNNNNNNNNNNNNNNNNNNNNNNNNNNNNNNNNNNNNNNNNNNNNNNNNNNNNNNNNNNNNNNNNNNNNNNNNNNNNNNNNNNNNNNNNNNNNNNNNNNNNNNNNNNNNNNNNNNNNNNNNNNNNNNNNNNNNNNNNNNNNNNNNNNNNNNNNNNNNNNNNNNNNNNNNNNNNNNNNNNNNNNNNNNNNNNNNNNNNNNNNNNNNNNNNNNNNNNNNNNNNNNNNNNNNNNNNNNNNNNNNNNNNNNNNNNNNNNNNNNNNNNNNNNNNNNNNNNNNNNNNNNNNNNNNNNNNNNNNNNNNNNNNNNNNNNNNNNNNNNNNNNNNNNNNNNNNNNNNNNNNNNNNNNNNNNNNNNNNNNNNNNNNNNNNNNNNNNNNNNNNNNNNNNNNNNNNNNNNNNNNNNNNNNNNNNNNNNNNNNNNNNNNNNNNNNNNNNNNNNNNNNNNNNNNNNNNNNNNNNNNNNNNNNNNNNNNNNNNNNNNNNNNNNNNNNNNNNNNNNNNNNNNNNNNNNNNNNNNNNNNNNNNNNNNNNNNNNNNNNNNNNNNNNNNNNNNNNNNNNNNNNNNNNNNNNNNNNNNNNNNNNNNNNNNNNNNNNNNNNNNNNNNNNNNNNNNNNNNNNNNNNNNNNNNNNNNNNNNNNNNNNNNNNNNNNNNNNNNNNNNNNNNNNNNNNNNNNNNNNNNNNNNNNNNNNNNNNNNNNNNNNNNNNNNNNNNNNNNNNNNNNNNNNNNNNNNNNNNNNNNNNNNNNNNNNNNNNNNNNNNNNNNNNNNNNNNNNNNNNNNNNNNNNNNNNNNNNNNNNNNNNNNNNNNNNNNNNNNNNNNNNNNNNNNNNNNNNNNNNNNNNNNNNNNNNNNNNNNNNNNNNNNNNNNNNNNNNNNNNNNNNNNNNNNNNNNNNNNNNNNNNNNNNNNNNNNNNNNNNNNNNNNNNNNNNNNNNNNNNNNNNNNNNNNNNNNNNNNNNNNNNNNNNNNNNNNNNNNNNNNNNNNNNNNNNNNNNNNNNNNNNNNNNNNNNNNNNNNNNNNNNNNNNNNNNNNNNNNNNNNNNNNNNNNNNNNNNNNNNNNNNNNNNNNNNNNNNNNNNNNNNNNNNNNNNNNNNNNNNNNNNNNNNNNNNNNNNNNNNNNNNNNNNNNNNNNNNNNNNNNNNNNNNNNNNNNNNNNNNNNNNNNNNNNNNNNNNNNNNNNNNNNNNNNNNNNNNNNNNNNNNNNNNNNNNNNNNNNNNNNNNNNNNNNNNNNNNNNNNNNNNNNNNNNNNNNNNNNNNNNNNNNNNNNNNNNNNNNNNNNNNNNNNNNNNNNNNNNNNNNNNNNNNNNNNNNNNNNNNNNNNNNNNNNNNNNNNNNNNNNNNNNNNNNNNNNNNNNNNNNNNNNNNNNNNNNNNNNNNNNNNNNNNNNNNNNNNNNNNNNNNNNNNNNNNNNNNNNNNNNNNNNNNNNNNNNNNNNNNNNNNNNNNNNNNNNNNNNNNNNNNNNNNNNNNNNNNNNNNNNNNNNNNNNNNNNNNNNNNNNNNNNNNNNNNNNNNNNNNNNNNNNNNNNNNNNNNNNNNNNNNNNNNNNNNNNNNNNNNNNNNNNNNNNNNNNNNNNNNNNNNNNNNNNNNNNNNNNNNNNNNNNNNNNNNNNNNNNNNNNNNNNNNNNNNNNNNNNNNNNNNNNNNNNNNNNNNNNNNNNNNNNNNNNNNNNNNNNNNNNNNNNNNNNNNNNNNNNNNNNNNNNNNNNNNNNNNNNNNNNNNNNNNNNNNNNNNNNNNNNNNNNNNNNNNNNNNNNNNNNNNNNNNNNNNNNNNNNNNNNNNNNNNNNNNNNNNNNNNNNNNNNNNNNNNNNNNNNNNNNNNNNNNNNNNNNNNNNNNNNNNNNNNNNNNNNNNNNNNNNNNNNNNNNNNNNNNNNNNNNNNNNNNNNNNNNNNNNNNNNNNNNNNNNNNNNNNNNNNNNNNNNNNNNNNNNNNNNNNNNNNNNNNNNNNNNNNNNNNNNNNNNNNNNNNNNNNNNNNNNNNNNNNNNNNNNNNNNNNNNNNNNNNNNNNNNNNNNNNNNNNNNNNNNNNNNNNNNNNNNNNNNNNNNNNNNNNNNNNNNNNNNNNNNNNNNNNNNNNNNNNNNNNNNNNNNNNNNNNNNNNNNNNNNNNNNNNNNNNNNNNNNNNNNNNNNNNNNNNNNNNNNNNNNNNNNNNNNNNNNNNNNNNNNNNNNNNNNNNNNNNNNNNNNNNNNNNNNNNNNNNNNNNNNNNNNNNNNNNNNNNNNNNNNNNNNNNNNNNNNNNNNNNNNNNNNNNNNNNNNNNNNNNNNNNNNNNNNNNNNNNNNNNNNNNNNNNNNNNNNNNNNNNNNNNNNNNNNNNNNNNNNNNNNNNNNNNNNNNNNNNNNNNNNNNNNNNNNNNNNNNNNNNNNNNNNNNNNNNNNNNNNNNNNNNNNNNNNNNNNNNNNNNNNNNNNNNNNNNNNNNNNNNNNNNNNNNNNNNNNNNNNNNNNNNNNNNNNNNNNNNNNNNNNNNNNNNNNNNNNNNNNNNNNNNNNNNNNNNNNNNNNNNNNNNNNNNNNNNNNNNNNNNNNNNNNNNNNNNNNNNCCCCCCCCCCCCACCACCAAAAAAAAAAACAAAACAAAUAGGAAGACUUUGCAAGAUUCACAACCAGGUUACAUUUAAUUUAUUAAUUGUGUGUACGUACUAGUUAUUUGUUGAUAGAAUAGGAAGAAGUAUUUUAAUAUGAAUGACUUAAAACUUAUUGCUCAGUAAACAUAAUGUGCAUCAGUGCUAGAAAAUGUAUUUAUUGUUUGUAAUUUUUUAUGGUUUUGCUUAAGAAAUGAAAUGUGAAAAAAUGCUACAUUGUAUUAGGAAUAAAAUGAAGAGAUUUAUGAUUUUUAUGUGUUAUUCAAGUUUCAGAUUCAAUUUUAAACUUUUGAUACAUGCAUUGAAAGCUUAAACUCCUUUAAGAAAUUAUUAAUAGACACAUGUUUUAUUAGUGUCAUCUUCUGGAUGAUAGUGAGGAUCUUAUGUCUAUUAAUAAUUCUUGAAUUAUCUAGGCUUGGACAGUUUGGUAAUGCAUAGUUUUCUAUGUUAGCUAGUGCCUGAAAUUUUUUUCCCACGUAAAAAUGGGGUUUUCAGCAGCUGCUCCUCAUGUUCUCUGGGUGCAUACUAGACAAAUGGGUGUCAUGUGUUGUUUUGGCAUAACACAUAAACACUCAUAUAUCUAUGUCGUGUACUUGAAGAACUAUAGGGAGAUGCUUCCGAAGUUUCUAUAAACGUAGAGGAAAACUUUAGAUACUUAAGAUUGAAGAAACUUAUGCAUUCUUGAGUGGGAUAUAUAGGACCACUUACCUUUUGUAAAUAUGAAGGGAAUGUUGGAUAUAUUGAUGGGAGUGGAGGAGCUGAGUGGGAUGAAUGUAAUCGGUUAUGAUUUUGCUGAGUCGACUUGGUUUUGAGUCUUGUAAUUUUUUUUAUAAAUGGAGUACUAUCUCCAAUGUUGGUUUAUAAAUAUGUUUCAGCUGGCUGACCUAAUUUUUUGUUUCUAGGUAACAGGCUUUAUAUAUCUGUAAUUGAUAGCCAAGUGAAGUUCUCAGCAGUGGGUGAGGAUAUUUCUUUACAGAAGGUAUUGCAAACUGUUUUUUAGAUUAAUUAUUAUUGUAUAUAUACUUUAAUUUUCACAUCUUUUUCUCUGAUUCUUGUGGCUUUGCUUGCUUCCAUAUAUAUAAAACCAUAAAAUUGUAUAAUAAUUUUUUUUAUUAUAUUGCGAAACUGCGCACACAUGAAAAUAUCUUGUUUAGUAGUAGAAAUGAAGAAUUAAAGUGAUUUAUUUAACUAAUUUUUCUAGUGCAAUAAAAGGAGAUAGUCAUGGACCAGAGUUGGGUUGGUUUGCCAAAUAGAUAUCCAAUUCAUAUACUGAUGGGGGUCAAAAAAUUUAUAGAUUUUGCAUUUGAGAAUGUUGUUGGUGAUAAAAGAAUUUAUUGUCCUUCUAAGAGGUGUUGUAAUAUCGAUAUUUCAUUAUAAGGAAAGUGGCAAGAGACCAUAUCAUUAUAAAUGGCUAUUGGUUAAAGUAUUAAAACUGGAUAUUGGAGGGUGAGCCAUCUUCAUCUUUGAAAUCUAACUAAGAAACAGGUUAGUCAUGACUCGGGUAGUGAUGCUAGUAUGGUUGGAAUGAUGCAUAAUGCAUCACGUAAUCAAAUGUUCAAGUCACACGCAGCAUUGUUAUGGACUAUCUCCGACUUUCUAGCAUAUGCCAACUUGUUUGGGUGGAGUAUUAAAGGUAAAUAAGCAUUUCUUGUUUGCCAACAAAACACUAGAUCUAAUUGGUUGAUACAUAGUAGAAAAUUGUCACGUGGGUCACUGUCGAUUUUUACCAACAAAUCAUAGGUUCCGAAAAUAUAGUGCCAUCUGAUAAAACUGGAGAGUGGGGACAAGCACCUUCUCGGUUGUCUGGAGCUGAGGUGAAAAAGCAGUUCAAUAAUGUACUUACUGAGUAUAAGAUUGAAGAUUUGAAAAGAGGAGAAUGAAUAAAAUGAAAGAAAUGAUAAGAUUACUUGGAAGAAGAAAAGCAUUUUUAAUGAACUAACGUAUUGGGAGUUCAAUUUGAUUCAUCAUAAUCUUGAUGUCAUACACCGUUUUUAUUUUUGUUAUGAACUCAGAUCAAAAGUUUAAUGUGAUCAAAAUUUCUUAAAAAUAGUGAAAAAGACUCCUAAUAAUAUGGAAGAUGGCUAUAAAAGAUAAUUUCUUAAAAGUUUAAUGUGAUCAAAAUUGCUUGUGAACGCAAGGGUUUUAGUUACACUGUCAACGCUGUCAAUGUAGUGAUACAAUGAAGAUGAAGUAAAGCAUUAGUAGAAUAAUGAAGUUGACCAGUAACACAGUAAAGCAUAUUUUAUUCCAGAGCAUGAAAACUUUUAAACAGUAACACAGCUCUUAUUCCAGAGGCUGCACACGAGUGACCUGAAUCUUCUUCAGAACUUUCAAAUUUUAUCAAGCAAAGAUUUCAAAAUCCUUGCCUUCCUAAGUUGGGAAAAAUAGAUGUGGAGCAAACCAAAUGAAAUAAAUGGGUAAACAGAACAAGCAGGGCAAAAAUUAAAAAUGAUAGCAAUUAACAAAUUAAUAGCAAUGUUACAUUUGACUCUUUAGCCCUUUGUUCCUUCUCUUAGCAUUCUUCAAAGUUUUUGAAAAUAGGAUGUGAAGCAAACAAAAUAAAAUAAAUUUAGACAACACAUGCCCUGUAUUCAGCAUCAUAUAUAUCUCGAAUAUCUAACAUAAUAAAUUUCACAUCUAAAAUACUAGAAUUUCAAACAGUACUAGUAGUGAAAAAAUGAUGACAACAACAAAAAUAGAAAAUUACAAGACUGCUGAUAAAAUUUCAUUUGCAUGCAUGUCUGACAAAAUUUCCGUGAUUUAAUGUGCUUUCAUGAACGCAAGUCCUAACGUUUCUGUGAUCACAAAAUGAAACUGAAGAUAAAACAGAACAACUACCAAACCUUUCAAGCUUGACGAAGCCAUGAGAAUUGAUAGCUCAGGCUCUGAUACCAAGUAAAAGUUUCUAAUCUGUUUGGUAAGUAAGAAAAUGAGAGAAAAUGAAAGAAAGAACAGAGAUCAUCUAAGAGCUGGAUUUGAUAAGUAAAUAUGAAUCAUCCAUUCAUUAGCUGAUUGCAAAUGUAUUUAUACAAGUGAUGGUUGUCGAAGCCAACAAAAAUAAAUUCCUACUAUAAAUAAAUUGUGUAUAGUGAUUGAGCAGGGUCGUGUCCACAGAGAUCGGUAAUUAUUUAAAUCCUUUUGAAACGUAAAACGUAAAAUGGGGGAAUUGUUGACAAUAAUAAAAAUCAAAUUAAAAUAACAAGAAUACAAAUUAAAGUUGUAAUUCAAAUUGGAGAAAGCUCUGGUUGAAGGAAUUAACUCAGCUUGAUUCGACUACUGAUCAUUGAUUCAAAUAUAGAUUAUUAUUACUUAUGAAUAGACCGGUUAUAGCUACUGAGACCCUCUAAUAGCCAAUCUCUCCUUAACUAGUCGAUAACCAAGGUAUGACCGUUGGUUAUUUCCCUAAUCAAUAGACAACCCUAGAUACGAUCAUAGGAUUUAAUCAAUUGACAACCUGAAAGACCAGAGAGACCCAAAUCCUAAUCAACACAUACGAUGAUUCAUUUAAAUUAGAUUGUUUAUUCUCAUAACACAACUCACUGCUAUGUUAUUCGUCACAAACAUUAAAAGCUUCAUACGAUGAAUCCUUUAAUUAACAAUAGAUUAAGUUGAUAAUUAAAUAGUGGCCAAUUACCUAAUUAACAAACAUAAUCAUGAAAAUAAUUCAGAGAAUAAACAAAUACCCAAAAAGUAAUAAAACAAUUAAAGUAUAAAAUAGAUCUCACAGUAGUGAUGAAUCAAAACUUCAUUAUCCUUCAACCAGAAAAAUAAGUUUAGUUCUUCAUAGAGAGAAGAGAAAAGUUUAGAUCUAGGGUUUCUCUCUUUUUCUCCAAUCCCCAUUUUUCACAAUAGAUUCCUCCCUUAAAUACUCUCUCUCUCUUCUCUUUUAGAAUUCUAUUUAAAAUAAAAUACUAAUAUCUGAAAUAUUAAAUUCGUAAUUACAAAAAUAACCAAAAAUACAAAACACGUUAAACUAAAAACUGCAGGUCCGCAGUUGACAGCACGUGCCCACGCCUUAUCAACAAAGUUCUUCUGACGCUCAUAAUUUCUCCAAGAGAACAAUCAUCCUUAAACAUCAUCUUGUAACUCAAUUUUAUCACCAAUCAAUAGAAUUGCACCUACAAAAGUAAAACACAAGUAAAUCACUAUUAUUAAGUGCAAAACAUCGAUAUUAAGGGAAGUAAACAAUGCAAAACUAGUGCAUAAAUUGCACUCUAACAACAAGGUUCCUGAACAUUUCAGAUUCUAUAUGCUCGAGCUAAGCACCUGAGAGUUGAGCAGUGUGCACUAACAAACUGCUAACAAAAUAACUAACUCAUGCCAGCUCAGCUAACACGUCAGUAACUCUAACUAUCUUGCUUAACAAACUGAAACAAUAACUAACCAUUUUAACUAUCUUAACAAUCCCAAUAAUUUCUCCAUUUGUGUACUUUUUUGAAUCAUAAUCAAAUGGAUAAAUGUUGCAACUAUUUUUUUAGAUAUUUUCACUUUAGGAUGUCAGCCCGAGGAAGUACGGGGGUCUGAGUUAUUCAACUGAAAAUGUCGGCCAAGUUCUUGCCAUCUCAAGUGCAAAACUGAAAAUGUUACUCGUUCUUCUUAACUUGUUUUCUCAUGCAUCAACCCCACAAAACUGCUCAUUGAAGGGGUAAAAUUUUGAACACACCAUGUGGCAUUUAGACCAUUUGAUAGUUUGUUUCAAACAUAUUUGUUUAUAAAAUACUUUUCUUCAUGGAUUUGGUUACGUAAUUGUCUAUGUAUGUACAGGUUUUAUCGAUACCUCUUUUGACAAGUUACAUAGCAAUGUUAUCUGGGUUCAGCCGUGCCUUAUUGAUAAACUGUGCUUCUGUAAUGAAGAAUGUUUUAUCUGUAAGUGGAUAUCCUAAUCGUUGAUCCAUAUCCAUAAGCAAGUAUGUAUAAAAUUAUUUUAUGUCUUUUUUAUUAGAAAUGUUGUAAUUCUUUUUUACUCUUCCUGAAUUAUAACAGCAGGUGUCUAUAAUAACUGGAUUGUUCCUUCUGCAAAACAGAGCAGUGGUAAAUAUUUUUUUCUUUUGUUUGUCUAGUACAUUUCCAUGAUUUCAGCUUUUUCAAAUUUUGUAUGUGUCAAAGUUUAAAUUUAAUUUGUUGGUUUAUGGCAACAACAGGAACAGAAUCAAAGAGGAGCUGCCAAUGGACUGCUAUGACUGUAGAGUCGCUUACCAAAACUGCUGGUUCAGCUGUAGGAGGUGCUAUGUAGGCGUCCUAUUGAUUUUGUAAAAUUAUAUGUAAAUGAUGUCAUAAUUUUUAUUGUCUCCCCCACCCCCUCUCCCCAAAAAAAAAAAAAAAUUAAAAAAUUAAAAACUAAGGCAUGAUUAAAUUGAUCAUUUGUUUGGUAACAACUUGAUUAAUCGGGUUCUGGCAGAUUUUCUUGGUCACAAAAGCGUCAAGAUGCUGGUUUCCUCCCAGGUAUGAUGAUUUACUAAUGAAAUUUAUCACUAGUAUGUGAAUUACUUGGUGCUAAUUAACUUAAUCAGCUGCUUAAAUUAAAGUGCAGGUAACCUUAUUUUUUUUUUCUUUUUACAAUAAUACUCUUGGAAUAAUAUUUCUGGGAAUAUUAAUGAAAAAUGGUAAUUCAUCCAGCCAGCCUUAAACAAAAUAAAUAUUAAUAAAAACUUUUAUGUUAUUAUUUUAGUUUUAGGACUAAUUUCGUAAAUUAAAUUUUUUAUGCAUUUAUUAGUAAGACUGCUUUAAGAAUAUUAAACAUUACUUUAAGUUGGCUGAUAUUAAUUUAUUUAUAAAUAAUUAUUAGCAAGAUUGUUGUAAAAGUACAAAAAAUACUAGUUAUUUCAUAUUGAUAUUUAUUGAUUAAUUUGGCAAUUAACUUUUUUAUAAAUAAAUUAAUUAAUUUAAGAAUAUUAUUGCCAAGAAAUUAUUGUAAAAGUAAAUAAAAUUUAAGGAAAAAAUGCAACAUAUUUAAUAUCAAGGUAUAUUGAGGUAUUUUUCAAAAUAUAAAGACAAAACAAGCACUGAAAUUAAAAUACAGAUACCAAACAAGCAUUUUCUCUCUUAGAAAAUUUUAUAUUUUAUUAAUGAAAGUCUAAAUAACAAAAUUAGGGUUUUGGACUCCUUUUAAACUAAGCCUAAAUAUCACGAAUUUACCAAUAUAGUAAACCUAAAAUAUUACUGCAUAAUAACAUUCUCCUAACUGAAAUAAGAUAAAUACUACUUCAAUUCUAUAUCUAAAUGAAAAAAAGAUAAAAAUCUUGAAAACAAUAGGAAAAUAGAACUUAAACUUGUAAACUAAUAUGAAAUAAAUAGAAUUCUCAAUCGAACCACGAGGCUAAUGCGGUGCUACAGUAUUAGAUUAGAUUUCCCUCAUUGCUAACUUCGAAAUGGUAUAUUAUACACCCUAUAUAGGUACUUAUAGCUAAGGGUGGGCAUGUGUUGGUUUGGGUUAGGUUUUAAGUCAAUCCAAACCAAACCAUAAAAUUUUGGGUUCAACCCAAAUUAACCCAAAUAUUUUUAACCCAACCCAAACCAACCCAUUUGGGUUUGGUUUGAAUUUUAUAAUUAAAAUAUUUUUUAUUUUAAUAAAUUUAACUAUAUCAAAUUAUAAUACUUAUUAAUUAAUAUUAAUUAUUAAAUUAAUAUUAAAAUACGAAAAAAUGUAGUGGAUAAAAAUUAUGAAUAAUGGAUUUUACAAUAACUUUGUUCUUAAAUAUUAACCAUAUUACAACAUAAAUUCUACCAAUGUCAAUACAAAUUAAAGUAAGAUAAGAUAUCUCAACUCAAGUAUCAAAGCAAUCCAUCAAAAUUAAAUUAUUUAAUUUUAUAAAUUUAAAUCUUCCGAGAAAUAAAUCUAAAAUUUAUUGUAAUUAGAAAAAAUGCCAAAAUUUUAAAUGCAGUAAGAAAAAUUAGACAUGAAAUCUAAUUAGGUUUAAAUUUAAUUAAAAAAUAACAAUAGAAUCAUAUUUUAUUUGAUAAAAUCUUAUAAUCAAUUACAUUUUUAAUUUUAGUAAGUUACAAUACAAAUAGGAUUAUAAAAUUAUAUUAGAGGAUUUCAUAAAAAUAUUGUUUGAGUAAUUUAUUAAAAUGUUAAUUUAGUCUUUUAACUCAAGUUGAGACCGUAAAAAAUUGUUAUAUAAUAGUGUAUUGUACAACCAAUUGCAUAUGUAUUUGCCCUAUGCAGCACUUCUAUUAUUAUUAUAUAAUAAUAAUUAGUAGUAGUAUAAUUACUAUAUAAUAAUAAUUAUUAGUAGUAUAAUUAUUAUAUAAUAAUAAUUUUAAUAAAAAAUUAUUAUUAAAAUAUUGAUUUAUCCUUUUAUUUUGUUUAAUUUAUUUUUCAUUAAUAUGUUAUUUUGAAUUUGUUCAUGACCCAUGGGUAAACCAUACCCAAGCCAUUGUAAAAUAAUUUCUUUCAUAAAAAUCCAAAUUUAACUCAUUUCAUGAUUUAUCCAACCCAAACCAUUUUAUUUGGUUUGGGUUUGGGUAAACCCAUGGGUUGUGGGUUUAUGCCCACCCCUACUUAUAGCUCAAGUUAUUACCUUAGAGAGAUACCCUACGCAUCCUACACAACCAUCCACUGCAUCAAAGUCGUUCCAAAACAGUAGUUCACAGUUGGUACUGCACAUGAUACUUGUUUCUCCUUUUGCAUCUACUUUUGUUGUUAACAUUAAUUUCAAUAGCAGCUCAUUAUGUAUGCAACAUUUCAAAAUUAAUCCAAAAAAACAAAAAUUAGUUCAGCUGACCAAAUUUGAAAGCAUGGAUUUGCUGUCGAUUAAAAAUCGUUUUGUAGGGAAAAUUUUUGGAUUGCAAUUCUCAUACAAUACAUAGAAUUAUCAUAAUCUAUAAAUUGUAUUUUUGCUUUUCUACGGUAGUAAGUCAAGAAUCCUACUUGUAUUUUUGCUUUUCUACGGUAGUAAGUCAAGAAUCCUUAGUGACAAUUUAAAUUGAAAAAAUAAAAUCAUAAAUAAGAAUUAUUUGAUAAGAAUUAAAAUAAUUGAUAAAUAUUUGAGAGGAGCAAUUUUGGAAGACUCGAUUUCUAAUAGGAGGGGAAUUUGAAUUUUACAACCUUCCGUGAGGAAUCCAAAAUGCACAAUUUGAUGAAAAUUAAAUUUCAAUAGAAAUUGAAUUCCCAUACAUUAGUGAAAACCAAACAACAGAAAAGUGAAAGGAAUUUGAAUUCAUUUCCUUCCCGUCUCAUCCCUCCAACUAAAUACCAUCGAUACCCAAAGGUAUGUGAUUGGGAUUCCAUACUGAUCAGAAUGGGAUUUGUCCAUAUUAUUAGGACCAAUUUUAAAAGCAGUCGGAGUUUAAAAUUGAAAUUAAUCCCAAUUUUUUAUUUGGGACUAGAUAAGAAUUUAUAUUGGAACUCCAAUUCUCCCAAUUAUUUUAGUUGAUAAUAUGUUUAACAUUAUUAAUUGCAUAUUAUUUAAUUAUCAGUAUAUAAUAUUCUUUAAUUUUCCAAUUUUAUAGGAUUAGACACAAAAUUGAUUAUGCCUUCUGAAAUUUAAGGGUUAUGUCAAUUGAACAGAAAACUUGGAGUUGAACUUUUGGAUGUUUUUGUUGAUUAUCAAUUUAUGCAUGAAUUUUUGUACGUUUACUUUGGUUUAUUAUUGUUACUUUUAGACAUUUUUAUUGGUUUGAUUUAGGGUCAUUUUGGUAAUCUUGUAAUUUUUAAAAUAGUUACAGUUAGCUAUGCUAUAGAAAUUGAUAAAUCGUGAAGAGAAUCAGCUGAACAUUUAGUAAAAUUUAUUUUUAAAAGUACUUUAGUUUUAAAAGCAGUUGUAUGUGUUUCGUAAAUCUUAUUUUUAAACAGGUGCAAGAAUAUAAAUAACUAAAUUGGACAUAAUGCUAAAUAAAAUUUAUUUACACAUUUACAAACAUGUAUAUAAAAUAUUUUUAUUAUGUACAUAUAAUUAUUGAUAACUAAAAUAAAUAUUUUAUAUUAUUAAAUUUUAUUCUUUAUUUUGUUAUCUCAAUAUAAUUGGUAAUAAUAAUAAUCUCUUAAAGUUAAUGAUUUUAUUUCUUAAUUAAUAAAGAUAAUUCUGGAUUUUUAUUAUAGAAUGAGGAUAUAUAUAUAUAUAUAUAUAUAUAUAUAUAUAUAUAUAGAAUUGGAUUAAGUAUAAAAGUGAUUUUCAAAAUCAAAUUUUGAAAAACUAUUCCUUCCAUACUUCUCAAAAUCCUCUGUAUGAUGAGAUGAUUUUUCCAAAAGUAAUUGCUAAAAAAUUAUAAAACACUAAAAAUUAGGUUUUAGUUUUUAAAAUCACUUUUGAGCUUCCCAAAAACAAGCCUAACGGGCCUUUAUUUGGGUGGUGUAGGAACUUAUAACUUUUGGAUCAUUUAGUUUUUAUUGGUUUGAUACAAUUGUUACACUAAAAAUUGAAUGUAUCUUAAACCCCAAACUUCUUCUUCUUCUUUUUUGAUUGCACAAAAUUAAAAACAAUAGUGAACGCAUUCUUUAAUAAACAAUAAGUAAUUACUAAAAUUGUGUUAAAGAAUUUAGUUGAAACAUAAAUUGAUUUCAAUGUUGUAUAUGCUAAAUUUCUUAAAAAUUUUCUUUCACGGUCUGCUGAAUAGUUUUAUUAGUAUUUUUAUUAUAUAAAAAUAAUUGAUUUAAUUUUUUAAAGAAAUUUAUUAGGUUCAUGUAAAUACGUUUUUGUUAUUUAAAAAGUGUACAAAGUAAAACUUAAUUUUUUAAAUUUAUUAGAUGAGUGGAUAAAAUAAUUGAGUGUUCAUAGUAAAUUUUAAGUAUAGAUAGUCAGACCCUAAUAUUUUUAAUAUAUGGAAAAUUUGAAAAUAUGUUAAUGAGAAUUAAAAUGAUAAUUAAGGGAGGCAUUCGAGACAUUCAGGAUUGUUAGGAUAGGACAUGAUUGUGAGCGGUUUGAGAUUGGCCCUAAUUUUGAUCACAAAUAUAUAAGCAGGAUGUUUAUCCAUACUUACAUUCCAUUUGAUAAUUAAGAUGAGAGUGGAAUUGUCAAAUCCCAAAUUAUCCCGGACCAUUGCCACCAAAGGUACUCUCACUAAUAAUAUCUAAAGAAAAAUCUACAUCUAUUUCAUACUUUUUUUUUAAACGGAAAGAGCCCUUAUGGGGCUUGAAAUAGUAUCCUAAAUAAUAUUCAGAAUAUCAGGCCAUGACUGGGUUUGUAACAAACAAAUAUUACAUAGUUGGGAUACGUAGUUACUAGUGUCCCAAUUUAUGUAGUAUCUAUCAUUUAGUACACAUAUAAAGUGUUUGGGACAUGAAAUAGGGUGACCAAGAUAAGGUGUUUGCUCAUACAAUAUCGUGCUCUUCUCAAAGUAAAAAGUGAAAAAAUAGUUGAUAGGCUACUAGGAGUUUAUUUGGUCACCUCGAGCACAUCAUCUCGACCAGGAUAUUAUUUGGUGAUCUCGAGCACAUCAUCUUGACUAAGAGAUUAUUUGGUCACCUUGAGUAUAUCACCUCGACCAGGAGAUUAUUUGGUGACCUCGAGUAGAUCAUCUUGAUCAGGAGGUUACCAGGAAGCACGACUCAGUCAAAACAAAUCUCACUUAUUUUCUUCGAAAUAUUAGGGAUCAUAUUCUUAGUGGGCUGAAAAUUAGUGAUUUUCUUAAGAGUUUUAGGUGAGAGGAUAAAAACCGCUAUAAUUUGCUAUAAAAACCCUGGGAAGGGAGGGAAAUAGGGAGAUUCUUUUUAUCUCUCUCUCUUUGGGUGACUGAACCCAUGGGAUCUUUUUCUCUCUACCACUGGGAAACUUCUCUUUCUCUCAUGAUUUAUUUUUCUUUAAGAUUGGUUAUUUUUUAUUCUUUUCCCAUAAAUUUACUUAAAAGCUUUUUGUUUAAAGUAUUCAUAAUUAAGCCGCGUGAAUUGUGGUACAAAUUUUUCCAAGUAGACCUAAAUCGCUGACUUGAGCGUCGGAGGAUUUUCUUUAAGAUUGAUUAUUGUUUCCAUAAAUUUGAACCAAGAAGGAUGACGCGAUAAAAUUUGUUUUUUAUUGUAUGGUUGAUUUCAUAUCUCAUGCACUCAUUUCUUAAGAUAAUUAGAUUUCAUCUUUUGCAAAUGUGGAAAUAUCAAUAAUGAUCAAUCAAAACGAUCUCAAAACCUUUCAACGCGACAUAUUUAUAAUACAAUAUUGUGAAAAUUACACCAAAAAUUUAAUUUAUGAUAUAUUAUUAUCCCACCAGCACACAGAAAUGAAUUCGUACAAAUCUAAAAUACUUAGCAAUUUUCAAAUAGAAUUUUAAAUUUAUUUCCAGUUAGAAAACUAUUCGCUGGACUCCGUAUUACUAGCCACCAUCGUAAGCCUAACCGGUUGCCGGCGAACGGCGUAAAACACCAGCCAUCUUCUUCUUCAUCAUAUUCUCCUUUCAUCUUUUGAGUUAAGCCUGUGAUUAUGAGUUUCUUCUCUUACUUAGCUUGUAAUUAUAGAUUUUGAUUCUUUUUAAUUCGUAUUGUAGCCGUUAUUGUCAAUUUUUGUCCCGCCAGCAAUAUUUUUUUAUUCCUACAAGUUGAAAAUGGAUUCAUUUGAAUUACGAUUGAAUUUAGCUUUAAUUUCAAUAUCCAUUCUAAUGUUUUGCUAUUAGAUUUACUUUAAUUUUAUGUUUAAAGCUUCUACAAUGACUAGCGGAGCUUGGGUUUUAGUUUCAUUUUCUGUAACUUGUUUUAGUUUAUCUUGUAUGCUCACCAAGUGCUUGUUAUAUUGUCUGAUAAUUUAUAUACAUUGCUGAUUCUAUAUUAAUAAUGUUAUGUUCUAUUUUCAGAAAUUAUAAUACAAAAUUUUUUACAAUGGCGUGCAUCUACAAACUGGAUUGACUCGUAGAAUAAGAGCUUGGAGUAGUGUUAUGUUCUUGAAUAAAUGAAAGUUCAUAUUGUGUAAGAGCAUGUAGAUGUAAAGCAUCAUUACCAUUUCUAUAAAGGACUUUCAUUCUGUUCAGAUGCUCUUCUUGAACAUUGAAAGGUGCCUCGUUCAAGUCCUAGCUAUAACUACUAGCUUUGAUUAAUUAAGUUCCUAUACUAGCUGAAACAGAUUUAUUUAAUUAAUUAAUUGUGUAUGUACUGAUUAUAUUGAAAGUAUAUGAAUUUUUUUUUUUUAACAUGAAUGACUUAAAAACCUAAAGGAUAUGUGAAAUUAUGCUCAUUUCACCUGAAUGAGCCUAUUAAUACUUUUAUGUCUAUGAUUCUCAAUAUUGGCUUAAGCAUUUCAGUUCAGUGGUUUACCUAACAGAGAAAAAAAUUUAAUAGAAAACUUCAGAGUUCUAACAGAAAUAUAGUUCACUAUGCAGAUAUAGUUAUUUUAUUUUAUAUAGUCAUUAAUUUUUGCCAUGGUUUUUUGUGUUUAUGAGUUUGAAAUAGUGGGAUUUGGUGUACCUUAGCAUCUUUUGAAAAUUCUCUUUAAGUGUGGCCAACAGAAAUAUACAUAUAAUCAAGUUUCUUAAUCCUGUAUAUUAGUUUUGGGUAUGAAUGUUCCUAUUCUAGUUCUAGGCAAAGCUUCUUUGUUUUGGUCUUCAGAUUUCCAGUAGGUUAAGUUAAUCAACUAUCAUAACUGGCUAGCUAGUUAUUGUCUGCCCUGGCGCCAUUACCCAGGCCAUUAUAUUGCAUAGCAUAAGGAAUAGUGAUUAGGUGAUUAUUAGUGAUUUGUUGAGCUUAUUAUUGACCAAACAAAUGUAUUCGCCUUUGGCCACAACUUAGUUUGAUUAGUUAUUAGACCAUAAAGAGCCUUGAUCUAUUCAUUGGCUUUAUUAUUUUUAUUUGGUUUUUCUUUCAACAACAUUGUUGAUAUCUUAUAAAAAUAUUCAGUGGUUUUUAAACACCUAAUCAUUGGCUAUAUUAAGCUAAUUAAAACUGAGGCUUUGGAUCAAUUUCUUCUAACAAGAUACAAAUGAGCAAAACCUUUCUCCUCUAAGUAAAUUUUUUUAAUAUCCCUUGAAUUGUAAGGAUCUGGAGGCGUGAAUCCUCUUGAUUUUUUUUAACACUGUCAAUGUUCUUUUUAUUCUGAGAAGGAAAUAAAAGGUUUUAUCUUUCAUACCCGAAUAGUAAGCUGGCCUUGUCUUAACAUGGCCUCCCGAGGACUUGCAAGAUUCAUAGUGUCCCCCACCCCAAAAAAAAUAUAAAAAACACAAAUAGGAAGAUUUUGCAAGAUUCACCACCAGGUUUUUUUUAAUUUAUUAAUUGUGUGUACGUGCUAGUUAUAUGUUGAAAGAAUAGGAAGAAGUAUUUCAACAUGAAUGACUUAAAACUUAUUGCUCAGUAAACAUAAUCUGCAUCAGUGCGAAAAUGUAUUUAUCGUUUGUAUUUUUUAUGGUUUUGCUAAAGAAAUGAUAUGUGAAAUAAUGCUACAUUGCAUCAGGAAUAAAUUGAAGAGACUUAUGAUAUUUAUGUGUUAUUCAAAUUUCAGAUUCAAUUUUAAACUUUUGAUACGUGCAUUGAAAGCUUAGACUUGUUUAAGAAAUUAUUAAUAGACACAUGUUUUAUUAGUGUCAUCUUUGGAUGAUAGUGAGGAUCAUAUGUCUAUUAAUAAUUCUUGAAUUGUCCAGGCUUGGACAGUUUGGGAAUGCAUAGUUCACUCUGGUAGUUAGUAGCUGAAGUUUUUUCCCACGUAAAAAUGGGUUUUUCGGUAGCUGCUCCUCGUGUUCUCUGGGUACGUACUAGGUGAAUGGGUGUCAUGUGUUGUUUUGGCAUAACGCAUAAACACUUAUAUAGCUAUGUCGUGUGCUUGGAGAAUUAUAGGGAGAUGGUGCCGAAAUUUUUAUAAACGUGGAAGAAAACUUUAGGUACUUGAGAUUGAAGAAACUUAUGCAUUCUUGAGUGGGAUAUGUAGGAUUACUUACCUUUUGUAAAUAUGAAGGGAAUGUUGGAUAUAUUGGGGAUAGUGUAGGAGCUGAGUUGGAUGAAUGUAAUUGGUGAUGAUUUUGCUGAGCUGACCUUGGUCUUGAGCUUGUAAUUUUGUUUGUAAAUGGAGUGCUAUCUCCAAUGUUGGUUUAUAAAAAUGUUUCAGGACUUGCUGAUCUAAUUUUUUGUUUCUAGGUUACAGGCUUUAUAUAUCUGUAAUUGAUAGCCAAGUGAAGUUCUCAGCACUUGGCAAGGAUAUUUCUUUACAGAAGGUAUUGGAAACUGUUUUUUACAUUAAUUAUCGUUGUUUAUAUACUUUGAUUGUCACAUCUUUUUCUCUGAUUCUUGUGGCUUUGCUUGCUUUCAUAUAUGUAAAUUCUAAUGAAAUUAACCAUAAAAUUGUAAAAUGAUCUUUUUAUUAUAUUGCAAAACUGUGCACACACGAAAAUAUCUUGUUUAGUAGUGGAAAUGAAGAACUAAUUUUUGUCGCGCAUUAAAAGGAGAUAGUCAUGGACAAGUGUUGGGUUGGUUUGCCAAAUAGAUAUCCAAGUCAUAUACUGAUGGCGUUGAAAAAAUUAUAGAUUUUGUAUUUGAGAAUGUUGUUGGUGGUACAAGAAUUUAUUGUCCUUCUUGAUAAGUUUUGUAAUCUAUAUUUCGUUAUAAGGGAAGUGGCUGAUGAUGAUAUGGUUGGAAUGAUACAGUGCAUCACGUAAUCAAAUGUUCAAGUUACACGCAGCAUUGUUAUGAACUAUCAGUGGCAACUUGUCUGGGUGGAGUAUUAAAGGUAAAUAAGCAUGUCUUGUUUGCCAACAAAGCACUGGAUCUAAUUGGUUGAUACAUAGUAGAAAAUUUUGUCACGUGGGUCACCGUCGAUUUUUCCCAACAAAUCAUAGGUUUCGAAAAUAUAGUGUCUUUGAAUAAAACUAGAGAGUAGGGACAAGCACCUUCUCAGUUGUCUGGAACUGAAGUGAAAAAGCAGUUUAAUAUAUUUACUGAGUAUAAGAUUGAAGACUUGAAAAGAGAAGAACGAAUAAAAUGAGAGAAAUGAUAAGAUUACUUGGAAGAAGAACUGCAUUUCUUAAGAUUACUUGGAAGAGAAAUGAUGUGGAAGAUGGCUAUAAAAGAUAAAAGGAAAGGCUUAAAAAGAAAAGCCAUGCCUGUCAAAAACAAAAAAACAAUUGCAGCGUCAAAUUUAUAACACAAAUCAAAACGGUGCGUUUGAGAGUGUAUAAAAUACAUUUAGAGUGGGAGUUGUGUUGUUGCUUGAAGGCAGAAUGUUUGUGAGAUAUUUGUCGACGAAGCCGAAACCAAAGAUGAAGCCCAUCAAAAGCAUUUAUAGUGUAAAAAGUAUAUUGUGGAAAUGUCUGGUCGGUAAUACAACUAUUUCUUGUAGUGUAAAUGAUACACUAAUUUGAAUUUAUAUGCUUUUAUGAUUAUUUGAUUAUCAAGUGGUGAUCAUAUGUGAUGAUAAACUUAGGUCGUACCUUUAUAUUUAUUGCCUUAGUUUUCUAAGCGUUCACAUUUUGAUGAGUAAAUUAAGGAUUUCAAGAUGAAGUACAUAAUUAGAUUAAUGCUAAGAAACUGAAGUUUGAUCGAUUGAAAACGAAAAUAAUAAUAAAGGUAAUUAAGAAAAUGAACAAUAUAUGCAGAAGCGGUCCUUAUUAGUACUUCUAGAUUUUCUCUUGGGCUUUCCUUAUUAUUGUUAAAAAAUGACACGAAGAACUUUGAGUUUAAAAAUCUGGCCCUGAUGCCUGGUAGCCCUUCAACAUAUGAAGAACCAGAUGUUUUGAUGAGAAAAUGACAAGACCAUUUAUCAAAUUUCUUGUGGAUAUAAAUACAUACACAUAGACGAGGCCAACCUCCUCAAAUGAGAAUCAGAGUGAUUACAAGACCUUGCAAUGAGACAAUGAUACACCAUCAAAUGUCAAAAUACAAUAGAAAUUCACGACAUAUAUAUAAUAAAAGACCUCUCAUUGAGUCAUAUAUAUUGAGAAUAAAAAUGUUAUAAUACAUACACAGAGCUUAGUUAGAAUAAAAUGUCUUUGAACUUGCGAUGAUCAAACAAAGGAAACAGACAGGUUGUAACUCACACUAUCACAGAUGUAGCGACACGAUGCAGUGAAUCACAAGAAGAUCACGAAGAUGGAAACGGGAACCCCUCAGAAUGUAAACUUUGAAUAGAGGAAAAAAGAAAAACGUCCUUAUUUCAAAUUGUGCACAGAAGAAGAGUGACUUAAAUCUUCAUCAGUAUCCAGGCAUUCUGCAAUCAUAAAGUAGAAAAAUUUUAACAGUAACAGCAGAGAAAAUAUUAUGAAUAUGCUAGACCAAAUUAGUCCCUUUUUUGGUUUGUGAAAACUUUAUUUUUUAUGAAUACGCUAUCCAAUAUUUUCAAUCAAUAUUUCCACAAUAUAGUUGUUCAUAGCUAACGUUUGAUGGUUUAACGAUUUGUUCCAAGAAUAAUGAGCUGAUUACGUUUUGUUUUAUUUUUAUUUUAUUUUUUUUAAUCCGAUGAAGGAUAUUCAGCUGUGUCUUUAAUUAUGCAUUCAUAGGGAAGAACAUUUUCUAAGUACUUUCCUUGCCUUCUAACUUUCCAAGGAAAGAUAGGUGUGAAGAAAAGCAAACCCAAUGAACAAACAGAGCACAAACUAAAAUAAUUAGCAAAUAAAGAAAGGAAAAAGUAUGCACGUUUUCAAGGAUUUAAAAAAUACGAAGGCUUUUAAUGAAAUUUUAUCAUAAAAAAGUAUGCAAGGAGUUAUAAAAUUUUAGAAGACGAGGGGAGCUCGCAAAAAAAAAAAAGAAAAAAAAAAGAAAAAGACUCAAAUUAAACUAGACUAAAAAGACAUUCAAUUACGCAAAAUCUGUCCAUAAAAGUCUGAAAGGAUCAUUAAAAUUGCAUUGCAAAUUUAACAGUAAACUGAGGAACCCAUUCUAAAUAAUUCAGAUGAAAUUGCGAAACAAACCAUGGGAUUAAAUAAAUUAAAUAAAAAUUAAUUACCAGUUGAGACUUUCUUCUAAAAAUUCGCAACUCCAAGUCAUAAGAAGCCUAUGAAAUUAGUAGUACAGCGUAGAGUAUGACGACGACACCGCCAACAGCUGAAAGUAAAAUUCUUAUUCAUCAAUUUAAACUUACUUUAUAACAAAUAUCUUAUCUAUAUUGUAUUUAAGAAAACAAAUUUUGUAAAAAUUUAUCAUGGGAGAUAGAGAGUAAUAUGUACAUACGUACCUUCUCAGCAUGUAAUUGUUGUAUGGUUGUGUUUAGAUCAUUAUUAGCCCAGCGCCGUUGAUCCGCUGUCUCUCCAUAGCAGACGUUUACUCUUAGAGGCGUGAUUGAUUCUCCUGUAGUGAAAAUCUUCAUCUUGGGACAACCAAUCACCCACAACUCUUGCAAAGAUGGGAAUUUGAAGGUGUAAUUGGCAGAGCAGAAACUUGUGAGGCUGUCUAAAUCACGCAGUUCCAACGUCUUCAAUUUGCGGAAAACAAUCUCUUCUUUUUCAACCCCGUCUUUGUCAUUUAUUACCACCUCUGUCAUUGCUCUGCAUCCAUAUAUACUCACUUUGACGAGUUGCACUAGAGUUUUUGCUGUGGAGGAUGUUACCAAGUGUAUCAAUUCCUUGCAACCGAAAGCUACAAGUUCUGUUAGGUUCCGAAAAGAUACCGAUGAUGAUGGCAAUAGAAUUAACAGACUUUGACAAUGAUAUACUUUUAGAAUUUCAAGAUACUGAAAAAUGGGGCCAAGUUUGGAGUCUUGUUUGCACAGCUGCUUCAGAUGAUAGUGCCGGUGCAGCUUUAAUUCUUUUAUCAUUGCCAACUUCCCCACAUGUUUCUCUAAGCAUCCUUCCAUCGAAAAUACCUCUUCGUGGAAUGAAAAAUUAAGCAGUGUGAGUAUUUCGAGAUUGUGAAAUCUCUCCAGUACGUUCCAGAUUGGAAAACAAGCUGCGUCAUCUCCAACAAUCUCUAGUUGUUUAAGACUGCCAAAAAGGUGUUGUGGGAAAUCGGCCUGCAAAAUCAUCUUCACAUCUUUUCCACUUAGUGAUAGCUCCUUCAAGUUGGGUACGAUCUGAUCAUCAUCAAUCGUAAUAACUAAUGAGGUCAAUUGAUGAUCUACGGUCACAGGCAGUGACUUUAUAGUAUUUGUUUUAUAUUAUAUUUUUAAAAAAAUUGAAUUAUUGAUAAAAUUUAUUUUAUAUGUUAAUUUUAGAGGUAAAAAAGAAAUUAGGGAAAAAGGUUGAUUUAUACUGGCUCGAAAUUAUUUUAUUGCACAAUAAUAAAUUACUAAUUUAUUUUGUAAGUUCUUCUAUAUGGAAAGACUAAGGAUUCUUUUAUAAAUGUUAUACCAAAAAAAGUUCAUAUAAUUAUUAAUCUACCCCAUUGAUCUCUUAAUCUAGACUAGCAAAGAUUAUUGUAUAAUAAAAGUUUUCAAUUUAUUGAGUAUUAAUUUAUCGAUGCUUUGCCAUAUUUUUCAAAGUUAAAAAUAAGCUAUAGACAAAAAAUCUAGAAAAUGGCUUCAUACCUUUUCCAACGGCAAUGGGGGCUGUUGUGCAGGAAUGCCAAGUUGAUCAUUCUCAUUAUUCUGCAAUAAAUCUGCAGUGAAUAUCUUUAAUUUGUCACAACAAUGCACUGAAAGAACUUCUAGCGCGGGCCAUUCCGAAGUAUGCAUUCCAGGGUACAAACAUCUAAGUUUUGGUAGACCUUGGAGUCUCAAAGUGGUGAGCUGUGGAAAGACAAAAUAAGGGAUCACUUCAUCUGCUCUAUUCUCAGAAAUGAUCUCCUGUAAAUCCUCACAGAAGCGAACUUCUAGGUGUUGGAGCUGCUUAAGGCUUCCGAUCAUAGACGCUGAAAAUAUGUAUUUUAAUUUGUGACAACGCCACACAAUCAAUCGUGUUAAAUUUUGAAAGCGAGGAAACGUGACAGGAAAAUGAUUGUAGUGCCAAAUCUUGUCGACAUUAAUUUCAGAUAUCUCCAAAGCCUCCAAGUUAGGCAACGCAACCUAAAAGAAUAAGAAUUUCUGGUUAGAUCCAAUAUCCAUAUGGGAAGCACUUGUUGAAAUUUUCUUCUUUGAUUGCAAAUUCAUGCAAGUCAGAAUCAAUUUCCAACUGACAGCUGAGUAUGCAUUCUAAUUCAUACUACUUGUUAAGAGCUCAAUUAGUGAGCGCGUGAGAUUCUUUUUAUCCUUUUUUCCGUUUUCUUUCAAUUCUUUAAAUGAUUUAAUUAUUUUCCACGUAUGAUAUCAAAAGAGAACGCAUGAUAGAAUAAAGAAAAUGUUAGCCUACGCACCUUCUCGUUGAAAAGCAGAGUUGAAAUAUCCAAAGUGAUUUCGCUGGAGCAAUACAUAGUCGUCGAUUCCUCUUGCGACACUUGUCUGUUCGGUGAUGCUGAAGGAGUCUCCACCUCACGGCGGCAAAAACUUGUAACCUCAGGAAGAUUCCCCAGACUCAAAGAUCUUAAUUGAGCAAACUCUAUCUUCUCAAUUGCAUUAUCAACUUCUUCCCCAAUUGCAAAAAUCUCUGUUAUCUUGCUGCAAUUAACAACUGCAAUUCUCUCAAGUCUUGGAAGGCAUUUUGUAGUAGAGAGCCAAAAGAUAUUACUCAACUUAUCACAAUUAUAUGCUUCUACGGUUUUGAGUUCGUUGAAAGACUCUACUUUGAGCCGAUCAACACAUAUCCUCUCCAUGUUGAUCAAAUUGUGAAUGGUAAGUGACUCCAAAAGAGGAAAGGCAUCACAAGCGACCAUCUCCCUUGAAUCGACGAUACAAAAGAAGUCAGGAUUAUUUUGAACCCAGAGAAGCUUCAAUUGUGAAAAGCCCUCCUUGCAGCUUGUCCAACCAUAAGUAUUCAACGUUAUUGAUGCCCUGCAAUUUCAUGGAGCAAAUGUCCAUAAAAUCAAGCUUGAGCUUCAAUGAUCUUAAACUCUUGCGAUCACUGUUGAUCGAAAAGCGGGGCCGACUUUUAAACCAAUGUUGUCCAACACUCAUGGGAUGCAUGAAUAACCCAUUUCCAAUAGAUAUUUUGAACCUUUCGAGCUUUCUGGCCAAAAAACCUUCUGGUAAAAUAUUGUCACUUUUAACGUCAAUUUCUAGAGUGGUUAGCCGAGGUAAAUGCAUCAAUUCGUCAAGGCUAGCAUUACUUCUUUUGCUGUUGGCUCUUUCAACCUCCCAUUCAAUGAAGCAAUUACCCAUAUACAGCUCUUCUAAUCGAGUUAAGCUUGAUAUGAGAUUAGGCGCAAUAACUUUUAGAUGGAAACAAUUGGUUAAAUCUAACAAUCUCAACUUAUUCAAUUGACCUAGUUCUUCUGGCAACUGCAUAAUCUCAGACUUCAAAAAGCUAAGGACUUCUAGAUUCUUCAACUUCCCAAUGAUUGCUAUGUCCCCCAACGCACUUUGAUCCAGACAUAGUGUGUGAAGAUUUUGUAGAAGAUCAAUUGAAGAUGGAAAAGAAGAAAACUGCAUUCGAGUAAAAUCUAGAACUCUAAGCUUUUUCAUCCCUACAAAAAAGUUCUCAGGAAUAUUGAUUUCAAGAGAAGAAUCUUUGAGAGAGAUAAAUAAAAAUUCAAGGUUUGGGCAUUCUAAUCCUUCAGGAAAUUCACGAUUACUAUUAUUUCUUAAAGAGAUCGCAUUGCAUUUUCGAAGUGCAUCCUCAUCUGGCCAGUCCCACACAUCCUUAUUUCUCACCAAAAACACAUGUUGGUGGCGGCAUGCAAUUGAUAUUGCGACAUCACGAACAACAUCAUGCAUUGAAAAUUGUUCAUUGCUCUCACCCUCAAGCAACAAACAAGAGUGUCUAAGUUCAUGGACCAAUGCAUAUAAUUUGUCUCGUGCAUCUUCCAUCUUAUUGACUCCUUUAAAUAUACCCAAACCCAUGGAGUACUUAAACAAGUCCGAAGUAAGAAUACGGUUAUCCAUUAGACUACAGAGCAGAAAAAUUUUCUUGAGUUGCUCACCUUUUAAAUGGUUGAAACUCAGCUCAAUACUUGAAUAAGUCUCUGCAGAUACUCCUUCGAAGUUUACCAUUGAAGGCGUUCGGAGUUCUCGCAAGGAAUUCUUCCAUUCAUACUCUUGCUUCUCAGUGCCUUUGCCACUGUAGUCAAGGCAAUGGGCAAACCUCCACAUGCCCUGGCGACGUCUAUUGCUGUGGAUUUCAACUCACGAUUUUCAACAUCAUCUCCGGCCAUCAUCUUAAACAAUCUCCAGGCUUCUUCUUCAUUUAAAUUGUUUAUCAAAAAGUUGUCUUUAGAUCCCAUUUUUAAGAGGAGACUACGAUCUCUUGCUGUCAGCAGUAGUUUGCAGCCUUUAUGAUUUUCUCCAAAAGGAAUUGCAGUAGUCCCCAAAUCAAGAGGUUUCCAGAUGUUAUCCAGAAUCACAAGGAUCUUCUCAUUCUCCAAUCUUUCAUAUAGUCUACUAGCUCUUCUAGACUCAGCUUCCUCGCGCAACUCCAAGCCCAACUUCUCGGCAAUUUCCUGUUGAAUCUGUUUUAUGUCUGGAGUUUGCGAAACCUCUGAAAAGACCACCAUAUCAAAGUGCUUGUCUUCCAUAGCUUGCCUGGCGACCUUCUUCACCAGUGUCGUCUUUCCAAUGCCGCCCAUGCCGUACACCCCAAUGAUGCUGACAUCAACAUCGAUCAAUGCGUUUUUUAUAGCCUCCAAAGUAGAACGUCUUGAUUCGAAGGCCUCGUAGCCUUUGUGAGACUUGAGCCAAAUCUCCUCCGGAAUGGUACGGUAGGAAAUUCUAUCAUCAAAUCUCCCAGCUUCUUCUCGGAGUUUAAAAAGGGCCUCCUUCUCUGUUUCUGCUUUCUUUCCAUGCUGAUAGCGAGUAAUCCAAUUAGGAAACAGCCCCAUGAGACAUCGUUCAUUUGCUUUCUCUUCGUCUAGAAUGAAUUUGGCUGCCUGCUCAAUGCUCUUGUUCGCAUUAACCAGCCAUUUCUCAACCUUCUUUUCAAUCUUUUCACUUUUUCUUUCAGCCUCCGAAACUCUGUGCUGAAUGCUUUCUCUUUCAUCCUUGAGCCUAUCGAGUUCUGCCUUGAAAUUCUGAAAGUUGGCAGCGGAGUUGUACCAAUAACUAAAUUCGCGUUGUGCGUGAGGAGACAAACAGUUUACAACUCCUGGAACAAUGCUUUUCAAAAUGUCCAUUUUUUUUUCUUUUUUGGGGAAGUGAACGAAAUAGAAAUAGAACAGGGUCAACGGCCGCGCAAUUGAUAAUCAAGUAGAAGCAAAACAAGGCAAAGUUGAAAAAAGAAAUGAUAUUUGUACAAAACAAGGGAAAUCAGUGUAACAGAAGAGAAUCAAAGUGUUUAUGAGAUCAGAAAAUUGAAUCAAGAAAAGGGUUGCUUGAUCCAAUGAAAAUGCAAAGAGCUGAUGGAAAAAGGGGACAAAGAUAAAUAAGAAAACGGCUAGCACGAGCAGUGACCACGAUAAACAGAAGCAAAGUGUGUAUGAGAUCAAAAGACGAAAAUCAGGAGAGGUUUUCUUGACCGAGAAUUGAAGGCAAUUAGUAGGAGCUGACGAAUACGGGGAUCAAGAGGGAAAAAUUGCUUUUAAGCGAAUCUGAUAAAAUUAUUUCAAUACUCGUGGGCGACUCCUUUUUAAACUGCAGAAGGAAAAAAAAAAUUCUGAAUUUCAAUAUAUUAUUUUUUAUCCUAAUUUAUGUUAGGACUCGUAAUCUCGUCUCAAAUAAUUAAUUAGUAGAUAAUUUUUCUAACAAAUAUGUGUUGAAUAGAUAUAUUUCUUGACUAUGAGCAGGCUAGAGAUAUUUUAGCAUAGGAAUGAAAGUACAAGUUGUGUCAUAUUAUAAUUAUCAAUUGACCUAAAAAUGUUGUUGUGAAUUGAAAUUAUUUCUGUAAAAUAAAAGGAUUUGGGUCAUUGUUCGUUAUUUUCUGGCAAUAUUGUCUGGUCGUGACUCUUUGUUAAAUAUUAAAAAAAUAAAUUUAUAUUUAUUAAGUAUAAAAAAUAAAUAAACAAACAAAAAUAAAAGGAAAAGUUUAUACAUUACGUAAAAUAAUAAGAACAAUAUCAAUAUUUCACACUCUAUAAUUGAGUGAUGUGUUAUCCAACUGCCAUACAUUGGUCCCAAACAGAGACUUAAAUAUUAAAGUCCAAAGUUAUUGUGAUGAUGACUUAUAAUUGCCAAACUUGACAUACGGGUAAUCAUGCAUUAUAAGGUGCUGAUUUCUUCCGAUCGGAACCUUAUUUUUCAUUUACAAAUAAAUAAAUGAUGUGACUUCACGGUUGGCGGGGUCCUUUGUGUCAUUUGGGCAUUUCACUAAAUGAUUGAUUGUAGCAGGGAGAUUCCUGGAAGUUGCCAUUUGCCAAUGCUACUAACAUUUUCAAACUUGGAAAACCCUUCAAUCAAUCUUUUAGUGGUAGGCUCCGGUAGCUUGGUUUGAUUAUGACAUAUGAUUAUUUGAUAAUGAAGCUAGAGGAUGUAUUAAUAUAAAAUUUGUUUAUUGGUGUUGAAGUUAAUUAUCUCAUUAAUAUUAGUAUAAAAAGUUAAUUACUAAGAAACACAUAGCAGUAGUUAAUUGGUGUCAUAUUAUUAGGAUUCUGGGAUAUAAUUUUAUAUCAUAACUUUGUAAGUGUAUACUUACUCAUCAAACUAAUAAAAUUAUUUAAAAAUUUCAGUUGGAAAAAAUAAAUUAUAUUAUUUUCAUUUCAAAUAAUCUAUAAGUUAACUCAAAACAUAAUCAAGCUGAGAAUUAAAAUAAUGCUACUGUAUGAGAGGAUUUUUAUUUUUUCCCGAAGUUUCACUAGGAAAUUAUUGAUACAUAGCUUUAUUCGGAUCAUCUCAGUUCAAACGACAAAUAAUUGAAAGACUAAGCUAAAUAGACCAGCCAACAACUUUGUACAAGAGAGUUCAAAAAUUAAGGUCAUGGUAUUAAGGUGUUCUAUCUUGAAAAGUAUAGCGUAGUAAUAAAAUAAAAACUAAUAGUCUUUGGUAAGAUAUGACAUUUAAAUAAUAAUUUUCACAAAAAUACAAAGAAUAUUUAUAAAGUACUUCUAUAGUGAGGAGACCCUCACUUUGUUAAAGUGAAAAUAUCAAUAAUAUACAAAAGACAUAUAUUUUAACACAUUAAAAAUUGUAUUUUUUUUAUCUAUUGGUGUAUUUGAAUAUGUGUUAUUUAGUUUGUUAGUGAUAUCAUUACUUUGUUAAAAUGAGAAUGUCGUUACUAGAGAAUCAUUAUAUAUACAUAUAUAAAGUGCUUCUGCCCAAGACCUAGACUUUAUUAAAAUUUAAGAAAGCAAGUAUAUUUUAUAUGGUAUAAUAGUGUAAUAACAUCACACUAUUAUAUCAUAUAGAGUAAUAGUUUUUCAAACUUUAAUAAAGUUCAAGAUUAUAGAAUGAAUGAUUUUUAUAUAUUAUAAAUUUUUUUAUCAUAAAUGGAGGACAAAAUUAACAUAUUUUCAAAUUAUAAUAAGUAUUUAUCAAAUAAUUUAACAUUGCAAUUUCUCCUAACUAGUAUAGUAAAUAAUACGACCUAGGAGAUACAUUCAAAGCAUUUCAUAAGUUAGUUGUUAAUAAUAAAUGAUAUAUGCAGCUCCAAUCAUCAUUGUACGGUGAGUAAUUUCCAGUUAUAAAUAGAUAUUACUCCCUUCCCAGCAAUUUUUGAUGACUUAAUUUAGUGAGAUCAAAAUCAACAUUGAAUUUUUGACCAGCUGCCAACAACUUGUGAGCAGUUCACAGUGGGUACUGCACAUGAUGCCUGUUUCUCCUUUUGCAUCUAUUUUGUUGUUAACAUUAAUUUCAAUAGCAGCUCGUUAAUCCCAAUUGUUGAUUUGGGACUAGAUAAGAGUUUAUCUUGGAACUCCAAUUCUCCCAAUUAUUUUAGUUGACAAUAUAUUUAACAUUAUUUUUUUAACAUUAUUAAUUGCAUAUUAUUUAAUUAUCAGUAUAUAAUAUUCUUUAAUUUUCUAAUUUUAUAGGAUUAGACACAAAAUUGAUUAUGCCUUUUGAAAUUUAAGGGUUAUGUCAAUUGAAUAGAAAACUUGGAGGUAAACUUGUGGAUGUUUUUGUUGAUUAUCAAUUUAUGCAUGAAUUUUUGUACGUUUACUCUGGUUUAUAAUUAUUACUUUUAAACAUUUUUAUUGGUUUGAUUUAGGGUCAAUUUAGUAAUCAUGUAGCUUUUAAAAUAAUUACAAUUAGCUAUGCUGUAGAAAUUGAUCAAUCGUCAAGAGAAUCAGCUGAACAUUUAGUAAAAUUUAUUUUUAAAAGUACUUUUAGUUUUAAAAGCGUUGUAUGAAUAAAACUGUUACACUAAAAAUUAAAUGUAUUGCCCACUUGGGUAAAUAAAGCUAUAUAUUACAACUGUUACACUAAAAAUUAAAUGUAUCUUAAACCCAAACUUCUUCUUCUUCUUUUUGACUAACAAAAUUAAAAACAAUAGUGAACACAUUCUUUAAUAAACAAUAAGUAAUAAAUAAAAUCGUGUUAAAUUGCUUAAAAACUUUCUUUCACGGUUUGCUAAAUAUUUGUAUUAGUAUUUUAAAUAAAUAAAAAUAGUUGAUUUAAUUUUUUUAAAUAAACUUAUUAGGUUCAUGUAAAGAUGUUUUUGUUAUUUUAAAAAGUGUAGAAAGUACUCCUAAAAAAAAGCGUAGAAAGUAAAACUUAAUUUUUUAAAUUUAUCAGCUGAGUGCAUAAAUAAUUGAGUGUUCAUAAUGAUUUUUAAAGUAUAGAUAGUCGGACCCUAAUUUAAUAUAUGCAAAUUUUGCUAAUAUGUUAAUGAGAAUUAAAAAGAUAAUUAAGGGAGGCAAUCGAGACAUUCAGGAUAGUUAGGAUGGGACAUGAUUGUGAGUGGUUAGAUAUUGGUCCUAAUUUUGAUCACAAAUAUAUAAACAGGACGAGUUUAUCUCUACUUACAUUCCAUUUGAUAAUUAAGAUGAGAGUGGAAUUGUCAAAUCCCAAAUCAUCCCGGAUCACUGCCACCAAGGGUACUCUCACUAAUAAUAUCUAAAGAAAAAUCUACAUCUAUUUCAUACUUUUUUUUAAUGGAAAGAGCCCUCAUGGGGCUUGAAAUGGUAUCCUAAAUAAUAUUCAGAAUAUCAGGUCAUGAUUGGGUUUGUGACAAACAAAUAUUACAUAGUUGGGAUACGUAGUUAUAGUGUCCCAAUUUAUGUAGUAUCUAUCAUUUAGUGCACAUAUAAAAUAUUAAUCAGCUUAAUUAAUUUAUAAAAUUUAAAUCUAAUUAAUAAGUGAUACAUAAAUGCCAAGUGCAGUACUGUAUAUGCAAAUCAUGUUUGUGGAUCAUUACAAAACUGGCUCUUGAAAACAAGCAAGAAAGCUUAAUUAAGAACUUAAAACAAAAAGAAUUAGAUUGAGAAUAGUCGAGCCUUAUUUUUUCAAGAAUGGAGCUUAUAAAUCUUCAAGUACCAACAUACGCUUGGCCCAAUUGUUGUUACUAAAAUUUCAAUAUACAUAUAUAAGUAUGAUAUAGCAAAAAUUUGAUGGUACAUAUGUCGGAAUAUACUAGUUCAUGGGUGCAUUUGAUUAUUGUUUCCAUAAAUUUGAACCAGGAAGGAUGACACGAUAAAAUUUGAUUUUAUAGUAUGGUUGAUUUCAUAUCUCAUGCACUCAUUUCUUAAGAUAAUCAAAUUUUCUCUGGCAUCUUUUGCAACUGUCGAAAUAUCAAUUAUGAUCAAUCAAAACGAUUUCAAAACCUUUCAACGAGAUAUAUUUCUAAUACAAUAUUGUGAAAAUUACACUAAAAAUUUAAUUUAUUAUAUAUUAUUAUCCAACGAGCACACAAAAAUGAUUUCGUACAAAUCUAAAAUACUGAGCAAUUUUCAAAUAGAAUUUACUAUGUACUACAAGAAAAUAGGGUAUAUGUGACCCCUAAUAUGAAUGCAAAAGCAGCCAUUACGCAUAUCACUAACUUCUAACUUUGUAACUCCGAGUUGCUUUUGUUACCCUUUAUGUGACGGCCACACUGCUGUCACAUAUGUUACGAACCGCGUGACGGCGAAGAGCCGUUCGGUAUACUAAUAUUUUAGAAUUUUAAAUUUAUUUCCAGUUAGAAAACUAUUCGCUGGACUCCGUGUUGCUGGCCACCAUCGUAAACGUAACUGGUUGCCAGCGAACGGCGUAAAACGCCGGCCAUCUUCUUCUUCAUCGUAUUCUCCCUUCAUCUUUUGAGGUAAGCUUGUAAUUAUAGAUUUUGAUUUUUUUUAUUUUGUAUUGUAGCCGUUAUUGUCAAUUUUUGUCCCGCCAGCAAUAUUUUUUUAUUCCUACAAGUUGAAGCCCCUGUGUUCUUGUUCCAUUGGUGAGUUUGCUCACUCAAAUUAAUUUUGUUCUGCGGAAUUUACAAAGUUCAAAUGGAUUCAUUUGAAUUACUAUUGAAUUUAGCUUUAAUUUCAACAUCCAUUCUAAUGUUUUGCAAUUAGAUUUAAUUUAAUUUUAUGUUUAAAGCUUCUACAAUGAAUAGCGGAGCUUGGGUUUUAGUUUCAUUUUCUGGAUAACUUGUUUUAGUUUAUCUUGUAUGCUCACCAAGUGCUUGUUAUAUUGUCUGAUAAGUUAUAUACAUUGCUGAUUCUAUAUUAAUAAUGUUACGUUCUAUUUUCAGAAAUUAUAAUACAAAAGUUUUUACAAUGGCGUGCAUCUACAAACUGAAUUGACUUGUAGAAUAAGAGCUUGGAGUAAAUGAAAGUUCAUAUUGUGUAAGAGCAUGUAGAUGUAAAGCAUCAUUACCAUUUCUACAAAGUGCUUUCAUUCUUGAACUUUGAAAGGUGCCUCGUUCAAGUCCUAGCUAUAACUACUAGCUUUGAUUAAUUACGUUCCUAUACUAGCUGAAACAGAUUUAUUUAAUUAAUUAAUUGUGUAUGUACUAAUUAUAUUGAAAGUAUAUGAAUUUUUUUUUUAACAUGAAUGACUCCUAAAUGACUUAAAAACCUAAAGGAUGUGUGAAAUAAUGCUCAUUUCACUUGAAUGAGCCCAUUAAUACUUUUAUGUCUAUGAUUUUCAAUAUUGGCUAAAGCAUUUCGGUUAAGUGGUUUACCUAACAGAGAAAAAAAUUUAAUAGAAAACUUCAGAGUUCUAACAGAAAUAUAGUUUACUAUGCAGAUAUAGUUAUUUUACGGUAUACAAAUCAAGUCGUCCUAAUCUCAAUGUCCUAUGACCGAUUUUAUAUUAUAUAGUCAUUAAUUUUUUCCUUGGUUUUUUGUGUUUGUGAGUAUGAAAUAGUGGGAUUUGGUGUACCUUAGCAUCUCUUGAAAAUUCUCUUUCAGUGUGGCCAACAGAAAUAUACAUAUAAUCAAGUUUCUUAAUCCUGUAUAUUAGUUUUGGGUAUGAAUGUUCCUAUUCUAGUUCUAGGCAAAGCUUCUUCAUUUUGGUCUUCAGAUUUCCAGUAGGUUAAGUUAAUCAACUAUCAUAACUGGCUAGCUAGUUAUUGUCUGCCUUGGCGCCAUUACCCAGGCCAUUAUAUUGCAUAGCAUAAGGAAUAGUGAUUAGGUGAUUAUUAGUGAUUUGUUGAGCUUAUUAUCGACCAAACAAACAUAUUCGCCUUUGCCCACAACUUAGUUUGAUUAGUUAUUAGACCAUAAAGAGCCUUGAUCUAUUCAUUGGCUUUAUUAUUUUUAUUUGGUUUUUCUUUCAACAAUAUUGUUGAUUUCUUAUAAAAAUAUUCAUUGGUUUUUAAACACCUAAUCAUUGGCUAUAUGAAGCUAAUUAAAACUGAGGCUUUGGAUCAAUUUCUUCUAACAAGAUACAAAUGAGCAUAACCUAUCUCCUCUGAGUAAAUUUUUUUAAUAUCCUUGAUUUGUAAGGAUCUGGAGGCCUGAAAUCCUCUAGAUUUUUUUUAAUACUGUCAAUGUUCUUUUUAUUCUGAAAAGGAACUAAAAGGUUUUAUCUUUCAUACCCUAAUAGUAAGCUGGCCUUGUCUUAACAUGGCUUCCCGAGGAUUUGGAAGAUUCAUAGGCCCCCCCCCCCCCCCCCCCCCCCACACACACACACACAAAAAGGAAGAUUUUGCAAGAUUCACCACCAGGUUAUUUAUUUAUUUAUGAAUUGUGUGUACAUACUAGUUAUAUGUUGAAAGAAUAGGAAGAAGUAUUUCAACAUGAAUGACUUAAAACUUAUUGCUCAGUAAACAUAAUAUGCAUCAGUGCGAAAAUGUAUUUAUCAUUUGUAUUUUUUAUGGUUUUGCUUAAGAAAUGAUAUGUGAAAUAAUGCUACAUGCCUACAUUGUAUCAGGAAUAACUUGAAAAGAUUUAUGAUAUUUAUGUGUUAUUCAAAUUUCAGAUUCAAUUUUAAACUUUUGAUACGUGCAUUAAAAGUUUAGACUUGUUUAAGAAAUUAUUAAUAGACACAUGUUUUAUUAGUGUCAUAUUUGGAUGAUAGUGAGGAUCAUAUGUCUAUUAAUAAUUCUUGAAUUGUCCGGGCUUGGACAGUUUGGGAAUGCAUACUUCUCUCUGGUAGCUAGUAGCCGAAGUUUUCUUCCCACGUAAAAAUGGGUUUUUCGGUAGCUGCUCCUCAUGUUCUCUGGGUACGUACUAGGUGAAUGGGUGUCGUGUUGUUUUGGCAUAACGCAUAAACACUUAUAUAGCUAUGUCGUGUGCUUGGAGAAUUAUAGGGAGAUGGUGCUGAAAUUUUUAUAAACGUAGAAGAAAACUUUAGGUACUUGAGAUUGAAAAAACUUACACAUUCUUGAGUGGGAUAUGUAGGAUUACUUACCUUUGGUAAAUAUGAAGGGAAUGUUGGAUAUAUUGAGGGUAGUGUAGGAGCUGAGUUGGAUGAAUGUAAUUGGUGAUGAUUUUGCUGAGCUGACAUUGGUUUUGAGCUUGUAAUUUUGUUUGUAAAUGGAGUGCUAUCUCCAAUGUUGGUUUAUAAAUAUGUUUCAGGACUUGCUGACCUAAUUUUUUGUUUCUAGGUUACAGGCUUUAUAUAUCUGUAAUUGAUGGCGAAGUGAAGUUCCCAGCACUUGGCGAGGAUGUUGGUUUAUAAACUGUUUUUUAUAUAUACUUUGAUUUUCACAUCUUUUUCUCUGAUUCUUGUGGCUUUGCUUGCUUUCAUAUAUGUAAAUUCUAAUGAAAUUAAACAUAAAAUUGUAAAAUGAUCUUUUUAUUAUAUUGCAAAACUGUGCACACACGAAAAUAUCUUGUUUAGUAGUAGAAAUGAAGAACUAAAAUGAUUUAUUUAACUAAUAUUUGUAGCGCAUUAAAAGGAGAUAGUCAUGGACAAGUGUUGGGUUGGUUUGCCAAAUAGAUAUCCAAGUCAUAUACUGACGGGGAUGAAAAAUUUAUAGAUUUUGCAUUUGAGAAUGUUGUUGGUGGUACAAGAAUUUAAUGUCCUUUUAAGAAGUGUUGUAAUCUAUAUUUCGUUAUAAGGAAAGUGGCUGAUGAUGAUAUGGUUGGAAUGAUACAAUGCAUCACGUAAUCAAAUGUUCAAGUUACACUCAACAUUGUUAUGGACUAUCAGUGACUUUCUAGCAUUGCCAACUUGUUUGGGUGGAGCAUUAAAGGUAAAUAAGCACGUCUUGUUUGCCAACAAAACACUAGAUCUAAUUGGUUGAUACAUGGUAGAAAAUUUUGUCACGUGGGUCACCGUCGAUUUUUACCGACAAAUCAUAGGUUUCGAAAAUAUAGUGUCUUUUGAUAAAACUAGAGAGUAGGGACAAGCACCUUCUCGGUUGUCUGGAACUGAAGUGAAAAAGCAGUUUAAUAUACUUACUGAGUAUAAGAUUGAAGACUUGAAAAGAGGAGAACGAAUAAAAUGAGAGAAAUGAUAAGAUUACUUGGAAGAAGAACAGCAUUUUUUAUGAGAACUACCGUAUUCAUCAUGAUCUUGUUGUCAUGCACUGCUUUGAUUUUUGUUAUGAACUCAGAUCAAAAGUUUAAUGUGAUCAAACUUUCUUAAAAAAAGUGAAAACGACUCCUAGUAAUAUGCUUUGAUUUUUGUUAUGAACUCAGAUCAAAAGUUUAAUGUGAUCAAACUUUCUUAAAAAAAGUGAAAACGACUCCUAGUAAUAUGGAAGAUGGCUAUAAAAGAUAAAAGGAAAGGCUUAAAAAGAAAAGCCAUGCCUGUCAAAAAAUAAAAAAAUAAAAAUGGCAGCGUCAAAUUUAUAACAAAAAUAAAAACGGUGCGUUUGAGAGUGUAAAAAAUACAUUUAGUGGGAGUUAUGUUGUUGCUUGAAGGCAGAUUGUUUGUGAGAUUUUUGUCGACGAAGCCAAAACCAAAGAUGAAUUACGAGGGUUAUGUUUGCCAUAGUCAAGGAACACGGUCCUCUCACCUUUGCCGAAACUUGGGAACGCGUCAAGGUGUGUGUAUCUAUUAAAUUGAAUUUCAACCGUUUGAUCUGUAAUUAUAAUUAAUCCAAUCAAUCUGACAGUGAUCGCUGACCAUAAUACUAGUAGUUGUUUUACAUUUUCAGCAAGCUGGAGCGAGUGGAUUGACGGGCAAAAGCCACAUGAAGAUUGUGUUGAGAUGGAUGAGGGAGAGACAAAAGCUCAGGCUCGUCUGAAAUCACGUGGGCCCUCAUAAGCAAAUCCUGUACACAACAACUUGAAGCAGCCAAAGUCAGGGAAUGAUCCUUCUCCGUCACAACCCUAGCUGCCUUAAAGUGAGACUGUGAAGAUGAAGUAAAGCACCAGUUGAACAAUGAAGAUGGAAACCCCUCAGCAUGUAAACUUUUCAACAGUGACACAGCUCUUAUUCCAGAGGCUGCACAGAAGAGCGACCUGAAUCCUCUUCAAGACUUUCAAAUUUUUAUCAAGUAAAGCUUCCAAAAUUUCUCAACAAAUUGAUUAUUUGGUGUGGUUGACACAUUUUGUGUAAUAACAGAAAAUUGAUUAUUUGGUGUAACAACAGAAAAUUACAAGAUCGCUGACAAAAUGACAAAAUGACAAAAUGACAAAAUGAAACUGAAGAUAAAUCAGAACAACUACCAAACCUUUGACUGAAAAUUCAAAAGAAUUUAUAUUCAAAAUGUCAAAAUAAACUGGAAAUUUAUUGCAUAUAUUACAAGAAGCAGUACACACCAAUUGUAAAUUGAUACAUCGUUUUUGAAAUUAAGAUAGUCAAAUGAAAGAAACACAACGGAGGGUUAAUGUAACACUUUCAAAGCUGCAUUAGUGAUACAGUAGAGUGAAUACCCUCAGCAUGUAAACUUAACUUCAAAGGACGGAGCACAAGUUUCACAGAAAAGUAGCUCUUAUUCCUGAUGCUGCAAACACAGAGGAGUGACCUCAAUCUUCUUCAUAACUUGGGAAUUCUGCAAUUAUAGAGCACGACAUUGAGCAUGAACUAGAAAAAAUAUUUAUUUUGUACAAUUUUCAUGUAACCUGACUAACCAAGAUUAAUUUGGUGGUAAUGCAUUGGGUCAUUACUUUAUAUGUUUUUACUGUCAUCACUUUAGAAAAAACUAAUUUCUCAAUGUGAAAUGGCCCACAAAAGUAUUAUCGUUUAAAAACUAAAGAUUAAAGCCCCCGGGGGGGGGGGGGUGUCUGAAGGCUUUUUACAUGAAAAUGUUGUCACUUUGAAUGAUAUUUUCAAGGAAUUUUAUUCUAAAAAUAAAAUACGUGGGACCUUAUUCUUCAAAUUGACAGCUCGCCAAGUACUAAAGGCGUAUGAGAUCAGUACUGCGGCGAGUAAGGAGACGACCCCUCCAACAGCUGAAAAUAAAAUUAGCAUUCAUCAAUUUAAAUUAAAAUUCAUAUUAUGAAAUAAAAACUAAUGAUUAAUGAAUUUCCGAGGAAUUUCAUAAGAUUCUCAUAUAAAAACGUGAUAAAAAACUCACUCAUCAAUAACAAAUAUUCUAACAGUUACCCGUACCUUUUCUUGAUGUAAUUGUUGUAUGAUUGUGUUAAGGUCAUUAUUAGACCAACGCAGUUUGUCUUCACUCCUUCCGUACCAGACGUUUACUCUCGGAGGCGUGGUUGAUUCUCCUUUGGUGAAAAUCUUCAUCUUGGGACAACCAAUCACCGACAAAUCUUGCAAAGAUGGGAAUUUGAAGGUGUAAUUGGCAGAGGAGAAGCUUGUGAGACUAUCUAAAUCAAGCAGGGACAAUGUAAUCAAUUUGCUGAAAACAAUCUCUUCUUUUAUAUUUGCUGUUUCAUCUUCGUCACAUACUACGACUUCUGUCAUUGCUGUGCAUCCAAAUACCUUCAAUGAUAAGAGUCGCUCCAGACUUUUUGCUGUGGAGCAUGUUAGUAAGUUCAUCAAUUUCUUGCAAGCAAAAGCUUGCAGGCGUGUGAGAUUCCGAAAAGAUACCGAUGAUGAUGGCAAUAGACUUAACAGAUUUUGACAGUGAUAUGCUCUUAUAAUUUCAAGAUGUUGGAAAAUGAAGUCCAGCUGUUUGGAGUCAUGUUUCCACAGUUGCUGCAGACGAUUAAGUCUGGUCAGGUUUAACCUUUUUAUCAGUGCCAACUUCCUCCCAUGUUUCUCCAAAUAUCCUUCAUUUGAAAAUACCACUUCAUACGAACAAUCCGACAGGAAGAGAAGUUCCAGAUUGUUAAACCUCUCAAGUAAACCAAGUUGAAAGCAAGCUAAGUCAUCAUCCCGAACCAGUAGUAGUUUAAGACUGCCAAAGAGGUGUUGUGUUGAACCUCGCAAAACCACCAGGGCUAGGAAGCCUAAUCCAAAGUAUCUGGCAUUUCUGGAUGUGAGCAAUACUAAUGACGUGGGGGCUAAAAGGCUUGGUCAAGUGUUGGAUGCAUAAAGGACCGAGUCUUGUGCUGGAAAAUCUCUAUAUCUUGUUAGUAGCUUCAGUAGUUGAGUUAAAAUAGGAGUUAGCCGUUGCCUUGCUUCAUUAUUUAAUAAGUUGUAAAACAAGUAGUUGGGGGAGAAAAAAAUAAGAUUUGUCAUUGUGGUUUACUCCAAACCCGAAUUGGAGAACUUUGAAAUAACAGAAGAAUUAUCAAAUUUAUUAAUUCUUGUUGCUGAGAUAAGAAUCUUCUUUCAUUCUAACUUGAGUUCUAACAUGUUGUGGAAAAUCGCCUUGCAAAAUCAUCGUGAUGUCUUUUCCACUUAAUGCCAGUUCCUCCAAGUUGGGUAAGAUCUGAUCAUCAUCGAGCUCAAAUUAUUAACUUAGCACAUUGAUCCAUAAUUCAAGACUGGCAAAAUUCAUUGUGUAAUCAAAGUUUUCAAUGAUCCAACUAAUAUAUAUAUAUAUAUAUAUAUAUUCCUUCUCUAGUGCGGACAUCCUCAUUUUUUUUCAUGUGGACCAGUUUUUAGACCCUAUGGUUUAAAAGAGUUAGUUUUUAACUCUCUAAAACCGCAUGGCUUCAUAAUUCAUUUAAAAACUAACUCUCUUAAACCGCACGGUUUAAAAGUAUGUCUACAUUAAAAAAAAUGCGGACCCCCACACUUGAGAAUGAUUAUAUAUAUAUAUAUAGAGAGAGAGAGACACACACACACACACGCUCUUAAACCGUGGGAUUUGAAAGUUUCUCCGCAUGAAAAAAGUAAAAAAUAAGGGCAUUCCCACUAGAAAAAAACACCAUAUAGGUAUUUAUUAAACCUCCGGAUCUGUGAGUGAGGAACAACAAAGAUAAUUGAUAAAAAAAAUCUAAAAUUUGGUUUCAUACCUUCUUGAACGAGAGUAGGGGUUGUUGUGCCGGAAUACCAAAUUGAUCAUUCUCAUUAUUCUGGGACAACGUUAUUUUAUCACAAUUACAGGCCUCCAAUUUUUUUAGUGCUGGCCAUUCUGAAGUAUGCAUUCCAGGGUAUAAACAUCUGAGUUCUGGUAGACCUUCGAGAUUCAGAGUGGUCACUUGUGGAAAGACAAAAUAUGGGGUCACUUGAUCUGCUCUGUCUUUGGAGAUGAUCUCUUGUAAACCCAUACAUAUCCGUAUCUCCAGGUGUUGGAGGUGCUUAAGGCUUUGGAUCAUAGAAGCUGAAAAUAUGUAUUUUAAUUUGUCACAGCCCCACACUAUCAAUCGUGUCAAACUUUGAAAGCAAGGAAUCAUGGCCGUAAGUUGAUUGUAAUGCCAAAUCUCGUCGACAUUAAUAGCAUUCAGCUCCAAAGCCUCCAAAUUUGGCAACACUACCUAAAGAUAAUUUUCUCUUUAGAUCCAAUAUCCGUAUGGAAAGCACUUGUUUUGACACAAUGUCCAUAUAAGCACUUAAUUAAGAGCUUAAUUAGCCUACGUACCUUCUCGUUGAAAAGCAGAGUUGACGUUUCCGAACUGAUCUCGUUGGAACUGGCUGUCAAUUCCUCUUGCGACUCUUGUCUGUUUGGUGAUGUGGAAGGAGUCUUCACUUCACCGCAAAACCUUGUAACCUUUGGAAGCUUUCCCAGACUCAAAGAUCUUAAUUGACCAAACUCUAUCUUCUCAUCAACAUCAACAUCAGCUUCUCCUCCAGUUGCAAAAAUCUCUUCCAUGCUGCUGCAAUUGAUAACUGCAAUCCUCUCCAGUCUUGGAAGGCAUUUUGUACUACUAGAGAGCCAGAAGAUAUUACUCAACUCAUCACAAUUUUCCACUUUUAUGGUUUUGAGUUCUUUGAAGGACUCUAUUUUGAGUCGAUCAAUACAUAUCCUCUCCAUAUUGAUCAAAUUGUGAAGAGUAAGGGACUCCAAAAGAGGAAAGGCGACACAUGGUUCUCUCUCCAUUGAAUCGACGAUACACAGGAAGUCCGGAUUAUUUUGAACAUGGAGAUGCUUCAAUUGUGAAAAGCCCUCAGUGUCCAAUUCUAAAACAACAUUCUUGAUUCCUUGCAACUUAUCCAAACAUAAGUAUUCAACGUUAUUGAUGCCCUGCAACUUCUCGGAGCAAAUGGCCAUAGAAUCAAGCUUGAGCUUCAAUGUUCUUAAACUCUCAUGAUUACUGAUCAUAAAGUGCUGCCGACUUUCAAACCAAUCAUUCUCAAUAACCAGGGUAGAGUCGAAUGAUGCAUCUCCUAUUGAUAUAUCAAACCUUUCCAGCUUUUUGGAAAAAAAGCCAUCCGGUAAAAUGGUAUCAUUUUUAACAUCUAUUUCUAAAGUGGUCAAUCGCCUCAAAUGCAUCAAUUCGUCGAGGGUGGCAUUACUUCUUUCACUAUUGGCCUUUUCAACUUCCCAUUCAAUAGGGGAAUUACCCAUAUACAGUUCUUCCAAUCGAGUGAAGCUUGAUAAGACGUUGGGCACAAUAAAUUUUAGUUGCAAACAAUCUGUUAAAUCUAACAGCCUUAACUUAGUCAGUUGACCUAGUUCGCCAGGCCACCGUACAAUAUCAGAAUUUAAAAAGCUAAGGAUUUCUAGAUUCUUCUACUUUCCAAUUAUGGCUGUGUCUCCCAACAUGCUUUGAUCUAGACAGAGUGUUUGAAGAUUUGCUAGAAGACCGAUUGAAGAUGGCAAUGAAAAUAAUCGCAUUCGUGUCAAAUCUAUAACUCGAAGCUUUUUCAUCCCUUUGAAAAUGUUGUCAGGAAUAUUGACCUCGACAAAAUAGUCUUUGGGAUGCAUAUGUAAAAAUUCAAGUUGCGGACAUUCAAAUUCCUCAGAAACUUCAUGAAUGCGACUAUUUAGUAAAGAGAUUGCAGAGCAUUUUUUAAGUGCAUCCUCAUCUGGCCACUCCCACACAGCCUCAUUUCUCACCAAGAAAGCAUGUUGGUCUCGACAUGCAAUUGAUACGGCAACAUCGCAGACAACAUCAUGCAUGGAAAAUUGUUCACUGCUAUCACCCUCAAGCAAUAAACAAGAGUCUCUAAGUUCAUGGACCAAUGCAUAUAAUUUGUUUCGUGCAUCUACCAUCCUGUUGACUCCUUGAAAUAUGCCCAAACCCAUGGAGUAUUUAAACAAGUCUGUAAACCAAAAACUGUUACCUAUUAGACUACAGAGCAGAAAAAUUUUCUUGAGUUGCUCACCUUUUAAAUACUUGAAACUCAGUUCAAUACUUGAAUAAGUCUCUGCAGGCACACCUUCGAAGUUUAUCACUGAAGGCGUUUGGAGUUCUCGCAAGGCAUUCUUCCACUCAUGCAGACACUUGUUUCUCAGUGCCCUCGCAACUGUAGUCAGGGCAAUGGGCAAACCUCCACAUGCCUGGGCUACAUUAAUUGCUGUAGACUUGAACUUACAAUUUUCAACAUCAUCACCAUUCAUUAUCUUAAACAAUCUCCAAGCUUCUUCUUCAUUUAGAUUGCCAAUCAAGAAGUUAUCUUUGGAGCCCAUACUUAAUAGCACAUUAUUGUCUCUUGCUGUCAGCAGUAGUCUACAUCCUUUAUGAUCAUUUCCGAAGGGAAUUCCAACCGUCUCCAAAUCAAGAUGUUUCCAGAUAUUAUCUAGAAUCACAAGAAUCUUAUUCUCAUUCUUCAGUCGUUCAUACAGCCUGCUAGCUCUUCUAUAUUCAGCUUCAUCGGACAACUCCAGACCUAACUUCUCUGCAAUUUCCCCUUGAAUCUUUUUUAUGUCUGGAGUUUGUGAAACCUCUGAAAAAACCACCCGAUCAAACAGCUUGUCUUCCCUGGCUUGCCUAGCAAACUCCUUCACCAGUGUCGUCUUUCCAAUGCCGCCCAUGCCGUACACCCCAAUAAUGCUGACAUUCACAUCAGUCAACGCAUUUUGUAUAGACUUCAAAGUAGAAACUCUUGAUUCGAAGGCCUCGUAACCUUUGUUAGACUUAAGCCAUAUCUCCUCCGGAGUGGUACGGUGGGAAACGAUAUCAAACUUCUUAACUUCUUCUCCAAGUUCAACAAGGGCCUUCACCUCUGUCUCUGCUUUCUUGCUAAGCUGAUAGCGGGUCUUCAAAUUACGACACAAGCCCUUGAGACAGCGCUUAUUUGUUGACUCUUCAUCUUCAACGAAUUUGGCUGCCCGGUCAAUGAUGCCGUUAACACUAACCAGCCACUUCUCAACCUUCUCUUCAAUCUCUUCCCCUUUUUCUUUCGCCUCUGAAACUCUGCGCUGAAUGCUCGUACGUUCAACCUUCAACUUCUCCAUUUCCGCCUUGAGAUUCUCAAGGUUGGCAUUGUGGUUCCGCCAUCGCAAAUAAACAACUUGGCGUUCUGUUGGAGGAGCCAAGCAUUUUACAAGUUCCAAAACGAGAGUAACAAUGAUUUCCAGCAUCUUGAAUCCUGACAACAAUGUAGAAGUGAAGAAGGCCAAAGGACAGUCAAAACAGAGAGACAGCGUUACGACAAGCAGUUAUGAAGCUAAAAAUAAAUAACAAACAAACAGAAGCAAAGUGUUUUUCGAAUGAGAAGAAGGAAGCAAGAAAAGGGUUUCUGUUUUAGAUUAAGGAUAAGAAAUGAUUAAGAGAGUGGGGGAGCUAAUAAGAGAGUGGAUUGAGCAAACGUAAAUAAAUUUUUCUUAACCUUUUGUCACACGCGUGUGACAAAUAAUAUAAUUAAUUUUAUAUUUUUAUUCAAUAACUAUUAAUUAUAAUUUUUAAAAAUUAUUAAAAAGAAUAAUUAAGUACUGAAUUCAAAUCCUAUCCUAAAUGGUUAGAUAAAAAUAAGUGAAUGAAAAGAGUAAUGGUAGAUUAAUGAGAAAGUGAUUGAUUAAUUUAUGAGGCCAAUUAACGAAACGACAGAUCUGGUUUCCAUGUUUGUAAUUUAAGUGUAUCAGUACGAGGUACACCGACUCUCCCAGUUUCUUUAGCAUUUCUCUCCGUGGAAAUAAGUGAAAAGCCAAAGUGAUUUGAUUAUUUUUAUGGCCAACUAAUGUAUGACAGAUCUGGUUUCAAUCUCUGCAAUGUAAGUGUAUCAAAACGAGGUCAACAACUCUUUGUCGAGUCAGUCAAAUACGCAAGCAGAGCGAACAAAUUUUUUUUCCAAUUAAGUAAUCAUCAAGUGAUAACCUUCUUUUUCUAUUAAAAUAAGGAGUGCAGAACAACUGUCAAGAGAUAAUCAUUGUUUAUUAUAUUUUCGAUUAAAAUAGUUGCGCGUGAACGAUUGCCCGAAUUCGUAUAAAUUGUUGUCAGGUCUAUUAUAAUUAACAAGUGGAAUGGCCAAUGGAUGAAGAACCACUGCAAUUUCGUUUAUGAAUUUAAAAUGCUAAAGAAACUGGACACCAACGCUAAACGUGAGUUUGAGGCCCUUGCCUCAGUGUCUUUCAGGCGUUACUCGGGGUAGUUGAUAUACUGACGGCCCCGUUAUCAAUUAAUCAUCGAAAUAGAUUAAAAUAUGAAUGGAUUGGAAUGGAAUGAGUUGGAAUUAAAAUAUGAAAUGAUAGUCAGAUUAAUUUAUUUUUUUUUAAAUUAGAAAAUUAGAAUAAAAAUAAAUUAUAUUAUUAUUGAUGCAUUUGCUUUAUCUUAAAAUUACGAUGAGUUAUUACAAGUUACUAAUAUGCCUUUGAUUUUUUAUUAUAAUUAUAGUUAUUUAUUAUAACAUUUGUCAUAUAAUAAUAAUAAUAAUAAUAAUAAUAAUAAUAAUAAUAAUUGUAACAAUUAAUAUUGAAAAAAAAUUUAUUGUUAAUAAUAAAUAGGCAAUUAUCCAUCGACCAUGUGAUCUUUCGAACUUUUUCAAAAAUAGAUAAACACUUUUUUCUUUGCAGAAAUCCACCUGAAAUUUACAAAGCGUUUCAAUUGUUUAUUGUCAUCUUAACUCUGUUAGAAUUUUGUUGAUGUCAUAAGGACAAAAUUAUCAUUUUCACCUAAAUAUCCAAAAAGGGUAUCUUUCAAACAUGAUUAAGAUAAAAAAGUAAAAUAAAUUAUCCAUUGACUAUAUAAUUUUUUAACCUUUAUAAAAAAUAUUAAAAAAAUAUAUGAACAUUUGUUUUUAUUUUUCAACAAUCUAUCGGAUAUUUGUGAAGUGCAUUAGUGCUCCACUACUAUCAUAACCCUUUAAAAAUAUCGCUUAAACACGAGAACCUAUUGCCUAAAAUUAUUUUUCAAGCAAAUGCAACGACAUAUCUGGUUUUGAUCUUCGUGACUUUUAAGUGUGCAAGAACAAGAUGAAUGACCCUUUGUCGAGUUGAAGAAUUAAGAUGAAUCAAUUACAAAUCUAGAACAAACUUACAUGUGACAUUUUAGAAUUAAGCAAACUAUAAUUGAUCAUCCAGUGAUAGGCUUAUUUUCAAUUAAAUUAGAGUAAAGAUAUACAUUCCAAAUUUUUUAUCUCAAAAUUAAUCUUAGAUGAUGUCAUUAAUUGAGUACUUGGUAAUUCUUUCAAGAUCUAAGUGAAUUAAUUAUAUUAUCUCUCUAACCAAUUGAUGAAUAUCAUAUUAUUUUGGAUAAUUUUUUAUCUCAAAUCCUAGAAAAGAAAACAAAAGAAAGGGAGCAAAAAUAUUUUUAGAAACGUAAAAUAACCAAAAAAACACCUUUUCUUGUUUUUCUUAUUUUCCACUAUUAAGCUUCAAAAUGAACAACUUUAUUCUACAAUCUCUCAAAUAAUAUUAAUAACAACAACGUCGUCAUCAUCAAUAAUAAUAAUAAUAGAUUAAUUUUGUAGGAUGGAACUCUCUCAAAUCUUCAAGACACAAAAUGUGCUUGACCCCAUUGUUGUUAUUAUAAUUUCAAAAUCAUAUGUAUUAUAUAAUAUUAGGGAAUAUAACAUAGCAAAAUUGAUGGUACAUAUGUUGCAAUAUACUUGCUCAUGUGGCGACACAUUGACGUAAAGUACAAGCAGAACAACGAAAAAUGUAACGGGAGAGCUCUCAUUAUGUAGAUUUUCAAUAGAAGUAAUGCAUAUUUCACAAGGGCAAUGGCCUUAUUUCAAAUGCUGCACCUGAGGAAUGACUUGAAUCUUCUAUAGAACUCAGGCAUUCUGUAAUCAUAGAGUAUAUCAUUUCAACAAAAAUAUUAUAUAGGUCGUUCCUUAUAUAUUUUAUGGGUACACAUACAGAAAUAUUACUUUGGGUACAUUUUUUGCAAUAAAGCCUGCCCAAUCCAGCGUUUUCAUAAGUUGGGUUUCUCAUUUACUUGUUUUUUCCAUUGGUUAAUUAUCACAAACCUCCACUGAGAUUUAGCAUAUUUUUAGUUUAAUAGAUUGUAUUCGCGCAAAUAUCUUUUCAGACAUUAGUUUACCACUUCGUAUAAAUUAAGUUGGUGAGGAUAAAAUCGUAAAAGUACACAUUAAUGAUAAAAAAAUUCAAGUAAACAUGAAAUUUUCACGUUGUGUUCUGAAAUUGGUCUCAACUUUUUAAAUGUCCAUUAGGUAAAGAACAGAAGCAAGCUUUACCCAGCACACAAAAGCAAGCUUUGCGCAGCACGCAUUAACGCCCGCAAAAAUGAAAAAGGAAAAAUGGUCAUCUCUUUCCUCCAUUCGAAUUGAAGCCAUGAAACGCAACAUCCCUUUCAUCUUCUCUCUAAUGCUUUGAUUAAAAAACUUGCUUACGAACGGGAGACCAUGACACUGAAUCCGGAGACGGCAAUACCAGAGACGAUUGAUCGAUUUGGAAGAAUACCAACCAGUGACUUUCGCCGUCGACCCACAAACAGUCCCAGUGUUUUCGAGCCGUGAAUGAGGUAUGAAUCAGAUUAUUUCCGUGCAUGUCAGUUUUGUUAGGUGAUUUGGUUUAAAAAAAGAAUAAUGGGUCUCGAAAAUUUUUUGAGAGUAUUUCUGUUGCUUACAUUUUUUUUCCAUUGAUUAAUGUUAGUUGUAGGUGAAUGAUUGUUUCAAAUGCAUGUUCGCGUGUGACUGAUUGAAAAUGGCUUGUGAUUUGUCAUGCUGCCGUAUGACUGAUUGAAAAUGGCUCUAAAAUUUUUUUUAUUUGUUUAAGCUACUGAUUCUGAUUAUUGAACAGGAAUUCAUGCUAGCUUUUGUGAAAUUAAAGAUGAGACUAUUUUUUAAGAGAUCUGCCAAACCUUCUCUACUAUAGAUUUGGCUUCUGACAUACCUGGUUGGCUGGAGAUAAUUGUUUAUAUAGUCAUUGUUGCCCGUAUUAUUUAGGAAUAUUGAUUAGCAAUGUACUGGAUUAGAGAUUGGUAUAAUUUUGGAAAAUUAGUCGUAGAUGCAACCUGAUUAUGGUCUCAAAUAGUGUGAUCUGUCAAUUUCGUCUGCUAUGGCCUAACAACCUUGAAUCUGAGCUAUGCUACUAUACAAAGUCCUGACCUAAUCAAGCUUGUUAGCCAAUGUCCAAAAUUGCAGUGUCUUUAGAUAAGUCCCAUCUUAUUUGUUUGAAUUAUAAAUGAAAAUUGCAGUGUCUUUGGAUAAUCACGCUGAAUGUUCAAGUUAUUGACAAGAAGGGACCCCCAGAUUCAAGGCCGGAGCUCCCUGUUGAGAAGCUUUAUAUAUAUAGGAUUGUCGCUGGGUGGAGGAUCGAUAUGCCCGGUUUUGUUUGGAAUAAGGAUGAAGAUUUUGCAUUGAGGCUUUCUUGACAGAUCAUUCUGCAAAUCAAGCUCCAUGUACCUAUCUUCAAACUCUAGGAUAUGUAUAAAGCAAGUGCAUGCUCUAUAUGUCACUUAUUGUAUCCCGAUUAUUUUUCUAUUACUUAAUAUAAUUGCAGUCCUUGAUGAAGUUGGAGACAACUUAUGGAGGGUAUCCAGGAGCUCGAGAGCUCGAUUGCCAUUCAUUUUACACUUGGCUGAGCUAUAGAAUACCAACUAGUGAUUAAUAAAGAGAAGGUAUGAAGGUCCUAUUGCUGGUGGUAUUAUCAAUCAGAAUUGUUAUUUUACUUGGUCAUAGUUACCAUGUAUACUAUUCAUAGACUUUUUGCAUGUUUAUGUAUUUGCGUUCAUCGUUUUGUUAAGCUAGAGAUGGUUGAUUUGUGUACUCAUUUGUAUCACUUGUAGCCCUUGAGGAAUAAAAUUUAAAAUUUUGUUGCAUCUCCUGUACUAAAUACUAAUUUUGUUGGCUUUAUGUAUGUGAAAUGGUUCAUUAUGUUAUUUCUUUGAUGUGUGUAUAGUGUUACGCUGUCUAAAGUCGAAAAGUAUUUCUAUCACUUGUGUAAAAAACAACCUACUUUUUUUCACUCUUCUUAUAUUGAAUAAAAGAGGAACACCAAGAUCUUCACCAAGAUUGAACGAAAUUUGAUGCAAAAUGCAUAGCAAUUAGGCCAGUGCAAAACAACUUCCUUCUGAUUCUCUGAUAUUUGACUUAAAUCUUUUGUUUGUUUCAUUCAUCAAAGUCAUUUUGGAAAGUAGCAGGGGUGAUUUGAUAUUUUCAUUGUAUUCACAUCCCUUGGCACCAAAACAAACAUGCUGGUACUAACCAACAAUUUUUUUUAAUUUUCAGUAUACAAAUUAUCUUUUUUUUUCUAAAUUAGGGGUAUUAAGAAAAGGUAUACUAGCAUCGGGGGAGGUAUUUGAGAAUACACAAAUACAGGCUAUCAAACUGAGAAUACGCCAAAUCUCAGGGGAGGUUUCUGAUAAAUCUUUUUUUUUCCUUUUCCUCCAUUUACUAUAGGUUCAAUUUAGACAUUGUUGACCAAACAGAAGGUUUAGGUUGGUAAACGCACUAGUGUUAAUGUCAACAACCCAAGGGGCUUCAUGGUCCUCUGGGCCGAAAUAGCGUAAUUAUUAAUUCUCCUCCAGUGAAAAUCUUCAUCUCGAGACAAAUAAAUACGAAUUGACAUUAUAGCUGUGCAAAUUUGGAGGUGUAAUAACCGGAAAAGUAAAAAUCUUUAGAGACAUUUCAAAUAAAAAAGAUACAACACCUUCAAUUUGCUAAAAGUAAUGGUAUCAUUUCUUGUACGGAUAAUGGAUGAUUAGAUUUUGUUUUUUGUUAUCCGACGAAGGAUAUUCAGUUGUUCUUUAUGUGUUCACAGGCAAGAGCAUGAGCAUGUUUAUGAUUUGAUAUAUGCUUCUUGCAUUUUUUAAUUAAGUACUCUCUUUCCUUACUGUGAAGCCGAAAUUAGUUAUAAUCUGUUAUGGACAUGCUGAGGUGGCAGGUGAGCUGGCAUAAGUGGGAUCCAAAUCAAGAGUUGGUUAGUUAGUUAAAUAACAGACUGACUCAUUGCAAGUGGAAACACACGUGAGAAGCAUACAUUUAUAAGCUGUCUCUAAGCUAGCUAAACAUACAUAGAAUCAUAGAGAAUUUACAGAGAGGAAACACUCGAUAGGUUUUAAUCUGUAAUUGGUGACUCAGUUGUAAACCAUCUUCUUCUUGUUGUUCAAUAAAGCCUCUGCCCUUGCUGGUUUUACAGCCGUGGAUGUAGGUUCCUUUGUGGAGCUUAACCACGUUAGUUUCUUGGUGUGUUGUGAAUCUUUGAUUGCUUGGUUCUUCUUUGUUCUUUUCUUAAUGUUGUUUCUGUAAACUCUGGUUUUGUGGGUUGCUUAAUUCUUGUUCAAGUAAGCGAAGUAAACACGUUUGCCAUAACAAACUGGUAUCAGAGCCUGGUAUUGGUUGGGAUCAGACUCAAAGAUGGCAAGCACCAGAGUUGAUCUUGAAAAGUUCAAUGGAGAUAAUGAUUUUUAUCUCUGGAGUUUGAAGAUGAGAGCAAUACUUAUUCAAUAAGGGCUUGACAGUGCCCUCGAUGAUGGAGAAGAUCCGAUGGCCAAGAAAGAAAAGGCAGAAGGCUCUUCAAGCCUUGGUGCAGAUCAGAGGAUCAUAAACAAUAAGGCCCAUAGCACCAUUAUCUUGCAUCUCUCUGAUGAAGUCUUGAGAGAAGUAUCCAAAGAAAGAACUGCAGCUGGUUUAUGGGCAAAACUAGAAGAAAUGUUUCUGAAGAAAUCAUUGGCAAAGAGGAUGUACAUGAAGAGGAGAUUGUACACAUUCUCAAUGAAAGAUGGAGUAGCCAUGAAAGAUCACGUGGAUGAGUUUAAUAAACUCAUUCUUGAUCUCGAGAAUGUCAACAUAAUUCUUGAAGAUGAAGACAAGGCACUCAUCCUCUUAAGUUCUCUUCCAGAAUCUUAUGAACAUUUUGUAGAUACCCUCAUCUAUGGCAGACAAACCCUCUCUUUGAAAGAUGUCAAAGAUGCUCUGAAAUCCAAGGAUUUGAAGAAAAGAUCAGACAUGAAAGAUCAAAACAAUGCAGAAGGUUUGGUUGCCAAAGGAAAGCCAGAAAAGAAACACAAUAAGCAGAAAAAGAACAACAGCCAGAAAGAUAAAGCUGAAAAGAAGAAGAAGAAGAAGAGAAAGUGUUACUUCUGUCAGAAAGAGGGACACUACAUUAAAGAUUGCUUUGAGAAAAAGAAACUAGAAGAACUGCAAAAGAAAUCAAAUGGGAAGACUGCUGUUGCCUCUGAAGAUGAAUGUGACUACGAUGAAGCAGAUGUCUUGGUGGCUGCAGAAAGGCACCCAACUGGUGAGUGGAUUCUGGACUCUGGUUGCUCAUUCCACAUGUGUCCAAAUAAAAGUUUCUUUAAGACCUUUGAAAGUGUAAAUGGUGGAAAGGUAUUGUUGGGAAAUAACCUAGCUUGCAAGGUGGCUGGAAUAGGAACCAUUAGCUUAAAAUUGCAUGAUGGUGUCACUAGAGACUUGCACCAAGUAAGAUUUGUCCUUGAACUGAAAAGAAACUUGAUAUCUCUAGGAAUGGUUGACCAAUCAGGGUGUACUAUUAAGGCUAAAAAUGGAGAGAUACAGGUCUUGGAUCAGGGUAAAAUUGUAAUGAAAGGGGUUAGGAAAAAUGGGCUGUACAUACUAGUUGGAUCCUCACUUGUGCAAGGGAUCUCAGCAAGUGUGACCAGAGAUAAAACCAAGCUCUGGCACAUGAGACUAGCUCAUAUCAGUGAGAGAGGUCUCAAGGAGCUAAGCAAUCAAGGUUUGCUUGGUGAUGACAAAGUUACUUCCUUAAAAUUCUGUGAGAAAUGUGUGUUUGGGAAGGCCACAAGACUAAAAUUCAGUUUAGGGAGAAAAGAAACCAAACAGACUCUAGAUUACAUCCACUCAAACCUUUGGGGGCCAUCACAAGUUCCAUCUUUAGGUGGAGCUAGGUACUUUGAGUCCUUAAUAGAUGACUACUCUAGGAAGGUUUGGAUCUAUGUGUUGAAACACAAAAGUGAAGCACUAGGGAAGUUCAAAGAGUGGAUUACUCUCAUUGAAAACCAAACUGAUAAGAAAAUAAAGAGGCUCAGAACAGACAAUGGGCUGGAGUAUUGCAGCAAAGAGUUUGAAGAUUUCUCCAAAUAUAAGGGCAUUACAAGGCAUAGAACUGUCACCUACACUCCACAGCAAAAUGGGUUGGCAGAAAGAAUGAACAGAACCAUAAUAGAGAGGGUAAGAUGCAUGCUGCUGAAUGCAAACCUAUCCAAAGGUUUUUGGGCAGAAGCAGUCACCACAACUGCCUACUUGAUAAACAGAAGCCCAUCCUCAGCUCUAGGUUUCAAGACACCUCAGGAGCUUUGGUCUGGAAAGCCACAAGACUUGAGCAAUUUGAGGAUCUUUGGAUGUCCAGCUUAUGCACACUUAAAGCAAGGUAAGCUUGAACCAAGGGCUGUUAAAGGGUAUUUCUUGGGCUAUCCUGAGGGCAUUAAGGGAUACAAGAUAUGGACCCUCAAUGGCAAACCAUCUAGGAUAUUAAUCAGUAGGGAUGUCACCUUUGAUGAAGAGCAAAUGCUUCAGUCAAAGGUAGAAACUGAGAUUGAAGCUGCUGAAAUAGAGGAAGAAGAAAGUGCUGGACAGAUGGUAAAGCAUUCUGAUAGUUGUAAGCCUUCUGAACAACCAUAAGACCAGACCAAGGAAAGAAAACAACCAUCAGAACUGGAAACAUAUCAGCUUGCUAGGGACAGAGAGAGGAGAGCCAUCAAAAUGCCAAAGAAGUAUGGCAUAGCUGACCUCAUUUCCUAUGCACUGACAGUAGCUGAUGAAGUAAAUGGUGGAGAGCCUUUGAGCUAUAAAGAAGCUAUGAGAUGUGAGGAUAAGCUGAAAUGGUAUGCUACAAUGCAGGAUGAAAUAGUCUCUUUAAAGAAGAAUAAUACCUGGAUCUUAGUGGACAGACCAUCUAAUAAGAAACUAGUUGGCAGCAAGUGGAUUUUCAAGUUGAAGGCUGGAGCUUCAGAGAAUGAACCACCAAGACAUAAAGCCAGACUUGUGGCAAAGGGAUUCACACAAAGAGAGGGAGUUGACUUCAAUGAAGUGUUCUCACCUGUAGUCAAAUACAGCUCAAUUAGGUUGCUGUUGGCCUUCUCUGCAUAUCAUGACCUGGAGCUGGAGCAGACGGAUGUUAAAACUGCCUUCUUACAUGGCAGUCUUGAUGAAGAGAUUUUCAUGGCACAGCCAGAAGGGUUCAUUGAGAAAGGAUCAGAGGACAAAGUGUGCUUAUUAAAGAAGAGCUUGUAUGACCUCAAGCAAUCUCCAAGGCAAUGGUAUUUAAAGUUUGAUGAGUUUAUGCUAAGCCAUGGAUACUGCAGAAGCAGAUUUGAUAAUUGUGUGUAUUAUAAAUUCCUGUCAAAUGGUGGUGGCAUCUACUUACUUAUGUAUGUGGAUGACAUGCUUAUUGCAUGUAAACAAAAUGAAAAGUAAAGAAGCUUAAGGUGGAGCUCAGCACUGAAUUUGAAAUGAAGGAUUUGGGUGCAGCUACAAAGAUUCUGGGAAUGCAGAUAAAGAGAGAUAGAGAGUCCAAAGUUUUGUAUCUGUCUUAGGAGGAUUAUGUGAAGAUGGUGUUAACCAGGUUCAAUAUGAAAGAUUCAAAGCCUGUUUCAACACCUCUGUCAGCUCACUUCCAGUUAUCUAAGUCACUGGAACCUACAACUGAUGAUGAUUUUAACUACAUGAGGGAGAUACCUUGCUCCAGUGCAGUUGGCAGCAUCAUGUAUGCCAUGGUGUGCACCAGACCUGACUUGGCUCAUGGAGUUGGAGUCAUCAGUAGGUUUAUAGGGAAUUCAGGGAAGGGUCACUGGAAUGCAGUGAAAUGGGUACUAAGAUAUCUUAAAGGGUCUGCUGUCACUGCCAUCAUGUUUGGUAAAAUAAGUGGAGCAUCACCUGUAGUGGCUGGAUUUGUGGACUCAGACUAUGCAGCAGACAAAGAUAGAAGGAGGUCCAUCACAGGUUUUGUGUUUACUAUAUGUGGAGGUGCUAUAAGUUGGAAAUCUUCCCUGCAGUCAGUGGUUGCCCUCUCAACAACAGAAGCUGAAUAUAUUGCACUUACAGAAGCUGUCAAAGAGGCAAUAUGGCUGAGAGGGCUGGUCUCUGAAUUGGGGUUUAAACAAGAAGUUGUUGUAGUUGGCUGUGAUAGCUUAAGUGCUAUUCAGCUAAGUAAAAAUCCUAAGUAUCAUGAGAGAACUAAACAUAUUGAUGUUAGAAUGCAUUUAAUUAGGGAUGAAAUCAGCAAAGGAGUAGUGAAUGUGGUUAAGGUGCCAUCUGAAGUAAAUCCAGCUGACAUGUUAACCAAGCCUUUGCCAUCAGUCAGGUUCAGGGACUUACUGAAUCUGAUUGGAAGUGUUAGCUUGUGAAACAAGCUUACUGGUGCUGUGUUGCAGUGAAGGGAGAAGCAUAAACAGAUUAGAACUAAGGUGGAGAUUUGUGAAGCCGAAAUUAGUUAUAAUCUGUUAUGGACAUGCUGAGGUGGCAAGUGAGCUGGCAUAAGUGGGAUCCAAAUCAAGAGUUGGUUAGUUAGUUAAAUAACAGACUGACUCAUUGCAAGUGGAAACACAUGUGAGAAGCAUACAUUUAUAAGCUGUCUCUAAGCUAGCUAAACAUACAUAGAAUCAUAGAGAAUUUACAGAGAGGAAACACUCGAUAGGUUUUAAUCUGUAAUUGGUGACUCAUUUGUAAACCAUCUUCUUCUUGUUGUUCAAUAAAGCCUCUGCCCUUGCUGGUUUUACAGCCGUGGAUGUAGGUUCCUUUGUGGAGCUGAACCACGUUAGUUUCUUGGUGUGUUGUGAAUCUUUGAUUGCUUGGUUCUUCUUUGUUCUUUUCUUAAUGUUGUUUCUGUAAACUCUGGUUUUGUGGGUUGCUUAAUUCUUGUUCAAGUAAGCGAAGUAAACACGUUUGCCAUAACACUUGCCUUCUUAGUUUUGAAAGAAAGAUGUGAAGCAAAGCAAACCCAGUGAAAUAUACAGAGAAGCAGAACCAUCAGAGGAAAAACUAAAUAACAGAACUACAAUUGAACCAAACAAAAUCAAAUAAACCGAGGCAACAGAUGCCCUGAAUCAGGCAUCGCUUUUCCUCGAAAGAAAAUAUGUUUGCAUGGGUGGGAACCUAGUAAUUACUCAAGAGUUGAGGAGUUGGAAAGAUUUGGUAUUCAUAUCUUCACAAUUCAUAUGCUUUAAUGCAGAAUCGACAGCUUUAUAUUAUUUUAUUCAACCAAAAACGAUAAAGCAGUAAAACCACAAUAAUCCACCAACUUUUGAUACUUUUAGGAAUUUUUUUAGUCAAAUUAAGUUUCAUGAUAAAACAAGUGGCUCCUCCACACACUUGCACUUGCUUGAAUAUUCGUGCCGACAUUUUCAUAUGUGAUGGUACUUCUUAGCCAGUAGAUAUGUUGAAGUACUACAAAACAGAGUAUUUGAUGAAGUUUUGCUACUUUCGUAUCCCUUUUUUUGUUGCAUAACUAAAUUCUUUAUAAACACAAAUUAGAAAGAUACAAAUAAUACAGUAGCUUGAAUUUAUAUGCUUUUAUGAUUAUUUGAUAAUCUAGUGCUGAUCAUAUGUGAUGAUAAACUUAGCUAGUAGUUUUAUAUUUGUUUUCGUAGUUUCCUUAGCGUUCACAUUUUGAUGAGUAAAUUAAGGAUUUCCAGAUGAAGUACAUAAUUUGAUGAAUGCUAAGGAACUGAAGUUUGAUUAAUUGAAAACAAAAAUAAUAAUGCAGGUAAUUGCGAAAAUGAGCAAUGCAGAAGUAGUCCCUAUAGUAUUUCUAAAUUUUCUCUUGGGGUUCCUUAGUAUUCCUUAAUAUUUUUUAAAAAUGACAUGACGAUCUUUGAGUUGACGAAUCUUGGCCUGCUGCUUAGUACCCUUCCAACAUAUAAAGUACUAGAUGUUUUACUGAGAAAAUGACUAGAUCAUUUACCAAAUUUCUUGCGCAUAUAUACGUAUGCAUACGAGAAAUGGGAAUCAAUGAUUAUAAGACCUUGCAAUGAGACAAUAAUACAUCAUCAAAUCUAAAAAUACACAAGAAAUUCGGGACAUAUAUAUAACAAAAGACCUCUCAUUGAGUCAUACAUAUUGAGAAUAAAAUGUCAAAAUGCAUACAAAGAGCUUAUACAGAAAAUGAAUUUACACAUAUUUAGAAUAAACUGUCUUUGAACUUUCGAUGGUCAAAUAAAGGAAACAGACAGGAUAUUGUUAACAUAUAUGUUUCCAUAAUGUUGAUUUUGAUGAUAACAAACAUGAUUAAGAAUAAUUAAUCUUUUAAGCUCAAAUUAUUUUCUUUUUAAAUAAAUCAUUAUUUUCACAUUUUAAAGGUUUUAUAUUUAAUGGAAAAAUGAUUUUAAGAAAUUGAUUGUUUUUAUUCUUUUUAAAUAAAUCAUUAUUUUCACAUUAUAAAUGUUUCAUAUUUAAUGGAAAAAUGAUUUUAUGCAAUUGGUUGUUUUUCAAGUUUAUGGUUUAUUUGAAAGAGUUUUGAAAACUUUGAAAUCAACAAGUAUUGCUUGAAAUUUUGGAGAAGGAUUUAUUUGAAAAGUAUUCAUAGCAUUUUGGGCUAUAUUAUAAUUUCAUAAAGUUUUGGAAAUAGUAAGUAUUAUUUAGAAAUUCUGAAAUUGGACUUAUUUGCAAAGUUUCAUAACAUUUUGGGCCGUAAUACAGUUUUAUAAAGUUUUGGGGUCAAACGAUAAUUUUAGAAAAUAUGUCACUGUAGCAGUUACUGUAGAAAACGGCGAUCCGACAUCUUGAUAACGGCUCGCCGACAUCUAACAGAAUUGAAGAUUAGUCUCUGGACCUAAACGGCGAACCGACAUGUGUGAUAAACGGCUCGCCGAUAUCAACCAGUAGCCUCUGGACCUAAACGGCGAUCCGACAUAUAGUUAACGGCGAGCCGACAAUUUGAAAAAUCAGCCCAACGGUCAUAUUGACCAGUCAAACGGCGAUCCGACAUCUAGCUAACGGCGAUCCGACAGUGUGCAGAAAGUCAAUAACGGCUAGUUUUCAGCUCUAACUAUAAAUAAGCUCAAUCCAAUUCAAACAAGGAGUGAUCCAAGAGUUAUCAUUGAGCUUGCCAUUGAGCAUAAAAUUAUUAUUGAGCUUUGAACUUGUUUUUGUUUCUUUGAUUCACACAUUGAGCAUUCAUUUGUAAUCAAACACAUUGUGUGAGAGAAAAUUCAUUUGUAAUAUUUAUCCUUGAGAGGUUGUAAGUGUUGGGAUACACUUGGGUUAAGAGAUUGGAGAUAAUCUCUUGUUGUAAAGGUCCAUUGACACCUUGAAAGUCAAUUGUAAGCGUUUGAAGCAUUGGGAGGCUAGCUUAGUGAAAUCCUCAAGCCCGGUGAGCUUGGAGGCGUGGACGUAGGCGGAGAUUGCCGAACCACGUAAAAAUCAUUGUGUUUGUUUUCUCUUCCCUUACUCUUUUAUAUUGUGAUUGAUUUAUUUGUUAUUGCUUUAAAUUAGUUUUGGAUUUUCAUUGUGUUUUGUUUUAGAAUUGAAUAAUUUUUUAAUAUCCCAAUUCACCCCCCCUCUUGGGUUGCAUAACUAGAAUUUCAGAUAUAACACACACUAUCAUAGAUGUAGCGACACGGUGAAGUAAAUCACAUGAAGAUGGAAACGGAAACCCUUCACAACAUAAAAUUUGAAUGGAGGGGGGAAAAAAGGCUUCAUUUCGAAUGUUGUACAGAAGAAGAGUGACUUGAAUCUCUAUCAGUAUCCAGACAUUCUACAAACACAGAGUUGAGAAUUUUAACAAGAAUAACAGACAAAAUAUUGUACUUCUAUACUUGUAACAAAACUAGACCAAAUUAGUUCCCUUUUUGGUUUGUGAAAACUUGAUAUUUUUUAAAAUUCUAUCGAAUGCUUUCAAACAAUAUUUCCAUAAUAUAUUUGUUCAUAGCUAACCUUUGAUGGUUUAAGCAUUUGUUGUAGGCAUGACGGGCUAAUUAGAUUUUUUUUUUUUUAUCCGAUGAAUGAUAUUCAGCUGUUCUUAAUUAUGUGUUAAUAGGCAAGAACAUUUUCUUAAGUACUUUCAUUGCCUUCCAAGUUUCCAAUGAACAAACAGAGCACAAACAAAUUUAACGGAACAGUAACGAUGACAAUAAAUAAUUGGCAAGGAAAGAAAGAAAAAAGUUUGCAUGAUUUCAAGGAAUUAUAAAAUCUGAACACUUUCAACAUGCAAGUGUUGCCCCUCUUAUUGAAAUUUCAUCAUAAAAUGCUUGCAAGGAAUUAUAAAAUUUUAGAGAACAAGGGAACUCUCAAAACAAAAUACUCAAAUUAAAUUAAAUUAGACCAAAAGACGCUCAAUGACGCAAAAUCUGCCCAUAAAAGCCUGAACGAAUCAUGAAAAGUGCAUUCCAUAUUGACAGUAAACCAAGUGACCCAUUCUAAACAAUUGAGAUGAAAUUGUGAAACAACCCACGAGAUCAAAUAAAUAAAAUAAGAAUUAAUUACCAGCUGGGACUUGCUUCUUCAAAUUCGUAACUCCAAGUCAUAAGAAGCCAAUGAAAUUAGUCGUAAUCCACAGAGUAUAACGACGACCCCGCCAACAGCUGAAAAUAAAAUUCUUAUUCAUCAAUUUAAACUAACUUUAUAACAAAUAUCUUAUCGAUAUUUUAUUUAAAAAGAAAAAGCAAAUUUUGUAAAAUUUUUCCAUGGGAGAUAGAGAGUAACACGUAUAUCCGUACCUUCUCAGCAUGUAAUUGUUGUAUGGUCGUGUUAAGAUCAUUACUAGCCCAACGCCGUUGAUUCGAUGUCUCUCCAUACCAGACGUUUACUCUCGGAGGCGUGCUUGAUUCUCCUGUAGUGAAAAUCUUGAAUUUGGGACAACCAAUCACAGAUAGAUCUUGCAAAGAUGGGAAUUUGAAGGUGUAAUUGGCAGAGCAGAAACUUGUGAGGCUGUCUAAAUCACGCAGUUCCAACCUCUUCAAUUUGCGGGAAACAAUCUCUUCUUUUUCAACCCCGUCUUUGUCAUUUAUUACCACCUCUGUCAUUGCUCUGCAUCCGUAUACACAAAGUGAUACGAGUCGCACUAGAGUUUUUGCUGUGGAGGAUGUUACUAAGUGUAUCAAUUUCUUGCAAUCGAAAGCUACAAGUUUUGUUAGGUUCCCAAAAGAUACCGAUGAUGAUUGCAAUAGAAUUAACAGACUUUGACAAUGAUAUACUCUUAGAAUUUCAAGAUACUGAAAAAUGGGGCCAAGUUUGGAGUCUUGUUUGCACAGCUGCUUCAGAUGAUAGUGCCGGUACAGCUCUAAUUCUUUUAUCAUUGCCAACUUCCCCACAUGUUUCUCUAAGCAUCCUUCCAUCGAAAAUACCUCUUCGUGGAAUGAAAAAUAACACAGUACGAGCAUUUCGAGAUUGUGAAAUCUCUCCAGUACAUUCCAGAUUGGAAAACAAGCUGAGUCAUCUCCAACAAUCUCUAGUUGUUUGAGACUGCCAAAAAGGUGUUGUGGGAAAUCGGCCUGCAAAAUCAUCUUCACGUAUUUUCCGCAUAGUGAUAGUUCCGUCAAGUUGGGUAAGAUCUGAUCAUCAUCAAUCAUAAUAACUAAUAAGGUCAAUUGAUGUUCUCUCAAAUGAUUUUGAGUAAUCCAAUCAGACGCAGUGAGUUUAUAGUAUUUGUUUUAUAUUAUAUUUUAAAAAAAAUUGAAUUAUUGAUAAAAUUUAUUAAAUGAUUUUUUAUAUGUUAAUUUUAGAGGUAAAAAAGAAAUUAGGGAAAAAAGGUUGAUUUAUACUGACUCGAAAUUAUUUUAUUGCACAAUAAUAAAUUACUAAUUUAUUUUGUAAGUUCUUCUAUAUGGAAAGACUCAAGAUUCUUUUACAAAUGCUAUACCUAAAAAAGUUUAUAUAAUUAUUAAUCUACCACAUUGAUCCCUUAAUCUAGACUAGCAAAGAUUAUUGUAUAAUAAAAGUUUUUAAUUUAUUAAGCAUUAAUUUAUCGAUACUUUGUCAUAUUUUUCAAAGUUAAAAAUAAGCUAUAGAUAAAAAAUCUAGAAAAUGGCUUCAUACCUUUUCCAGCGGCAAUAAGGGCUGUUGUGCAGGAAUACCAAGUUGAUCAUUCCCAUUAUUCUGCGAUAAAUCUGCAGCGAAUAUCUUUAAUUUGUCACAACGAUACACUAAAAGAAUUUCUAGGGCGGGCCAUUCCGAAGUAUGCAUUCCAGGGUACAAACAUCUAAGUUUUGGUAGAUCAUGGAGUAUCAAAGUGGUGAGCUGUGGAAAGACAAAAUAAGGGAUCACUUGAUCUGCUCUGUUUUCAGAAAUGACCUCCUGUAAAUCCUCACAAGAGCGUAUUUCUAGGCGUUGGAGCUGCUUAAGGCUUCCGAUCAUGGACGCUGAAAAUAUUUAUUUUAAUUUGUGACAACCCCACACAAUCAAUCGUGUUAAACUUUGAAAGUGAGGAAACACGGCCGCUGGAAUUUGAUUGUAGUGCCAAAUCUUGUCGACAUUAAUUUCAGAUAUCUCCAAAGCCUCCAAGUUAGGCAACGCAACCUAAAAAGAUAAGAAUUUCUUGUUGAAAAUUUCUCUUUGAUUACAAAUUAAUGCAAGUCAGAAUCAAUUUCCAACUGACAGCUGAGUAUGCAUUCUAAUUCAUACUACCUGUUAAGAGCUCAAUUAGUGAGUGCGUGAGAUUAUUUUUUUCCCCAUUGUUUUCAUUUUCUUUCAAUUCUCUAAAUGAUUUAAUUAUUUUCCACGUUUGACAUAAGAGAACGCAUGAUAGAAUAAACUCUGUUAUAUAUAUAUAUGAAUAAAAUGUUAGCCUACGCACCUUCUCAUUGAAAAGCAAAGUUGAAAUAUCCAAAGUGAUUUCGCUGGAGCAAUACAUAGUCGUCGAUUCCUCUUGCGACACUUGUCUGUUCGGUGAUGCUGAAGGAGUCUCCACCUCACGGCAAAAACUUGUAACCUCUGGAAGAUUCCCCAGACUCAAAGAUCUUAAUUGAGCAAACUCUAUCUUCUCAAUUGCAUUAUCAACUUCUUCCCCAACUGCAAAAAUCUCUUUCAUCUUGCUGCAAUUAAUAACUGCAAUCCUCUCAAGUCUUGGAAGGCAUUUUGUAGUAGAGAGCCAAAAGAUAUUACUCAACUUAUUACAACUAUAAGCUUCUAUGGUUUUGAGUUUGUUGAAAGACUCUACUUUGAGCCGAUCAAUACAUAUCCUCUCCAUGUUGAUCAAAUUGUGAAGGGCCAGUGACUCCAAAAGAGGAAAGGCAUCACAAGCGACCAUCUCCCUUGAAUCGACGAUACAAAAGAAGUCAGGAUUAUUUUGAAUGCAGAGGACCUUCAAUUGUGAAAAGCCCUCCGUGUCCAAAUUGAAAAGAACAUUCUCGAUGCCUUGCAGCUUGUCCAACCGUAAGUAUUCAACGUUAUUGAUGCCCUGCAAUUUCAUGGAGCAAAUGUCCAUAAAAUCAAGCUUGAGCUCCAAUUCUCUUGAAAUCUUGCGAUCACUGUUGAUCGAAAAGCGCGGCCGACUUUUAAACCAAUGUUGUCCAACACUCAUGGGAUGCAUGAAUAACCCAUUUCCAAUAGAUAUUUUGAACCUUUCGAGCUUUCUGGCCAAAAAACCUUCUGGUAAAAUAUUGUCACUUUUAACGUCAAUUUCUAGAGAGGUUAGCCGAGGUAAAUGCAUCAAUUCGUCAAGGCUAGCAUUACUUCUUUUGCUGUUGGCUCUUUCAACCUCCCAUUCAAUGAAGCAAUUACCCAUAUACAAUUCUUCUAAUCGGAUUAAGCUUGAUAUGACAUUUGGGGCAAUAACUUUCAGACGGAAACAGUCUGUUAAAUCUAACAGCCUUAGCUUAGUCAGUUGACCCAGUGCUUUAGGCAACUCUACAAUAUCAGAUUGCAAAAAGCUAAGGAUUUCUAGAUUUUCCAACUUUCCAAUAAUGGCUAUGUCUAUGCCUCCGAAAAUGCUUUGAUUAAGACAAAGUGUCUGAAGAUUUACUAGAAGACCAAUUGAAGAUGGCAAUGACAAUAACCGCAUUCUAGUCAAAUCCAAAACCCGAAGCUUUUUCGUCCUUUUGAAUAAGUUCUCAGGAAUAUUAGGCACAGCAAAAGAGUUCUUGGGAGACAUGACUAGAAGUUCAAGUUGUAGAGAUUCGGACCCUUCAGGAAUGUCAUUAACAAUACUAUCUUUAAAAGAAAUUGCAAAAUAUUUUUUAAUUCAUCUGCAUUUGGCCAUUUCCAAUCAUCCUCAUUUCUCACCACAAAUGCAUUCAUGUCACGAAAUGCAAUUGAAAUGGCAACAUCGUGAACAACAUCGUGCAUAGAAAUGUAUUUACUGCCACCAUCCUCAAGCAACAAACAAGAGUCUCUUAGUUGACUGACCCAUGCAUCUAAUUUGUUAUGUGCAUCUUCUAGCUUAUGGACACUUUUAAAUACACCCAAGCCCAUGCUGUAUUUGAACAAAUCCAUAAUUGGUGCUGGCGUAAUAAGACUACACAGUAAAAAAGUUUUCUUGAGUUGCUCACCUCUUAAGUACUUGUAACUCAGCUCAAUUGUUGAGUAUGCCUCUGCUCGUACUCCUUCGUCGAAGCUUGCCUCUGAAGGCGUUUGGAGUUCUUGCAAGGCAUUCUUCCACACAGGCAGCUCUUUUUUUCUCAGUGCCUUUGCUACUGUGGUUAGGGCAAUAGGCAAACCUCCGCAUGCCUUGGCUACACUGGUUGCUGUAGAUUUUAACUAACGAUUUUCAACAUAAUCACCAGCCAUUAUCUUGAACAAUCUCCAGGCUUCUUGUUCAUUUAAAAUGCCAAUCGAGAAGUUUUUUUCAGAUCCCAUCCUUAACAGCACAUCAAGAUCUCUUGUUGUGAAUAAUAAUUUACAUCCUCUGUGCUCAACUCCAAAAGGAAUGCCAAUAGUCCCCAAAUCAAGAGGUUUCCAGAUGUUAUCGAGAAUCACAAGGAUCUUCUUCUCAUUCUUCAAUCUUUCAUAUAGUCUACUAGCUCUUCUAGACUCAGCUUCCUCGGACAACUCUAGGCCUAACGUUUCCGCAAUUUCCUCUUGGAUCUUUCUUAUGUCUGGACAUUGGGUAACCUCCGAAAAAACCACCAUAUCGUAAAGCUUGUCUUCAAUGGCUCGCCUUGCAAACUCCUUCACCAGUGUCGUCUUUCCAAUGCCGCCCAUGCCGUAGACCCCAAUGAUGCUGACAUCAACAUCGAUCAAUGCAUUUUGUAUGGCCUUCAAAGUAGAAAGUCUUGAAUCGAAGGCUUCGUAGCCUUUGUGAGACUUGAGCCAUAUAUCCUCCGGAAUGGUACGGUAGGAAAUUCCAUCAACAAAUCUCCCAGCUUCUUCUCGGAGUUUAACAAUGGCCUUCACCUUUGUUUCUGCUUUCUUGCUAAGCUGAUAGCGGGUCUUCAAAUUAGGACACAAGCCCAUGAGACAUCGUUUAUUUGUUGUCUUCUCAUCAUCAAUGAAUUUGGCUGCCUGCUCAAUGAUGAUGUUCGCACUAACCAGCCACUUCUCAACCUUCUCUUCAAUAUUUUCCCCUUUUCUUUCAGCCUCAGAAACCCUGUGCUGAAUGCUUCUCCUUUCAUCCUUGAGCUUGUCUAUUUCUGCCUUGAGUUUCUCAACGUUGGCUUUAUAGUUACGCAAAUAACCAAGUCGGCGUUCUGUUGGAGGAGCCAAGCAUUUCACAAAUUCUAAAACACUAGUAACAAUGCUUUCCACCAUCCUGGAUCCCUUUUCUUUUUUUCGAAGUUUCUGACAAGAAAAUAAACAAUGAGCGAAACACAGAGAGAGUGAGGAGAAAAAGAAAAAGAAACGCAAAGAUGGACAGUUUAUCUGGUUGUGGAAGCGGAGAAAUGAAAGAAAUCGUAAUAGCUGUUAUGGAUAUGCUGAGAAGAUGGAAACAAGGAAAAGGUUUCUAGUUCAACAACUGGAUUGCGAGCGGAGAGACUAAUUAACAAAGACUGGAGAUUACAACAAAGCAGAUGCCAAGAGAAAAGUUGAUCCAGUGAAAUUCAAGAGAGUUGACAGCAAAAGGGAGCAAAGAUUAAUAACAAAACAGCAGUGACUACAAUGAACAAAAGCAUAUGCGUUUCUUGAUUGAGAAUGAGUGCAAAGAAUGAUCCUUAAUCAAUAAAAUAUCUGACAAUAUCUUCACCGAAAGUUUGAGACAUGUGAUCCUUAUUCCACUGCGUCAAUUACACUCCAGACCAAUGCUGCCGUCAUUAUCGAACGGUCGAUAUCCAACACUUGCACGAAGAUUCCAAGAAGUUGCGUGGCUGCCGACUUUUAGAUGCAAAGCCUCAUUGUGUCGAUGUUACACAAAAGAGAGCAGUCCGGGUAAUUGCCAAAACUUAGAACUAAACAGUAGCUUAGUCAGAAAAUCAAACGCCAGUACCGGUAAAAUGACCGAUAAAAAUAUAAAGAAAUAAAAAUUUUAAAGUUUUACUUCAUUGCUUUUUUAAUCUUAUUACUAUUUCUCCUUGCACUUCUAAAGAAACCAAAGCUUUAAAAGAAAUCAGCCAAAUCAAGAAGAUUGAAAAGUAAAUCUAUGGUUUUAGAUUUUUAUUUUAUUUUUUUAGAUAAUAGAUAUUGUUGAGUAAUGAAAAGUACCAGCUCCGCUAUCCCCUCUUUCCUCACCCUGGGGCGAAUUUCCCCAUAUGAAUGGCACGAGCAGAUUCCUGGUAAUACAUCCUGUACAAGGCAUAUGCCGACUAGAAACGAAUACCGACCAGAUGUACAUACCGACCAAGUACUCAUUAUUCAAAGAAAGAGGACACGAUCUCACAAACUCACGACAAUUUUGUCAUGCCCCAAACUGUUGGGGAGAACAUGACGCCCCACGUUUACCCACGAUUCGGUGGUUGGAAACCCAUGAAGGUCCGUCAUCACCCGAAAAUGAGGGGCAUGAAUAAUACUCAGAAAACAUGGGAUGAUUGCCUAUAAAAGGCCAAGAAAUCGAUGAAAAAGGGGAGACAAAAAUUGAGAGUAAAGGGGAAACUCUGUCAAAUUAUAAUCAGAAAUUCAUAUAUCAAAAUCCUUGAUACAUUUGGUAUUGAGAAUAUUGCAACUAAUAUGUACAACACAAAUCAUUCACUUUUCUCGUAAACACCUUGUACUAAAUUAAGUAUUGAAGGGUUUAUGCCCGAAAAACCACUGGCGUCUCUGAUUUGUUUCUGUGAACGCAGGCCUGGAAGGAAGAAGACGGGUGAUUUGGGUCCCAGAAGCUCGGGAAAUUGCUGAAGCUGAUGGAUCGCAGCCUCCGUUCCUUUGUCGAUACAAGCGUUGGUGAACCAAUCUAGUCGGUCCAAAGGCGACCAGAUUUUAGCAUCAACAUAUAUUAUUUUGAUGAAUUUUUUAAUAUGAGAAUAAUGUUAGGAAUUCCAAUAGUAAAAUUCUAAUUGAGACCCAAUUGUUAUGUGUUAUUUUUUUAUUGAAUAAUGAAUUUCACAACUAAUAAAAUUUAUAUUUCCAUCAUCUAAUAAAUGACUACCAUAUCAGUUGGGACUCAAUUAUUAGGAUCCUUAACAUUGCUCUUAGUAUUAAAUUGGACAUCUUAGCUAAAUCAGAUUAAAAAUCAAAUUAGAUUUUAGGCUUUUAUUCAACAUCUCUUUUUUUUUUUUGGUCUAUUGGAAGUGAACGAAAUAAAAAUACAACAGGGUCAACGACUGGGCAAUUGGUAGUCAAGUAGAAGCAAAUCAAGGCUAAAUGGGAAAGAGAAACGAUGUUUGUGCAAAACAAGGAGAAAAUCCAUGUAACAGAAGAGAAUCAAAGUGCUUUUGAGAUCAAAAAUUGAAACAAGAAAAAGGUCGCUUGAUCCAAUGAAAAUGCAAAGAGUUGAUGGCAAAAGGGAACAAAGUUAAAUACGAAAACAGCUAGCGCUAGCAGCGACCACAAUAAACAGAAAAUUUGAGAUGGAUUUACAAUAUUUCUGCCUUUCUUUAUGCUUUAACAAAUAUUGCUCUAUCAAAAAAAAUAUUGAACAUUUUUAUUAUUGGAGUCACAAAAGACCUACACAAUAUAGCAAGUGACUAGGAAUAAAUAAGAAUAUAUAACUCUCUCUCUAAUUCUCACUCUGGCUUUUAAUUGUCACUCAAAACCCAGAAUUCAUCCUUAAAGUGUAGGCAAAUCAGAGAUGACAUCGUUUGGUUGUCAUACGUGCCUUUUAGUUUUCGGAUGACAUGGCGUACACUUCUUCUGUAAACCCAACACGACAUGUCGUACUCUUUUGUUUUGAGAUCCUAUUUCAAACUUUUCAUGCUAUGAAUGAAAGAUAAACUCCAAUCAUCAAAAUAUUUAGUGUUUGUUUGGUAAUGUAAUGUCAUUGUUGUUGUGAAUUGAAAUUAUUUCUGUAAAAUAAAAGGAUUUGGGUCAUUGUUUGUUAUUUUCUGACAAUAUUUAUUAAAUAUUAAAAAAUAAAUUUAUAUUUAUUAGUUAUUAAAAAUAAAUAAACAAACAAAAAUAAAAGGAAAAGUUUAUACAUUACGUAAAAUAAUGACAAUAUCAAUAUUUCGCACUCUAUAAUUGAGUGAUGUGUUGUCCAACUAGCAUACUUUGGUCCCAAACGGAGACUUAAAUAUCAAAGUCCAAAGUUAUUGUGAUGAUGACUUAUAAUCGCCAAACUUGACAUACGGGUAAUCAUGCAUUAUAAGGUGCUGAUUUCUUCCGAUCGGAACCUUAUUUUUCAUUUACAAAUAAAUAAAUGAUGUGACUUCACGGUUGGCGGGGUCCUUUGUGUCAUUUGGGCAUUUCACUAAAUGAUUGAUUGUAGCAGGAAGAUUCUUGGAAGUUGCCAUUUGCCAAUGCUACUAACAUUUUCAAACUUGGAAACCCCUUCAAUCAAUCUUAUAGUGUUAGGCUCUGGUAGCUUGGUUUGAUUAUGACAUAUGAUUAUUUGAUAAUAAAACUAGAGGAUGUAUUAAUAUAAAUCUUGUUUAUUGGUGUUGAAAUUAAUUAUCUCAUUGAUAAUAGUAUAAAAAGUUAAUUACUAAGAAACACAAAGCAGUAGUUAAUUGGUGUCAUAUUAUUGAGAUUCUAGGAUAUAAUUUUAUAUCAUAACUUUGUAAGUGUAUAAUUACUCAUUAAAUUAACAAAAUUAUUUAAAAAUAUUUAGUUGGAAAAAAUAAAUUAUAGCCUUUUUAUUUCAAAUAAUCUAUAAGUUAACUCAAAACAUAAUCAAGCUGAGAAUUAAAAUAAUGCUACUGUAUGAGAGGAUUUUUAUUUUUUCCCAAAGUUUCACUAGGAAAUUAUUGAUAUAUAGCUUUAUUCGGAUCAUCUCAGUUCAAACCACAAAUAAUUGAAAGACUAAACUAAAUAGACCAGCCAACAACCUUGUACAAGAGAGUUCAAAAAUUAAGGUCAUGGUAUUGAGGUGUUCUUUCUUGAAAAGUACAGCAUAGUAAUAAAAUAAAAACUAUUAGUCUUUGGUAAGAUAUAAUUUUUAAAUAAUAAUUUUCACAAAAAUACAAAAAUAUUUAUAAAGUACUUCUAUAGUGAGGAGACCCUCACUUUGUUAAAGUGAAAAUAUCAAUAAUAAACAAAAGAAAUAUAUUUUAGCACAUUAAAAACUGUAUUUUUUUUAUCUAUUGGCGUAUUAAAAUAUGUGUUAUUUAGUUUGUUAAUGAUAUCACCACUUUGUUAAAAUGAGGAUGUCCGUCUCUAGAGAAUCAUUAUAUAUAUAUAUAUAUAUAUAUAUAUAUGUAUGUAUAUAUAUAAAGUGUUUCUCUCCAAGGCCUAGACUUUAUUAAAAUUUAAGAAAGCAAAUAUAUUUUAUAUGGUAUAAUAGUGUAAUAACAUCACACUAUUAUAUCAUAUAGAGUAAUAGUUUUUCGAACUUUAAUAAAGCUUAAGAUUAUAGAAUGAAUGAUUUAUACACAUUAUAAUUGUUUUUAAUCAUAAAGUGGAGGAUAAAAUUAAUAUAUUUUUUAAAUUAUAAUAAAUAUUUAUCAAAUAAUUUAACAUUGUAGUAUCUCCUAAUUAGUAUAGUAAAUACGACCUAGGAGGUACAUUAAAGUAGUUGUUAAUAAUAAAUGAUAUAUGCAGCUCCAAUCAUCAUUGUACGAUGAGUAAUUAUAUAUGAAUCUUCACUUAUAGGUGAAAGCACUUUGUCAGACAUCAAAUCUCUGCAAAAGAUACCCGUCUUUAUUCGCUCAUUAUCCACACACACACAUAUUUAAUCUCACCUUUUUUUUUCCAAUCAAACCGAACAGAAAAAGAAAAAAAAUAAUUUUUCUUUUAAAAAAAAUGUAAAUUGAGGUUAUGUGAUUGUAAAGGCUGAUGUUACAAUACCUGCAUGUAUCAGAUACAUGCAGGUUUUAUGGCCGUUGGAUUCAUUGUAUUGAAUCCAACGGCCAUAAAUGAAUUUAAACAAUAAAUAAUUAAAAAAAUAAAAAAAACUUGAAACCUAUAGAAUCGGUCUCAACACACACCAAACCCCCUCAACACACAUCAAACCCAGGCAAAUAUAUUUGUUGGGAAAAAAAACAAACAAAAGGCUCUCACCUCACGCGGGAAAUCAAUUUGUUCUUCCCUCCAUCCUCACUCACGGCUCACGACUCCUGAUAACUCUAUGAAAUGAGAGUUAUCAUAGCACUUUUAGACUUAAAUUAAUAUUACUUAGAGAGUAAAUGAUGUGAUUCUAUUGCAUUUUUGUUACAUUUUGCAUAAAUAUUCAUUUGAGUUUAGUCUUAAUGAGUUUUGCUUGAUUUAAAGUAAUUUGUGCUCAAAUUGUGUACAUAAUUGUAGGUUUCCAGAAGCUUAUAAUUCAUGGAAGGAAUGCUAUGCAAUAGGCUUGCAAAAUAAAAUCCACUGGAAAAAUAAAUUUAUCCACCUUCACCAACACAUCUUCAAUCUUCCCUUCUGGAUAUGCAUGAGAUCUGUCAGCAAGUUGUAAAGUCACUGUUGUUGGUCUACAUUCACCAACUCCCAAUUGCUUAAACACUGAUAAAGGCAUGAGAUUGAUGCUAGCCCCUAAAUCACAAAGUGCUUUGCCACUGUAUUCAGUGCCUAUGGAGCAUGGAAUUGUGAAGCUUCCUAGAUCCUUCAUCUUCUGUGGUAUCUUACUCUGAAGCAUUCGGCUGCACUCUUGUGUUAAAGCAACUGUCUCAAAUUCUCCAAGUCUUCUUUUCUUUGACAAGAUAUCCUUAAAAAUUUUUGCAUAAUUUGGCAUUUGCUCUAGAGCUUCCACAAAAGGGAUAUUGAUAUGUAGCUGUUUCAGCACCCCCAAAAUUUUGCUGAACUGCUUGUCUUAUUGUUGCUUCUGAAAUCUUUGAGGGAAUGGUGGUGGGUGUCUAAACUGCUGUGCUGCAGCAGGUUGUACAGACUGCUUCUCUUUUGCUCUACUCAGGUCUGUUACUAUUGGUGUUGUAGCUUCCUUACCACCAGAUGCUGGAUCAUAACUUUCUGUAAAUGUUGUAGCAGAGCUGUGUUGAUUUGCAUUCCGAAAAGUGGAAGACUGUGACUCAUUCUCUACUUGAGUGUCUUCUUGGCCUUUGUUGGACUCAAUUUUUCUUUUUGGUACACCAACGGGACUAUGAACAUCUUUUCCAGAUCUCAAGUUAAUUACUUUGCAGUGCUCUUUCCCUUCUCUUCUUGGGUCCUCUGUAUUAAUGGGUAAACUACCGUGAGGUCUGUUGCUUACUGCUGUAGCAAGCUGUCCAAUUUGAUUUUCCAAGUUUUUCAAAGAUGCAGCAUGACUUUGGACAACCACUUCAUUUUUCACAAUAUAAUCCUUAAUCAAACCUUCAAGGGAGCUAAGUUGAUCAUUGUUGAUACUUCUUUGCUCUUGAUUUUACUGAUAAAAUCCAGGUGGUUGAGCAAGUCUGUUAUGUCCACUGGGUGCUGCAGUAGUCUGGUUCUGAUAACUCCAUGAAAAGUUCGGGUGCUGUCUCCAUCCAGGGUUGUAAGUGUUUGAAUAUGGAUUGUCCUGGUUCUGUCUAUUAAAGCUGCCCAUAUAGUUAACCAAAGCUGGAUUACCAGGACAAUUGUCAAAUAAAUGCCCUUCUCCACAAUAAACGCAAGACAUAUCAGAAAUUUGGUUAACAGUUGCUGGAGCAGUAGUCAUAGCCUUUACCAUCCUUGUUAAUGAAGUUACUUGGGCUGACAAUGUUCUCAAGGCAUCUACGUUAUGAACUCCUGCAGUUCCUCUUGCUGCAGCUUGUUUGGUUGAUGGCCACUGAUAAUUGUUGUUAGCAAUCCUCUCUAAAAUUUCAUAAGCCUCAUUGUAAGACUUAGAUAACAAAGCCCCAUUUGCUGAAGCGUCCACCAUCAAUCUAGUGCUUGGGUUGAGACCAUUAUAGAAAGUUUCCAACUGUAUGCAUCAAGGAAUACCAUGAUGAGGACAUCUCCUAAGUAACUCCUUAAAUCUUUCCCAUGCAUCACCAAGCUCUCAUCUUCAAGUUGAUGGAAAGAUGUGAUCUCGUUCCUCAACUUUGCAUUCUUGGUUGGCGGGAAGUAUUUCAACAAAAAUUUGUCAGCCAAGUCACUUCAUGUAGUGAUAGAAUCUGGUGGUAGAGAAUUCAACCAUGCUCUUGCUCGAUCUCUCAAAGAAAACGGGAAAAGUCCGAGUCUCAAUGCUUCCUGCGAUGCUCCAGCAAUCUUGAAAGCAUCACUUACUUCCAAAAAUAACUUAAGGUGUAAAUGAGGAUCUUCGGAUGGCAAACCAUUAAAUUGCCCCACUGUUUAAAGCAUCUGAAACAUCACGAGUUUGAGUUCAAAAUUGUCAGCUUGAACGUCGGGUCUAACUAUUCCUGGAUGUAUGGCUUGAGGAGUCAACACUGCGUAAUCUCAAAUGGCUCUAUCUCUAUCGUUCACCAUGUGAAUAAUGUCGUUGUUCCCUGGUGGAUAAAUUUAUUUUUCCAGUGGAUUUUAUUAUGCUAGACUUUGAGGCAGACAAAGAAGUGCCAAUCAUUCUAGGGAGACCUUUCUUAGCUACGGGAAAGACUUUAAUUGAUGUUCAAAAAGGAGAAUUAACCAUGAGGGUGAAUAACCAGCAAGUUACAUUCAAUGUGCUGGAUGCCAUGAAGAGUCCCGAUGAGAUUGAAGAUUUUAAUUUUAUCAGUGCUGUGGACUUUGUUGUAACUGAGAGAUUACACAGUUGCUGCUGUAAGGAAGAAAUCAAUGCUGUAACAAUUGAAGGACUUGAUGAUGAAGAUCAUGGAGCAGCUAACAUAGCAUGGUUAAGGAAGAAGCAACCAUUCAGAAUUGACGAGCAAAUCCAGCAAAGGGAACUCACUCCAGAACAACAAGAAUUCAAGGUUAAUGGGCCAAGAGUAAAGCACUAUAUGGGAGAUGGUGUGAAUAGCCUAAAGAGGGAUCGGUUCUUGAAAGAUCUAGGUUGAGGAAACAAGAAAGGUCAGGCUGAAGGACCUAAAAUCAAGCGCUAAUUGGGAGGCAACCCAAUAAGGGAAGUUGUUUCAAGUUUUUAUGGCAUUGAAUUUAGCUUUUAAAUUAUUUAAUUUGUCUUUUUGUUAUUUUAAGUGUGCAUCUAAUUUUUUAUGUCUUUAUGUUACAUUGUAGCAAGUACAAAAAAAAAUGUGGGCAAAAAGAGCAGGAGGGAAUUGCUGCAGCAUCACUUACAGCAUGACAUAUAACAGAAGAUUCUCAAACAAUAGAGACAUUUCUUGCUUUUGCAGCAGCAAAUGGAUUGAUCAUAUUUUAUGAUAAGGAGCGUUUGAGAAGUGGAUCAAAGAAGAAGUGACCCUUUACAGCCUGUGCUACAGCAGUGCUUCCAGCAACAGGGCAGUGCCCCUAACCGCUAGUUUAUUUUACUUCUUGCUGUAAAACUUUUCUUUCAUUUAGUUUUAAUUUUCUAAUUCAUUUUGCAUGUCAUUUUAUUUAGUGUAUGCAUGUCUGGUUUAUGUGGUUUUGUUUUGUGUGCUUGUGAGGACACAGCACCACUCAAGUUUGGGGGGGUUGUGUUUAUGAGUGCAUGUGUUUAUGCUUGUGUUGUGUGAAGCUCUGUUAUCUAAUAUUUGUGUAUGGAUUUGAAAACCUAAUGAAGAUAAAUUGAGUGUUAUUCAGUAUUUAUGAGAAAGCCAAGUAGAGAUAGUUAUAGAUGGAGGUUGAACUUCAGUCCCGACACUUAGACUUUGGUUGAGUUUUAUGAGAAUGUUGUAGCAGAGCCAUGAAAACCAAAAAAAGAGUAGAAAAUAUCUCAAGUUUGGGGAAAACUUUUUGUUGGACUGUGCUUGUUAUGAAAUAAAUUCUGCUCCAAUGGUUUAAGUUGCUGAGUAACCAGGGUUGAGUAUGCACCCCAUAUGCAAACUUGAGUCCAAAGGCAACACGAGCUACGAGCAGUGCUGCAGCAAUUAUAAAAAAAAGAGAAAUGAUGAUAAAGUGGUCCGCUACCUAGAAUACUGAGUAACCUGGUCUGUUCAUGAGCCCCAUGUUCAGCCUUGAGUCAAAGGCGUCCAAAGGUAUGACCUAGAUAUAACAUCCUGAAUGCGUUGCUGUAGCAACUCUGACAUGUACUUUGAAUGAGUAAUUGGGUGUCGUCAUUACAAGUGAUAGGCAUUCACAUGAAAGCUCAAUGUUGCAUUGAAGGGUUUAACUGAAAAAAAAAUUAUUAUUGUUGUAGCACAGUUUGAAUAUAAUUGUGAGUUCUGAUCCCCCAUAUGUGAAUAUAUUUGUGUUCUACCUCUGAAUUGUAUACAAAGUUUGUGCAAUGCUGUAGCACCUCUGGAAUUUGAUCAAAGUGGAACAUACACACUUUGGACAGAAUGAACCCUAAGUCUAGAACUGAACUACUAUGGCUAUUUUGUAUGAUUAAGAGUGUGAUCUGAGGGUGGAAGAAUCCUUGCAAAUUUGAUGACAGAGCUAAGUUAUUUGUUGCAUGAUUGUGUGAUUGAAGUGUGAAUGUUGUUGUCAUUACUUGAGGACAAGUAAUGGUUUAAGUUUGGGGGUGUAAUAACUCUAUGAAAUGAGAGUUAUCAUAGCACUUUUAGACUUAAAUUAAUAUUACUUAGAGAGUAAAUGAUGUGAUUCUAUUGCAUUUUUGUUACAUUUUGCAUAAAUAUUCAUUUUAGUUUAGUCUUAAUGAGUUUUGCUUGAUUUAAAGUAAUUUGUGCUCAAAUUGUGUGCAUAAUUGUAGGUUUCCAGAAGCUUAUAAUUCAUGGAAGGAAUGUUAUGCAAUAAGCUUACAAAAAUGAGGAAGAACAUGGCUAUAAAAGAAUUGAAACAAAUCUGGAACAGUUCAGUUGCUGUAGCCAUUGCUGUAGAAAUCUUGGAACAACGACAGAAAAAAUUCCGUGCGGGAUACUUGCAGAAUUGCGAUCUGCAGUUUCCUAAUCUGACUUAUGCGCGACAAAGGCUUCCGUUUACCCUAAUUUUCAACUAUAAAAGAAGCACACAUCAUAAGGAAAAGGGAGAGCCGUCACCCAAGGAGAAAAACACAAAGAAACAUAAGAAAUACAAGAUUCAAGAGAGAGAUUAAGGGCUGCACAAGAGGAGAAUUUGCAGAAAUCAAUUGGGAGCUCAAUCCUUCUUAUUCUUCUCUUGUUUUCUCGUUUUCUAUUUAUUUAUGGGGAUGUGUUUCAUGGCUGAAACUUUGUUCUUUAUUUUUCUUUUGCAAACCACGAACUAAAUUUAUUUGUGGUUGAGUGAUAAACAAUCUUGAUGGUUUAUUGACUGAAUUUAUGUGUUGCUACAUGUUUGCUGUAGCAGUUUGUUUUGAUAGUAUAUAUUUUUAUUCAUUAUUUUGGUUGAUCACCCAUUUAAUGAUACAAGUUAGGAGAGAGCCGUAAAAGGGCCUAUCUUAGUGGAGCAUAUCAUAACAAUACUUGAUCUUAAAUUGAGUUUCCCGGAUUGAGUUUUACUUGAGUCCCAAAAAGGCCAUGCUUGAUUUAAGAUUAGUGAUGAACUAGACAUAAGGAUUCACCUUGUAGGGUAAAUAGAACCUAAGCAUGUAAUGCUAUAUCUUAUGUUGGCAUAGCAACUGAUCACUGUUAGGUUGCAUAUAGAUAUAAGAUAUCCAACAUGCGACGGUUGAGGAUAUAUAAGGAUUCUGCCCAGUGCUGUAGCAAAUACUAUAGCAACCGAGCCAACCAUUAGAAAAUAGUCAAGACCAUUAGGAGAGUUUAUUCACUCAACUACUAUAUACUCCCAUUAGUUUUAUCCUUGAGCUUGACGUAAUAGUUUACUUUAUUGCAUUUAUUUAUUGCGUUUUUAUUUUAAUUAGUACAUUAGUUUCAUUAAUUGUUUAUUUUAUUUUAGCACAAAAUCUGCACUGUUAAGAUUGUUGUAGCAAAUCUAAUAACAUCAAUCCCUGUGGAGACGAUCUUGAAUACUCAUCACUUUAUUACUUGUUGUGUACACUUGCACAUUGACACCAAUAGCAUUAGUAUUUAUACACCAACAACUCCUUCUCCCUCUCCCUCUUCACUCACCCUCACGGCUCCCUCUCUCUCUCCCUCUCCCUCUUCACUCACCCUCACGGCUCCCUCUCUCUCUCCCUCUCCCUCUUCACUCAUCCUCACGGCUCCCUCUCCCUCUCCCUCUCCCUCUCCCUCAUCAUUCACUCUCUCGCCUGCAGUCCCUCACGAGACGCCUCAUCAGGGCCACCAACGACGGCGCUAUCCGGCGAAGACACGCGGAGGUUGAUCUCUAUUGCCGGCAAGGAUUUGCAGUUACAGAUUCACAACCCACUCAGUUCCCGUCAGCCCAUUCUGAGUCGUUGUCAGGCCAUAUCUGCAGUCCACCUACGGUAAUGAGACAUGGGUAUCAUGGGUUUUGUUUGGUAUCAUUAUAUUUGUUGAUUGAGUGUUUUAUUUGAUGUGGUAAGAAGAAUCAUUCGCCUCUCAUAUUUAAAAAUUACAGGUUUUAUCAUGUAAGUUUAUUAGUGCGUAUUGUUGGGUAAUGUAAUAAUUUACAUGGAUUUAGAAUUCGCGGAGAGAGUUUGAUGACAUUAUCUGUGUGUAUUGACAGGGGACAUAAUUUUUAGUGUACACAGUAUAAUGGGUAAGCGUAAGGCCAAUGUCGCAGAUGACAUUAAUAUUCAGUCUGAAGCUGGAUCCUCCGAGGCCGGGCAAGCAUUCGUACAUAUACUACUUGUAAGAAACUAAUUCAUUGUUGAAUUUUAUUAUUGACAUUCUGUAGUCAUUUCAGUUUAAUAGUGCAAUAAUUUUAAUUGACAUAUAAAGAACUGAUAUUUCAUAUUAUUUUUCUAUCUACAGCAAGAUAGAAUCCCAAAAGUUAAAGGAGGAAUGUGUGAAGGUGGAUGAAACGGUUUGUAGACAACUUUUCUAUGUUGCAACCUACUAACUAAUAGUUUGGUUAAUGAUUGGCCAAUGAAUAUAUAUAUUUUUUUAGUGUAGGUUAAGGGGCGUAUACGUGACAAAUGGUUGAAACUCAGCGCGAAAGAUAAAGUCGAAUUCAUCAACAGUUAUAAUGAAAAGGCUGAAAUGAACUCGAGAUUGGCCAGUGGAUUGUUAAGUGAACCGAUUCCAACAGUGGAGAACAAUUCUGAUAAGGGUAAUCACCUAUCUCGAUGUAGUGUUUUACGGUUCUCCAACAUUGUUUCUUCGUUAUCUAUUGAACAGCAAGAUGCCGUGAGAGAAAUUGGUUUCGGAAGCUUGUUAGGUUUAAAAUGUGGGCGACUUAGGCAAGAUUUAUGUAGAUUGUUAGUUAAGCAAUGUAACGUAGAUAAGCGGUCGAUAACAGUCCAUGGAAUGGAAUACAAGCUUACUCCGAAAACUUUUACAAGCGUGAUGGGUGUUGGUGACGGAGGAACACCGAUUGUGCUUGGUGGUGAAGAUAGUGAAAUUACUGACUUACGAGCCAAGUAUUGCUCAGGAAAGAAAGGCAUCCCAAUAGGUAGUUUAGAUGAAAAAUUAAAGACAAAUAGUUGUGCAGAUGAAGAUUUCUGUAUUCUAUUUAGUCUAUUUGUGAUUGAAACUAUUUUGUGUCCAACUACAGCUACAUACAUCAACCCAUCAUACCUUUAUGCUUUAAAAGACGUGAAUAACAUUCGCGAUAAAAAUUGGGCCAACUGGUCUUUCAAUUUUUUAUGGGAAGAAGUUUCAAAGUUCAACGAAAAUAAAAUUUCCUCGAUGAGCGGAUGCGUUAUAUUUUUAAUGGUAUGAUUUAUUUAGUAAUUUGUAUUCUCGUUAGUUAAACGAUUAUGGUAUUAUCGAUCAUUAUUUCCGUAUUAACUAAUUUGUUGUUGUUUGCAACUGUUCUACAUGUCAUCAACUAAGUUUCAACUUUCUUCUGUUGCGGAGAAUGGAUGUCCUCUUAGUGCAUGGAUUGAUAGUGAAAUAAAAAGAUUCCUCAAGUGGUGACAAAAGUAUGGUGACUUUGAGAGCAAUGCGGUUUGUUCCCUUCCAUAAUUGUAUAGUGUUUUGUAGUUAUGUUAUUAAAUUGAAUAGAUUAUUUAUGGAUAUUUGUAGUUAAUGCAGGUUUCGAUGCGAGAAAUCAGUUGCAGCUCAUCAGGUGCUCAAAGUGAAGAACAAAUUGACGAUGUUGACACUGCAAGGCAGCAUCCAUUUCAUGCUAUAUUAGCAGUAAUGGAUAGAAUGGAGGAACAUAUGAGAAGAAAUAAUGAUUUACUAUAAAGAAUGGGCUUGAAAAUGGAUUCUCUUACUGAAAAGGUUGAAAAGUUGGAACGAGCAUAUUUUCGUCAAGAAGGAGCGAAUGUCGCUGAUGAUAGUCAAUCACCUCCUACAUGUACUGGUGCCGAGGCAACUGAUGGUCCAAUCUUUUCCUCUCCGAAUAUGAAGAUGCACCCACCUAUCCCAGAGUUGUCACGCUUUUAGAUCUAGUACAGGAAAAGCGUACGCCCAUCGAAGUUAAAGAACGAAAAGCUGUGUACCUCAGCACAUCCACUGAUGAAGAGGCUAUCCUAAAAGAAAAGUUGGCAGAAGUAUUGCAAGACGCGAUGAAGCCUAAAUUGGUGCCGGAACUUCAAGAUGAGGUAUACAUAGAGUAAUAAUUUGUUAACUUUUGUCUAAACUAUAUAUGAUUUAGUCUAAUCGAAACAAGAGAAGAAAUGUCAACAGCCGUAAGAUUUUAAUCCGCUGUCUUUAGGCCCUCCUCGGCCAUACAGAAAUCGAAAGCCGGGGCGGUACCAGUUGUCCCCGUAUGAUCAAGUCUCACGCGGUCCAAAGCCAAAAUAUCGAGCGGGCCCUUUUUUAGUGAAUGAGCCGGUGACCCUCGAUCAAUUGAAAAUGCUCUAGUAUGGAUUUGACAAAAGCACUAGCCUAGAGUAACAAUACCUUCAUGGCCACUCAUCAAGCUCUUUUCGUUUAAUAUGUUGUCAUAGUUGUUUGAUUUUGUUAAUAUAUCAUGUGAUUAACAUACAGUGAAAUAAUUGUGCGAUCAAGUCAUGAGGAUAUCACUCGGCGAGGCUUGUUAUCACUUUUGCCCGAUGCAUCACUUGACGAGGAGGUUUAUUCGUAAUUUGACUUUAAUGAUAAAAUUGUAGUUAAUAAAACCAAUUAUAAUUGUUCUUGUGUUUAGAUUAUUUGCAUGAUGAGUGAUUACCUUACACGACGUGAGUCGUGCAAAAGCCACGGGCAACCAAUCAGUUGGUUCCUACCAACAAGAUAUGCAGUUACUGAUCCGUUCCUGUUUUUUUUUUUUUCAUAUCCUUUUUUUCAUCAUUAACUAUGGUAAUUUCAGUUGUGUUCUAUAUGAAUUUGAUGUGAUGAAUAUGUAGCAAUUUGCUACAAUGCCAAAUGCACAUUUAGAUGGUUUCAAGGCUGCCUCCCAAUACCGCAAACGUUACAUGUAUGACCUGCACCGGUGCCAUCAGGUAGCGUGUGUGUUUGUUGAAAUGAUUUUUCGUUAUGAUCGAUAUUAUGUAUGGUAAAAGUGACCCUAAGUUGUUCUUGAAUAGAUCAUUGUUCCCAUGCAUGAUGGUGGCCACCAUUGGUUUAUGCUGUUGGUUAAAAUUAAAGACAAACAAGCAGAGAUCUGGGAUCCACUAUCGGAUGCACAACGGACACGAGAUCGAGAAAUCCAAGUGAAUAGUAUUGUAAGUCCAACUAAUUUUUUUAUAAAAACGAUGAGUUUAGUUUUCUAGGUAUUGUGUUAUUAAUACAUGUGAUGUAUUUUUGCACUUGAAAAUAGUUACACUCGUUGGAUGCUAUACUUCAUGGCGUUGUGGAUGCUACAUAUUCAGUAUCUUGGAGUUUCUUGUCAUUUGUAGUGACCCAUGGGGAAGGAGUUCCACGGCAACCUAACGGUUUUGAUUGUGGAGUUUACGUCAUCAAAUUUAUGGAUACUCCUGGAAUCAUCACCAACAAAUCGUAUGUGGUACGCUCCCUUAUUCGCCUUAUGUGGUUUUUUGGUUGAUUUUACUACUGUUGUUGGGCCACUGACAUGAUGAAAGUGCAUGAUUAUUUCUGCAGCAUGACUCACAGAAUGUUCGGGCGUAACUUGCGUUACAACUUAUAGACUCUCCGUUCAACAAACAACGCGAUCAAUUAUUGACGUUGGCUAAUGCACACUACAGUAACGCUGCAACGUACAUAAAUGAAUCGAAUCGAAGCUUGCAUCAACAGUGAAGCCUCGUAAUGUGUCCACCAAAAAAGGUCAUAAGAAUAGUUCCACAAAACGUCAUUUCAGGCGGAAGGUCUAAGAUUGUUGUGAAUAUAGAUUAUGAUAAUUUUUUGCUGACUUCAUUCACAACCCUAAACUUUUGCUAAAUUUACCUUGUAACUGGCGUUGACGUACGAGUCAUGUAAAUUGUUUUGGUGAUCCAAAGACGUAGAGGGAUUAAUGGGGCAAUUAUGAUUUUUUCCUUCGGCAACCGGUUGUCUUAAUUAAUAUAUGUUGAAAGGAAGAUAAUUGUUGUAAAUGUUGCUAUUAUCACUAAGUAUGCAAAAUAUAUUAUUACAUUGCCAUUGUUCACUUCUUACAUGAUAAUAUAACUCAAUGAUUUCCAAAAAGUUCAUUCUACCCCUCAGUUCAGAUCCAAAAAUUGUAUCAUUAGCGAUCAUCCUCCAUCCUCCAAGUAUGUGUACCGUCCUCAACUAAGCAUAAUGUUACUGCUGUCGUAAUGGUCGUCAAUUCCUUCUGAGAUGUUAAGCCUCCAAGGACAAGUUGUCUCGAACGUAAAUGUUGGGGAACUUGGCGAGCUUGAUUCCAUUGAAACAGGCGGUGUUAACACAUUAUAAGAACAAUGCCUUGGAUGAUCGUCAGUCGAAACACAACCAAUACCGCUAACGCUGCAAUGAAGGUCAUUGGGCUGUAUGUCCUUUGGCAGAUAUAGCGGGCAAGUCCGUUUAGUAUGGCCAGGCUGAAAACACUGACUGCAUUUGCGAUUUUUAGCCCCAUCGUGUUUAACGGUUUUAGAGCAACCUUUACUAUUAACCGUAACCGGGUCUUUCAACUUCAUACCUGCUUGAAGUACACAAUUCCUGGCUCGUUUAGCUGAUUCAUCAUCCGCAACCAUCUGUUCAACGCGAAGCGUCAGCCGUUGAAUCUCAUCUAUCGCUAUCAUAUAACUUUGUUCAUUCUUUGCGGCAAAAAGACAAAGAUUAGUACAUGCCGCUGAAAGUGAGGCAAACUUUGCUGUUUCUAACACUCCUUUAUCGAGGUGUGACGCUGCAGCGGUUAUUUUCAUCACUUUACUCACCUUCGCUGAUUUGGUCCAGCGACCAAGAAUCAAUAGUGGUGGUAUGCGAACUAGUUGCUCGAACUUCAUGACGUGAAAUAUAUCCCUACAUGGAAUACCUGCUGAUUCCAUCAUCUUACAUGAACAAGUAAUUGCAACUUCUUUACUAUAAAAUACCACUGUCCAUUUUUGUUCUGGAUGCUGAAAUUUCAUUAAAGUAUAGAUAUUGGAAUUAGCUGUCUUGGCACACUCAAGCAUAAUUAGCGUGGCUUCUCCGAGGAUCUCCAUCCGAACCCACUUCAAUACAUUCCUUGUAUAUAUUUCGGACGCAUGUUUUUCAAUGCUUAGCAGAUGUGUUGUAAGAACUGGGGCUGUGUGGUUUGUCUCAUACUCAUCUUGGACUUCUUUGUGCCGUAUGCAAUACAUUGCACGAUGAAUUUGUCUAAUGAAAUCAUACAGUUUUAACUUCUUCUCAACAAAGCGACGCAAGUAAGAAUUCAAGCUCUCACACCUUUAUGUGGUUCGCAUUCCGGCGAAAAAGGUUCCUUUCAAAUAAGCCACUGCCCAUUUUCUACGCUUUGCAUACAUUUUUUCCACCCAAGAAUUUUGUUCCAGUCCCAGAUCAUAGAGAACCAAUCUCGAUCAAACUCCUCCAUGGUCAUUGGAUUCAACAUUAACUGCCGAAACUUCGACGUGAACUUAUUUCUCUUCACAUUUGCUUGUGCAUUCCGCUCAAGAUGCCAGCAGCAGAGUCGAUGUACACAUCCAGGCAUAACAGUUUUAAUCGCUUUCGACAUAGCUUUAUCACCAUCUGUUAUGACACUUAUGGGUUUUUUUUGUUUCAUUGCCGAUAAGAAAGUCUGUAGCAGCCACACAUAUGAUUCAACAGUUUCGUCAAUCAGUAUCGUAAAUCCAAAAACAGUAGUUCUUUUAUGAUGAUUUACACCAACAAAUGCGACCAAAGGUUUGUUGUAUGCAUUUUUCUUGUACGUUGCAUCAAAACCUAAAACAUCUCCAAAUUGUUCAUAGUCGUACCGAGCAACAGUGUCGGUCCAGAACAAGUUUCGCAGUCGAUUUUCCUCAUCAAGAGUAUACUCGAAGUACACUCCAGCAUCAUAAUCAACCCUUGCAGAUAAGUACGCAAUGGUAGCCUUUGUGUCGGUGUCAAUAAUUUGUGCAUGGUGAUCUGCGUCUAUUCUAUUCCGCAUGUCCUUACCCAUAUACCCAACAUGAUGGAACCCUCCUGCUUGAUCAGACUUGUAGUUCAUGAGCUGGCACACUUUCACCCCAACUUGUCGCAAUGCCUUUGCGUGAGCCAAAUCAGCUUCGUUGACAAGUCUAUGCAAACGAAGAAAUUGUGUCUCGUGCGGUUCAACCAAGCGAUGAGUGUGCUCAAAAACGAAUUUAGUUACCACGUACUUCCCUUUAAACUUAUCAUAGUUCACGCGAAGUUCCGCCUUGCACCCGUUACGAGUAAUGCCCCUCGGUUCCCUGAUUCUGUCUGUUUUCUCCAUCCAUUUUUUUAGCUUGUAUCCCUGUCCUGAGCAAACCCAUCGCCGACUUGCUACUUCACCACUUUUGCCGUCACAACGAAGUUCAUCUUUUCUCACAGAGAAUCCAACCGACUUAGCAUACUUUUUAUACCAUAUGUGGGCAUCAUUGACAUUUUCAAAACAGGAUCCGACACCCACUUCAAUGAGUUCACUUUUUUUAGGCAAACUGUAGGUCGUAUGACUAGAUGAUCUUGUAGCAGAUUUGUCCCCAAAAUAAUCACUGAUUUCGCUAGUUUGUGGCGGUAAUGACGUACCUGCACUUGCACAAAUUUCCAUCCCAUUAUCAUAUGACGGGUUGUCGGGGGGUCCACUUAUUUUCUGUUCUGAUGGCUGGUUAUCAUUGAGGUCUAACACCCAUGCAGAAAUGCUUCCCACGUCUAAAGAUGUUGUCAUGCUCUCUGGUUAUCUUCUCUCAAGAUUCUAGCAUUUGAAGACCAUCAAAAGGACCUAGUUGAAGACUUAAAAGAGUACUGCGUGGGUUAUGUUUGUUGGCAUUCAAUGUCUUCAUUAAAUGAUGGGGUUUGGUUGGUGCUUGGGUUGGUGGAUACAACAUUUAAACGCCUAGCCUAUUACCUAUAAAAGGUUAGCCGGUUUCGCAUUUGUGCUCUCUGGACAUUAAACGGCAAGCCUUUUAAACUCAUGCGGCUAGCCUUUUUCGAAUUGAUGCUAACUGGAGGGGAAACGACUGGCCUCUAAAAUUUAAGAGGCUAGCCUUUUUCGCGUUGGGGCUCAUUGGAGGGGAAACAGCUAGCCUCGAAAAUUUAAGAGGCUAGCCUUUUUCGCGUUGGGGCUCACUGGAGGGGAAACAGCUAGCCUCAAAAAUUUAAGAGGCUAGCCUUUUUCGCGUUGGGGCUCACUGGAGAGGAAACGGCUAGCCUCGAAAAUUUAAUAGGCUAGCCUUUUUCGCAUUUGUGUAUGGGAUGCUCACCAUUAGCGAAAACGGCUAACCUUUAAAAUUUAGAGGCUAGCCGUUUUCGCUUUUGGUGCUCUCUGGACAUUAAACGGCUAGCCUCUAAAAAUAAAAGGCUAGCCGUUUUUUCUUACUAGAGUUUCUGGAACAUGAACGGUCACCCUAUUAAUUUGUAAAAGGUUAGCCGGGUUCAAAGGAAUCAAACUGUUUCGUCUUCACAAAACUGGUCAGCCGCUUCUAUCUCUAAAAGUCGAAUCCUCUCUCCUACGUUCUCAGCCGAAAGAUCCACCGUUUAUAAUCAGUUCAUAGCCCAAAUUCAACCUUAGAAAUCAUUUCCCACCAUUUGCUCUUGCUAAAUUUAACCCUCGAAACCGAAAAACCCUAAGUUGUAAACCCCUUUGACUUCGGUAAAUGUUUGCCGAAAUUGAACUCACAUAUCCCUUUUAAGCAUCAUUAUCUUCCAUUUAAUCGGUUUAUUCCUCUUCAAAUCGCUGAAAAAUCAUAAUGUCAACUUCAAGGCCACGUAGAGCGAAAGACAACGGGAAAGAUGCGAUUCCACCACCCAAACGGAAACGGAAGGACGGCGGCCCUGUAGAACAACCUGAUUUUGAAUCAAGACACUUCCCGGACAAGCGUUUGGCCACCCGUUUUUGCCAAAGAUUCAUGACCCGUAAGGUACUUGAUACAUUCUAUAUUGUGUCUGAUUGGCUUCGUAGCCUUAGUAUCAGUAAUGGAAAUUUGUUGCAAUUGUUGGAGGAAGUUGGUUGGAUUAAUGCCCUUACGAUUAAUGAGAAUGUGUAUCCUGACUUGGUGAAAGUAUUUUACUCGAAUAUGGAUACUUCCACGGAGAAAGAGAAUCGAGUAAUCACCAACGUUAGAGGAGUUUUGAUUGAAUUUGAUGAUACUAAUUUGAAUUCUAUCCUAGGAACCUCCGAAGAUGGGUUAGAAAUAUAUUCUGCUAGGAAAGUUCCUACGAUUGAUAACUUUGUUCAUGUUGAUGCCGUUAGAAACAUUUGUAGGCGCAUUGAUCUUUCUGAUGAGGUCUGUACAAUCGAUUUUCGUGCUCAAUGUCUAUGCCUUCAAUCGCGUAUUUUACAUCGUAUAAUUCAGAAUAUUGUCCUUCCUAGGUCGAGCCACUUAGAUGAUGUUACCCACAUGGAUGUUGCUUUGAUUGAUUCUAUCCUCAGGCAUCGUCCGGUUAGCCUCGGAUACACUAUUAUACGCACCAUGCUUUCCAUACCUAACUUGAUCAGUCGUGCUCUUCCAUACGGAAAUUUCAUCACGCAGAUCCUUAAAUACUUUAGGGUGCCCAUAAACGAACCGUCUUGUAAACCCUGUAGGAGUAUAGGAGAUGAGGCCGUGUAUGCCUUAGGAUUUUUGUGGCGUAAUGGAGCAUGGGUGAAGUAUACUGAAGCUAAGUACACAAUGCUUGCUCCGAAUGAUGAUCGUCCUUUGAAUUUUGUAGUUCCUGCUAAUCAGCUGCCUAAUUUUUCACUUCCUUUCUAGGGUCAACGUAGACGUGAGGACCCUCCUACAUGUGAACCUGAUCAUGAUGCUUCUGCAUCUGCUGUACCACCUGUAGAGCCACAUGACUCCAGCGAAGUUACUCUUCAAUAACUUAUGGACGAGGUGAGGACACUUUAUGUACAGCAGACCAGCUUUCAGCAGCACGUUUUGGAGGAGCACCGGCAUCUGUCACAGCAGCAUCAGUAGUUCCUUCACGGACAACGCCUCAUGUUCGAGCACUUUGGCAUUCCUUAUCCGUUUCCACCUCCACCACCACCAUCCCCACCGCCUCAGUAGUUUCCAUUUCUUUAUUCCAUUAUGUAUGUUUGGAUGUUAGUUUUAUGUUCAGAUGAUUGUUUUAUAUGUUCAGAUGGUUGUUUUAUAUGUUCGGAAGUUUGUUUGACAAGUUCGUUUAUAUGUUCGGAAAUUUGUUUUAUAUGUUUGGAUGGUUGUUUUACGUGUUCGGAUAUGGAUUUAAAGAGUUCGGAAGUUUGUUUAACAUGUUCGGAAGUUUAUUUUAUAUGUUUGGAUGGCUGCUGCUUAUUGUAGCAAUAACAUCAGCUGUCGGGUGCUUAUGACAGCAACUGUUAUUGCUGUUGCUGUCAUAAGGCAGCAGCUGCUGCUGGCAGCUAGCAGCAGCAGCAAGAAUUCGCAGCAAUUGUGUUUGCUGCUGCAACUACUUAUGCAGCAACAGCUACUGCUAGAAUGCCAGCAGCAGCUGGUAUAAUGCACACUACAGCUGCUUAUGCAGCAACAGCAGUUGGUGCCUGAAAAAGCAGCAGCUACCGUUGCUGGUUCUGCACUUGCCUGUUGCAGCAUAACCAGCAGCUGCUGGCAGCUAGCAGCAGCAGCAUCUGCUGCUGGUGUUGUUGCUGCUGCAUCUGCUUAUGCAGCAACAGCUGCUGGCAUUCCAACAACAGCUAGUGCCUGUAAAAGCAGCAGCUUCUCUAUCCAUUAUGUCUGCUGCUGGUGUUGUUACUGCUGUUGGUGCUUAUGCAGCAACAACUGCUGGCUACUUUUACAGCAGCAGCAGCUGGUGGAUGCAUAAGCACCAGUUACUGGCUACUGCAGUUGCUGGUUCUGCAGCUGGUGGCUGCUGCUGCUGUUGAUUCUACAGCUGCUGCAGCUACUGGCUGCAGCUGCUGGCUGCUUUUGCAGCAGCAGCAGCUGGUGGAUGCAUAAGCACCAUCUGCUGGCUACUGUUGUUGCUGGUUCUGCAGCUGGUGGCUGCUGCUGUUGUUGGUUCUGCAGCUGCUGGCUGCUUAUGCCAACAGCAACAGCAACUGAAAUCCCCAAAAUAAGCAUUAGCAGUAGGGCCAUUAGUAGCUGCCACUGCUGGCUGCUUAUGUCAACUCCUCAUUCACUUCUUAUUGCUGAAAUUACUCACGCACAUUGAUUUCAAACCAGUUUGCAUGCUAUUUAAUCGAUUCAUAUUCACCUAAAACACAAUAUUUGUUAUUCAGCGGAAGCAAAGGAAACUAAAGGAACAUUAAAUCAUUAACUUCAAACAUGUGAUCAUUAACUUGCACUAUGGAAAUCAUGCAGAUAAAAAUGAACUCAGGACUAUUAACUUGAUACCGGGACCAUUAAACUUGAAACCGAAGGAACCUGAAACUUAGGGCAACAAACAUGAAAUAGGAUCUCAUUAACGUGCAACCUUAAAAAUUAUAUAUUUAAUGGACCAAUAAACAUGAAACCAUCACCAUUAACUUGAUAUCGAAACCAUUAAACAUUAAACCAGUGAACUUGAAACAUAGGCCAAUAAACCUGAAAUAUGAGAUCAUUAAAUUGCAACCAUAAAAAUAAUUAAAUUAAUGAACUUGAAACUUAGGGCAAUGAACAUGAAACAUCGGAUCAUUAACUUGCAACCUUCAAAAUUAUAUAAUUAAUGGACCAAUAAACAUGAAAUCAUGACCAUUAAUGUGAUACCUAAACCAAUAAACUUGAAACUAAUGAACUUGAAACUUAAGGCAAUAAACCUGAAAUAUGAGAUCAUUAACUUGCAACCAUAAAAAUGAUUAAAUUAAUGAACUUGAAACUUAGGGCAAUGAACAUGAAACAUAUGAUCAUUAACUUGCAACCCAAAAAAUUAUAUAAUUAAUGGACCAAUAAACAUGAAAUCAUGACCAUUAACGUGAUACCUAAACCAAUAAACUUGAAACCAGUAAACUUGAAAUUUAAGGCAAUAAACCUGAAAUAUGAGAUCAUUAACUUGAAACCAUAAAAAUGAUUAAAUUAAUGAACUUUAAAUUUAGGGCAAUGAACAUGAAACAUCUGAUCAUUAACUUGCAACCAAAAAAAUUAUGUAAUUAAUGGACCAAUAAACAUGAAAUCAUGACCAUUAACGUGAUACCUAAAUCAAUAAACUUGAAACCAGUGAACUUGAAACUUAAGGCAAUAAACCUGAAAUAUGUGAUCAUUAACUUGCAACCAAAAAAUGAUUAAAUUAAUGAACUUGAAACUUAGGGCAAUGAACAUGAAACAUCUGAUCAUUAACUUGCAACCGAAAAAAUUAUGUAAUUAAUGGACCAAUAAACAUAAAAUCAUGACCAUUAACGUGAUACCUAAAUCAAUAAACUUGAAACCAGCGGACUUGAAACUUAAGGCAAUAAACUUGAAAUAUGAGAUCAUUAACUUGCAACCAUAAAAAUGAUUAAAUUAAUGAACUUGAAACUUAGGACAAUGAACAUGAAACAUCUGAUCAUUAACUUGCAACCGAAAAAAUUAUGUAAUUAAUGGACCAAUAAACAUGAAAUCAUGACCAUUAACGUGAUACCUAAAUCAAUAAAUUUGAAACCAAUGGACUUGAAACUUAAGGCAAUAAACCUGAAAUAUGAGAUCAUUAACUUACAACCAAGAAAAUUAUUUAAUUAAUAGACCAAUAAACAUGAAACCAUAAUCAUUAACUUGAUACCCGAACCAUUAAACAUGAAACCAAAGGAACAUGAAACGGAAGGCAAUAAACAUGAAAUAUGUUAUCAUUAACUUACAACUAUGAAAAUCAUUAAAUUAAUGAACCAAUAAACAUGAAACCGUGAUCAUUAAGUUGAUACCUUGACCAUUAAACUUGAAACUCCUUUUUUAUUAUUAUAAAAUUAAUUUUUUUGUUAUGUCCUUUACUAUUAAAAUAGUGAUUAUUUUAUUAUUAUUUAAUUUAUUUAAGGGGCAACCGGUUGCAAAAACCGGUUGCUCCCAUUUAUUUUUUUUAGGGAAAUUAUCACUGGUAUACCCUUAAAUGUCACCGGUAUCAAACGUAUUAUAACACUUUUUGCUUAUAUCACUCGUAUACCCUAAAUUGACAAAAGAGUUCUGGCGUCCACCUUUCUGUUUACUACCGUUAAGAACUUAACAAAAUUUGAGCAAAAUGACUAUUUUACCCUUUAAACUCAAAAUGAUGUAAAAAAACAAAUUUGCCUUGAAAAUUAAAGUAAAUUUUCAAUACACAAUUUUUUUAAUUUUGUUAUUAACAAUACAUUUUUUUAUUAAAAAAAUGAAUUAUUAAUGGUACAUAUUAUUAACAAUUAUCCAUAAAAAAAUAUUCAUCUUAUACCAUAAAAAAUUAUUAACAACAUAUUAUUUAUAAUUAUACAUAUUAUACCAUAAAAAAAAUAAUGAUGCUUGGAGGAGUAGAUCUUCAAUAAUUUAGGUUAAAUUUGGAGGAGUAGAUUCAGUUGUAAAGUAGCUUUUUUUUUUUUAGCAAUUAUUAACAAUUAUCCGAUAAAUGGGAUGACAUGUCAUUUUUAUCAAAAUAUAUCAUAUGACAUAUCGUUUUUUACUAGGUAAAUGGGAUGACAUGUCGUUUUUUUAAAAAGACUAAAUUACCCUUAUGAUGUCAGUGUUGUGCAAAUUUUAAUGUACUCGCAAGCGCACGAAUCUAUUGUAGUAUAGAUCAUGGUGACGAGUGUCGAUCCCACGAGGAGGUGGAUUUUAAUUGUGUGUAGAAUUAAUUUUGUAAAUGGGUGAUUGGAUUUGUGGUGGAAAUGGUUUGGAAUAUGCUAAAACUUAAAUUAAAAUGGCGAGAAUAAAUUCUAAAAUUGGAAUUGCAAUGGCGAGAAUAAAUUGAAGAUAAUUCUAUUGAAAUGACGUACUUGGGUAUUCGGAUCCGUAUCAACAUGCAUCAUGGGCUAAAUAAUCCUUAUUAAUGCCAAUUAAAUCAUGAGGGGGGAAUCCACACCUCAUGAACCACGCUCUAAUCAAUAUGGUGCUAAGGGCUUAUCGUGCCAAAUAAUAAUAACCUUGUACUAGAGAGCCGGUGUAACCAAGGCGGUAUCUAGACAAGAUUAUUAUUAUUUGUCGACGAAAAGUCAAAUCAUCCACAAAAACUAGAGGGGAAGAGAAAAUAAAUUUACCAAAUAAAGCCCAUGACACAUGUUGAGACUUCACCUUCAACCCAAGCUUGAAAGAAAAUUAGCCACUCAUAAUUGAACUAAGGGCAAAAUGGGAAUUUAUUAAAAUAUGUAGAAAAUACAAGAUGGAGAGAGAAUUACAGAAAAUGGAGUCCAAAAAUGGAUUCAGAGAUAUCAAAUUACAGUAGCGCGGUUUGGUUGAAAAUAAUCCUGUGUGAUGCAUGUACCGUACGCGAGAUUUUUCGUCCACUGAUAUGCUGCCACGUCACCAUCAACAGUACAUAAGAAUUUUAGCCUAACAGGAUCGUGACACCUCAUCAGUCAAUGCCACAUCAUCGGUCAAUGCCACGUCAUCGAUCCGUCUAUAUGAACAGUGUCGUGAACAGUAACGUAGACAGUACCGUACACGUGAAUAGUACCGUACAUGUGAAUAGUGUCAUUUUUCCUUUUAUGCUCCUCCUAAGGUUUUCGACCGUCCUGAGUUCAAAAAUGAUGUUCGUUUUGCCGUCUGAUCUCUCCUUUAUUGUGAAAUGACUAUAAUGCCCCUAAAAUACAUAAAAUACUUAAUUAAAAUAAAACACACGUAAUUAAAUCACAAGAAGUUUAAAUACAUAAAAGUAAGGGUUGUUAGUAAGACUUGAAAUGUAAAAUGACGGUUUUCUCCUUUAUAAAUAUACAUUUUCUAACACUCAAUACACCCCCCAACCAGCUUAUUGCUAGUCCCUAGCAAAUAAAGCGAAAACAAAAUUCAAAUUCAAAAUGAUUUUUUUUAUUUAUUUUUAGAAACACUCGUGUUUAUUCAAUCAGAUUAAUGAUAGCAAUCAAAUAAAAGUAUAAGUAUUAUCUCCAGUCUAAAGCAACAUCACACCCACAUCAACCAUCCACAUGAAUUAGCCCAGUAGACUUUGUUAUAGCUACUUUCAAGAAUGACAUGUCAAACCCCAAAAUCUCACUAGAAGUAGUGACACUCUCACAAAGAAAUUAAAACCAAUAAAAAUAGUCACUCCAAUGAAUGGUAAUUGAGAGAGAAAAUAAUAAAGAAGUGAUAUCACAUGCUCUCACCAAGAUGAAAUAAAUAUGCCCUCAGCUUAGAAAUAAUACGAUCUCAAGUCAAACAAAAAUGCUAGUCAACCCAAUUUAUUUAUCUUUUUUUUUCUUUUAUUUAUUUAUUUAUUUUUAUUAUGCACCACUACAUCUUUUUAGCCCACAUAACUAGCUUCUACUUCAAACUAUAGUUCCCUAAAAUCAAGAAGGACUUUUAUUAGGACGUAACGUAGGCUAGGGAUAUGGCUAACAAAGAAAGGAAAUAAGGAAAACAAAGUGUAUGUUUGAGAAAAAUGCAGGGAAAUUUUUUUUUUUUUUUUUGGAAGUUGCAAGGUAGAUUUCACCUAUUAUUGUUAUUUUUAUUCUUUUGAAACAACAACUUUUUUUUUCUUUUUGUUUGUUUUUUUUUUUUUGCUUUUAUUUGGCAUAACUUCACUGAACAACAUAAUUAUUUACAUUUUCUCAAACAUAAAUAGGUAAUGGAACUUAUAAGACAUCGGGUAAUACUCCAAAUCGGAGUGGGUCAAGAUGAUAAGUUGACAAAGAAAAGGUUUUUUUUUUUUUUUUAAAGGCUCAAAAGGGUUAACUAUAGAUAUUUAAUAAAAGGGAUGGCUAGAAAGGCUCAAACGGAUCAAAGAUGGCCUUUCCAUCGUCUUUUAGGGCUCUAAAUAAUCAUCCAUAUCUACUAGUUAGACGGGCCUCCCAAUGUAGCAACACACAUUUUUUUUUCUUUUUCUUCUUUUUUUUUUUUUAAUUUUACCAUUUUUUUUAAGGGUUAACUCAAAAGAAAUCUAGAGAUCGUGUAUAAAAUAAUAAACUGCUAAGCUGUAUGAAAAAUGGGCAAAAGAGUUAUUCUCCAAGAAAAAUAAUAGGCUCAAAAACUCACUUGGUACUUAUUACGACAUGUUCAUUCCUUCAAGCAACUCAUAUUUGUCUUCGACAUCAACAUGUAAAGUAGCAAACAUGACGUAACAUCACUUAAGACCAAAGAUAAUACAAAUACUAAAAUUUGAAAUUCAUCAUGUCAUCCAAUGUUAAAACAAAUCACACAUUUUUUUUUUCAAACAACAUUCUACCCCCCAACCUAUUCUAAACAUGAAAGGAAAAUAUGAAUGCAGAAAUGUGAAAAUGAUGUAGAAAAACUAAUUAGAAACGUUACACUUAAAAUGAUAGAAAAAGAAAAUGAUUUUUUUUUUUAAGAAGAUGUGUUUCUAGAGGCACUACACUCCAUAUUCAGCCAUCUUCGACUCAAAAGUUGGGAAAUGUAUAUUUAUAGAGGAGAAAUUAAAAAGAAGAAGAAAAAUGAACAUCAAAACUUAAUUAAGAAAAAGAAAAUGUCUGAAUUUUUUAUUAUUAUUAUUAUUUUUUAUUAUUUUAUUUAUUUAUUAUUUUUUUUAAACGAAGAAGAUGCGUUUCUAGAGUCACUACACUCCAUAUUCAGCCAUCUUCAACACAAAAAGUUAGCAACAGUUAGUUUCUACAACAAAAAAUCAGUAAAAACUUAACCAAGAUUCCACAAUUGUCGACUAUUCCCUCCCCCCAACCAGAACGAAACAUUGUCCUCAAUGUUUUAAAGGAAAGAAGUAGAGUUUAGAAGACAUCACCUGGGUGGUGCAACACAAAAGAAAAUAUUUACAGGCGGAGAGUUAAAUCUAAUUUGUACUUCUUAUUGCUGCUACUGUUACCAUCAUUAUUUGGUCUCUCCAACACAAAGGUCCAGGGGUUUGGCUCCGGUCUAUAAGCUUGUAACAGAUCAAGUAGCUCAUUAGCAGUGUGAGCACAAAUAAAAAGUUUUUUCGCAUGGGAAGGAAUGAAGUAGUUUUUUAUUGCAUGGUUAAGAAAUGCGAUAAAGCCAUCAUAAAAGUUAUUGACAUUUAACAAACCGAUGGGUUUUUGGUGGAUGUGCAGAUGGGCCCAAGAUGCUAGUGUGAUAAGUGCCUCUAGUGUUGCAAGAUCUCCUGGAAUGAAAAUAAAAGCAUCAGCAUGAUUAAGCAUUUCAGUUAUUCUUUCUUGCAUACCUGAGACGACUAACUCUUCUCCAGUUGAUGAGUCAGACGAACUGCCCAAUGGUUUUAAGACUCUUGGGAUGAUGCCUAACACUUGACUUUCUCUGAUAAAAGCUGCUUCUGAGACCAUUUUUUAUAACCCUCGGUUACCUCCUCCAUACACCAAGUGUAAUUUUCUCGCUGCUAUGCUUCGACCAAGAUCUAUGGCUGCCUCCACAAACUCUUUAUGUUUGCCAUAGUUAAAUCCAGAAAGCACACAAAUGUUCUUGAAUUAUCUAUUGGGAGUAGCUGCCAUUGUGAUACUUCUCAAAAACAAUUUGUGAGUGCUUGACAAAAAAGAAAUCACAUUUAAGAGUCUUGGUGACAGUGGGUCACAAUUGUGUAGGAGGUAACAUGUCAGUGUCAAAUAACGCGUAAAGCACGUGGCUCGCGAGUCAAAAAGGAAACAGUAAAAAGGAAAAAGCAAAUAGUAAUAAGGAAAAAAGCAAACAGUAAUAAAAUUAUUAAAGACAAUAAUGCACACAAUAAAACAACAGUGAAAUGAAAUAAAAUAACAGUAAAGUAAAAUGAUAUUUACACAUAGUUGCGACUGUGGCUCACAUCUUCCUCUGGUUUUACGUCCAGAAACGGCUUGAACGCCCUCUAUAGGUCGAGGAUAGGCUUCCUAUCCAGUUUUCUUAUAAACUGGCAAACAGGGUCGUUUAUAGUCAGAUUCCCGAGACUAUAUCGUGCAUGCUCUUUCUGGAAUAAUGGUCAUAACUGGAGAAUCGCUCCUUGCACAUAUCCACUGGGAUGCGUUUCAAGAGACAGAAGGAUAUCAUCCAAUGACUCCUUAUUCAAGCCAUCCCUAAUGAAUUGAAUCUUAUCUUCCCUGUUAUCAGACACCAUUCCUAAAGAACAUGGGUUUUUAUUGCAACUCAUUCUGGCACACUUAUGACAAGCAACAGAAAUUCUUCGAGCUCGUCGUUUUCUUGCAUAAUUUCCUUUACCACAACCAGGCAUGUAUGCAAUAAAUUUUGGAGGUAACUCACCUGCCGAUCGUACUUUAGCCUCGAUUGACCAACGGAUGUCAGCAGGUAUGUUAUUCAUCAUGAGUAAUCGCAUGCGUUCGGACCGAGCUUUAUAGAUCGUAAGGAGGGCAUUCUGAGGAAGUGAAGGGAAUCGCUUGUGAAGUUUCGCUAGAAUCUCGUUUCUGUCCAUACCUUCGCCUCAGAAUAUCAAUUAUUAUGCGAAACUGAAGUAACCGACUUGAUUGUCACGGAGUACCGUUAUCCGCCACUUCACCGGGGUAACAAACUAAAGCACACAAACAGAAAAACAAAUUAAACACACAAAGAAAAUUAAAAUCGUCCUCUUAUGGAAUUUACCUCAAGCUCCAACUGGAUGUCGUAAACACUUCUCUCAAUGUCUCUGAGUUGGCGUUCUAAACCCUCAACAUAGGCUACUAACUCUGGUGGUUGUAGAGCCCAAAUGCAAUGUGUUUUACAAAAUUGAAUCUGCCUUUUGAGAUGAGUUUUGACACGUUGAAGUGGUUUAAGAAUGUUCAGGAGGAACGGUCUUAGUAAGGUACUCAUGAUUAAAAAUGAUAAAAGAAAACUUAAUAGUUAAACAAACACACUUAUGCAAAAAUAAUUUCAAUUAGCAGAAGAAUAACAUAAAGAAAGAAAAAAAUCAAAUCAACGAAAAGAAAAAAAAGUCAAUUCAAAUCUGGUGGGUCACUCAAAUUUAUUUCGGUGUCUUCUCCAUGUGGUUGGUACUCUAGAUAUGGCUUUAAUCUUUGACCAUUAACUUUAAACGUGACACCGUUCUUGGGGUCCUUAAUUUCAAUUGUCCCAUGUGGAAAAACAGUAUGAACAAUAAAGGGACCAGACCAUCGAGAGCGUAACUUACCUGGGAAUAGGUGCAAGCGAGAAUUGCAUAAAAGCACUUUCUGACCUGGAGUGAACGAUUUUCUCAUAAUUUGCUUAUCAUGGAAGACUUUCAUUCGUUGCUUGUAAAUCUUGGCAUUUUCGUAUGCGUCAUUGCGAAUUUCUUCAAGUUCUGCCAGUUGUAAUCUUCUUUCUGAGCUGGCUUGCUGCAUGUCAAAGUUGAAUUUCUUGAUGGCCCAAUACGCACGAUGCUCGAGUUCCACAGGUAGGUGGCAAGCUUUUCCAUACACUAGCAUGUAGGGUGACAUCCCAAUCGGGGUCUUGAAAGUCGUUCUAUAUGCCCAUAAUGCAUCAUCAAGUCUUAAUGACCAAUCUUUUCUGUCCGGCCUCACCGUCUUUUCUAAUAUGUGCUUUAUUUCUCGAUUGGAGAUCUCAACUUGGCCACUGGUUUGCGGAUGACACGGGGUCGCCACUUUGUGUGUGAUUGAAUACUUUGUCAAAAGAGCUUUGAAUGCUUUGUUACAAAAGUGGGCACCACCAUCACUGAUUAUUGCUCGAGGGAAUCCAAAGCGCGAAACAAUGUUGCUUUUAAAAAAUCCUAUCACCACCUUGUGAUCAGUGGUUCUACAUGGAAUUGCUUCUACCCAUUUUGAGACAUAGUCAACAGCAACCAAUAUGUAUUGAUGGCCAAAAGAAGUGGGAAAUGGUCCCAUGAAGUCGAUACCCCAUACAUAAAAAAUCUCAACCACUAAAAUUGGAUUUAGUGGCAUCAUGUUCCUUCGUGUAAUGCUCCCCAUUCGUUGACACUUAUCACAUGAAGAACAAAAAGUGUAAGCAUCUCGAAAUAUAGUUGGCCAAUAAAAACCACAUUGUAAAACUUUAGUUGCUGUUUUCUUAGCACUGAAAUGGCCUCCACAAGCUUAUUCAUGGCAGAAUGAAAGAAUAUUCUGAAUUUCAAUUUCUGGGACACAUCGUCUAACAAUUUGAUCAGCACAAUACUUGAACAAAUACGGGUCAUCCCAAAAGAAAUUCUUUAUCUCUGCAAAGAAUUUAGCCUUGUCUUGCUUGGUCCAAUGCUCUGGAAGUUUACCUGUAACAAGAUAAUUAACUAUAUCAGCAUACCAAGGUAAUACUUCCACAUUCAUUAAUUGUUCAUCUGGAAAUGACUCAUUCAAUAUUAAUGGCUCUGUAAUUGUGUCAAAAUGGAGACGAGAGAGAUGGUCCGCCACAACAUUUUCAGUGCCUUUCUUAUCUUUGAAUUCCAAGUCAAAUUCCUGCAAAAGUAACACCCAACGAAUUAAUCUAGCUUUUGCAUCUUUCUUUGUGAGAAGAUAUUUAAGAGCAGCAUGAUCUGUGAAUACAAUUAUUUUACAACCAAUGAGAUAAGAUCGAAAUUUUUCUAAUGCAAACACUAUGCUAGCAUUUCUUUUUCAGUAGUUGAAUAGUUCAACUGUGCAUCAUUCAAUGUCAUACUAGCAUAGUAAAUAACAUGGGGAACUCGAUCAACUCUUUGUCCUAAUACUGCUCCUAUUGCAUAAUCAGAUGCAUCACACAUGAGCUCAAAUGGUAAACUCCAAUUUGGGGGCUGAAUGAUGGGUGAUGAUGUCAACAACUGCUUUAAUUUUCCAAAUGCCACAAGACAUGAAUCAUCAAAGACAAAAGGUACAUCCUUAGCAAGUAGAUUGCAUAAGGGUCUAGAAACUUUGCUAAAAUCUUUAAUGAAACGUCUAUAAAAACCAGCAUGCCCAAGGAAAGAUCUUACUUCUCUGACUGUUUUAGGUGGAGGAAGAUUAGAAAUGAGAUCCACCUUGGCUUUGUCAACCUCAAUACCUUUGCUUGAAAUGAUGUGACCGAGAACAAUACCUUGUUUUACCAUAAAAUGGCACUUCUCCCAAUUUAAGACUAAAUUCUUCUCGAUACAUCUCUGCAGAACUAGCGUUAGAUGAUGUAAACAUUGAUCAAACGAAUCACCAAAGACAGAAAAGUCAUCCAUAAAGACUUCAAGAAAUCGUUCAACCAUAUCAGAAAAAAUGCUCAACAUGCAUCGUUGAAAUGUAGCAGGUGCAUUACAUAAUCCAAAUGGCAUUCUCCUAUAUGCAAAAGUGCCAAAAGGGCAAGUGAAAGUAGUUUUCUCUUGAUCUUUUGGUGCUAUGGGGAUCUGAUUGUAUCCUGAGUAGCCAUCUAGAAAGCAAUAAAAUUCAUGGCCUACUAAUCUAUCAAGCAUUUGAUCGAUAAAUGGUAAAGGAAAAUGGUAUUUACGUGUGACAGAAUUCAACUUUCUAUAAUCAAUGCAUACACGCCAUCCUGUAGUCACUCUAGUGGGUAUCAAUUCAUUAUCAGCAUUCGUAACUACUGUGACUCCUAACUUUUUGGGGACAACUUGUACAGGACUGACCCAUGAACUAUCAGAAAUUGGGUAAAUGAUACCUGCGUCUAAUAGCUUAAGGACUUCAGUUCUAACAACUUCUUUCAUAUUAGGAUUUAAUCGCCGUUGCAUUUCCCUAGUAGAUUUAGUAUUUUCAUCAAGGUGAAUGUAAUGCAUGCAGUCUACUGGGUUUAUACCUUUUAUGUCUGCUAUGGUCCAUCCUAAUGCUCCUUUGUGCUCUUUUAAAACAUCCAACAACUUACCUUUUUGUUCGUCAUUUAGGGAUGAUGAGAUGAUUACCGGUAGAGUACUUUCUUCUCCCAAAAAUGCAUAUUCCAAUGUGUUGGGUAAUGGUUUGAGCUCGAGUUUUGGUGGUGAUUCUGAUGAUGGGAUGAGUUUCUUUUCUGAUGGUGCUAGUUGUUCAACUCUUGACUUCCAUUUAUUAGUGUCCAUAGAUGGUGCUGAGUCAAGUAGGGCGUUGACCUCAUCGACUGAUCUGUCAAUAUCAAAAUCCAAACCAAAGUGAGUUAAACAUGUUUGUAAAGGAUCAUCACUAAGGUUUGAAAGAAAAGUAUUAUCAACUAUUGUUUCUAUUAAAUCCACAUCAACAAUUCCAUCAUCUGCACUGUGAGGUUGUUUGGCAAUGUUGAAAAUAUUUAGCUCCAUAGUCAUGUUGCCGAAGGACAACUGCAUAUUUCCAGUCCUGCAUUGAAUGUGAGCAUCCGCAGUUGCCAAGAAAGGUCGGCCUAAGAUAAUGGGGAUAUGCUUCCUUGAAUCCUGUAUUGGUUGAGUGUCAAUUACAAUGAAAUCAACAGGAAAAUAAAACUUAUCUACCUGGAUAAGCACGUCCUCCACAAUGCCACGAGGUAUUUUCGUGGACCGAUCUGCAAGCUGUAACACCACUGGAGUUGGGUGUAAUUCUCCAAGUCCAAGUUUCAAAAAUACUGAGUAAGGCAACAGAUUUACACUAGCUUCUAAAUUCAACAAAGCAUUCUCAAUUGUGUGGUUCCCUAUGCUACAUGAGAUAGUGGGGGAGCCUGGGUCUUUGCAUUUUAAAGGAAUUUUGUGUUGGAGUAUAGAACUAAUGUUUCUGUUAAAAAUGCCUUCUUUUGAACAUGCAUAUUUCUUUUUUUAGUACAAAGGUCUUUAAGAAACUUGGCAUAAGAUGGAACUUGCUUUAUAGCAUCAAGUAAAGGGAUGUUAACACUUACCUGUUUGAAGAUUUCAAGAAUCUCACCUGUGGAUUUUCCCUUCUUUCCUUUCGCUAACCUCUGAGGAAAUGGAGCUUUCGGAAUGUAUUCUCGUGGGUUGGUUUCUUCUUUCUCCUCCGGUGAUGAGUCCUCAACACUUACAGGUACAAUUUGAUUUUCUUUUGCCACCGGCAUCUCCACUUUGUUGUCGACUUCUUUUCCUUUUCGCAAAGUCAUGACUGCUUUGACUUCUCCAUGCUGCUGUGGUGAACUGGUACUUGCUUCAUGCACUCCUUUAGGAUUAGGCACUGGUUGACUUGGAAACUUACCUUUCUCAACGGUCAUUGCCAAGGUCUGAACUGAAGAAGCAAGUUGUCCCACCAUCUUCUCGAGGCUUGAAACUGAUUGAGCUUGUGAGUUGAAGCCUGCUCUCAACUCAUUUCGUAGUCCAUCAAUGGUGCGGUUUUGUUGCUCAAUCAUGGAGUGAGUAAGAUUCUUGAGAUUCUGGAAUGAAUCCUCCCAUGGUAUGGGUUGAGAGUAGUUCUGGUUCUGAUUGUAUGGUCUAAAUGGUGGCUGGGAGGCUUGAGGAACUUGAGGAAUUUGUUGCAUUGGUGGAGUUGGAGCUUCUGGUCCAUUCUGUUGGAAUCCUUGAGACCAUGAAAAAUUGGGGUGGUCUCUCCAUCCAAGGUUAUAUGUGUUGGAGUAUGGGUUGUAAUUUGAUGGUUUUCUCAUUACACCUAUGGCAUUGGCUUGAUCUGAGUAUGAGUCAAGGUCAUGUGGUUCAGUUGAUUUAGCAGUCGAUAACGAUGCUAUUUGUCGAGCAAGACCUUCAACCAUCUCCUUGACUUCUUUGAUUCCCGAAGUUGACUCGCCAAUGUGAACCUCAUUCACUCCUUUAAUUCUUUUAGUAUUCCUGAGUGAUCGACUCCGUUGUUGGGAAUUAUCUGCUUGUCGCUGGAAGAAUUCUCAAAUUUCUGAUGCACUUUUUGACAUUAGCUCUCCUCCACUUGUUGCCAUUAGCCAUUCUUGCACAUUCGGCAAUAAUCCCUCCAAAUAGUAUUGGCAUUGGUGCCAUUUCUCGUACCCAUGAUGUGGACACUUCAAGAGUAGCCCAUUGAAUCGCUCCCAUGUUUCGAAAAAUUGCUCGUCCUCUCUCUGGGUAAACUCCGAGAUUUCCCUGCGAAUAGCAUUGGUUUUAUGCACUGGGAAAUAUUUAUUCAAAAAUUUUGUUACCAUUUGUUCCCAUGAUGAAAUGCUAUUAGCAGGUAAUGUAUUAAGCCAUGAACGAGCUCUAUCCUUUAAAGAAAAUGGGAAUAAUCUGAGUUUAACAUCAUCGUCUGAAAAAUUUUCGUAUUUAAAAGUUUGACAAAUAGCAUGAAAAUCAUUCAGAUGAUUAUAUGGAUCCUCAUUUUCUAAGCCAUAGAAUGUGGGGAGACAAUUUAGCACACUAGGUUUUAACUCAAAGCUCCUAGCAGCUACAUUUGGGUAUCUUAUGCAUGAUGUGCUCAAAUUAGCUAAGGGACUAAAAUAGUCCUUAAAUGGCCUCUCCUGUGGUUGCAAAUCCAUUUUAUUUUUAAUUUGUUUGUGUGUGCGAAGUGUUUUUCCUAAUUCAAGGUCUAUAGGUUCAAGAUUAGGAAAUAAUGACCUACGACCAUGCAUGCAAAACAAAUAAAAUAAAAAUAAAGAUGGGAACAAAACAAAUAAAAAUAAAGAAGAGGGAGAAAUUACGAUACUAACCUUAUUGCGCUAUUACAACCUUACUAUAAAAAUACACAAAAAAAAUACGUGAAAUAAAUUAACUAAAAAUAAAUUAAUAAGAUAAACAAAAAAAAAUUACAAAGAAAAAUAAAUUAAAAAUUAAAUUACAGAAUUUUAAAGAAGAGAAAAAGAAAAGAAAUACUAACCUUUAAAUGUAGAUUCACUUUUUUUUUUAAUAAGAAAAAACAAAUACAAGAAAACAAAUAAAAGAAAUUAUUCACAAAAAUUAAUUCUAUGAAUUAAAAUUACUUACCUCCCCGGCAACGGCGCCAAAAACUUGUUGUGCAAAUUUUAAUGUACUCACAAGCGCACGAAUCUAUUGUAGUAUAGAUCAAUGGUGACGAGUGUCGAUCCCACGAAGAGGUGGAUUUUAAUUGUGUGUAGAAUUAAUUUCGUAAAUGGGUGAUUGGAUUUAUGGUGGAAAUGGUUUAGAAUAUGCUAAAACUUAAAUUAAAAUGGCGAGAAUAAAUUCUAAAAUUGGAAUUGCAAUGGCGAGAAUAAAUUGAAGAUAAUUCUAUUGAAAUGACGUACUUGGGUAUUCGGAUCCGUAUCAACAUGCAUCAUGGGCUAAAUAAUCCUUAUUAAUGCCAAUUAAAUCAUGAGGGGGGAAUCCACACCUCAUGAACCACGCUCUAAUCAAUAUGGUGCUAAGGGCUUAUCGUGCCAAAUAAUAAUAACCUUGUACUAGAGAGCCGGUGUAACUAAGGCGGUAUCUAGACAAGAUUAUUAUUAUUUGUCGACGAAAAGUCAAAUCAUCCACAAAAACUAGAGGGGAAGAGAAAAUAAAUUUACCAAAUAAAGCCUAUGACACAUGUUGAGACUUCACCUUCAACCCAAGCUUGAAAGAAAAUUAGCCACUCAUAAUUGAACUAAGGGCAAAAUGGAAAUUUAUUAAAAUACAUAGAAAAUACAAGAUGGAGAGGGAAUUACAGAAAAUGGAGUCCAAAAAUGGAUUCAGAGAUAUCAAAUUAGGGGGGAGAGGCCCCCUUUUUAUAGAUACAUGGAGUAAAUCAUGACCAUCGGAUUAAAAACAGUUUGGACGCUCAGGAUUGCACCACGUCAUCAGUCAACAGUACGCGGUUUGACCAUGUGGAUGAACAGUAACACGGUUUGACCCGGAUGAACAGUAAUGCGGUUUGGUUGAAAAUAAUCCUGUGUGAUUCAUGUACCGUACGCGAGAUUUUUCGUCCACUGAUAUGCUGCCACGUCACCAUAAACAGUACAUAAGAAUUUUAGCCCAACAGGAUCGUGACACCUCAUCAGUCAAUGCCACAUCAUCGGUCAAUGCCACGUCAUCGAUCCGUCUAUAUGAACAGUGUCGUGAACAGUAACGUAGACAGUACCGUACACAUGAAUAGUACCGUACAUGUGAAUAGUGUUAUUUUUCCUUUUAUGCUCCUCCUAAGGUUUUCGACCGUCCUGAGUUCAAAAAUGAUGUCCGUUUUGCCGUCUGAUCUCUCCUUUAUUAUGAAAUGACUAUAAUGCCCCUAAAAUACAUAAAAUACUUAAUUAAAAUAAAACACACGUAAUUAAAUCACAAGAAGAUUAAAUACAUAAAAGUAAGGGUUGUUAGUAAGACUUGAAAUAUAAAAUGACGGUUUUCUCCUUUAUAAAUAUACAUUUUCUAACACUCAACAGUCAGCGCUCGCAAACGGCAGUUAACGGAUCGGUGGACGGCAGAAGUGUUUUGUCAACUUAGGGUAUACGAGUGAUACACUUGAAAAAUAUUGUAGCACGUUUGAUACUGGUGUCAUUUAAGAGUAUACGGCUGAUAAUUUCCCUUUUUUUUAUUGCUUGCAUGUAUCAUAUACAUGUAUAUACUGUAGCCGUCCCCUAUUGUGAAAGGUUGUUAUUCUUUAGUCUUUACUACACAAAUAGUAGUUUUUUUUUCCUUCUUUUUUCAAAUUUUGGGUUUUCUUUUACGGCUUCUGAGAGAAGUACCUGCGAAUGGAUCAAAACAAGGGAAUUUCAAUUUAAUGAUUUGACUCUUCUGCCAUGCUUUGCUUUUCAAAUCAUUUGAUAUGGAGCGGAGCAGUGAUGAGCUACAGAAAAUUCUUGACUCUGAGUGCGAGGAGAGGGAGAUGUGUGUGUCACUGUUUGUAAUUUUUUUGUAUUACCAAUGAAAUAUAUUUAGCAUGAGUGUGAUAAAUAUAUGUGGGUCCAGUUACCUUGCAACAAUUGCAAUACACCAUUUAUUUUUGUCUUAUGUGACGUUACAUUUCAUUUAACACCUUGUUUUUUUUCUUAUUUACAUUUUAUUUAUAAGUUUAUAUGUUUUAACUAGUGAACUUUUAAAAUGUAAACUUAUUUUUUUAAUAUUAUUUAUUUUUUUACAUUUAUUUAUAAUUUGUAUGCUUUAGCUGGUAACUUUUAUAAAAUGUAAUUUUAUUUUAUUUAACAUUAUUUAUCUUUAAAAAAAAAGAAUAAAUAUAAUAAUAAGCCUAUGACUAAAUAAUAUUAAAUAAAAUAAAUAAUAUUAAAUAAAUUAAAUUAAAUAAAUAAUAUUAAAAUUUUAACUUAAAUAAAAUAAAUAAUAUUAAAAAUGAUAUUAUUUUUAAGACACUAUUGAUUUUUUAAUGUUAUUCAGUUUUUAAAGAAUAAAUAUAAUAAUAAGCCAAUGAUUAAAUAAUAUUAAAUAAAACAAAAAUAAAAAUAUUAAAAAUAAUAUUUAUUUUUAAAGCUCCCUAAUGAUUAUUUUAUUUUAUUUAAUGUUAUUUAGUUUUUUGAAAGAAUAAAUAUAAUAAUAAGUAUAUGACUAAAUAAUAUUAAAUAAAAUGGAAUAAAUAAUAGUUAUUUAUUCUUUUAAAUAAAAUAUAUAAUAUUAAAAAUAAAAUUUAUUUUUUAAUACUCACUACUAAUUAAACAAUAUAAAUUGUAAACAAUCCGGACUUAUGUGCUAAAAUUUUUAACUCUUUAAUUUGUUUGUGUCUUUAAUAAAUAUCAGGGAGUGCAAUGUUAAUAUUUAAAUGAACAAAUCUCUACCAUUGAAACAACCUUUUCACUAAAUCCAACGUUUUGUCUAAAACUACCUUUUCACUAAACUACCUUUUGUCUGAAAUCAAGAAAAGACAAAACUUGAGGGUACCUUGCAACUGUUGUAAGGUAGCUGAGUCCAAUAUAUAUUGCCAUAAAACGAAAUAUCAUAUCCAAAAUAAUAAUAAUAAUAAGUGUGUCAGAUGACACAAACAGCUGAAAAACGAGGAAACGUCUUCUUCUAACAAAGUUUGUAAUUAAAAAUUUAUAAACGAAUACAUACAUAUAUAUGAAAGGAAAGAUGAUGAUGAUAAUGAUAAAGAGAAUAGGGUUGAAUUUGGCGAGAGGGGUCCCCCUAUUUGUUGAAUUUCAUAUUAAAUAAAUAUCCGUUUGUCUCUUUAAUGGCCAAACAGACCAGCUGCCAACAACUUAUUCCAAUGUGAGUAGAUCACAGUGGGUACUGCACAUGAUGCUUGUUUCUCCUUUUGCAUCUAUUUUUGUUGUUAAUAUUAAUUUCAAUAGCAGCUCGUUAUUAUGUAUGCAACAUUUCAAAAUUAAUCCAAAAAAAACAAAAAUUAGUUCAGCUGACUAAAUUUGAAAGCAUGGAUUUGCUGUCGAUUAAAAAUCGUUUUGUAGGGAAAAUUUUUGGAUUGCAAUUCUCAUACAAUACAUAGAAUUAUCAUAAUCUAUAAAUUGUAUUUUUGCUUUUCACUUAUAUUUAGAUAGUUCAACAUUUUUAUUGGUUUGAUUUAGGGUUAGUUUGGUAACGUUAGUUUAAUACUCUGAUUAUUAUUAUUCGAUUCGUUUACUUUGAUUAUUAUUAUUUUUUAAUAGAGAAUAAAUUAUUCGAUUAAAAAAGUGAUUUUUUCUCUAUUAACAAGUGAUUUUUCUCUAUUAAAAAAUAAUAAUAAUCAAAGUAAACGAAUCGAAUAAAAAAAUAAUAAUAAUCAAAGUUCACAUAAUCUAUAAAUAUCAUGUUUAUUUAUUUAAGAUAGUUCAAAAUUUUUAUUGGUUUGAUUUAGGGUUAGUUUGGUAAUCCUGUAGCUUUAAAAUUAAUUACAGUUAGCUAUGCUGUAGAAAUUGAUCAAUCGUAAAAAGAAUCAACCGAACAUUUAGUAAAUUUUAUUUUUAAAAGUACUUUUAGUUUUAAAAGCAGUCGUGUGUGUUUCAUAAAUCUUAUUAUUAAACUGGUGAAAAAAUAUAAAUGACUGAAUUGAACAUAAUGCUAAAUAAAAUUUAUUUACACAUUUACAAACAUGCAUAUAAAAUAUUUUUAUUACGUACAUAUAAUUAUUGAUAACUAAAAUAAAUAUUUUAUAUUAUUAAAUUUUAUUCUCUAUUUUGUUAUCUCAAUGUAAUUGAUAAUAAUAAUAAUAAUCUAUUUUAAGUUAAUGAUUUUAUUUCUUAAUUCAUAAAGAUAAUUUUAGAUUUUUAUUAUAUAAUGGGGAUAUAUAUAGAAUUGGAUUGAGUAUAAAAGUGAUUCUCAAAAUCAAAUUUUGAAAAACUAUUCAUUCACUACUUUUCAAAAUCUACUGUAUUAUGAGAUGAUUUUACCAAAGUAAUUACUAAAAAAAUUUAUAAAACACUAAAACUUAGCUUUUAUGGUGUGUUUACUUCAUGGAAUGGGGAAUGGGAAUAAAAUGUGUGGGUCUCACACAAUUUGGGAAUAAGGAAUGAGAAUCCCAUGCCCAUGAGUGGUUGGGAAUAAAAGUGAGGGAAUGAGAAUGGAAUAUAUAUUUACUUUUGUAUCCCUCUAAUUUUUUCAUAUUUUCCAAAUUACCCUCAUUCAAAUCACAAUUAAUUUUAUUAUUUAAAAUGUCAUUAAUAAUAAUAAUAUUAUUAUUAUUAAAUUUUAUUAACUUUAUUAUUUUAGUUAUUAUUAAUUAUUUUUAUUAAUAUUAUUAUUAUUAACAAUAAAAAUAAUAAUUGAUAAAAAAUAAUUAAUUUAUCAUUAUUAACAAUAUUAUCAUUAUUUUUGUUAUUAUUAUUAUUAUUAAAAAUAAAAAUAACAAUAAUUAAUAAUAACUAAAAUAAUAAAGUUAAUAAAAUUUAAUAAUAAUAAGUUAAUAAUGAUAAUUUUAAUAAAAAUAAUAUUAACAAUAAUUAGUAAUAACUAAAAUAAUAAAGUUAAUAAUAUUUAAUAAUAAUAUCUAAUAUUAUUAUUAUUAAAUAUUAUUAACUUUAUUAUUUCAGGUAUUACUAAUUAUUGUUAAUAUUAUUUUUAAUAAUAAUAAUAGUAAUAAUAACAACAAUAAUGAUAAAUUAAUUAUUAAUACUAUGGGUAUUUUGGUAAAUUGAUUCUCAUUCUCAUUCCUCAUUCUCAUUUAUUUUGCCAAGUAAACAUAUCAAUAGCAUUCCAGCACAUUCUCAUUCCCAUUUAUUUUUGUCAAGUAAACAUUGAAAUCUCAUUCAUAUUUCUCAUUUCCAUUCCAGUCCAUUCUCAUUCCCAAUCCACUCACAUUCCACCCCAUUCCACUUCCAUGAAGUAAAUGCACCAUUAAUUUUUAAAAUCAAUUUUGAGCUUCCCAAAAACAAUCCAAACAUGCCUUUAUUUGGGUGGUGUUAGAACUGUUAGCCUAAAGGACUAUACAUAAUGUGAUUUUGAUGAUAACAAACAUAUGUAUUAAGUGAUUUAAUAAAUAUUGUAUUUCACAUUUUCACUAGUUUUUGAAGGAUAAUAUUUAUGCAAGUGAAUCAAGUGAAAUCAAGAUUGAAGACACUCAACGGACAACGGUGACAUCAAGAAUAGUCUAGAGCUCCACGAACAAAUUAGUGCGAUAAAUUCUUGUAAAGCCGGUAUGAUUUAAUUGAUGUAUGAUUUAGCAUUUGAGAAGCUCAAGAGAUUAAUUUAAUUAAAUACUUUUCAUAAACUAAAAGUUUUAUUUUUAUAAAGUAAAGUAUUUUGUGGAUUUAAGUAAUUUGGACUUAAAUGCUAAUAUUUGAAAUCUUUGAUUUUAAAUAAGUAUUAAAUUUCAGAGUUGGACGUUUUUACAAAUAUUUGAAAUGUUUUGGGCCAUACUAUAAUUUAUGAAUAUGUUGGACUAAAGUGAAAGGUUUUGAGAACUUUGAAAAAUAUGGGUAUUAUGUUGAAAAGGACCUUUGUGCGAAAUAAUAAAAUCUUUGGGGCCAUAUCAUAAUUUUAGAAAGUUUGGGAAAGACGACUAUUCUUAGGAAGUUCUGAAAUUGGAUCUAUUUGUAAAGUUUUAUGACAUUUUGAGCCAUAGUAUAAUUAUAGAAAGUUUUGGGUCAAAGUAUAAAUUUAGUGAACAGAGUUACUGUAGUAAAUUCAAAAAUAACGGUAAUAUCACUGUUCCUGAGCGGCUAGCCGGAUAAUCAAGCGGCUAACCGCUUGGGCGCGGGAAUUUACCUAUAACGGCUAGUUUUCGGGCUUUCACUAUUAAAACUCAACUCAAACUUCAUUCCUUAAACGAAUGCAAGGAAAAACAAGAUCAUAUAACAUAUAUUGAGCUUCCAUUUCGCAAAUCAUCAUUGAUUGAAUGAUCAUUGAGCUAUAAUUUGUUAUCUACUCUUAAAGAGAGUUUCAUUGUUGUGAUUUUCAUUUCUCAUCAAAUUGUGAGUGUACAAGUGUGAGAAACACUUGGGGUGAAGAGAUUGGGGAGAUAAUCUCUUGUUGUAAAGGUUCAUUGACACCUUAGAAGUCAAUUGUAAACAUUUGAAGCCUUGGGAGGUUUGGAUAGUGAAAUCCUCAAGCCAGGUGUGCUUGGAGGCGUGGACGUAGGCAGGGAUAGCCGAACCACGUAAAAAUCCUUGUGUUUGUUUUAUCUUCCCUUACUCUUUUAAUAUUGUGCUUGAUUGAAUUUAUUAUUUUUUUAUUUGAUUAAGGCAAUAGAUUCAAUUGUUGUGCGAAUUGUAUUGCAUAAUUUUAAAAACCCAAUUCACCCCCCUCUUGGGUUGCAUAACUUGCAUUUCAUUUGGUAUCAGAGCGAGGUGCUCUUGUGUAGACUUAACCGUCUAGAGUAAAAGAUCCAUGGCAACCCAUAAUGAUUCAACCUUUAGGGAAGGACAAUCCACAAUUAGACCACCGUUCUUUGACGAUAAUGACUACCCAUAUUGGAAAACUAGGAUGAGAAUUUAUUUACAAGCUUUAGAUUAUGAAAUUUGGGAAAUUGUUUGUGAUGGUCCAUUUAUGCCUUUGACUAAAAACGAAGUCGGGGAAGAUAUUCCAAAACCUUCACGGGAAUGGAAUGAAUUGGAAAAGAGAAAAGCUUCUCUAAAUUCCAAAGCCAUGAAUGCCUUGUUUUGUGCACUUGAUAAGAAAGAGUUUCAUAGAGUGUCAAGUUGUGAAAGUGCUAAUAAAAUUUGGCACAAACUUGAAGUUGUUUAUGAAGGCACGAAUCAAGUGAAAGAGUCUAAAAUUAGUAGGUACACUCGACAAUAUGAAUUGUUUCAAAUGGAACAAAAUGAGAGUGUGUAUUCUAUGUAUACUAGAUUUACGGACAUAGUGAACACUCUAUGAGCCCUAGGAAAGACCUUUUCAAAUAGCGAGAAAGUUAAGAAAAUCAUUAGGUCUCUACCUAAGGAAUGGAGACAAAAAAAGACUGCCAUUGAGGAAGCCAAAGAUUUAAAUAUUUUACCUAUUGAUGAUUUAAUUGGUUCUCUUAUUUCUUAUGAGGAAGACUUGGCAGCUGAAAGAAGCAAUGAGGAGAAGAAGAAAAGUAUUGCUCUCAAAGCCUCGAAACACGAGAGUGAUGAGGAAAGCGAGCUGGAUGAGGAGGAGAUGGAUAUGCUGGCGAGGAGGUUUAGAAAACUUUUUAAGAAAUCCGGUGAGCGAAGAAAAUUUAGAGACCUCAAGAAAUGAAAGGAGAAGAAUGAAGUAAUCAAAUGUUAUGAGUGCAAAAAGCCUGGCCAUAUAAGAACGGAUUGCCCUCUUCUCAACAAACUCAAGAAGAAAGCAAUGGUAGCCACAUGAGAUGAUAGCGAUGAGGAAACAAGUGAUGAUAAAGAGCAUCAAGAAAUGACAAAUCUAGCUCUCAUGGCAAUUGGAGAUGAAUCGGAUGAUGAACUUGAUGAGGUAAAUGAUAUUUCUACUCAUGAUGAAUUAUAUGAUGCUUUUAAAGAAUUGCAUGAUAAUUGGAUAAAAAUUGGUAAAAAGAAUGCAUGUUUUAAAAAGAAAAUGGUAAAGCUCACAAAUGAAAAUGAAUCUCUAAGUGCAAAGAUUACAUGCCUAGAAUUAGAGAAUAAAACAUUACAUGAUAGAGUUGUAUUAUCAAAUGAGAAACCUAGCACUUCACAUGAGCAUCUAGAAUCAUAUGUAGAUGACUUGAAAAAUGAAAAUGAUGCUUUACAAAAAUGCAAUGAUUCAUUAAAUGAAAAGCUUAAAGGACUAGAGUUAGAUAAUAAAAUGUUGCAUGAUAGAAUUGUAUCAUUUAAAUGCAAACAAAGUACUUCAUAUGAGCAUGAGAAAUCACAUGUUGGUGAAUUAAUGAAAGAAAAUGAAGUGCUUAAGAAGAAGAGUAAUGAACUAAAUCAAAUUGUGUUAAAAUUCACAAAUUGGCAAAAGAUGUUGGAUAACUUGCUUAAUUCACAAAAAUGUGUGUUUGAUAAAGGAGGUAUUGGUUAUAAGCCAAAUUUGAAACAAAAAUAUUAUAAGAGUUAUUUUGUUAAAACUACCUCCAUUAAUGAUCAAAUUGUAUGUCAUUAUUGCAAUCAAAAUGGUCACAUAAAGAAUAGAUGUCCAGUUAAAAUAAAUGCAUAUUAUGGAGCAAAAUGUAUUUGGGUUCCAAAAGGAACCAUUACUAACACUCAGGGACCCAAGAAUAUUUGGGUACCAAAGUACACAACUUGAAUAAUUUUUGUAGGUACCACAAACAAGGAAGGGUGGAGAGUUCCUUGAUGAAACUUGUGAGGAUAAUCACUUGAUCAUGGUCUAGGCAAAAAUAAUGAGGCAAGAUGGUUUAAUUGUUUUGGUAACAAUUAUUGCCUUAUUGAUUAUAAGUUACGGUCUUUUAAUCUUAGUAAAUAUUUCAUAUUUCAUUAUAUCAUUAAGUGCUUUAUCAUGAUGGAUUUGUUUGAUUUUAAUGAUUAUGUAAUGCCUAAGUAUGAUAAAUGAGUAAUAUGCUUGAAUUAUUAAUCUUUGAAUGCUUAUAUGUUUCAUGAUUGAGUAAAAUAUAUACAUGAUGGAUGAAUUAUAUGUGUGAAUUAAUCAUGUCUUAAAUGUUUAUAAUUUCAACCAUAAAGGUUAUUGUAUCUCAUAAUUGUGAUGGAUAUGCAUGAUGAAUAUGUUAUAAAUUUGAGUUUUAUGAUUUUUUGGAUGUUAAUUAUAUUGAUCCAUGCAUUAAAAUGGUUUUUGAAAAUGUUUGGAUCACGAAAUGGUCUUAAAAUCGAUCAAAAAUAGCCAGAGAGCAAAAAUUGGUGCAGAUGGGCAGCCAUGAGGUAGCUAGCCGCCUGCCCCAAGCGGCUAGCCGCUUUGUCACGGGUUGGAGUAAUUGUUUUUGCUUCUUCUUCUUCCUUCGUUAUUUUUCUGCACUUGUUCCUCUCUCUCUCAAAACCGUGAGCCACCCUCUUCCAUUUCCAAUCAAUUUCUCUUUAUUUCUCAACCAUUUUUAUGCCAAAAUUAAUCAUUCAAACCAAUACCCAUGCAUUUCACUCUCAUUAAACACUUCCCAAUCAUCAUUUCUUCACUUGUUCUUGAUCAUUUCAUCAUCAUCUCUCACGCGUGAACAGUACCUCUCCAUUUCUCUCUCAAAUUUCUUCAUCUUUCACUCAUUCUCUUGCCAAAAUCAAUCAUCCAACUCAUUAUUCAUCCAUUACUCCUUCAAUUUUCACUCUCAAAACAUGAUUUCAUUAUCUCUCCACAUAAAACCCAAAAUCAAAAACCUAACUUACCCAUUUCUUUCUCUUCCAAUUUAAGCUCUUUUUAGUCCACUUUUGAUCCAAUCAACACCAUCCAUUAUCUUAAAUCAUCUCUUGGAUCAAUAUAAUCAGUUUAAAAUAAUCCAUUUCACUCAUUAUUUUACAAAACCGAGUUUGUGCAUUUUGGGUAUUUUAAAUUACCAUGGUUCCUUAUUAUAUUAUGCACCUACAUUUUCAUAUGCAUAAUUGUUUUAAUUGUAGAUUACGGAUGAUGGUUGUUUAAUAUUUGGAUAACUUAUAUUUGGAUGAUAUUUUCUGAAUUCUUAGAAUGAAUAUGACUCUUUAGUUAAUUGAAUGCUUAAUUUUUAUAUGUUUCUUGAUUAAUCAUUGAGAUAUUCUUUUUGGUAUAAGCAUAGAUUUAUAGUACUUUUGAUGAUUGAUGAUUAUAUGUGUGUUGCUUGAUGAAUUAAUGGAGUUGUUAGUUUGUUAUAAUUGUUUCAGCUUAUAUGGAAGUGUUUUUAACCAUGUUGUAUAUUUAAGGAUUUGUUCAUUUUAAGGGGAGAUUCUGCCGAAAUUUUUGCUCGCACAAAAUUGGUAAUAUCUUUAUCGAAUUAUUUUUGAUGCUCUUGUUUCGAUUGCAUCUAUCUAUUUUUUAUGAAGGGGAAGAUAAAUAUGAUAUGUUUUUGGAUAAUAUCAUUUUGGUUAAAUUUUUUAAUUGGCCAUAUAUUUAGGGGGAGCAUACAAUAUGAUUUUGGAUAAUAUGCAUUUUGAGCAUUCUUUUGAUGGGUUGAUGGUUCAUGAUCAUUUUAUGGUUAAUUGGAUGUUUGGUUAUUAUAUGUUUCUUGAUUAACCAUUGACAUAUUAUCGAUCUUCACAUGAAUUUCUAGUAAUUUUGAUGAUGAAGGGGGAGAAGUCAUGUAUUUUGAAUAUGAAGACAUAUAAUACGUAUUUUGUAUUUCAAGUAUUUAUGCAUGGUUUUGAAAUAUUAAGGGGGAGCUUACAAAUUAUCAUAAAUCAAAUAUUCAGGGGGAGUUUUUGUUUUGAAUUUGAUUUAUAUGUUUAAUUAUAUAUGCCAUGUAUUAAGGGGGAGUACAAAUGUCAAAAUACAUGAGAUGUUUGUCAUCAUCAAAAAGGGGGAGAUUGUUAGCCUAAAGGGCUAUACAUAAUAUAAUUUUGAUGAUAACAAACAUAUGUAUUAAGUGAUUUAAUAAAUAUUGUAUUUCACAUUUUCACUAGUUUUUGAAGGAUAAUAUUUAUGCAAGUGAAUCAAGUGAAAUCAAGAUUGAAGACACUCAACGGACAACGGCGACAUCAAGAAUAGUCUGGAGCUCAACGAAUAAAUUAGUGCGAUAAAUUCUUGUAAAGCCGGUAUGAUUUAAUUGAUGCAUGAUUUAGAAUUUGAGAAGCUCAAGAGAUUAAUUUAAUUAAAUACUUUUCAUAAACUAAAAGUUUUAUUUUUAUAAAGUAAAGUAUUUUGUGGAUUUAAGUAAUUUGGACUUAAAUGCUAAGAUUUGAAAUCUUUGAUUUUAAAUAAGUAUUAAAUUUUGGAGUUGGACGUUUUUACAAAUAUUUGAAAUGUUUUGGGCCAUACUAUAAUUUAUGAAUAUGUUGGACUAAAGUGAAAGGUUUUGAGAACUUUGAAAAAUAUGGGUAUUAUGUUGAAAAGGACCUUUGUACGAAAUAAUAAAAUCAUUGGGGCCAUAUCAUAAUUUUAGAAAGUUUGGGAAAGACGACUAUUCUUAGGAAGUUCUGAAAUUGGAUCUAUUUGUAAAGUUUUAUGACAUUUUGAGCCAUAGUAUAAUUAUAGAAAGUUUUGGGUCAAAGUAUAAAUUUAGUGAACAGAGUUACUGUAGCAAAUUCAAAAAUAACGGUAAUAUCACUGUUCCUGAGCGGCUAGCCGGAUAAUCAAGCGGCUAACCGCUUGGGCGCGGGAAUUUACCUAUAACGGCUAGUUUUCGGGCUUUCACUAUUAAAACUCAACUCAAACUUCAUUCCUUAAACGAAUGCAAGGAAAAACAAGAUCAUAUAACAUAUAUUGAGCUUCCAUUUCGCAAAUCAUCAUUGAUUGAAUGAUCAUUGAGCUAUAAUUUGUUAUCUACUCUUAAAGAGAGUUUCAUUGUUGUGAUUUUCAUUUCUCAUCAAAUUGUGAGUGUACAAGUGUGAGAAACAAUUGGGGUGAAGAGAUUGGGGAGAUAAUCUCUUGUUGUAAAGGUUCAUUGACACCUUAGAAGUCAAUUGUAAACAUUUGAAGCCUUGGGAGGUUUGGAUAGUGAAAUCCUCAAGCCAGGUGUGCUUGGAGGCGUGGACGUAGGCAGGGAUAGCCGAACCACGUAAAAAUCCUUGUGUUUGUUUUCUCUUCCCUUACUCUUUUAAUAUUGUGCUUGAUUGAAUUUAUUAUUUUUUGAUUUGAUUAAGGCAAUAGAUUAAAUUGUUGUGCGAAUUGUAUUGCAUAAUUUUAAAAACCCAAUUCACCCCCCCUCUUGGGUUGCAUAACUUGCAUUUCAAGAACUUGUAACUUUUGGAUCUUUUAGUUUUUAUUGGUUGGAUACAAUAUUAUGACUUGAGCGUCGGAAGGUUUUCACCGAAAUAACUUCCAGCACCCCCUGACUGUUCUUUGUGCUUGCAUGCUCGCGGGUUAUUUGCUCAUGGAUCAUCUGCUCAUAGAACAUCUGCUCACGGUGCUCACUGAUCAGCAGCUCGUGGAUUAUCUGCUCAUGGUGCUCACUGAUCAGCAGCUCAUAGAUUAUCGGCUCAUGGAUUAUCUGUUCAUGGUUAGAGGAUUUUCUUGGAGAUUAAUAAGUCGCUUCUCCACCAAACAAAUUUAUUGCUGAUGCGGGGAUGUGGUAUUGAGUCAACAACUGACUCGACUUUAUUUCUGCAUCAAUAUAAAGUAUUAAUCAGCUUAAUUAAUUUAUAAAAUUUAAAUCUAAUUAAUAAGUGACACAUAAAUGCCAAGUGCAAUAUAUGCAAAUCCUGUUUGUCGAUCAUUACAAAACUGGCUCUUGAAAACAAGCAAGAAAGCUUAAUUAAGAACUUAAAACAAAAAGUAUUAGAUUGAGGAUAGUCAAGCCUUAUUUUUUCAAGGAUGGAGCUUAUAAAUCUUCAAGUACCAACAUAUGCUUGGCCCAAUUGUUGUUUUUAAAAUUUCAAAAUAUAAGUAUGACAUAGCAAAAAUUUGAUGGUACAUGUGUCGGAAUAUACUAGCUAGUUCAUGGAUGCAUUUGAUUACUAUUUCCAUAAAUUUGAACUAAGAAGAAUGACACGAGAAAAUUUGAUUUUAUUAUAUGGUUGAUUUCAUAUCUCAUGCACUCAUUUCUUAAGAUAAUUAGAUUUUCUCUGGCAUCUUUUGCAAAUGUGGAAAUAUCAAUUAUGAUCAAUCAAAACGAUCUCAAAACUUUUUAACGAGACAUAUUUAUAAUACAAUAUUAUGAAAAUUACACCAAAAAUUUGAUUUAUUAUAUAUUAUUAUCCAACGAGCACACAAAAAUGAAUUCAUACAAAUCUAUAAUACUUAGCAAUUUUCAAAUAGAAUUUACCAUGUACUAUAAGAAAAUAUGGUAUAUGUGACCCCUAUUGUGAAUGCAAAAGCAGCCAUUACGUAUAUCACUAACUUCUAACUUUGUAACCCUGAGUUGCUUUUGUUACCCUUUAUGUGACGGCCAUACUGCUGUCACAUAUGUUACUAACCACGUGACGGUAAAGAGCCGUUCCGUAUACUACUAUUUUAGAAUUUUAAAUUUAUUUCCAGUUGGAAAACUAUUCGCUGGAUUACGAGUUUAAAUGCUGUCACCAUCGUAAACCUAACUGGUUGCCGGCGAACGGCGUAAAACACCGGCCAUCUUCUUCUUCAUCGUAUUCGCCCUUCAUCUUUUGAGUUAAGCUUGUGAUUAUGAGUUUCUUCUCUUACUUAGCUUGUAAUUAUAGAUUUUGAUUCUUUUUAAUUCGUAUUGUAGUCGUUAUUGUCAAUUUUUGUCCCGCCAGCAAUUUUUUUUAUUCCUACAAGUUGAAGCCCCUGUGUUCUUGUUCCAUUGGUGUGUUUGCUCACUCAAAUUAAUUUUGUUCUACAAAGUUCAAAUGGAUUCAUUUGAAUCACUAUUGAAUUCAGCUUUAAUUCCAACAACCAUUCUAAUGUUUUGUUAUUAGAUUUACUUUAAUUUUAUGUUUAAAGCUUCUACAAUGAAUAGCGGAGCUUGGGUUUUAGUUUCAUUUUCUAGAUAACUUGUUUUUCUUGUAUGCUCACCAAGUGCUUGUUAUAUUGUCUGAUAAGUUAAUAUAUUGCUGAUUCUAUAUUAAUAAUGUUACGUUCUAUUUUCAGAAAUUAUAAUAUAAACUGAAUUAACUUGUAGAAUAAGAGCUUGGAGUAGUGUUAUGUUCUUGAAUAAAUGAAAGUCCAUAUUGUGUAAGAGCAUGUAGAUGUAAAGCGCAUUGCCAUUUCUAUAAAGGACUUUCAUUCUGUUCAGAUGCUCCUCUUGAACUCUGAAAGGUGCCUCAUUCAAGUCCUAGCUAUAACUACUAGCUUUGAUUAAUUAAUUUCCUGUACUAGCAGAAACAGAUUUAUUUAUUUAAAUAAUUGUCUAUGUACUAAUUAUAAUGAAAGUAUAUGAAGAAAUUUUUUAACAUGAAUGACUUCUAAAUGACUUAAAAACCUAAAGGAUAUGAGAAAUAAUGCUCAUUUCACUUGAACGAGCCUAUUAAUACUUGUAUGUCUAUGAUUCUUAAUAUUGGCUUAAGCAUUUCAGUAAAUGGUUUACAUAACAGAGAAAAAAAUUUAAAUGAAAACUUUAGAGUUCUAACAGAAAUAUAAUUGACUAUGCAGAUAUAGUUAUUUUAUGGUAUACAAAUCAUGUUGCCUUAAUCUCAAUGUCCUAUGACCUAUUUUAUUUUAUAUAGUCGUUCAUUUUUGCCAUCGCUUUUUGUGUUUAUGAGUAUGGAAGUAGUGGGAUUUGGUGUAUCUUAGCAUCUUUGGAAAAUUCUCUUUAAAUGUGGCAAACAAAAAUAUACAUAUAAUCAAGUUUCUUAAUCAACUAUCAUAACUGGCUAGCUAGUUCUUGCCUGCCUUGCUGCCAUUACCCAGGCCAUUACAUUGCAUAGCAUAAGGAAUAGUGAUUAGGUGCUUAUUAGUGAUUCGUUGAGCUUAUUAUUGACCAAACAAACAUAUUCGCCUUUACCCACAACUUAGUUUGAUUAGUUAUUAGACCAUAAAGAGCGUUAAUCUGUUCAUUGGCUUUGUUAUUUUUAUUUGGUUUUUCUUCCAACAAUACUGUUGAUUUCUUAUAAAAAUACUCAUUGGUUUUUAGUUAUUAGACCAUAAAGAGCAUUAGUCUGUUCAUUGGCUUUGUUAUUUUUAUUUGGUUUUUCUUCCGACAAUACGGUUGAUUUCUUAUAAAAAUAUUCAUUGGUUUUUAAACACCUAAUCAUUGGCUAUAAUGAAGCUAAUUGAAACUGAGGCUUAUCAAUUUCUUCCUACAAGAUACAAUUGAGCAUAAACUAUAUCCUCAGUAAAUUUUUCUAAUAUCCUUGAUUUGUUAGGAUAUGGAGGCCUGAAAUCCUCUAGAUUUUUUUAACACUGUCAAUGUUCUUUUUACUCUGAAAAGGGAAAAAAAAGGUAUAUCUUUCAUACCCUAAUAGUAAGUAGGCCUUGACUUAACAUGCCUUCCCGAGGAUUUGCAAGAUUCACAAGCAGCUCACCCCCCCCCCCCCUCCCCCAACCCAAAAAAAAAAAAGAAAAACAAAUAGGAAGAUUUUGCGAGAUUCACAACCAGGUUAUAUUUAAUUUAUUAAUUGUGUGCACGUACUAGUUAUAUGUUGAAAGAAUAGGAAAGUAUUUUAACAUGAAUGACUUAAAACUUAUUGCUUAGUAAACAUAAUCUGCAUCAGUGCUAGAAAAUGUAUUUAUUGUUUGUAUUUUUUAUGGAUUUGCUUAAGAAAUGAUACGGGUAAUAAUGCUACAUUGUAUUAGGAACAAAUUGAAGAGAUUUAUGAUAUUUAUGUGUUAUUCAAAUUUCAGAUUGAAUUUUAAACUUUCAAUACAUGCAUUGAAAGCUUAGAUCGUUUAAGAAAUUAUAAAUAGACACAUGUUUUAUUAGUGCCAUCUUUGGAUGAUAGUGAGGAUCAUAUGCCUAUUAAUAAUUCUUGAAUUGUCUAGGCUUGAACUGUUUGGGAAUGCAUAGUUUUCUAUGGUAGCUAGUAGCUGAAGUUUUUUUCCCACAUAAAAAUGGGUUUUUCGCUAGCUGCUUCUCAUCUUCUUUGGGUGCAUACUAGAUAACACAUAAACACUCUUAUAUCUAUGUCGUUGCUUGGAGAACUAAAGGGAGAUGCUGCCGAAAUUUCUAUAAACGUAGAAGAAAACUUUAAAGUACUUGAGAUUGAAGAAACUUAUGCAUUCUUGAGAGGGAUAUAUGGGACCACUUACCUUUUGUAAAUAUGAAGGGAGUGUUGGACAUAUUGAUGGGAGUGGAGGAGCUGAGUUGGAUGGAUGUAAUCGGUUAUAGUUUUGCUGAGUUAACUUGGUUUUGAGCUUGUAAUUUUGUUUAUAAAUGGAGUACUAUCUCCAAUGUUGGUUUAUAAAUAUGUUUCAGCUGGCUGACCUUAUUUUUUGUUUCUAGGUAACAUGCUUUGUAUCUGUAAUUGAUAGCCAACUGAAGUUCUCAGCUGUGGGUGAGGAUAUUUCUUUACAGAAGGUAUUGGAAACUGUUUUUUACAUUAAUUAUUGUUGUAUAUAUACUUUAAUUUUCACAUCUUUUUCUCUGAUUCUUGUCACUUUACUUGCUUUCAUAUACAUAAAUUCUAAUGAAAUUAACCAUAAAAUUGUAUAAUGAUUUUUUAAUUAUAUUGCAAAACUGUGCACACACGAAAAUAUCUUGGUCAGUAGUAGAAAUGAAAAACUAAAAUGAUUUAUCUAACUAAUUUUUGUAGUGCAUUAAAAGGAGACGGUAAUGGAGAAGAGUUGGGUUGGUUUGGCAAAUAGAUAUCUAAGUUAUAGAUUUUGCAUUUGAGAAUGUUGUUGGUGAUGCAAGAAUUUAUUAUCCUUGUAAGAAGUGUCGAAUAUUUCGUUUUAAGGGAAGUAGCAAGAGACCAUAUCAUUAUAAAUGGUUUUUGGUUAAAGUUUUAAAACUGGAUAUUGCAUGGUGAGCCAUCUUCAUCUUUGGAAUCUAACCAAGAAACAGGUUAGUCAUGACUCGGGUGCUGAUGAUGAUAUGGUUGGAAUGAUACAUGAUACAUCACGUAAUCAAAUGUUCAAUUCACAGACAGCAUUGUUAUGGACUAUCAGUGACUUUCUAGCACAUGCCAACUUGUCUGAGUGGAGUAUUAAAGGUAAAUAAGCAUUUCUUGUUUGCCAACAAAACACCAGAUCGAAUUGGUUAAUACAUAGUAGAAAAUUGUCACGUCGGUAACGUCGAUUUUUACCGACGAAUCAUAGGUUUCGAAAAUAUAGUGCCUUUCGAAAAUCUGGAGCUGAAGUGAAAAAGCAGUUGAAUAAUAUCCUUACUGAGUUUAAGAUUGAAGACUUGAAAAGUGGAGAAUGAAUAAAAUGAGAGAAAUGACAAGAUUACUUGGAAGAAGAAAAGCAUAUUUUAUGAACUACCGUGUUGGGAGUUCAAUUUGAUUCAUCAUAAAAUGUGAGACAUGAGGGAGAGACAAAAGCUCAGGCUUGUCUGCAACCAUGUGGGCCCUCAUAAGCAAUUCGUGUACACAACUUGGUUCACCAAGCCCAACAACUUGAAGCAGGCAAAAUCCGGGAACGAUCCUUCUCCUUCGCAACCCUAGCUGCCUUAACCUUGUAUUUCUGAUAUUUAGUUAAAGAGUAAGAAGAUUGCUCCUCUGUCAAUUACCUUCGAGAGAGACUUUCUUUUUCAUUCAUCGAUGCUUGCUUGUGAAAGCAAGGGUUUUAGUUACACUUUCAACGCUGUCAAUGUAGUGAAGUAAAGCAUUCGUAGAAUAAUGAAGAUGGAAGCCCCACAGCAUGAAAACUUUUAAACAGUAACACAGCUCUUAUUCCAGAGGCUGCACGCGAGUGACCUGAAUCUUCUUCAGAACUUUCAAAUUUUAUCAGGCAAAGCUUUCAAAAUUUCUCAACAAAUUGAUUAUUUGGUGUGGUUGCCACAUUUUGAGUAACUGCUAUUUGUUCUCAAGUACAAAAUCCUUGCCUUCCUAAGUUAGGAAAUAUAGAUGAGAAGCAAACCAAAUGAAAUAAAUGGGUAAACAGAACAAACAGUGCAAAAAUUAAAAAUGAUGGCAAUUAACAAAUUAAUAGCAAUGUUACAUUUGACUCUUUAGCCCUUUGCUCCUUCUCUUAACAUUCUUCAAAGCUUUUGAAAAUUGGAUGUGAAGCAAACAAAAUAAAAUAAAUUUAGACAACACAUACCCUGUAUUCAGCAUCAUAUAUAUGUCGAAUAUCUAAUUUAAUAAAUUUCACAUCCAAAAUACUAAAAUUUUAUUUGCAUGCAUGUCUGUCAAAAUUUCCGUGAUUUAAUGUGCUUUCAUGCACGCAAGUUCUAACGUUUCUGUGAUCACAAAAUAAAACUGAAGAUAAAACAGAACAACUACCAAACCUUUCAAGCUUGACGAAGCCAUGAGAAUUGAUAGCUCAGGCUCUGAUACCAAGUUAAAGUUUCUAAUCUAUUUGAUAAGUAAGAAAAUGAGAGAAAAUGAAAGAAAGAACAGAGAUCAUCUAAGAGCUGGAUUUGAUGAAUAAAUCUGAAUCAUCCAUUCUUUAGCUGAUUACAAAUGUAUUUAUACAAGUUUUCUAAGCACCUGAGAGUUGAAUAACUUAUGCCAGCUCAGCUAACACGUCAGUAACUCUACCUAUCUUGCUUAACAAACUGAAACAAUAACUAACAAUUUUAACUAUCUUAACAAUCCCAAUAAUUUCUCCGUUUGUGUAUUUUUUUGAAUCAUAAUCAAAUGGGUAAAUGUUGCAACUAUUUUUUUAGACAUUUUCACUUUGGGAUGUCAGCCCGAGGAAGUUCGGGGGUCUGAGUUAUUCAACUGAAAAUGUCGGCCAAGUUCUCGCCAUCUCAGGUUCAAAACUGAUAAUCUUGCUCGUUGCUCCCCAUUUAUACUUAUUACGAAACUGAAAAAGUUACUCGUUCCUCUUAACUUGUUUUCUCAUGCAUCAACCCCACAAAACUGCUUAUUGCAGGGGGUAAAAUUUUGAACACAUCAUGUGGAAUUUGGACUAUUUGAUAGUUUGUUUCAAACAUAUCUGUUUAUAAAAUACUUUUCUUCAUGGUUUUGGUCCCAUAAUUUUCUAUGUAUGUACAGGUUUUAUCCAUACCUCUUUUGACAAGUUACACUUACAUAGCAAUGUUAUCUGGGUUCAGCCUUGCCUUUUUCAUAAACUGUGCUUCUGUGAUGAAGAAUGUUUUAUCUGUAAGUGGAUAUCCUAAUCAUUGAUCCAUAAACUUAGGUUAUAUUAUCCAUCAGCAAGUAUGUAUAAAAUUAUUUUAUGUCUUUUUUUAUUAGAAAUGUUGUAAUUCUAUUUUAAUCUUCCUGAAUUAUAACAUCAGGUGUCUAUAAUAACUGGAUUAUUCCUUCUGCAAAACAGAGCAGUGGUAAAUAUUUUUUUCUUUUGUUUGUUUAGUACAUUUACAUGCUUUCAGCUUUUUCAAAUUUUGUAUGUGUCAAAGUUUAAAUUUAAUUUGUUGGUUUAUGCCACAACAAAAGGAACAGCAUCAAAGAGGAGCUGCUAAUGGACUUGCUAUGACUGUAGUGUCGCUUACCAAAACUGCCGGUCCAGCUGUAGGAGGUGCUCUGUGAGUGUCCUGUUGAUUUUGUAAAAUUAUAUGUAAAUGAUGUUAUAAUAUUUUUUUUCAUUAAUUGGGGUUCUGGCAGAUUUUCUUGAUCACAAAAGCGUCAAGAUGCUGGUUUCCUCCCAGGUAUGAUGAUCUACUAAUGAAAUUAUAUUCUUUUUAUUUCAAAUAAUCUAUAAGUUAACUCAAAACAUAAUCAAGCUGAGAAUUAAAAUAAUGCCACUGUAUGAGAAGAUUUUUAUUUUUUUCCCGAAGUUUCACUAGGAAAUUAUUGAUAUAUAGCUUUAUUCGGAUCAUCUCAGUUCAAACGACAGCUAAUUGAAAGACUAAACUAAAUAGACCAGCCAACAACUUUGUACAGUAGAGUUAAAAAAAUAAAGUCAUGGUAUUGAGGUGUUCUGUCUUGAAAAGUACAGCAUAGUGAUAAAAUAAAAACUAUUAGUAUUUGGUAAGAUAUGACUUUUAAUUAAAAAAUUUCACAAAAAUAUAAAAAUAUUUAUAAAGUACUUCUGUAGUGCGGAGACCCUCACUUUGUUAAAGUGAAAAUAUCAACAAUAAACAAAAGACAUAUAUUUUAACACAUUAAAAACUGUAUUUUUUUAUCUAUUGGUGUAUUGAAAUAUGUGUUAUUUAGUUUGCUAAUGAUAUCAUCACUUUGUUAAAAUGAGGAUGUCAUCACUAGAGAAUCAUUAUAUAUACAUAUAUAUAAAGUGGUUCUCUCCAAGACCUAAACUUUAUUAAAAGUUUAGAAAGCAAAUAUAUUUUGUAUGGUAUAAUAGUGUAAUAACAUCACACUAUUAUAUCAUAUGAGUCCCAUAUAGAGUAAUAGUUUUUCGAACUUUAAUAAAGUUCAAGAUUAUAGAAUGAAUGAUUUAUAUAUAUUAUAAAUUUUUUAUUAUAUAGUGAAGGACAAAAUUAACAUAAUUUUCAAAUUAUAUUAAGUAUUUAUCAAAUAAUUUAACAUCAUAAUUUCUCCUAACUAGUAUAGUAAAUACGGCCUAGGAGGUACAUUCAAAGCAUUUCAUAGGUUCCUUGUUCGCUCCAGAUUCAGUCACAGACAAGGAGCCGUUUUUUGAGAAUAUUAAGCAUCAUCUUCAAAUGAAUUUUCUUGGCAAAGGUUUCAGAUCCAAAUUGUUGUUCCAGAUUAGUCCAAAGCUCAAGUAAGGUUUGAGAGUUUACCACAAGACUAAGGAUCUCGAUACUGAUGGAUGACAUUAACCAGCUCAACAACAAUUGAUCGUUUCUCUUCCACGAAGUUGAAUCUUCAAUUUCAGUAAAAAGAAAUUGGUUAGGACAGAGUUUUGAUCUAUCAAGUAGAUCUUCUAGUCCAUUGGCACGGACUGAAGACAAGACCUGUGAUUUCGAGAUCCUAUAAUUCGAUCGAUCCAGUUUGAUGGGUGAAGUGAAAGUAAACGAGGAAACAUAGGAGUUUGUAUUCUGAUUUGAGCUUGACGAAGCCAUGAGAAUUGAUAGCACAGGCUCGGAUAUCAAGUUAAAGUUUCUAAUCUGUUUGGUAAUUAAGAAAACCAGCGAAAAUGAAAGAAAGAACAGAGAUCAUCUAAGAGCUGGAUUUGAUGAAUAAAUCUGAAUCAUACAUUCUUUAGCUGAUUAAAAAUGUAUUUAUACAAGUUCCUGAAUAUUUUAGAUUCCAUAUGCUUGAGCUAAGCACCUGAGAGUUGAGCAGUGUGCACUAACAAACUGCUAACAAAAUAACUAACUUAUGCCAGCCCAGCUAACACAUCAGUAACUCUAACUAUCUUGCUUAACAAACUGAAACAAUAACUAACCAUUCCAAUAAUUUCUCCAUUUGUGUAUUUCUUGAAUCAUAAUCAAAUGGGUAAAUGUUGCAACUGUUCUUUUAGAUAUUUUCACUUUGGGCUGUCAGGCCGGGGAAGUGCGGGAGGUCUGAGUGACUCAACUGAAAAUGUCGGCCAAGUUCUUGCCAUCUCAGGUGUAAAACUGAUACUCUUGCUCCCCAUUUAUACUUACUACGAAACUGAAAAUGUUACUCGUUCCUCUUAACUUGUUUUCUCAUGCAUCAACCCCACAAAGCUGCUUAUUGCAGGGGUAAAAUUUUGAACACACCAUGUGGCAUUUAGACCAUUUGAUAGUUUGUUUCAAACAUAUUUGUUUAUAAAAUACUUUUCUUCAUGGAUUUGGUUACGUAAUUGUCUAUGUAUGUACAGGUUUUAUCGAUACCUCUUUUGACAAGUUACACUUCCAUAGCAAUGUUAUCUGGGUUCAGCCGUGCCUUAUUGAUAAAUCUGUAAUGAAGAAUGUUUUAUCUGUAAGUGGAUAUCCUAAUCAUUGAUCCAUAUCCAUAAGCAAGUAUGUAUAAAAUUAUUUUAUGUCUUUUUAUUAGGAUUGUUGUAAUUCUUUUUUACUUUUCCUGAAUUGUAACAUCAGGUGUCUAUAAUAACUGGAUUAUUCCUUCUGCAAAACAGAGCAGUGGUAAAUAUUUUUUUUCUUUUGUUUGUUUAGUACAUUUACAUGCUUUCAGCUUUUUCAAAUUUUGUAUGUGUCCAAGUUUAACUUUAAUUUGUUGGUUUAUCCCACAACAAAAGGAACAGCAUCAAAUUUUGUUGGUUUAUGCCAAAACUACCGGUCCAGCUGUAGGAGGUGCUCUGUGAGUGUCCUAUUGAUUUUGUAAAAUUAUAUGUAAAUGAUGUUAUGAUUUUUAUUGUCCCCCCCCCCCCCCCCCCAACACAAAAAAAAGCAUGAUUAAAUUGAUCAUUUGUUGGGUAACAACUUGAUUAACCGGUCCUGGCAGAUUUUCUUGGUCACAAAAGCGUCAAGAUGCUGUUUCCUCCCAGGUAUGAUGAUUUACUAAUGAAAUUUCUCACGAGUUGGUGAAUUACUUUGUGCUAAUUAGCUUAAUUAGCUGCUUAAACUAAAGUGCAGGUAACCAAAUGGUUUUUUUUUUCAUUCUGAAUUUGGUUGAGGCACUUGGAGUAAUAUUGACAUUCAAACCGUUUCUAACUCAACGCGCCCCGUGAGUUGAGAAAAGAUGCAUCUGUUGAAAUAUUCAAAUAUAUUUCAAGCAAAUUAAAGCUUUUCAAAAUCUAUCAACAAUAUGAUUAUUUGAUGUGGUUGCCACUUGCCAUAUUUUGUGUUACUGUUCUAAAGGGUUAAAUAUGAAAAUGGUUGUUGGUGCUCACACCAAUCGAUAGCUGGUAACAUUAACUCCUCAAUACUUAUACUUGUUCAUUUUCAGAACUACGACAAUUUAUCUUCACAAUGAUGCAAGCUAGAAAGAAUUUUUCAUGUUAAGUAAAACAUUGAAGCCAUAAAGAGUCUUAAUUGAGUACUAAGUUUUCUACCAUGCUUUCAACGGUAACAUAUUUGGAGCUCUUAUUCCAGGGGCUUCACAGUAGAGAGACCUGAUUUCGAUCUUCUUCAGAACUUGGGGAUUCCGUAAUAACAGAGGACAACAGUUAUAUAAGAAUAUUAUUUUGUACAAUUUUCGUAUAACCUGACCAAUGCAAGUAUAAUUUUAUGAUCUUAACUCAGAUCAAAAGACCUUCAAUGAUGUAAAUUUGCACAUAAAGCUGAGAUCCAAACAUUAGAACUUAUGAUGAAACGCAAACAAAAACGGUGAGAUUGAAAAGAUAGAGAAACACAAGCUUUUUAGUAGGAAUAAAUGCUCAUUUAGUCUCUAUAUUUUGACUCGAGCGCAUUUAGUUCUUAUAUUUUAAAAAGUGCCUCAACCUCAAGACACCCCCUAUUGUGAAAUAUAUUUUGUUUCUACCUUUUUUUUUUACAAUAAUACUCUUGGAAUAAUAUUUUUGGGAAUAUUAAUGAAAAUAAAAAAAUGGUAAUCAUCUAGCCAGCCUUAAACAAAAUAAAUAUUAAUAAAAACUUUUAUGUUAUUAUUUUAGUUUUAGGACUAAUUUCGUAAAUUAAAUUUUUUAUGCAUUUAUUAGUAAGAUUGCUUUAAGAAUAUUAAACAUUACUUUAAGAUGGCUGAUAUUAAUUUAUUUAUAAAGAAUUAUUAGCAAGAUUGUUGUGAAAGUACAAAAAAUACUGGUUAUUUCACAUUGAUAUUUAUUGAUUAAUUUGCCAAUUAACUUUUUUUAUAAAUAAAUUUAAGAAUAUUAUUGCCAAGAUAUUAUUGUAAAGGUAAAUAAAAUUUAAGGAAAAAAUGUAACGUAUUUAAUAUCAAGGUAUAUUGAGGUAUUUUUUAAAAUAUAAAAACUAAACGAGCAUUGAAAUUAAAGAGCAAUGAUAUAGCCACAAACUCUUGUACAAACUUAUUUUGUACAAACUGAUGUGGCAUGAUAAGAUUAGUUGAAUUAAAUAUCACUUUGCCCACAUGAUUUGUUUUUAUUAUUUUAUAUUUUCAUUCAACCAAUGAAUUAAUGCCACGUCAGUUUGUACAAAAUAAGUUUGUACAAGAGUUUGUGACUGUAUCAUUACUCGAAAUUAAAAUACAGGUACCAGACAAGUAUUUUCUCUUUUAGAAAGUUUUAUAUUUUAUUAAUGAAAGUCUGAAUAACAAAAUUAAGGUUUUGGACUUCUUUUAAACUAAACUUAAAUAUCACAAAUUUACCAAAAUAAGUAAACCUAAAAUAUUAAUACAUAAUAACAUUCUCCUAACUGAAAUAAAGAUAAAUGCUACUCAAAUUCUAUAUCUAGAAAAAAAAAAAGGUAAAAAUCCUGAAAACAAUAGGAAAAUAGAUCUUAAACUUGUAAAAUUAUAUGAAAUAAAUAUAAUUUUCAAUCGAACCACGAGACUAAUGUGGCGCUACAGUAUUAGAUUAGAUUCCCCUCGUUGCAAACUUCGAAAGGUAUAUUAUACACCCUAAAUACAUACUUAUAGCUCAAGUUGUUACCCUAGAGAGAUACUCUACUCAUCCUAUGCAACCAUCCGUUGCAUCAAAUUCGUUCCAAAAUUAAGAAUAAAUCAGCUGAUGCAUUCCAAAUAAUUUAGAUGAAACGAUAAAAUAAACCUAGAGAUCAAAUAAAAUGAAAUGAAAAUGAUAAUUACCUCGGACUAAAGCUCAUACAAAUUCAUUAUUUGACACCUCCAGCAAUUGUUGAAAUAAUAGUUAAUGAAAUAUAAAAUAAGACAAAAGUACAUAUUAAUGACACACCACUGUGAAUCGAUACAUCAACGUAAUACAUCAAUUGAAAUAUCAUACGAUAAAUUAGUCAGAGAAAGAAAUAAGUAAAUAAAUCAGCAAAGGAAACAUGCAUAAACAAAUUAAAAAAAAAACAAAGACAAAAGAAGGAAGAGUUGUCUGUGAGAAUCUUCUUCUAUGGUCAUUGAAGUCCCAAAACUAAUAAGGAUCGAUCAAUUGAACAGUUGCAAACUCAAUGGAAAUACAAUGGAACCUUAAAAAUGAACAGUGAAGGAAAAUGAAGAAAUCCGCAGGAAAUAAGGCGAGUAAGAGUGAAGAAUUAAUUACCACUGAGUAAAAUUGAGAGUUGUGAUCUAGAAGAGAUUCUUCUUCUCCGUAAUCCCCUUUUUUCUUUUAAUGUUGUUAUUAUUAUUAUUAUAUAUAUAUUUUCAAUUUCAUGAUUUCUUUUUUGUUUUAAACGGUAUUGGCAUAUUACAUUUAUUUAUGUUAAUUUUACAAUACCUCCCUUCAGAUUGCACAAAUUACAUAAAAAAAAAGCGCUUUAUGUAUAAAACUUUCAAACAAAUUGGGCCAAAAUCUAACUUUACCAAGUUUAGAGUAAUUUUGGGCUCGACAUUCCGUUUCCGACAAACGAAUUUUCUUUAUCACCAAGGUAUGAUACUUUUCAUAUUUAUCCAACGGCUCGUCAAUGACAAUACCUUUGUAAAAAGUACUUAUUUUGAAUAGUAUAUUGUGGAAAUGUCUGGUCGGUAAUACAACUAUUUCUUAUAGUGUAAAAAUGAUACACUAAGCGUUCACAUUUUGAUGAGUAAAUUAAGGAUUUCAAGAUGAAGUACAUAAUUAGAUUAAUGCUAAGAAACUGAAGUUUGAUCGAUUGAAAACGAAAAUAAUAAUGAAGGUAAUUAAGAAAAUGAACAAUAUAUGCGGAAGCGGUCCUUAUUAGUACUUCUAGAUUUUCUCUUGGGCUUUCCUUAUUAUUGUUAAAAAAUGACCCGAAGAACUUUGAGUUUAAAAAUCUGGCCCUGAUGCCUGGUAGCCCUUCAACACAUGAAGCACCAGAUGUUUUGAUGAGAAAAUGACAAGACCAUUUAUCAAAUUUCUUGUGGAUAUAAAUACAUACACAUAGACGAGACCAACCUCCUCAAAUGAGAAUCAGAGUGAUUACAAGACCUUGCAAUGAGACAAUGAUACACCAUCAAAUGUCAAAAUACAAUAGAAAUUCACGACAUAUAUAUAAUAAAAGACCUCUCAUUGAGUCAUAUAUAUUGAGAAUAAAAAUGUUAUAAUACAUACACAGAGCUUAGUUAGAAUAAAAUGUCUUUGAACUUACGAUGAUCAAACAAAGGAAACAGACAGGUUGUAACUCACACUAUCACAAGAAGAUCACGAAGAUGGAAAUGGGAACCCCUCAGAAUGGAAACUUUGAAUAGAGCAAAAAAGAAAAAACGACCUUAUUCACAGAAGAAGAGUGAUACAACUUGGCCAAUUGUUGUGAAUCAGAUCGAGCACAAUGAGACAGCAAGGGAAGAGACCCAGCCUGCAGAAAUAGAAGAAGUCCAACCCUUGAAUGAGACACAAGCUAAAGAGCAGCUCAAGACAGGUCCAGCUCGCGCGAGAAAGAAACCAGGAUGGCUCAAAGACUUUGUCAUUUGAGGAAUGUUCGAGAAUGCUUGAGAUAUCAUAAUAACGAAUAUUGUUCUGUUUUCAAUUAUUGUUUUGUUGUUAUCAAUUUUAUUCUAUUUAGUUAGUUAAGGGUGCGUGGCUGUUUUUGGAAGGGAGAAUAUAUUGUACUGUCAAGGGACCCAUGAGGGCAUGAAAAGAAAGGAUAUCAUUUUGUCUUUUUUCAGCUUCGUCUUCUUUCUCUUCUCUGUAACUCCCCUGUCCCAUUUCUCUUUCUUCAAAUUAUUUUCUCCACGAAUUGGAGCUUGCACUCGCUCAAAGAGUGUCGUAUCAACUGGUGCUUUCAUUGCAUUUAAUCUCUUUACACAAAACAAAAAAAAAAUGUCUCUCACAGAACCAACGACUGAUUCAGCAGUUCUCUCCACCAUGAAGACGCUCAUUGAAAAUCAAAUGCUUGCUGUUCAUCAGACCUUAUAGCAAUAUAUGUCCACGGUGGAUUCUCGAUUUGAGGAGCUACGUUCCCAAAUCAAUGGUUCCGUCGGAGGGUCAGUGGGUUCUUCCCGCCCAAUGGCGCCAGAACCAGCGUCUUCGACUGUACUGUCAGGUGUUACUGAUAUCUCUCCUCUGUUGCGUUCUAUGAAAAUGAAUGUCCCAAAAUUUGAUGGCACUGAUCCGAAUGGUUGGGAUUUUUGAAUCAAUGAGUUCUUUGAUUUUCACGGCACCCCUGACCAUUUACGCCUUCGUAUUGUAUCUUUUCACAUGGAGGGAAAAGCAGCAGCAUGGUAUCAAUGGAUGAAGGCCAACAACUUGCUGAGCACUUGGCAGAAUUUUUUACUCAAUCUUAAGCAAAGAUUUGGUACAUCCUGUUGAAAAGUCAAAGAGGUUUGGUUGAAAAAGAAAAGUGAGUCACAUGCAUUGCUUUUGUUUUUCAAAGUCAGCACCAAAUUGCAAGCUGUAAAAUAUUUGGCAUUUGACAAUCCUGCACCAAAUGAAGAAAAAUGGAAAAGUAAGCAAAAUUUGUCAAAUUGACAGAGAUGGAGAUUGACAAAUUGCAGAGGGAUUAGGUGGAAUAGUGCAUGCUUGAAGCCUAUAAAUUGAAGCCAUUUUUUUUCAUUCUAAAUCAUCCCAAAAUUUGUUAAGCUUAUAAGUUUCUAAGCUUUUGAGAGUUCUGAAAGUGUGAGCAAUUGGAGAGUGUGUGUGAGAGUACUGGGUGUAUUUGGGUUCUGGAAAAGUGAGAUUUCUUUACUCAAAUUUGUACUCAAAUAAUUGUUAAUAAUACAAUUAUUUUUCUCUUGCUCCCAUGGACAUAGGCAUAUUGCCGAACCACGUAAAUUCUUGUGUCCUUUAUUUUUCUAUGAUUAUUCGGUGUGUUUGUUUCCGCAUUCCGCGCACAACAAGUGGUAUCAGAGCCGACGGUUCGUACUUGGGGGGAUACGGUACAAUUUACGUAUACGGUACUAUUCAUGUAUACGGUACUGUUCACGAAUACGGUGGAGACGGCCAUUUGUACUUAGGAGACAGUCUAUUGUAAGUAGUGUGUAUUUUUGCAUGUCUAGGAAAGUUCUGUCAACAAAGGCGAUAAGAGUCUAAGGAUUCUGGUUUUUAAUUGGGACCAAGUUCCUGUCCAGUUUCCUGGAAACUUUCCUGGUGCAUUUAUUCACGCGAAAUUAACAUCAUAGAGACUGUUUUUCAAGUGAAAAUAGUUCGUUGAGAAAAUGGUAGAAGGUGAAACUUCCAGAAUUGGGGAGAGAUCUGCCGAGACUAUUUCAGGAGACACUUCAGGUAGGAGGCGAGAUUUGUCAAAUCGCUAUUCAGCACCUGUUAUAGGAGGCCAGAAGAUCGAUAUUGAAAAGUUUGAUGGGAAAAUCAACUUCGGCAUGUGGAAGCGCGAAGUUAUGGAUGCCCUUAUUCAAAUCGAUCUCGAUGUUGUUCUGAAAAAUAAAAGACACUUGUAUGAUGAAGAAAUUUAGGAUCGUAUGAACGAGAAAGCUUGUGGUCAGAUUUGAUCUUGUUUGACUAAGGAGGUGAAAUACUUGGUGAAAGAUGAGGAGUGUGCGGUGACUUUGUGGCGUACAUUGGAGGAGAAGUACCUGCUAAAAAGUCCUGAAAAUCAUCUUUCGAAUGAAGCCUGGGGUGUCAAUGCACGAUCAUGUCUCAAGAUUUGAAAAGUUACUUGCUGAUUUGAAGAAUCUUGAUGAAGAUAUUAAGGAUGAAAUCAAGGCUAUGAUUCUGUUACACUCACUGCCAGAGGAAUAUAGCCAUUUUGUGACUACCUUGAUAUAUGGGAAGAAUGUGAUCGUCUUCAAAGAUGUUUGCACAACAUUGACUAACUUGGAGAUUCGGAAUAAUGAUAAAAAUUCUGAACGAGCAUCGUCUGAAGCUUUAGUGAGUAGAGAUUGGGUGAUGGAGAAAAAGAAAAAGCGUGGUGGAAAGAAUUCUCGAUCCAAAUCGAGAAGCAGAAAUCUAGCUCGAGAUGAGUGUGCCUUUUGACAUGAAAAGGGCCAUUGGAGGAAAGAUUGUCCAAAGGCUCAAAAGAGAGAUGGGAAGAAACCAGCAGCAGCAAACAUGGCACGGAAAGAUGAGGACUCUGAUUAUUCACUAAGUAUUACUCCUGCAGCAUACGUGGCUAGUUCGAGUGAGUGGAUACUUGAUACUGGAGCAACCUAUCAUUUGUGUCCCAUUAAUGAAUGGUUUACGAAUUUUCGUAAUCUGGAAUCCGGUGCAGUUGUGAUGGGGAAUGAUCAACCUUGUCGCACAAUGGGGAUAGGAACAAUUCGGCUCAAAAUGUUUGAUGGAAUGAUCAGAGAACUCAAAGAGGUUAGAUUUGUUCCAGCUUUAAAGAAAAAUCUAAUUUCUGUGGGUGCUUUGGAAGCUAAAGGCUACAAGGUUACCAUUGAAGAUGGCACAAUGAAAUUUACACAUGGGGCUAUGGUGAUUCUGCAAGGGGUUCGGCGUCACAAUCUGUACUAUUUGAAGGGAGGUACAACUGAUGAAGCAAAUAUUAUUGAGGCGCACAGUAACACCACCAAGCUAUGGCAUGUACGGCUGGGACAUACUGGCGAGAAGUCUUUGCAAACUCUGAUGAGGCACGGACUCUUAAAAGGUACCAAAACCUGUAAAUUAAAUUUCUGUGAGCAUUGUGUAGUAGACAAGAAAACAAGGGUCAAGUUUGGUACAGCCAAUCACGAUACUCGUGAGAUCCUUGAAUAUGUUCAUAGUGAUGUAUAGGGAUCAACCAAGAUUGCAUCAAUUGGUGGAAGCCAUUAUUUUGUUACGUUUGUUGAUGAUUUCUCUAGAUGUGUGUGGGUGUACACCAUGCGAGCAAAGGAUGAGGUUCUAGAGAUUUUCGUGAAAUGGAAGAAAUUGGUGGUGACUCAAACUGGCAGAAAGAUCAAAGUAUUACGAUUUGAUAAUGGAGGUGAAUAUACUUCUGAUCCAUUCUUGCAAGUAUGCCAGAACGAGGGUAUUAAAAGACAUUUCACGGUGAGACAUACUCCGCAACAGAACGGUGUGGCUGAGCGUAUGAAUCGUACUUUACUGGAGAAGGUACGGUGUAUGUUAUCUAAUGCUGGUUUAGAUAAAAAAUUUUGGGCUAAAGCUAUGAGCUACGCAAGUCACUUGGUAAACCAGUUGCCUUCUGCUGCAAUUAGAGGUAAAACUCCUAUGGAAAUGUGGUCUGGAAAGCAUGCACAAGACUAUGAUUCUCUUCGUAUAUUCGGGUGUCCAGCUUAUUAUCAUGUCAAAGAUGGUAAACUGGAUCUUCGUGCUAGAAAAGCUAUCUUUAUGGGAUUCAAAUGUGGAGUAAAGGGCUUCAAGCUUUGGGAUCUCGAAGACAAAAAGUUUGUGUGUAGCAGAGAUGUCACAUUUGAUGAAGCUUCAAUGAUGAAAGCUUCAAGUUCUCAGCAGGUGGAGAACAAGACCAAAGAGGUAUUGCAGCGGGUGGAGUUUGAUGCAACUUCAUAUGUACCAGUUAGUUCUACAUCAAAGAAUGGUUCAACUAUGGAGGUGACACUUAGAGUUGAAGAAUAUGUUAUUUCUUCUGAUGUCCCACAAAAUGAAGAAACAAUUGAUGAUGUAGAUAAUUAUGAUUUUAUAGCAACAAGGAGACCAAAAAGAGAGAUAAAGAAACUCGAAUGGCUUACUAAAGAUAUGGUGGUAGCCUAUGCACUUUCAGUUAUUGAUGAUGACAUCCCCAACACUUUCGGUGAAGCAUUACGCAACAGUGAAAGUGAUCAGUGGAAGUUAGCCAUGGAGGAAGAGAUGAAAUCUCUCCAUCAAAACCAGACUUGGGAACUUGUAAAGUUACCAAAGGGGAAAAGGGCUAUUGGCAAUAAAUGGGUCUACACCAAAAAGCAAGGAUUUCCGAAUCAAACAACUCCUCGAUAUAAGGCAAGGCUCGUGGCAAAAUGUUUUGCUCAAAAGGAAGGUAUUGACUACAAUGAAGUUUUCUCUCCAGUUGUAAAACAUACUUUCAUUCGUAUCCUACUUGCCUUAGUUGCAGAAUAUGAGUUAGAGUUGGCUCAAUUGGAUGUUAAGACAGCGUUCUUACAUGGAGAGUUGGAGGAGGAAAUCUAUAUAAUUCAGCCUUGUGGUUUCAGAGUUGCUGGAAAGGAGAAUCAUGUGUGUAGAUUGAUUAAAUCUUUGUACGGACUGAAGCAAUCAUCAAGGCAGUGGUACAAAAGAUUUGAUCAAUUUAUACAAGGGAAGAAAUUCACCAGAAGUGAACACGAUCAUUGUGUUUACUUUAGAAGACUACUAGAUGGAGCUUUCAUCUAUUUGUUACUCUAUGUCGACGAUAUGCUUAUAGCUUCAAAGAAUAGAGAUGAGAUCGAAAGAUUAAAGAAGCAGCUGGCUUCUGAGUUUGAGAUGAAAGAUUUGGGUGAUGCACAGAGAAUACUUGGGAUGGAGAUUCAUAGAGACAAGAAGAAUGGGAGCGUAUGGUUGACUGAAAAGUCUUAUUUGAAGAAAAUGCUAGAAAGAUUCGGUAUGGAUGACAAAACUAAACCGGUAUGUACACCUCUAGCUCCUCAUUUCAAAUUAAACUCUUCUUCAUGUCCUAAAUCUCAAGAGGAGCGCGAUUACAUGGCUCGUGUUCCAUAUGCUAGUGUUGUGGGUAGUCUUAUGUAUGCUAUGGUAUGCACAAGGCACGAUAUAUCUCAAGCAGUGAGCAUGGUUAGUAGAUACAUGCACAAUCCGGGUAAAAAUCAAUAGCUUGCGGUAAAGUGGAUUCUCCGAUAUCUGUAUGGGACAGUUGAUGUUGGGUUAUUGUUCAAGAAGGAUUGUGGUCAACAAUGUGUUGGGUAUUGUGAUUCUAAUUUCGCUGGAGACCUUGACAAGCGAAGAUCAACAACAGGCUGCGUAUUCACAUUGGGUGAAGGUCCGGUUAGCUGGAGGUCGAUUCUACAAUUGACAAUUACUCUAUCCAGUACGGAAGCAGAGUAUAUGGCAGCAACUGAAGCUGUAAAAAAAGCUAUCUGGUUGAAAGGCUUGUUAAGUGAUUUGGGAGUAAUCCAGGAAAACAUUACGGUCUUCUGUGAUAAUCAAAGUGCGAUAUUCCUUGCGAAGAAUCAAACAUAUCACGCUCGGACGAAGCACAUAGAUGUGAAAUAUCAUUAUGUGAGGGAGAUUAUCAAGAGCGGUGUUGUGUUGUUGAAAAAGAUCGAUACCAAAGAUAAUCCAUCAGAUAUGUUGACGAAGGUAGUUUCUGGAGUUAAGUUUCAACAUUGCUUGAAACUAAUUCAAAUCCUUCGAUUGUGUUAAGUUAUGUCCUUCGAUAAUUUUGAACUACGGUUGGCUUGAUCCCAAAUUUUGGGUACGUAGGCAGUCACAUAGAUGUAACCACUUUGGGGAUGAUGAUUGGUUGGUAGUCGGCUCAGAUUUGAACAAAUCUUCGCCGAGGUGGAGAAUUAUUGAAAAGUCGCCGAGGUGGAGAAUUGUUGAAAAGUCAAAGAGAUUUGGUUGAAAAAGAAAAGUGAGUCACAUGCAUUGCUUUUGUUUUUCAAAGUCGGCACCAAAUUGCAAGCUGUAAAAUAUUUGGCAUUUGACAAUCCUGCACCAAAUGAAGAAAAAUGGAAAAGUAAGCAAAAUUUGUCAAAUUGACAGAGAUGGAGAUUGACAAAUUGCAGAGGGAUUAUGUGGAAUAGUGCAUGCUUGAAGCCUAUAAAUUGAAGCCAUUUUUUCAUUUUUUCUUACUUUUCCAUUUUUUAUGCAGAGGGAUUAGGUGGAAUAGUGCAUGCUUGAAGCCUAUAAAUUGAAGCCAUUUUUUUCAUUCUAAAUCAUCCCAAAAUUUGUUAAGCUUAUAAGUUUCUAAGCUUUUGAGAGUUCUGAAAGUGUGAGCAAUUGGAGAGUGUGUGUGAGAGUACUAGGUGUAUUUGGGUUCUGGAAAAGUGAGAUUUCUUUACUCAAAUUUGUACUCAAAUAAUUGUUAAUAAUACAAUUAUUUUUCUCUUGCUCCCAUGGACGUAGGCAUAUUGCCGAACCACGUAAAUUCUUGUGUCCUUUAUUUUUCUGUGAUUAUUCGGUGCGUUUGUUUCCGCAUUCUGCGCACAACACAUCCAUGUAUGAAGAUCAUCCAGGUAACCUCUCCAAGCUCUCCCAAACGUCGACUGUUGCUGAUUUUCAGUCUGCCUUUGAGGAUUUGAUGAACAAGGUCACGGGCAUCUCCGAGCCAUUGUUGGUUAAUUUCUUUAUCACGGGCUUAAAACCCGAUAUCAGGCGAGAAUUAUUAUUUGCAAGACCCACAUCUCUCAUGGAGGCUUUUGCUUUAGCCAUAGCUUAUGAGGCACGAUCGGAAGAAAUCAAGACCUCUAGCCGUUCUUGGACAAAGUGGACACCCUCAUCUACUUACACCCACCAAUCCACCAUUACUGCCUCCCCACAUCCUGCAUCAUAUAAAACCCCAACAACAACUACUCUUCCGAGUUUGUUAGCCACUAAACAGCCACCUCAACCCCCAUUAUUGCCUACUCCCACCUUGCCUAUUCAUCGAUUAACUCCAACAGAAUUAAGAGAGAAAAGAGAAAAAAGGGCUCUGUUACAACUGUGACAAAAAAUAUAGCGCCACACAUCGCUGUCGUAGCAAGUUUUUGUUAUUAAUGGGUACGGAUGAUGAAGAUGAUGAGCCAAGUGAGGACGCUUUUAUUCAUGCACAACCAGACGAAGUAGUCACAGCGGACAUAUCUAGUUUGCAUGCCUUGGCUGGGCAAACUAAUCCACGAUCUUUAAGGGUGAUGGGCACCGUUGUCAACUAUCAGUUUCAGGUGUUAAUUGACAGUGGCAGUACCCACAAUUUUCUUAAGCCGCCAUUGGCUAAACGCCUUGGCCUUUCCGUUCAAGCUAUAACUCCUUUUCGAGUUUACAUUGGCAAUGGCAAUUUUCUUACUUGUCGAUUUCUCUGCCCUAAAGUGCCUAUCAAUAUGCAGGGGCAUGAAUUUCUUUUGGAUUUCUUCCUUUUGCCAAUCGAAGGCCCUGAUGCUUUCCUUGGGAUUCAAUGGUUACAAAGCUUGGGAAGAAUUUCUACGGAUUAUUCCGAGAUGACGAUGGAGUUUCAGUAGGAGGGAAAAUCUGUCAUUUUACGAGGAGACCCAAUUCCAAAUCCGAAUUUAAUCUCUUUUAACCAGUUUCAUGCCUUGCUAUCCAACUCCAAAAUCGACAACGUAUUUGAACUUCAUUCUUUACCAACUGAACCAUCAACAACUCACACAUCUACCAACACAUUGCCGGAUAAUGACUUAGAAUUUCCGAGGUCGUUGCCUGAACCUAUUACUACUCUCCUUCAAAAAUUUAAGGCAUUAUUUGCUCCACCCACUGGUCUUCCCCCUCAACGGCUAUUUGAUCACAAAAUACACCUUAUUCCCAAUUCCAAACCAGUCAACGUUCGCCCAUAUCGGUAUCUUUAUUUUCAGAAAACCGAAAUGGAGAAAUUGGUGAGAGAAAUGUUAAAUCAAGGCAUCAUAAAACCCAGCCAAAGCCCAUUUUCUUCACCGGUAAUGCUAGUAAAGAAAAAGGAUGGCUCCUACAGAUUCUGUGUGGAUUACCGCGCUGUGAAUACGGUGACAGUGAAGGACAAAUUUCCCAUCCCCACUAUUGAUGAAUUGUUUGACGAACUUGGCGGUGCUAGGAUUUUCAGCAAACUUGAUCUAAGAGCCGGUUAUCACCAGAUAAGAGUUCACAAGAGGGAUACUUAUAAAACAGCGUUUCGCACGCAUGAUGGACACUACGAGUUUCUUGUUAUGCCGUUCGGUUUGACCAACGCGCCGUCCACUUUUCAAGCAACAAUGAACCAAUUAUUUGCUUCCUUUUUACGUAAAUUUGUUAUUGUCUUUUUUGAUGAUAUAUUGGUCUAUAGUGCAUCAUUGGCUGAUCAUGUGUAUCAUUUGGAGCAGGUUAUGAGUUGUUUAUACACAUAUCAAUUUUAUGUCAAAUUCUCCAAAUGUUUGUUUUGCCAGGAAUCAAUUGAUUAUUUGGGCCAUAUUGUGUCGGCUCGAGGAGUGCACGCUAAUCCGCAAAAGAUCACAGCCAUGGUAGAUUGGCCCUUGCCUAAAUCGGUGAAGCAACUGAGAGGGUUCUUGGGGCUGACAGGGUACUACUGACGUUUUAUUCAAGGCUAUGCAACCAUCGCAGCUUCUCUCACUGAGUUGCUUUGUAAGGAGGCUUUUUAUUGGAAUCUGGCAGCUACUCAAGCUUUUCAAGCAUUAAAGAAGGCUCUUGUGGAAGCCCCUGUACUUCACUUGCCGAAUUUUGCCUUGGAGUUUGUCAUUGAGACCGAUGCUUCUAAUGUCGGGAUCGGUGCUGUGCUAAUGCAAGUCGGGCAUCCUCUAUCUUAUUUUAGCAAAAAGUUGGGUCCUCGAAUGCGUGCAUCCUCGACAUAUUUGAAGGAAUUAUAUGCUAUUGUAGCUGCGGUUCAAAAAUGGCGUCAAUACCUCCUUGGUCGAUUUUUCCUUAUACGCACUGACCAUAAAAGCAUAAAGGAACAGUUUCAACAAGUUAUUCACACCCCAAAGCAGUAAUUUUACAUUCGCAAGUUGAUGGGUUAUCAAUACAGAAUCGAUUAUAAAGCUAGUAACUUCAAUAAAGUUGCUGAUGCUUUAUCGCGAAUUCAUGGGGACAACGUGACUGAAGAACCCAAACCAACAGCACUCUGUUUGUCAUUUGUAAGCCAACCUUCUAGUGAACUAUUGACAGCUCUGCACAAGGAAAAUUGCACUCUUCCUGAUAUGAAAUAACUCCAUCAGAGGUAUGCAGCCGGUUCACUUUCUUCUGACUUCUCGGUUCCUGCUAUUUCGACAUCGAUAUUACCUCAGCCCCAACUCAUCAUUAAAAGCCGUGCUACUCAAAGAGUUUCACGAGACACCUAUGGCAGGACAUGCUGGUAUUAAAAAGACAUUGGUACGUCUUUCAUCGACUUUUUUUUGGCCUAAGAUGAGGAAAGAUGUUGAGCAAUAUGUAGCCGCUUGCCUUGUUUGCCAGCAAAUUAAAUACUCAACUCAAGCGCUGGCGGGUCUGUUACAACCUUUGCCCGUCCCUUCAUUAGUUUGGGAUGAGUUAACCAUGGAUUUCAUUACAGGGCUGCCACUUUUGAGAGGAUUUGAAGCAAUUCUGGUUGUUGUGGAUCGUUUAUCAAAGUCAGCUCACUUUGGAGCCUUGCCUUCUCAAUUUACUGCCAUCAAAACAGCAGCUUUAUUUGCUGACAUGGUUGUAAAAUUACAUGGAUUUCCUAGCUCUAUAAUUUCAUAUCGUGAUCCUAUAUUCAUGAGCAACUUUUGGCAAAAAUUGUUUGAUUUAAGUGGGACAUAGUUAUGCCACAGCACGGCUUAUCACCCUCAAACGGAUGGCUAAUCCGAAGUAGUUAACCGAGGGCUUGAGCAAUAUUUACGAGCCUUCGCACAAGACAAGCCACAGACAUGGUCUUCAUUUUUAGGCUGGGCUGAAUUUUACUACAAUACCAGUUAUCACAGCAGCUUGCGUAUGACUCCCUUUCAAGCCCUUUAUGGACGUCUUCCUCCCACAAUUCCAAGUUACUCAAGGGGCUCUACUUCAAUCCAAGCGUUAGAAGACAUGUUAAUUGAGAGGGAUGCCAUGCUUUGCUCAUUGAAAGAGAACUUACGACAAGCUCAGCAUCGAAUGGCUCAAAAGGCUAAUUUACAUCGCCGAGAAAUUCAAUUGCAGGUAGGUGAUAAAGUGCUGGUACACCUUCAACCAUAUCGCUAGACAUCAGUUGCUAAGCGCUCAUCUCACAAGCUGGCAAGGCACUAUUAUGGACCAUUCACAGUGGUAAAGCGUAUUGGACCCGUUGCUUACAAGUUAGAGUUACCCACAAAUUGUAGAAUUCACUCGGUGUUCCAUAUUUCCUUACUAAAACCUUAUGUGGGAAACUUCCUCAUUGAUGUUUAUUCACUGCCUCCAGGAAGUGUGGAUAACAAGCCCCUGUCAUCGCAAAUUGCAGUAUGUGCUGAGCGAAAGAUACUUCAACAAGGCAAAGUAAUUCCACAAAUUUUGGUGCAAUGGUCUGAUAGCUCACCAGAAAAUUCGACUUGGGAGGACUUUGAGGAAUUUCGUAAACUCUACCCUGCACUACACCUUGAGGACAAGGUAAGCUUUCAAGGAAUGGGGAAUGAUACAACUUGGCCAAUUGUUGUGAAUCAGAUCGAGCACAAUGAGACAGCAAGGGAAGAGACCCAGCCUGCAGAAAUAGAAAAAGUCCAACCCUUGAAUGAGACACAAGCUAGAGAGCAGCUCAAGACAGGUCCAACUUGCGCGAGAAAGAAACCAGGAUGGCUCAAAGACUUUGUCAUUUGAGGAAUGUUCGAGAAUGCUUGAGAUAUCAUAAUAACGAAUAUUGUUCUGUUUUCAAUUAGUGUUUUGUUGUUAUCAAUUUUAUUCUAUUUAGUUAGUUAAGGGUGCGUGGCUGUUUUUGGAAGGGAGAAUAUAUUGUACUGUCAAGGGACCCGUGAGGGCAUGAAAAGAAAGGAUAUCAUUUUGUCUUUUUUCAGCUUCGUCUUCUUUCUCUUCUCUGCAACUCCCCUGUCCCAUUUCUCUUUCUUCAAAUUCUUUUCUCCACGGAUUGGAGUUUGCACUCGCUCAAAGAGUGUCGUAUCAAAGAGUGACUUAAAUUUUCAUCAGUAUCCAGACAUUCUGCAAUCAUAGAGUAGAGAAAUUUUAACAGGAACAGCAGAGAAAAUAUUAUGAAUAUGCUAUAGACCAAUAUACUUGUUCAUAGCUAACGUUUGAUGGUUUAAGGAUUUGUUCUAGGAAUAAUGGGUUGAUUACUUUUUUUAUUUUAAUUUUUUUUAAUCCAAUGAAUGAUAUUCAGCUGUUAAUUAUGUGUUCAUAGGGAAGAACAUUUUCUAAGUACUUUCCUUGCCUUCUAACUUUCCGAAAAGCAAACCCAAUGAACAAACAGAGCACAAACUAAAAUAAAAGAACAGCAAUGAUGACAAUAAAUAAUUGGAAAAGAAAAAAAGGAAAAAGUAUGCACGUUUUCAAGGAAUUAUAAAAUACGAAGGCUUUUAAUGAAAUUUUAUCAUAAAAACGUAUGCAAGGAGUUAUAAAAUUUUAGAAGACGAGGGGAGCUCCCAAAAAAAAAAAAAAAAGAAAAAGACUCAAAUUAAACUAGACUAAAAAGACAUUCAAUUAUGCAAAAUCUGUCCAUAAAAGUCUGAAAGGAUCAUUAAAAUUGCAUUGCAAAUUUAACAGUAAACUGAGGGACCCAUUCUAAAUAAUUCAGUUGAAAUUGCGAAACAAGCCAUGGGAUUAAAUAAAUGAAAUAAAAAUUAAUUACCAGUUGAGACUUUCUUCUAAAAAUUCGCAACUCCAAGUCAUAAGAAGCCUAUGAAAUUAGUCGUAAUACGUAGAGUAUAUCGACGACACCGCCAACAGCUGAAAGUAAAAUUCUUAUUCAUCAAUGUAAACUUACUUUAUAACAAAUAUCUUAUCUAUAUUGUAUUUAAGAAAGCAAAUUUUGUAAAAAUUUAUCAUGGGAGAUAGAGAGUAAUAUGUAUAUCCGUACCUUCUCAGCAGGUAAUUGUUGUAUGGUUGUGUUUAGAUCAUUAUUAGCCCAGCGCCGUUGAUCCGCUGUCUCUCCAUACCAGACAUUUACUCUUGGAGGCGUGAUUGCUUCUCCUGUAGUGAAAAUCUUCAUCUUGGGACAACCAAUCACCCACAAAUCUUGCAAAGAUGGCAAUUUGAAGGUGUAAUUGGGAGAGCAGAAACUUGUGAGGCUAUCUAAAUCAAACAGUUCCAACGUCUUCAAUUUGCGGAAAACAAUCUCUUCUUUUUCAACUCCAUCUUUGUCAUUUAUUACCACCUCUGUCAUUGCUCUGCAUCCAUAUAUUUCUAUUGCUACGAGUCGCACCAGAGUUUUUGCUGUGGAGGAUGUUACCAUGUGUAACAAUUUCUUGCAACCGAAAGCCACCAGAGCUGUUAGGUUCUGAAAAGAUACCGAUGAUGAUGGCAAUAGAAUUAACAGACUUUGACAAUGAUAUGCUUUUAGAAUUUCAAGAUACUGAAAAAUGGGGCCAAGUUUGGAGUCUUGUUUGCACAGCUGCUUCAGAUGAUAGUGCCAGCGCAGCUCUAAUGUUUUUAUCAUUGCCAACUUCCCCACAUGUUUCUCUAAGCUUCCUUCCUCCGAAAAUACCUCUUCGUGGAAUGAAAAUUGAAACAGUGAGAGUAUUUCGAGAUUGUGAAAUCUCUCAAGUACAUUCCAGAUUGGAAAACAAGCUGAGUUAUCUUCGGCAAUCUCUAGUUGUUUAAGACUGCCAAAAAGGUGUUGUGGGAAAUCGGCCUGCAAAAUCAUCUUCACGUCUUUUCCAUUCAAUGAUAGGUCCUUCAAGUUGGGUAAGAUCUGAUCAUCAUAAAUCAUAAUAACUAAUGAGGUCAAUUGAUGUUCUCUCAAAUGAUUUUGAGUAAUCCAAUUACCAGCAGUGACUUUAUAGUAUCUGUUUUAUAUUAAUUUUACCCCCAAAAAAAAUUUAAUUAGUGAUAAAAUUCAUUAUAUGAUUUUUUAUAUGUUAAUUUUAGAGGUAAAAAAGAAAUUAGGGAAAAAGGGUUGAUUUAUAUUUGCAUGAAUUUCACAACAAUAAAUUAUUAAUUUAUUUUGUAAGUCGUUGUAUAAAGAAAAACUAAGGAUUCUUUACCUAAAAAAGUUCAUAUAAUUAUUAAUCUCCCACAUUGAUCCCUUUGUCAAGACUAGCAAAGAUUAUUAUGUAAUAAAAAUUUUCAAUUUAUUAAGUAUUAAUUUAUCAAUGUUUUGUUACAUUUUUCAAAGUCAAAAGACGUCAAUGAGAUAUUGAAAAAAAUAUCUAGAAAAUGACUUCAUACCUUUUCCAAUGGCAAUAGGGGCUGUUGUGCAGGAAUACCAAGUUGAUCAUUCCCAUUAUUCUGCGAUAAAUCUGCAGCGAAUAUUUUUAAUUUGUCACAACGACACACUGCAAAAUUUUCUAGUGCUGGCCAUUCCGAAGUAUGCAUUCCUGGGUAUAAACAUCUAAGUUUUGGUAGACCUUGGAGUAUCAGAACGGUGAGCUGUGGAAAGACAAAAUAAGGGAUCACUUCAUCUGCUCUGUUUUCAGAAAUGAUCUCCUGUAAAUCCUUACAGUCUCGUAUAUCUAGGUGUUGGAGCUGCUUAAGGCUUCCGAUCAUAGACGCUGAAAAUAUGUAUUUCAGUUUGUCACAGUACCACACAACUAAUCGUGUUAAACUUUGAAAGUGAGGAAACACGGCCGCCGGAAUUUGAUUGUAGUGCCAAAUCUUGUCGACAUUAAUUGCAGAUAUCUCCAAAGCCUCCAAGU